UAGAAAACUCACUUUUGUCGCGUAGAAUUAUUCGGGUUGAGAAUGGUUCGUGCGGUUUCCGGUUCCACUCAAGCUUGUGAUUUGAGUAUUCUUUUGGAUGUCUUAACACAGAAAGACAUAUAUUCACAUAUAUGCUACACUUUUAUCAUGUGUUAAAUCAUUUAAAAUCAGUGGGUUUGAUGAUAAAAAGAAAUUGUAGAAAUCAAUAAUAUACCUAGCUUCAACUUGGAUCAAAAGUAUGUUGCCAAAAGGUGGUGGAAUAACACAAUAUUUUUGAAAGGAAAAGGGUAACUUUCUCAGGGGUUUUAAGUGUUUGAAAGUAGCUACAUAUGGUAUAAUUUAAAUAUCGAAAAUGGGCUGAAAGAUGAAGAACUUUUAGGUGUUUGUUUAAUGCUCCAAAACAGCCACUGUUUUGGCAAUGUCGCUGUCACCAAAUCUUCACACCAGAAGGGUAAGAAAAAGGUAGUUUACUCACUAUUUUGAAUCUCAAAUUUGGAGUAUCAUAACAACUAACUGCACGGGGUAUUUGGUGGUAAAAAUAUCAAGCAAAAGAAAGGUGUAGAUGGGUGAAAUGGUGGUUGAAACACAAAAGGGACAGCAGCCCUUUAGUUCACGAUUUUGAUGACUUUAGAAGGAAGUUCUUGUGGCUGAAAAUGAGAUGAAGGUUGAGAGUAAUUCCCAGGAGUAUUGGCUGGUCAAUUGUUAGUAAAAUGAAGAGGAAAUUUCGUGAUUAUGAAGGAGGAAAGAGUAGAAGAGGAUAAGGGGACAAAACCUAGACUAGCUUGUGAUGGGAUGUGAGUUUAAGUGAUGUAAUCUUGUCUAGCCACUUGCUUUGGUGGUUGCUUAGAGAUAGGGUUAGUUAACUAACUAACUACUAGUUAUUUAGUUAGUUAGGAGUUCUAGUUAAGGAGAGGGAAGGUCUUAAUCUCAAAAAUUAGAAGAGGGAUUAGGAAGCAUUCUUAGUAAAAUGUCUUAAGUGAUUAAGCACUUAUUAGUUAAGUUGACACUUAUCUCAACAAAUUCGUUUAUCUUAAUUGAUUUAGACAUCAUAUUCCUUACAUGAAAUCACCUUAAGUCAUGACCCAUAAUUAGUCAUUCACUAGAUAAUAAUACAUAUGUACAAAUACGUACAUGUAUACCUAGUAUAAAAUAACAAUGUAGUUUUUGUGUUUUUGAACUUAAAUGCUUAUGGUUGAUUCUUUUUACUUUAAAAACACUUAAAUACAUUCUAAUUAUGCCUUAUAAUAAUUCAUUUUAUAUUUUUACUUAUUUAAAUAUAAAAUUUAUUGACCAAGGUAUAACACGUUCUGUCACUUUGGUUUGUAUAUUUGUCAAAUUUAAAUCCUUCACAACUAUUAAGCACAUAUUUUACAUAGAACUUAACUUAUUCAUCAACUGAAGAAAUGUUGAUAUAAAAAUUAAGUUUGUUGCGUUCAAUUGACGUUAUAUGCUAAUUUUCACAAAACGGUGAUGGUUCGUAGUCAUACGUCGUAACGAAAUUUAUCAUUAGUUACUUGUUUUAUAUUUCACAAGAACUUUUCUAAACAAAACAAGUUAAAUUUAUUCAACCAUUUUUUAUAAAAUACUCAUAUUUCUUAAUAAACAAAACAUAGCAUCGUACGAUCGUUCCUAAUUUUACCAAUUGUUACAAACAUAUAUACCUAUAUAAUUGUUACCGAAAAAUAAAUAACUACUUUAUUUUAGCGUUAAAUGAAAACAAUGAAAAUAUUAUUAUGCAGGAGCCAUGUUGGUUGCACUAAACACUUAUGCACAAAUGAUGCAUCAUAAUAGAAUGAACAAAUCUUUAACAUGGGAGGAGACACAUUUGCAACAAUAUCUUUGGUGUGCAAGAUUCCACAAGGAGUAUAGUUAUAGAUAUCAACCACAUUAGUUGUACAUGUUGGAAAUAGUGAAAAAGUGGUAUACCUUGAGGGCAUGCCAUUGCGGCAUCGUGAUGUGUAAUAGUCACAUAAAGUGUCAAGUUUACGUAUAUUUUACAGUAUAUCAAGUUGCAUACGAAACAUGAAUAGCGCAUCCUCUACCACAUCUAAAUAAGUGAUAAUACCAACAAAGUGGAUGAUCAUUUACACCCUACAAUUUAGGAAUCAAGUAAUGGCUGGACUUUUCAUUCACAUGAACAUGUAUUUGCUUCUAUGAAUUCAUGUACAAUGUUAUUUCAUGUCCACUAGCUUCUAAAAUAAAAACAUACAUAUUAAAUUAAAGGGACAUUCCAGUAGCUUGAAAACCAAGAAACAUCAUUGUCUGGUGUAUUAUGGAGGAAAUAACAAUGACCGGAAUUUGUUGGUGACUUCUAAUCCGCAAUGAUCUGCCACCACUAAUCUGAGUGGGGCUUACAGCUUCACCGCUACCGCUACUUGAGUUGGAGGAGACUUCUACAAUUGAAAAACCUAACAACAUAUUGAACAGCAACAUAAUUUAAUAUUUUUUUGUCAUGUCUAUUAAAUAGAACUUAGUCAUUUCUUUAAUAUAUGAACUCACAAUCAUACUGUGCCCAUCCGAUCCGUUUAGCAUCCAAAUCAUAAACAAUAAACUUGUCCUUAAGAACAAGGUCUGAUCAAUAACCAAUAAUAGAGUGAAAAAAUGAAAAUAAAAAUAAAGCAAUGUCAAUUUAUAAUUUAUACCUCCUAAAAUAGUGAUUCCUUUCUGGGGACUCUUUUGAAAGCCCAUGCACCACACCUCAGCCCCACUCUAUUGGAAUAAUGAUUCAAAUAAAUAUAAUUCAAUUAGGCUGCAUUUUUUACACAAGCUAUCUAGGACUAUUUUUGUCUCAAUGAUGUAGGUCCCAACCCCCAUCAUAUCAAACACAAUAAAACUAAUUUUGCUUUAUCUUGUCCAACUUAUCAAAUACAGUUUUAACAUAAGGUCAUAUAACAUACCUUGGAGCUUUGGUGAGAAAGGUAGUCUUGAGGUCUUAAAUGCAUUGAAGCACCCCCGACAAAGUUCAAACUUACGAUGGGAAAUAUAUUAGAGACACUGAAAUAAUGAUUAAAGCUAACUAUUAAAAUAUUAAAAGCAUUUAUGAAAUUGAAUGAUACAACAAAGGAUUAACACUCUUUUAGUCUCAAAAACUAGAUUUGAAAUUGAAGGGUAUACAUAUGACGUUUUAUAGUAUUUGAAGUCUAAAACCGGUUUAGAGAACUAAAUAUGGAUUGAUGGACAUUUAACUAGUAAGGACAAAAAACGAAGGAAAAUAAGUGUCAAUUCAACUUAAAAAAUAUUUUUAAGUUUGUAAACCUUGAAGUAAUUGAAUAACAAGGAUCUCCGUUUGACGUAUGUGGCUGUACGGACAGUGAAACCAACUUUGUGAUCUGCACCAACAGAAGUAAUACCGACAUUUUGAUUAAAAAAAUAUGUUUGACCAUAAAGCAUCUAAAAUGCCUUAAAUGAUGACACAUUAACAAACAAAUAUGUAAUUUUUUAAAGUUUUGCGGAUAGAAUUAUAAUAUUGUACUUACACUAUCUACAAAAGGGGUGUAAGCCUCUUCAGUAAGGUAUGCUAAAGUUGUUCCUGAAUCAACAAUUGUUCCUGAUUUAUCAUCAUUUAUUGCGAAUAUUGAUGGAUCAAUGGACAACUUUUUAUUAUUGACCGAAAUACUUUGCAAAUUUAUACUAUAAUACCCCCUGCAAACGUACAUACAAUGAAAUUAGAGAUAGUUUUUCUUUUGACUUAAUGGACUCAAUGGUAAAAGAUAUAUAAAGGUUUCCUUUUGACUUAAUGCAGAAAGAAAACUUACUGUAAUUUAAUAAGUGGAGUAAAGACGAUAUAUGGCACCAUUGGUUGACCAAUAACCAAGAGCCCACCUCCAUCAGCAAGACAAUGUCCCAAGGAAUUAUGAGUAAUCCCUUGCGAAGAAAGUUGGGAUAUGAUAGAUAAACCUUGCUGACCCAAUCCCAAAAUCCCAUCAAGUGCUUUAUCAGAUGUAGUUAAGACCCCUGAUUCAAUUAUGCUACAACUGUUGCAUAAUUCAAAAUAUCAACGGUCUUAUUUAAAGACACUGAAAUGGUUUGGUCACUCUGGAAAAGAAGGAAUCAAAAUGAAAUUCUACAAAAAAAAUGAUAGAUUACCCAAAUACAAUUGAAGCUGAAGUAUUUGAUAUUUCUGUUUCGGUACCACUAACAAUAACCUUAAAAUGCAUCAAGUCAGAUACAUAAUGACCAGAUGUUGCACUACCAUCUCCAUAUUGAAUUGUGUAAGUGCAAUGAUUAUUCGAACAUGAGCUGGAAUCAUAAGUUUGACGGGUCAUAGAAUGUAAUAGGAAUCUGUUCAAAGAUUGAAAAAAUCAUGUACAUUGUACAAAUACUAGUUAAUUCACAAAAGCCACACCUUAUAAAAAAAAAGAAUUAUAAGAAACGAUGAGCUUACAUUAAAUCCACUCGAUGUUGGGCAAUCAUUGCACGGUCUGCAACUAACCCAUGACACAUCACUUCCGGUGUCAAUUUGUAAAUAAUAGUCUUUUGAAGGAGUUCCCAGUUUUACUUUUGUGUAAUACAACCUACAAGAAGAAGUUCAAGUUCACCCAAUGAUGAUCAUAAGUCUGUAAUUUCAGAAAUUUUAAAAUGAAAAACCAAAGUUAAAGGAAGUUCGUGUACCCAGCAACACGAGGAUCAUAACUUCCUUCUGCAGCAAACCCAAUAAUCCCUUUUGGAGAGGUAUCCUUCAGUAACAUCCUACCGUGUCUCAAACUGUCUCUAUAUCUAAGUUGACUUAACUCAAUUCUAUGGUUCAUCGGAAAAGCUCUUUCCAGAGUGAGAGUCGCCGGAAACCCAGAAACCGCCUGCAGCAACACAACGACACCUAGUAAUGUUGAAGUAACCGCAUUUCUGACAGUAAUAUAAACGGUCGACAUUUCUUAUCUCUCUUUCUAUUCUUCCUCUGUAUCAGAGUAUCGGACAAAUAAUCUGCUUAAUCAACCUGUAAUUAAAAUAAGUUACAUAAUCUCUCAUCAGUGGUUUGGUUUAACUUACAGGUGUAGAAGAACAUGCAUGACAAUUUUAUUGGUGGUUAUAAGGAAAUAAACAUGUAGACUAAAGCAACUCACAUAAUAACAACUCAACUACUUUAAACAAAAACUAUUGAUCAAUUAUUUACUUCACUUUUUUCCAUACAUCACUCUUACAUUUACUAAAAACUACAUUUACUAAAAACGUAACACAUAUAUUUAUGUUAAGUAUUUGAAUUUACUAAAAAUGUUACACAAAAUACUUAAGAAAUUAAUUAUGAUAACUUAACGACCAAGCAUGACUAAUUAACUAGCAUUCGUUACAUGUUAAAGCAUUCUUCAGUUUCUUUAUGGUAUCCACGGGCGGUCUAAAUAUGAUUGGGACUGGGCGUACAAAAAAAAGGCCCUGUAAAUUUGAGUUUAAUUUAGGGCAAAACCAUAAAACGCAUUAUAGUUUGCCGAUAAUCCGUUUUAAGUAUCGCAUUUUAUUUUGUUCUAAAAAUAAUGCUAAUGUUUGCCAAAAAAAGAAAAAAAAAAUAUACUACUAACAAGAUAAUGUGACAAGCACUAAAGCCACAAAAAUUUAACACAUUUUGCAGGCAUAUUUUACCCUUUUUAAAUGAAAAUAAAUUGUGAGGAUAGAAUCCGAUUUUGGUCAAAUUAUAAUGGUUAUACAUUUUGCAGGCAUAUUUUACCUUUUUUAAAUGAAAAUAAAUUGUGACGAUUGAAUCGGAUUUCGGUCAAAUUAUAAUAUGGUUAUACGUGAUUUGUUUCUUUAACUUAAUACAAAAGAAAAGUAAUUGAGGUAUGAGGGCUAGUUACCAAGAGGAUAAGAAAUUAGUUUUUGUUAUUAUAGAGAAAAUGAAUGGGUGAUGAUAUUGCCACCGUACUUUUUGAUGCCUCCACUGAAAGUCUAUUGAGAUUGACUAUUAUACCCCUGUAAACUUAAGAGGGACAAAUAUUAACCCUUUUUUUUUUAAACCCAAACACCUCCAAACCACACUCAACAAAUAGUAGCCAGAAAUUGAUUUGUGAACAUGGUGGGUGAUGCUGGUGGAGCUUCUUAUUUAGAGUUGUGAGUGCAACUUGAAAGAGUGAACACCAUCAAAAGAACAAUGGGUGUUAAUAUCAUAUAAAAUUGCAUAAAAAUACUAAUUUUCUUUCCCUUCUGUUCGUUUGAUACAAACCCAGCAGCUGGAUCUGUUUAUUUAUUUAUUUAUUUAUUUUAUUCCAUUCAUGUACAUAAACAUAGCAGGGAGUGAGAGGGGUUACAUAAAUCGAGGUGAUAUGUAAAAUAGACACAACUAAGAAACACAACAAGCAUCAACAAGAUUGGGUUUCCAUGCAGAUAUAGUGUAGAAACACAUGAGAAGGACAUGAGGAAGUAACUUCAUAGAUGCAAAGAACAGCUUCAAAUUCAUGAAAAAAAAGAUAAAACAAGAAGUCACAAUUACAGGAAAAGACGAGAAAAUUGGUGAGAGAUACUUACGGGUUGAAUAUCAGCUUCAAUAGCUUUAAGCGAAUCCUUGAAAACUUUCCCCAUUACCAUGAUCCUUUUCAAAAACAGAAAUUAAACUCUCAUCAAACACCCGGAAAGUUUCUUUUGUAAAAAUCGAUUAAAUGAAAAAGAAAAAACACCAUUAGCAAUUUGUAAAUGCUUUUCCGAUGAACACGAAAUUCCCAACACUGGUUUUGACGGAGCAGAUUUUUCUGUGCGUUUCUUAAAGAAAAUCAAUUUAGAGAACAAUGCCGAUUUCUUAUAUACAGAAGAAGAGUGUCGUCACUUUUAAUUGAAUAGGGGCAUAAUUGUAUAUCUCUAUUUAUUUCAGUGGAAAUAUAAAAAAAAAUACAAUUCUAGGUAAUUCAAGUGUUCAAAUUUACCGUUUGAUAUAGAAGAAAUAGACAGACAGCUUGGAGUACAGGCAACUUUUGGGAAAUAAGAAAAGCUAACGAAGCACUUCAAAUGAGAAUUUAAAUAUUAUUUCAAAACCAAUUUUAGAUUUAAACUAGAUAAACACGCUGGAGCGAUUCGAACACGGGGUUUUUUUGUAAAAAAAAUAAAUAUUAAGCACCUUAAUUAUGUCUGCUAAAUUGAUUUCAGAUAUAGUGAAGCAAUAUAUAUAUAUAUAUAUAUANNNNNNNNNNNNNNNNNNNNNNNNNNNNNNNNNNNNNNNNUAUAUUCUCAAAGUUGGGCCCAAAUGAUUACGAGACCUUGGGUUGUCGCCCAACCUGCCCUAUCCAUUGGGACUGAUGGUAUCAAAGCAGGUAUUUUGAUUCGUGGAAAUACCCAUAACAAAACAUGCAAUAUGCGGACGAUGUCGGCACCACAGAAACCCUACAAACAUGUUGCCCAAGUCACCAUUUUACGUACACCCAGAUAGGCGAUUUUAGUAGGUGUCCCGGUGUGACAUCGACAACACCUACUUUUUCUGUACGCAGUUGGAAAUUUUUCGAUUUUUUUUCCUAUUUUUCCUACAUCAGCAAAACCUACUUCAACCUCAUCAACACCUGGUAUGUAUUCAUUUGUCCGCCCCUUCCUAGAUAACUACCGACCACUAAUGCACAUAAUCGAAAGCUUAAACGACAACAACUAUGCAGACCCGUCAUGAGGGCUAAAAGUUUUCCUUUUUCAAAAAAUAAGACCAACUAUGUUGACGACAGCAUAACCACCCGACAAUAGACUCAUAAGAAUUAAGAACAUGGCAACGAUGCGAUUAUAAAGGGAUGGUUAACCACGGGGAUGGAGAAAUAUGUAAGGUGCUUGGAAAGGAAAGUGAUAUGCACACUUAUGAAUUGAAGCGAACACUAACAAUAAUGAAGCAAGAAAACUUGUUUAUCUUGGCUUAUUUUGCGAAGAUGAGAGGGAUUUGAGAUGAAAACCAAUCUAUCUCACAUUUGCCGAAGUGCACACGUCCAAUCCUGGAAAGAAACUUAUGGAAGCCAAAUGAGUUUAUGAUGGGAGUUGACAAUGCAUUUGAAAGAGUAAAUAUGGAUUGCAAUCUUGAUUGCCUUCUCAUUUAUCAUAAUAUGAGUAUAUACACUAAACAUAUGGUAAUCCGUAUAGUGAAGGGGAAGAUCAAUACCAAAGAUAAAUACAAUGAUAAAUAAGGAAACGAUACGAUAAUAUCUUUUAGUAGCCCCCUUCAGUUGGGCAGCAGGAGGACGAACGCUCAAGCUGGAUCUGAAAUCUUGGUAAAGAUAUAUGCAUACUGGUAAGAUGAAGUACAUGAAGAACCCGAAUAUGUCCAUGAGUGACUUUAUCAUGAACAAAAUGGAUAUCUAUUUCAAUAUGCUUUGUGUGUUAAUGUUGAACAGGAUUGCCAAAAAGAUAGACUGCAGAAACGUCACCAAAAUAGAACAAAGUAGCAGUUUUGAGAGGUGUGUAAAGCUCAAGAUGCAGAUUUCAUAACCAACAAGAUUUGACAACCACGUUAGCAACACCCUGAUAUUCAGCUUUAGCACUAGAUCGAGAAAGAGUAGGUUAUCGCUUGGUAAACCAUGAGAUCAAAUUAUCUCUGAAAAAUACAUAGUAACCAGAAGUUGAAUGUCAUGUAUCGGGACAACCACCCCAAUCAACAUCAAUGUAAGCAAUAAUUUGAGAUGAUGUUGAAGGGUAUAAAUGUAAACCGACAUGCAUAAUGCCUUUUAAGUACCGAAUGAUCCUUUUUAAAGCAUUAAGAUGUGGCUCUCUGGGUGCAAGCAUGAAGAGACAAAUUUGUUCGACUGUGUAUGCUAUGACAGGCCGAGUGAAGGUAAAGUAUUAGUGGGCUCCUACUAACUGCCGAUAAAGGGUAGAAUCGACUACAUGAUCUUUGGAAGAAGCACUGAGUUUAGAAUUUGUAUCGGCGGGUGUUGAAAAUGGUUUACAUCUCUCCAUUUUAGCGUCUUUGAUGAUUUCAUUUGCAUAUUUAUGUUGAGAAAGAAACAUACGAUCCUCGGAAUAGGUAACAGAAAUACCCAGGAAGUAUGUUAAUUUUCCAAGGUUUUUUAUGUCAAAUUUGGAUUUGAGGGAUGAUAUGAUGUCAACUUUCAGUAGUGAUGAUGAAUCCAUGAUUAUAAUAUCGUCGACAUAACCCAGGAGAUACACACACUAAUUAUUUCGUUUGAAAAUGAAAAGAGAAUUAUGUCACACCCUCGAACCAGGACGGCGGAAACGUCCAGGGGCGGAUGACGUCAUUGUAUAGUAUCAUAAUAGUUAAAUAUAAAUAAAGCAUAGAAAUCCAAAGUAUCAUACAUUGAAAAUACAUGAUUACAUUGUUUUACACACUGUGUUUGCUCAAAAGUUACACAAGAACGACUGAAGAGUAAUAUUCCAUAAUGCAGCAACAAUUGAUCUCAAAAGAUUUGAAUACGUUCCCUGAGAAUAGAAGUAGUUUUGAAAAACGUCAACAAUAAUGUUGGUGAAUUCAUAAACUUUUCUUGUAUGAAAACGAUUUGCAACUUCUUUGUUUGAAAGGUUUUGUAUGUUUCCAUAAAAUCCGAUAUUUUCUAUCAAAAUGGUUGUAUGUCUUGUACCAAAGACUAAAAAUGUGUAUAUACAUGCCCUUUGUAUCUUGUAAAUGUAUGUUCCCAGAAAAUCCAAUAUGUUCUAAUGUAUGAAAAAGACUGUAGAUUAAAAUCUUAAGACCGAAAUAGUGUAUUGAAAAGUAGUAUGUAGUUUUAUAUUUUUAUAAAACCGAUGAUGUGUAAGCUUCCCGUAAACCAAGAUAGUAUUGUUAAUCCUUAUGUGAGUUAUUAUAGCCAUGCUUAAUGUGACUGUUAUGCCUGGAUGACGUUCUUCAGGCGUCGGAAUUGGUAGACAUUUGUCACCCUAGAUCGGUCCGUCUAGCUGUAGAAAACAACUCAGGUGUGGGGUUCUCAAUCUCGUAUAGAUCUAUACACAACUAUCUCGCUCUCCCUCAAGGAGACUUUGGCUAUAAUGCAAGACUUAGAGUGCACGCUAGGUAGGUACAUUGAAGAGUAUGUCUCACUAGAGCUUUAACGGAUUUACGUAAACUACGACACCCUUUUUCUUGUGUAAUAAAGUAAUGGCAUUAUUUGAAAGCUUAUGACAUGAGUUUUAUGACACACAAGUUAUACUAUCAAUAAUUAGCCUUGUAUGUUUUUGUGUAAACUAUUUAUAUACAAAUAUAUGCAAAUAUUUAUUAGUAAGGUUGUUAAAACAAAAUAUUCUUGGGUUUUAAACCAGUAAAAAUAGUGAUGACUAAAAUACGACCAUUUUUACUAGAAGAAUCAUUUUUAGUAAAACUUUCCAACAUAUGUAGUUUUGUGUUUCUCAUAUUUUACCAGUUGAUACUUGAAUCACAAAAUAGUUUAUGUACGGCAAUUUUUACCCUUUAAACUCAUAGGGCACGAUUUUUAUAAAGCCAUAUCGUGACUACAACAUUUUUUAUACUUAUAUAAAUUUUAAUUUGUAAAAGUUAGACAUGUAAGUAUCAAAAGAUCAAAGAUAUUUGGGCAUAUAUAUAUAUAUAUAUAUAUAUACACACACACACAUGUUUUUUGUUAUAUUCGUGUGUGUCAACACAUAAACACGAUCUUUGUUUAAUAAAAUGAUGGUAACCACAUAUAUCACGAUUUUUAAACAGUAUGCAAGUGAAAACUACUUGUUAUUCAAGAGAUUGUUCCAUAUUCAAACAACUAAACAUGGUGCAUGCGAAUGUCCAAAGGACAAAUGCAUUUUGGACUUGUAACACUUUGCAAAUCACGAUUUUUAAGUACAAAUAUAUGAUGAUUUCAUCAUUUCAUGCACAUAUUAUUCCAUAAACAAGUUCAUGCAUGCAAAUAUCCAUAGGGUAAAUGUGUUUUGGACUUGUAUCCACCCCCCCCCCCCUAAAAGCAUGUAAAACUCAAAAAUUGACACACCCCGAAACUGGACGGCGGAAACGUUCGUGGGCGGAUGUCGUUAUUGUAUAGUAUCAUAACACUAGAAUAUAGUUGACACAUAGCAAUCCAAAGCAUCAUACAUUGAGAAUACAUGAUUACAUUGUUUUAGACACCCAGUUUGUUCAAAAGUUACACAAUAAUGACCGGAAAAUAAUAUUCCAUAAUUCAACAAUACUUGAUCUCAAAAGAGUUGAAUACCUGUUACGGUUCUAGAGAAUACAAGUAGUUUUGAAACACGUCAACAAUAAUGUUGGUGAGUUCAUAAGCUUUUUUUUUUAUGAAAACGAUUUGUAACUGCUUUGUUUGAAUCGUUUUUUAUGUUUCCAGAAAAUCCGAUAUUUUCUAUCAAAAUGGUUGUAUGUCUUGUACCAAAGACUAAAAAUGUAUAUAUGCAUGUCCUUUGUAUCUUGUAAAUGUAUGUUCCCAAAAAAUCCAAUAUUUUAUGAUGUAUGAAAAGACUGUAGUCUUAAAUCUUAAGACCGAAAUAGUGUAUUGAAAAGUAGUAUGUAGUUUUAUAUUUUUUAUAAAACUGGUGAAGUGUAAGCUUGCCGUAAACCAAGAUAGUAUUGUAAAUCCCUAUGUGAGUUAUUAUAACGAUGCUUAAUGUGACUGUUAUGCCUGGACGACAUUCUUUAGGCGUCGAAAUAGGUAGAUAUUUGUCACCCUAGACAGGCCCGUCUAGCUAUAACAAACAACUUAGAUGUGGGGUUGUUAAUCCCAUAGAGAUCUAUACACAACUAUCUCGCUGUCCCUCCAGGAGACUCUCUGGUUAUAAUGCAGGACUUAUAGUGUAAGCUAGGUAGGUACAAUGAAGAGUAUGUCACACUAGAGCAUUAACGGAUUUACAUAAACUUCGACUCCCUUUUUCUUGUAUAAUAAUGUAAUUGGAUUAUUUUAGAACUUAUGACAUGAGUUUUUUGACACACAAAUUAUACUAUCAAUAAUUUUCCUUGUAUCUUUUUGUGUAAACUAUUUAUAUAAAAAAUGAAAUUAAAUAUUUAUUUUUAUGGUUGUUAAAACAUAAUAUUAUUGGGUUUUAAACCAUUCAAAAUAGUGACGACUAAAAUAUGACCAUUUUUACUUGAAGAAUUAUUUUUAGUAAAGAUUUCCAAAAUAUGUAGUUUUGUGCUUCUCAUAUUUUACCGGUUGAUACUUGUAUCACAAAAUAGUAUAUGUGUAUGUAUAUAUAUAUAUAUAUAUAUAUAUACACACACACACAUGUUUUUUCGUUAUAUUUGUGUGUCAGCACAUAAACACGAUUUUUGUGUAAUAAAAUGAUGAUAACCACAUAUAUCAUGAUUUUUAAAUAGUAUGCAAGUGAUACUUGUUAUACAAGAGAUUGCUCCAUAUUCAAACAACUAAACAAGGUGCAUGCAAAUGUCCAAAGGAUAAACACAUUUUGGACUUGUAACACUUUGCAAAUCACAAUUUUUAAGUACAAAUAUAUGAUGAUUUCAACAUUUCAUGCACGUAUUAUUCCAUAAACAAGUUGAUGCAUGCAAAUAUCCAUAGGGUAAAUGUGUUUUGGACUUAUAUCCCCCUAAAAGCAUUUAAAACUCAAAUAUUGUCACACCCCAGAAGCAUGACGGUGGAAACGUCCGGGGGCGGAGGACUUCAUUGUAUAGUAUCAUAACAGUUGAAUAUAAUUGAAACCUAGCAACCUAAGCGACAUACGGUUAGAAUACAAACUUAGAUGGUUUACAUAUUAUACUUGUUUAUAAAUUACACAAAAUUGACAAAAAGUAAAGUUUCACUGUGCUACAUCGCUUGAGCUCGAAAUAUUGUUGAUUUCCUGUUACUGGUUACUUGAGAAUACAAGUCGUUUAGAAGAGAAUACAAGUCGUUUAGAAAAGUGUCAACUAAAAAGUUGGUGAGUUCAUAAUCAUUUUUUUUAUAAAAAUGGAUUUGUAACUACUUUGCUUGAAAGGUUUUGUAUGUUUCUAGAAAAUCCGAUAUUCUCUAUCAAAGUGGUUGUAUGUCUUGUACCAAAGACUAAAAAUGUAUAUAUGCAUGUCCUUUGUAUCUUGUAAAUGUAUGUUCCAACAAAUCUAAUAUUUGCUGAUGUAUGAAAACGACUGUAGUUUUAAAUUUUAAGAUCGGAAUAGUAUAUUGAAAAGUAGUAUGUAGUUCUAUAUUUUUAUAAAACUGGUGAAGUGUAAGCCACCCGUAAACCAAGAUAGUAUUGUUAAUCCUUAAGUGAGUUAUUAAAACCAUGCUAAAUGUGACUGUUAUGCCUAUAUGACGUUCUUCAGGUGUCAAAAUCGGUAAGAUAUUUGUGACCCUAGACCGACCCGUUUAGCUGUAGCGAACAACUCAGGUAUGGGGUUGUCAAUCCCGUAUAUAUCUAUACAUAGCUAUCUCGCACUCCCUCCAGGAGACUCUAGUUAUAAUGCAGAACUUAAAAUGUACUCUAGGUAGGCAUGGUGAAGAUAGUGUCUCACUAGAGCAUUACCAGAUUUACGCGGACUUUGACUCCCUUUAUUGAGUAAUGAAAUGACAUUACUAGUGCAAAUUCAUGAAAGGAAUCUUAUGACUUGCAUUUUAUAGGUUUUAUGACAUGCAGUUUAUUACAUGCGUUUUAACAAUUUCAUGAUACACAUUUUAUGACGUGUAUUUUGUGACACAUAAAUUAUUCUGUCAUUAGUUUGACUUGUAAUCUCUUUUGGAAAAACUAUUUUUAAAACUUUAUAUAAAUAGCUAAUAAUAGCUAUGUCUAGUAGUAAGCAUAACAAUAUUUUCUUAGGUUUUUAAUCCCUUCAAAAAUAGUGAUGACAAAUCUACGACUAUUUUACUAAUGAAAUUAUUUGUAAAAGAACAAUAUCAAACUUUGUAGUUCAUCACAUAAUCAUAGUGCAUGCAAUUUUCCAACGGAAAAACGCACUUUAACUUGUAACAAGUUUAUAAAACAUGAUUUUUAUGUGUGUAAGAAUGAAGUUUUCAACAUAAGAUGCACAAAUCAUUCCAUAAACAAGUUAGUGGAUGUAAAUAUCCAAGGGCUAAACGAAACUUGACUUGUAUCUUCCCCCCCCCCCUCUAAAAAGCAUGAAAAACACAAAAGCAUGGCAGUAUGAAGCUCACCUUGAUAGUCUCGUGAGUUGUAGGAAGGAGAUGACGGAGAUGUCGAGCCUACACUUGUACAUACUUGAAGAUCUUCUCGAAAUGCUAGUGUUCUAAGAAGCUUCACACGAAAAUGUGUGUAAAUGUGAUGAUUUUUAUCAUAAAAAUGUUUACAAACUCUAGGGUAGUUUGAAACACUUACCAAGUUAUUAAGAACCACAUGAAGAAUUUAUCACUUCUUGAAUAUGGCUCAUGAUUUUUGGAGAGGAUUGAUGAGAGAAUUUGGAGAGUAAAAUUAGUGAAAGUGUUUCUAGUGUGUGUGUGUGUAGGUGUUUGUGGCCUAACACCCCUUAAAUUGGGAGGGGAAAGUUUCUUGGUUAAUACUUGAUGGUUUCAUAAGUGCCAUGCAUGGGGACAUGGAAGGUAACUGCAUGCAUGGUGUGGUUGUUUGUUGUGUAAUGAAGUGUAAAGCAAUGAGUUGGCACACAUUUGUGUAACUUUUUUUUUUUGUCUCAUGCCUAAACCAAAACCUUAUAGGCUUUUCGGCCUUCAUGGGCUAUUAUAAAGGGUUUUCGAUUUUUUUUGAUGGCCGAAGGAAUACGGUUUUCGGUUUAAGUGAGCCCCAAAGAAGAUGGUUUUUCGGCCUAGGGUUACAUGGGUCGAGAACUCCUAUUUACAAGCCCAACAAUUUGUUUUUGCUUAGCUAUUAGGUUAAAUUUGGGUUAUAAGAGGCUAUUACAACUGGAUUCUUAGUGUAUGCACAUAUGUAUUCAUAUAACAUUAUUGUUUUGACUUUUAAUAGUUUUAUGCAAUAAGGUUACAUAGAGGACAUGUUUGUACAUGAAUCACAAUCUCAAGACUAAAUUUGACAGUUGUGACAAAAAUAAUGGGGGUAUGAAGCUCACCUUGGUUGUUUCGUGGGUUUUUGGAAGGGAAAAGAUGAGUGGUUUCGAGCCUAGCCUUGUGCACAAGCUUGAAGAACUUCUCAAUAAUGAAAGUGUUCUAAUGAUCUAAAACAUGAAAAUGUGUGUAAACAUGUAGAUUUUAUCAUAAAUAUGCAUGAAAACACUUGGGAUUUACAAGAAUGCUUACCAAUUUCUAUGAACCUCUUGAAGAAAUAUCACCCCUUGAAGAUGUCACAAGUUUUUGGAAGAGCCAAGAUGAGAGAAACUUGAGAGUAAAAUAAGUAGAAAAGUUUUUGGUGUGUCCUUGGGAUUCAUCGACCAAAGUGUUUAAAAGAAGGGAUAAGAUGGUGCUUGGUUGCAUGGAAGACAAUUGAGUGUGUAGUAUGGAUGUUUGAAUUGUAAAGGCAUGCAUGGUGUGGUUGUUUGGUAGAUAAAUGGUUGUAAAUCAAUGAGGUGUCAUCACAUGUCAAUCCUUGGGUCAUGCUCUUAAAAAAUGACUUUGCUUGCUCAAGGAUAUGGUUUUCAGUUUUAGGGUGGCCGAAAACACCCUUCAUCCUCAAAGGGUUUUUGGCCUAGCGUUAUUUAGGCCAAGAAAUUCUAAGCAAAGGCCCAAAAAUUGAUUUUUUUUAGCUAUUAGAUUAAAAUUGAGCUUAUAAGAAGUUAUUACAACUCGAUUCUUAGUGUAUGCAUAUAUGUUCUCAUAUAACAUUGUCAUUUUUGAAUUACAAUAAUCUAUUUCAAGAAGGUUACAUAGAGAAAUUGUUGGUAUAGGGAUACAACCUCGACCCAAAAUUUGCUAGUUGUGACAAAUUAUCACUCUGGCUACAUACGAAACCGAUGUUGAAAAGAUAAUGCAUAAAUCAUUGGUACCAAACCCUAGGUACCUGUUUUAAACCAUGCACACAUAACCAGUAAAUGAUGAAUUUGCAAAACUUGGUGGUUGGUUCAUGUAAAACGUUUCUUUGAUAUUCCCAUGAAGAAAUGCGUUUUUAACAUCUAGUUGAUGAAUAGGGCACUGGCGAUUCAAGGAAAGGCUAAGAAUUGUCCGUACGGUGGCUGGUUUGGCGAUAGGGAUGGAAAAAAACCCGAAACCGAUGAGAAAAUCCGAUCCCCAAAGAUUUCGGGGCGGGUCGGGUUGAGCUUAUCGCGUAACGGGUCGGGUAUCGGGUAUUUAUUUCGGGUUCGGGGCAGGGAGUAGGAUAUGCAUGCGUGUCCUGACCNUAUAUAUAUAUAUAUAUAUAUAAUUACAUUUAAGCCCCUCAGAUACUCUAACCCUAAAAUCACACUACCACUUACCACUCGCUUGUAUUCUCUUCGAGCCGAUGGCCGACAUCAGAAGACUCGAUCACUCGAAGGCCUAAUUCCUAAAGCUCAUUCUGUUUCAUUGAAGACUCGAAGUCUCGAAUCGUUUCCUCGUCGGUUUCACUUGUCUAUCACGGUAUCACCCCUCGCAACCUGCCUAUCGUUGGCUCGUUAUUUUUCCUCACGUUUGGAGAUUCGGCAAUUGUAGAUUCGAAGUCGAAGGCUUGAAGCACAUCUGUUCGACAAAAUAUAAAUCCAGGUAAGAAUAAUGAUUAAUUGAAUUCUGAUGAUUUCGAAUAUGAUUGAUGAUUUCGAACUCUGAUGGAUUUGAAUAUGAUCUAUGAUGAUCUCAAAUCCAUUUGCCUGUUUAUGAUGAUUUCGAAUAUGGUUUAUGAAUUGGUUUUGAAUAAUGCUAAAUUGAACUCUGGUUUUUGAUGGAUUUGAGCUAAUUUGAACUUAUUUGUACCGAUGAAUCUGAUUUAUAAUAUUCAAAUGCAUAUAUUAGUUGAUUUCUUUUCAAAUGAACAUAUAGGUUUGCCUGAUUUCUGAUCUGUUUGAACUUUGAAUAUGAUUUGAGUUGAUUUCUAAUCUGUUUAGACAGAUUUGUUGAGGCUGAUACGACAUUGGUUUUUAUAUUUUAGGAAAUAUGAAUUCAAACAGUCAAAAUCAUGCUCUAACUGCAAGUAGUCAAGUUGUGGGAGGUUCGCGUUCUAAUCAACAAAAUACUGAUUCUGUUGAUCAACAAGAUGUUAAUGAUACAUUUUUUGAUGAAUAUGGAGAUGAAGUGGUUGGUUCGAAAAGGGAAACACGUUCAAUGGCAUGGUUUCAUUAUAUAAAAUUUAUAUUGAAUGGUGAACUUAAUGCAAGAUGUAAAUAUUGCUCUAGAGUAUUGGGUGAUGUCACACCCCCAAAACUAAACGGCGGAAAUAUUCAGGUGCAGAGGACUUCAUUUGUACUAUCAUAACAAUGCAUAAUAGAAACCAAAGUACAACAUUUAUUACAUAAGAUUUUAAGUUUACAACUAUGUUUCAAAAGUAUAAUUUACAAACAUAAAUAUAAAGAAACUUGGUCUUCCUCUAAAUGUGUUGGUACCUGUUUACUGCUUUCCUUAAAAUACAAGUAGUUUUGAAAGGAGUGUCAACAAUUAAGUUGGUGAGUUCAUAAGUAUGUUAUGUAAAUAACUUAUUGUUUGUUCUAUGAAAUAUGUAUUUGUUCUUCCAGAAAAUCCUAUAUUUUCUGUUGUAUAUACAUUUGUUUUCAGAAGUAGUAUACUCUUAACCUCCCAUAAGACAUUGAAAAAUAAGUUAACUCAAAAAUUGUUUAGUAUUCUAUACCUACACUUGUAAUAAAACUUGUGAGAUAGUAUUAUAGUUUUAAUUAAAACUAUAUGAAGUUGUUACUUAUUCUUACACCAAACUUAUUUAUCAAUUUCAAACUUGUGAGUUGUCAUAACCAUAUUUGAUGACAUAAGCCUCGCCUGAAACACAACGUUCUUCAGGCAUUGUAAUAUGGUACGACAAUUGUCAUCCCAAGCCUAUCGGCUUGACUGUAGCUAACAGUCGAGAUGUGGGAUUGUCAAUCCCAUAUAGAUCUAUAUACAAGUGUCACGCUCUCCCUCAAGGAGACCCUGGUUAUAACUUUCAGGGCUUUUGUUUUAUACUUAAAUAAGUACUUGAAGUGUGUCACACAAUUACCUUAUUGAUAAUUAUGUGUAAAAUAUUGAAAAGUAUUCAUGUAAUAGUGAUAUCAUAAGUAUAUCAUAAAUUAUAUUUAAUAUAAUUUAUAUAUCUGAUUUCAUCAGAAACUCUAAUUAUGUAAUAAACAUAUGUUGUUCCAUAAAGUAUAUUAACAAGUUUGUAUGAAUCAUAAAUUAUACCUAUUAUAAUUUAUAUUUUUAUUGUAAUAAAAUAGUUCCAAAUCCGUGCAAUAGUUUAUUUACAAUAGCAAUAAAACAAAAGAAUGAGUUUUAUCAUUUACACAAGAAUUCCUAGUAUUUUACUUGUAUUCCUCCCCCUAAAACAUUAUAAAAAAUAGUGAAAACAUAGGAGUAUAAAAUCACUUGAUAAGCGUUUCGUUUCUCAAAAAGAAGCUUGUUUGACGAGAAAACCGACUUAAAUCGGGCAGAGUUCCGACUAGAAAAGAUGGAUAUUCUCAGGAAUAUCGGGGCUUCGGGGCUUACUGGGGGUCUGAGGUAUGCUUCGAUGUCCUUGGGGGUUGUUGGUAAGUUGGUGGGAGUGAGAGAGGUGAAAGGAGGUAAGAAAUGGUGCAAAUUAGUCUCAAAUCCGAGAGGGCUCGCAUGGGUUAUAUAGGGGCGAAGGUUCGGAUGCCGUUUUAGGAGGCAUCUCAGACGUCGCCUGGGACGCCAGACACGUCAGAAGGUGAGUGGGCUGAACUUCGGUCAAAUCAGAGGGUGACAUGAGGCUGGUCUACGAAGGAGGGAAGAACAUGUGUCAGAUAAGGCGUCUUACGAGACGUCUUUGACGCCGGCUAGGACGGCAAAGGCGUCUGACAUUGACUGGACCUCGCUUCGUUCCAUUCAGAAGCUGCUAUGUGUGCCACGCAUCGUACCCUGCGAAAAUGCCCGGUUCUAUCCACAAAUCUCGGAUUUUGUGCCAAAAACUUCUGAAAAUCAUAGCUUUCGCAUACGAGCUCCAUUUUUGACGUUCUUUAUAUGCACGCAUAGGCGGGAAAAUAAUCUAUAACUUCCAUUUAGACUUCGUAGGCAAAUUUUGAUUUAUUUUUUUAUUUUUAUUUUUAACAGACUGGGAUAGGAAAAUCCGUUAAAAAUUCAUAACUUCUUUAUCCGAUGUCCGUUUUCGUCAGACUUUUUACCGUUGUACUAGUAUUAACGAGACCUUCGAUUCUCAUUUAAGUUGUUUCGGUUAAAUCUCGCUCGAUCUUUAUUUCAAGGUUUUAGCUGUCUACCUCUAAUUCGAACUGUAGAAAAAUCAUAACUUGUUCAUACGAAGUCAUAUUCAAAUGUUCAAUAUAUGAAAGUUCAUUAGUUUUACGAGUUCUAUAACUUUCAUUAAGGUUACUAAGGCUAAAAAGUAGUUUAUCAAAAAUUCACUUUUUACGUGAAAUAACGUUUACCGGAUUUGUCGCGGACCUUCGAUUGGUCAUAACUUCUUUGUUAUAACUCGGUUUUGGGAGUUCUUUAUAUUUUCGAAUCCUUGUUAAAAUCUCUAUGACUUGGUUCAUCCCAAUUGAGAUUAUUUAACACUUUAGUUUUGAGGGCCAAUUAUGUAAAUAUACACAAUAUGAUAAAAUUUCUCUUUAUUAUUUCAAAAAGAACUACAAUUUUCCCUAUAUUAUUACAUAGGCUUGAAAUAAUGGUUUGUUACAGGUGCAGAUAGCAAGAAUGGCACAAAACAUUUACUUGCACAUUAUAAGCGUUGUAUACACAAACCUUUUAAAAAUAUUCGCCAAUCUAUCUUGCUGCAAGAGAAAAAGAAAGUAGAUGGUACUACAACUCAUGUUUCAAAUUAUACAUUUAAUGUUGAUGCUUCAAGGAAGGAUCUGGAUGAAAUGAUAAUUGUGGACGGGUAUCCGCUUCCAAUUGUAGAACAUCAUGGAUUUAGGAAGUUUGUGGGAGGUCUUCAAUCUUUGUUUAAGGUUCCAUGUCGAAAACCAUCAAGGGUGACAUCAAAAGUAUUUAUGAUUACGAAAGGGAUAAAACUAUGAGUUUGUUAGCAAACAACAAAAGAGAAAUUGCAGUUACUACCGAUAUAUGGACAUAUAAUCAUAAAAAAGGGUUUAUAGCAAUCACAAUACAUUUUAUAGAUCAAAAUUGGAACCUACAAAGCAGAAUUAUGAGGCUUAUCUCUCAUUAAAACUGAGAUUGACAGAAUCAGAGAGCAUGUUGCAUUUUGUUCCACAUCACCAAAGAGGGAGCAAAAUUUUGAGAUAGCAACAAAAUAGUUGGGAAUACCAUACUCAAAGAAAUUGAUACUUGACUGCAAGACGCGGUGGAAAUCUACAAUCUUGAUGUUGAGUGUUGCUAUAAGCUAUAAAAGAGGUUUUCGAUCAGGUAAAGACAAGAGACCCGAAGCAUACAUGCUUUCCUACAGACCAGGAUUGAGAGUAGGCUAGUGAGAUUUGUGAAAGAUUACAACUUUUUUAUGAGGUGAAUUUUAUGUUCUCUGGUUCAAAGUAUCCUACAACUAAUGUUUUUCUUCCUUGAUAUAUGAAAUUGGGUAUUCUUUGCGUGAGUGGGUGAAAUAUCCUACCGAGGAGAUUAGGGAGAUGGCUGACCAAAUGCUUUCUAAGUUUAAUAAGUAUUGGUCUAUAAUUCAGUGGAUAAUGGGAAUGGCAUCAGCUUUAUAUCCACGAUACAAGAUAAAGUUUGUGGAGUUACUUUUUCCUGUGCUUUAUGGAGAAGAAAAGGCGAAGAUUAAUUUUCAAAAUUUGGAGGGGUUUGUCAAAACUUGGUUUCAAGAGUACGAGUCAAGUCAUGUAUCUAUAAAAAGUAAAAGUCAAGGUAUUGUAUUCUUCUUAUUAUUUAUAUAAUAAAUAUAACAUUAUCUUAAAGUAUUAACAUUUUUAUACUAAGCAUUAGGUGUUUAUGGUGGUUCAGUUCCCAGUUCAUCUUCAUUUGGUUCUAGUAUGUCUUCUGGUCAUCAUGUUGGAUUCAAAAAGCUUUUAUCGGAUAUUGCUUCUAUUACUUGAGAUGAUGAUGAAUCAAGAGGUAUGAGCAAGUUGUAUAACUACUUGAAGGAUAAAUUGAUGCCUAAAGACAUGGAACUUGAUUUGUUUGCGUGGUGGAAAACAAAUGGGAUUAAGUACCUGAAACUACAAUGGAUAGCUGAAGAUAUAUUAGCUAUUCCCGUUUCCACUGUUGCCUCAGAAUCAGCUUUCAGCACAAGUGGAAGAAUAUUAAGCCCUCAUCAUAGUCGACUUAAUCCAAAGACAUUGGAGGUUUUAAUGUGUGCUCAAAGUUGAUUGUUGAAUGAAAUUCGAGGUCAUAUACUACUUUAUAUUAAUUAUAUGAAAUUAUGAAUCUUUUUGCAUAUUAAUAAUAUUUUUGUUAAAUUGCUUUUAUAUUUUCUUAUAUACAACAAGUUUUUCUGAAGAGAACGAGGCAUAUUGUCGUUAUGUUGAAUUUGAUUAUGAUGUGGAAAAGGUAAAACGAAAGUUCUAAGAAUAUUAAUUUUAUAUAAUGUCAUGAUUUGUUUUGAUUUUGAGUUUGUUUAAUAUUUUGUAGGAAAACACUAAAGAAAGCGGGACAACAAGUUUGGAUGAUUUUGUUUGAUUUUGAGUUUGUUUUAAAGUUAAGUGGUAAUGUAUUAGUAUGAUGAAUUAGUUUUUCAUAUUUUGUACUUUGGUGUUUUUGUUGGUUGGUCGUUGUUACAAUAUUUGAAUAUUAGUAAUUUCUAUUAGGUUAAAUGAUUUAAGAACUUAUUUGGUAUUUUAAGCCUAUGCAACGUCUUAAUUUAUCAUUAUGUAUUUGUAGUUUUUCAUUUUUUUCUGCCAUAUUUCUGGUUUUUGAGUCGGGUUUUUGGGGAGUUAUCGAGUUUCGGGUUUAGGGUCGGGUUCGGGGAAAGUUUCAGCCCUGACGGGGCGCCUAAUAAGAAACCCAUCGGACAUCGGUUCAAGGUUAGGUACAUAUUUAGAAAUCGGGUUCGGAUUUGGGAAACCAUGCCCCGCCCCGUUGCCAUUCCUAUUUGGCAAAAAGAUUAAAAGUUUCAUCACAGUCAACACCCACUUCCUGUAAUUUCCCAUUUACUAUAAGACAAAACUUAUAUCUUUCAAGAGACCUGUCAGAAUUAAAUUUGUGACGAAAAGUCCAAUGAAAACCAAUGAUGUUAGUGUCUCGUGGGAAAGGAACCAAAUCCCAUGUAUUUUGAUUCAACAAUGCAUUAAAUUCAUUAGUCAUAGAACAAUUCCAAUUGUGGUCAAGAAGAAAAUAUCUAUGAUUAGAUAGAAUGGGGGAGAUAGAAGUCGAAUGAAGAGCAUACUUAGAAUUGGGUUUGUAUACACCACUCUUUGAUCUCGUGUAUAUGUAAGGUUGACUUGACGGCUGGGAAGGAGAAGUAGGUGUAGGAGGAAUAGUAUGAUAACUGUCAGGGGUUGUAGGAGUAGGAGAGAUCGAGGAUGGAACGUUGGUAGUAGUACUAGUGGUACUAUGGUUAUCGAAAUUUGAAGGAUUUAAAGUAAUUAGUGAAGGUUUAAGCAUGAUGAGAUAAGUAAGAAGACGGGGGUAUAUCAUUAAGAAAGUCAUGAGAAGUUAGAGUGUAGGUAUGAUGAUUUGGUAAGGAAAUUGUUGUUCACCAAAAGUAACAUGUCAAGAGAUAAUGGGUUGGUUAGUGGAGACAGUUCGAAAUACGUAACAAUGAUGGUUAGGUGGGUAACCGAGAAAGAUAGACGGUAUGAAUCUUGGAUCUAAUUUGUGAGUAGUAGUGGAAGAUAUGUUGGGAUAACAAAGACAUUUAGAGUUUUUUUUUAGAUGAAAGUAACUGGGUUUUCUUAGGUAGAUAAUUUUCGUGGGAUUUUGAUUUGAAUGGAAGUUGAUGGUAGAAUGUUAAGAAGUUAUGUAGUAGAAGAGAGAGCAUGAUGCCACAAAGAGGGUGGAAGAGAUGCAUGAAGAAGGUUAGUACAAAUCAUAUUGUUUAUGGUACAUAUAAUUCUAAGCUUUUAGCUUCUCCAUUUUGAGGUGAUGUGUAUGGACAAGUAAAAUGGAAAUUUGUAUUGGUUUUGAUGAAAAGUUGAUGAAACAAAGAAUUGCUAAAUUCUCUUCCAUUAUCACAUUGUAGGUUUUUGAUGUUAUGAUGGAAUUGUGUUUGAAUGUAUGUUUGAAAUUGAAGAUAAAUAUGGAAGACUUGGGAUUUUGUUUGUAAUGGGUAAGUGAAAAUAAAGUGAGAAAAAUCAUCAAGUAAGACAAGGUAAUAUUUAUUACCAAGUUUAGAUGAAAUAGGUGAUGUGCAUAAAUCAACGUGUAUAAUCUCAAAAGGAGAAAAGUAAUAGCUUGAGACGAGGAAAAAGAUACCCGACAAUUUUGACUAAAGCACACACACUACAUGAAUGAAUAUAUCUAGAACUGAAAUAUGAAAUACCAAGCUGAGGCAAAUUAAAAACUAAAAUCCUUGGAUGACCAAAACGGUGAUCCCAAGUUGAAGGAGAGACAAUCGAAAGAGAAACAAAGGAGGAUUUCAUGUUUUGGAAGUGAACAGAUAUAAAUCACUGGUAUUGUUGUGCCUCGUUAAGACUAUCUGCAUAAUAAGAUCAUUCAUAUAAAAACUGAAUGAGUCAACUUCUACAAAGACAAGAUUAUGAUGACAAAAUUUUCAUAUGGAAACUAUAUUUUUGAUAAUUUUUGGAACAUGAUAAGCAUUUUGGAGAGAGUAGGAUUGGUUUGGAAAAGAUAGAGUGGCGGAACCUUGACCAUGACUAGGAAUAUAUGUACCAUUACCCAAUAAUUGAAUGUGGGUUUGUUGAAGAAAACUAAUGGGAAAGUUUACUUGAAUCAUUUACGAGGUGGGAAGUAGACCCGGUAUCCAUGUACCAUGAAUUUUGUGGAGGAUGCGAUUGCAUGGUGUGAAAUGCAGCUUUGAGUUGUGUCGGGGUCAAAGAAGUACUAUGAUCAGUAGAGUAGUAAGCCUAUGAACUGUUGGGUUGUUGAUGUUUGGUCUGGGGACGUGGAACGGGGCUAAGAUGACCUAUUUGAGAUCCAUGGGCUGUUGUUGGCUAUGGACAAUUUUGUGUAGUCCAAGGAGAUGGGUACUGCCAUGGGUUUUUCCAACUAUCAAGGGCAGGCACAUAAUUUUUGAAGGGUCCACGCCCCCUUCCUCUUCCUUAUAAACCACCACGACAACCUUGAUAACCCCCAAGGCAACCACCUCUACCACCACCACAAGAAGUGCUACUGUUGCUCUGAUUUUUAGGAGGUUGAGGGAUAUGUCGGAGACAGGAACAACUAAUUUUUGAGUAACCAGUACCUACGGGCGGGCUGUGAGUUGAUUGCUUAUUCUUGUGUGUUGUUUCUUCCAAAAGAAUAUGAGAACAAGCCUUAUCAAAGAUUGGUAACAGAUCAAUUUGUUGAAUGAGAGUAGCCAUAGUAUCGUAAUCACCUUUUGUCAGACUAGAAAUCAGUUGAAAAACCAACUUAUUUUAAGUAAUGGGGUUACCUACAUUGUCGAGUUGAUCAGCCAAGUUUUUGAGACGAGAGCUGUAAUCGCUGAUAUUUAAGAAGGAAUUGAGACGAAUCAUGUUGAAAUGGUCUUCUAGGUAGACUUCUCUAGUGUCUUUAUUGUGUUGAAAAACCUCUUCAAGACGACUCCAAAGUUCUAGAGUGGUAGCAUCGAGUUUCAUGAUGUUUUGUAUAAGAUUUGUGGAUAUUGUUGUGUAGAUCUACUAUUUGACAACUGCAUCUAGACAAGACCAAAUCUCUUAAUUGAUAUCAACACGACAAGGAGACUUAGGGUUGACGUGGUCAUGAAUAUUAUAAUCACAAGCAUGGAUGUUAAAGAGCUUCAUCCAUGAGGAAUAGUGGCCAUCAAAUUGAUCAACAACAAUAUGGAUCAAGUGCUUGAUGUUAUUAAAACCAAAAUCAAGAUGAAAAGGUGCUUUAGGUGGGUUGGAAGAUUCACAUAUCAUCUUAUGAGAAGACAAGAAAAACUGGCAGAAGAAGAAGAGUUGUGGUAGGGAAAAAGAGAAUUAGUGUUGCUCUGAUACCAUAAACCAUAGUAAAUAUGGAUUGCAAUCUUGACUGCCUUCUCAUUCAUCAGAACACGAGUAUAUAGACAAAGCACAUUGUAAUCCCUAUAAUGUAAGGAAAGAUAAAUACAAUGAUAAACAAGGAAACAAUACGAUAAUAUCUUCUAAUAGACUCCGAUUCUUAGCAUCAAACCAAUGUUGACACUUGGAACUAUGUAUUGUAUAUUGGAAUAAGACGACCUAUAAGAAACAUUACCAUGACCAAGAAAACAACCAUGAGGUAGCUGCCUAUAUGAGGGUGGCCUAAUUUCACUAGUACAUAAAGCUUUUUACGAUGCGGUUAAAAUUAUUAAUUGAUGUGGGUAUUGAACCGUACCAAAAAAUAUCGCAUCAAAAUAUACCCUUAUUUAAUAGGACGUUCUAAAACCGCACCAAAAAUGAUGAAACCGUACUAAAGAACCAAUGUGGUUUUCCAUACAUAAGGAUUACAACCACCUCAUUAAAAGAUAGAACCGCCCCUUUAAAUAAAAGAAGAAUCACACCAAAAAAGUAUUGGAUCAUUUCCAAGAUAGACAAUUGCAGCAUCUAAAUUUUUGUUCCACCAUAGAUAAAACCCCCUUAAAUUACAAUACUGAAACAAAAUAACAAAAAUCAACCUAUAAAUUUUAUAAGAUAUAAUGGCAUAAUACAUGGAGUGAGGACAUUCAAAUUAUUUAACAAAUAAGUUGCAUUCAAUUGUAUAAAACAGAGAAAUAUAACCAUUUGAGCCCUAGCUCCUUGCAACUCUUGUAGUCUUGUUCCAACCGGGUAAGUUUAAUUCAACUUGAUUCUAGUUGCUAAGUCUUAAGCCUGUAAAAAGAACACAAAACCAUGCAUGUAAUUUCAUGGAAUUAAUUUAUAUUAUCAAGGUAUAACAAACAUUUGAGAAACGGAACCAAACUGGAACCAAUUAGUCGUAUUCGGUCCGGUUCUUGAAUCACUGAAUCCACCAUUUUUGGUUUUCGGUUCCGGUCCGGUUUCGGAACCGUUUACAUCCCUAUGUGCAAAAUAUAUAAAAAAAAUUAUUCUCUUUCAUAAGAACAAUGGUAGAGAGCUUCGACACAAACCGAAGGUAGAGAGCUUGGACACAAAAUAUUCUCCUUAUCCCUUGUCUGGUUAAAAGAUACAAAUUGCCCUCCGUAUCCUCAUCCUCAUCAAAAGUAGUAAAUUUGUAGCCAAAUGAAUUUCUUGAAUACAAGUUUGUAGAGCUAUUAUUGCUUAUUUUCUAACCUUUUCAUCAUUGUAUCUAUUUUGAAUUGGAUAUAGUGACUACACAUUACACCAUAAAUUCAUUAAAAAAACCAUUUGCUAGAUUUCCAAAACCUUGAUUUCACUGGUAUGAUAAACGAAUAGAAGCUAAGAAAGUAACUCAAAUGCAAACCUUAAGGAUUAAAUAUCGCAGGAAUAACAACUUUAUAUACUUUGUUUAUUAUCGCUUUCUCCCUAGCAUCCUAUCAAGAAAUGGAUCCUCUUCACAUAUGCAUCAAAGUUGUACAACCUCUAUCUGUUUUAACAGCUUCCUACUCUUUUGACUUUUCUUCGAUCAUGACGUUUAAUUGAGCCUCUGAUGGUAUACACAUAUGAGGAAUUCUGAUAUUAAAUCGAAUUAAUGAGAUUAGAAUGAAAGCUUAACAUAAAGAUAUAACUACUUACCUAUGACCCAAAUAAAACAUUUGGCCACCUGUUGACACAAUAUCUUGUGGUACCCUAUCUAAAAAGGGGAGUUGUUUUAUUGAAAAAAAAGGCAAGAGGAGAUGUAAAAGGCCACAACUAAGAAAGGUUAACUACUUGUUGUUCGGUGAUAACUUAGGCGUUUAAACAAAUAGGUAGAGUGCAAUGCAUAAACCCUAAGUUCCUAAUACCCUAUCUUAUUUAUACAUGUUUCAAUUUCUACCAAAACUAAUCAAUUAGGACUUGAAAAACAAUCACAUUCACACAAUCAUACGCUACAUGCAUAUAAUUAAAAGACAGAAGGAGAGGCUUUUUAUUACUUACCAUUCUUUGAACCGCUUAAAAAUAGAAAUUUUAGACUUGUUGAAAUUAUGUCGUUCGAAGGGGUUGUUGUGCCGGCGUGGAGGCUACCUUACUGCGGGCGGGUAGAAAUCUAUGAGAUUGUCGGAGUAAUACGUCGGCAAGAGAACAAAGUGUACAGGGGAAGGGUCUUUGAGGCGUGUAUAGGACGAACCAAAGUGAAAUCAGCGAAGACACGAAAAAUCAAAACAUUUAGCUAUUUAUGAAUAGAAAAUCAGAAAAAUCAAAGCUAGGGUUGUGUUUAGUUACGGAAAAACAAUUUUUAUUUUCCAUUUUUGGUUUUCCCUUUUCAAUUUUCGUUUUCCAUUUUCAUUUUUUAUUGGAAAAUUUAGAAAAACACAUUUACUUAAAAUUUAUUCAUUUUUCAUUUUCAGUUUUAGAAAAUUAGAAAACGGGUUUAGAUGUGUAUAUUUCUACCGGUUUUCAUUUUUAGAAAACAGUAACAGUGGUAGGAUGGGGUGGGGGCAAUGGUGGUGUCGAUGAUGACAAUUGUUGUUGUGGUGGUGGCGGCGGUGAUGGUGGAAGUGGUGGCAAUUAUGACAGAGGUGGUGGUGGUGAUGCUGGUGUGGGGUAGUGGUGGUGGUGAUGGUGAUAGUAGGUUGGUGAUUAUGGUAGUGGUGUCGGGUGGGUGGGUGUAUGUGUGUGUGUGUGUUCGUGGGUGUGUGUGUUUAUGGGUGUGUGUGAGUUUGUGGGUGUGGGUGGGGGUUCGGGUGGGUGUGUAUUUGUGUGUGUUUGUGUGGGUGUGGGUAGGGGUGGGGGUUGGAGUGAGUGUCUGUUUAUGCGGAUGUGUAUGUGUGGGAGGGGUGGGNNNNNNNNNNNNNNNNNNNNNNNNNNNNNNNNNNNNNNNNNNNNNNNNNNNNNNNNNNNNNNNNNNNNNNNNNNNNNNNNNNNNNNNNNNNNNNNNNNNNNNNNNNNNNNNNNNNNNNNNNNGGUGGGUGGGGUGAGAUUAGGUGUGUUUUUAUAUUUUAGAAAAAAAUUGGAAUUGGAAAAAUGUGGAAAAUAUUGAUUAUUGGUUUUCCAAAAAUUUCUAACUUCUUUGGAAUUUUAGAAAAUAGAAAAUUUUCAUUUUCUGUAAAAAAUUUAGAAAAAUAGACGGCAUAAGCGCGCUUUCAAAAUACUUAUUUUUCAUGGAAAUUUUUUCCGGAAAACGGUCCAUUUUUCCGCAACUAAACGCACCCUAGGGUUUUCAGAUUUUCUUACGGAGUAGGAGGAGGAAGUCGACAACAUCUAUUGUGUCUUCUGCCGUUUGGGUAAGGGAUGAAGAGCUAAAAUAUUGGUAGUAAAGGUGUGGCGCCGGGAAUGAAAAAAUCGAAAGGGAAGCACCGCUAAAAACCAAAUAUUAGGAGGAAACAGAGAAUUGAAUGUUUAAUAAUGCGCUUUUGAAGUAAACACACUAAUAAAUGGCUUUUAAUGCGGUUUCAUAGAAACCGCAAAAAUAUGUUAGAUGAUGCGAUUUCAUAGUUUAUUAAUGUGAAAACACUUCAAUGAUGCGGUUUUAUGCUACCACCGCAUUAAAACAAAAAUAAAAAAGAAAAAAGUGUAUGUCACUAUUAAAUUGGUUUUGUACUAGUGUUUCAACAUAAAUCAUGUCGAGAUAAGAGUAAGCAGUCAUAAAGUGAAAUCGUUGUGGAAAAUUCCUCACACAGUUAAUGGCUUCUUUGAAAAAGUCGAAUACUCAAAGUGUUGGGACAUACAUUAAUGAUGGACGGUUAACGAUCAAAGGAAAACUCCAAGGACGAAAGGUAAGAAAUGAUAGCUGAGUCGGAAACGAGUCACACUCUUAGGCAUAGCAUCGAAGAGACUAAUGCAACAAUUAAGCGACACACAGAGACCGGAAGUUAACAUGACAUGCAAGAUAAAGUUUGACUUAGGGUGGCUAAUUGAUUAUGGUGCCAAGGAGCAUAUUCCAUGCAAUGAGUCCACUUUCUCUAGUUUAAAGAAAUCAACCGGUACUAGUGGGCAUCACAAAUGAAGAUAGUAUUCUGGUGCAACAAGUUGGAAGAGGAUGUUUACCAAAACAUAUUUUCUAAAGUCUUAUAUAUUUUUUAUUUUAAAUGCCAUUUUUUACCAAUUAACAAGCUUACCAAGAGUUUUAAGUGUUUUUGUUUGACAUUCUUUCUGGAUAUUUUUUAUAUACAUGACUUACGCUCGAGCUAAUUGGCAUGAAGAAGUGUAAGAAUGGUCUAUACAAUAUGGAAGGGAUGGAUAAAAGGUGAAAGCUCAUAGACGUAGUUGUAAAUUUAGAGGUUUGACACGGAAGCCUGGGUCACAUCUCAAACCUCAAACCUCGUCGUAUUUAUUCAUACAUCGUUGUAGUUGAUAUUGAACAAUGUGACUAUAUGUACUAGACAAAUACCCAGUUUCCUUUUCCUGAUAAUUCUACUAAACAAAUUCUUUAUUUGAUUAAUACAUUGCAAUUUAUGGGGAUGGUAUAGAGCACCUUCACUGUAAUGAGGUGUAAACAAAAUGGUUAGUGACAAAUCUUAACCUUGUUAACCAAGGUAACAGCAAAAAAAAUCACACACAAGAUCAGGAAUAAAAAGAAAAAGACGAACAAGGUAUUAGGAAGGAGGAACUAGAAACAGGGGAAAAAUUGCUAGGUGCCUAAGGUUUUUCUUUGUUAAGAAAACGUGCCUAAGGUUUUUCUUUGUUAAGUUUUGGAAUAAAUUACAAUGUAACCUCCAUGGCCAGUUUAUACUAUUAUACUACGACCAAAAGAUUUUGACUCAAGCUCAUUUAAAUGUAAGAAAACUAAUAAAUAACAAAACUUUAGAAAUACCACUAGACUUAAAAGUGUUUUUUUUUGAACGGGUAUGAAUCAAAUCUUAUAAACCCAACAAUCAUCCCCUUAAUUGGUUUGGUCCGCUCAUUCACAAGAGUAUCAAUUCUUUUCCAAUCAAGUUUGCCUCUUGCUUCUCCAACUUACAACACUCAUUAUUGUACAUAUCAAAUUCACCAUGUUUGUAACAUUUAACAUGUCUUUUAUCCUGACACGUUCAUUACCAUCUUGACUCUUCCCGGACUCAUGACCUCUUCCUCAUCCAAUGUCUAACUCCCAAAGUAAUUCCAAUUUUGUAACAUCCGGAAUUCCAGGUAUCGUAUUUUAAUUAUUUAUUUAGUCAGGAAGAGGGACUUGACGAGUCGAUGCCUAGACUCGUCGAGUAGGAUCGCAAAUGCCGGCUAGAUUUAAUGAAUGGACUCGACGACUCGGCGAGUCGACUAGACGAGUCCGCGUUGUGGACUGAAACCCUAAAACUUUGGGCAUGUGCCCUAUUUAAGGGUCCUUAUAGCCCUCAUUUCCGGCUACCAUUCUAGGGAGAAGAACCCUAGUGAGCUUGAGCGUAUAGUGUGAGAGGAAGAGCCAUUUUGAGCCUUGUUGGUGUGAUUGUCCAAAGGAAGAGAAGGGGUUUAGCAAGCAGGACCAAAGGAGGUUGUUAUUCUGAGACAUUCAAGCAAGAAUCUCCAUUUUGAGGUAGUGAUUCGACCCUUUCUUCUGUUUUGUGUAGAAUCCUUGAAUCGAGGGUUUUCUUUACCCUUUCUUAGUUAGGAAAUGAUGCAUAAGAAGUCCCAAUGUGGAAUAAGCAUUAGAUCUGGACCUUAAGAGGUCCAGAGAGUCCCAAUCCUCUAGCUUUAGGCAGUUCAAUUGGAGUUAUGAAUCUAGGAUGCCAUUUUUAGAGUUAUUUCACCAAAUAGAGCCAUAUGAGUGUUGCAUGCGUAUAAAGAUUGGACCUUUAUGUGAUUAUUGGGUGUUAGAAGGUCAUAUCUAUAAGUUAGAGAAAUAGAUUUGACCUCAGAAGUUCAUUUGAGUGUUGCCAUGGAGGAAACUCGUUGAGUCCAUAAGAGGACUCGACGAGUCGAGUCGGGUUGCCCCGCGAUUCGUGACCAGUGGUAACCCGUCGAGUGAAAGAUUAACUCGACGAGUCGAGUGAGGCCUUAGGAGGAUUCAGAGGACACACGUGGACUCGCCGAGUCAACCGAGUGCACUCGACGAGUCUGGUCAAAGUUUGACCGUUAACUAGAGUUGACUUCAGUUGACCGUAUGGUUUUGGUCAAGCUGAUACUGGAAGAGGUCAGGGAGGGGUAGAAUGGUCUUCUACCCAUUCUAUAGAGAUGAGAACAAGAGAAAAUAUUGAUUAGAGAUGUUAUCAUUUUUAUAGGAGGAGGCUAGGUCGGGUUAUCGAGCACGAGAGGUUAUCCGACAUCAUACGAGGUUAGUCUUCUCACUAUACUCUACCUAGGGUGGUAAUUACGUGUGACCAGAAGGUCUUAUGUGCUAUGAGGAUAUUUGAUGUAUGUUGUUAUAUGAUAUGUAUGUGCUAUGUUAUGUUAUGAGUAGUAUGGUAUGGAACGAAAGGUCAUUAUGAUAUGGACCUGAAUGUCAACAGUGUAUGGACCAGAAGGUCAAGAUGAUAUGGACCGGAAGGUUGACGGAGGAGGACCGGAAGGUGAUUACGGGUAGGACCGAAAGGUCUACCGGGUUUGUGGGACGGAAGUCCCCUGAGAAACAUUGACAGGAAGGUCAUGUAGAGCUAUAGCCUUGAGUGGUGUAUGUGUGUAUGUGGUAUUUUGGGGAACUCACUAAGAAUUUAUGCUUACCGUGUUGUGUGAUAUGUGUUUUCGGUACCAGCAAGGAUCGCGGGAAGGUGUCGGCAUGAUCUGUACACACUGAUGAAGAUUUAUGUGUUUGAGAUUCUGGGAUAUGUUUUAUGAGAUAAUAUUUGAUACAAUGAGUUUUGAAAAUUUACAUCGUUACAAGUUGGUAUUAGAGCCUUGGUUUGAGGGAUUCAGAUGUACCUUCGGGCGUAACUGAUCUCAAACUGAGGAUUGAGAAAAUUUUUCAUAAUUAAAUAAUUUUUCUAAAAAAAAAGGUAAAAGAUUUUGAGACGAGCAGAACGGAGUAGUGUGUACGAUCAGCCAGUGCCCGAACGGUGAUUUCCCAAAAUGCCCUUACAUUAUGUGUUAUAUAUGAGAUAUUAUGUGAUAUGCUAUGCAUGCUAGAGUAGGCUAGGUAUUCAUAUUAGGACUAGAGUGGCCUGAUUUGUGAUGCCUUAGCCUAGGAGAUUACUGCUACUAUGAGAUGCUUCGAGAGUGAGUAGGUAGUAGAGAGGAGCUUACGAGAGGUCUACUGGAAAGUGGCCUAUGUAUGAUAACAAGUAGAGUACUUGUGAUCUGGGAUCCUAAGAGGAGGACUUAGGGUGAAUACUGAUGCGGUGUGAACAGUUGUAUAGGGCCCGUACUACUGGAAACACCAGGUCGGCGAGCAGUCCAAGUAAGAAUCCUUAGGGUACUAAGGAACAAGUAGGGUUGACUUAUCGAGUGUCAGUAUACUCGAGCGAGUCUCUGAUAUUUUUUUAUGUUGUAUUUCAGAGACAUCAUGGUUGGGACACGCCACAGACCAAAGACCAAUGGCGUGAGCGACGAUGAUAUUUUUCAGAUGAUCCACGAGGAGGUGGCUACAACUAUCUGCGUAGAAAUUCCAGAAAUGCUUGGGUCUAUCAAGAACACCUUGAUUGAGACGAUCAAUGAGAGAUACACUGCAGUUACUGAGGAUGCAGCCGAUGCAGCUACUGCAGCUGUUGCUGCUGCUAGACCUCAGGGGGUGAUUCGUUGCUGUUCCGGGAGUUCAACAAAACGAAGCCACCAGAGUUCGAUGGGACGCAGAAUCCAAUUGUUGCGAUGAGAUGGAUUUCUGACAUGGAGGGAUCCUUCUAUACAUGUUCUUGUCUGGAGCAUCUUAUGGUGUGCUUCGCAUUGAACCAACUUUGCUUGGGAGCGAAGGAUUGGUGGAAGUUUGUGACGGCAGACUUCACUCUUGCAGAGAUUACAACGGUGACCUGGGAAAGGUUCACCACCAUGUUUAGAGACGAGUAUGUUCCCUCAGUGGAGAGGGAACAGUUGGCGCGGGAGUUCUUGUCCCUCAAGCAGGGGACGGAGUCCGUGACUGUGAUUACACGGAUGUUUCACGAGAGGGCGUUGUUUUACCCUGAUCACGUGUCUUCUGAGCAGGCACGUAUGAUUCGAUAUAUGAGCAUACUGAGGAGGGACAUUUGGAAGUUCAUGGCGAACUCAGCAUACCGGACAUUUAUGGAGCUCCAGGAAAAUUCUUGGAAGAGGGAGAUCGAGUUGGAGACUCAUGCCAGGGAGGAGGCCGAGUCUCAGUGGAAGGACANNNCGUCCCAGCCGACAGCCAAGCGAGCUAAGCCCACUGAUACGAGAUCUGGAGGCUAGAAGGGCCGCACUUGUGGGAAGUGCGGCAAGGGACAUGAUGGGGUUUUUCGAUCAGGUGCUUGAUACAAAUAUGGAAAGGAGGGGCAUAUAGCCAAGGACUGCCCUAAGGGAUUUAUGGUUUGCAUUCGUUGCAACCAGACGGGCCUUCGGAAGGCCAAGUGCCCACAGCUAUUACAGGGAUCACCCCAGGGAUCUGCCCCUGCUGCUGCACGAGCUAUUGAGGGUCAACCAAUGAAGGUCGAGGUACCGAAGGCUCGUGGGAGAGCCUUUCAGCUGACAGCAGAGGAGGUUCGUGCAGCGCCCGAUGUCGUGGCCAGUAUGUAUUCUUUCAUUUACUUAUGUUUAGUUUGAGAUAUUGUGCUUAUAUUAUGGCAAGCGUAGGUACUUUUCUUGUGAGUUCUAUACCUGCUUUGGUGUUGUUUCACUUGAGUGCGAGUCGAUAUUUCGUGUCUUUAGCGUUUAGUCAGCACAUCGGUAUCUGACGAGAGGCGUUGAGUCGACCUCUAUGAGUUUCUAUAGUUGAUGAGCGAGCUGUAUAUGCUACUGUUGUGAUUCGAGGAUGUGUACUCGAGAUCUUCUGUGUUGAAUUCCCGAUAGAUCUGGUCCCAAUUGCGAUGGGGGACGUUUGUGUCUUUGUUGACAUGGAUUGGUUGAGCCGAUUUUCGGCUGUUAUAGACUGCGAGCGAUAGAUGGUGACUAUAUGAGACCCUAGUGGGGGAGUACUGACAGUAUAUGGUGAGGGUACCCGAUGUGGGUCAACAUUUUGUUCGGCUGCCCGAGCGAGAUAGAGUCUACAGCAGGGCUGUAGCGGGUUUGUAGCCUACGUGAUGGAUACACGAGUUGCUGCAGAGAGACCAAAUUCGGUCGGUGAGAUGCCGAUAAUGUGAGAGUUCCUAUAUGUUUUCCCCGAGGAGUUGUCGGGUGUGCCUCUCGAGAGGCAGGUAGAGUUUUGCAUCGACUUGGUACCAGGAGCAGCGCCUAUUGCCAAGGCACCUUAUUGCCUUGCGCCACCAGAGAUGCAGGGUUUAUCCUCGUAGCUUCAGGAGCUACUGGGGAAGGGGUUUAUACGACCGAGUAGCUCUCCGUGGGAAGUACCAAUCCUUUUUGUCAAGAAAAAAAGAAUGGUUCACACCGAAUGUGCAUCAAUUACCGUUAGUUGAACCAUUUGAUGGUCAAGAACCAUUAUCCAUUACCGAGGAUCGACGAUCUAUUCGAUCAAUUGCAGGGAGCGUCUUGGUUCUCCAAGAUAGACUUGAGGUCUGGAUAUCAUCAGAUGAGAGUGCGUGAUGAAGAUAUCCAGAAGACGGCGUUCAGGACUCGUUAUGGGCAUUACGAGUUCGUGGUGAUGCCUUUUGGGCUCACCAAUGCACCGACAGCGUUCAUGGAUCUCAUGAACAAGAUAUGCAGGCCGAUGUUGGAUUGAUCAGUGUUCGUGUUCAUCGACGAUAUUCUAGAGUAUUUGAGAACCAGAAAGCAACAAGAGGAGCAUUUGAGGGAGAUCCUCAAAGUUUUAAGAUCAGAGAGGCUUUACGCUAAAUUCUCCAAGUGUGAAUUCUGGUUACGAGAGGUCCAGUUCUUAAGGCAUCUCGUGAACCCGAAUGGGAUAUUGGUAGACCCGGCCAAGAUUGAGGUUGUUAUGAGCUGGGAGGUGUCGCGAUCCCCCACUGAGAUUAGGAGUUUUCUGGGGUUGGUCAGCUACUACCGGAGAUUUAUGAAGGAUUUCUCCAGGAUUGCCGUUCCUCUCACAAGGUUGACCUGGAAGGGUGUGGCUUUUAGUAGGGGUCCAGAGCAGAAGGCCUCGUUUGAGACACUUCGCCAGAGUUUAUGCAAAGCCCCGAUGUUAGCUCUUUCUAAGGGAAUGGAGGAUUUUGUGGUAUACUGUGACGUGUCUAUACUGGGGUUGGGUGUGGUGCUUAUGUAGAGAGGGCACAUGAUAGCAUACGCAUCGAGGUAGCUGAAGCCUCAGGAUCUGAGAUAUCCCACCCAUGAUUUGGAGUUGGGGGCAGUGGUGUUCGCCCUCAAGAUAUGGCAUCACUAUUUGUACGGGGUUCGGUGUAGCAUAUACAUGGACCACAAAAGGUUAUCAGCCCAACCUGAACAUGCACCAAAGGAGAUGAUUGGAUGUGGUAAAGGAUUAUGACUGAGAGAUCCUAUACCACUCGGGCAAGGCUAACGUAGUUGGAUACCAUCUGAGAGUGCCUCGAUACGAGAUAUUUGUAUGAGGAUGACAGUGAUGACCCUGGUGUUGGAUACCAUCCGAGAGGCUCAAGAAGAGGCUAUGAUACCGAAGAACCACAAGAGAAAGCGGGUGAUUGGGCAUGUAUCCGAGUUCUUUACUGAUAGACGAGGGCUUAUGACCUUUCAUGGUCAGAUUUGGGUGUCGUUUUCGGGCGGGGCACGUAGCAUACUGAUGGAGGAGGCGCACAGAUCGAGAUUCUCGAUCCAUCCCGGGACACUAAGAUGUAUUUGGACCUAAAGAGGGAUUACUGGUGGCCCUAUAUGAAGAGGGAUGUUGCAUGGGUUGUUGAGAGGUGCUUGACUUGUCGCAGGGUUAAGGCUGAGCAAAAGCGUCCGCAUGGCAAGUUGCAGCCACUAGAGGUUUCCCAGUGGAAGUGGGAAAAUAUUUCUAUGGAUUUCAUCACAAAAUUGCUGAAGACCGCAAAGGGUGUCGAUGCAAUUUGGGUGAUUGUGGAUUGGCUAACAAAGAUUGCUGACUUCUUUGCUAUCAGUGAGAGCUCUUCCGCAGAGAGGCUGGCCGAGAUAUAUGUGAGAGAGGUGGUGUCGCGGCAUGCGGUGCCGAUAUUGCUUGUGUCAGAUUGAGAUGUACGUUUCACUUCCAGAUUCUGGAAGAAAUUCCAUGAGGAUUUGGGUACGAGGUUGCACUUCAGUACCGCUUACCACCCACAGACGGAUGGACAGAGUGAGCGGACGAUUCAGACGCUCGACUAGACGCUUCGAGAAUGUGUAUUAGACUUUGGGGGUAGUUGGGAUACAUACCUACCCUUGGCUGAGUUUUCCUACCGCAAUAGCCACCAUUCGAGUAUUGGUAUGUCUCCAUUUGAGUUGUUGUAUGGAAGGAGGUGUACAACCCCCAUCUAUUGGGGAGAGGUUGGGCAGCAAGUAAUGGGUAGCACUAAGAUAGUGCUUCAGACGACUAAGCAAAUACAACAGGUCAGACAGAGGUUAUUGACAGCCCAAAGUCACCAGAACAAUUACGCGGAUAGGCGAUGAUCCGAGCCUAAGUUCGAGGUGGGAGACUUCGUACUCCUGAAGGUAUCUCCUUGGAUAGGAGUGAUUCGAUUCAGGAAGAGGGGUAAGCUGGGGCCCUGUUACAUUGGUCCUUUCAGGGUGACCGUGAUGGUGGGCAAGGUAGCAUAUCGUUUGGAGCUACCUGUGGAGUUGAGCCAGAUACAUGAUACCUUCGACAUGUCUCAAUUGAGAAAGUGUUUAGCGGAUCAAACGGCAGUAGUGCCGCUAUAGGAUAUUCAAGUGGAUGCGAGCCUGAAUUAUGUUGAGAGGCCAAUCGCGAUCCUGGAUCGGAAGAUCAAGGUUCUGAGGAACAAGGAAGUGCCCCUGGUUCAGGUCCAGUGGCAACAUCGCAGAGGGUCCGAGCAGACUUGGGAGCCAGAGUUAGAGAUUUGAGAGCAGCAUCCAGAGUUGUUUGCAGAGUGAGACUUCGAGGGAGAAGACUGAUUCUAGUGGAGGAGAAUUGUAACAUCCAGAAUUCUAAGUAUCGUAUUUUAAUUAUUUAUUUUGAGUCAAGAAGAGGGACUCGACGAGUCGACGCCUAGACUCGUCGAGUAGGAUCGCGAAUGCUGACUGGAUUUAAUGAAUGGACUCGACGAGUCGGUGAGUCUACUUGACGAGUCCGCGCUGUGGACUGAAACCCUAAAUAUGUCGGCUUGUGCUCUAUUUGAGGGUCCUUAUAGCCCUCAUUUACGACUACCAUUUUAGAGAGAAGAACCCUAGUGAGCUUGAGCGUAUAGUGUGAGAGGAGGAGCCAUUUUGAGCCUUGUUGGUGUGAUUGUGCAAAGGAAGAUAUGGGAUUCAGUAAGAAGGAACAAAGGAGAUUGUUAUUGUGAGACAUUCAAGCACUGAUCUCCAUUUUGAGGUAGUGAUUCGACCCUUUCUUCUGUUUUGUGUAGAAUCCUUGAAUCUAGGGUUUUCUUUACCCUUUCUUAGUUAGAAAAUGAUGCAUAAGAAGUCCCAAUGCAGAAUAAGCAUUAGAUCUAGAACUUAAGAGGUACAUAGAGUCCCAAUCUUCUAGCUUUAUGAAGUUCCAUUGGAGUUAUUAAUCUAGGAUGCCAUUUUUAGAGCUGUUUCACCAAAUAGAACCAUAUGAGUGUUGCAUGUGUAUAAAGAUUGGACCUUUACGGGAUUAUUGGGUGUUAGAAGGUCAGAUCUAUAAGUGAGAGAAACAGAUCUGAACUCAGAAGUUCGUUUGAAUUUUGCCAUGGAGAAAACUCGUCUAGUCCAUAAGAGGACUUGACGAGUCGAGUCAGGUUGCCCCGAGAUUCGUGACCAGUAGUAACCCGUCGAGUGAAAGGUUAACUCGACGAUUCAAGUGAGGCCUUAAAAGGAUUCAGAGGACACGCUUGGACUCACCGAGUCACCCGAGUACACUCGACGAGUCUGGUCAAAGUUUAACUAUUGUCUAGAGUUGACUUCAGUUGGCCGUAGGGUUUUGGUCAAGCUGAUACUGGAAGAGGUUAGGGAGGGGUAGAAUGGUCUUCUACACAUUCCCUAGAGAUGAGGACAAGAUACAGUAUUGAUUAGACAUGUUAUCAUUUUGAUAGGAGGAGGCUAGGUCGGGUUAUCGAGCACGAGUGGUUAUCCGACAUCAUACGAGGUGAGUCUUCUGACUAUAGUUUACCUAUGGUGGUAAUUACAUGUGACCGAAAGGUCUUAUGUGCUAUGAGGAAUAUUUAAUGUAUGCUGUUAUAUGAUAUGUAUGUGCUAUGUUAUGUUAUGAGUAGUAUGGUAUGGACUGGAAGGUCAUUAUUAUAUGGAUCGGAAGGUAAAAAGUGUAUGGACCGGAAGGUCAAGAUGAUAUGGACUGGAAGGUUGACGGAGGAGGACCGGAAGGUUAUUACGGGUAGGACCGGAAGGUCUACCAGGCUUGUGGGAUGGAAGUCUUCUGACACACAUUUACCGGAAGGUCUUGUUGAGCUAUAGCCUUGAGUGGCGUAUGUGUGUAUAUGGUAUUUUGUGGAACUCACUAAGCAUUUAUGCUUACCGUGCUGUGUGAUAUGUGUUUCAGGUACCAGCAAGGAUCGCGGGAAGGCGUCGGCAUAAUCUGUACACACUGAUAAAGAUUUAUGUUUUUGAGAUUCUGGGAUAUGUUUUCUGAGAAAAUACUUGAGACAAUGAGUUAUGAAAAUUUACGUCGUUAUAAAUUUCAAGCUCUAUGUCCAUAAUGAUUACAAACAUGGGGUUUUUAUUCAUUAUCCAACUACAAAGCACCUUGAAUGUCCUCCACUUUCUCAAUUACUUUUAUAUGAUCCUCAUACACCUUCAAUCUACCAACAGUCGCAUAAAAUAACAUCGAAUCCAGCUGAAAACAUUGCUCUAUUGAAGCCACGAUUUGAAAAACCGACCUAGGAAUCAGUUAAUUAACCUUAUCACUAAAUUCACUUCUUAUAGAUCAUAUCGUAGUCUUCUUACUUUUAAGUUUAAACAAGAUAAUAGUUGUCAAUAAAACAUCAAGCAUUUCUCCCUCCUUUAUGUGCAAACUUUCAAGAUGCCUUGUUGAGAGUUUGGUUGAUAUGAUGGAUUUCUAGGAUAUCUAGUGUGUUAUGUGAAUUGAUGUGGUGGGUUGUUUUGAUGAUUGUAAGUUCUGUUUAAAGAAGGGUGAGUAAACUAUUGGUUAUUUAUGUAAAAUGGGUGUAACUUAUGGAAAUGUUGAUUAACAAUGGUUUGCACAUUUUGAAAGACUGCUUCUUCCUCUAAAUCCAUGUUUUGUUUAUAUCACUAUUGGGAGUUGUCAUUGAUUGGGAGAACUAUCGUGGUUUGUUUACAUACUUUAGUGAGUAACAAACCAAUGUCAAUGGUCCUCCAAGAUCCAUGCUAUCAUUUAACAUAAUGGAUUCUUGAGCCGGAAGUUCACCAUACAGUUUGUAGAAUGAAAGAGUUUUUAUCUUUCCAUCUUAUUGAAUGAUCAUUUGUGCCAACAUCCAUUGUAUUCCUAAGCUAGUAAUAAACUGAAGAUUAAUUUCUUGAUUACUGUGAAUAAUACCUGCAUAUGAGAGUCAGGUGAUGAUCAAGUUAAAUCUCUUGAAAUAAUCAUCAUGACAUUCUACAACAAGAGCGUUGAUGUGUUAUUUUAACUACUAGUUUUAUAUUUAUAAAGUUGUAUCAAAUCUCAACUAGUCUUAUACACAAAUAGGCAGUGUACCUAGUAAUGAAGUUAUAAAGUUUAAGGUAAGAAAGGGUGUGAAACUCUCAGGGAACUAGUAUGAUUUUGUGUCAAUGUAAUAAAGCGAAUAAUUAAACUAAAGACAUAAAAGUAAAGAGGGGGUUUGUUUAAAAUAAUUAAACUUAUUUUAACACUUUAAUAAAGAAAAUAAAAGCAAAUAACUUUUCUUAAAUAGUAUAUUUGAAGUACUUCAACUUAGAAUCAGAAUUCCCCUAGUUUAUAUGCUUAAUUUGUUGGAAGUGCAAUGGAUUAAUGAGUUGGUUACCAUAUUUUAUAAUGACUAGUUAUCAUAACCGGAUCUCCUAGUAUUAAUACUUAAUGAAUAACUAGCCAUAAUCAUCAUGUAAUUAUUGAACACAUAAUCAAUUCAAUAUAUACGAAUUACGAAAACAAUGAUCUAGUGAUUUUCUUAUCAAUGGUCAUGACAAUCAAUCAAAGCAUAGAAUGGAUAUCUAAUGUUCUCUAACAAAGUAAAAUUCAACAAAUAAUAUUUCCUAACUCUAAGAUUGGAUCGAUCUGAACACCUAACCGAUUAUGAUCCUAAGUUGGUUAAGAUUCAAGUUAAUGUAGUUAGAUUGAUAGAAAUCAUAACUUUAACAUGAAAGGUAAAGCGAUCAAUCAAACACAAAUGAUAACCAAAAUCAAUUAAUCUUAAUAAGGAAAUUGCAACAUAUUAACUAGGGUUCAUCUUUAUUAAGUGAAAGUAUAAUGUUUGUAGCCUUGCAACAUAACUAGAAAACAUAUCCAAUGAAUCUAGAAUUGAAAUACAUAGCAUAAAACAAACGAAAUUGACAAAAUAGGUGAAUUCUUGUCUUGAUAUUCAAACACGCUCUUCAAAAGUCAUAUGUAGCUUUGAAGUUUAUUUAAUUUUUGUAAUAAACUUGUUCCCAAGUUGCUUCAAGUUGGCACCCUCACAAGGGUUGGAAAAAUUGGAUAUAUAGGAAUCUACGCAACCGUGUCAUGUUGGCGAUUAUUGUUGGAUUAGUGUCUAAGUCUAUAACUAUUUUGGUAUGUACUUGACCCGAUUAUGAGCAUGGUCCUUUUGGGUUGGCUUCACCAUAGUAACCUGUAGGAUGAAUUAUUAAGAGAGAGGAUUAAUUAUCAUUUAUUAAUAUAUUAUAAGAAUUAUAUAUUAAAGGAGAAAUCGUAUUGUUUAAUUAAUAUUAGUCAAGAAUUAAUUAAGAAUUAAUUUUAUGGCUCAAAGAGAUUAAUUAAACUUAGGGGAUUGGAAUUGUAAUUAUAAGAUAAUUGCAUUUGGGCUAUGGAUGACCUUGGAAUAUAGGUUCGACGAAUUCUAUGGGAAGCCCAUAAGGAAUUCGUCCAAGGGAUGUUCUAAAAGGAUUCCAUGGGCUGCUUAGGGCUUAUGCAGUCAUAUUAGGGUUUCCUAGUUGUAAACCCUAAAACCCUACCUAUAUAAAGAGCCCCUAUAGCCCCAAAAACGUGUGGAAGAGUUUCCUUAGGGUUUCUAGACGUUUUUGUGCUUCUCCUUCUCCUCCUUCUUCAUCUUUAAUGCUUAUGGUGUUUGUGACUCCAUUAGAGGUGCAACAGUUGAGGCACUAAGCUUUCUGAAGCCAAUUACAAGAAGGAAUAUAUUGUUAUUGCUACAUAACAUUCAAAGGUAAUAUCUAAACCCUAAAUUUCAUUCAUAGUGUGUUAGAUCUAGGGUUUAUGGCUUUAAAUGGUUAUUGCAUGUUCAUUAGACAAACCAGAUCCAAAGCUUAAGGGUUUGCAUGUACACCAUAGGAAUGAUGUAAUGCUCAAAACCCAUUAGUGGUAUUAGAGCGUAGAGCUGUUUGUUGAUGUAUUUGAUGCAUAUUUGAUCAUUUAUUGCCUGAAAAUUAAGUUUUUGGCCUUCUGCCCGACUGAAUGGGCGAGUCAGUGGAUGAACUCGGCGAGUCAGGCUGACUCGGCGAGUCCAGUCCCUAACUCGGUGAGUUCAGUGGUCAGACACAGGGAUAGUCGGGAUUUUAUGCCUAUUUUGCUAUCGGAUAGUUACCAAAACAUUUUUUAUUGAUAUAAUUCGGAUUUUUAUGAUAUUGGGUGAUUAUCCUUGCCAAAAUAAAAGAUAAUUUCAUAUUAAUUGAAUAAUUAUUUUUUUAUAUGAUAAAUUUUGAUUAUUUGAAUUGUUUGAUGAAUUAUCUUGCAUGAAAUCAGAUUAGGUCAACAUUACAUAACCACCGAUUAAUUUUUAAUUUCCUUAUUUGAAUUUUUGAUCUACAAUGUUCUUGAUAAAGUUUUAAAAAGUUUCAAAACUUGCCCUCAAGUUUGGAAUUUAAAUUUUUGAUUAAAAGUUUAAUUUUGAAAUAUUUAAAUUCUAAACCUAAAUGUUUUGAAAAGUUCAAAACAUGCCUUCAAGUUUUAGAAUUUACAAUUUGAUUAAAAUUUUGAUUUUGAAAUAUUAAAUUCUAAAACCUUAGUACUUUGAAAAGUUCAAAUUACACCCUUAUGGUUUUACUAAGUUAAUUAAGUGUAUAAUUAAAAGAGAGUUAAUAAAUCCAUUAAGUUUUGGUUUACAUUUAAUUAAACUAAAAGUAUAAUUUAUCAAAUUAAACCACCUAGUAUUAUAAAAGUAUAAAAUACACACUUAUACUAUAUGUAACAUUAAAGGUCUAAUAUCAUAUAUAUAUAUAUAUAUANGGUGUUUAAGGAAGCUGCCUAUAAAAUGACCGCCAUUGGGUAUCCACUCUUACCCACCACACUCUUGACUAGUGGAGGGUCGUUAGCCGAACUGGUAGGAUAGGAAAAACCCCUUCCAUUAUAAGUAUAAUGAACACAAAGUAACUAAAUGCUUUUAUAAAUUCCCAAAUCUUAGUUACUUUAGGCAAAAUGUGAAAUUGUAUGCUAAUCUAUGGAAUUACACUUUUUUCCUUUUCCGAGACGUUAGUGGAGAAUGUGUGGUUAACCGACACACUAAUUUGGGAUUGGCAUUGGUGGCGAAGGGCAGCUCAAUGUUUGUCAUAGAUCAAUGGAGCGUGUGUGGCUAAACAACACAUUGAUUUUGGUGAUUGUAACAUUGGGUGCACCAAGUACAUUUGCAUGGUUAUUCACACCUUAUUUGUGAUCCUCGGCAUCCUAGUCACCAAUGAAGGGCAUAAUCGAGAUUAAACAUGCCAUUGAAAUUUCAAGGAAUCUCAAAAUAUCUAGGAGUUUCAAUUCAUUUAAAAUUUAAAAUCAUUUUCGUUUUUCAUGAUGGAAAUUGGUAAAUCGUCAUUUACCUACCUUCAAAUGUUCUGCGACUUGAUUACGACAUCCCUCUUCCAUGUCGUGGGACAUUGUGUUGGGUCCUAGCCUUAAUAUCUCAUUUGGAUGUUUUAUGAAGGACUCAAUCAACUGAUUUGAAUUUUUCUCCCGUUAUGUAGAUGUCUGAUUCUAACAAUGGUCUUGCCAAAUUCCCUGGAACAAGCUUUCCAAAUGAAGAUGACAUUCCACUGUACGAUCAAAGAAAUGAGAGUCAUGCUUUACUUCCUCCACCUCCUCAUAUUGUUCUCCCUAAACAACAUGAUCGAAAGCUUGAAAAGUUCAAGCUCACUAAAGCCCUAAUAGCAAUGAAACAUGAAGAUAGGAAACCUGUGUGUGCACACGUCUUAAAGAUGAAGUCACACAUUGAUAGGGUAAGGAUGUUGGGUGUCGAUUUUUCAUUGAAGUUGGUUGUCGUCUAGGUUCUUCAGUCACUUCCUGAUUCGUAUAGUGAGCUCAUAAGAGAGUACUAUACGAUGGAUCACAACGUGACCCUCAUUGAUUUGACUUAUUUGCUUAUCGCUACUGAACCAACAAUGAUUUGGCGAACUGGUCAAGCAAACUUGAUUGGUCAAUCAAACUCCCAAAUUUCAAUGGACACUGGCAACAUUGGAAGUCUAGAAAGGAAUAAGUCUGAGAUCGUCCCAUGUGCUGUGCCAAAGGAGUCCAUCUGCUUUCACUACCAUGAGAAGGGGCAUUGGAGAUGAAGCUGCCCUAACUACCUGAGAGAUCGAAGAGAUGGGAGAGUCAAGAUGUAUGGCUCUACUUCAGGUAAAAUCCACUAACUAACUCUCUAAGUUCCUAUUUUUUUAUUCUAAUACAUGAUGUGAUAAGAUUGCAUUUUGAUGUUUUUUGUAGGAUCGAAGAAAAGGGAGGAAGCUUAAAGGAAGAAGCGUGCUGAAUCUGAUCAUGAAGAAAUGCAUUUCGAUCACAUGGAUUUGAAGAUCGGAUUUUUUAUUUGCUACACUAGAGUUAGGAUAUAUUGCUAAGAAAUAUGUAACAUCAUAGUUUUCAGUUGAAUUGCAUUGUAAGGACAUAUUUUCCGCACUAAAAUAAAAUUCGAUUUUGUCUUAUUUAUGUUUCCCUGCAACGGUUAUUGUGAAAAUUGGUAUUUUUGAAUGUUUCUAUUAUUAGCAUAGAUGGAUGUGAUUCUUUAUUAUGUUAUUUGUGGAAGUGUUGAGAAUUUGCCAAAUAAAGAAAGAUUCUCAUCGCCUAAGUUUCAAUUGGAUAGAAACUUGGAAUCAUACGACUAGGUUUGUGUGAUGAAUGAGAAACUUUGUGUUUGGGGAGUUUAAGACUAAUUCAUUGACAAAGAGUAGAGUGAAGGACUAGGAGAUCGAGUUGACAAUGUUGUGCACUGGUCAAGUCCACCAUGAAGAACAAAAAAAAAAUCAUCAUGAUUUACCAAAAGCUUGGUAAAUGUGAUUAUGCUUACAAGUUUAAGUAUAGUUCUGCAUCAUUGGGAAGGUCUCAAUGAAUGGAAGAACGAAUAAUAAAGAAUCAAUUAGGCAGAAAGAUAAAAAAUUUCUCCAUUCUAAAAAGAAGCAAGAGUACCUUUUAUCAUGUUUUAUGAUUGUCUUAGUGAUUAAGAACCAUACCUUAAUUAAUCCUCUAAGUGAGUCUUAGUGCAUUUAUAUGGAUAAGAAGAGGAAUCGAGAAUUGUUGAAAUGGUUAAAUCAAAAGGUUAAUCAUACUUCGUUCCAAUAUCGAGUCUUAGAGUUAAGAUUGUGACAUCGAGUGACACAUCUUUAGUAGGUUUUUAACACUUAUCAAAUGUGGAAUAGAAAAGGUUUCUUUUUCCUGCACAUUUGAAAAUGGUAAGUUGUGAUGUCUUGAAGAAGACAAAGACCAACCUGAACCAAUUAAGUGAAGUGUUAGUCUUGAUAAGAUUUCACAUUAACCGUUGAAUAUUUCUUUUGUCAAGGAAUGUUUCUUGAAAAGAGAAUCUUAUAUGUCAAGAGGUCAGUGGGAGUGUUAAUGGUCUUGAAUAGUUUCAACAACUAAUCAAGAGUAAACCUAAAAUAAAGCACUAGCACAUGACUUGAUUUUUGCAACCUAUCGUGCUGACGUAGUUUAUUUUCUGUGCCAUUUCUGUUUUAAGUCAUCUGUGCAUAUGAGUUCUGUGAGUUCUCAUUUGACUUCAUAAAGGUAAAGCUCCCUGAUCAAUGGAAAGUAUAUUGAUAAGUAGGGGUGAGCUGCCUAACAACCAGGAAGCAAUGGUGGGCAUUCGUGCUACCAUGAGGCAUGAAAUCAAGAAUAAACAAGUUCAGUCCAUUUGAGUUGGAUUUGUCACAAACAUUAUCUUAUGAUUAUUCUUAUGACAAAUUCACAUGGAUAGCAACACAUACACCAGAAAAUCUAAGUGCCAUAAGGUUUCUCUCCGUUCAUGAAAAUAACUGUGAGGACAUGCUUUCACUAAGAGAUAUUUUAAGGAGAUAGAAAUUGUGAAAAUUGUAUUCUCAAAUUUGAUUACGAUUACGACAUCCUUUUUCAUAGUUCGAAUUGUGAGAUUUGGCAAUUGGUCUGAAUAUUUGGGACUUAUUGAUAUAUGUUCUGAAUUGUUUAGACACACAUGUGAGCUAUCUAAGGAAAGGUGUAUGAGUUUAAGAAGCUUAGAUAAAGGCUUUCCAAAGCAUUAGGUAUUAGAAAUAUGAACUUAAGAAAUUCAGUAAGCAUUGUUUUCUGGAAGUUCAGAUGUUUUCUGAAUACAUGUCAAAGCUGGUGUGAGCAUAAGUGUCAUGUUGGUAAAGAAAUAAUCAUCAUGUUAGUGGGAGCAUGAUUAUUAUUUAAGUGUUGCAAGUUAGCAAUAUUAAUUAUAGAAAACAAAGCUUCACAUUGCAAAGUUGCAGGGGUUGAAAAGUUGUUUUGCUAUAAUUAAGGGAGAGAAUAUUAUACUUCUUUUCAAAAUAUAAAAGCUUAGAUCGAGAAAUUUUAAUAAAUUUUAGUCAAGGAUACAUAGUGCGUUCUCAAAAUUCGAUUAUGAUUACGACCUCCCUCUUCAUAGUUCAAAUUGUGAGAACAUGGGAAAUAGAAAAAUAUUAUGGCAGAAGACUGAUAGGGUAUCAUGUCUUUAUGUGAGACAUUAUGCAUCGUGUCCCAUACGCUUCGGAUAGAGGAUCGAUUGCGUAUGCUAUAAUAUUUGACACUUCUAAAAUUUUCCAAAUGCCUAGCGCAUUAAGAGGGAAAAGGGCUAGAACUGGAUUUGACUAAGUAAUUGAACAACUGUCAAAGGACGAUCUGAGCUUCGCUAAGGAUUUGUCUCUUGUGAGUAGUUGGAAGCAUAGUAAAGGAAGUACCAUACUGACAUUAUUAUCAAUAGAUAAGAUUUUAUUAAUAAUGAGUUGUCAUAUGGCAAAUAUGGAAAUGGUUCCAUAUUGGGAGUUGGAUAUUAAGAAUCUAUGUCUAGAUUAGAAACUUUUAUGCAAGAAGUAUGUUAAAAGGAAUGUACUUUGAAUGUGAGACUUCAUGUCUAAGGAGUUGUCUUGUAACAAUCUCCAAUAGAGUACUUUGUAAUUCCAUUAGCCGAGUCUUGGUGACUUUGUGAUGUGACAUUACGAAAGGAUCAUUGCAUAAAAUGUUAGAAUCUAACAUAUUCUAAAAGUGGCAACAAUUUGGUAUUCUUACAAUAAUGAUAAGGAUUGGGAAUUGUGAAAAGAGUUUCAUUGGAAAAGUUUUUCAAUUGAUAUAUUUCACAAAGUAUGGACCAUAGGUAAAGAAAGUGUGCAUGUUUAGGGCAUGUGACAACUGUUGUUAUAAUUCAAGUGUCAAGUUGAUUAAUUGAAACAUGAUAAAAUGAAUAAUGAGUAAUCAAUAUGGUGACCAAAUAAAAGGUGUUUCUUAUUUAUACUCAAACGUUUUGGGGCCGUAUAGGAUUAAGUAUUAUUAUUGUGUUUCACUUUGCAUGUUUUGACUUCCAGAAUAACUGGGUUAUUCGAACCUCCACAGUCGGUCAUACGUUGGAUGUAGGUAUGAAGCGAGACUAUCGUGAAUCCAUCUGUAGAUUGUCUAAAGUGUUUAGACAUAGAAAAAGCUUGUUGCAGAGUUCAUGAGUGCUGAAAUAAGAUUUGAGCAUUGGAUUAAACCCACACUCACUUGAAUCACAUCAUGGAUUUAUCAUGGGUGAUUAGUGAGACGAUAAUAUUAUAUAUUCUUGAAAUCGAGACGUAUGAGUUGUGAUUACGAUUCGGUUGCACAUUGAUAAUAUGUAAACGCACCAGUAACUUGGUGUUAUAAAACAUAUUGUUAUGUGUGAUUUGAUGAGUAAUAGCAAGAGAGCAUUUAGGUCGAAGUUUAUCCAUUUCUUUUACCCAAAGUGGGAUAAAAGCGAUAUCUAUGGGCCCCUCGAUGAUUUGGUUAUGACACCCUAAGCGCUUGGCCAAGCCAGGACUAAGUUGAUGUGUUCAAUUGUAGUCUGCUGUCCGUCAUCAUAAAUCGGAAGUCAGGAAACAAUAUAUAGGCAGAGAGAAUGAAUAUAAUCCAUGUCUCAAUCUAUACGUUAUCUUGAAUGAAGGAAUUUAUGAUCCCUCAUAAAAAGGACACUCUUCUGAUAAGAUCAGAGUUGACAACGACUUUUGAGAGCUACGAUUGCUGAGUAGGUUCUCAAGUCAUGCAAACUAGUUAUUAGACUUAUCCAAGUGGGGGACUGUUGGAUUAGUGUCUAAGUCCAUAACUAUUUUUGUAUGUACUUGACCCGAUUAUGAGCAUGGUCCUUUUGGGUUGCCAUCACCAUUGCAACUUGUAGGAAGAAUUAUUGAGAGAGAGGAUUAAUUAUGAUUUACUAAUAUAUUAUGCGAAUUUAUAUUAAAGAAGAAAUCAUCUUGUUUAAUUAAUAUUAGUCAAGAAUUAAUUAAGAAUUAAUUAAGAACUAAUUUUGUGUCUAAAAGAGAUUAAUUAAACUUAGGGGACUGGAAUUGUAAUUAUAAUAUAAUUUUAUGGGAAACCCAUAAGGAAUUCGUCCUAGGGAUGUUCUAAAAGGAGUCCAUUGGUUGCUUAGGGCUAAAGCAGUCAGAUUAGGGUUUUCUAGUUGUAAACCCUAAUAGCCUGCCUAUAUAAUGAGCCCUAUAGCCCCAAAAAUGUGUGGAAGAGUUUCCUUAGGGUUUCUAUACGUUUUUGUGCUUCUCCUUCUCAUCCUUCUUCAUCCUUAUUGCUUAUGGUGUUUGUGACUCCAUUAGAGGGGCAACACUUGAGGCACUAAGCUUUCUGAAGCCAAUUACCAGAAGGAAUAGAUUGUUAUUGCUACAUCCUUAUUGCUUAUGGUGUUUGGUCCCUUUUUUGUUUUUCGUUCAUAUCAACUUUCUUCUCAUCCUUUAGCAUGCCAUCUCUGAAUUUGACUAUAACUAUGUAUUUUAAAGCAUAAUAAAGUUCCAUUUAUCUCUAUUAAUAACAAUUAUGCUAAUAAAUAUUAAGAUAUUGGCCUAAAAUAUAUGAUUAAAUAAGGCUAUAUAAAAUUAACCUGCACUUAUGUUUUGCAUGUCCUUAAGAAAACCAGAAUUAUUCAGGUCAUAUUUGUAAUUAUAGCACUAAGAAAUAGUAUACCGACAUCAUAUAAGAUAACUCAAUUCAAACCCACCAAUUUUACUGUAACAUUUGUUUCCUACUAUUCCUCUUGGGAUUCAACAUUUCUAAUUUUCGGAGUUUUAGUGAAUUUUGACUAACUACGACGUGGUGAUGGAGCUUACCACGACAUGGUCGCAUGAUCUAAAUGAGGUAUGUAUUUUUAAUGACCAUGGUGUUAUCAUAUAUUAGCCAUGGUGUGGUGGCGGAUGGGUUCAUAACCCUUAGUUUCGGGCCUUAAUCCUUAUUUAGGCAAACUUAUGAUUAGGUUUUGCUUUCAAAUCAGAUUAUAUUGCCCUAAAACAAGACUAGAGUGUAUGAGUGUACAUUUUCUUGGUGAUUGAGUUUGUGUUCUUAGCUUUUCAAGGCCUAAAGAGUACAAAGAAGGCGAUUAAAGUUAGUGGUAGGAAUUGUUGUUGGUGAGAGCUACUUCUACAACGAUCUUUAGGCUGCAGAAAGUAUAAAGUGCAUACCUAUUCAUCUUAUAAGUUAUUUUGAUGUAUUUGAGUCCCUUUUUGGUUGAUAGAAGUGAAUCCAUAGAGUUUGAAGCAACUCCAGGACUGUGGGUGAGUUAAUUGAAGUGUGUACAAUUGUUUAACGAAUUAAUUGAUUCAAAAAAGUAAUCCAAGACACAAGAUCUAAAUAAGAUCUGAUUGGCUCAAUUUAUUUUCUGAAGACUACAAAUAGAAAGUACAAAAUGACAUGAGAAUGUGUGAACCGAUCAUUUAACCCUCUGUGCUUAUCCUAUUUAUAGGAAACAAUAGAUGUAGCAUCUCAAAAAUCAUGGAAAUUUAAAUUUUUCAAAAACAAUCCAUUUCAACCAAAAAGUUGUAACAGCCCGGAUUUCAGGUAUUGUUAUAAUUAUGUUUUUGGGGAGUUUUAGAGGGGACUCGGCGAGUGGAGCCUAGACUCACCGAGUAGGAUCGCGGACUUGGUCGCGGGUUCGCGACUGGACUCGACGAGUCCGGAUAUAGACUCAGCGAGUCUGCGCUGUUUAGCGAAAACCCUAACCGUUCAGGUUUGGGACGUAUAUAAGGGACUUAUUGGCCGUCAUUGUUCACUUUAGCCUUCUGAGAGAAACCCUAAUUCGAUUGUGUGCAUCUGGAGCAAGGUUGAGGACCAUUGUUGAUUUUGGAAGAGUUGUUGUGCAAGGAAGAGAAGGCUUGGUGAAGGGAACAACAAGAGAAGUCACGUUCUGAGGAUUGGGGACACAUAGAGCACAUUAUUCAGGUAAUAAUUCGAAUUACAUUCUUCUAUGUUGAUGUGUAUAUGGAUUUAGGGUUUAUGGAACCCUUUUGUGGCUAGAUUGAAUGUUACCUUAGUCCCGAAACGAUUGGAACCCUGUAUUGAGACCUUUAGAGGUCCAGAAUGUCCCAUGCCUGAGCAUUUCGGGAAUCAAUGGAGGUUUUGGAUUGGAAUCCUUAUGCCUUAGGUCAAAAUGUAAAUUAUGAGUCAUGGGGUGUAUUAUGAGCACCGAAAUGGGGACAUUACGUGAUGAAUCAGUCUAGGAAGGCCAGACCUAUGAAUGGUCGGAGCAGUUCUGACCUUAGAAAGCAGUUUGAGCGGUUGCAUGGCAUGGACUCGCCGAGUCCGAUGAACAGACUCGGCGAGUAGCUUGAAGAUUAACUGGGACUCGUCGAGUUGUUCUUCAGACUCGGCGAGUUGAGUCGGGGUGGCCCCGCGAUUCUUCCAGGAGNNNNNNNNNNNNNNNNNNNNNNNNNNNNNNNNNNNNNNNNNNNNNNNNNNNNNNNNNNNNNNNNNNNNNNNNNNNNNNNNNNNNNNNNNNNNNNNNNNNNNNNNNNNNNNNNNNNNNNNNNNNNNNNNNNNNNNNNNNNNNNNNNNNNNNNNNNNNNNNNNNNNNNNNNNNNNNNNNNNNNNNNNNNNNNNNNNNNNNNNNNNNNNNNNNNNNNNNNNNNNNNNNNNNNNNNNNNNNNNNNNNNNNNNNNNNNNNNNNNNNNNNNNNNNNNNNNNNNNNNNNNNNNNNNNNNNNNNNNNNNNNNNNNNNNNNNNNNNNNNNNNNNNNNNNNNNNNNNNNNNNNNNNNNNNNNNNNNNNNNNNNNNNNNNNNNNNNNNNNNNNNNNNNNNNNNNNNNNNNNNNNNNNNNNNNNNNNNNNNNNNNNNNNNNNNNNNNNNNNNNNNNNNNNNNNNNNNNNNNNNNNNNNNNNNNNNNNNNNNNNNNNNNNNNNNNNNNNNNNNNNNNNNNNNNNNNNNNNNNNNNNNNNNNNNNNNNNNNNNNNNNNNNNNNNNNNNNNNNNNNNNNNNNNNNNNNNNNNNNNNNNNNNNNNNNNNNNNNNNNNNNNNNNNNNNNNNNNNNNNNNNNNNNNNNNNNNNNNNNNNNNNNNNNNNNNNNNNNNNNNNNNNNNNNNNNNNNNNNNNNNNNNNNNNNNNNNNNNNNNNNNNNNNNNNNNNNNNNNNNNNNNNNNNNNNNNNNNNNNNNNNNNNNNNNNNNNNNNNNNNNNNNNNNNNNNNNNNNNNNNNNNNNNNNNNNNNNNNNNNNNNNNNNNNNNNNNNNNNNNNNNNNNNNNNNNNNNNNNNNNNNNNNNNNNNNNNNNNNNNNNNNNNNNNNNNNNNNNNNNNNNNNNNNNNNNNNNNNNNNNNNNNNNNNNNNNNNNNNNNNNNNNNNNNNNNNNNNNNNNNNNNNNNNNNNNNNNNNNNNNNNNNNNNNNNNNNNNNNNNNNNNNNNNNNNNNNNNNNNNNNNNNNNNNNNNNNNNNNNNNNNNNNNNNNNNNNNNNNNNNNNNNNNNNNNNNNNNNNNNNNNNNNNNNNNNNNNNNNNNNNNNNNNNNNNNNNNNNNNNNNNNNNNNNNNNNNNNNNNNNNNNNNNNNNNNNNNNNNNNNNNNNNNNNNNNNNNNNNNNNNNNNNNNNNNNNNNNNNNNNNNNNNNNNNNNNNNNNNNNNNNNNNNNNNNNNNNNNNNNNNNNNNNNNNNNNNNNNNNNNNNNNNNNNNNNNNNNNNNNNNNNNNNNNNNNNNNNNNNNNNNNNNNNNNNNNNNNNNNNNNNNNNNNNNNNNNNNNNNNNNNNNNNNNNNNNNNNNNNNNNNNNNNNNNNNNNNNNNNNNNNNNNNNNNNNNNNNNNNNNNNNNNNNNNNNNNNNNNNNNNNNNNNNNNNNNNNNNNNNNNNNNNNNNNNNNNNNNNNNNNNNNNNNNNNNNNNNNNNNNNNNNNNNNNNNNNNNNNNNNNNNNNNNNNNNNNNNNNNNNNNNNNNNNNNNNNNNNNNNNNNNNNNNNNNNNNNNNNNNNNNNNNNNNNNNNNNNNNNNNNNNNNNNNNNNNNNNNNNNNNNNNNNNNNNNNNNNNNNNNNNNNNNNNNNNNNNNNNNNNNNNNNNNNNNNNNNNNNNNNNNNNNNNNNNNNNNNNNNNNNNNNNNNNNNNNNNNNNNNNNNNNNNNNNNNNNNNNNNNNNNNNNNNNNNNNNNNNNNNNNNNNNNNNNNNNNNNNNNNNNNNNNNNNNNNNNNNNNNNNNNNNNNNNNNNNNNNNNNNNNNNNNNNNNNNNNNNNNNNNNNNNNNNNNNNNNNNNNNNNNNNNNNNNNNNNNNNNNNNNNNNNNNNNNNNNNNNNNNNNNNNNNNNNNNNNNNNNNNNNNNNNNNNNNNNNNNNNNNNNNNNNNNNNNNNNNNNNNNNNNNNNNNNNNNNNNNNNNNNNNNNNNNNNNNNNNNNNNNNNNNNNNNNNNNNNNNNNNNNNNNNNNNNNNNNNNNNNNNNNNNNNNNNNNNNNNNNNNNNNNNNNNNNNNNNNNNNNNNNNNNNNNNNNNNNNNNNNNNNNNNNNNNNNNNNNNNNNNNNNNNNNNNNNNNNNNNNNNNNNNNNNNNNNNNNNNNNNNNNNNNNNNNNNNNNNNNNNNNNNNNNNNNNNNNNNNNNNNNNNNNNNNNNNNNNNNNNNNNNNNNNNNNNNNNNNNNNNNNNNNNNNNNNNNNNNNNNNNNNNNNNNNNNNNNNNNNNNNNNNNNNNNNNNNNNNNNNNNNNNNNNNNNNNNNNNNNNNNNNNNNNNNNNNNNNNNNNNNNNNNNNNNNNNNNNNNNNNNNNNNNNNNNNNNNNNNNNNNNNNNNNNNNNNNNNNNNNNNNNNNNNNNNNNNNNNNNNNNNNNNNNNNNNNNNNNNNNNNNNNNNNNNNNNNNNNNNNNNNNNNNNNNNNNNNNNNNNNNNNNNNNNNNNNNNNNNNNNNNNNNNNNNNNNNNNNNNNNNNNNNNNNNNNNNNNNNNNNNNNNNNNNNNNNNNNNNNNNNNNNNNNNNNNNNNNNNNNNNNNNNNNNNNNNNNNNNNNNNNNNNNNNNNNNNNNNNNNNNNNNNNNNNNNNNNNNNNNNNNNNNNNNNNNNNNNNNNNNNNNNNNNNNNNNNNNNNNNNNNNNNNNNNNNNNNNNNNNNNNNNNNNNNNNNNNNNNNNNNNNNNNNNNNNNNNNNNNNNNNNNNNNNNNNNNNNNNNNNNNNNNNNNNNNNNNNNNNNNNNNNNNNNNNNNNNNNNNNNNNNNNNNNNNNNNNNNNNNNNNNNNNNNNNNNNNNNNNNNNNNNNNNNNNNNNNNNNNNNNNNNNNNNNNNNNNNNNNNNNNNNNNNNNNNNNNNNNNNNNNNNNNNNNNNNNNNNNNNNNNNNNNNNNNNNNNNNNNNNNNNNNNNNNNNNNNNNNNNNNNNNNNNNNNNNNNNNNNNNNNNNNNNNNNNNNNNNNNNNNNNNNNNNNNNNNNNNNNNNNNNNNNNNNNNNNNNNNNNNNNNNNNNNNNNNNNNNNNNNNNNNNNNNNNNNNNNNNNNNNNNNNNNNNNNNNNNNNNNNNNNNNNNNNNNNNNNNNNNNNNNNNNNNNNNNNNNNNNNNNNNNNNNNNNNNNNNNNNNNNNNNNNNNNNNNNNNNNNNNNNNNNNNNNNNNNNNNNNNNNNNNNNNNNNNNNNNNNNNNNNNNNNNNNNNNNNNNNNNNNNNNNNNNNNNNNNNNNNNNNNNNNNNNNNNNNNNNNNNNNNNNNNNNNNNNNNNNNNNNNNNNNNNNNNNNNNNNNNNNNNNNNNNNNNNNNNNNNNNNNNNNNNNNNNNNNNNNNNNNNNNNNNNNNNNNNNNNNNNNNNNNNNNNNNNNNNNNNNNNNNNNNNNNNNNNNNNNNNNNNNNNNNNNNNNNNNNNNNNNNNNNNNNNNNNNNNNNNNNNNNNNNNNNNNNNNNNNNNNNNNNNNNNNNNNNNNNNNNNNNNNNNNNNNNNNNNNNNNNNNNNNNNNNNNNNNNNNNNNNNNNNNNNNNNNNNNNNNNNNNNNNNNNNNNNNUAUCGGAGAUUUAUUAAGGAUUUCUCCAAGAUCGCAGUGCCGCUCACCAGAUUGACCCGGAAGGGUGUUGCAUUCUCAUGGGGGCCCGAGCAGCAGACCUCCUUUGAGACACUUCGCCAAAGGUUGUGCGAAGCCCCGGUAUUAGCUCUCCCGGAAGGGAUGGAAGAUUUUGUAGUAUAUUGCGAUGCCUCGAUCUUGGGGCUGGGUGCAGUGUUGAUGCAGAGGGGUCAUGUGAUAGCUUAUGCGUCGAGGCAGCUGAAGCCUCAUGAGGCGAGAUAUCCCACGCAUGAUUUAGAGUUGGGGGCAGUAGUGUUCGCUCUCAAGAUUUGGCGUCACUACUUGUAUGGGGUUCGAUGUACGAUAUACACGGACCAUAAGAGCUUGAAGUAUUUGAUGGAUCAGCCCAACCUAAAUAUGCGUCAGAGGAGGUGGUUGGAUGUGGUCAAGGAUUAUGAUUGUGAGAUCCUGUACCACCCAGGCAAGGCUAAUGUGGUAGCCGAUGCAUUGAGCCGCAGGGCGGAGAGCACUCCACCGCGAAAUGUAUGUUUGAGAUUGACUGUGAUAGCUCCAGUAUUGAAUGCUAUUCGUGAGGCACAGGCAGAGGUUGUGCAAACAGAGAUGCAGAAGAGAGAGCGGGUCGUUGGUUUGGUUUCAGAGUUCAUUACGGAUGGGCGAGGGCUUAUGACGUUUCAGGGUCGGAUUUGGGUACCGUUCGUGGGUGGUACGCGUAUUACUUUGAUGGAAGAGGCUCAUAGAUCGAAAUUCUCGAUCCAUCCCGGUGCUACGAAGAUGUAUUUGGAUUUGAGGAAAGAGUAUUGGUGGCCCUGUAUGAAGAGGGACGUCGCAUGGUUCGUUGAGAGGUGCUUGACCUGCCGUAGGGUUAAGGCCGAGCACCAGAGACCGCAUGGCAAGUUACAGCCAUUGGAGAUCCCCGAGUGGAAGUGGGAACAGAUCACUAUGGAUUUCAUCACCAAAUUGCCGAGGACUGCCAGGGGAGUUGAUGCAAUUUGGGUGAUUGUGGAUAGGUUGACGAAGAGUGCACACUUCCUUGCCAUCAGCGAGAGUUCUUCAGCGGAGAAGUUGGCGGAGAUAUAUGUGAGAGAAGUGGUAUCUCGGCAUGGGGUGCCGAUCUCGAUUGUUUCAGACCGUGAUGUGCGCUUCACUUCCAGGUUCUGGAAGAAAUUCCAUGAGGAGCUGGGUACUAAAUUGCAUUUUAGUACCGCAUACCAUCCCCAGACAGACGGUCAGAGCGAGCGGACGAUUCAGACGCUGGAGGACAUGCUUCGAGCGUGUGUGUUAGACUUCGGGGGUAGCUGGGAUGCAUAUUUACCCUUAGCAGAGUUUUCCUACAACAACAGCCAUCAUUCGAGCAUUGGUAUGCCACCUUUUGAGCUGUUGUAUGGUAGGAGGUGUCGGACCCCCAUUUGCUGGGGAGAGGUGGGACAGAGAGUGAUGGGCAGCACAGAGAUCGUGCUUCAGACGACAGAGCAGAUUCAGCAAGUUAGACAGAGGUUAUUGACCGCCCAGAGCCGACAGAAGAGUUAUGCAGACAGGCGCCGAUCCGAGCUUGAGUUUCAAGUCGGCGACUUCGUUCUCCUGAAGGUCUCUCCUUGGAAAGGAGUGAUUCGAUUCAGGAAGAGGGGCAAGUUGGGGCCCCGGUAUAUUGGGCCAUUUCGUGUGAUUGCAAGGAUAGGCCGGGUAGCCUAUCGGUUGGAGUUGCCAGCGGAGUUGGGACAGAUCCACGACACUUUUCAUGUGUCGCAAUUGAGGAAGUGCAUAGCCGAUGAGUCGGCAGUGGUUCCAUUGGAGGAUAUUCAGGUGGAUGCGAGCCUGAAUUAUGCUGAGAGACCAGUGGCCAUCAGGGAUCGGAAGAUCAAGGUUCUGAGGAACAAGGAGGUACCUCUGGUGUUGGUUCAGUGGCAACACCGUAAGGGAUCGGAAAUGACUUGGGAGCCGGAACGUGAGAUGCGGGAGCAGCAUCCGGAGCUAUUUUCAGAGUGAGACUUCGAGGGCGAAGUCUAAUCCUAGUGGGGGAGAGUUGUAACAGCCCGGAAUCUCAGGUAUUGUUAAAUUAUGUUUUUGGGGUGAUUUAAGAGGGGACUCGGCGAGUUGGAGCCUAGACUCGCCGAGUAGGAUCGCAGACUUGGUCGCGGGUUCGCGACUGGACUCGACGAGUCCAGAUAUGGACUCGGCGAGUCUACGCUGUUUAGCGAAAACCCUAACCGUUCAGGUUUGGGACGUAUAAAAGGGACUUAUUGGCCGUCAUUGUUCAUUUUAGCCUUCUGAGAAGAACCCUAAAUCGAUUGUGUGCAUCUGGAGCAAGGAUUAUAGGCCAUUGUUGAUUAUAGAAGAGUUGUUGUGCAAGGAAGAGAAGGGAUUGGCUAAAGGAACAGCAAGGGAGUCACAUUCUGAGGAUUGGGGACACAGAGAAUACAUCAUCCAGGUAAGAAUUCGAGUAUACUCUGCUAUGUUGAUGUGAUUAUGGAAUUAGGGUUUAUGGAACCCUUUUGUGAAUAGAUUGAAUGUUACCCUAGUCCCCUAAUCGAUUGUAACCCUGUAUUGGGACCUUUGGAGGUCCAGAAUGUCCCAUGUCUGUGCAUUUCGGGAAUUGAUGAAGGUUUUGGAUUGGAAUCCUUAUGCCUUAGGUCAAAAUGUAAAUUAUGAAUCAUAUGGUGUAUCAUGAGCACUGAAAUGAGGACUUUACGUGAUGGAUCAGCCUAGGAAGGCCAGACCUAGGAAUGGUCGAAGCAGUUCUGACCUUAGGAUGCAGUUUGAGCGGUUGCAUGGCAUGGACUCGCCGAGUUCGAUGAACAGACUCGGCGAGUAGCUUGAAGAUUAACUGGGACUCGUCGAGUUGUUCUUCAGACUCGGCGAGUUGAGUCGGGGUGGCCCCGCGAUUCUUCCAGGAGUAACUCGUCGGGUCAAGGAGGAUACUCGACGAGUAGAUAGGGAAUCUCAGAGAGUUGGAGGACGUCUAGACUCGCCGAGUCGCCAUGGCACUCGCCGAGUCCGGUCGAGUUGACCGUUGACCGUUGACCAGAGUUGACCUAAGUCUGACUUCUUAGGGAUAGUCACACUUAGAAGAUAUAAGUGUUAAUGAGAGAUAUGUGAUGUUAUAGGGAGGUUGUAGCUCGUCGGAUUGUGCACGAGUGAUUUCAGGAUUUGCUAGCUUUCAGCAUUCACGAGGUGAGUCUUCUCACUAUACUGUACCCGGAAGGGUUUGACUGUGUGACCGGAAGGUCAGAUAUGAUAUGUGAUAUGUAUGCUAUAUGUGGUAAGCUGUUUGUUAUAUGUGCUAUGUAUGUUAUGGGCCGGAAGGCGAUUAUGUUAUGGGCCGGAAGGCAAUAUGUUAUGGGCCGGAAGGCAAUAUGUUGUGUGAUGGACCGGAAGGUCGGCGUGGGUAGGACCGGAAGGUUUACCCAGCAGGGACGGAAGUCCCCUGAGACACGUGGACCGGAAGGUCAGGGCCUGGAAAGGCGUAUGUGCGUAAGUUGUAUAUUGGGGAACUCACUAAGCAUUAAUGCUUACAGUUGUUAUGUAUGUGUUUCAGGUACUAGCGAGGACCGUGGGAAGGCGCCAGCAUGAUGUGUACACACUGAUUGAUGUUUUGAGAUCUUGGGGAUUCUAUGAAUUGUAUUUUGAUAUAACACUUGGAAUAAUUAUGCUUGUUUGAAUGGAAAUAACUUAUUUUGAAAUGAAAAAUUUGUUUGAAAAUUUGCGUUGUUACAAAGUGUUUACGAAACCAUUGUUUCGAAAGUAUAAUCAUAUUAAGAGAUUUUCCUAAAAACCAAUAUCAUAAAAUAGGAAGAUGUGUACGAUCACGCCUUCACAUUCCCAUGAUCUUCUGAAGUACUUGAAACUAUAAUUAAUACCAUAAGACAAUUCUUAGUGAGCCCCCCCAAUGUCCCACCACACAACAUAACAACCAACAAGAUGCAUACACAAGCCUUCAACAUGACUGGUCCACCCCACCGGGCCUUCAGUCUAUCCAUACCAAGCUGGGUAUCUUGGCCUUCAGUACUAGAUGGUCCGCAUCACCUAGUAAACCAUAAGAUAUCAACAUAUACAACAUCAAUCAAUAAUCUACAAAAUAGGUAGUCCUACAGAUCUACCAGUCUAAUACAUAUCAAAUAAAAAAGGUACUCCUACUGAACUAUCUGUCAGGUCACAAAACCAGUGAGCACAUAUCUGCAUAAUAGUGUAACAUCCAGGAUUUCAGGUAUAUUAAUUAAUCUUUUAUUUUGGAGUUUUGUGAAUGGACUCGGCGAGUUGGUGCGUAGAUUCGCCGAGCUGAGACUCGGGUUUUCACUCGGAUUGAUGCCCGGACUCGGCGAGUCGCCUUGAUGGACUCAACGAGUCUGCGCUGUUUAAUGAAACCCUAAUUUAUCGGGUUUGAGGCCUAUUUAAAGGGUCUUAUGGCCGUCAUUUGCGCUCAUUAGUCCCCAAAGUGAAACCCUAGAGCAUUUGAGUGAUUCAAGUGAGGGAAGGAGCCAUUGUUGAUUCUUGGAGUUGUUGUCUAACAAGAGAAGAGAAGAUCUAGCCAAAAGGAAGCAAGAGAGGGGUGGAUUCCUGAAGAACUAAGGUCCAGGACAUCACAUCUGAGGUACCAUUUGAAUCCUUCUUUGUUAUUGUGAUGUUCAUAUAGAUUUACGGUUUUUGAACCCAUUUGUGGCUAGAUCUAGCAUCCUCAUGGUCUCUUGGCGAGUUAUGGCUCUGAAUCUGGACCCAUAGAGGUCCAGAGCACCUCCUUGCCCAAGCUUUAUGUGCAUCCAUGGAGGUUUUAGAUUGGGAUCAAUGUAUUUGAGGCUAAAACUCCAUUAAUGAGCUAUUUGAUGUUUAAUGAGCACCAAGACUCGGGCUUUACGUGGUCAAUAAGCAUAAGGGUACUGGAUCUAUGAGUUACUAGAGUGGAUAUGACUUUAGAAGGUCGUUUGAGGUUGUGCAUGAAAUGCACUCGCCGAGUCCAAUCCCAGACUCGGCGAGUUGGUGCGGGUUGUUCAGAGAUUACGGACCAGGGACUGAGUAACCGAGUCGGGUGAGUGACUUGGUGAGUCGGAAGAGAUUCAGAGGGAUCGGGUUCCCGUCGGGACUCGGCGAUUCCACGCCAGACUCGGUGAGUCGGGUCAACUGUUGACCGUUGACCAGGGUUGACUACCUUGACUUUAUAGUGUUAGUCAGCCAGAGUCAAGGUGGUAUUAAGUAGAGUUAUGCUUGUGUUGUAGGAGGACGAUAGCUCGGGAGAUCGAGCACUAGUAGUUACGAAAUUUACGAGUUACCGAGAUACGCGAGGUGAGUCUUCUCACUAUACAUUACCUUGAGUAGGUAUUUCGAGUUGACUAGAGGGUCUCAUGUGCUAUGUAUGAGUUUAUGUGUUGUCUUAGAGAUUUCGUGCUAUGUGUUAUUUGUAUGCUACAUGAUUAUAUAUACCGGGCCGGAGGGCCCAACGAUACUGACCGGACUGGAGAGCCCAACAAGCUAUGACUGGACCGGAGGGUCCGACGAGAUGCGGGAUUGGAGGGUCCCGCUGAGACAUCUUGACCGGAGGGUCGGGUUUAGCCUUGAGUGGCGUAUUUGUGAUAUGUGGUAUUUUGGGGAACUCACUAAGGAUUAUGCUUACAGUUGUUGUGUUUGAUGUCUCAGGUACCAGCGAGGACCGUGGGAAGGCGACGGCUUGACUUGUACACACCCACACCAAUGGAGUUCAUGUCAGAGAGAUCUUGGGAUUUGUUAUGAAAACACUGUUGUUAUGAUUUUGAGAUUUUGAUAGGAUAUACAUUUUGUUGUUAUAAAAACCAAAAAAAUUAAAUUGAAAAUUUUACGUUGUUACAAAUAGCAUAAAACAACCAGGUUAUCUAAUCCAAUGGGGCGACCUUGGUGCCUUCGUCCCAUAAGUACAGUGAGGACAACUCACCUCUCAGUCUGAACAAGUAGCUCAAUAAGCCUCUGCUUCGAAUACCGUCUCUACCUAUUACCUCCAAAUGAUGCUAAAUGUUGUUGGUAUUCAUGAUGCUAAGAGUCCCACUCCUUCAAGAUAAUCUUCUCUUCUUCCUCUCUCAUUCAACAUCACAAAAACACACCCAAAAUUCUCAAGAGGCUCUAAAAAUGGAUUAGAAUUUUCUUGGGGACGAAUGUGGGUUGGACGCUGAUGAGUGAAUGAUCCUUGGUGAGUUAAUAAUGCUUAUAAAGGGUCCAAACCCACAAAAUUAGGUUUUGAGGUUUUUUGCACGUAUGCCCAAUGUACUCUAGGUACACCCAACGUACAUGAGCCUCGUCCAAAAAUUACAAAAAUGCCACUAUGGGCCAUUUUUCAACACUUUUCGUACAUAAGGGCUUAAAUGAUAACAACGUUCAUACUUAGGGUUAAAAUUGAAAAUACAUCAUCAUUGGGUUGCUACAAUUCUCCCCCACUUGAACUAGACUUCGUCUCGAAGUCAGCUACUAUGAACAGUUCAAGGUAAUGCUCCCUCAUCUCAGACUUGGGUUCUGUCACCCCAAAACCAUGAACGGCGGAAACGUUCUGGGGCGGAGGACGUCAUGUACAGUAUCACAACAAUGAAAAGUAGUAAACAAGCUACAACAUCAUCCAUUUCAUUAAUAAUAUAAUUUUAAUACAAGUGUGUUCUGUCAAAUUAUAAUAGACACUAAAGUAUAAAUCAAAAAGAAAGAUGAGUCUUGAACGAGCACCAUCUUCUCUGAACCUUGCAUCGGUACCUGUCUACGGUUGACCUGAGGAUACAAGUUAUUUUGAAAGAUAGUAUCAGCUUUAAAGCUUGUGAGAUCAUAAGUAUUUUAGUGUCUUAAUUUGUAUGUAAGUAUUUAUAUGUAUAUGAAUAGGGGUGCAAACAAGCCAAGCUACUCNAGCCCGAGCCGAGCUCGAGCUUAAUAUUAAGCUCGUUUAUUAAACGAGCUCGAGCUCGAGCCUAUGUCACUAAGCUCGAUUAGGCUCGCGAGCCUAAACGAGCCUUUAUAUAAUAUAAUUUAUUAUUAUUUUCUUAUAUUAAAAUAAAAACAUAUUUAGGAAAUUAUGGAUUUCGGGUAUUAGUAACCGAGCUUCUUAACGAGCUUGAGCCAAGCUUAAGCUUAUUUAGGCACAUCAAUGACAAACGAGCCGAGCCCGAGCCCGAGCCGAGCUUGUAUAAUUCUUCACAAGCUCGAGCCGAGCUCAGUAAAAGAAGCUUGAAUCGAGUCGAGCUCGAGCUCGAGCCUCGUAUAACUUAAACGAGCCCGAGCCGAGCCUGGCCAGGCUCGAGCUCGGCUCGUUUGCACCCCUAUAUAUGAACUGUAAGUAUUGAAAAUGUAUAUGAACUGUAAGUGUUUAAAAUGUAUAUGAAAUGUAAGUAUGAAAAUGUUCUUUAUGAUCCUAGGAUGCCCUAUGUUUCCUACUAAUCGUAUCCUUCUACCAAGGCAUCUAGUGUCUGUGUGUGUGGCUCUUGUAAGAGUGUGCAUUUUCCCAAAUCUGACUAUCAUUAAUCCAAAAAUAUAGUUUCUACAUUACCGCACGUCGUGUGAAUGUUCACGAAGUGAAUGUAAUGGGAAAAUGAAAUAGUACUAUGGUGUAGUAUCGAACUACAACCGUACUAAUUACCUUAACUCUAUGGUAAUUUUGUAAGUACUGUAGUAUUUGUAAUAAGUGACUACUUUUAUACUAAUAUUUCCUUAUUUGAGGGAUAAGGCAUAAUGUGAUGGCUAGAUCCCAGGCUAGACGCUCCCCUUUUAAAGAGAUUUUGGGACCCAUACACGACCCCUGCAUAUCUACAAGCCGUGAACAUCCACAUUACUAUAAUCACUUAUACCCGAUAUAACUAUCACCAUGCGUUGUGAUUCAUUGGUAUAGUUAUAUCCUGAAAACGUUCCAUGCUAUAGUACCUAGUGAUGUAUGUUCUAUUACCGUAUAUGUAAAGAUACUCAUGUAAACGUACUCAUGUAAGCGUAAUCAUGUAAUAGUAUAGUAGUGUACUGUAACAUUCUGCAGUGAUAGCCGUACCGUGUGUUCUCUCUCUAUCUAGCAUGUAUGUUUGUUUCUCAUCACUAUGUAUUAUUUUUGUUUCUCAUCACUAUGUGUUAUGUUUAUUUCGCUUCACUAUGUAUUAUGUUUGUUUCUCUUCACUAUGUAUUAUGUUUGUUUCUCUUCACUAUGUAUUAUGUUUGUUUCUCUUCAAUAUGUAUUAUGUUUGUUUCUCUUCAUUAUGUAUUCUGUUUGUUUCUCAUCACUAUGUAUUAUGACUCAUGUAUGAACUGACUCUUUGUAUGAUUCAUUGUUCUAGUAUUAGUAUCUUCCUAAGCUACCCAUACGGUAGCUUACUAGUAAUCUAACUGGUACGUAUGAACAUGGAAGUAUACCCUUGCUACCUAAGGGUAUUUAAUGAACUAGGAGAACCUUUAUGACUAUAUAUGUACACAUGAUAUAUAACUAAUAUUUAAAUGACCUUCAGACAGGUACCCGAUAUCCCACCAGACCACAUCUCAAGCACGAAAAGGAAAUAGGGUGGAUAGCCUUCCUAUGUCUUUUAAACAUUUCUUAUGUAACUAUACAUAUAUAGGCAUGCAAUUGAUAAUAUAAAAGCAUAAAAUAAGUCUUGUAAAACCUUUGAACAUAAUUAUUAUCUAAGAAAAGAUUGACUUGAUGUCAAUCUAUAAAACGGGUUGAAAGCAUGUGUUUGAUAAAACAGUUUAAGUAUAAAUAAACAUUUGGUGGAAACACAAUUGUAAAUGAGUUUGAAAUGAUACAUAUAAUGUAAAAUGAACAUUUUAAUAAGGAGUUUUAAACAUCUAAAACGUUUAUGAAAAUCAUGUGAAGAAAACUGUUUUGUACCCCCCCCCCCCAUAAAACAUUUAAAAACAUUUAAAACUUUGAUUAAGGGGUAUGAACUCACCUGUUGCGAGUGGAUCGGAAGGAAGUGCCGGAUAAGUGCUUGGUGUCAAGUGAAGACUUAGACACGUACAAAGAUCCUAAUUACAUAUGAGGACAUAUGUAUAUAAACCAUUAGCCUUUAAACAACUACUAAACAAGUCAAGACACUCUAGGACAUGACAAACACUUUUCAUAAGUGUUAUAAGUGCUAAAGAGUGCAUCUAACUCUUGAGUUUACGGCCAUAAACUCCUAACCACUUGACCAUUUGAUGUUUUGAAGUCUUCUAAGCUAUGCCAAACAUUCCUACUUCAUGUAUAAGCCAUACGAAGUGUUGUGUGGCAUCAACAGACUCCUAAAUGGAGUUUACAUGGACCAUUUCUCCAUGAGUUUACUACCUUAAACUCAUGAGUUUACUACGUCAAACUCAUGAGUUUACUACCUUAAACCCAUAAGUUUGGUAUUUGGGGGUUUUCAAGUCCUUAGCUCAAUCAUGGCAAUAGUUUAGAAUAGAUUUAGACAUAAGGAACAACCAUGGGACUUUUAUGGGACUUUUAUGGGACUUUUAUACACCAUUUGGGGUGUUGAUGGUUUUGGGAGAUCCCAAAACCGUAAACACAUAAAAAUAUAAGGGUUUGGUGAUUUUUGUGUGAUAAAAUCAUCGAGGAUCAAUCUAGACAAGUCCUUAAGGCAUGGUGAAGCAUCUAGGCACCUUAAGGCACCAAUUUGCACAUAAUCUUGGUGUUUACGGUUUUGGGACCUCCCAAAACCGUGAAAACCUUUAUCUUGGUGUUACAAGCUUAAUAAGACUCAAGGAUGGAAGUGCUUACUAUAAGGAAGCUUGAAUUGAGCUAAAAGUCCAAGAACACUUAGUGUGUGUUGUUGGUGUUCUUGGUGAUUUUGGAAAACUAAUCAAAACACAAAAAUAGAUGGAUUAAAGCAUGUACAAUCACUAGAUUAAGUGAUAUACUAACUUGAAAGAGCUAGAAACACUUACUAGAUUGAAGAUAUUGAACAAAACUUGGAUGAUACUUGAGAGGGUUUUUGAGUUUACUCUUUUAGGGUGAAGAAAUGAAAAGUGACUAAUUUGAGGAGUAAACUCAUGCUUAUGCAUGAGUUCACGGUUUUUGGAUGAUUUUUCGACCCAAACAUAAAAGUUUGGUCGUGAACUUCUAAGACACAAGGUGUUUGCGGUUUUUAAAUUUCAAAACCCAAGACGGCACUUUCUUUCACCCGUUCGUUUAAAGAAUAAUAUUAAAUAAUCAAACGAAUUUUAAAUUUGCUAAAAAUAAUUAAUAAUGUAAUUGACCUAUAAAUCGAAGUAAUUGACUUUUAGGGUUUGACCGAAUGAAAAUUUCGAGUUGUCACAUCAUCCCCCUGUUAAAGGGAAUUUCGUCUCGAAAUUUGAAUUUAGGGAAGGAAGUAGGUAUGAAUGAUCGAGUCAAGAGGUGGGAAACUUCCUAAUCGAUUGUUUCUCGCGCUCAUAAGUGAAUUCAGGCCUUCGGUUGGUAUCCCAACGAACCUUCACUAUAGGGAAGCGGCGCUGCUUCGUCCGCUUGACCACUCGGUCGAGGGUCACUACGGUUCUAAUACGAAGGCGAGGAUCUUGUUAAUCUCGAUCUCGUCGAGUGAGCUUACGAGAGUCCUAACGGAAAGGUAUGGUUUCAAGAUCGAGACGCGAAGAGUAAAAUAUACGUUACUGAUUUCGUAGAGUAGGUUUAGUCUGUGAGAUAUAGGACCGAUUCUGGUAAGAAUCUCGGAGGUCCUGACUUUCUUGGAUUUAGCUUUUCACGCUUUACGAAGCGCAUUAAGCCAUUCCUAGAGUGAGUUUUCCUAAAGAACUUGGUCUCUCACUUGGAAUCUCCAAGGUUUUUUUUCUUGUUUAACAUCCCAGUCAAGGGCCACCCCUUGCUGGGACAAAGUCGUAAAGGUUUCUGUGAUUUGCGAGGAGUUCUAGAUGAACUAUGACAGUAGGUCUGUAAGACAUAGAAUUUGGUGAAUUCCUGUCGGCAUCCCUGAUGUUGACAAAUGCUCAACGGUUUUGAUAAAUUGACAAAGUACUCAAGAAUUUCCACAUCACUAAUAGUGUGUCUUAGGAAAUUUUGACUCUUCAAUUCCAAAACUCGUGUUCAGAGAACUUUGCGAAAAGUAUCUCCAAGGGUAAUGUUUCUGCGGGUUCCUUCUUAAUACGAGGGCAGAUAAGUAAGUCGUUACAUGGAGAAUGACGAAAUGAUCCAAGUAAGAAAGACGGACUCUAUUCAUUAAACUCAUGAGUGCUUCAGGCGUAUUGGUCCUAUCCGAGGGGUAUCACUACGGACUCGAAGUGUCCGCAUCGAGUUCGGAAGGUAGUCUUCCAGACAUCCUUCCCUCACACUGAAACUGGUGAUAUUCAGAUCUCAAGACCAUUUCUGAAAGUAAUUAUUUCCUUGCGUUUGCUCAACCGAUUCAUCUAUGCGAGACAGAGGCAACGAUUUCUAGUGGAAAAAUCUGGACGGGGUCCUCGAUAGCCGAUGUACAUACGAUGCAAUCCGUCGACCUCUGGAAGAAUAAGACCGGAGUUCUCCAGGGUGAGAAGCCUAGUCUUCCAAUUCUAUUUCUGUGUAGUUUGCUAAGUUGUUCAGACUGUUCUUGUAUCUCCGUAGUUAACAUGUGGCAUAAACUUUGUGCUUCAAUCCGGAAAACCCAAAAAAUAUACAAUUUUUAUUGUUGUUCACGGAUCGCCUUUGACAAAAUUUCUCAAAAAUGGGUAGAAAUUGUCAGUUUCAAAAUUCUGCAGUGACCCGUUGCGCCCAAAACAGCAAAAUAUGCAAAACUCUCCUCCUUUUUCAAAUCUGGGUAAAAAGCGUCAAUUUGCACGAACUGCAGAGGCCUGAAAUGCAUAAUCAUCAAUUUUCAGCAAAAAAAUAGUCUUUUUUCGAAUUUGGGUGAAAACUGCCAAAAAUUCGAAGUCUCAAGGACCAUCUUCGUAAAUUCUGCCCUUUUUGCUCAAACAUACGAAGACUAGUUCAAAAAUACGAAGCCUUAACCAAUUUUCGAAGUUGGGUGAAAAGUGUCAAACAUACGAAACAUGCUAUAAUUUUCGAAGUGACAGAAAUUCGAAGGUUCAGGGGCUGUUUUCGAAAAUGUGUCAUUUGACAAAAACAUUCGAAGCUUUUUGAUACCAUACAUAAGAAGCCUUUUUCCAAUUGACAACCAUUCGAAAUUUGAAGGACUACAUUCGAAAUCUUUUCUUCUUCAAUUCAUACGAAGAACGAAGGAUACGAAGACUUGUUCAUGAAUAGUAAAACUCUUCGUAUGUUCAAUCAGUAACCCUUCGUAUAUUCAUCCAUACCCUUCGAAUCUAAAUCCAAAUCACUGUCUUUGUUCAUUAACAUCAAUCCAAAACACAGGAACCCUUCGUUCAAAUCCAAAACAACUUUGUACCCUUCGAAUCUGGACUCCAAAAUCUAUUUCCUUUAUACCCUUCGAACAUUGAAUACACUAUCACCCUCAAUACCUCCUUCGAACAUCAAACCCAAUUCCAAAAACCUUCUUUAAUUCUGCUCCAAUUUCGUUUCACAGGUACAAACAUCACAAAAGAAAUUUUCGUGACUCAAAAACUUUCGUGAGUCCUGAAACACCAAAACCUCUUAAAUCGAUUUCUCAAACUCCAUAUCUCAGCCUUCGACAAUUAGUAACCCAAGUGAUUCUUCGUAUGUGAGACCCUUCAUACACCAUACACCAUCGAUCAUCAAAUCUCAAGUCAGAAUCAUUCGAUUGUUAACCCAGGCAUCUCGAUUCCAAAUCUUAGUUCUCAUAGUUCUUCCCAUAACGAAGCAAAUACCAUCAAUUUAACGAAGCAUCAUAAACCCUUUCUUUUACAUCAAAUCAAUAUCAAAAUUUCAUCGACUCCCAAAAUCGAGUUCACUGAAUCGAUUCUUCAAAAUCAAAGGGCGAGAUCGAAUUCAUCAACAAAAAGGUUUCGAUUUUGAUUUUCUUUUAUACUUUUCAUACCCGACAAUCAAGAAAUACCUAAUUGAUCUUCUUGAUUUGUUCUUUCAACAAUCCAAUCCAAAACCAAGAUCUCUCAAUUUCGUAUCAUUAAAGAAGAAUAAACUUCUUUAUUAUCGCAUCAUCAGAAAGUUAGGAUAGCUUAAAACGAUUUAGAUGAAAACGAUUUUGAGAUAGAAAAUUCAAAUUGAAAACUUAAAUCGUGAUGAAAAUAGGAAUCAUGAAUGAAGAUUAUAAGCGAUUUUGAGAAAAUUGAUAUGAUGAACAACAAUUAUGAAUCAAAUUUAGAAAUGAGAUUUUGAAAUCGAACUGAUGAACGAAAUUUGAUUAGUCAACAAUGUAAGUUUGAUGAAUAGAUUCAUAAACAAAUUUGGAUCAAACCAAAUAUGGAUCGAAAUUCAUUGGGCCAGAUCAAAAAUAAUUUGGGCUAAACAAUACGAAUUGACUAUCAACAGUUACAAACCCAUAAUAUCAUCUCCAAGAUAAAAUGCUUAGAUCGGACCUUGAUCAACAAAUAAAUUAUUAGAUCACAACAAAUGGGUUUUUCAAGAAAAAUUUGAUCCAAUGAGUCAAAUGAUCAUAAAUCAAGAACGUAACACACGAAUCAAUGAAAUUAAGAGAGAUCAUAGAGAGAGACUCACCAAAAUUGAUCAAAUUGCGACAAAAAUUGCCAAACCGAGAAUCGUUCUUCAAAUAUCACCUUGAUCUUGAAGACCCGCUCUGAUAAUAAUUGUAGAGGUGUUGAUUAUGAUGGCAUGUGCGGAAUUAGGAAAGAUCUAGUAAUUCAUCAUACAAAUUCAAGAACACAAGGAGUAAAUAAAUCUUUGUAAGCUCUUAUUAGAUCUAGAAAGAUUAUACAAAUGGAUUUGUAUACAAAUUCUCUCUCUAGUCUAACACUCCAAAUGGACUCUUACAUAAUGGGAGUCACUCACUUCCUAUUUAUAGGAAAAGACUCAACCCAUUUACACAUACAAAGAGGAAAGCCUAAAACACUACAUCCAAGAGUGACUUUGCACCCUAAGACGUAGUUGUUUAGACUGUAGGGCGAUCGGUUUACAGGAGUCAUACUGGGUUCUAAGUUUGUUCACAUGACGAUGCGAUUACUCAUAGUCUUGGGCAGUCUCUGUCCUGAAGUUCACAUUAGAAUUCACACUUGGUUCAACGAUCACAAUAUCGUGUAUACGAGUCGUAUAUAAUUAAGAUCGAAAAGGUAGUCGAAUAAAUGAUUCUUCUUUAAGCUCAUAUCCCAUCGAGAGAAAAUAUGUUAAAGUGAAAUCAUCAAUUCUAAACCUAUAGAACCUUGAUUAUAUAUCACCCCUAUGUAUACAUUCUUCAGCGACAGAUCAACCGUAUGGAUCUUUGGAUUUGAACUUGACGUACUGUACGAGUGGUACUUUUGGGAUUUCUUCAGAAAGGAAAAGAACUAUGAGGUACUCCAUGCAUGAGUACUUCGGUGUUCUGAUAUGACGGCUUCGCUGGAAAGGCGAUUUCGAAGAAAGAGAUGCACGUAUGAAGCUGGUUUUGGAGUGGAUCAAAUCGAAUCUAGAUGUAAGAAAAUGUCGGAAUCAUAAGGAGACUUAAAGACAUUAGAUUUGAACAUAAGACGUUACAGACAAAAUAGAACUGUGGGACCAUCAACAGAGUUACAACACUUUAGGCUUACUACACGACUAUUGUUGCGAAUAAGGUAUACCACAAAAGACAAGUAUAUGAUGGGUUUUGAGCAUUCUAACACUUCCUAAGUGUACAUGCAACCCUAAUAACCUUGGAUCUAUGUUUGUCUAAUUAUCAUGCAAAGUUGAAUUCCAAGGUUAUAUUCCUAUCUAGCAUACAUGGGGAACAAUUUUAACUUGAAUCAUAGAUAGAAUAACUUACCUUGUUGUUGCUUGUGUUCCUUGAAACCUUGUGAGCCUAGCACCCCAAGUGUGAUGCCUCAAAUGCUUCACACAACACCAAAUGCUCUUGGAAAGACUCUUGAGAUAACACACACUUCUCAAAAUCGGCCAAGCCCUCUAGUUUCUUAGUGUAGCCGAUUUUGGUGGAGAAUAUGUUUCUUAUAUAGUGUUGACACAUCUAGGGUUACACCAUGUAAACCCUAAUGUGUCAUGACUCUUCAUUUCCAUGACCCAUGGGUUUGUAACUCCCAUGGAGCAUCCAUGGAGCAUCCUAUGGGUAGAACCCAACUUGAUAAUCCAUGGAGCCUCUUAGCCCACUAUACAAGAUAUGGAUGAUUUACAUAAUCAACCCAUAUAUUUAAUUAGUUAUCCUUUGAUCACUUAAUUAAUUCCAAAUUAAUUCUUUGAUCAACUAAUCAAAUAAUAUUAUUAAUAUAUUAGAACUUAUAAUAUAUUAAUAAUCUCCAAGUGUUAUUUCUCUCAUUUAGUCUAUCCAAUUGCAUGGUGCCAUGCAACCCAAAUGGACCAUGCCGGGUCGGGUCAAGUACACACCUGAAAUAGUUAUGGACUUAGACACCUUAUCCAACAGUAUACGCAUCACAGGGGUCCCUUAACAGAUAGGCUCCCUCAAAAGGUAACACUCGGGUCACACUAAAUUAAAACGGUUUAUAAGUCUGUUACAACGAAACACCUUAAUUAUAUUAACGUGUGUCCAUAGUAGGCUCUCCUGCAGCUGUGAUCCUGAGAAUCUUCCCGUCUGCGCCAGAGUUCUGUGCUAUCGGGCAAUCCUUCUUGAGGUGUCUAAAUUCACCGCAUUGGUGACGUAUCUGGGCAACACCAGCAUUGGUGGUGGAAGUGAAGCGUCGAGUAGGAGUUAUGUGGACACGGUUGCUUUCGUUGAUCUUCUCUUUUGGACAAUUUCUGUAAUAGUGCCCUGCCUCACCACAACUAUAGCAAACUAGGCUUGCUCUAGUGGUGGAGGUAGUUCUAUAGAAAUGAGCAAUGUGCCCCCAUCUUGUUGCAAUUAUUGCAUUUCCAGGCUCGGCAAAUUCCCUUGUGGUGGUAGUUGCACCGGUCGCACUUCGGGAGUGUUCCUUCAUAUGGUCUGCUCGACACUGGGAUGACAGCGGUUUCCACUUGUUUUUGUUGCAUGGCAAUUCUCUGAAAUCGUUUGAGUUCCACUUUGGCUUGACGUUUUCUUUUCUUGAACUCUGAUUUGUUGUUUUGGGUGGUGGCGACUGUUACUAUUUGUUGAUUUCUCGGAUCAUUAACACGAUCAAUUUGUCAACUACUUUUUUAGUCUUGCUUGCGUUGACAGUGUUGCGGUUUGCAAGGACAGCUGUCACGACAGACAUCACGGCAGCUGUAACUGCGGUUUGAAAAGUAGUGGCGUCCAUAGGAAAAGCAGAGGUUUUGUUGUUUGCCUGGCUGCUUCCGGAUGAAGACAUGAUUCUGUAACACAAAAGAUAAGGAUUUUGUGAGCGAUUCUGGUUGUCGCUAGAUGUACUUCGAUUGUUCAAGUAAAGAGUAGAAGUAUGUUCGCGAAGGUUUGACCUACAUCCCUACGAUGCAGUCCUAGUACUGAGUGGAAGUGAGGUUGUAGAAUGGUCUCAUGACGUUUUUCGUUCAAGCCGAGGUAUCGUUGGUUGGUGAAUAACAUGAUCCAACCAAUGAAAGAGACUCGGAAAUGCCUCCGGAGUUAAAUUACUAUAGUCUAAUGACUUGACUAAAGCAUGUUUCAGAUAGACUCCAAUGAAAGUAUGCUAAGAGUACUUGAACAAAGAAUGACACGGAAGUUAGCCGACUCUCCAAAUCUUUGAUAUUCAUGACGUAAAAGUUCGGGAAAAUUACCUUGUAAAAAGGUCUUACAUCAUAUCUAGAGAAUAUAGUUCUUGACAGCAUAAAGACCUAACCAAAAGCACUUACAGUACAAAAUAGUUUCAUAGAAAAUGUGACAUCGGACAUAGACAAGAAAAACAAUUCCUUUUAACAAGGAAAAUAAAGUAACACGUCUAUUACUGGCGACGGUCAUCCCUCUGGUGAACUCUUAGUUCAGCUAGUUGACGUUCCACAUCAAGUAGGUGUCUUUCGUACACUCUCUGGCGUACAUGGAGUUCUAUGACUUCGGCUCGUGAUUCAUCCAGUGCUUACAGCAGGGUUUCAUGGUUUCUCUCAGAUCUCUCACGAGCAUCUUCUAGAUGAAUGAUGCGGAGGGUAUGCAUUCUCGCAUCGGCGACAACUUCUGUGAUCUGAUGUAGGGCUGUCCUGCCUUGAAUCUCAUUUCGGGCCACUCUGCGGAACAAUAUUGGCAAGAUUCUGUCUGCUCAGCCCCCAUUGCUCAGGUCAUAAAAGCUUUUGUCACCAUUAAAUGGCAUGGGCUGAUCUUGUCCUUGGCUCCAUGUUUCCAAGCAUUCCACCCACUCAGGCGUCAGGCCAUGAAAAGCCGCAUGGGGGUUAGGAAUUGGAACGGGAGCUGUCGGGGGUAGGUUCUCAACCUCAGGUUCGGAAUUAGCACCGUCCGAAAGGUCUUGAUCAUGGUGAUCAUUCAAAGGGAUAGGAUGAUCAUUAACUGGUUCUUCUCCAAACCAACCAGCAAUGACUUCGUUAGGGAGAUACUGGUUGCCGUGGGGAUGGAGUCCAGCCAUGAUAUCUACGCGAGAAUUGCGGUAAGAAAUAAUUAGUAAACGAACUAUCUAGAUAAUUGUUUAGAAAAUCUUGAUUAGUUACAUCGCUAUUUGUGAAGUGCAUACCAGUUAUAUGUAAUCGAAACAGGAUAGGCUUUUGAAUAAGUGACCUUAACUCCAAAUUCACACAGAAUAGGGGUAAAGCAAAAUUUUCACAGAUUCUAAGUCUACAAUAUCCUAGUUAGAUAUAGCCUUAGUGUAUCCACUUAGCAACUAUCAACUUCGUAAUGAAGAUCCUGUUUUAGUUCUCAAGUAUAAAGUACUUAUACUAACACCAAAUACUCCUAUGGUGUUUUAAGUUUAAUGUUAUGUUCUACUAUUCUCAUUGUGGUAGGGUUGGUAAGAUUUUUGACUUGUUGCAACCACAUAACUACUCUUAGGCACAUGCUACUCAACCCUCGGAUAAUAUAGUUGAUCAGGCUAUAUCUUCCUAGUUUUUGACUAUAUGUAUCUAAGUCCACCUGUGUUGCCCAACAAUCGUAUUUCUUUUGUAUUGUCCUAGUGACACUGACUUUAGUAUGAAUGCAGGCACGUAUACUUAAUUAAAUAUUUUAUUAUUUAAAGUAUCAACUCUUGGUCAGAGUAUUUUUAAUCCCAUUGUAUUUAUAUCUAGUAUAUCUUUUAUAGGUUGAUAUACUUAAUUCACUAUAAACAAUGCUCUGAUAUCAAUCUGUCACACCCUAAAACCAUGAACGGCGGAAACGUUCUGGGGCGGACGACGUCAUGUACAGUAUCACAAGAAUGAAAAGUAGUAAACAAGCAACAACAUCAUCCAUUGCAUUAAUAAUAUAAUUUUAAUACAAGUGUGUUGUGUCAAAUUAUAAUAGACACUAAAGUAUAAAUCAAAAAGAAAGAUGAGUCUUGAACGAGCACCAUCUUCUCUGAACCUUGCAUCGGUACCUGUCUAUGGUUGACCUGAGGAAACAAGUUAUUUUGAAAGAGAGUAUUAGCUCUAAACCUGGUGAGAUCAUAAGUAUUUUAGUGUCUUAAUUUGUAUGUAAGUAUUUAUAUGUAUAUGAACUGUAAGUAUUGAAAAUGUAUAUGAACUGUAAGUGUUUAAAAUGUAUAUGAAAUAUAAGUAUGAAAAUGUUUUGUAUGAUCCUAGGAAUCCCUAUGUUUCCUACUAAUCUUAUCCUUCUACCAAAGCAUCUAGUGUCUGUGUGUGUGGCUCUUGUAAGAGUGUGCAUUUUCCCAAAUCUGACUAUCAUUAAUCCAAAAAUAUAGUUUCUACAUUACCGCACGUCGUGUGAAUGUUCACUAGGUGAAUGUAAUGGGAAAAUGAAACAGUACUAUGGUGUAGUAUCGAACUACAACCAUACUAAUUACCUUAAGUCUAUGGUAAUUUUGUAAGUACUAUAGUAUUUGUAAUAAGUGACUACUUUUGUACUAAUAUUUCCUUAUUUAAGGAAUAAGGCAUAAUGUGAUGGCUAGAUCCCAGGCUAGACGCUCCCCUGUCAAAGGGAUUUUGGGACCCAUACACGACCCCUACAUAUCUGCAAGUCGUGAACAUCCACAUUACUAUGAUCACUUAUACCCAAUAUAACUAUCACAAUGCAUUGUGAUUCAUUGGUAUAGUUAGAUCCUAAAAACGUUCCAUGCUAUAGCACCUAGUGAUGUAUGUUCUAUUACCAUAUAUGUAAAGAUACUCAUGUAAACUUAUCUAUGUAAACGUACUCAUGUAAGCAUAAUCAUGUAAUAGUAUAGUAGUGUACUGUAAUGUUCUGCAUGUGCUAGCUGUACCGUGUGUUCUCUCUCUAUCUAGCAUGUAUGUUUGUUUCUCAUCACUAUGUAUUAUGUUUGUUUCUCAUCACUAUGUGUUAUGUUUGUUUCGCUUCACUAUGUAUUAUGUUUGUUUCUCAUCGCUAUGUAUUAUGUUUGUUUCUCUUCACUAUGUAUUAUGUUUGUUUCUCUUCACUAUGUAUUAUGUUUGUUUCUCAUCACUAUGUACUAUGUUUGUUUCUCUUCACUAUGUAUUAUGCUUGUUUCUCAUCACUAUGUAUUAUGACUCAUGUAUGAACUGACUCUUUGUAUGAUUCAUUGUUCUAGUAUUAGUAUCUUCCUAAGCUACCCAUACGGUAGCUUACUAGUAAUCUAACUGGUACAUAUGAACAUGGAAGUAUACCCUUGCUACCCAAGGGUAUUGAAUGAACUAGGAGAACCUUUAUGACUAUAUAUGUACACAUGAUAUAUAACUAAUAUUUAGACGACCUUCAGACGGGUACCCGAUAUCCCACCAGACCACAUCUCAAGCACGAAAAGGAAAUAGGGUGGAUAGCCUUCCUAUGUCUUUUAAACAUUUCUUAUAUAACUAUACAUAUAUAGGCAUGCAAUUGUUAAUAUAAAUGCAUGAAAUAAGUUUUGUAAAACCUUUGAAAAUAAUUAUUAUCUAAGAAAAGAUUGACUUGAUGUCAAUCUAUAAAACGGGUUGAAAGCAUGUGUUUGAUAAAUCAGUUUACGUAUAAAUUAACAUUUGGUGGAAACACAAUUGUAAAUGAGUUUGAAAUGAAACAUACAGUGUAAAAUGAACUGUUUAAUAAGGAGUUUUAAACAUCUAAAACGUUUAUGAAAAUCAUGUGAAGAAAACUGUUUGGUAAAACAAUUAAUGAGUAGUAAAUCAUUUGAAUGCCGCUUAUUAAUCACAUGUGAUUGAUAUAAUAACUAGCAUGAUUCUACUUGUACCCCCACCAUAAAACAUUGAUUAAGGAGUAUGAACUCACCUGUUGUGAGUGGAUCGGAAGGAAGUGUCGGAUAAGUGCUUGGUGUCAAGUGAAGACUUAGACACGUACAAAGAUCCCAAUUACAUAUGAGGACAUAUAUAUAUAAACAAUUAGUCUUUAAACAACUAAUAAACAAGUCAAGACACUCUAGGACAUGACAAACACUUUUCAUAAGUGUUAUAAGUGCUAAAGAGUGCAUCUAAGUGUUAUAGGGAAAGGCUAGUGUCUUUGGGUUUCAAGGAACACUCCUAAAAUGAGUUUACUCCCUAAAGACCAACACCCCUUGAGUUUACGGUCGUAAACUCUUGAGUUUACAGCCGUAAACUCCUAACCAUUUGACCAUUUGUUGUUUUGAAGUCUUCUAAGCUAUUCCAAACAUUCAUACUUCAUGUUUAAGCCUUAGGAAGUGUUGUGUGGCAUCAAAACACUCCUAAAUGGAGUUUACGGUCUAAGGACCAUUUCUCCAUGAGUUUACUACCUUAAACUCAUGAGUUUACUACCUUAAACUCAUGAGUUUACUACCUUAAACCCAUAAGUUUGGUCUUUGGGAAUUUUUCAAGUCCUUAGCUCAUUCAUGGCAAUAGUCUAGAAUAGAUUUACACAUAAGGAACAACCAUGGGACUUUUAUGGGACUUUUAUACACGUUUUGGGGUGUUUACGGUUUUGGGAGAUCCCGAAACUGUAAACACAUAAAAAUGUAAGGGUUUGGUGCUUUUUGUGUGAUAAAAUCAUCGAGGAUGAAUCUGGAAAAGUCCUUAAGGCAUGGUGAAGCAUCUAGGCACCCUAAGGCACCACUUUGCACUUAAUCUUGGUGUUUACGGUUUUGGGACCUCCCAAAACCGUGAACACCUUUAUCUUGGUGUUCUUGGGACUUUUCUUUGAUGCUAACAUGUAAUACAAGCUUAAUAAGACUCAAGGAUGGAAGUACUUACUAUAAGGAAGCUUGAAUUGAGCUAAAAGUCCAAGAACACUUAGUGUGUGUUCUUGGUGUUUUUCGAAAGCUAAUCAAAACACAAAAAUGGAUGGAUUAAAGGAUAUAAAAUCGCUAGAUUAAGUGAUAUACUAACUUGAAAGGGCUAGAAACACUUACUAGAUUGAUGAUAUUGAACAAAACUUGGAUGAUACUUGAGAGGGUUUCUGAGUUUACUCUUUUAGGGUGAAGAAAUGAAAAGUGACUAAUUUGAGGAGUAAACUCAUGCUUAUGCAUGAGUUCACGGUUUUUGGAUGAUUUUUCGACCCAAACAUAAAAGUUUGGUCGUGAACUUCUAAGACACGAGGUGUUUGCGGUUUUUAAAUUUCAAAACCCGAGACGACACUUUCUUUCACCCGUUCGUUUAAAGAAUAAUAUUAAAAUAAUCAAACGAACUUUAAAUUUGCUAAAAAUAAGUAAUAAUGUAAUUGACCUAUAAAUCGAAGUGAUUGACUUUUAGGGUUUAACCGAAUGAAAAUUUCGAGUUGUCACAGGUUCCCACGUCCAUUUGGAACCCUUUUGAUACUACUACUGAAUCUUGACUAAUGACACUGCCUUGUUGCCCAAGGUCUUCACCUUCUGAUACAAAAUCGUCAGUGAUCUCUUAAUAUAACUCAGGCGAUCAUCAACCUGAACAUUAUCUAAAGGAACAAUAGCUGAAUUAUCGGCCACACACUUCUAAAGCUGUGAAACGUGGAAGGUGUGGUGGAUCCGAAUAAGGUCCACAGGUAAAUCUAGUAUGUAAGCUACCUGGCCAACCCUGACAAUCACCCGAAAUGGCCCAAUGUAUCGGGGCCCUAAUUUUCCCCUCCUCAUGAAGCAUAUUACACCCUACUAGGUGACACCUUCAAUAACAACAUGUUUCCAUCGUGAAAAUCCAACUCAAAUCGGCUCUUGUGAGCAUAACUUUUUGGUGGACUCUAGGUGGUCUGUUGUGACAUCCCCAUUUUCACGGCCAGAAAAGACCGAUUUGUUUCUGCUUUACUUUGAAAAUCAAAGUAAACUUUUAAAGAAAAGUGUUGUUGAAUUUGUUCCCAGAAAACAUGAUAAAUACGUUAUCAGAGCAUUUCCGAAGAAAUUUAUUUAAUUCAUUUUAAAACUUUGGGAUUUCAUCAUCAAUACAGAAAAAUAAGCAUAAAUAGAACUUCCAUUCAUUAUCACUAGUGAUUUAUAUCUCCUUAAUCUCUCAAUGUAAAGUAACUUCAUAUCGACACCUCUUAUACAAAUAAACUGAGUGGGUCAGGAUGGGAAACCUGGUGAGUACAUAGUGUUCUAAAUCCCACAAUGUUAUAUCAUAUAUAAUCUAGAACUCACAGAAUACACAUUUUCACCAUAUAUAUAUAUAUAUAUAUAUAUAUAUAUNNNNNNNNNNNNNNNNNNNNNNNNNNNNNNNNNNNNNNNNNNNNNNNNNNNNNNNNNNNNNNNNNNNNNNNNNNNNNNNNNNNNNNNNNNNNNNNNNNNNNNNNNNNNNNNNNNNNNNNNNNNNNNNNNNNNNNNNNNNNNNNNNNNNNNNNNNNNNNNNNNNNNNNNNNNNNNNNNNNNNNNNNNNNNNNNNNNNNNNNNNNNNNNNNNNNNNNNNNNNNNNNNNNNNNNNNNNNNNACAAAAUAUACAAUUUCACCAUAUAUAUAUAUAUAUAAGCAACUCUUACCCCACCCCAUCGAUCCUCUCAACGACACUAUCCACUCUGGGGCCUUAAAGUUUACCUCUUACUUAAUCCCUACUCCCGAAUCUAAUACAUGCUCUCAUAUCAUUAAUUGCGCCCAUUCCAUACUCUCGGACUAGGGAAAAUGUCUAUUCCUAAAUCCGUACUCCGGAUUAAUGUCAAAUAACUAUGUCCUAUCCAUAAUCCCCGAAUAAGGACAGUUGAGUAUGUCUUAAUCCACACUCCCAGAUUAAGACACCGGGGCAGUGCGCACUCUAAGUAAGAAUCCUUUGGGUACUAAGGAACAAGUAAGGUUGAGUUAUCGAGUGCGAGUAUGAUCGAGCGAGUCUCUGAGAUUAUUACAUUGUAUUUCAGCGACAUAAUGGUUGGGACACGCCCAGACCUGAGGCGAGCAGUGUGAGUGAUGAGUAGCUUCGUCAGAUGAUCCACGAUGAGGUGGUAGCGGCGAUCCGAGUCGAGAUUCUGUAGAUGUUUGGGUCUAUCAAGACCACACUGAUUGAGAAUUUCGAUGAGCGGUACGCCGCGAUGACUGAGGCUGCUGCUGCUGCAGCUACUGCAGUUGUGGCUACUGCCAGACCUUAGGGAGGUGACUCGUUGUUUCUUCGAGAGUUUAGCAACACGAAGCCACCAGAGUUUGAUGGGAUGCAGGAUCUGAUCGCUGCAAUGAGAUGGAUUGCUAAUAUCGAGGGAUGCUUCUAUACGUGUUCAUGUACGGAGCAUCUGAGGGUACGGUUCGCGUUGAACCAGCUCCACUUGGGAGCGAAUGAUUGGUGGAAGUUCGUGACAGCGAGCUUCACUCUUGCAGAGAUUUCAGCGGUGACCUGGGAGAGGUUCACCACCAUGUUCAGAGAUGAGUAUGCUCCUUGGUGGAGAGAUAAGAGUUGGUUCACGAGUUCUUGACCCUCAAAUUGGGUACUGACUCUGUUACUAUGGUUACCAGGAAGUUUCAUGAGAGGGCGAUGUUCUACCUUGAGCAGGUGUCUUCUGAGCAGGCACAUAUGAUCCCGUAUUUGGGCGUUUUGAGGAGAGACAUUCAGGACUUCGUGUCCAACUCGACUUACCGGACAUUUGCUGAGCUCCAGGAACAUGCCCGGAAGAGGGAGAUUGACUUAGAGACUUAGGCCAACAAAAAGGCUGAGGUUCAGAGGAUGGAUUGGCGGUCGGCACAGUCUCAACCGGCAGCCAAGCGGGCCAAGUCCGCUGAUACGAGAUCUAUAGGCUAGAAGGGCCGCACUUACGGAAAGUGCGGCAAGGGACGUGAUGGGGUCUGUCGAUCGGGUGCUUGCUACAAAUGUGGCAAGGAGGGGUAUAUCGCCAAGGAUUGCCCCAAGGGAUUUAUGGUUUUCUUUCAUUGCAACAAGACUGGCCAUCGGAAGGCCAAGUGCCCACAGUUACAUCAGGGAUCAUCACAGCGAUCUGCACCUACUGCUAGGGUUACCGAGGUUCGGCCAGUGAAGGCCAUGACACUGAAGGCUCGUGGGAGAGCUUUCCAGUUGACAGCGAAGGAGGUCCGCACAUCGCCCGAUGUUGUGGCUAGUAUGUAUCCUUUAUUUAUUUAUGUUUAGUUGAGAUUUUGGUGCUUAUAUGAUGUUAUGCAUAGGUACUUUUCUUGUCAGUUCUGUACCUGCCUUAAUGUUAUUUGACUCAGGUGCGAGUCGAUCGUUUAUGUCGAUAGCAUUUAGUCGGCACAUCACUAGCAUACGAGAGGCAUUGAGUCGACCUCUACGAGUUUCCAUAGCUGACAAGUGAGUGGUGUAUGUUACUGAGGUGAUACAAGGAUGUGUACUCGAGAUCUUCGGUGUUGAGUUCCCGGUAGAUCUGUUCCCGAUAGCGAUAGGGGACGUGUGUGUCAUAGUGGGCAUGGAUUAGUUGAGCUGAUUAGGAGCUGUGAUAGACUGCAAGCGGCAGUUGGUGACGAUACGAGACCCCAGUAAGGGAGUACUUACGGUGUACGGUUAAUGUACUCGUUCUAGGUCAGCGUUUUCUUCGGCUGCCAGAGCGAGAAAGAGUUUGCAGAAUGACUGCAGCGGGUUUGUAGCCUUUGUGAUGGACACAUGAGGAGCCGCUGAGGGGCCAAGUUCGGUGGAUGACGUUCCGAUAGUGCGCGAGUUCCCAUAUGUUUUUCCUGAGGAGUUGUCGGGUGUGCCUCCCAGCUGAGGGGCCAACAUAGGGAGUUAUCGCCUUGCACUGCCAGAGAUGCAGGAGUUAUCCUCGCAGCUUUACGAGCUACUAGGGAAGGGGUUUACUUGACCGAGUAGCUCGCCAUGGGGAGCGUCGAUCCUUUUUGUCAAGAAAAAGGAUGGUUCACACUGGAUGUAUAUUGAUUACCGAGAGUUGAACAAGUUGACGGUCAAGAACCGUUAUCCAUUACUGAGGAUCGACGAUUUGUUCGAUCAGUUGUAGGGAGCGUCUUGGUUUUCCAAGAUUGAUCUGAGGUCUGGAUAUCAUUAGAUGAGAGUGUGUGAUGAGGAUAUCCAGAAGACAGCGUUCAGGACUCGUUACGGGCAUUACGAGUUCGUGGUGAUGCCUUUCGGGAUCACCAAUGCACCGGCAUCAUUCAUGGAUCUCAUGAACAGGGUGUGUAGACCGAUGUUGGGUCGUUCGGUGAUCGUGUUCAUCGACGAAAUACUGGUGUAUUUGAGAUCUAGAGACCAGUAUGAGGAGCAUCUAAGAGAGAUUCUUGGGGUAUUGAGGACGGAGAGGCUUUAUGCCAAAUUCUCCAAGUGCGAGUUCUGGUUGUGGGAGGUCCAGUUCCUAGGACACCUCGUCAACCAGGAUGGGAUAUUGGUCAUUCCGGCCAAGAUUGAGGCGUUGAUGUGUUGGGAGGUGCUGAGAUCCCCUUCGAAGAUCAGGAGUUUUCUAGGAUUGGCAGGUUAUUAUCGGAGAUUUAUCAAGGAUUUCUACAGGAUUGCUGUUCCUCUCACCAGGCCGACCCAGAAGGGUGUGGUUUUCAGUUGGGGCUCGGAGUAGCAGGCCUCAUUCGAUACACUUCGCCAUAUAUUAUGCAAAUCCAUAGUGUUAGCUCGCUCGGAAGGGAUGGAGAAUUUUGUGGUGCAUUGUGACGCAUCGAUAUCGGGGUUGGGUGCGGUGCUUAUGCAGAAAGGGCACGUGAUAGCGUAUGCAUCGAGGCGGCUGAAGCCUCUUAAGACGAGUUAUCCCACCCAUGAUCUUGAGUUGUUGGCAGUGGUGUUUGCCCUCAAGAUACGGACCAUAAGAGUUUGAAGUAUCUGAUGGAUCAACCCAACCUGAAUUUGCGAUAGAGGAGAUGGUUGGAUGUGGUAAAGGAUUAUGAAUGUGAAAUCAUGUACCACCAGGGCAAAGCUAAUGUUGUAGCUGAUGCGCUGAGUCGAAGAGCGGAGAGUGCCCCGAUUCGAGGCACUUGUAUGAGAUUGACAGCGAUGACUCCGGUGUUGGACACUAUUCUGGAGGCUCAGGCUGAGGACGUGAGACCGAAGAAACGCAAGAGGGAGCGGGUGAUUGGACAGGUACCUGGGUUUGUUACCGAUAGUCGAUGGCUAAUGACCUUUCAAGGUCGGAUUUGGGUGCCGUAUGCAGGCGGGGCACGUACAUUUCUGAUGAAGGAGGCGCAUCGAUCGAGAUUCUCGAUCCAUCCCAGGGCCAUAAAGAUGUAUUUGGACUUGAAGAAAGAUUAUUGGUGGCCCUGUAUGAAGAGGGAUGUCGCGUGGUUUGUCGAGAGGUGCUUGACCUGUCGCAAGGUUAAGGCCGAGCACCAGUGUCCUCAUGGCAAGUAGCAGCCGCUUGAGGUUCCCCAGUGGAAGUGGGAACAGAUUUCCAUGGACCUCAUCACCAAAUUGCCAAGGACCUCGAGGGGUGUUGAUGCAAUUUGGGUGAUCGUCGACCGGAUGCCGAAGAGCGCGUAUUUUCUUGCUAUCAGUGAGAGCUCUUCUGCUGAGAGGUUGGCAGAGUUGUAUGUGAGGGAGGUGGUAUCGCGUCAUGGGAUACCGAUCUCGAUCGUGUCAAAUCGAGAUGUAUGUUUCACUUCCAGGUUCUGGAAGAAGUUCCAUGAGGAGUUCGGUACGAGGUUGCAUUUCAGUACCGCCUACCACCCCCAAACGGACGGACAAAGUGAGCAGACGAUUCAGACGCUCGAGGACAUGCUCCGAGAAUGUGUGUUGGACUUCGGAGGAAGUUGGGACACGUAUCUUCCGUUGGCUGAGUUUUCCUACAACAACAGCCACCAUUCUAGCAUUGGUAUGCCUCCCUUCGAGGUGUUGUACGGGAGGAGGCGUCGGACUCCCAUUUGUUGGGGAGAGGUAGGGCAGCGUGUGAUUGGUAGCACUGAGAUAGUGCUUCAGACGGAAAAGCAGAUACAGCAGGUUAGACAGAGGUUACUGACGGCUCAGAGUCGUCAGAAGAGUUAUGCGGAUCGGCGACGAUCCGAUCUGGAGUUCCAGGUGGGGGACUACGUACUCCUGAAAGUAUCUCCUUGGAAAGGAGAGAUCCGAUUCAGGAAGAGGGGAAAGUUGGGGCCCCGAUACAACGAUUCAUUCAGGGUGACUACAAGGUUGGUCAAUGUAGCAUAUCGGUUAGAGCAACCGACGGAGUUGAGCCAGAUUCAUAAUACCUUCCACAUGUCGCAGUUGAGGAAAUGUAUAGCUGGUGAGUUGGCAGUGGUACCUUUGGAGGAUAUUCAGGUGGAUGCAAGUUUGAAUUAUGCGGAGAGGCCAAUCGCGAUCCAGGAUCAGAAGAUCAAGGUUCUGAGGAACAAGGAGGUGUCACUGGUGCAGGUCCAGUGGCAACAUCAGAAAGGAUCCGAGCUCACCUGGGACCCAGAGUUAGAGAUGCGGGAGCAGCAUCCAGAAUUGUUUGUCGAGCAGGACUUUGAGGGCGAAGUCUGAUUCUAGUGGAGGAGAAUUAUAACAUCUGGAUUCCCAGGUGUCUUAUUUUAUGUAGAUAUAUUGAAUUUUAGAGAGGGACUCAGCGAGUGGACGCUGAGACUCUUCGAAUGGGAUCGCGCAUGUUUUGUUCUGGUUUAAUGAAGGACUCGGCGAGUCCAUACGUGGACUCGGCGAGUCCAUGCUAUUUAAUGAAACCCUAAUUUCUCGGGUUUGAGACCUAUUUAAGGACCCUUAUAUCCAACAUUUGCAGCUACCAGACCCUUGAGAGAAACCCUAAUAGUGCUUGAUCGUUUGUGAGAGAGAAGAAGCCAUUAUUUGACCUUUGUGGGUUGGCUUUUGCAAGAAGAAGUUGAUUCCAGCUUAGAGGAGGCCAAGGAGGUUGCAUAUUUGUGGAUUUCAAGCAGAGGGCAUCAUCUUUGAGGUAGCAUAUCGAUCCUCUUUCUGUUUUGUUAAAGAAUCCUUGGAUCUAAGGCUUUCUAUACCCUUUAUUGGGUUGAUUUGUUGGGAAUAUGGUCCCUUAUCAUGUUUAGACUUCGGAUCUAGAUCAAUAGUGGUCCAGAGAACUUAUUCCAUCUUGCUUUAUUAGGAGCUAUGGAAGAAAUGGACUUAGGAUGUUAUAUUUGGGUCUAAAUAUUCAAGUAGAGCCUUAUGGAUGUUGCAUGAGUAUCAAGUUCGAACCUUUACGUGCUUAUUGAGCUUGGGAAGGUCAGAUCUACGGAUUAGAGGAACAGAUCUAACCUUAGAAGGUCAUUUGAAUGUGAGCAUGGGAUGAACUUGCCGAGUCCAUGAGCGGACUCAACAUGUCGAGUCGAGGUUGACCCGCGAUUCGUGUCGGGUGUAGCUCGUCGAGUGGAAGAAUGACCCAACGAGCCAAGAGAGUCUGAAAGGAUUCAGAGGACCCGUAUGGACUCGUCGAGUCGUCGUUGUGCACUCUGACAGUUCAGGUCAAAGUUUGACCGUUGACCUUCGUUGACUUUAAGGUUCUGGUCAAGACUAAUUCAGGGAGUUCAGGGUAGGGUAGAAUGGCCUUCUACCCAGUUUGUAGAGAUGAGAUCAUGAGAGAAUUCUAAUCAGGAUGUUAUUUGAAUAAUAGGAGGAGGCUAAGUCGGGACGUUGAGCACGAGAGUUUAUCUGACUUCAUUGAGGUGGGUCUUCUCACUAUACUGUACCUGGAAGCGUACCUAUGUGUGACCGGAAUGUCUUGUAUGCUAUGAUGUAUGUGCUAUAUGCACUUAUGUGAUAUGUAUGUGCUAUGUAUGUUAUGUAUGAUAAGGACCGGAAGGUCAAGAUGAUAUAUAUAUGUAUGUGCUAUGUAUGUUACGUUUGGUAAGGACCGAAAGGUCAAGAUGUUAUGGACCGGAAGGUCAAGAGGUUACGAACCGGAAGGUCGAUAUGGGUAGGACCAGAAGGUCUACCGGGAUUUGGGACAGAAGUCCCAUGAGACACAUGGAUCGGAAGAUCCUACAGAGUUAUGGCCUGGAAAAGGCGUAUGUGGGGUAUGUGGUAUUUUGGGGAACUCACUAAGCAUUUAUGCUUACAAUUGUUGUGUUAUGUGUUUCAGGUACUAGCGAGGAUCACGGGAAGCCGCCGACAUGAUCCGUACACACUUAUAGAGUUUUUGUCAUUUAGAUUAUGGGGACAUGUUUUGUUAUGAUACAGUGAUACAUUAUGUUUUAUGAUUUUCGUGUGAAUGAAAGUAUGAUUUAAAAAUGAAAAUUUGUUUUGAAAAAUUUACGUCAUUACAAAGGAAUUAGUCUUCAUUUCCCAAAGAAGAAUGUUCCCAUCGAUCAUACAAUACAAGUUGCAUGAUUCCAAGUUUCUAUCCAAUUGAAACUUGGUGAUGAGAAUCUUUCCUUAUUUUGUAAAUUUAGAUACUACCACAAAUGAAAGAAUCAAAUCCAUUUUUUAAUAUUGCUAAAUAAAAACAUACAAACAUCAAUUUUCACAAAUUCGCCAUUGCAAGGAAAUAUAAUAUAAGAUAAAAUCAAAAUUUUAUUUAUUUAUGAAAUGCAGAAAAACUUUACCUUACAAUGCAAGUGCAAAUGAAAACUAUGUUACUACAUAUUUCAAAGCAAUCUAUCAUAACUCCUUAGCAGCAUCUCAAAAAUCUGAUUCGCGAGCAGACUCAGCUUGCUUCUUCCUUUAAGCUUCCUUCGAUUCUAAAAACCAUCAAAAUGUAAUAUUAUCACAUCAUGUAAUAUUAUCAAAAUGUAAUAUUAGAUAGUGGACUUACCUAAAGAAAAGUCAAAUACUUUGACUUUACCCUCUCUUAGAUCUUUUAGGUAGUCAGAACAGCUUUGCUUCAAAUGUCCCUUCAAAUGGUAGCAGAAACAAGUGGACUCUUUGGCAUUUGCACAUGGAACUAUCUUAGAACUAGCUUUUCUCUUGUGGUCAAAUCUUUUGACCAUAGCCUAUUCCCUUCCCAUAGGAGAAGGGAUCAUCUACGGGCUAUCUAUGUCAUUGCCUAUGUCCAUGGCAGCAUGGGAGGUAGAUCGUCAAAUAAAAUUUGAUUGACCAAUACGCCAAAUCAUUGCUGAUUUAGUAGCGGUUAGCAAAUUGGAAAGAUCCAUAAGGGUCACGUCAUGAUCUGUCAUAUAGUAGUAUUUAACAAACUGACUAUACAACUCGGGAAGUGACUGAAAAACCCAAUCAACAGCCAGCUUCCUUGGGAAAACGACACCCAAAAUUUUGAGCUUGUCAAUAUGUGACUUCAUGUCCAAGACAUGUGCACACAUAGACCUUCCAUCUUGGUGUUUGCUAGACAAUAGAGCAUGAGUGACCUUGAAACUUUCAAGUCGAGGAACAUGUGGGUCGGGGAGAACUAUUGGAGGAGGUGGAGGAAGUGAAGUAUGAUAUUGUGAAAUAUCAACUUCAUGUGGAAAGCUUUUUCCAAAACAUUCGACAAGACCAUAGUUGUCAGAACUAGACAUCUACAAGGGAGAAAUUCAAGUUUAGUUUAUUUAAGUCCUUAAUAUAACACCCAAAAUGAAUUAUUAAGGCUAGGACCCAACACAAUAUUCUACAAUUCGGAAAAGGGAUGUCGUAAUCCAAUUGCAAAAUGUUUGAAGGUAGGUAAAUGACGAUUUACCAAUUUCCACCAAGAAAAACGAAAAUGUAUAUUAGGUUUUAAAUGAAUUGGAAUUCCUAGAUUCUUUGCGAUUCAUUGAACUUUUCAAUGACAUUUUUAAUCUCGAUUAUGCCCUACAAGUUUGUGACUAGGAUACCAAGGAUCACAAGCAAGGUGUGAAUAACCAUGCAAAUUAGCUUGGUACUCUCGUUGUCAUUAAUCAAGUAAUCAAUGUAUCGGUUAACCACACACGCUCCAUUGAUCAAUGAUAAUUUACGAGGAAGUCAUCCUUCAUUAGUCCACAUUAGUAUGCCAGUGAACCACACACGCUCCACUAACUGACCAAUAAGGUGCAAUGUGCAAUUUCAUGGGUUAGCUUCAAAUUCACAUUUUUCCUAAACUAACUAAGAUUAGGAAUUUAUAAAGUGUUUAGCUACUUUGUAUUUCAUUAUAGUUUUAUUGAGGAUUUAAGUGUCCUAUCAAACCAGUUCGGCUAACGGCCCUCCAUUGGUCAAGGGUGCGGUGGGUAAGAGUGGAUACCUAAUAGCAGUCAUUUUACAGGCCGCUUCCUUAAACACUCAUUAUAGACUCGCUUCGUGAAUGAGGCCUACUAACGGUAAGAAUGACUUUUUACUUAUACAUAUAUAAUAUAUUAAACUUUUAAUUUUAUAUAAUACAAGGGUGUAUUUUACACUUUUUAAAAUACUUUGUGGUUUAAUCUAUUAAUUACACUAUACUCUUAAUUUAAUUAAACUUGAAUCAUGUGAUUAUCGAUUUAUUAACCUAUUUUAAUUAAACACUUUAAUUAAUUAAAUGAAAUCCAUAAAGGUGUAAUUUGAACUAUUUAAAGCAUCAAGUUUCUAAAUAUAAAAAUUAAAAAUUAAAAACUGUUUAAUUAAUUUUUAAGUUAUGAACCUAAGAGUUGCAUCUUUUGAAACCUUCAAUUACAAGAGUGAAUGAUUUCAUAAUUAGAGUUUUCAUAUUGCAUAACUUGAGGGCAAGUAAUGAUACUCUUGAAAACUUUAGGAUUCCAUAACUUAUGGACUUAAUUUUGUAACUCCUUAAAACCUUUUAGUAUUCCAAAACUUAAAGACAAGUUUUAUAACUCUCCAAAAAAAUUUAGAUCAAAUUUUAAACAUAUAAAAUAACCAUUUUAACUUUUACCAAUUUGAUCAUUUAGCAACUCUUGUAGCAAGAUAAAUCAAAUAAUACAAAUAAUGAGUUUAUCAUAUAAACUAGUAAUUAUCUUAAAAUUUGGCAAUUUAUCUUUUAAUUGGAUGGGACACUCAUUAUCAUAUCAGAAAAAACAGAUUUUAUGAUACAAAACACUUUGUGGUAAUGAUCCUAAUCCAAUUCUGGCCAAAAGAAACCUGAAAAACUGCAAACAGACUGUUGAACUCAUCAUGUCAGGCAAUGGAGUCGUCGAUUUCAUCAUGAACUUGUCGAGUUCCAUAGUGGACUCAUCGAGUUCAUACUGGUAGAAGGCAGUUUUUCAGUUUUCUUCAGCUUUGAACAUUAACCAAUGCAUCUAUACAAUAAAAAACACUCAUGGCUCUGAUACCACUGUUGGGUUUUAUGUACUCUAACAUCCUUGUGGUACACAUACAACCCUAUUUUGCUUUGGAUCUAAUUUUUCUCUAGUUUUACAUGCAACAAAAAUUAUCCAAAGCAUGAAACCUAAAAUUAGCAUACAAUUGAUAUUUGAAUCAUAAAAAGUAGUUAGAAUAUUACCACUUGUUGUAGCUUGUUGAAUUUGGCAUUUGAAGAGUUUAGCACCCCAAGUGUGAUGCCUCAAACGGUUCACAACACGCCAUGAACAAUUACAUGAAUAUGACAUAGAGGUUUGGAGGCACAAAAUUGGCUAUCUCUUCUUUCGAACUCAUAAGGCCGAUUUUAGGCUAAGGGAAAAUACAAAUAUAGUGUAGAAUUCCAAGAGUCAUAUGAAAACCCUAAUUCUUACAAUUAGGCUUAUGACCUGAUAACUCAUAUGGACUAACUCUUCAUGGAACUUACAUAUAUUUAGUCCAUCAUGGAUCAAUAGCCUAAACCAUAUGUAUUACUAAUUUACAUAAUCAGUCCCCGUUAAUUUAAUUAGUCUCUUUUGAUCACUAAAUUAAUUCCAAAUUAAUUCUUGAUGAAUAGUAAUUAAAUAAUAUGAUUUCUCAAUUAAUAUAAUAUACAAAUAAUAUGUUCAUAAAUCACAAAUAACCUCUUUCUCAAAUAUCCAUCUUAUCAGAUUGUUCUGGGGAAUGCAACCCGAAAUGGACCAUGCUACUAUCAAUUCAAGUACAUACCAGUUAUAGCUAUGGGCUUAGACACUUAGUCCAAUAGCCUUCUCACUACACUCAUGGGUUCAAGGCACCAAAGCCGGCCCAUUAAUUGAUAUGAGAUUAUUAAUAUUGGAAUAUGUAAUGGUUUGCUAUUUGAUUUAUGUAUGGUUUUAUUUCAAGACCAUGGGGGGAGCCCAUGGCUCGGGGAUACCAGACCAUGUGGGUAGUCCAUGACAUUCCAUAUGAAGACCAUGGAUGGAGUCCAUGGCAAGCUUAUAUGUAUGUGUGAAUGGCAUUAUGUGUGUAACGCCCCAAAAUACGAGCCAAAAGUUUCAUUUUUGAAAACAUAUAUUUAGCAAAACAUUCGAAUAAAACGUUUACUGAUCAUAACAUUUUAUAAAGAUAUCGCAUGUCUGGAAAAACAUUUCAAUAACAUAAAAAUGUCAGAGUACAAAUCCCCAGGAUGGUCUCAUGAUGCGGAAUACGAAACAUGUGUGUGAUGGGCUGCUACCGCGCCAGCUCCUUCCCCUUCGAAGAAGAGGUACCUGAAACCAAAACUGAAAACUGUAAGCACGAAGCUUAGUGAGUUCCCCCAUCAUAUCGCAUAUCAUACAAUCACAUAACAUACAUAUUGUCGGGCAUUUCUAGGGUGCCCGACCUACUCGGUACAGCCUUUCUGGGAUGCCGACCUACCCGUGUCAAGCCAUUCUGGGGUGCUGACUACCCAUGUCAUGCCGUUCUGGGGUGUUGACUACCCUUCGGUCCUAACUACCGACCCUCGGGGACUAUUUCACCCCCUACUGCUACUAUCACAUAUAUCAUAACAUAACAUAUUAUCAGACAUAUCUAGGGUGUCUGAACUACCGUACGGUCCUAACAACCGAACUCGGGGACUAGUCCCCUCCUACUACCUCUAUUGCAUAUAACGUAAAAAGCCAGCAUGCAAACAUAUCAUCAUAUACUGUCAGACGUAUCUGGGGUGUCUGACUACCCUUCGGUCCUAACAACCGAACUCUAUUACUAUCACAUGUAACAUAUCAUGCUAACAUAUAACAUAUCAGGUAGUAGCAAACCUAGAUGAUAACACAAAGACAAUCAUCUAUCAUACAUUUCCUACUGGUGGGCCGGCAUUGUGGCCUUAGACCCACCGCUACUGGAAGGUAACUCACCUCGAAGUAGUUGUUGAUCUGUGUGGGAAAGGUCUGUCUACUGCUGCUUCGGAAAUCCUCCGACUGCAAUACCCACCAAACACUUAAUCAAUUACUGCUAACCGCCCUCAGGGUAAAUUGUCCAUUUACCCUUAACAAGUCAUGAGUCAAGUCACAGUCAACUGCCAGUUGACCAGACUCGCCGAGUUGGCUAGCCGACUCGCCGAGUCCCUUUCCCUUAGCCUGACCAUAAGUCCGUCUCUACUCGUCGAGUUAAGCGUAGACUCGACGAGUUUUCCUUCUAUACCCAAGGCCAAUAGUCCUUCAUCCUACUCGCCGAGUUGUAUGAACAACUCGCCGAGUUCAUCUUCAUCCGAAGAACACUCUAAGCUGUGACUCGCCAAGUUGUAUGAACAACUCGCCGAGUUGUUCUUGAGACAAGGAGAUUGCCGUGAACUCGCCGAGUCGUUGCAAUGACUCGCCGAGUGACUUUAUGAGUGAGUCUGGCCUCCAACCCACUGAGUCAUACCCAAUGACUCAGCACUCUAACUCGCAACACAAAAAGGGGAACAACCUGGGGACUCGNACUCGCCGAGUCCCUUUCCUUUAGUCUGACCAUAAGUCUGUCUCUACUCGUCGAGUUAAGCAUAAACUCGACGAGUCUUCCUUCUAUACCCAAGGCCAAUAGUCCUUCAUCCUACUCGCCGAGUUGUAUGAACAACUCGCCGAGUUCAUCUUUAUCCAAAGAACACUCUAAGCUGUGACUCACCGAGUUGUAUGAACAACUCGCCGAGUUGUUCUUGAGACAAGGAGAUUGCCGUGAACUCGUCGAGUCGUUGCAAUGACUCGCCGAGUGACUUCAUGAGUGAGUCUGGCUUCCAACCCACUGAGUCAUACCCUAUGACUCACCACUCCAACUCGCAACACAAAAGGGGAACAACUCGGGGACUCGCGACCUGACUCGCCGAGUCUGCCUCAUGCAAAAACUAUACACGCGAUUUUGCUUGAAUCUAGUCCAUGCCAUUCNAAUCCAGUCCAUGCCAUUCGUAGAUCUGGGUUCCUAGGGCCUGGUUUACACGUAAAGUUUCCAACUUUACGUGUAGAUAAUCACCAAUGAAGGUUUUAGGGCUCAAAGUGCACCAAAAGGGGUAGAUCUAGGACUUUCAUGCAAUAUGACUCCAUAAAGGCAGUAGAUCCAAGCUCCAGGGACUAAAUCAUGCCUAGAUCUAAAGGCUAACAACUUAUUACAACCCACCAAGCACAAACAAGCUUGAAGAAUGGCUCAAAAAGGACUUUCAUGAAGCUAUUAGGGACUACAAGCUUGAAAACAGAGGGGAAACGAGCUAUACCUCAAGGAAAACGUUGAGAUGUCACAAAAAUGCUUGGCCUCCUUCUCCUCUUCUUGAUCUACUCUUCUUUCUCCUCAAAAACUUCAAGAACACACCCAAAACACUUCAAUCUCACAAGGAAAAGGGAAAAGACGACGUUGGGAGCUCUGAGGGUGAAUGGGGGCGAGGUUGGGGCGGAAAUGAGUGUUUAAAUAGGGUGCAAACCCUUGAAAUUUAGGGUUUCAACAGAUAGCGGUGACUCGCCGAGUUACCAACUUAAACGUGCCCCCGGACCGUGUCCCUACUCGGUGAGUCGGACCUACAACUCGCCGAGUCCAAGGCUAAAAUGACAAUUACUAAGAUAAAUUUUACGUAUCAGGAACCAGGUGCUACAAAUCUCCCCCAAUUAUUUUAGACUUCGUCCUCGAAGUCUGCCGCUCGAUCCUGAAACAGCUCGGGGUAAUGCUCCAUCAUUUCUUCCACCGGCUCCCAAGUCCAUUCCGAACCCUUGCGGUGCUGCCAUUGCACUUUCACUAACUCCACCCUCUUGUUCCUUAGAUCCUUCGACUUCCGGUCGAGGAUUGCGACUGGGCGCUCAAUGUAAUUCAGGCUGUCAUCAACCUGUAUAUCCUCUAAUGGCACCACCGCUGAAUCAUCCACGAGACACUUCCGUAGCUGGGAGACAUGGAAGGUGCUGUGGAUCUGGCUGAGCUCGGCUGGCAGAUCCAGCCUAUAUGCCACCUUGCUCACCCGGGCUACAACCCUGAACGGUCCAAUGAAUCUCGGGCCCAACUUGCCCCGCUUCCUGAAUCGAAUGACGCCUUUCCAAGGCGACAUCUUCAGGAGAACCGUAUCCCCGACCUGGAACUCCAGGUCUGAUCGAUGUUUGUCGGAGUAACUUUUCUGCCGACUCUGCGCAGUCUAAAGCCUACUCCAAACCUGCUGGAUUCUCUCGGUCAUCUUGAGCACCACCUCGGUCCUCCCCAUGACCCUUUGGCCAACUUCACCCUAGCAUAUCGGGGUCCUGCACCUCCGACCGUACAACAUCUCGAAUGAGGGACGAUCAAUACUCGCGUGAUAGCUGUUGUUGUACGAGAACUCAGCCAAAGGAAGAUAGGUAUCCCAGCUACCAUCGAAAUCUAACACGCACGCCUGCAACAUAUCCUCCAAAGUCUGGAUGGUCCGCUCACUCUGACCAUCUGUCUGCGGGUGAAAAGCGGUGCUCAAAUGCAGACAAGUGCCCAACUCAUCAUGAAACCUCUUCCAAAACCUCGAAGUGAACCGCACAUCUCGAUCUGAUAUCACUGACACUAGCACCCCGUGCCGCGCCACUAUCUCCCUGAUAUAGAUAUCGGCCAACUUUUCGGCCGAGAUACUCUCCGGAAUCGGAAUAAAAUGGGCGCUCUUGGUCAACCGAUCCACGAUGACCCAAAUCGAAUCUACUCCUUGCACCGUUCGUGGAAGUUUCGUGAUAAAAUUCAUCGUAAUAUCCUCCAAUUUCCACAACGGGAUAUCCAACGGCUGCAUCUUGUCGUGCAGUCUCUAUUGUGUGCAUGUAUGAUUGAUUCUGGAUCAAUAAUUUUAGUUAUUUUAAGAAAGUAAUUAAUGCAUAUUAAAUGCUAAAUAUGUAAUUAAUACCUAUUAUAUCUUCAACAUGUAAUAUUCAUUAAUUACUUUCUUAAAAUAACUAAAAUGAUUAGUCCAGAAUCAGUCAUACAUGCACACACUAGAUAGUAAAAAUAUAGUAACCUAACCCAUAUAUAUAUAUAUAUAUAUAUAUAGUUUUGCCAAAAAAUUUGAUGCUUAUCGUUUAAGAGACUUAGUUGUGUAAAAACUUUGCGAAAUUUAAAAUAAAUAAAACGGUAAUAUAUAUAGUCGUUAAACUAUUUUUCGUGAGCACCAAUCACACAAUGAAUUGUUUUUUUAAGAUUGAGAAAUUUAAAAGGUUAAGUAACCCUAACUUAAAAAAAAAAUAAUAAUAAUAAUAAAAUAAAUAAAUAUAAUAAAAUAAAAUAAUAAUGUAACCCACCAUCCAGUAAUGUCAUUCACUUUGUUUCUAUAAAUAUCAAGACACAUGAUAAAAAAAAGGAAUCAAACCACUAAAUGUUUUGGUGUAAAAGCAAAAGGAUCGAAUGUGAGAGUUAUUUAUGUAUUUUUCUAGUAAGGUAUCAAAUUAUAAUCUUUCUUAAAAUAGAUGAGGUUAUCAUACUUGACGUGUAUAAAGACAUUUCUUAAUCCAUGUGAUCUAAAAGUUUCCCGAUGAUUUAUUUUAGUGUUUAUAAUUCUUAUUACUUUUUCCAAUGAGUCGUAGCUUUAUUUAACAAUUGGUCUUAGGACGUGGCUAAUAGUAUCUUAUGUUUAAGCAUCUGUUGUAUCGGGCUAUGGGGUUGUCAUAAUUUUUUUUUACCGAUGCCCACGUUAGUGGAAAGGAACAUUUUUGCAAUUUUUGCUAUUUCUAAAAAAUUGUGAAGGUGUGGUAGAUUAAAGUGCCGCCGGUAAUACCCACGAAAACCCCAUAUAAAAUUGAUAUUUGCCAUCGGUGAAUAUCCACCACCGGUAAAACUAAAGGAAGUGGGCGGUGUUUACCACCAGUAAAAGGUGCCACAUAGGCAUACUGGCCGUAAAAAAAACCCGACACCCACAACAUUUUUUAUUAAAAUGUUAUUUGGUCGAAUGACUAUGUAAAUACCAUCCUUGUUGGUUUCAGUUAUUGAAGAUCCGACUUCUUGAUAAAUGAGAUCGCAUCAAAUUUGAAUUAGCACCAUAAUCGGCUAAUUUGUCUUAGUAGAAUUUCCAAACUCACAACGAACUGUAAGGAUGCCCAUAUCUCUCAUGUUGGUCGGAAUAUUAUGCAUCACCUUUGCCGAACACUGCUCGUUAAUAACAACUUUCGAUGCUUGCUCUAGCUCCAUUCGAUUUCUAAGAAGAUCUUUUAGAAAUUUUGCAUAUGUAGGCAUUUGAGGAAGUGCAUCCAUAAACGGCAUAUUGAUCGAAAUUGAUUUGAAUUUUUCAUUGAAGUUCUUAUGUUCUUUUUUGCUUGUUUAAAUUGUUUAUUUCUUCCGGGAUAUCGAGUGUCAGUGGAUAUAGUUUUACAUUUAGAGGUUCGAAAUUCUGAAGUGCUAACUGCGUCAUAACAGUAUGUUCACCGUGGCGUAGUAUCUAAGGAGAGAAAUUAAUUGUCUGACGGAUUGGUAGUGUGUAUGAGCACCAAAGCGUUAGUUGUUUCAUCUACUUGAGUUGUAACGGCUAAUUAGGGAGCUCUUGGUUUAACUUUGGUUUGCUUGGAAGGGUGCCCGGUAAACGUUCGUGUGUUCGUUGAGGUAAUUGGGCCACUUACUUUUCGAUGUUUAGAAUUGAGGCUUGAUAUAUAUNAGGGUUAAAUUGCAUAAAAACCCCAUUUUUAUGUGUUUAUGGCCCAAUCAUGCUCCUUGGCCAUAAACACAUGUUCCAGGUCCUAAUUCAUAGCUUAAACAUAGAUUUGAAGGUUAAAGAGGUUGAAUAACAAGUUAGGAAUGUUACCUCUUUGAUUUGGAGCCUUAAAUCUUUGUUUUGGACCUUGAUUUGUUGGAUGAGGAGAGAGAAAAAGAGAGAGAGUGUUAGGUUCAUAUAUAAUUUUCUAUAUUGUGUGAAUGUACCACAAUUUUCUAUAUUGUGUGAAUGUACCACGAAUUGUGGAACAAUCACCAACCAAAGAUAAAUUAUGAAUAUUGUGUAAUAUUAAUUUAAUAACCAAAAAUUACAUUCCUAUAUUUGUGUAGUAUACGUGCACAAUAUUUAGAGCAUAGUCAUUAUUUUAAAAAACCAUAAGAGUUAUAUUAGACAAUACAUUUUCUAUUAUUAAUAAAAUUACUAAAUGCUAAUAAAUAAUAAUUAAUUAAGCAUAAAUAUUAUUUUCACUAUUUAUUUUCGUACUAUUCUUUUAGAAUUCAUACAAAGUGUUUGGAGUGAAAUAUUUAGUUGUAAACUAAUUUCAAACUAAGUACAUCACUUUUAAGCAAUAAAGUUUUCAAUUUUUUGUUCAAAAGGGUGCCUACUUAUUUCAUAAUAAUGGAUUACUUAAUAUUCUAAGAAAAAAAAUAUAAGAAUGAGAUUUAACAUGUUAUAUUUUUUAAAAAUAUAACUUAUUAAAGUUUAAAUAUUUCAAAAUUCCCUGUUCCAAUCUGACUAAUGUAAAAAAAACAAUUACAAACAUGUUACAUCAACAAAAAAAUAUUCUACUUUGGUUGAUUUACAAACAAAUUACUUGCGCAAAAACCGUUUUGCCUUCUAGAUCAGUUAUCAUUCUUGAAGAAUUCAUAUUAAUUGCUUUUAAGAAUAGAAAAUGAAUUUAAAAGCUCGACUUGAAUUUUACAUGCUUUAUUUCUAAAGAAUAUGAUUGACUAAUUCUUGAAGAAUAUAACUACUUUAUUCUUAAAGAAUUUGACUACUUCAGUAGAUUAUCUUCUAAAUUUCAUGUGUUAAUCAAACACAAAUAUAAAUGCUUCAAUAUAUUAUUUUAUAAACUCCACAUGUUAGUUAAACACGUAGGAAUAAAAACCCUAAUAUUGCAUCACUAACAAAUAUAAUGUUAUAAAAAUGAUUCUUGUUUUCAUAUUAUAUAUUAUUGAUUGUAUUGUAACAUAUUUUUCUUAAAUAAUUAUAUGUUAUUAUUUUAUAUAUGAGGUGUAUUAUUUAAGAAUGUGACUUCACAAAAAAAUGUAUUCUAUAAGACCGAAAGACCGAAAGAUUAAAAAAAAACUCUUAAAUAAAAUAAUAUUCUUCAAGAAUGAAAUAAUUAAAAUAUAUGUUCAUGUGUUAAAUUAAGACGUGUUAUAAAAAAGUGAUUUAAAUUAAAUAUGACGAAUAACAUGUGAGAUUUGAUUUAAAUUUUAUUAAUUAAUUUUAUAUUGUCGCCUAAAAUAUAGAAAAUUAACAUUUCUCUCUUUUUAUUAAAUAUCAUAAUUGCCAUAAUAAUUAAAAACAGUAAUUAUAUAAUACACGCAAGUCCAUGUUAAUAAUAUGUACCUCAAGAACAUAUCUUUUCAUUCUUUUUAAUCUUAUGGUUAGAAUUUGGUCAUACAUUUACAUAAUAUUUGUUAUUCAUAUUUGANNNNNNNNNNNNNNNNNNNNNNNNNNNNNNNNNNNNNNNNNNNNNNNNNNNNNNNNNNNNNNNNNNNNNNNNNNNNNNNNNNNNNNNNNNNNNNNNNNNNNNNNNNNNNNNNNNNNNNNNNNNNNNNNUUUAUAUAUAUAUGUAGUAAUUUAGUAAAUUAUAAUGUGAAUAUUAAAUAUGAAGUUGUUCAUAUAUUCGAUGAUGAAUAAUGUCAUUAAGUUGUACAUACAAAGUUUUAAUGUGAAGAUUAAUGUGUGAUUGGUCGUAUAUUUGUUGAUGAAUAAUGUCAUAUCGCUGUAUAUACAAAAUUCAUAGUAGAAUCAUACAUACUUAUAAAGGUAGCAUUUUUUCUUAAAUCUCAUGCAUUUGAAACCCCCUUUUUUUAACUUUCUCAAACCACAUUCAUUUGAAACCACUUUUUUUGACAAAUGCAACUCAAAAGUUUUCUUAAUUAUGAUUUAACACUCAAAAGCUUUAUAACUUAUAUUAUGUUUAAUUAGCAUUUAGUGAAAAUUUUACUAUAAAAAAGCCAAUCUUUUGUAUCUUUUGUGUUCUAUAAAACCAUACAUAUAAGAAGGAUUUGAAGAUAUUGUGAUUCAAAAGUUUUCAUAUAGUUGAAGCAUUCACAAUCCAAAUAUGAUGAUUUGAAGAAAUGGGUUAUGUCGCAUCGAUGGUAAUUGUAAUAUGAUUUUUUCUUUCAACCAAAACAAAUGAAACUUUUCUAUUCUUUCUUUAUAUUCAGUUUAUCAUUUAAUCUUUAUAUGCGAUUUGUGUGUAUUACUCAAUCUUGAAUAUGACUCUCCAAACGUCAACUUGCUUCGAAUAUCUUUCUGAUUCUUCUUUUUCAAGAAAAAUAUUUUGAUUGCAGGUUAGUGAAGAAUUGUCAUCAAGUUUUUAUUGUUGAAUGGUGUUAAAAGAAGAAAGAAGAUUCAGAGAAUUGAUAUAGGUUUUUUUGUUUGAGCAAAGUUGACAAAUGUUAGUUUUUUCUUUUGAUUUAAAUGUAUGUUUAUGUAAUAUCUUUAUUUAUAUAUUCAACCACUCAAUGUUCUUAUUUAUUUUAUUGUAGUUUUUCUAUUUUGAUUAUGUUUAUUUCUAUACACAACAUAUUAAAAGACAAUAUUUAAAAGAUAACAUAGUUUUGAACGUUUGAUAUGUAAUUAUAAUAGACUUAUCAUGAUAUGUUCUUCAUAUGAAAGUAAUUUAUCCAUAUUACUACGACAAGAAUUACAUAUCACAUUUACGAAAAUAUAUGUAUUAUAUAUGAUUUGCUUAACAUGUAUAUUAUAAAAAAUUAAAUAUGACUAAUGUAAUAUCAAAGUUCGUAAAUACCACUAAUAUCAUAACAAAAUUGGUUAAUAUGAUUAAUACAACACUAAUCAUGUCUGAAAUAGUUUCAAGUGAGAUAAAACUUCUUCAAAAUGUUAAAAUUUCAUCGUUUUGUUUAACUCAUUAUGUUUGAAGGGAUUAAUCGCUAGGCGACCUCUAUUCAGUCGAGUAGCACAUAGGGAUUAAUCGGGACUUAGUCAGGAUUUUUAUAACAAUGCUUAUUACUACUUAAAUAUGUUAAGAUUUUGGGUGUAGUGAGUAGACUCGGCUAGUUGGGUGUUCAACACAUAUAGUGGAGCCAUUUAAGUUGACGCAGGACUUCAACCCUACUCGACGAGCCGGCAGGCCUGACUCGGCGAGUAGGACCUGAAGAGAGAAAACCCUAAUCUGAGGGUUUGUGUCUUAUAUAAAGAUCAUUAUCUUCCCUUGUGGCCUCCCCUAGCAUCUUGUCUCCCUACAGAAAAUAGUUUUCGGCCGUAAACCCCCUUGAGUGAGAGUAAGAGCUUUUUUGAGUGAUUUUGGGCAUUUCUGAAGGAUCCUAGAGCUUAGAGAGGAAGGAACUAUUGGAUAAGGUGUCUAAGUCCAUAACUAUAAUUGAGAUGAACUUGACCCAACCCGACAUGGUCCAUUUGGGUUACAUUUCACCUGAACAAUUUAUAUGGAUAAUAUUUUGAGAAUAGUCUAUGUUAUGAUUUAUUAAUAUAUUAUAAGUUCUAAUAUAUUAAUAUGAAAUCAUAGUAUUUAAUUCGUAUUGAUCUAAAAUUAAUUUAGAAUUAAUUUAGUGAUCAAAAGUGUGUCUAAUUAAAUAUGGACUCUUGUAUUUAUAUAGUUUGGCUAAUGCUUAUUUAGAAUGGGCUAUGCUUGCAUGGUAAGUCCAUUGAUAGUCCAUGGAGCUUUAACCCAUGGAUCUCAAGAAAAUGAAAAGACAUGGGUAUUAGGGUUUACAUGGAUGUAACCCUAAUCCACCACACUAUAUAAAGGAGUACUUGGCACCUAAAAUGGAACUAGUGUCUGUGAGAAAUAAGGUGUGGCUGAUUUCUACAAGUGUGCUACUAUUCUCUCAAGUUUCCAAGGCUUGUGGUGAUUUGUGACUUACAUUUGAGGCAUCCACAUUAUUGGUGCUAGGCUCUCAAACUCCAAGCAAUCAUCCACUACUAAAAGGUAUGUAAUUCUACUAGUGUUUUAUGAUUCAAGUACCCCAUAACAUGCUAGUUAGGAAGUAAAUCUUGCACAAUAAUUAUUUGCGUAUAUCUUAGAGAAAACAUAGAUCCAAGAUUUCUAGGGUUACAUGUACACCAUAGGAGUGUUAGAAUGCUCAAAACCCAUCAGUGAUCUCAGAGACUAGGCUUGUUUACUUGAUACAUGAUGUAAACUUGUUUUUUCAAAACCGAAAACUGCCCAGACUGCAAAACUCGAUGAUUUUAAGCCAAAAACUCAUCGAGUCCAUGAGUUACUACAUGAACUCGACGAGUUAGUCUUCCCGUUUGCCGUUUUUCGAGUUUUGCUGCUGGCAAUGGACUAGAAACAUAACCUUAAACCGUUUUGGGUGUUGUAAAACUUGUUUUAGAUGUUGUAAUGGUUAUGCUAAUCCAUUUAUAAUGGCUAUUAUCAAACAUUUCAAGAUUUUUAUAGUUUAUUUAUGAUUCCUGAAAUUGUUGAUAUGUAUGUUCAUGAACUUAUGAGUUUAGAAGUUCAUAGGAAUUAUUUGUAACUUGCUUGUUAGAUUAAUUCUUGAUCAUUGUUGUGUUUUAAUCAAGGUUCUAAAUGGCGUGAGGCGUGGCGUGGCGGCAAGGCCAAGCCUCAAGCUUAACGAGCCAUGGCGAGCCACGACGUUUUUCAAGGCGUGAUGUAAGGCAGCGAUUUUGUAUUAAUUUAAAAUUAUAUUACCACAUAAAUAUAAAUUUAUAUUAAAUAUAACUACUUAUUAGAAGUGUUAGAUCAAUAACUAAUAACAAAAAGUUAACAAAAACCACAAUACUUGUAUCUCCGAUUUGAAAAGACAUAACAAAGAGAAAAAACUGUCUCAAACGAAAAUACACACGCCAUAACGAGCCAUGGCGCGCCAUAUCACGCCUUGCCACGCGUUACACCUAACAGCAACGUUAUGAAGCUUUUCGUAACGGCGAAGCCACGCCUCACGCCAUGGCGUGCCUUUUAGAACACUGGUUUUAAUGGAAUCCAUAAUUUUUUCUCAAGUUAUAGAUUACCAAAAUUCACUCUUUUAAGAGUCCAUUAAAGGAACACAUAGGUCACAUAAAAUGGAAAGUCACUCAUUUUAAUAAACCAUUAACUCAUCAGUUAUGAAAGAUGAAAAGUUUUGAAAGUUUACCAAACUUGCCCUCAAGUUUUGGAACAUGUAAAGUCACUUUAAAAACUUUAGUUCCAACCCCUAGAAUUUUAAAAGUUAAAUUCAACCUUUAUACUUUAUAAUUUUAUAAGUUAAUUAUAUAUAUGUAUNUAUAUAUAUAUAUGUGUGUGUGUGUGUGUGUGUAUAUAUAUAUAUAUAUGUAUAAGAGCAAGUCGUUUUACCAUUAGAAGGCCUCAUUCACGAAGCCUGUCUCUAAGGGGGGUAUAAAGUUGUUGCCUAUAAAAUGGCAACUUAAUGGUUGUCCACUCUCACCCACAACUUCCUUGACUGGUGGAGGGUCAUUAGCUGAAUGGGUAUGCCAAUGACUUUAAUACUCAUUAAAAGUAUGAUGAUUAUAAAGUAACAAAGUGUUUUAUAAAAUUCCCAAUCUUAGUUACUUUAGGAAAAUGUGAAAAAGGUGGUAACCCAUGAAAUUAGACUUUGCACUUUGCUUAAGUCGUUAGUGGAGUGUUUGUGGUUAACCGGUACACUAUCGUAGAUUUAAAAAGGAGGCAAAAGGUGGCCUAAGGUUUAUCAUUGAUCGGUGAAGUGUGUGUGGUUAACCGGCACAUCGGGUAGGUGUUAAAGAUUAAGCGUACCAAGUAAUUUGCAUGGUUACUUCACACCUUUUUUUUUGUGAUCCUUGGCAUCCAAGUCACAAAACCUGAAGGGCACACUCGAGAUUGAAACAUACCAUUGAAAAGUUUAAUGAAUCAUAAAGAAUCUAGGAGUUUCAAAACCAAUUAAAACCUAAUAAACUUAUUUCAUUUUUUGGUGGAAAUUGGUGAAUUGUCAUUCACCUACCUUCAAGUAUUUUAUAGCUUGGAUUACGGCUUCCCUAUUCUAAGUUAUAAAAUACUGUGUUAUUAAGGACUAUCUAUAUAUAUAAUCUAAACUUUUCCUUCUUUUCAGAUGCCUUCCAGCAAUGCUGCUUCUAGCUCGAACCCUACAGGCUCCUUCUCUCUCAUGAAUCUUUGUGGGAGAGUCAUAUUUGAUGGUUCCAACUUUAUGGAUUGGAUCUGGAACAUCAGGAUGGUCACUCGUUAUGAGGACAAGGAAUAUAUCCUUGACAAGAAGCUAAAGGAAAUUGAUGAGUCUACUGCUACUCCAUAAGAGAUCGCUGAAUUUAGGGCACAUGAAAGAGAUGACACCAAGGUGACAUGUAUCAUGAUAGCCAUAAUGACAGCCGAACUCCAAAAGUCCUAUGAUGACUAUUACCCUUUUUAGAUGCACAUGGACUUGAUGGAGCGCUACCAUCAAAGUGCUUGUUAAGAGAGGUAUGAAAUAAUCUCCUACAUGAUAACAACCCAAAUGAAGGAUGGUGAAUCCCUCAUGGCCCACAUGCAGAAAAUGAAGAAACUGAAUGUGGACUUUCCUGAGGAGUUGGCAAUUGAUAUCAUUUUCCACUCCUUACCUUUGUGUUAUGAUCAAUUCCGAAUGACAUACCACAUGAACAAGGAAGAAGUUACACUCAGUAAACUUCAUGGAAUUUUGAAGACCGCAGAAAGUGGUCUUAAAGGUAAAUCGGUUAUUACUACUCCUACUCCUACCGCGGCCUCUGUCUUGGCAAUCGGGAAAAGCAAAGGAAAGAAGAGGAAGAGCCCCUCGAAGGGUACCAAGGGAAAGUCCCUUGAAGGCUCAUCUUCAAACAAAACCAAGAAAGGUUUUUUCACUCCUUCUGCUAACCCUAAAGAGGCUGAAUGCUUCUAUUGCCAUGAAAAGGCGCACUGGAAGCGAAACUGCCCAAAGUACCAGCAAGAUGUUAAGGAUGGGAAAGUAAAACCCAACCAAGCAGGUAUAUAAACUCUAUUGUCUAACAACUCACCCCAUUCUAACUCUUGGGUCCUUGAUACAAGUUGUGGUAUUCACAUACAUUCUGAUGUGCAGGGACUAAGAAGAAGUGAGAAUGUGGAGCAUGGGAAGAUAAACCUAAUCAUGGGGAAUAGGAAAGCUUCAUCUGUCACCAAGAUUGGAGUUUAUUAUUUGUUGCUAAGUAGUUGGUUUAUAUUAGAUUUGAAUAAAUGUUUUUACUCGCUUGAAAUGGCAAGAAAUGUUAUUUCCUUUCAUGGUUUGUACAAGCAAGGUUUUACCUUUUCUUUUGAUAAUGAAUAUGGUGGUAUUAAUGCUUUCUUUAAUAAUGUUCUUUAUUUUAAAGCAUUACCUUGUGAUGGUGUGUAUGAAACUGUGUUAGUUGUAGAUAACCUAGGAAAUAAUGUAUUAUGUAUCGAUUAUUCCACUAGCUUGGAUAAAGCAUUAUUAUGGCAUUAUUGUGACAACCCGAAAUUUCCAUUUUGUACGAACAUUAGCUAUUCAAUAGAAGCUAGUCCAGUUUCAAUGAAUUUCAGACUUUACCGAAUAAGUUUGUGUACAUUAGGGUUUACGUUUAAGGAGAUAUAAGGAGAGUGGAUGCUCAUGGGUUUGUGAAACUUGAGUAUCUCAAAACUUCUUAAUGAUAUAAUUCAAUUCCGGAAUAAAAAUAUUUUUCUGCCAAAAAUAUUUCAGGACUAUAAAUAGAUUUCUGAACUAAAUUCAUUCAUUAUUCACAUUUCCAACUAUGGAAAAGCCGUUUUCUCUCUCACGGAUCUUCGUGUUUUCAUCCCAAAUCGUGAGUACACUUCUCUAGUUGUGUUAUAAUGCUUGUUUUAUGCUUAACAACAUAGAUUGCUUGUCAAAUAUAUGAGAUUUGGGAGUUUACAGCCCAAGAACGUUCUUGGGGAGUAAACUCCAAAAUGAAGCUUAAAGGCCAUCUAGUCCCAUUUCCUUGUUAGGUAACUAGCUUGGGAUAAUAUGUAUGAUCAUUUGAGACUAGAAAACAAUCAAGAACACAUAGCUUUAGGUGUUUACGGCCCAAGAGUUUCUUGGACCGUGAACACCAAAUUCAAGGGCUUAAAUGUGCCCUAAUCACUCCUAAAGGCUUUAGUCUUUAACCCUCAAUUACUUCUAGCUAAUUUGGAGACUUUAACACAUCAAAAACACCCCUUAAAGGGAGUUUACGGCCAAGAGAAUGCUCAUAGGCCGUAAACACCAAAUAAGGGCACCAAAGUGUGCCUAGGGUCCUCCAUAGCCUUAAACAAAUGCCUAGAAAGUAUCCUACUUGUGUUUGGGACUUGAAAGAAUUAAAACACCCAUCCCAUGAGAGUUUACGGCCGUAAAUUCUAAGGGAUAUGGUCUUUUGGCCGUAAACUCCUCAAAGGACUAUUAUCUAUGCCCUAAACUACCCAAAGGAUUAGACCACCAAGUUAGGCUUAUUCUAGAAAUAAAAUAACACUUCAAAACACACAUUACCACCAAGAUUGGAGUUCACGGCCGUAAACUCAAGGGUUUACGACCGUAAACUCCUUGUGUGGGGUUUAUUGGGUAGUAAACACUUAUAUAAGGCCCUUUGGUACAUUAAACCCCUUUAGCCUUGUCCCAUAACAACCUAGAAGCAACCCUUAGGACCUAUAACACUUAGACAAAGUGUUUACAUGUUCCUGAGUGUCCCAACUUAUUUCGUUAAGUUAUUAUUUGGCUAAUUAGUUAUAUAUAUAUAUGCUCAUUAUAUGAGAACUAGGCUCAUGCGUGUGAACAAGCCUCCGUUUGCCACCUAGCACGGUAUCCGACACUUCAAUCCAAUCCACUCACCACAAGUGAGUUCAUACCCCUUUAAUUAACCUUUGAAAUACUUUUAAAUGUUUUAAAUACUUUUAUGGGGGGAAUACAAGUUAAAUACUUAUAGUUAUUGCAUCAAUCACAUGUGAUUAAUAACUAGAAAACCAAUGAUUUUAUCACUGUUCAAACUGUUUAUCAAACUGUUUUACUUCAAAAUGUUUUACAAAAUCUUUUACUUAUUAAAUGCUUUUAUUAAACUUUUUUUUUACUUCUUAUAAAUUCCAUGCCCAUAUAUGUAUAGAUAUAUAAGAAAUGUUUAAAGGGCGUAGGAAAGCCAUCCGCCCUAUUUCCUUUUUCUCGAUUUGGAUUUGGUCUGGUGGGAUUUCGCGUAACGAUCCGAAGGUCGUUUCAAUAUUAAUUAUAUAUCAAAUAUACAUAUAUAGACAUAAAAGUACUUCCAUAUUCAUGCGUAUUAGACACAUCAUUAGUAAGUUACCAUCGGGGNGUACUAAACGCACUGUUAACAAGUUACCAUCGGGGUAACACAGAAUCAUACUAUUACAACUGCUAGAUCAAUGAGUCAGUUCAUUCAUGAGUCUAUACUAGGAAGAGAAUAUAUACAACUAUACUACGAGAACAUAUACAACUAUACUAGAACAAGAAACAUUUCAUCACACAUGCAAGAAUACGAUAACAAAUGUGAUCCACUGUAUCGGAGCAUGCCUUAAAUGUCAUGGCCCGAGUUGUAGCCAGAAUUCUCUUGGAGGGAGAGCGUUGAGUUUGCGUAUAGAUCUAUACUGGAUUGACUAUCCUACACCUUGCUGCUAGCUACAGCCGGACCUGCAGGUCUGCGGGUGCCAAACGUCAUUCCGUUAUUAUGACCAUUCGUAUGUCGUUGUUACCAGUCGAUAGUAUGGUGCAAUUUAUCACAUAAUACCUUAAUAUAAAUCCGGUUUAAGGUAGUUAGUACAGCAGUAGUUCCUAUAAUACAACACUACAGUACUACAAUGAUUUACCCAUUACAUAUUUUUAGUGAUUAUUUCACUUAAACAUUAAUGUAUAAACUAUAUUUCGUUAAAUGAUAGUUACACUUGGGAAAUUACACACUUUUACAACAAACGAGCAUACAAAACAGUUAAGCCUUGGUAGAAGGCUACUUUAAUAGAAAAUAUAGGUUUUUCUGAGAGAUUCAAACUUUUACAAACACUUACAUACAUUUUACAAACUUAUACUUGAGACACGUUCAAACGUUUUGAUAACAAACACCGACACUAAAAUACUUAUGAACUCACCAGCUUAAUGCUGAUAAACUCUUUCAAAAUAACUUGUAUUCUCAGGUCAUCAGUAGACAGGUACCGAUGCCAGCUUUUGAGAAGAUGGAGCGUAUUCAAGACUCAUCAUUUUGUUAUUUUGAUUUACGUUAUAUUUUUGGUGUCUAAAAUUUUACAGAACACACAUGUAUUAAAUUUAUAUAUUUAAUGCAAUGGAUGAUGUUGUUUGCCUAUUUACAUUUACUGUGUUGUGAUUACCUUACAUGACGUCCUCCGCCCCAGAACGUUUCCGCCGUUCUUGGUUUUGGGGUGUGACAGAUUGGUAUCAGAGCAUUGUUUAUAGUGAAUUGAGUAUAUCAACCCAUAAAAGAUAUACUAAACUAUAAACCCAUUAGGGAUUAAACUCUGACCAAGAGUCUAUACUUUAAAUAAUAAAAUAUUUAAUUAAGUAUACUAGUCUGCAUUCAUACUAAAAUCAGUGUCACAAUGACAAGAACAAAAGUAUUACGAUUGUUAAAUAUCACAAGUGAGCUCGGGGAUGUAUGGUCAGUCCUGGGAAUGGCAUAGCCUGAUCAACUAUGCUGGUCCUAGGAGUGAUUAGCACAUGCCUUAGAAUGGUUGUGAUAGGUUAACAAGUCUAAAAACUUACCAACAAUACCACAAGAAGAUCAGUAGAACUUAAACUUAAAAUACUAUAGGUGUAUUUUGUACUACUAGUUACAUGUAUACUAUAUUCUUAUACCUCUCUUCUCGCGUAGAUCUAAAUGGCUGGAUUCCAUCACGGCGACCCGUACUUUCCAAAUGAAGGCAAUGCCGGGUGGAUCGAAGAAGAGCCCGAAGAUGAGCAUCCAAUCCCUUUGGAUGAUCACCUCGCAGAAGGCUUUUCAGAUGGAUCCGACUCCGAGCCUGAAGUCAACAACCUACCGCUUGUAGGUCAAGCCCCGAACAACAACCCUCGACCAGCGUUUCCAGGUCCUACUCCCAUGUGGGCAAACAACCUGAACCGCUGGAGUGAUGAGCAGGGUCAGCCCUUACCAUACUUUGGGGACCGAACCUUUUACAACGUCAGCGAUGGUGGCUCUGCUGACAGAGCUCUGCCUGUCAUUAUCCGCAGAAUAGCUCGUAAUGUCGAGCAAGGUCGAGCAGCCAUCGACCGGGUCAUGGAGAUUGAUGCCAAUUCAGGUGUCAAUACAGUCCGCAUUCGCCGUCUUGAAGAAGACAUGGAACGGACCCGGAGAACCAACGAAACUCUGCAGCAACAGCUGGCUGCCUCCCGUGCUGAAGUCUUAGAACUUCGAGCUCGUCAGAGAGCUCAGGACCGACACCUUCAAGAGGUGUUUCGCCAAGUGUCCGACCUCAGGGAUCGCCCGAGGAAUUCCCAUCGCCAUUAGAUGAUGUCUAGUACAUCUCUGUCUUUUGAUUUAGGGAUAGCCUUGAACUUAUGUGCUCUAAGUAGCACUUGUCUGUAAAAUAUUCCUAACUUUCGGUACUCUAAUUAGGAAUCUAGGACUGUCAGUAUUGUCCUUAUGGUAUGAUGUAAGACCUACUGUUAGGUCGAUUUUCCUUGAACUUAUUACAUCAGUAAUACCCGUACUAUUGAAAUCUAUCUAAUCUGUGGGAAAAAUUUGUACACUUGUGUAUUCCUACUAAUAUUUCUUAUUGUGAUUUCAAACACUCAUUCAAACUGUUGGGCUAUGGUUAGUUAGUCCAUGGGUCACUCUCACGUUGCUUACAAAUUGAUUCUUAUCAUCCUUCUUGUUUUUAUAAACUUAUAGCUGAAGGAUGCCUCCUCGCAAGUCUCCCAGAAAUAGGAAUAAUCCUGUACCUCCACCGCCUCCACCACCUGCAGUCAUCGAUACUGCAGCCCUGAAUGCUGCCGUAGCUGCAGCAGUGGCAACUGCCAUGGCUCAGUAUCACUCAUCGGAUGCUAGCAGAGGUGGAACCCCUGUUGAAUCUAUCCCAGUUGAAAUCCCUGUGCGCUCCAGGGAGUGCUCUUACAAGGAUUUCACAAACUGCAAGCCGAAGCCUUUCUAUGGCACCGGCGGAGUCAUUGCUCUCUCGCAAUGGUUCGAGAAGACUGAAUCAGUCUUCGAAAUCUGUUCAUGCCCUGCUGCGAGCAAAGUCAAAUAUGCCGCAUGCACCUUUGAGGGAAAGGCCCUGAUGUGGUUGAACGGCCACGUUAAAGCUCUAACCCUCGUCGUAGCCAACGACAUGGGCUGGGAAAUGAUGAAGGACCUCAUGAUUGAGGAAUACUGCCCGAGGGCGAAGUCCAGAAAUUAGAGCAGGAACUUUGGAACCUGACUAUGAAGGGCACCAACGUGGUCGCUUAUACUGCCCGAUUCAGCGAACUGGUGGCCCUCUGCCCCAAUAUGGUUCCCACCGAGGGGAAAAAGAUCGAACGGUACAUAUGGGGGCUAGUGCCUCCGUAUCAGGGGAAUGUCCUAGCAUCAAACCCCGCUACCUUCGACAAUGCCAAGCGAUUAGCACAACGACUCAUUGACCAUGGAGUCAAAACCCCUGCAACCACAACAACCCUAGCCAUCCCGGAACCCUCCAAAUCCGCUGACACCAAGCGGAAGUUUUGGGAAGACAAGAAGAAGCAGCGAGCUGCCAAAAAGCAGCAAAUUGUGGCUGUGCAUGCCGCGGUAACCCCUGCUGCUGCUACUGCUCCGGUGAGGCAGUACGCUGGAAGUUUGCCCAAGUUCAACAAAUGCAACUUCCACCACAACGGCCCCUGCCGUGAGAUGCAGUGCUCUAACUGCAACAGGUAAGGACACACCGUUCGUUUCUGUAAGUUUCUGGCACAACCGAUCACCCAAGUCCCCGGCUCUGGCGCGAGCCCGACCUGCUAUGGAUGUGGCAAAGCAGACCACUUUAAGAGGGACUGCCCCAAAGCGAAGAAUGCUGGAGGAGCAGGGAGGGUACUAACUAUAGGCCACGGGGAAGCAGUUUCUGACCCGACAGUGGUGACUGGUACGUUCCACCUCGAUAACUCCUAUGCAUGCAUUCUGUUCGAUAGUGGAGUGGAGCGAAGCUUCGUAAACUAUAAAUUUGCUCGCAUGCUUAAACAACAACCACACACACUUAAGGAACAAUUCACCGUAGUAAUGGCUAAUGGGAAAACUGAAAGUACGAAUAGCAUAUACUUAGGUUGUACCCUAACUCUAGAUAACCAUUCAUUCCCAAUCGACCUCAUGCCGGUCUCAAUAAAAAGCUUCGACGUUAUCAUUGGCAUGGAUUGGUUAAGUCUUCAUCGCGCCGACAUCAUGUGCUACGAGAAAGCAGUCCGUCUAAACCUCCCGUCUAACGAAACUCUGAUCGUCGACGACGACAAAUCCAGUGUGAGUCUUUGUAUUAUAUCAAGUAUUCAAGCACAGAAGUAUCUGCGUAAAGAAUACCAUGCAUUCCUUGCUCACGUCGUCGAUACGAGCCUCGAAAUGAAAGAACUAAAGAACAUUCCAGUAGUGAGCGACUUCCCCGACAUUUCCCCAAAAGAGAUACCUGGAUUACCUCCGCAACGACAGAUCGAGUUCAGAAUCGACUUAGUCCCAGGGGCUACCCCAGUAGCCAAGUCGCCCUACCGCUUAGCACCAGCUGAGAUGCAGGAACUCUCUGGUCAACUUAACGAACUGCUCAGCAAGGGCUUUAUAAGACCAAGUUUCUCACCUUGGGGAGCACCGGUCUUGUUCGUUAAGAAGAAAGACGGAUCAUUCCGUAUGUGUAUCGACUACAGAGAACUCAACAAACUGACGGUCAAGAAUCGUUACCCUCUGCCUCGCAUAGACGAUCUAUUUGACCAACUGCAAGGGGCGAACUAAUUUUCCAAAAUUGAUCUGAGAUCCGGAUAUCACCAGUUACGAGUACUAGAGGAGGAUGUGACAGCCUUCCGAAUUCGUUACGGACACUACGAGUUCGUGGUGAUGCUAUUCGGAUUGACCAAUGCACCCGCAAUCUCCAUGGAUCUGAUGAAUAGAGUAUGCCGGCCUUACUUGGAUCAGUUCGUCAUCGUUUUCAUUGACGACAUCCUGAUCUACUCCCGAAGUAAGGAAGAACAUGGCGAUCACCAGCGACAAGUUCUAGGGACAUUACGAAAGGAGAAACUUUAUGCGAAGUUCUUGAAAUGUGAAUUUUGGAUCCGAAGAGUCGAAUUCUUAGGACAUGUGGUAAGUGAAGAGGGAAUCCACGUGGACCCAUCCAAAAUUAAAGCCAUUGAGAACUGGUCAGCACCGAAGACGCCUACAAAAAUUCGUCAAUUUCUAGGUCUCGCUGGCUACUACCGCAGGUUCAUACAGAACUUCUCCCGAAUAGCGAAACCUCUUACAACCCUGAUCCAGAAAGGCGUGGCCUUUGACUGGGAAGAGAAACAAGAGAGAGCGUUCCAAACGCUCAAACGAGCCUUGUGCACCGCGCCAAUACUAUCCCUCCCCGAAGGGAUAGAAGACUUCGUAGUCUAUUGCGAUGCAUCAAAUCAAGGGCUCGGGUGUGUUCUGAUGCAGCGAGGUAAGGUCAUCGCCUACGCCUCGAGACAGUUGAAGACACACGAGGUUAACUACACGACCCACGAUCUUGAACUGGGAGCAGUAGUGUUUGCUCUGAAGAUCUGGAGACAUUACUUGUACGGGAUGAAAAGCACUAUUUUUACCGACCACAAGAGUUUGCAACACAUUUUCGAUCAGAAGGAGCUCAACAUGAGACAACGACGGUGGGUCGAGCUACUCAGUGACUACGAAUGCGAUAUUCGUUAUCAUCCGGGUAAAGCCAACGUAGUAGCAGACGCCCUAAGUCGGAAGGAAUAUUCUGGUCGCAAAGUCAAGUCAUUGUCAAUAACCAUCCAUUCACACUUGUCUAAGCAAAUUCAGGAGGCUCAACUUGAAGCCAUGAAACCUGAAAAUGUGACGAGUGAAUCCCUUAGAGGAAUGGACAAGAAUUUAGAAGCCAAGGGUGACGGAGCCUUAUAUUUCAUGAACCGGAUCUGGACACCGAAACACGGUGGUUUCCGAGACUUGGUCAUGACCGAGGCGCACAACACUCGGUAUUCCGUCCACCCAGGUUCAGAUAAGAUGUAUCUGGAUCUUAAAAAGCUAUACUGGUGGCCUAAUAUGAAAGCAGAGAUUGCUACCUUCGUAAGUAAAUGCAUUACUUGCGCAAAGGUUAAGGUCGAGUACCAGAAGCCCUCUGGUUUACUGCAACAACCAGAGAUUCCAGAAUGGAAGUGGGAGCGGAUCACUAUGGAUUUCAUAACCAAGUUGCCCAAGACAACGGGUGGACUUGAUACCAUAUGGGUCAUCGUCGAUAGAUUGACCAAGUCUGCACACUUCCUGCCUAUCAAAGAAACCGACAAGAUGGAGAAACUUACGAGAACAUACAUUAGGGAAAUUGUAUGGCUACAUGGUGUACCUAUGUCCAUUAUCUCCGAUAGAGAUAGUAGGUUCACCUCAAGAUUCUGGCAGUCACUACAACAUUCCCUAGGAACAAGGCUGGACAUGAGCACAGCCUAUCAUCCACAGACCGACGGACAGAGUGAGAGGACCAUCCAAACACUGAAAGAUAUGUUGCGAGCCUGUGCGAUUAACUUUGGGAAGGCAUGGGAUACUCAUUUACCCCUUGUCGAGUUUUCCUAUAAUAACAGUUAUCACACGAGCAUCAAGGCUGCUACAUUUGAAGCCCUCUACGGCCGAAAGUGCAGAUCCCCUCUGUGCUGGGUUGAGGUGGGUGAUACCCAAUUGGAUAGGCGGCAAGCUUCCGACAGUACUCUCACCGGUCCGGAGAUCAUUCGGGAAACGACAAAGAAAAUCAUUCAGAUUCGUGAACGAUUGAAAGCCUCUAGAGACCAACAGAAGAGCUACGCUGACAAACGAAGAAAACCUUUGGAAUUUCAGGUGGGAGACCGAGUCCUUCUCAAAGUCUCACCCUAGAAAUGCUUGAUACGCUUCGGCAAGCGUAGGAAGCUUAAUCCGAGGUACAUAGGGCCUUUUGAGAUUCUUGCAAGAGUCGGCCCCGUAGCUAACAAACUCGACCUACCCGACACACUUUGUAAUGUACAUUCUACAUUCCACGUAUCUAACUUGAAAAAGUGUCUGUCCGACGAGACUCUUGUAAUCCCACUCGAUGAGAUCGAGAUCAACGAGAGCCUCAACUCCGUGGAAGAACCGGUAGAAAUCAUGGACCGUGAGGUCAAGCAGACGAAGCAAAGCCGUAUCCCUAUCGUGAAGGUUCGCUGGAACGCCAAGCGAGGACCGGAAUUCACUUGGGAACGUGAGGAUCAGAUGAAACUGAAAUACCCUCAUCUUUUAGCUUAAUUGUUCGUAACAUCCUAUUUGCUUAAAUUCUAAUUUCGGGACGAAAUUCCUUCUAAUGGGGGGAUGAUGUGACAACCCGAAAUUUCCAUUUUGUACGAACAUUAGCUAUUCAAUAGAAGCUAGUCCAGUUUCAAUGAAUUUCAAACUUUUCCGAAUAAGUUUGUGUACAUUAGGGUUUACGUUUAAGGAGAUAUUAGGAGAGUGGAUGCUCAUGGGUUUGUGAAACUUGAGUAUCUCAAAACUUCUUAAUGUUAGAAUUCAAUUCCAGAAUAAAAAUACUUUUCUGCCAAAAAUAUUUCAGGACAAUAAAUAGAUUUCUGAACUAAAUUCAUUCAUUAUUCACAUUUCCAACUAGAGAAAAGCCGUUUUCUCUCUCACGGAUCUUUGGGUUUUCAUCCCAAAUCGUGAUUACACUUCUCUAGUUGUGUUAUAAUGCUUGUUUUAUGGUUAAUAACAUAGAUUGCUUGUCAAAUAUAUGAGAUUCGGAAGUUUACCGCCCAAGAACAUUCUUGGGGAGUAAACUCCAAAAUGAAGCUUAAAGGCCAUCUAGUCCCAUUUCCUUGUUAGGUAACUAGCUUAGGAUAAUAUGUAUGAUCAUUUGAGACUAGAAAACAAUCAAGAACACAUAGUUUUAGGUGUUUACGGCCCAAGAGUUUCUUGGACCGUGAAUACCAAAUUCAAGGGCUUAAAUGUGCCCUAAUCACUCCUAAAGGCUUUAGACUUUAACCCUCAAUCACUUCUAGUAAAUUUGGAGACUUUAACACAUCAAAAACACCCCUUAAAGGGAGUUUACGGCCAAGAGAAUGCUCAUAGGCCGUAAACACCAAAUAAGGGCACCAAAGUGUGCCUAGGGUCCUCCAUAGCCUUAAACAAAUGCCUAGAAAGUAUCCUACUUGUGUUUGGGAGUUGAAAGAAUUAAAACACCCUUCCCAUGAGAGUUUACGGCCAUAAACUCUAAGGGAUAUGGUCUUUUGGCCGUAAACUCAUCAAAGGACUAUUAUCUAUGCCCUAAACUACCCAAAGGAUUAAACCACCAAGUUAGGCUUAUUCUAGAAAUCAAAUAACACUUCAAAACACACAUUACCACCAAUAUUGGAGUUCACGGCCGUAAACUCAAGCGUUUACGACCGUAAACUCCUUGUGUGGGGUUUAUUGGGUAGUAAACACUUAUAUAAGGCCAUUUGGUACAUUAAACCCCUUUAGCCUUGUCCCAUAACAACCUAGAAGCAACCAUUAGGACCUAUAACACUUAGACAAAGUGUUUACAUGUUCCUGAGUGUCCUAACUUAUUUCAUUAAGUUAUUAUUUGGCUAAUUAGUUAUAUAUAUGCUCAUUAUAUGAUAACUAGGCUCAUGCGUGUGAACAAGCCUCCGUUUGCCACCUAGCACGGUAUCCGACACUUCAAUCCAGUCCACUCACCACAAGUGAGUUCAUACCCCUUUAAUUAACCUUUGAAAUACUUUUAAAUGUUUUAAAUACUUUAUGGGGGGAUACAAGUUAAAUACUUAUAGUUAUUGCAUCAAUCACAUGUGAUUACAUCAAUCACAUGUGAUUAAUAACUAGAAAACCAAUGAUUUUAUCACUGUUCAAACUGUUUAUCAAACUGUUUUACUUCAAAAUGUUUUACAAACUCUUUUACUUAUCAAAUGCUUUUAUUAAACUUUGUUUUACUUCUUAUAAAUUGCAUGCCCAUAUAUGUAUAGAUAUAUAAGUAAUGUUUAAAGGGCUUAGGAAGGCCAUCCGCCCUAUUUCCUUUUUCUCGAUUUGGAUGUGGUCUGGUGGGAUUUCGGGUAACCGUCCGAAGGUCGUUUCAAUAUUAAUUAUAUAUCAAAUAUACAUAUAUAGACAUAAAAGUACUUCCAUAUUCAUGCGUAUUAGACACAUCAUUAGUAAGUUACCAUCGGGGUAACACAGGAUCAUACUACUACAAUUUCUAGAUCAAUGAGUCAGUUCAUUCAUGAGUCAAUACUUAUUACUACGAGUACAUAUACAACUAUACUAGGCAGAGAACAUAUACAACUAUACUAGACAGAGAACAUAUACAACUAUACUAGAGGAAGAACAUAUACAACUAUACUAGAACAGUUCAUUACAUUACAUAUACAAGAAUACGUUCAUUAUUGUGAUAUGAAUCGGAGCAUGACUUAAAUGCCAUGGCCCGAGUUGUAGCCAGAGUCUCUUGAAGGGAGAGCGUGAGUUUGCGUAUAGAUCUAUACUGGAUUGACUAUCCUACACCUUGCUGCUAGCUACAGCCGGACCUGCAGGUCUGCGGGUGCCAAACGUCAUUCCGUUAUUACGACCAUUCGUAUGUCGUUGUUACCAGUCGAUAGUAUGGUGCAAUUAAUCACAUUAUACCUUAAUAUAAAUCCGGUUUAAGGUAGUUAGUACAGCAGUAGUUCCUAUAAUACAACACUACAGUACUACAAUAAUUUACCCAUUACAUAUAUUUAGUGAUUAUUUCACUUAAACAUUAAUGUACAAACUAUAUUUUGUUAAAUGAUAGUUACACUUGGGAAAUUACACACUUUUACAACAAACGAGCAUACAAAACAGUUAAGCCUUGGUAGAAGGCUACUUUAAUAGAAAAUAUAGGUUUUUCUGAGAGAUUCAAACUUUUACAAACACUUACAUACAUUUUACAAACUUAUACUUGAGACACGUUCAAACGUUUUGAUAACAAACAUCGACACUAAAAUACUUAUGAACUCACCAGCUUAAUGCUGAUAAACUCUUUCAAAAUAACUUGUAUUCUCAGGUCAUCAGUAGACAGGUACCGAUGCCAGCUUUUGAGAAGAUGGAGCGCAUUCAAGACUCAUCAUAUUAUUUUGAUUUACAUUAUAUUUUUGGUGUCUAAAACUGUACAGAACAUGCUUGUAUUAAAAUUAUAUAUUUAAUGCAAUGGAUGAUGUUGUUUGCUUAUUUACAUUUACUGUGUUGUGAUACUAUACAUGACGUCCUCCGCCCCAGAACGUUUCCGCCGUUCUUGGUUUUGGGGUGUGACAGAUUGGUAUCAGAGCAUUGUUUAUAGUGAAUCAAGUAUAUCAACCCAUAAAAGAUAUACUAAACUAUAAACCCAUUAGGGAUUAAAGCACUCUGACCAAGAGUCUAUACUUUAAAUAUUAAAAUAUUUAAUUAAGUAUACUAGUCUGCAUUCAUACUAAAAUCAGUGUCACAAUGACAAGAACAAAAGUAUUACGAUUGUUAAAUAUCACAAGUGAGCUCGGGGAUGUAUGGUCAGUCCUGGGAAUGGCAUAGCCUGAUCAACUAUGCUGGUCCUAGGAGUGAUUAGCAUAUGCCCUAGAAUGGUUGUGAUGUGUUAACAAGUCUAAAAACUUACCAACAAUACCACAAGAAGAUCAGUAGAACUUAAACUUAAAAUACUAUAGGUGUAUUUUGUACUACUAGUUACAUGUAUACUAUAUUCUUAUACCUCUCUUCUCGCGUAGAUUUAAAUGGCUGGAUUCCAUCACGGCGACCCGUACUUUCCAAAUGAAGGCAAUGCCGGGUGGAUCGAAGAAGAGCCCGAAGAUGAGCAUCCAAUCCCUUUGGAUGAUCACCUCGCAGAAGGCUUUUCUGAUGGAUCCGACUCCGAGCCUGAAGUCAACAACCUACCGCUUGUAGGUCAAGCCCCGAACAACAACCCUCGACCAGCGUUUCCAGGUCCUACUCCCAUGUGGGCAAACAACCUGAAUCGCUGGAGUGAUGAGCAGGGUCAGCCCUUACCAUACUUUGGGGACCGAACCUUUUACAACGUUAGCGAUGGUGGCUCUGCUGACAGAGCUCUGCCGGUAAUCAUCCGCAGAAUAGCUCGUAAUGUCGAGCAAGGUCGAGCAGCCAUCGACCGGGUCAUGGAGAUUGAUGCCAACUCAGGUGUCAACACAGUCCGCAUCCGCCGUCUUGAAGAAGACAUGGAACGGACCCGGAGAACCAAUGAAACCCUGCAGCAACAGCUGGCUGCCUCCCGUGCUGAAGUCUUGGAACUUCGAGCUCGUCAGAGAGCUCAGGACCGACACCUUCAAGAGGUGUUUCGCCAAGUGUCCGACCUCAGGGAUCGCCCGAGGAAUUCCCAUCGCCAUUAGAUGAUGUCUAGUACAUCUCUGUCUUUUGAUUUAGGGAUAGCCUUGAACUUAUGUGCUCUAAGUAGCACUUGUCUGUAAAAUAUUCCUAACUUUCAGUACUCUAAUUAGGAAUCUAGGAACGUCAGUAUUGUCCUUAUGGUAUGAUGUAAGACCUACUGUUAGGUCGAUUUUCCUUGAACUUAUUACAUCAGUAAUACCCGUACUAUUGAAAUCUAUCUAAUCUGUGGGAAAAAUUUGUACACUUGUGUAUUCCUACUAAUAUUUCUUAUUGUGAUUUCAAACACUCAUUCAACUGUUGGGCUAUGGUUAGUUAGUCCAUGGGUCACUCUCACGUUGCUUACAAAUUGAUUCUUACCAUCUUUCUUAUCUUUAUAAACUUAUAGCUGAAAGAUGCCUCCUCGCAAAUCUCCCAGGAAUAGGAAUAAUCCUGCACCUCCACCGCCUCCACCGCCUCCGGUCAUCGAUACUGCAGCCCUGAAUGCUGUCGUAGCUGCAGCAGUGGCAACUGCCAUGGCUCAGUAUCACUCAUCUGAUGCCAGCAGAGGUGGAACCCCUGUUGAAUCAAUUCCGGUUGAAACCCCUGUGCGCUCGAGAGAGUGCUCCUACAAGGAUUUCACAAACUGCAAGCCGAAGUCUUUCUAUGGCACCGGCGGAGUCAUUGCUCUCUCGCAAUGGUUCGAGAAGACUGAAUCAGUCUUCGAAAUCUGUUCGUGCCCUGCUGCAUUUAAAGUGAAAUAUGCCGCGUGCACCUUCGAGGAUAAAGCCCUAACGUGGUGGAACGGCCACGUCAAAGCCCUAACUCUCGUCGUGGCUAACGACAUGGGCUGGGAAACGAUGAAGGACCUCAUGACUGAGGAAUACUGCCCGAGGGGCGAAGUCCAGAAGUUAGAACAUGAACUCUGGAAUCUGACCAUGAAGGGCACCAACGUGAUCGCUUACACUGCCCGAUUUAGCGAACUGGUGGCCCUCUGCCCCAAUAUGGUUCCCACUGAAGGGAAAAAGAUCGAACGGUACAUAUGGGGGCUAGUGCCUCCGUAUCAGGGGAAUGUCUUAGCAUCAAACCCCGCUACCUUCGACAGUGCCAAGCGAUUGGCACAAAGACUCAUUGACCAUGGAGUCAAGACCCCUGCAACCACAACCACCCUAGCCAUCCCAGAACCCUCUAAACCCGCUGGCAACAAGCGGAAGUUCUGGGAUGAGAAGAAGAAGCAGCGUGCUUCAAAGAAACAGCAAAUCGUAGCAGUACAUGCUGCGGUAGCCCCUACUGCUGUUACUGCUCCGGGGAAGCAGUAUUCUGGAAGUUUGCCGAAGUGCAACAAAUGCAACUUCCACCACAACGGCGCCUGCCGUGAGAUGCAGUGUACUAACUGCCACAGGAAAGGACACACUGUCCGAUUCUGUAAGUUCCCGGCGCAACCGAUCUCCCAAGUUCCUGGCUCUGGCGUGAGCCCAACUUGCUAUGGAUGUGGCGAAACAGGCCACUUUAAAAGGGACUGCCCUAAGGCGAGGAAUACUGGAGGAGCAGGGAGGGUACUAGCAAUAGGCCACGGGGAAGCAGUUGCUGACCCGACAGUGGUGACUGGUACGUUCCUCCUUGAUAACUCCUAUGCAUGCAUUCUGUUCGAUAGUGGAGCGGAGCGAAGCUUCGUAAACCACAAAUUUGCUCGCAUGCUUAAGCAACAACCACACGCACUUAAUGAACAAUUCACAGUAGAAAUGGCCAAUGGGAAAACUGAAAGUACUAAUAGCAUAUACUUAGGUUGUCUUCUAACCUUAGAUAACCAUUCAUUCCCAAUCGACCUUAUGCCGGUCUCAAUAAAAAGUUUCGACGUUAUUAUCGGCAUGGAUUGGUUAAGUCUUCAUCGCGCCGACAUCAUGUGCUACGAGAAAGCAGUCCGACUAAACCUCCCGUCUAACGAAACUCUUAUAGUCUACGGCGACAAACCUGGUGCGAGUCUUCGCAUUAUAUCUAGUAUUCAAGCACAGAAAUAUCUGCGCAAAGAAUACCACGCAUUCCUUGCUCACGUCGUCGACACGAACCUAGAAACGAAAGAACUAAAGAACCUCCCAGUAGUGAGCGACUUUCCCGACAUUUUCCCAGAAGAACUACCCGGGUUACCUCCGCAACGACAAGUCGAGUUCAGAAUAGACUUAGUCCCAGGAGCUACCCCAGUAGCCAAGUCGCCCUACCGUUUAGCACCAGCCGAGAUGCAAGAACUCUCUGGUCAACUUAACGAACUGCUCAGCAAGGGCUUUAUAAGACCAAGUUUCUCACCUUGGGGAGCACCGGUCUUGUUCGUUAAGAAGAAAGACGGAUCAUUCCGUAUGUGUAUUGACUACAGAGAACUCAACAAAUUGACGAUCAAAAAUCGUUACCCUCUGCCACGCAUAGAUGAUCUAUUCGACCAACUGCAAGGGGCGAACUAUUUUUCCAAGAUUGAUCUGAGAUCCGGAUAUCACCAGUUACGAGUGCUAGAGGAGGAUGUGCCGAAGACAGCCUUCCGAACUCGUUACGGACACUACGAGUUCGUGGUGAUGCCAUUCGGAUUGACCAAUGCGCCCGCAGUCUUCAUGGAUCUGAUGAAUAGAGUAUGCCGACCUUACUUAGAUCAGUUCGUCAUCGUUUUCAUUGACGACAUCCUGAUCUACUCCCGAAGUAAGAAAGAGCAUGGUGAUCAUCUGCGACAAGUUCUAGAGACAUUACGAAAGGAGAAACUUUAUGCGAAGUUCUCGAAAUGUGAAUUUUGGAUCCGAAGAGUCGAAUUCUUAGGACACGUGGUAAGCGAAGAGGGAAUCCACGUGGACCCAUCCAAAAUUAAGGCCAUUGAGAACUGGUCAGCACCGAAGACUCCUACAGAAAUUCGUCAAUUUCUAGGUCUCGCUGGCUACUACCGCAGGUUCAUUCAGAACUUCUCACGAAUAGCGAAGCCUCUUACAACCCUAACCCAGAAAGGCGUGGCCUUUGACUGGGAAGAGAAACAAGAAAGAGCGUUCCAAACGCUCAAACGAGCCUUGUGCACCGCACCAAUACUAUCCCUUCCAGAAGGAAUAGAAGACUUCGUAGUUUAUUGCGAUGCAUCAAACCAAGGACUCGGAUGUGUUCUGAUGCAGCGAGGUAAGGUCAUCGCCUACGCCUCGAGACAGUUGAAAACACAUGAGGUUAACUACACGACCCACGAUCUUGAGCUAGGAGCAGUAGUGUUUGCUCUGAAGAUCUGGAGACAUUACUUGUAUGGAACGAAGAGCACUAUCUUUACCGACCACAAGAGUUUACAACACAUUUUCGAUCAGAAGGAGCUCAACAUGAGACAACGACGAUGGGUCGAGCUACUCAGUGAUUACGAAUGCGAUAUUCGUUAUCAUCCGGGUAAAGCCAACGUAGUAGCAGACGCCCUAAGUCGGAAGGAAUAUUCUGGUCGCAAAGUCAAGUCAUUAUCGAUAACCAUCCAUUCACACCUGACUAAGCAAAUUCAGGCGGCUCAACUUGAGGCCAUGAAAUCUGAAAAUGUGUCAAGUGAAUCCCUUAGAGGAAUGGACAAGAAUUUAGAAGCCAAGGGUGACGGAGCUUUAUAUUUCAUGAACCGGAUCUGGACACCGAAACAUGGUGGCUUCCGAGACUUGGUCAUGACCGAGGCGCACAACACUCGGUAUUCCGUCCACCCAGGUUCAGAUAAGAUGUAUCUGGAUCUUAAGAAGCUAUACUGGUGGCCUAAUAUGAAAGCAGAGAUUGCUACCUUCGUAAGUAAAUGCCUUACUUGCGCAAAGGUUAAGGUCGAGUACCAGAAGCCCUCUGGUUUAUUGCAGCAACCAGAGAUCCCGGAAUGGAAGUGGGAGCGGAUCACUAUGGAUUUCAUAACCAAGUUGCCCAAGACAACGGGUGGACUUGACACCAUAUGGGUCAUCGUUGAUAGAUUGACCAAGUCUGCACACUUCCUGCCUAUCAAAGAAACCGACAAGAUGGAGAAGCUUACGAGAACAUACAUUAGGGAAAUCGUACGGCUACAUGGUGUACCUAUGUCCAUUAUCUCCGAUAGAGAUAGUAGGUUCACCUCAAGAUUUUGGCAAUCACUACAACAUUCCCUAGGAACGAGGCUGGACAUGAGCACAGCCUACCAUCCUCAGACCGACGGACAGAGUGAGAGGACCAUCCAAACUCUAGAAGAUAUGUUGCGAGCCUGCGUGAUUGACUUUGGGAAGGCAUGGGAUACUCAUUUACCCCUUGUCGAGUUUUCCUAUAAUAACAGUUAUCACACGAGCAUCAAGGCUGCUCCAUUUGAAGCUCUCUACGGCCGUAAGUGCAGAUCCCCUCUGUGCUGGGCUGAGGUGGGUGAUACCCAAUUAGCCAGGGGGCAAACUUCCGACAGUACUCUCACCGGUCCGGAGAUCAUUCGGGAAACAACAGAGAAAAUCGUUCAGAUCCGUGAACGAUUGAAAGCCUCUAGAGACCGACAGAAGAGCUACGCUGAUAAACGAAGGAAACCUUUGGAAUUUCAGGUGGGAGACCGAGUCCUCCUCAAAGUCUCACCCUGGAAGGGCUUGAUACGCUUCGGCAAGCGUGGAAAGCUUAAUCCGAGGUACAUAGGGCCUUUCGAGAUUCUUGCAAGAGUCGGCCCCGUAGCUUACAAACUCGAACUACCAGACGCACUUCGUAACGUACAUUCUACAUUCCACGUAUCUAACUUGAAAAAGUGUCUAUCCGACGAGACUCUUGUAAUCCCACUCGACGAGAUCGAAAUCAACGAGAGCCUCAACUUCGUGGAAGAACCUAUAGAGAUCAUGGACCGUGAGGUCAAGCAGACAAAGCAAAGCCGUAUCCCUAUCGUGAAGGUUCGCUGGAAUGCCAAGCGAGGACCGGAAUUCACUUGGGAACGUGAGGAUCAGAUGAAACUGAAAUACCCUCACCUUUUUGCUUAGUUAUUUGUAAUUUCUAACUUGCUUAAAAUUCUAAUUUCGGGACGAAAUUCCUUCUAACGGGGGGAUGAUGUGACAACCCGAUAUUUCGAGUCAAUGUAAUGUAAAACCGAUCAAAUUUAGGUCAAAAUGUAACCUUCCUAAAAUCUUAUUCGGAUUAAAUAAAGUAAUAGGAAUCAUAUCAAGGUUUGCGUACAUAAAAAGAACGUCCAAAUCUGACUUCGGAUGAGGAAGUUAUGAAAUUUUGAAGAAAUUCCUUAAUCACGUCAUUUUAAUAAAUAAAUAAUAAAAAUAAUUUCGGAAUUUGCCAACGGAAUCUAAACGAAAGUUGUAGAUCAUGGUCUCACCUUCGCGUGGAUAUAAAGAACGUCAAAAACGGAGUUCGUAUGAGGGAGAUAUGAAUUUUUGAAGUUUAUUUAAAAUAAAUAUAAAUUUAAUUAUAAAUUCCCGGUAAUAUCCGAAGGGGAGUCAUCGGAUUGGACCGAAGUACGCCCUGCGUACCUUCGUACGCCCCGCGUACUGAGAUCGAGGGUCUCGGAUCGUCCACGUCGCACUAUCCGAAGAGUUCUAACCCGUCCGACCCGUCCGAAGCUCCGACCCGUCCGACCCGCUGUCCCGUCCGACCCGCCGUCCCAUCCGACCCGCGUACCCAGCAACCCGUCCCAUCCGAACCGAGGCAGUCGAGGCUUCGGUCAUGCAUGACGUACGCGUACGCGCUGCGUACGAGCGUACGCCCCGCGUUCGGAGGCGGUUCAGCCUUCCUAUAAAUAGGAUGCGAGGCUUUCCGAAAAUGUUGCUCAUUUCUCUCCUCUCUCUCACAACUUUGUCUCGUUUUCCGUGCCCGUUAUAACCCGAAGCUCUGGUCUUUUUGCUCAAGUCCCGAGGGUCGAUUUUACUCCCGAGAUUCCCGAGAAUCCCGAGAAAAAUCCGUUUUCCGAGACGAAACUCUGCCCGGUUUUCCAUCUCGCUUUCUUCAAUCAAUCAAGUGAGUUUCAUACCCCUUAAUCAACCUGUUAAAUAUUCUAAAUGCUUUUAUAUGCUUUCAAAAGGGGGGGAGUACAAGUUAAAUACUUAUAGUUAUUGUUUCAAUCACAUGUGAUUGUACUAAUCACAUGUGAUUAAUAACUAGGGAAAUCAGUGGUUUUAUCACUAUUCAAACUAUCUAUCAAACUGUUUUACUUCUAAAUGUUUUCCAAACCCAUUUACUUUUCGAAUUUACACUGCAACUGUGAUUUAAGCAAAUGUUCCUUAUACUUAAACUGUUUUAAUCAAAUCUACACCUUCAAAUGGUUUUAUAGAUUGACAUCAAGUCAAUCUUUCUUUAAAAAUAAUACUUAUGUUUCAAAUGCCUUAUAAAUACUUAUUUAUGCUUUUAUAUUACAAAUUGCAUGCCCAUAUAUGUAUAGACGUAUAAAUAAUGUUUAAAGGACUUAGGAAGGCUAUCCACCUUGUUUCCUUUUCCUCGAUUUGGAUGUGGUCUGAUAGGAUUUUGGGUGACCAUCCGAAGGUCGUUUCCAUAUUAAUUAUAUAUCAAAUAUACAUAUAUAGACAUAAAAGUACUUCCAUAAUCAUACGUACUAAACGCACUGUUAACAAGUUACCAUCGGGGUAACACAGAAUCAUACUAUUACAACUGCUAGAUCAAUGAGUCAGUUCAUUCAUGAGUCUAUACUAGGAAGAGAAUAUAUACAACUAUACUACGAGAACAUAUACAACUAUACUAGAACAAGAAACAUUUCAUCACACAUGCAAGAAUACGAUAACAAAUGUGAUCCACUGUAUCGGAGCAUGCCUUAAAUGUCAUGGCCCGAGUUGUAGCCAGAAUUCUCUUGGAGGGAGAGCGUUGAGUUUGCGUAUAGAUCUAUACUGGAUUGACUAUCCUACACCUUGCUGCUAGCUACAGCCGGACCUGCAGGUCUGCGGGUGCCAAACGUCAUUCCGUUAUUACGACCGUUCUUUAUGUCGUUGUUAUCAGUCGAUAGUAUGGUGCAAUUAUCACAUUAUACCUUAAUAUAAAUCCGGUUUAAGGUAGUAGUAAUUAGUACAACAGUAGUUCUUAUUAUACAAAACUACAGUACUACAAUGAUUUACCCAUUACAUAUUUUGGUGAUAAUCUCACUUAAGCAUUAAUGUACAAACUAUAUUUUAUCAAAUGAUAGUUAUACUUGGGUAAUCACACACUUUUACAACAGACGAGUUUACAAAACAGUUAAGCCUUGGUAGAAGGUUACUAUUAUAGAAAAUAUAGGAUUUUCUGAGAGAUUCAAACUUUUGCAAAUACUUUUAAACAUUUAUUUACAUUUUUACAAACUUAUACAUUGGGACAAGUUCAAACGUUUUUGACAAUGAACAUUGACACUAAAAUACUUAUGAACUCACCAGCUUAAUGCUGAUAAACUCUUUCAAAAUAACUUGUAUUCUCAGGUCAUCAGUAGACAGGUACCGAGGCCAGCUUUUGAGAAGAUGGAGCGCAUCCAAGACUCAUCUUAUUAUUUUGAUUUACAUUAUUUUUGGUGUCUAUAACUGUACAUAACACGCUUUUAUUAAAAUUAUAUAUUUAAUGCAAUGGAUGAUGUUGUUUGCUUAUUUACAUUUACUGUGUUGUGAUACUUUACAUGACGUCCUCCGCCCCAUAACGUUUCCGUCGUUCUUGGUUUUUGGGUGAGACAAUUAUCGUCUUGGACAUGUAAGCAAGAAACGCAUAGGCCAACUCCAAAAGGAUGGAGUCUUGGAGUCAUUUGACCUAAAGUCGGAUGAUAGUUGUGAAUCUUGUUUGCUUGGGAAAAUAACAAAGUCACCCUUCAUUGGUGCUUGUGCUAGGGGUGAUGGUUUGUUGGAUCUCAUCUAUGUGUUUGUGGACACUUCAGAACCGCCACAAGGCAUGCUAACCUCUUCUAUGUGACUUUUACUGAUGAUUUUAGUAGAUAUGAAUAUGUCUACUUAAUCAAGCAUAAGUCAUAAACCUUUGAAUAGUUCAAAGAGUUUAAACAGGAAGUGGAGAAUCAGGUGGGCAGGAACAAUAAGAUGCUUCGAUCCGAUUGAGGCGGAGAGUAUCUUAGUACAAAGUUCCUUGACUAGCUUAAGGAAUGUGGGAUUGUCUCACAAUUGACACCUCCUAUAACACCGUAGUUGAAUGGUGUGGAUGAGAGGCGCAAUUGAACCUUGUUAGACAUGGUUCGUUGCAUGAUGAGUCGAGCUUCGCUACCAAUCUCAUUUUGCGGGUAUGCGUUAGAGACUGCCGCCCAUAUCCUUAAUCUAGUCCCUACAAAGAAGGUUGCCAAAGCACCUCAUGAGAUAUGGAAUGGAAAAGUUCCCAGUCUAGACCACAUCAAGAUUUGGGGUUGCGAGGCUUUCUUGAGGCGUGAGACUUAAGAUAAGCUCGAACCUCGAAGUGAGAGGUGUAUUUUCAUCGGCUGCCCACAUAAAUCCUUUGGUUACCUAUUCCACAGACUGUCACACCCCAAAAACGAGAACGGCGGAAACGUUCUGGGGCGGAGGACGUCAUGUAUUGUAUCACAACAAUGCAAAGUAGUAAACAAGCAACAACAUCAUCCAUUGCAUUAAUAGUAUAAUUUUAAUUACAUUUGAGUUCUUUCAUAGUAUAAUUCUACAAAAAUGAAUAUUCAAAAAUAAAAGACGAGUCUUGAUCGCUCCGUCUUCACAGAACCUGGUAGUGUCUAUCCGUGUCCUGGGAAUACAUGUUAUUUUGAAAGCGAGUAUCAGCAAUAGUGCUGGUGAAGCUCAUAAGUAUUUAUGUGACUUUGAUUUGUAAAGCUGUAAAGAAAGACCUGUAAAUGUUUGAAGGAAAGUUCGUACCAACGAACAUGUUUGUAAGUAAUUGUAAACGUUUGAAAACCCUAGAAAAUCCCAUAUUUUCUACUAGUAUAAAAUGUAGCCUUCUACCAAGACCCGACUGUUUUGAAUGUUUGCUUCAGAAAUCCAAUAUUUGUUUAUAAGUGGGUAGUAGUUUAAAAGUCCCAAAAAUGAACUACCAUGAUGUUUUUCAUGUCUAAAAUAGUAGAUUUGUGUACAUAUAUAAUCGCUAAGGUAUAUGAUAACCCCGUAAAUCAACGUGUUUUUAAUACCCCAUGUGAGUUUUAUAACCAUGCUAAUGACCCAGACUNGUUUUAUAACCAUACUAUUGACACUGACGGCCUGUAACAACAUUCUUCAGGUGUUGUAGUGUUAUGACAUUUGUCACCCCAUACCUGCCGGUCUAACUAUAGCUAACAAUUUAGGUGCGGGAUUGUCAAUCCCAUAGAGAUCUAUACACAAGUAUCACGCCCCCCCUUACAAGGAAUUAUGAUAUAUAAUACAGGACUUAAUAAUGCAUACUCGAAAGUACGUGAAAUGUCUCACAAACCUAGUAUAAAACAGAUUUACGUGUGAAAAUGUCCUUUUGUUCUUGUAUAUGAAAAUAUCUCUUUGAUAUGGUACUUGUAGUAUGUAAAAUUUCAUGAAUAUCUAUUAUACUAUCUUAUGUAAUCGUAUCUCUUGUAAUUGUAUGUCUUGAAAUUUGUAUGCCUUGUAAUUGUAUGUAAUCGUAUCUCUUCCUAUAGUAUGUAAUGUAUUAGUAUAGACUCAUAAAUAAACUGACUCUUGUGUAAUUCCUUCUACUUGUAAUGUUAAGUAGUAUAUCCUAACUGUACCUAUUAUACNAUCCUAAGUCCUUUAAACAUUACUUAUAUAACUAUACAAAUAUAGGCAUGCAUUUGACAAUAUAAAAGUAUAAAAGAAGUUUUGUAAAAUCUUUGAAAAGUUUAAUAAAUAAGGGAUGAUGACUUGAUGUCAGUUUAUAAAGUGAUUUGAAAGUAGUUUGUUUGAUAAGAACAAUUUUAUGUAUAAGAAGACUUUUGUUUGAAACAUAAUUUUAACAGCGUUUGAAAGGAACCAUAAAGUAUGUAAGACAAUUUGAUAAAGAGUUUUUAACAUGUAAAAAAUGUUUGUCGUAAACUGUUAUAGUUUUUCCAAAAGUUUGUUUCGUUAUAUAAUAAACCCUAGUGAAAUGCUCACUUGUUAUGUAAGGUGUAACUUUUCUAGUGACAGAAAUGAACACACAUACUCAACGUAUAAAUAAAGUGUUUGGUUCGUAUAUGUAAAACUACAUAUUUAAUUUCAAGAGACAAGAUGAUAUCGUGAUAUGUUUCGCGUACGAAAGGUUCCAUGUAGUGUUUAUGAAUCACAUAUGAUUUACUUGAUAAAAAUGAGUAUUUAGUGAAACUUUGGGUUACACACGAUAAUAAUCGUGUGUUUACUUGUAUUCCCCCCGUUAAAAGUGUAUAUAAAAAGUAUUGAUAACACAUUUAAAAAUGUAGUUUAUAGGGGUAUGAACUCACUCGUUUGGUUUGAAGAGAGAGAGGCUAGAGUUGAGCAGAACUUCGACCGCGGAAAGCUGCGUCUUCGGGCUCUUCGGGGAUCUCGGUAGCGUAGAUCUUUCGUCGGGGCUCGGGUACGGAAACCGAGGGUGUCGGGAUGGUCUUUGGAGCUCUAGGGUGCGUGAAAGUGAGAGAGGAUAUGAGAGAUAUGUGUGAAAACCCGUAGAGCACUCGAGCCGAUGGGACUUGACACUGGGUCUAGUACGCUGGGCGUAAUCUUGGAUUACAUUGGGCGUAAUCAAGUCUCCCAUCUUCUAAAUUCUGUAACUUUCGCGUACCGGCUCCGUUUUUCACGUUCUUUAUAUCCACGCGUAGGUGAGAUUAUGCUCUACAACUUUCAUUUAGACUCCGUCGGCUAGUUUAGACUUUAUUUUUAAUAAUAUAUUUUUAAUAGGCCUGGACUGCUAAAGUCCGUUAAAAAUUCAUAGUUUCUUUAUUCGACGUCGGUUUUCGUUUGUCUUUUUAUUGUUGUANGUUUGUCUUUUUACUGUUGUACUCCUAUUGUCGGGGUCUUCAAAUUUCGUUUAGGUUGUGUCGGCUAAAGACCGCUCGAUCUCUAUUUCGAGUUUUUAGCUGUCUACUGCUAGGUCAGAAACUUCGAAAAAUCAUAACUUCCUUAUAUGAAGUCAGAUUUGGGCGUUCUUUUUAUGUAUGUUCAUGGUUUAACGAUUUCUAUGACUUUCAUUUAGAUACCUAAGGCUAAAAAGUAUUUUAUCGGGAUUUCGUAUUUUACGUUUAACCGUGUUUUACCGAUUUUGCCAAGAAUCUUCGGUUGGUCAUAAGUUCUUCGUUAUAACUCGGAUUUUAGUGUUCUUUAUAUGUACAAAAACCUUGAUACAAUUCCUACCACUUUAUUUAACCCAAAUAAUAUUUUAGGAAAGUUAUAUUUUGGCCUAAAUUUAACUGGUGUUACAUUAUAUUGUCUCAAAAUGUCGGGUUGUCACAUCAUCCCCCUGUUAGAGGGAAUUUCGUCCGUAAAUUCAAGUUUAAGCAGUAUUAAUAAUCAUGCUACGGACAGAAGCUUUAUUUGCUACUCGUGUUCUUAAGUAAACAUUCGUCUUCGCCUGGCAUUCCAGGGAACCUUUCACUAUCGGGAUACGACUUUGCUUCUUUCCUUUGACUUCACUGGUAUGAUAUCUUUUUCUUGUCGAAUGUGUGUUUGAGUGUUUUUGUGGUCUGUGAGAGUAUUACACCUUGUACCCUACAAGUAAUGUCUCCAGAUCUUUAGAGCAAUUACCGCUGCUCAUGAUCUAAGAUCACGUGUUGAAUAGUUAAUUUCCUGUGUCUUAGGCGGUCUUGAGGUAUGGGCAGUGACUUUUCCUCUUGCUUACAACCAAGUCCUUGGUUGGAUGUAUCACAUUACACCACGAAAUAUUCUAUCCCCUUUUGAGAAGGAUAAUAUUGGUGCGAUGCAUCAGACUUACUUUAGCGUUUGCAACGCUCUUUCUUGUUUACAAACAAUUAUGGUGCUCUUCCAAGUGAGAAACUUGUCCUAAAGAAUCCCCUUCUGAGGAGUUUGUUAAGCUCGCUAGGAAGUUCUUGCAUCUCGGUUGGAGCUAGAUAAUAGGGUGAUUUGGCUACUAGGGUAGCCCCUGGAACUAAGUCGAUUCUGAAUUCGACUUGACGCUGUGUUGGUAAUCUCGGUUGUCCUCCUGGAAAGGUGUCGGGAAAACCGCAUACUUCUUGGAUGUUCUUGAAUGUCCUUCACUUCUCGAAACGCCUCGGCGAUGUGUGCAAGUAAUGCAUGAUAUUCCUUUCGUAAGCAUUUCUGAGCUUGCAUACACGAAAAGAUGAGAGGGUUCGUACUUGGUUUGUCGCUGUAAAUAACUAGAGCUUCGUUGUUUAGGGAGGUUAGGACGAACCGCUUUAUCAAAGCACCUGAUGUCGGUUCGAUGUAGACUUAACCAACUCUUACUGAUCAUGAUGUUAAAGCCUUAGGGUGGAUUAGCUGUCAUGAAGAUCUAAAAGAAGUAUGUCUACUCAUGAAUUAGGGGAAAAGGAUAGGUAUUUCUAAUUUUAUUCUUACGGAAGCACGAUCACUCGCAAUCUUGGGCAGUCUCCGUCCUGAAGUUCAUAGUAGAACUCAUACCUGGUUCAUCCAUCACAGUCUCGGGUAUACGAGUUGUUUAUAGUUAAGAUUGAAAAGGUAGUCAAAUAAAUGAUUCUUCUUUAAGCCCACAUCCCAACGAGGAAAAGAAGUUAAAGUGGAAUCGUCAAUUCUAAACCUAUAGAACCUUGAUUAUAUACUACUCCUAUGUAUACAUUCUUCAGUGAUAGAUCGAUCGUAUGGGUCUUUAGAUUGAACUUGACGUACUGUACGAGUGAUACUUCAGGGAGGUUUGCUGAUGUUUCUUUGGAAAGGAUAAGAACAUGAGGUACUCCAUGCAUGAGUACUUUGGUGUUCUGGAAUGACGGUUUCAAUAGAAAGACGUUUUCGGAGAAGGAGAAGUACGCACGAAGCUGGUAUUGCGAGGAUCGAAUUGAGUCAAGUUGUAUGAUGAUAUCGGACAUACUUGGAAAUAAAGGUAUUAGAUUUGAUCAUAAAGUUGUUACAGACAAAACACAACAGUGCAACUUUUAACAGAGUUACAGUACUUUGGUUUUACUACAAGACUAUUGUUGUGAACAAGGUAUAGUGCAAAAGGCAAGUAUAUGCAGCAUGAGGGUCCCCUUCACUGACGAGAUCUCUCAAAAUAUAAGACUCGAGUUUCAAUAGUUUUAAACAUGUUUAACAUCAUACUUAAUGCUGAGGAUUGGAAGUGAGUCCCUAUUAUAGUUGGGUGCUUCAUUGCCUUUUUCCAUUCUGAGGUCAAACUCCUCCUGUUCCAGUGUCAUUCUUCUCUGUCGGGCUUUCCCUCUUGAAAUGUCCCAUUAAACCACAUAAAUGGCAUAUCCGAGAAAUUUCGACAUUGGUGGUUGAAGUAAUGUGUUUGACCCGAGUCCUGCAGAAGCGGGUAGUGUGUCCGUUCUUGUUGCAGGUCUUGUAGUGUAACAGAUGACAACUACCUAAGUGAUGGAAGUUGCACUUUUUGCACUUCGGUAGGUUUCUAGCAUACUGUUUGGCCGGGUUAGGGAUAAUUGGGAUACUAGCAGUAUUGGUGGUAGGAGUUGCAGAUAUCGUGGCUGUGAAGGCUGCCACCGGCGAUGGUUUCUUGUUUGUCCCUCGAGGUGAUUUUCCUUUAACUUUAUCCCAGAAUUUUCGUUUAUUGCUCUUAGGUUUGAGGUUCGGAGUGUCGUGGUAGUUUGUUACUCGUGGGUGUACUUGGUUGUUACUUGGAUUGGAAUUAUUGGAAACCAUCCCGCUAACAUUUGCGUUGUUAACGUUAAGGUGAUUCAGAAUAGUUGUCACGACAGCUGAGACUGCAGCUUGAAAGGUAGCUGCAUCAAUCUGAAGAGUUGGUGUUUGGCUGAUGGGUUGAUUACUUUUCUUCGGCGACAUGAUUAUCCCUAUGAUGCAAUCCUAGUACGGAUUGGAAGUAUGUUCAUGAUGGUUUGACCUACAUCUCUGGUAAAUAACUUGAUCCCGCCACUAGAAGGGACUUGGAACUAUCUCCGGAGUUAAAUUACUAUAGUCCAAUGACUCGACUAAAGCAUGUUUCAGAUAGAUUCCAACGAAGGUAUGAUGAGGGUUUUUGAACAAGGAGUGACACGGAAGUUAGCCGACUGUCAAUAUCAUCGAUGUUUAAGAUGUAAUAAGUUUAGGAAAACUUGACCUUGAAGAAGGUCUUACAUCAUAUCCAGAGUAGAAAGGUUUUGGGCCACAUAAGGGCCUAACUAACAGUACUUACAGUACAAGAUAAUUACAUAAAAAAAAUGCUACAUAGGACAUACACAGGAAAACGAUUUCUUUAAACAAGGAAGGGAAAAUAAAGCCUUUAUUACUGACGGCGGUCAUCCCUAUAGUGAACUCUCAGUUCAGCCAAUUGACAUUCCAUUAUCAAGAGGGUGUCUUUCGUACACUCUCUGGUGUACUCAUACCUCUAUGACUCCGGCUCGUGUUUUAGCUAAUGCUUGUAGCAGGGUCUCAUGGUCUCUCUCAAAUCUCUCACGAGUGUUUUCAAGAUGAUUGGUGUAGAUGGUGUGUAUUCUUGCAUUGGUAAUUAACCUCUUUGAUAUAAUGGAGAGUCGUCCUGCUUUGAAUUUCGUUUCGACCAACUCUAUGGAUCAGGAUUGGUAGAACUUUGUCUGCUAAGCUCCCUUCGCUUAUGUUGUAGUAGCUUCGGUCUCCUUUUGACGACAUAGGUUGAUCUUGCUCUACGCUCCAUGUUUCUAGGAAUUCUACCCAAGGAGGCGUCAAGCCAUGAAGAGCUAGACGAGGGUUAGGGUUUGAAUUCGGAGCAACCGGGGUAGGUUCUUAUCCUCGAGUUCGGAGUUAUCAUCAUCCGAAGGGUCUUCAGUAUGGUGAUCAUUCAAAAGGGAUUGGAUGAUCAUUCUCUGUUUCUUCUCUGAACCAUCCAGCAUUGCCUUUGUUCGGGAAGUACGGUUCGUCGUGGGGAUGGGGUCCAGCUAUGUUAUCUAUGCGGUAAUUGGGGUAUAAGAAUCUAACACAUAAGUAGUUUAUAGUAAUACACAAAAUACUCCUAUAGUAUUUUAGGUUUAUGUUCUAUUGUUCUCAUUGUGGUAUUGUGGGUAAGUUUUUAGACUUGUUCCAACUCACAACCACACUUAGGCACAUGCUAGUCAACCCUCGGAUAAUAUAGUUGAUCAGGCUAUAUUGUCCGAGUUUUGACUAUAUGUCUCUAAGUCUACUUGUGCUUCCCAACAAUCACAAUACUUUUGUUCUGUCUUAGUGACACUGAUUUUAGUAUGAAUGCAGGCACGUAUACUUACUUAAUCAUUUAAAAGUAUAGACCCUUUAUCAGAGUAUUUUAUGACACUGAUUUUAGUAUGAAUGCAGGCACGUAUACUUACUUAAUCAUUUAAAAGUAUAGACCCUUUAUCAGAGUAUUUUAAAUCCCUAUUGUAUUUAUAGUUUGUAUAUCUUUUAUGGGUUGAUAUACUCAAUUCACUAUAAACAAUGCUCUGAUACCAAUCUGUCACACCCCAAAACCGAGAACGGCGGAAACGUUCUGGAGCGGAGGACGUCAUGUAUUGUAUCACAACAAUGCAAAGUAGUAAACAAGCAACAACAUCAUCCAUUGCAUUAAUAGUAUAAUUUUAAUUACAUUUGAGUUCUUUCAUAGUAUAAUUCUACAAAAAUGAAUAUUCAAAAAUAAAAGACGAGUCUUGAUCGCUCCGUCUUCACAGAACCUGGUAGUCGUACCUGUCUAUCCGUGUCCUGGGAAUACAAGUUAUUUUGAAAGCGAGUAUCAGCAAUAGUGCUGGUGAAUUCAUAAGUAUUUAUGUGACUUUGAUUUGUAAAGCUGUAAAGAAAGACCUGUAAAUGUUUGAAGGAAAGUUCGUACCAACGAACAUGUUUGUAAGUAAUUGUAAACGUUUGAAAACCCUAGAAAAUCCCAUAUUUUCUACUAGUAUAAAAUGUAGCCUUCUACCAAGACCCGACUGUUUUGAAUGUUUGCUUCAGAAAUCCAAUAUUUGUUUAUAAGUGGGUAGUAGUUUAAAAGACCCAAAAAUGAACUACCAUGAUGUUUUUCAUGUCUAAAAUAGUAUAUUAGUGUACAUAUAUAAUCGCUAAGGUAUAUGAUAACCCCGUAAAUCAACGUGUUUUUAAUACCCCAUGUGAGUUUUAUAACCAUGCUAAUGACCCAGACUGCCUGUAACAAUGUUUUUCAGGCAUUGGAAUGUUAUGACAUUUUUCACCCCACACCUGCCGGUCUAACUAUAGCUAACAGUUUAGGUGCAGGAUUGUCAAUCCCGUAUAGAUCUAUACACAAGUAUCACGCUCCCCCUACAAGGGAUUAUGGUAUAUAAUACAGGACUUAAUAAUGCAUACUCGAAAGUACGUGAAAUGUCUCACAAACCUAGUAUAAAACAGAUUUACGUGUGAAAAUGUCCAUUUGUUCUUGUAUAUGAAAAUAUCUCUUUGAUAUGGUACUUGUAGUAUGAACAAUUUCAUGAAUAUCUAUUACACUAUCUUAUGUAAUCGUAUCUCUUGUAAUUGUAUGUCUUGAAAUUUGUAUUCCUUGACAUUCUAUGUAAUCGUAUCUCUUCAUAUAGUAUGUAAUGUAUUAGUAUAGACUCAUUAAUAAACUAACUCUUGUGUAAUUCCUUGUACUUGUAAUGGUAAGUAGUAUAUCCUAACUAUACCUAUUAUAGUUACUAGUAUUGUGCAUGUAUAACCGAAGUAUGCCUUUGCUACCCAAAGGUACUGAACCAACUGAUGGAAACUUUUAUGUAUAUAUAUGUAUACAUGAUAUAUAUAUAUAUAUAUAUAUAUAUAUAUAUUUAUAUAUAUAUAUAUAUAUACGCGUGCAUUUGACAAUAAAAAUAUAAAAGAAGUUUUGUAAGACCUUUGAAAAGUUUAAUAAAUAAGGGAUGAUUACUUGAUGUCAGUUUAUAAAGUGAUUUGAAAGUAGUUUGUUUGAUAAAAACAAUUUUAUGUAUAAGAAGACUUUUGUUUGAAACACGAUUCUAACAGCAUUUGAAAGGAACCAUAAAGUAUGUAAGACAAUCUGAUAAAGAGUUUUUAACAUGUAAAAAAUGUUUGUCGUAAACUAUUAUAGUUUUUCCAAAAGUUUGUUUCGUUAUAUAAUAAACCCUAGUGAAAUGCUCACUUGUUAUGUAAGGUGUAACUUUUGUAGUGACAUAAAUGAACACACAUACUCAAAGUAUAAAUAAAGUGUUUGGUUCGUAUAUGUAAAACUACAUAUUUAAUUUCAAGAGACAAGAUGAUAUCGUGAUAUGUUUCGCGUACGAAAGGUUCCAUGUAGUGUUUAUAAAUCACAUAUGAUUUACUUGAUAAAAAUGAGUAUUUAGUGAAACUUUGGGUUACACACGAUAAUAAUCGUGUGUUUACUUGUAUUCCCCCCUUAAAAGUGUAUAUAAAAAGUAUUGAUAACUCAGUUAAAAAUGUAGUUUAUGGGGGUAUGAACUCACUCGUUUGGUUUGAAGAGAGAGAGAGGCUAGAGUUGAGCAGAACUUCGACCGCGGAAAGCUGCAUCUUCGGGCUUUUCGGGGAUCUCGGUAGCGUAGAUCUUUCGUCGGGGCUCGGGUACGGAAACCGAGGGUGUCGGGAUGGUCUCUGGAGCUCUAGGGUGUGUGAAAGUGAGAGAGGAUAUGAGAUAUAUGUGUCAAAACCCGUAGCUCAAACCCUCUAUUUAUAGUGCUGGAGGAUCGCGUACACGGGGCGUACCACCGGAGUACGCUGGGCGUACGCGUUACGCAGGGCGUAAAAAUGCGUCACGGCUUACGACUCCGGUCUAGCUAGCGUAGAGCACUCGAGCCGAUGGGACUUGACACUGGGUCUAGUACGUUGGGCGUAAUCUUGGAUUACGUUGGGCGUAAUCAAGUCUCCCAUCUUCUAAAUUCUGUAACUUUCGCGUACCGGCUCCGUUUUUCACGUUCUUUAUAUCCACGCGUAGGAGAGAUUAUGCUCUACAACUUUCAUUUAGACUGCGUCGGCUAGUUUAGACUUUAUUUUUAAUAAUAUAUUUUUAAUAGGCCGGGACUGCUAAAGUCCGUUAAAAAUUCAUAGUUUCUUUAUUCGACGUCGGUUUUCGUUUGUCUUUUUAUUGUUGUACUCCUAUUGUCGGGGUCUUCAAAUUUCGUUUAGGUUGUGUCGGCUAAAGACCGCUCGAUCUCUAUUUCGAGUUUUUAGCUGUCUACUGCUAGGUCAGAAACUUCGAAAAAUCAUAACUUCCUCAUACGAAGUCAGAUUUAGGCGUUCUUUUUAUGUAUGUUCACGGUUUAAUGAUUUCUAUGACUUUCAUUUAGAUACCUAAGGCUAAAAAGUAUUUUAUCGGGAUUUCGUGUUUUACGUUUAACAGUGUUUUACCGGUUUUGCCGAGAAUCUUUGGUUGGUCAUAAGUUCUUCGUUAUAACUCGGAUUUUAGUGUUCUUUAUAUGUACGAAAACCUUGAUACAAUUCCUACCACUUUAUUUAACCCAAAUAAUAUUUUACGAAAGUUAUAUUUUGGCCUAAAUUUGACUGGUGUUACAUUAUAUGGUCUCAAAAUGUCGGGUUGUCACACAGACCAAGUGAUAAUGUGGUCUUUGUAGGAAGGAGAGGAGUCUUUCACGAGAGAAAGUUCAUAAGCUAACGAAACAGUGGGAGGCAAAUUGACCUUGAGGAAAUUCAAGAGUCAAGUCGUGAAGGAACCUUAAACCCUAGCCAUCAACCUGAGGAGGAAACUCCUGUUGAGACGAAUGAAGAGUCUGUACCUCUGAGGCGUUCCACAAGAGUUAUGAAUGCACCUGAGCAUUACUAUGGUUUCCAUAUUACUGCAGAAGGUGAUACACUUAUUAGUGAUAACACAUUGGUAUGUCUGGAUGAACCUAAUAGCUACACGGAAGCCAUGGCACGCCCUAAGGUUGCUAAAUGGAAAGAGGCUUUGGACAACGAGAUACAGUCCAUGUAUGAAAAUCAUGUUUGGAACUUGGUUGACAAUGUACAAGUUGUAAGACAGUCGGGUGCAAAUGGAUCUUCAAGAAGAAGAACGACAUGGAUGGCAGUGUACACACUUAUAAGGAACGACUGGUUGCAAAAGGUUUUUCUCAAACUCCAUGAGUUGAUUAUGAUGAGACCGUUUCACCAGUGCAAAAGAUUAAGUCUAUUAGGGUUAUGUUAGCCAUUGCUGCAUUUCAUGACUAUGAAAUAUGGAAAAUGGAUGUCAAAACCGCUUUCCUUAAUGGAAAGUUGGCUGAUGAUGUUUACAUGAGUCAGCUAGAGGGUUUUGUUAGUACAUAGUACCCUAAUAGAGUGUGUAAGCUUGAGAAAUCCAUCUACGGAUUGAAACAAGCACCUCGCAGAUGGAAUCUUGGUUUCGAUGAGAAAGUCAAAGAGUUUGGCUUUUCGAGGUGCGAAGAUGAAUCUUGUGUAUAUGUCAAGGCUAGUGGGAGUAUUAUCAUUUUGGUAUUGUAUGUAGAUGGUAUACUACUCAUAGGAAAUGACAUCCCAACUCUUCAGGAAGUAAAGUCCUGGCUUGGGAAGUGUUUCGCUAUGAAGGACCUUGGAGAAGCUGCCUAUAUCCUAGGAAUAAACAUUUUGAGACACAGGAGUAAAAGACGAAUUGGACUUAGUCAAAGCACCUAUAUGGACAAAGUGUUGAAAAGGUUCAACAUGCAGAAUUCCAAGAAAAGGUGAAUUACCGAUCAAGCAUAAUGCCAAACUGAGCAAGGCUCAGAUCCCGAGUACAGAGGAUAAGAUAGUUGAGAUGAGUCGAUUACCAUAUGUUUCCUUUGUUGGCUCGAUCAUGUAUGCUAUGACUUUUACUCGUCCUAAUGUGGCCUUUGAUUUGAGCAUGGUCAAUAGAUAUCAGGUGAAUCCUGGUAGGGCUCACUAGACAAUGGUAAAGAACAUACGCAAGUACGUUCAAAGGACUAAGGAUUGGAUUCUUACCCUUGGUGGGAGUGAUGACUUGAGAAUUGUGGGGUAUAGUGACGCUAGCUUCCAGACUGACAUGUAUAAUUUCCGCUCUCAGUCGGGCUGGGUCUUUACCAUGAAUGGAGGAGUGGUUGCUUGGAAAAGUUCCAAGCAAGAGACCGUAGCAGAUUUGUCAUGUGAAUCAGAGUAUAUAGCAGCGAGUGAAGCAGAAAAGGAGGCGAUAUGGCUGAGGAACUUCAUUGGAGACCUUGGAGUUGUACCAGCGAUAAAGGAGCCUAUGGAGAUUUCUUGUGACAACAAUAGUGCGGUUGCCUUAGCCAAGGAACCAAGAGAUCAUGGAAGAUCCAAGCACAUUGACAAAAAAUAUCGCUUCAUAAGACAUAAGUUAGAAGAAGGACUGCUCGUAGCAAAUAGGAUAUCUUCAAAGGAGAACCCAACAGAUCCCCUCACGAAAGGACUGACUAAGGUUAGGCAUUUGCAGCACGUGAGACGCAUCGGGCUAAAGGACAAUAUUAGUUCUACAGAGUAGAUAGUUUUCUGAAAUAUGUAAAGUGUAAUUGAAAUUUGAUGAUAAAUAAAAGUUGCUCUUUAUUUAUGUGUAAAGUGUUGAUAUCUUUUGUCAAUCAUUAAUAUUAUUUCUUUUGCAUGUUUUGACUUCCAGAAUAAUAUGUUAUGGUAUAUCAUGUUAUUCAAACUCUCCAUAGUCGGUCAUAUGUGUUAGAUUAGAUGUCUAAGCCCAUAACUAUUAUUGGUAUGUACUUGACCCGAGAGUAGCAUGGUCCAUUUGGGUUGCAUAUCAUCAGGACAAUUUGUUAGGAUGGACUUUUGAGAGAAGGUUAUUUAUGGUUUAUUAAUAUAUUAUAAGUUAUAAUAUAUUAAUAUGAAAUCAUAUGUUUUAAUUAGUAUCUAUCAAGAAUUAAUUUGGAAUUAAUUUAGUUAUAAAAAGAUACUAAUUAAAUCUAUGGGGACUAAUUAUGAUAAUUAGCUAUAUUUAUAUGUGUUGGGCUUAUGACCCAUGUUUGACCAAGUUUAUGUAUGGAUACAUAAAGAGUUGGGCCACAUGAACCAUGGAUCAUAAAACACAUUGGUAUGGAUUAUGGGUUAUACCCAUGACCCUUGGAAUCCUACAUAUAUAUAGGUUACUCCAUAGCCAAAAUCACCACUUCUUUUCUUAGAGAAAUAUGGAGGUGUUUUGGUGCAUGGAAUUCUCUCUCAAGAGCCACCUUUGUCCUAGGUGUGUUGUGAUUCCAUUUGAGGCAUUUCAUACUAUUGGUGCUAAGCUCUUAAGGCCAAAUACAUCAAGACUUCAAGCCACAUAAAAGGUAUGUUUCCCUAACUAGUAUAUUAUAUGGUUUAUGUCAAAUGCAUGCUAGUUAUAGGUUUAAUGCCUUGGAAACCAUUUGCAUGUAUAAUUAGUGAAAACAUAGAUCCAAGGUAUUUAGGGUUGUAUGUGCACCAUAGGAUGUUGUAUUAUACCAAAACCCAACAGUGGUAUCAGAGCCAUGGGUUGUUUUCUACUAUAUUUGAUGCAAAUGUAUUUUUUUUCAAGUUGAUGAAAAAAAAAGAAAAAAAAAAACAUGAAGUUUGUCAAAUUUUAUGAUAAUUACUUGAUUUUAUGAAAAACUAAUUAUUUGUAAAAUUUGAGUCACUUUACUACAAGAGUUGAAUUAGGUCAAUUUAUUAAAAGAUAGAAUGAUAUGAUUAUUUUAUUUGUUUUAAAAGUUUGAUCUAAGUGGUUUUAAGGAGUUACAAAUUUUGUCAUAAAAUUUUGGAACUCAAAAGUUUUUUUAAAGUUAUGAUCUUAAGAGUUUUGAAACUUCCAUAAGUUAUGGAUGUGAAAUGUCUCAUUUAUUAACUCUUUAGGUUAUGAAGUCCAAGAGUCUUCAAAGGAUAAUUGUCAAAGUUUCAAGAUUUGUAUUAGUUUAUAUGAUUAUCUAAUUUCUUGAAAAUUGUUGAUGUGAAUUAUCUUUACUUAUGAGUUUAAUCUAGAUCAUAGAAAAAUUAUUUGAUUAUUGUGUUAAUUGGAAUAUUUGAUCUUAAUGGUUUUUAUGAACUCCAUAACUUGUCCUCAAGUUAUGGAAAGUGAAGAGUUUUUCUUUUUAAAGUGUCAUUAAGUCUCAUAGGUUAUGAAAAUAGAAGAGUCUCUAUUUUUAAUGUCAUCAUUAAAUGAUUUAAUGUCUUCCAUAACUUGUCCUCAAGUUAUGGAACUUGAAUUUUUUUUUCAUUAAACCUUAAUUAAACUCAUAAGUUAUGAAAAAGCCAAGAGUUUUGAAAGGUUUCAAAACUUGUCCUCAAGUUUUGGAAUUUGUAAAGUUACCCCCCAUGUAUACUUUAAUUCCAAACUAGACCUUAGAAUUUUAAAAGUUAAAAUUCAACCCUUAUACUUUAUAAUAUUAUAAGUUAAUAAUAUUUAUAUAUAUGUAUAAGAGUAAAGUCAGUCUUACCGUUAGUAGGCCUCAUUCACGAAGCCGGUCUAUAAGGGGGGUAUAAGGUUACUGCCUAUAAAAUGGCAGUUUAAUGGGUGUCCACUCUCACCCACCGCUUCCUUGACCGGUGGAGGGUCGUUAGCCGAACGGGUAGGACAAGGACUAUAAUUCUCCCUUCAUUAAAAGUAUUAAUGAUAAAUACUAAGUAACUAAACCUUUUAUAAAUACCCAAUCUUAGUUACUUAGGAAAAUGUGAAUAAGGUGCUAAUCCAUGAAAUUACACUUUGCACUUUGUUUAAGUCGGUUAGUGGAGCGUGUGUGGUUAACCGGCACACUAACUCGUAUUUAACAAGGUAGGCAAAGGGUAACUUAAUGUUUAUCAUAGUAUCGAUGGAGCGUGUGUGGUUAACCGGCACAUCGAUUGAGGGGUAAACACUUAAGGGUACCAAGUAAUUUGCAUGGUUACUUCACACCUUGUUUUGUGAUCCUCGGCAUCCCAGUCACAAAACCUGAAGGGCACACUCGAGAUUGAAACAUGCCAUUGAACAGUUCAAUGAAUCUCAAAAGAUCUAGGAGUUUCAAAUCCAAUUAAAACCUAAUAAAUUAUUUCGUUUUUCAUGGUGGAAAUUGGUGAAUCGUCAUUCACCUACCUUCAAAUAUUUUAUAGCUUGGAUUACGGCAUCCCUCUUCUAAGUUAUAAAAUAGUUUGUUGGGUCCUAGCCUUAAUAUUUCAUAUUGGGUGUCAUAUUAAGGACUUUAAAUCAACUAUCUUGAAUAUCUCCCAAAAGAUGUCUGGUUUAGACAUUUAUGAUCUUCCCAAAUCUCUUGAAACAAGCUUUCCUAAAUGAAGAUGAUGUCCCAUGGAAAUCAUACUUCUUUCACCUCCUCCAAUUAUUCUCCCUAACCCACAAGUUCUUGAAAAGUUUAAGGUCACUCAAGCCCUAUUGGCAAGGCAAGGUCUAGGUGUGAUCACAUCUUGGAGAUGUAGUCACAUAUUGACAAGCCGGGAGAGUUGGGUGUCAAAGUCUUGAGAAAGUUGGUGGUUCAAUCACUUUCUAAGUCACAUAGUGAGUUCCUUUGGGACACCUAUGAAACAGACUAUGACAAGACCCUUAAUGAUCUUAUCUAUUUGUUAAGAUCAACUUCCUUAAAACUUGAUGGACAUUGACAAUAGUGACACAGGAAAUCCAGAAAAGCAUUCUCUUCCCAAUGGAAAGGGAUCGGCCAUAGUCAACUCGGUUGACCAAAUGGUAAAGAGAAAAGCUAAGUCUGUGAUAGUCCCGUGUACCAUUAUCAAAGGGUCCAUAUGUUUAUAUUGCCAAAGGAAGGGGCAUUGGUUGCGAAGCUGCCAAAUUUACCUAAGGAUGUUAAAGUCAAUAAGUUUGACUCUACUUCAGGUAAAGUCCACUAUCUAACUCUGUUAAGUUUCUAUUCUGAGAUUCUUGAUACAUGAUGUGACUGGGUCACAUGGUGAUGUUUUAAGAAUCAAAGAAAAGUGAAGAAACUUAAAGAAAGAAUAUGCUGAAUCUGAUGGCGUAGAUGGAUUUCUAUCGCAUAGUUUGAAGAUCGGAUUCUUGAGCUACUUCUUAGGAGUUAUGAGAUAUUGCUUAGGAAUAGAUAACAACAAGUUUUCAUAUGGAUUGUAAGGAUAAGUUUUUCCGCAAAGUUUUAAAAUAAAAGAAAAUUUUUUUUUUUUUAUUUAUUUUAAAAUAUCCUUACAAUGGCAUUUGAGGAAAAAUUGUUGCUUAUAUGAUUCCAUUAAGAGCAAGAGUGGAAAUAUGAAAUUGAUUCUUUCAUUUGUGGUAAUGUCUAAAUUUACCAAAUAAGGAAAGAUUCUCAUCACCCAAGUUUCAGUUGGAUAGAAACUUGGAAUCAUGCAAGUUGUAUAGCAUGAUGAAUGAGAACUUUCAAGCAUUGAAAAAAAAUUAAGACUAACUACUUGUUCACAUGGAUGUGUGAGUCAAGUGAAGGACUAAGGGAUCGAGUACACAUUCUUGUGCAUUGGUCAAGUCUACCAUAAAAGAUCGAUAAGACUAUUCGUCAUGGUUUACUAGCUCAGUAAAUAUGAUUAUACUUACAAGCUUAAGUGUAACUCUGAGACAAUGGAAAAGGUUCCAAUGUAUGGCAGAGCGAAUAUGAAGAAUCAAAUUAGGCAGAAGGAUAAAAGUUUCUCAUAUCUGAAAAGAUGGGAGAGUACUUUAGUAUCAGUUUUGUGAUCAUCUUAAUGAUUAAGAAACCAUAUCAAAAUUAGUUCUCUAAGGAAAUCUUAGUGCAUUCUUAUGACUAAGAAGAGGAACUUGAAUUGUUGAAAUGGUUAAAUCAAGAAGAUGAGUCAUACUUCGUUCCAAUACAAGUCUUAGAGUCAUACUCCAAGAUUGUCAUUUGAGUGACAUGUCUUAAAGAAGGUUUAAAACACUUGUCAAAUGUAAGAGUAAAAGUUUUCUACUCUUGUACAUUUGAAAUUGGUAAGUUGUGAUGUUUUGGAUAAAACAAAGACCAACUUAGGCCAAUUGGGUAAAGUGUUUUUCUUGAUUAGAAUCCGCACUAUCUCUUGGAUGUUUGACAAGGGAGUCUUAUAUGUCAAGAGGACAGUGGGAGUCUUAAAGGUCUUGAAAGUCUCAAGAAAUAAUCAAGAAUAAAACCUGAAGUUCUUCACUAGCACACGACUUGAGGUUUAUAACCUAUCGUGUUGACAUAUCUGUGCCCAUUCCAGUUAAAGUUGGCUUUGCAUAUGAGUUCUUAGAGUUCUCAGUUUGUUGCAUAACAACUUGGAAGCAAUGGCAGGCCCUUGAGCUGCCAGGUGGCAAGAAGUUAAGAUUGAGUUCAAUCCAUAUGGUUUUGGAUUUGUCAUUAUCUUUGUCUUGUGAUUAUGGUUUGACAAAUUCAUAUGGGUAGGAACUCAUACACCAUAUAAAUCUAAGUGUCAUAAGGUUUCUCUCCGAUUCAUGAAAAUGAUGGUGAGGAAACGCUUUCACUAAGUAGAUUUUACGAAGAUAUCAAUUGUGUUAUUUGCAUUUUCAAAAGUCGUUAGUGGAGCGCGUGUGGUUAACCGGCACACUAACAUGGACUUGUGAGAAAUGGCAAAUGCCUAAGCAAUUGAGACCAUGAUUACGGUAUCCCUUUUCAUGGUUCUUGAAAUUGCUUAGACACACAGGUGAGCUAUCUACGGAAAGGGUGUAUGAAUCUAAAUUUCAGACUGUCCAGCUGAUUUCUGAGUACAUGUCAAAGCUAGUGGGAGCAUAAGUGUUAUGCUAAUAAUCAUCAUGUUAGUGGGAGCAUGAUAAUUAUGAUAAGUAUUGCAAGUUAGCAAUGUUAAUUAUAGAAAACAAAAGUUUCAAUUGGGAAAAAGUUGUUUUGCUAUAAUUAAGGGAGAGGAAAUUAUGCUUCAUCUCAAAUCUAUAAGCUUAGAUCGUGAGGUUUUAAUCAUUUAGUCAAGGAUAUAUAUGAAUUUCAUGUUGGAAUGGCUCAACAUAAGGAAAUUCUGUAUAUGGGUCCAUUAUUUGCGUUCUAAAAUUCGAUUAUGAUUACGGCAUCCCUUUUCAUAAUCUGAAUUAUGAGAACUUGGCAAAUUGAAAUGGAAAUAUUAUAGCAAAAGACUGGUUUAGUCUUUAUGUAAGACAUCAUGAAUCGUGUCCCAUAUGCUUCGGAUAUAGGAUCGAUUACAUGUGCUAUAUUCAUCCGUUCUAAAAUUUUCCAAAUGCCUGGGGCAUUAAGAAGGGAAAAGGUUUAGAACUGGAUAUGACUAAAAGGAUUAAACAAUUGUCGAGGACAAUCUAAGGUUUACCAAAGAUUGGUUACUCAAGGACAAUUGGAAGUAUAGUGAUAAUUCUGGAAGGACCAUAUUGACAUAAUCUGUAAGGAGGCAACUCUUGUUCAGAAGUGAUAGUCAAAAUGGAAUCUGGAAAUGUUUCAAAGUUAGAAUUUUCAAUCUGUUUAAGAUUAGGAAACUUAAUGCAAGAAGGAUGUUUCCAAGGAGCUGAUCUCCUUUGGAAUACUCUGUAAUGAUUGUUGUCAAGUCUUUCUGACUUUGUGCAUAAUCAUUACAAGAGGAUCAAUGCAUAUAAGUUUAGAAUCUAACAGAUUUCAGUAAAUGGCAUGAAUUUGGAAUUCUUGCAUUUGCAGUAAGGAUUUGGGAGUGUGAAAAGAGAAUCAUUGAAGUUAUGUUCAAUUGAUCUAGUUCACAAAGUAAAGAUCAUAGACAAACAUAGUAUGCAUACUUGGUGUGUGGCAUGACUAGUGUUUAAGAAAACAUAGUGUACAUGCUUGGAGCAUGGGACAACUAUUGUUUUAAAUUCAAGAAUAAAGUUGAUAGCCGAAACAGAAUACAAUGAACAAUGUGUAAUCAUAUGAUGAUAAAUAAAAGGUGUUUUAUUUAUGUUCAUUGGUUUUGAUACCAUAUUGGAUUCAAUUAUUCUUGUGUUUCGUUUUGCAUGUUUUAACUUCCUGGAUAAACUAGGUUAUUCUUCCGGAAUGACUAAGUUAUUCAAACCAUCCACAGUCGGUCAUAUGUUGGAAGUAGAUAUGAAUUAAGACUGUCAUGGGUUGGCUUGUAGAGGUCUAAGGUGUUGGACAAAGGGCUACAACACUCAUGAGUGCUCAUAAGUUCUGAGUAUUGGAUUCAACCCGCGCUCAUUGGAAUCACUUCAUGGAUUUUAUCACGAGUGAUCAUGAGACGAUAAUAUCUUAUAUUCUUCAAACCUAGAGAUAUGAGUUGUUACUAUGAGUUGGUUAUACAUUGAUUGCACGAAAACGCAUUGGUAACUCGAUGUUAUAAAACGUGCCUUUGUGUAUGAUUCAACAAGUAGUAGAACAAGCCAUAUGAGUCGAAGUUUAUCCAUUCCUUUUACCUUCGGGAUAAAAGCGAUAUCUGUGGGCCCCUCGAUGAUUUGAUGAUGACAAAUGGAAGUGCUCGGCCGGGCCAGGACUGAUUUGAUUUGUUCAAUUAGUCAGUCGUCAUAAAUCAGAAAUCAGGAAACAACAAAUGGACAGAGAGAACGAUUAUAAUCAAUGUCUCAGUCCAUAUGAUAUGUAGAAUGGAGGAAUAUAUGAUCCCUUAUCUAAUGGACGCGUCAUUGAUUUGUUCAGAGUUCGAUAGCGGCUUUAAGAGCUACGAUUGCUAGUCGGGUUAUGAAGUCGUACUUGCAAUCAUAGUUUUAGACAUAUGCAAGUGGGAGACUGUUGGAUUAGAUGUCUAUGCCCAUAACUAUUAUUGGUAUGUACUUGACCCGAGAGUAGCAUGGUCCAUUUGGGUUGCAUAUCAUCAGGACAAUUUGUUAGGAUGGACUUUUGAGAGAAGGUUAUUUAUGGUUUAUUAAUAUAUUAUAAGUUAUAAUAUAUUAAUAUGAAAUCAUAUGUUUUAAUUAGUAUCGAUCAAGAAUUAAUUUGGAAUUAAUUUAGUGAUCAAAAGAGACUAAUUAAAUCUAUGGGGACUAAUUAUGAUAAUUAGUUAUAUUUAUAUGUGUUGGGCUUAUGACACAUGUUGGACCAAGUUUAUGUAUGGAUACAUAAAGAUUUGGGCCACAUGAACCAUGGAUCAUAAAACCCAUGGGUAUGGAUUAUGGGUUACACUCCUGACCCUUGGAAUCCUACAGAUAAAUAGGUUACUCCAUAGCCAAAAUCACCACUUCUUUUCUUAGAGAAAUAUGGAGGUGUUUUGGUGCAUGGAAUUCUCUCUCAAGAGCCACCUUUGUCCUAGGUGUGUUGUGAUUCCAUUUGAGGCAUUUCAUACUAUUGGUGCUAAGCUCUUAAGGCCAAAUACAUCAAGACUUCAAGCCACAUAAAAGGUAUGUUUCCCUAACUAGUAUAUUAUAUGGUUUAUGUCAAAUGCAUGCUAGUUAUAGGUUUAAUGCCUUGGAAACCAUUUGCAUGUAUAAUUAGUGAAAACAUAGAUCCAAGGUAUUUAGGGUUGUAUGUGCACCAUAGGAUGUUGUAUUAUACCAAAACCCAACAAUAUGUUGGAAGUAGAUAUGAAUCAAGACUGUCAUGAGUUGGUUCUAGAUGUCCAAGAUGUUGGACAUAGCAAAAGGUUACUACAACACUCAUGAGUGCUCAUAUGUUCUCAGUAUUUGAUUCAAGCCAUUCUCACUUGUAUCAGUUCAUGGAAUUUAUCUCGAGUGAUCGUGAGAUGGUAAUAUCAUAUAAGUCUUCAAACCUAGAGAUAUGAGUUGUUGCGUAUGAGUUGGUUGUGCAUUGAUUGUACGAAAACGCAUCAGUAACUUGAUGUCAUAAAAUGUACCUUUGUGUAUAAUUCAACAAGUAGUAGAACAAGCAUAUGAGUCGAAGUUUAUCUGUUCCUUCUUGGAUUAGAAGCGCUAUAUGGGCCCCUCGAUGAUUUUGUUUUGACCUAUGUAACGGACCCGGUCAGAACUAAAUUGAUGUGGUCAAUUAAGUUCUAUGUAAAACAAAUUGGAAAUCGGGAAACAAACUGCUGGACAAUAAGUAGGACAUCGUCCCAUGUAUUUUUUUGGCUGAUAUCUAGAACAUAGGAUUAUAUGAUCACUUAUAUAAAAUGGCGCUUCAUAGUUCAACAGAGUUUUAAGAGCUACGAUUUUCAGUCGGUUCCUGAAGUCAUGCUUGCAAUUAUAGUUAUCAGACUUAUCCAAGUGGGAGAAUAUUGUAUAAGGUAUCUAAGUCCAUGACUAAAAUUGAGAUGUACUUGACCCAACCCGGCAUGGUCCAUUUGGGUUGCACUUCACCCGGACAAUUUAUAUGGAUAAUCUUUGGAGAAUAGUAUAAGUUAUGAUUUAUUAAUAUAUUAUAAGUUCUAAUAUAUUAAUAUGAAAUCAUAUUAUUUAAUUAGUAUUGAGCUAAAAUUAAAUUAGAAUUAAUUUUGUGAUCAAAAGUGUGACUAAUUAAAUAUGGACUCUUUUAUUUAUAUACUGUGGGCUAAUGCUUAUUUAGAAUGGGCUAUGCUUGCAUGGUAAGUCCAUUGAUAGUCCAUGGAGCUUUAACCCAUGGAUCUCAAGAAAAUGAAAAGACAUGGGUAUUAGGGUUUACAUGGAUGUAACCCUAAUCCACCACACUAUAUAAAGGAGUACUUGGCACCUAAAAUGGAACUAGUGUGUCUGAGAAAUCAGGUGUGGCCGAUUUUUACAAGUAUGCUACUAUUCUCUCAAGUUUCCAAGGUUUGUGGUGAUUUGUGACUUCCAUUUGGGACAUCCACAUUAUUGUUUCUAGGCUCUCAAACUCCAAGCAAUCAUCCAUUAUUAAAAGUUAUGUAAUUCUACUAGUGUUUUAUGAUUCAAGUACCCUAGAACAUGCUAGUGAGGAAGUAAACCUUGGAAAAUAAUUAUUUGCAUGUAUCUUAGAGAAAACCCAAAUCCAAGGUUUCUACGGUUGCAUGUACACCAUAGGAGUGUUACAAUGCUCAAAACCCAUUAGGAACAUUUUGAGGGGCAGUAGAUCUGGAAGUUACUCUGUACCGGCCAUCAUCCUAUGGUAAAAAUUGAUCAUCUUGAUCUCUAGUUGCUUCGAUCUCUUCUUUUAGUAGUAGAUGGCCGAUUUUGGUGCAUGUUUGGUUUUUAAAAUUUUUAAUACUCCCCUAAAUUUGUGCAUAAAGGAAAACUAUGAACAAAUUUAACAGAAAAAAAAAUUAAUUGGGAUCAAAGUUUUUAGACAGCCCCAAUCCAUUUAUCGGUACCUCCCCUUUCAUGAAUAGAUUUGGCCAAUCGCCGGUAUUGUGGUCCACUUAAACACAAAAGAUCGUGACAAGAUUUCGGACACACUAUAAGUGAUAAAACAUUUUGUGAUCCUUUGUUCCUAGAUAAACUUCCUAAGAACCAUUCAUCUGACGAAGACCAAGGAUAUUGGUGUCCACCAAAAUUGAGCAGCGAGAUCUACAGACAACCUAUUAAUUGUUCAAUUUUAGAUGUAUUAGAACAUGUUUCCCGCUUCCUAAUAUACUCCAAUAAUCAGGGACUUCCAAAAUACUCCUUACUUUAGAUGAGCAGACAAUUAUCAUGGGAGAAGGUCGAUUUAGCAUGCAUAUGUUGUACACUCAGGUCGGAUCUCUUCCAAUAACACAGAGGGUGAAACAUAUGACCAGCUUGAGUUGUAGAGGGAUUGAGAAAUAGAAUGGUGCAUAUGUUGUGUACCAGGAUGGAUUGUAAAUCACCACAGUUCUAGGUACAGGUUCCUUUAAUGUGACCUGUAGAUUCUUAUGUAUAUCUUUGUGCUCAACCUACCCGAGCAUCAUAUUUUCAGGCUAAAUUGAUCUAUCUAAGUCCAGAUUUGUCAAGUCAUUUGAUUCCUUAAGUUCAUCUAUGCCUAGUCAAGUCCAUAUAAAUCUUUUGUGCCUAGCAACGCAUCGAACAUAGAGCCUAGACAAUUCAGCUUUGGUACCUUACACAGAUUCAGAUUGCGCAUCUUCACUUGUUGAUAUCACUUCCUAGUCACAACACUUACAAAAAUAUAAUAUAUUUUUGUAUUUUUGAUUUUUUUUAUUUCUCCCCCUAAAAUUGUGCCUGGAGGAGAAAUAAAACAAAAUAAAUGCGCAAAAUUAAAAGAAAUUUGUCUUUGAAACAAAUCAUUUUAAGAUAAACUCAAGAGUAUCGAUAAGAGAACUCAAACCGUAAUUCACUGAUUGAAUUUGCAUCCAGAAGGUCUGAGAACAACACGCAUAAUCUCAGAACAUAACCAAAAAUUCUUCACAUCGUUAAGAACAUACCCCAUGUGUGAUCCUCUCUUUCCUUCCUUUCCCGCAAGGACACAUACACUCAAACAAAGUUAUGAAUGUUGUACAGUUGAGAGAUGUCCCCUAUCAUGUGCCAGGAACAGCCACUAUCAACAAACCGAAGUCUAAUGAUAUGCCUCCAUAGCUCUUCCAACACUAAGCAGGAUCAGUUGGUCUUUGGAACCCAGUCUAUUUUGAAACUGGGUCGACCUUUGUCAUCUUUGCAAGGUACUUUCUUCCACGACAUGUCUUGCUUAUCACAAACAUAUGAUGACGAAAUAAUAGAAUUGUUAGAAGAUUUGGGAGAUUGAACCUUUGGUACCCAUCUGUAGUUGGGUUUAACCCAUUUAUUUUUCGAGAGGUUGGGUGCCUCGACAUUUGAUUUUGAGCUUGAUGUCGGCCGUUGAGAUGACUUUGACCUAACUGGUCUUUGUUUCACUGGAGCAUCUCUUGAAUUUGCCUUCUUGGCCGGCAUUCCCUUCUUGCUCUUGGGAUUUUGAUUCUUGGCCUUGUGGGUUUGAUUCUUGGCCUUGUAGGCAUUCUAGUCACCAAUACGCAAUUGUGACCUCGAAUGAUUUCUUUUGUAGAAUCUCCCACUUUGCGCGUUCUACCAGCCUUGUGCGUAGUAGGGAACGUAUGCAUGAUUUGGAUAAUUUCUGGCAAUGUGUCCAGGUGUUCCAUAGUGAAAACAUGCCUUUUUCUUCACUAAGAAGUUUUUUCUUCCUUCCCCUGGUGGCGUGCCUUUGCCUUGUCACUUGCUUUUCCCACACGCCCAGUUGCAACAAGCACUCUGUUUAACUUUUGUUGGUAGCCUGUAUUUUUCAACAGCAGGCUUGUUAGGAGUAACUGAGUUAGAAGCAACAGAUUCAGAGUUCCAGGAGUCAUUGGAUUGCUCCUUAGUUUUCUCAUUGUUCUCAUCUUCAGCUACUUUACCUGCACCUAUAGUAGAAGCAUUAGAAUCGCUCAACUCAACACUUUCUGGCACAUCCACGACAGAAUUAUCAAAGAUAUCAUCAAAUAUAUCAACAAUAUUUGAGUCAUCAUACUUUGACACAUAAAUAUUAUCAGACUCAAUCUUUCCAUCUUCCUACUUUCUCUGACUUACUAACGAAUCUGCAUUGGAAGUAGAAACGUUAGUGUCUAAUUCCCUUGCAGUACACUCUGUUGCAUGUUCAACAGCUGGUUUACCAUUUACCAUAAAUGCUUCUCGGUCAAUCUCUUCUUGAGUCAAAGGUUUGGCGGUGUAGUUGUGAUUGAAUGGGGGAGGAACACUCUCAUAACCUAUUCAUGUUUACUUCCGGUCCUUCCAUUUCUUCUGUUUUCAAUUAUUGUUGCCACUCUUUCACUUGACACAUCGAAUUUUUAAAAUUUUAAAGUAAAAUUCAAAAUUUGAGGUCAAAGGUCAAUUUAGAAAUUUAAAAAUUAAAAGCUAAAAUUUUUGGAAGAAAAUAGAAUUUAAAAAUAAAAGAAAUUUUAAUUUUGGGCUAAAAGUGUCAAAAUUGCAAAAUUAGUCGAACUAGAGAAGCCUUUUGAAUUAAAACGCAAAGGUUUAAAUCAACAUGCAGUCUAGCCCAACUGGUAAGACACCUUUGUUGUGGAUGCGGAUGACCAGGGUUCGAAACCUGCUAACCCCAAAAUUGUUUCCCCCUUCUUUUUUAAAUGAAUGCAGUGCGAACUUCGGACCCUAUGCAAGGCUGACCACGAAUCCGAGAUACUGAUGAGCCGUAAAACCGAGGCGAGGCUGUCCGUGAACCUUGGACCGUAAGCUCUGAGGCCAUAAACUCCAAGGGCCGUGAACUGUUUACGGUCGUAAACUCCCUUCGGGCCGUGAUCUCUUCAAAGGCUGUAAACCCUUCAAUAGAUGCGAAGAAAAACGAUGUUUUUCACACUUUUUGCUCUAAUAUUCGAUCAAAAACUUGUUUUUAACAAAAAUGCAAAGAUCUAUCCAAAAACACAGAAAUCCUUCAAAAAUAAGAUAAAAUAAGCUCCAGAUCUGACAAAAAUGAUUGAUACAAUCCAAGCUCUGAUACCACUUGUAAGUCCCCAAAUCUGCUUGUGUAUCAAUCAGAUCCGUCUGAUGGUGCGGAAUCCCAAUCAAACGGAUGAUGCUAGAUGAAAAUAGAAGAUAAGGAAAAGUAGAAUAAUAUGAAUCUUGUAUGAUUUGAUUAGAAUGAAGUUCCUUACACAAUAUUCACACACUUACACACUUAUGCUCCUUUUUCUCUCUCUUGGUCGUACACUCUGUUCUGUUCAACAACCACUCCUUACCCCUAACAACUAUAUAUAUACUUGGGAACAUGGACCGUAAAUGGGCGUAAACCUGUUUACGACCGUAAACACCCACCUGGUCGUAAACAUAACCGUAAACACACAUACAUCCGUAAACAACAAGUUGUUUAUGGUCCUAGACUGAAAAAUACAUUUUCCUAGAAAAGUAAAGUAUAAACCAUAAUUUUGACCCAACAUAUCUUGGCCUACUCCAUAGAGCAGGACCCCCUUAACCCUAAGUAAAUACAAUGUGUCGCCAAAGACGAUCAGGAGAAAGAUCUAACCCGGUUCCCAGAACCUGAAAGACAGGGACAUCCUAACCCAACCACCUUUGACCUUACCAUUGAUGACAUCACACCUUUCGCCUGAAACUUGGACCCGCACCUCAACCCCAAAGAUUCCCAACUUACCUUACUGAAUUCCAGGAUGCACGCCUUGCGCAAAUACUCUCGUGAGUCCCAACGCGAGUUUCCACUAUAAGCCUUUUCUAAAAUGGAUACUCAUAUUCUUCUCGAAGGCCCUUCCUUAUCAUUGAGGAACAUGACAUUAUGAAUCUACCACUGAUCUAUAAAUUCAAAUACGCUUAGAGUCGAGCACACAGUUGACCGAACACCUGAACUGAACACAAUGCAUGACUGGAAUCCGAACCUGAUUUCCCAGAUUUUGCUAUCAACCACUCAAAAGAUGUGAUCCACAUGCUGUGGAGUUUGACCGAACUCCCAUCUUACACAACCCUCAAACAAAAUAGCCAUUUAGGCCACCUUCCUUCCCGACGGGGAUGUAAAACUUAUCCCAACACACUGAUAAUACCAAAUGCUUGAAAUGAUACUGCACUCAAAGCUUGGAAUUCAAAUGACAAAUGUUUAGACCAAAACCACAACAAUAGACCACGUCCCUUGGCGACCUCACAAGCCGAUAAGAGCACAAUGAAUGAAACCACCAUAACCCGACGAUGGUGGAAAACCACCCUGCUGAACAUGCCUGCUUCUAUUAAGGUUCACCGAUCAAAAUUAGCCUAACAAAACCGAAUGCAUCAAUUCGAGCAACAACUGACAAAACCUUCAUUGACUUACGCUCAACUUGAGAAUUCUCAAUUCUCAUCCACUUAGGGUACUAACUACUACCUGUUGGCGGUGAAACGAACACAAUUUAACCGUCCUUACUAGGUAUCCUCAUCCUUAACUAUGGAUCGAUCAACCCUAGAGUAAACAACCUUCGUAGAACCAUCCUCCCGACAUGGUGCAACCGAACUUCAAAAGAAAACCUGAAUCCCAGUUGAACACUUAUAUAUCCCCAAUUCACAACUACUGGCCCUGGAAUUAUGAUCCUAUAUCCUAACUUCCCAUUCUCUAACACCCCUAGAUACUAAAUGACUACUACCCCUUGAUACUAAAUUCCUAUGACCAUCGUAUGUCUUAAUGUCUCAUGAAGUUCUGCAAUAUAUAGAUUAGACAAAAUAGGCCACUAAACCGAAAUUACUGCUUAUAGAUACUUAAAAAUUUCCAAGACGAAAUAAUUACUGAUCAAAGACGACUUGACCAUGAUAUUAUUAUAGAAUAGGGGUUCCCUAUUACAUACGAGAGACUUAUUACGACUCGAAUUUGACCUCUUGUGGAACGAUAAUUGCUGGACUCCGAACUCCUUCUGCCCUCAACGCAGGACAGCUGGACCUAAAAUAACCUGGCUCAUGGCAGUGAAAGGAUAUCUGAUCCUUCUUGCAAUCCCGUUGCACAUGUCCUCUUUCCUUGCACUUGUAGCACCUGAAUUUGUGACAAGCAUAUCCGUGGGUUCCCCCAUACUUGCCACACACAUCCUGACCCUCUUGAUUUCCAGUACCAAGGUCACCAGUCUCCAACUCUUCUCUCUCUGCUAAGAAGUCCCUCUUCCUCUUUCCUUAUAGUGACCCCACCACUGGCACUCCCCCAGUAGUCAUCCCAAUAGCAACGUCUCUCACAGAUUGCAAGGCUGCAACCUGCUCCUCAAACUUGGCUAUCACCCUGGCGGUGACCCGGUCCACAACACCAGACAAUUCCUCUCGCAAAAUCUGAGAAAACUCCACUGAACUCAUCUCAUGUAUCUUAUCAACGGACAAUACCGGCCUACCCGACCACUCGCUCCGCAUCCUGAUCCAGAUCCUACUUCAAAUCGUUUCUCCAUCACCAAACUGAACAUAUACAACGAAAGUAUCAGAUAAUCCACACAAAUGACGGGAAACCUAACCUUUACCAACCCUAGGGUUGUGGCUUCCUUGCUACGCAUAUGGGUCAUGUGCAUUCAGUAGUAUGGGCCCAUACUACCUUCCACACAUACCCAUAUUUGUCCUUUAUCACAACAACACCCUAACCAUAUAAAAAACAUAGCGAGCGCUCAAUCCUCACUCAUAGAGGAAUAAUGAAUAUCUCAUAACUGACCUCCCGGCCUCUCACGACCACCCUACUACCAACUACUACACGACCCUCCAUUGGUGCCAGUUAACUAUUGAAUGAAUACAACCACAUGCCGCAUAGAUUAAACAAAUUUAGGCUAAAAGAUUUAAUCCCACAACGGUUGGACUCAGACAAGAGCUGCGUAGCAGGACCAAAUCUCUUACCCAAAGACCAUUUAACCCCUGUAGCAUGUAACUUGGAGUAUUCAUCCAAUAGUUAGUUCACACAUGAAAGAGUCAUAAUACAAUCAACGAGGUACUCUAUAUAAGAUAAGGCAUCACAAACCAGGAAAUUCUUAUCAUAUAGUUCCCGAGGAUCCCUAUCUUAGUUCUAGCAUGUUGUCCUAACAUACCACAAUAUCAAAUAACUGUAUGGUAUUUUGGGGUCUACUUACAGGCUUAGAAUGAUUGUACACUCUGCAUCCUCCUUUACUUAUUUUGAAAACCAUUUAAAAAUCUUUUCCUUGAUUUGAAACUGGAUUCACACGAGUGUUCCUCCAAUUCACUCAAACCAAGGAUCUGAUACUAACUUGUAACACCCAUAAAAUCAAGCCAAAUCUGAACUUUUAAAAACAUUGCAAAUCCGUUAAUUAUUACAAAACUUGUUUUCAAAAUGCAUCAUAUCAGAGUACUCCAGAAACAAUGUCAUAAAAAUUGAGGGGUUGUACGAUCACGCGUUUUUCUCGCCACGCUCCCCUGACGUACCUUGUGACAUCCCCAUUUUUCACGGCCAGAAAAGACCAAUUUUGUUUAUGCUUGUUUGAAAAUCAGAGUAACAUUUUACAUAAAAGAUUUGUGGAAUUUGUCCCAAAACAAAAAUAUGAUAAAGGUUUAUCAAAAGCAUUUCCAUAUAAAUGUAUUUUAUUAAAAAGACAUGGGAUGUCAUGUUCGAUACAGAUCAUAAAGCAUAAACAAUACAACAUAGGCCUUACUACAUUAUUUCGUAAUUAUGGGCUUAUAAUCCCUUAACUCUCAUCCAAACAUCUAUGCUCAUGCGACACUACCUAUAAUAAAAGAAACUACGUGGGUCAUGCUUGGGAGCCUGGUAAGCACAUAGGGUUUUGAACCCACAAUAAAUAAAUUUUUUAACUUUAUCAAACCAAACAAACCCGAUUACCCGUUCCUGUUAUCCUCACUUUACGUCCCUAAAACAUCUAACACUAGGGACCUAGUCUAAGGAUUUUCAUCGAGGUGACAACAAAUGCUUCGGGGGUUCCAUAGCAAUACAUGUCAAAUAAGGCAACAAUGUGGGGGAUGGAGUACUUUUGGUGAACACACAGUUCAAAAACAGCUACAGGUUGCGAGCCUGCUAGCGUUUCACUGGACUAUCUAGAAAAGUCUGUGGGCAUCAUCUAUACUCCGCUAGAUGACUAGAUCAUCAAAACAUCUCUAUCGAGGCCUCUCGUUAUGUUAUUUCGUCACGCAUAACUAAUACAUCUACCCAUGUUUUACCCAACACAUUUUGUAGAUAUAAAAUACAUAUACAGUUUAAAUCUUUUAAACACUACUAGAAAAAAGGCCUUUUACGACGCUCAUUGCGCGUCGUAAAACGCUCAGACGACGCGCAAAUGCGUGUCAAGGAAGGCCCUGUCAUAAAGAGAGACGACGCGCUUUUGCGCGUCGUCUAUAGACGACGCGCAUUUACGACGCGCAUUUAUGACGCGCAUUUACGACGCGCGGUUAUGACACGCAAUGCGUAUCAAGGAAGGCCCUGUCAUAAAGAAAGACGACACGCAUUUGCGUGUCAUAACCUUACGACGCGCAUGUUGAUGACACGCAAUGCGUAUCAAGGAAGCCCCUGUCAAGAAAGGCCAUGUCGUAAAUGAAGAUGACACACAUUUUUGCGUAUCAUAACUUUAAAUGUUCUAAAAAAUAUAUUUACAAUGUCUAAAUUUGAUGUCAUACAAUUCAUAAUAGAAAUAAAAUAUCAUAUACAAAAAAUACAAUCCAUUGCAUAAAAUUUAAUGUCAUACAAUUCUAUUUUUUACAAUAUCUAAAUUUGCAUCUAAUCUACUCUCUACAUAAAAUUCCAACGAAAUAAAGUUGCAUCUUGCCUUUCAUAAUUCUUUAAGACUAAUGCUCCAAACAGCUGUUAUAUGGAUAAGAAGUUGUACAUUGGCCCAUCUCACUCAAGAAAGACUUAGCCAAAUUCAACUCCAAGUCUUUACUGCAUCUUGCUGAUAAUGCUGCAAGAUUUGAAUCAAGUGGCUUCAUAUUCUUUUCUUCCACCAACUUUACCUGAUGCACAAAAUACACAGAAACAAAAAAACAUUGUAUAGGACAAUCCAAAAACACAUUAUAAGCAUAACAGUCAGUCCAUGGACUUACUGUGGAUCAAUAAUUGCAAACACCAAAGUUUGUUUGUGUGAACUUCACUUUUCUCAUAUAAAAACCUCUAAUUCAGUUGAUUGCAUAGCCUUUGUGGACAACUGUUGGGGUUUCUCUUUGGGUUCUACUGAGGACUAUGUCUGCAAAGUCUUUUCCAGUGGGUACCCUUGUGAUUUUCUUGAAAUUGUAUUGCACCAUGUUUGAAUAUUUAAGCAAAAACUGCAUCAACACAAGUCAUUAUAUCAGAAAUCUACUGAAUAUUUGUUUCUUGGUAUAUACUGUUUUGAGUUUUGAGUGAUUUCAGUGUUUACAAGACCAAUGCCCUAUGGGUUUUGAGUUAAAUUUAAUAAGAUAAUUGUGUUUAUUUAGUUAAAUGUAGUUGAAGAGACAAGAAUAACAUAGCUCUCGCUCUGUAGUCUAUAUAAGAACCGUUUAUUUUGACAUCCCACCAUCAAAAAAGAAAAUAACCCAAUGACACCAUACAAGAAUUAUAAGAAGCUUAACCUAAAACUUGGAUUGCAAGUGUCGAUUCAUUACCAUGGAUGCAGAUACAUUAAUAAUAACCUCCUAAAGGGCUCAACUAAUUAAGGUUAGAAUAAGCCUAAAAAUCAAGGAAAAGAUACCUUUAGUCCCUGGUCGUUAAGGUCUUUCAAAGUAUAAUGAGUUGUUCCACUGAACUCACCGAGUCAACACAGUCCAAAUCUGGAAAUGUUUCUCGCCUUGGAAACACCUGGAUAUAAACAAAAUGUAUACAAUUUAACCGCAUUAUUAUAGAGAACAGUGUCCCCACUCUUGUACUAAAGAAGUUGCUUUCGGCUCAUUAGUUGCCCAUCACUUACACCAUCCCUGCAAAUAAAAAACGAAGUGAAGAUUUAGUUUUUUUUNNNNNNNNNNNNNNNNNNNNNNNNNNNNNNNNNNNNNNNNNNNNNNNNNNNNNNNNNNNNNNNNNNNNNNNNNNNNNNNNNNNNNNNNNNNNNNNNNNNNNNNNNNNNNNNNNNNNNNNNNNNNNNNNNNNNNNNNNNNNNNNNNNNNNNNNNNNNNNNNNNNNNNNNNNNNNNNNNNNNNNNNNNNNNNNNNNNNNNNNNNNNNNNNNNNNNNNNNNNNNNNNNNNNNNNNNNNNNNNNNNNNNNNNNNNNNNNNNNNNNNNNNNNNNNNNNNNNNNNNNNNNNNNNNNNNNNNNNNNNNNNNNNNNNNNNNNNNNNNNNNNNNNNNNNNNNNNNNNNNNNNNNNNNNNNNNNNNNNNNNNNNNNNNNNNNNNNNNNNNNNNNNNNNNNNNNNNNNNNNNNNNNNNNNNNNNNNNNNNNNNNNNNNNNNNNNNNNNNNNNNNNNNNNNNNNNNNNNNNNNNNNNNNNNNNNNNNNNNNNNNNNNNNNNNNNNNNNNNNNNNNNNNNNNNNNNNNNNNNNNNNNNNNNNNNNNNNNNNNNNNNNNNNNNNNNNNNNNNNNNNNNNNNNNNNNNNNNNNNNNNNNNNNNNNNNNNNNNNNNNNNNNNNNNNNNNNNNNNNNNNNNNNNNNNNNNNNNNNNNNNNNNNNNNNNNNNNNNNNNNNNNNNNNNNNNNNNNNNNNNNNNNNNNNNNNNNNNNNNNNNNNNNNNNNNNNNNNNNNNNNNNNNNNNNNNNNNNNNNNNNNNNNNNNNNNNNNNNNNNNNNNNNNNNNNNNNNNNNNNNNNNNNNNNNNNNNNNNNNNNNNNNNNNNNNNNNNNNNNNNNNNNNNNNNNNNNNNNNNNNNNNNNNNNNNNNNNNNNNNNNNNNNNNNNNNNNNNNNNNNNNNNNNNNNNNNNNNNNNNNNNNNNNNNNNNNNNNNNNNNNNNNNNNNNNNNNNNNNNNNNNNNNNNNNNNNNNNNNNNNNNNNNNNAAAGAACAUACCUCACUGACAAGAAUCAUUGACAAACUGGCAAAAAAUGCAUCCAAAACACCAAGACCAGGAUCCAAAUUUAGUACAGCUUUUGGAUCAAUCUUGUCACCUAUGACAUUGUUUUUAAUUCUUUCCACAACAACCUGUUUCAAGUAAAUACACGCAUUAAGAUGUAUGAUGAAUAAUAAGUAGAAUCUUAUUCAAACCUCAACAUAGACUAGCAUAUAGUAUUUAAAUAUCUAAAACUUUCUAUAGCAUAAAGAAACAAAAAUUUGAAAUCCAACUAUAAAGUAUAAACACAGGAAAGAGGAAACUUAUAAAUUAGUAUUGAAAGUUCAUAUGUGUCUAAAUGCUCAUCCUCAACAGAAGGGUUUCCAAUGUAUAAGGGUUUUAAUAGUUUCAAGUUUGUUCACAAAUCACAAUAUUAUAGCUAUAUCACUAAACCUUCUUCUUUUGCUCCUCUGGUGAAUCAAGAAUAACCCCACUUUUCUGCAAUACCUGUUGGAUAACCUAGAGAAAUUGGGACAAUUUUAGCCCAGGGGUAUUUUAGGAAUUUUUUAGUAAACUUGCAUUUUUUAUGUGGUAUUUGAAUUAGACUACGUUUCAUUUGUGUUUAGUAUAAAAUAGGACUUGCAUUACAUUGUAAUUUCAUUCAAAAUCAUGUUUUUAAUAAGUAGUUUUACCUUUGGCAAGAAGUAAACAUUAUUCCUCUGUUUUUUGGUUCAUUCCCAUGUUCAUCUUUUUUUCUUCUACACUUCCUAUUUCUCUUUUUUCUUUUGCCUUGGUGAACAAGAUGCAAACUAAAAUCUGCCCCUACGUAAUAGCAAUUCUCUGAUGACACUUGGUAUUUAGGUCGCCACUUCCCCUGUUCAUCUAUUAUUAUUUUCCAUUUAGCAAGAAUCAAAGUCAAACAGUUCAUGUUGCUGAAAUCCAUCUCCAUUCCAACAAUGGCAUAUUGCUUUUGUAUUUGUAUUCUAAGGAGAAUUAGGUGCCCUACCCUCACCCUCAACCUAAAACAAAUGCAUAUCUCAACAAUUAGGCAUAUAAUUUUAUAAACUGGGGGAUGAUUUUCAUGAAAAAAAACACAAGAUUUAAGAAGGUGAAGUGAUUCAUGUUUAGAAAUUAACAUGAACAUAUAUAAAAUAAAAAACGAAAAUAGAAUAAAUUGUAAAGGGAUCGUAGAAUUACCAGAAAAAGGAACAUAUAGAGCACUGCUUUAUAGAAAUUGGUCCCCCCUUCAGCUCUUCGACAAUCUUCAUCUGGUGGAGGAGAGAUAUCUUCUGGCUCCAAUGAUUGCGUUUUUAUCACCCACAUCUUCUGGCUCCAUCCCUUAUGUGGAAUUAACCUUCUCUAUUACGUGCAAAGUUUUUUUUUGGAAUGGAAGGCCUGUUGUAUACUCACUGUUGCUUUCGUUUCCAACUAUCAAACACCACCGAGACCACCUGCAAUAAGGAAGCACGAACAAAGGAGAAAGAAAAAUAUUCAUCUAUGGAGGAGAGAGAUGAGAGAAAACCCGGUGGAGGGGGAGAGACGAGAAUGUGGAUGCAUCGAUUAGGGAGAGAACAAACUCAGAGUGUGAAGUGAAGUCGGAUUUAGGAGAAGUUGUACCAGUUUUAGGGAGAAAUCGAACCAGUUGGUGUUUGUUGUUGAUCUUCUUUGUUGAUUACUGGCACGUGAAUAGAGAGAAAGGUUAGGGUUUCUUGAUUGAGAAAAAAAAGGAAGGCGGGAUUUUUAAUUUUUUCAGAAUUUCAUUUCCCCCUACUGUUAAAGGAUGGAACGCGCGUUCCAUUAAAAAUUAUAAAGCGACAUCCUUAGACGACGCGUAUUUUAUUAUAGGUGCCCUCCGUGUUUUUUUUAGACACUAAUUUAAGGGCGCGCAAUAAUGCGUGUCUUCUAUCCAUAAAUUUUUUGAAGAGAUGACAUUUUUCUAAUGUCACUCUCCUUUGCGUAACAUAGAUCAAUGAGCGUCGUAUUUUGCGCGUCGUAAAAGGCCUUUUUUCUUGUAGUGAAAACAUGUAUAAAAAUCUUUCACCCAGCAUAGACGGCAAGUAUUCUGACAAUAUACACACGUAGCACAUAAUUUAUAUUAAAUGCUUCAUAUCUAUAUGUAAGAUGAAAGUAACUAUGCACUCACCUCGAAAGUUGGUGACUGGAUACUCGGACAACACUUCGUUACUCUUAAAACAAUUAUCCUUGACGAAACCUAGUAUCAUUACCAUUAGAGUUUAGUCUAAUACUCAACGAGACUAAUUAAUAGUCUUGCUAUUAUUACUAUUAUAUAAGCAUGAAACAAUAUUUUUCAACCACUAUGUACAGACAUGGGCCAAACAUGAAACACCGGAGCGCAGGAUCAUUUUUGGAAUAAAAGCACUUUCUGAAUCCAGCAACCCAAGCGACCCUCCAAACCAGAUUCCUCGUACUGCGAGUGAUUGAAAGAUAUUAUAACGACACUUAAAUAACCCAUAAUAAUAGCCUAAAUACUCCUUAUAAGGUCCUAAUAACAUUACUAUAUUGAAACAUAAGCUUUACUAAAGUUAGGGUAGGCAUAAGUCAUUUACAACGGGUUUUCUCAAAGACUGGGCCCCGCCGGAGCAGAGUUUUUGAACUGAAAGACCCUUUAUCGUAGGACUCUCGGAGCCUCGGGGCUUCCUUCGGGUGCUAGGGUGCUUACCUAGAAUUUAGGGGGGUUAGGGAGGCUUAGAGAGAGAUUCUAGAGAGAGAAAGAGAAGUUGGAAGGUGUGAGAAAUGUGGGAGCCUCGGUACACUUUUUAUAGGCUAGAAAUCACCAAAACUCAUCAUGCUGGGCUCAAUCUAAUCGAUUUUCAUGGGCAGGUGUCACCAUCUGGUGGCUAGCCUUGGAGAGGAAGCGACAACAAGGAUUGUGCCACGUCACCCGAUUUCGCACAACACCCUCCCGACUUAGAAAUAUCAUAACUCUCGCAUACGAGCUCCGUUUCCGAUGUUUAUUUUUUCCACACGUAGGUAAAAACAAGAUCUAAAACUUUCAUUUAGGCUCCGCUAAUUCUUGACAGAUCUUAAAUUUAAUAGUAUGAGGAGAUUAGACUGCUAAAUGACCGCGAAAAAUUCGUAACUCCUUCAUACGGACUCCGUUUUUGCCUGUCUUUUUAUCAUUAAGUUCCUAUUAAUGAGAUAUUCCAUUCUCAUUUAGGUCGUGUAAGCCAAAAACUGCUCAAACUAAAAUUCGAGUUUCGGACGGUGCAGUGCUAAGCUAAAUUUUCGAAAAAUCAUAACUUAUACGAAGUCAAAUUUGGGCGCUUUUUUUUGUAUGUUCUCGGUUUAACGUAUACUACAACAUUUUUUUUAGAUCACUUACGCUAAAAGUCGCUCUAUAGUAAAUACACAAUUUAUGCUUCCCGGUGUCGUGCCAGUUCCGUCGCGAAACUUCGACGGGUAUUAACUUCUUCGUUAUAACUCGGAUAUCGGUGUUCUUUAUAUCCCCGGAAUCCUUGUUUCGACCACUACAACUUUAUGUAAAGAUAUCGGGCUUAUCUCACACUUUAAUUUUGAUUCUUAUUUUUAUUCUUUAUUUAUUAUAUAUUUAUUAAUAUGUAAUAAGCAUAUAAAGGCACAUAAUUCACAUAACACUCAAAUAAUUCAUGUUUUAUUACUUCAAAAAGAGUUACAAUACUUGACCUAGACUAUUACAUCACUUAUUAAUUCUUAGCCCUGAAACCCGGGCGUUACAAUUCUCUCCCCGUUAGGGUGAUUCCGUCCCGGAAUCAUGCAUCAGCAAACAAAUGUGGAUAGCGACUCAUCAUGUCUCUCUCUGUUUCCCAAGUGAGAUUCAGCCCAUUCGUAUGUUUCCAACGGACUAGCUCUAAGUUGACCAUCUUGCGUCGUAACUUCUUAGUCUUAUGAUCGACAAUUGCCUCGGGCUCUUCAAUCAGCCUCUUAUUCUUAUCCAUUCAUAACUCUGAGAUUGGAAUUAUGUCGGGCACUUCUCCUGUGAACAUCCUCAGAUAACACACAUGAAAGGUGUUAUAAAUACCAUCUAGUUCUUCGGGUAGUUCGAGCUUAUAAGCUUGGUUCCUAAUCUUCUGAAGAACUUUGAACGGUCCAAUAAAUCUCGGACUCAACUUUCCUUGCUUCCCAAAUCGUAUAAGUCCCUUCCAUGGAUAGACUUUAAGCAAAACCGAAUCCAGAACUUUGAAGGUCAUCGGUCGUCUUUUCUUAUCAGCAUAGCUCUUCUGACGAUCUUGAGCUGCUAACAUUCUUUCCCUNUGCUCAGCAGUCUCAUGGAUUAUCUCAGGUCCCAUAAACUGAUUUUCUCCAGCCUCAAGCCAACAAGACGGCGUACGGCACUCCUGUGCACACACGGCUUGAUAACCUGCCAUCUUGAUGCUCGAGUGGAAAAUGUUGUUGUAGGAAAAAUCUACUAGAUGCAAGUGCUCAUCCUAGUUACCUUGGAACUCAAGGGUAAAUGCUCUCAACAUAUCUUCCAGUGUUUGAAUCGUUUUUUCGCUCUGACCAUCAGAAGAUCUCUUAUUCCUCCCGUCUUAGGUACCCAAAUUCGGUCUUGGAAUACCUUCAGUCCAUGAUUGUUUGCACCGAACACUAACGUUUUUCCCAAACAUUCUUCAUUUCGGUCAUUCUUCCCUGUAGCUUCUUCUUGAGAUUUCUUGAUACUUUCCACAAUCGUCGAGACAACUUCAAUUCUAAACGCUCUUGGCCUUUUCCUUUGAAGGUUGACUUUCCAACUGAGAGAAUCAGUGACAACAUUGGCCUUACUAGGGUGGUAAAGUAUCUCACAAUCAUAGUCCUUGAGUAAUUCUAGCCAGCGUCGUUGCCUCAUAUUCAAGUCCUUCAUAUUAAUGAGACACUAGAGACUCUUAUGAUCAGUGAAAAGUUUGCACUUCGUAUCGUAGAGAUAACGCCUCCAUAUCUUUAAGGUAAAUACUACCACUGCCAACUCUAGAUCAUGAGUGGGGUAGUUCUUUUUGUGCUCCUUCAAUUGUCGAGAUGCGUAUGAUAUCACCUUUUCUCUUUGGGUUAGAACACAACCCAAUCCGACUCCAGAUGUGUCACUAUAGACCGCAAAGUCUUCAAAUCCAUCGGGUAGAGAAAGAAUCGGUGCGUCACAUAACUUUUUCUUUAGCUUCUGAAACGCUUCUUCGUGCUUCUCACUCCAUGUAUAUGUAUCUCCUUUAUGAGUUAAAGAUGUUAAUGGGGAAACUAUCAAGGAAAAGCCUUGGAUAAAUCGUCGUUAAUAUCCAACUAAUCCCAGAAAGCUUCGAAUUUCCGUGUGACUCUUGGGUCAUUCCUACUUCAUUACAGCUUCGAUUUUUGCGGGGUCAACCAUUAUUCCCACUUGGUUAACCACAUGACCCAAGAAUUGGACUUCUCGGAUCCAAUAAUCACACUUGGAGAACUUUGCAUACAACUUCUCCUUCUUCAGUACUUCCAACACUUCUCGUAGAUUCUUGCCAUGCUCCUCUUGGAAUUUCGAGUAAAUCAGAAUGUCGUCUAUGAACACUAUCACGGAUUUAUCGAGGAAUGGUUUACAGACCCUGUUUAUUAAAUCCAUGAAUGAUGCAGGAGCAUUGGUUAGACCAAACACUACUAGAAAAAUAGCCUUUUACGACGCUCAUUGCGCGUCGUAAAAUGUUCAGACGACGCGCAAAUGUGCAUCAAGGAAGGCCCUGUCAUAAAGAGAGACGACGUGUCAUCUAUAGACGACGCUCAUUUACUACGUGCAAUUAUGACACACGUUUACGACAUGCAAUGCGUGUCAAGGAAGGCCCUGUCGUAAAAGAACACGACACGCAUUCGCGUGUAGUAACCUUAUGACGUGCGUGUUAAUGACACGCAAUGCAUAUCAAGAAAGCCCCUGUCAAGAAAGGCCAUGUCAUAAAUGAAGAUGACAGACAUUUUUGCGUAUCAUAAUUUUAAAUGUUUAAAAAAAAUAUUAUUUAUUGAUUUACUAAUUUUCAAAUUAAAUUUGUAUUUAAUGUCUCAUAAUAAAAAAUAAAAUACCAUAUACAAAAUAUAAAAUCCAUUGCAUAAAAUUUAAUGUCAUACAAAUAAUAGAUGAAAGUACAUUGCUAUUUCUUCUAUUUAUCGCUAUACUAUUCGAUGAAAUUUCAAUGUGACAUUAAAGUAAUCUCCCCAAUGUGACAUAUGAGACAAUUUGAUUACAUACAACUUGAAAAAUGUGGGCAUCCGACCUCAAAAUUUUCUAUCUUUGCAAAAAUCUUGUUAUGCACUCCCCAUGUGCUAAUUAACCUACAAUUUUCCAUAAAAACUUACAACUUAAAUGACUAUAUGAUAAGAAACAUCUAAUGGAAUCUCAAAAGAGAAACUUCACCUCCUUAUCUUUAUCAGUGAGAGUUUGCAGCUCAAUACAUAUUUGGGAUACAUGCAAGGUGAAUAACGAACCAGAUGGAGUAGCAGAAUUCUUUAUCAAACAGACAACAUCCUCUCCUUUCACCUCAUUUAACUGUGUAUUAAUAAAUCAAAAUUUGAUAAUUUUCAAAUCAUCUGUGGUUAUAAUUUUUCCUUACCUCCAAUUACUUAUAAGUUAACAGUUGACUGAAAUAAAAAACAAACGAUUAGACAUUAUAUGAAGUAGAAAGUUAUAAGAUUGUAUAUUUGUGUCUUAUAAAAAAUUGUUUAAAAGGUUUUAUAGAAGGAAAUGUAGCUUAUUAUUAUAUGUACUUGAAACACCAAGCAAGGAAAUUAGGAAACAACAUAGCUAAGAAGCUUUACCAGUUCAACUUGACUAGUGAUGCGAUUCUCAAGCUUUUCCAUGACCUUACUUAGCACAGAUUCUACAAGCUGCACAAGCAGAAUAGUAUCAUAGCAAACAUGAGAAUUAUUUGUUGUGGUGACACAAACUGGCAAAACACCAAAUUACACUUACCAUGGGAACCUCAUCAGGUUUCAACCAACCUAAUUAGACACUCCACCACCUUCAAAUUAAAAAUAUCGACAUUUAUUUACUUUUAUUCCCUUUCAUUUUGCAAAUUGAGGAACAUAAUUUAUUUAAAAAAUAUUAAUAACUUACUGCUUUAUAUGCUCCAGAAGAGGCUAUUAACCGACAUACAUUAAUCUCCAUUGUUAUCUGGCAUAGAUUGGAAGCGAGAAGCAAACUGAAGAGAAGGAGCUAUAAACAAAAGUUAUGACAUUUAUUUAGUCUCCACUUAUUUUCUAAAUUUAGUAAUAAAUAAGAAAUAAAAAGAGACAAACCUUUGUUCAUAUUCACCUUUCAACUAAAACCAUAUACCCUAACUUAGUAAUAAAUGAGAAAUAUAAUGGAACUUUAUCUGUUGUUGCUUUAAAAGGGAAAAAAAUUUCCUCUCCAACUUCCUCCCUGAUUUCAACAUUAGCCCCAUCUAAUGUUCCUAUAAUAAGACAUCCAUUAAGUGCACACUUCAUAUUACUUGUCCCACUAUAGGGCAUUUUGGUCAUUUUUACAUAAUAAUAGAAUGAGAAAGCAUCAUACCUCCCACGGACACACAAGUAGGUCUAGGUUAGUGACCCACUUGUCUGUUUUUAACCAUUUUGUUAUGAUCUAACUAAGUUCAGGACUACAAAAUUUGAGCCAACAUCUAGGAGUAAUGCCAUUAGUCUUAUUUUGAUACUUGUUUGGCCAUAUUGGCACAUAAUCUGCAAAUAAUUUAGCCUUUAAGAUGUCAUUGUGGAAUUGUGCUACACCAUUAACCCGCCAAAACAAAGAAAAACAAAUGGGCUGAAUUGAUAGAGCCUAAAUUAUCCCUUAACAAAAGCAAAAAAUAUAAGAUAAAAUUAGUUGGUUUUUCCUAUAUUUAUAGUAUUCAAACAUCUUACCGUAUGCCUAGAAACCACACAGAAGUUUGCCAUGCGGACAACCGACUUAUUAUGAUCUAAAAUCCUCAUAUCAAAAUUGAUAGUAUCCUGAAAAAAAAAACAAAAAUGAACAUCAAAGAAGCAAAAAAAAGGAAGGAAUUGUGCUUUCUAGUAUUCUUACCCUCAACGCAAAUGCUAAAGGUGAAUGUAUAAAUUCAUCCAUUCCUUUUUGAAAUGUGGAUUCAAUUUGGUCAAACAUUGUUUUGCAGGACAUCUCGUAAGCAGGAAGAACAGAAGCUUCCAUACUACUCUUCAGUGCUUCCUGUAAAAAAGGGUUUAGAAUUUAAAAAAAAAAAAUUCAUCAUUUUAUAUUUUACAAAGAUCUAUUAUUGUUGUAUCACAUACCUGUAAAGCUUGUUUUCCAGAUGUUUGAAAUUGGACUUGAAUUUGCCUUGAAACAGUUACUUCAAGCUUAGUAUAAACUAUUUUUCCAACUAAUUUAUAGCCUUAUCACCUAUGCCUCUCUACAAGCAAAUUUAGACUUUAAAUUUGAUUUUUUUUUUAAUUUUAAAUGACAAAUUGGAUGUUAAAAUAAGUUACCUGGAAAGCCUCUGAGAUAGGUGUCAAGACUGCCUUUUCGAUAACAGGAGUAACAGAUUGCCCAACAGCAGCUCUCACUGCAGCCAUUUCCUUCUUCAAGAUUUUAUCGGAUGAUGUAAGCAUUUUUGUAAACCACCAUUCCCAAGUUCCAUAUCAUUCUCCUGAAAUUUUUAUAAUGCAAUAGUUAAAAAAUAGAACAUAUUAAUCAUGUAGAAAGAUUUUAAAGGAUUACCUGCUCAGUGAUUUCUUCAAGUUUAUGUCCCAGUUUGUUCAAAGCACUGGAAUAUGCAUCUUGAAUAUCAAGAUUCCCAAUGGCAUUAGUCAAUGCUCACCCUUGAAUAAACUCCAUGGAUAAAUAGUAUGUUUGCUUUGGAUCAACUUUGUGACAAUGAAGAUAGGUCUCAUUCCAUUGCUGAAGAAGCAGUGAAGAAAAAGGAAGCAUGGUUAGCCCUCAAGAACCUCAAAAUCAAUAGGAGAGAUAGUUGCAUAAUACAAGUCCCUUUGUUGAGAGUUUGGACCAAAUACCUAUCCAUAUUAAUGAUUGGGAACACCAUCAAAGACAUUAUUUUUAUUAAAAUAGAAUAGAGAACAAAAGACUUUUGUUCCUUGAGAUACUAUGAAAGGUGGUUCUUUUGAUAUAUUUAGAGAGAACAAGAAUAAGUGAUAUUAGACAAGACAAUUACCUUAUCAAACACAAAUGAUCUAUUAACCUGCAUCGCACAAUGACUUGAACAUUAACACCUUUUUCUUUAUCAUGUUUACCAUUCAUUUGUACUUCUGGUCUGAUAUCUCUUACUGCCUUGGAAGUGGACCUUGGGGUGUGUGAGCGUGAGCUUAGGACCAUAUUUCCUCCACUUCCAUGUCUAUGAUUAUGAUUAUCUAUCUAUUCAGUACUUAACUAGAAACAAUAGGAUAAGAUAUGUACCUUUAGUUUCUUUGAUCUAUAAACAGCACCCAAGAUAUACAACACCUGUAUUUUAUAUUCAUGGAUGCGCUUCACUUGAGUGUCAAAAAGCGUAUUUGGGUCAAUUGUUUCACCUGUUACUUUCGAUAUGUACUGUGCUAAUCUCUAUUUAUUGGCCAUUUUGGCUGAAUCCCAUUCAGCUUUAAGUUAUGGAUUGUAUAAGCAAUUGACCUGAGAAAUUACCAACAUGAAACCAUUAAAACUGAAAAGAAAUUUGAUAGAAAAAAGUAUAGUUGAGUAUCAAGAAUUCAAGAUUAUGUCCCCUUGAAAUGUUGGUGCUUUUAAGCAAAUCAAGAAGCAUAUCAGAGUUACUGUAAUAAAGUAACUUGUCAACAACAGAUAGACACCCUUAAUAGAUAUAUAAAUCCACCCCAUAAUCAACAACUUGUUCAGAAAUGAGAAGAAAAGAAAGGGUAUACCAAGGAAAUUGUAAAAGUUAGCAAGAAAUCAGUACAACAUGAUUGACAAAUGAUAACCAACCUGGAUCAAGACAUGUAAUAAAUCAUUCCCAAAUUUCUCUACAAGACCAGGAUGAGUCACCAAGAAAACUUCUUUUUCUGCAGCUAAUGGAACUUCUUGAUUUCUGGAUACAACGGGUAGAAACUGAAUCAACAACUUCAAAACUUCAUGCAUUUGAUUAUAAUGUCCAUCAAUUGUUCGAGGGGAAGGGACUCCAUGUGAAAGGUCAUAUAUUGACAAGAUCUCUUUCAAAAUGCUACUUAUAUUAAGAUCAAAAAGUGUCUUCACAACUACCAUAGAACCAGAAGCAAGUUUAACAAGUAGUCCAAUUAAACCCUACAUAAAAGUACACAAGAGUUCUUCAAAAAAGAUUGGAAAAAAACAAAAAUUGCUAAAGAUAGAAGAAGAUGGGCAUACAGUAUGAACAUAAUAAGAUAGAGUCGUAUGGUUUAUCAGGUCUAUAAGAUAUGCCCCUUGAUGAAUCAAUCCAUGUUUAGAAAGUUCAUCAAGCAUUUCACUUGAUUCUUGUACUCUUUCUGCUAUUUUAAUUAAGCAUGUAGCAACAUGUUCAACAAGCUGCAAUCGCAAGAAUAUGUCAGUAAAGUACAAAAGAUUAUAAGAAAGACCAUAAUUAUAUUUAUACCUGAUUGUCUUAGCUGCAAUCACAAGAAUCAGAAGAUGUUGAAAUCAAUGAGGUUUUUGAAGCUUCUUGAGCGAUCUGCCUUAGUUGGCGUAAAGCCUGUCACAUAUUCAAUUUUUUAUUAAUUAAGUGAAAUGACAUAAGGGUAUAUUUGGAAACGUUAUGGAUUUAAAAUGUUGUAUUACCAUCAUUGUUGUUUUUUUGAGCGAGAACAGUUGGAGAUCAUAUAAAGGACGCAAGACUUUUGCUACCCUCCAUGCCUAAUGAAUGAUAUAAUAAAGUAAUUUAGAAUAUAAAUGGAGUUUAAAUAUGAAUAUAUUUGAAUCUAGAUAUAUUAUAUAGUAAAAUGAGAUAAUGAUAUAAUAAAGUAAUUUAGAAUAUAAAUGGCUGCUUACCUCUACAUUAACUUUGUCAAAAAGUUCAAGCUUAAGAUCAUACUCAUGCUGACCAGCUGAAGCAGAUAAUGUAAAAACACCUUCUGGAGCAAGAUUCACUUUUGCAUCUUCUGUAUCCGCCAAUAAAACUGUGAUAUAAACUUUAUCCUCUCUCUGAGCCCACUUAAAACUGUGAUAUAAACCCUAACUCGUCCGUGUCUUAGUCGAUAACUAGUACCAAAAAACCUAAAUCGCUAUGAGAGAGGAGUGAGGCCUGAAUCACUUUCAUUGAGAUGGGAUAUCUUUAAGUAGAGAUGUAUAGCGGUCUGAUAGGGUGGGGAUACUUUACUCAUGUGGCACAACCGGACGAAUCAAGGGUAUCGAGCUAACCCACAGGAAAUCGAUUGAAGCAAUUGCUUUCGAAUUUCGAUAUUGUUGAAAUUGAAAUUUUGGAAAUUGGAAGAACUGUGAAAGAAGUUGAGAAAUUAGCACUGGGUUACAUUUAUUUGGUCUUUUUACAAGAAACUCAAAGGCUUAUUUGGGCUAGAGGAUCGGCGGGAGGGGAUAGAGGAAGGAAAAGGGGAAAUACAACGAUUAGGGGUUUUAUAGGGUUACUGCAUCGUUUUUUGCUCUCUGCGUUUUUCAUAUUUAAAAGAAUGCUUUGGAGUAGAAUCCUUGGCGUUCAUUUUUUGAGUGUGAGGGUUUAUUGCAUCGUUCAUUUUUUAAGUGUUAGGGGUAUCUAGAGGUUGGUCGAGAGCGCCUGAACAUCAUCGUCGUGUGACGCCUGAAGAGUCGGUGUGCGUUAGAGGUAGUGGAGGUGGGUGAGGGGCGGAGACGAAGGAGAGGAGAUGUUAGAGAACAGAUCGAUACCAAUGUAGGAGAAGAAAGAGAGGUUUAAUAUUUUUGGGGAUUUCAUUUUCCCUCUAAGAAGAGAAAUGCGCGCCUCAUAAAAAAAAUAUAAAACAACACUCACAGAGGACGCACAUUUUAGAUAAAGUGCCCUCCAUGUUUUCAAUUUUUUUAUAUGAGACACCAGUUUAAGGGCACGCAUUAAUGCGUGUCCAUUAUCCUUAAAUUUUAUCAAGAGGUAACACUUUUUUAAUGCCACUCUCUUUUGCGUAACAUAAAUCAACGAGUGUCGUGGUUUGCACGUCGUAAAAGGGUCUUUUUCUUGUAGUGAAACGACAUAACUAAGAACUCGUAGUGUCCAUAUCUUGUUCUGAAUGCAUUCUUCUCCAUAUCCUGCUCUCUCACCUUCAGCUGAUGAUAUUCUGACCUAAGAUCGAUCUUUGAUAAAUAGCUCGAACCUUGCAGCUGAUCGAAUAGGUCAUCAAUCAUCUACAAUGCGUACUUGUUCUUCACCGUUGCCUUAUUCAGCUCUCUGUAGUGAAUACACAUCCUCAUGAUUCCGUCUUUCUUCUUCAAGAUUAGCACCGGAGCUCCCCAGGGUGACGAACUAGGUCGAAUGAAACCAUUGUCCAACAGCUCCUAAAGUUGCGUCAUGAGCUCCUUCAUCUCCGUCGGUGCUAAUCGGUAUGGUGCCUUCUCUAUCAUUGUUGUUCCUAGUAACAAGUCUAUAUGAAAAUCUACUUGUCUAUUAGGCAGUAAUCCGGGAAGAUCUUCGGGAAAGACUUCUGGAUAAUCACACACGAGAGGUAUACUUUGCAUCUCCUUUUUCUCCUUCUUAGCAUCGAUCACAAAUUCCAAAUACGAUGCACAUUCUUUGGACAAACAUUUUUUGGCUUUCAUCAGGGAGAUGAUUCCAGAAUUCACUCUUCGUUUGUCCCUAUACACCAUAAAUGACUCUUUUCCGGGUGGGUUUACCCUUACUAUCUUCUUUCAGCAAAGAAUUUCAGCAUCAUUGGCAUUCAGCGAAUCCAUACCCAGAAUGAUGUCAAAACCGUUCAACUCUAUGGGUAAUAGCUCCUCGUGGAAUUUGUUUUCGUUUAAUUCGAUGACGAUGUUCUUAAUACGAUCACUAACAGGUACGAACUUGCUACUGGAAACUUCCACAAUUAGGGCAUUAUCAAGUUUUUCUAUAGGUAAUGCUAGUUUCCCAUCAAAUCUAUUUGACACAAAGGAGUAGUUGGCUCCAGAAUCAAAGAAUAUACUGGCAGGCAAAGCAUGUAUAAGAAAGGUACCUGAAGCGACGUCUGCUGCGUCCUUUGCAGCCUCGAGCGUCAUCUAGAAGGCUCUCGCCUUUGGCUUCGGUGGAAUGUUGUGUCUUUCCAUAUCUUUCUUCUUUGGCAAUCCUUAGAAAUAUGUCCUUCUUCCCGACACUCGUAGCACACCCUCUUGUUGAUGGUGCACUCAUUGGCAUAGUUCCCCGUUUUCCUACACUUGUAGCAGGUUACCUCCUCGCUACAUUUCCCCGAGUGCUUCUUCUUGCACUUCUCGCACUAUUUCGAUUCAUUCCCUCCUCCUCCGAAAUUCUUGGAACUAAACUUGCUCUUCUUAUUGUUGGGUUUAGUAGACCCUUCAAAUUUCCUUUUCUCGCCAACCUCAAUCUCGCUGGCGGCUCUUCCCCUGAUCAUUUAUUCCACAGACUUCGUAGCCCAGAUAGCUGCUUCCAGAGUAUGUGCCUGAUGUACUUGCACUGCAUACUCCCAUGGGAGUCCCUUAGUGUACUUUUCGAUCUUCUUUAGCUCAUAUGGGAGAAGACGCAAGGCAAAAUCCAUUUUCUAUGUGAAGUUGUUCGUGUAUUCAUCGAUUGACAUGCUUCCCUUCUUCAUGGUUAGGAACUGGUUCUCUAGCUCGAGCAAGUUUUGAGCUCAACAGUACUUUCAUUUGAACUGCACUAAGAACUCUCCCCAUGCCAGCUGCAGGGGCUCAUUGGGGCUUAAAGUCUUCCCCAGGGUGUUCCACCAGUGCACUGCUCCUCCUCGGAACUCGCAUACUGCAAAGGUGGUUUGCAACUUGCCUCUGCAACCGCAUGUCAUGAAAGCUAACUCCAUUUCUGAGAUCCAAUCCAUGACUCUGAUCGGAUCUUCCAUUCUAGUGAAAUUUGAUGGCUUGCAAGUCAGAAAAUCCUUGUACUUGCAGCCGUUUCUCUCAACUCCAUCAUCUUGGCUGUUUCUCCUGAUUACCGGCGGAUUAGCUUGGCCCACAUACCUGCUAUAGUUUCCCUUCUCAAACUGUCUGUCAUUCAACUCGGGCAGUUCAAUCGGUAUGGUUGCCUCCUCUCGGUUCUGCUGGAGCAAACAUCUUGUUUCCUCCAUUUAAGGGUCCAACAUCAUUGGAUCAUCGCCUGUACUCCGGCCAUUGUUACUGGCUCAGCAGUAGCUACCACUAUGGGUAUUUGCUGAAUUACUGGAGGUUGGUUUCUGUUUCCAUUUGCAAUCCCGGCUCCACUAUGGGUUCUUUCCAUCUUGAUCUAUACACCGAAUAAGGUGAAUUUAGAUCUUUAUUAAGGAUAGAUGUUUAAAUCAUCCUUAUCCCUCCGAAACAUUUACAUGUUAGUUCUAAUAUCGUAGUCGUAUGUUUAGAAUCCUAAACACAUAAGGUUUACAGAUCCGGUAGGCAACAAACCAUAGAUCUGAACAAAUAACAACAUAUCAGGCACAAAGCAUAAAAGCAUUUAGCACAUAAAAGAAUUUUAGGCAUAUUUCCUAAAAUAAGCUAGUGCUCACAUCUCACAAUCAUCGCUUAGCAUUCUAUGUUUAAGUCUAGAAAUCCUAAAAAUUCCUAGCUCGCUUAAACUAAUGCUCUGAUACCAACUGUGACAUCCCCAUUUUUCACGGCCAGAAAAGACCGAUUUUGUUUAUGCUUUUUUGAAAAUUAGAGUAACAUUUUACAUAAAAGAUUUGCGGAAUUUGUCCCAAAAAAAAUAUGAUAAAAAUUUAUCAAAAGCAUUUCCAUAGAAAUGUAUUUCAUUAAAAAAGACUCAGGAUGUCAUGUUCGAUACAGAUCAUAAGCAUAAACAAUACAACAUAUGCCUUACUACAUUAUUCCCUAUUUACUGGCCUAUAAUCCCUUAACUCUCAUCCAAACAUCUAUGGUCAUGCACCGCUACCUGUAAUACAAAAAACUGAGUGGGUCAGGCUUGGGAUGCUGAUGAGCACAUAGGGAUUUCAACCCACAAUAAAUAAAUUUAUUAACUUUAUCAAACCAAACAAACCGAUUAUCCGUUCCCGUUUUCCUCACUUUACGUCCCUAAAACAUCUAACACAAGCGGCCAAGUCUAAGGAUUUUCAUCAGGGUGACAACACAUGCUUCGGGGGUUCAUCAGCAAUACAUGUCAAAUAAGGCAACCAUGUGGGCGAUGGAGUAUUUUGGUGAGCACACAGUUCAAAAACACCUACAGGUUGCGAGCUUGCUAGCGUUCUACUGGACUAUCUAGAAAAGUCCGUGGUCGUCAUCUAUACUCCGCUAUAUGACUGGAUCAUCAAAACAUCUAUAUCGAGGCCUCUCGUUAUAUUAUUUGGUCACACAGAAUUAAUACAUCUACCCAUGUUUUACCUAACACAUUUUGUAGACAUAAAAUACAUAUACAGUUUAAAUCAUUUAACACAUGUAUAAAAAUCUUUCACCCAACAUGGACGGCAAGUAUUCAGACAAUAUAUGCACAUAGCACAUAAUUUAUAUUAAAUGAUUCAUAUCUAUGUGUAUGAUGAAUGUAACUAUGCACUCACCUGGAAAGGUGGUGACUGGAUACUCGGACAUCACUUAGUUAGUCUUAAAACAAUUAUCCCUUGGCGAAACCUAGUAUCAUUACCACUAGAGUUUAGUUUAAUGCUCGAUGAGACUAAUUUAUAGUCUUGCUAUUAUUACUAUUAUAUAAGCAAGAAACAAUAUUUCUUAACCACUAUGUACAGACAGGGCCAGAGAUGAAACACCGGAGGGCAAGAUCAUUUUUGGUAUAAAAGCACUUUCUGAAUCCAGCAACCCAAGCAGCCCUCUUAACCAGAUUCCCCGUACCGCGAGUGAUUAAAAUAUAUUAUAAUGACACUUAAAUAACUCAUAAUAAUAGCCUGAAUACUCCUUAUAAGGUCCUAAUAAAAUUACUACAUUGAAACAUAAGCUUUGCUAAAGUUAAGGUAGGCAUAAGUCACUUACAGCGGGUUUUCUAAAAAACUGGGCCCCGUCGGAGCAAAAUUUCUGAACCGAAAGACCCUUUUUUGCGGGACUCCCGGAGCCUCGGGGCUUCCUUCGGGUGCUAGGUGGUUUACCUAGAGUUUAGGGGGGUUAGGGAGGCUUAGAGAGAGAAAGAGAAGUUGGAAAGUAUGAGAAAUGAGGGAGCCUCGACACAGUUUUUAUAGGCUGGAAAUCACCAAAACUCAUCGUGUUGGCCUCAAACUCGUCAAGUUUCAUGGCCUGGUGUCACCAUCUGGUGGCUAGCCUUGGGGAGGAAGAAACGGCCAGGAUUGUGCCACUUCACCCAGUUUCGCACAACACCCUCCCGACUUCGAAAAAUCAUAACGCGUGUAUACGAGCUCCGUUUUCGAAGUUCUUUUUUUUCACACGUAGGUAAAAACAAGAUCUACAACUUUCAUUUUGAAUUCGUCGGAGGAGAUUAGACUGCUAAAUGACGGCGAAAAAUUCGUAACCCCUUCAUACGGACUCUGUUUUUGUCUGUCUUUUUAUCAUUAACUUCCUAUUAAUGAGAUAUUCCAUUCUCAUUUAGGCCAUGUAGGCCAAAAACCGCUCAAACUAAAAUUCGAGUUUUGGGCCAUGCACUGCUAAGCCAAAUCUUAGAAAAAUCAUAACUUCCUCAAACGAAGUAAGAUUUGGGCGUUCUUUUAUUGUAUGUUCUCGGUUUAAUGUAUACUACAACUUUUGUUUAGAUCAAUAAGGCUAGAAGUUGCUCUAUCGUAAAUUCACUGUUUACGCUUCUCGGUGCCGUGUCGGUUCCAUCGCGAAACUUCGAUGGGUCAUAACUUGUUCGUUAUAACUCGGAUUUCAGUGUUCUUUAUAUACCCAGAAGCCUUGUUUCGACCACUGCAACUUUACGUAAAAAUAGAGGGCUUAUCUCACACUUUAAUUUUGAUUCUUCUUUUUAUUCUUUAUUUAUUAUACAUUUAUAUAUAUGUAAUAAGCAUAUAAAGGAAAAUAAUUCACAUGAUACUCAAAUAAUUCAUUUUUAUUACUUCAACAAGAGUUACAAUAGUUUACCUAAACUAUAAAAUAAAACUGUAAGCCCGAAAGCUUAGUGAGUUAGUCCAAAAAUACCGAUACACAUACAGUCCAAUAACAUAUGAACAAAUAACAACACGUAACGAGUCCAUAUCUUUACAUACUGGAAUAACCCUAGGCCCACAGUGUGAGUCUAGAUUGCCUACGGAGCCCACAACUCAUAUCUGGAUUGCCCCCGAGCCCACAGUACGAGUAUGGAUUGCGUAUCGGGCCCACAACUCGUAUCUUGAAUGCUCCUGAGCGCACAAUACGAGUCUGGAAUGCCUACCGAGCCCUCAGCUCAUCUCUGGAAUGCUCCUGGGGUUUUUUGGCUACCGCACAGAGCAGUACAACCUUAACCCAUCCCACAUAACAAGUCGAAGUGUAACAGAUAAAUGCACAUACAGAUAAUCAAUCAGUAUCACAGGUAGUCCUACAGAUCUACCAUACUAGCAUAUCAACAUGCAUAUAUCACUAACUCAAACUCAACAUAUCAAUAAAUACUAGGAUGUCAAAUCCAAUGGGCCGACCUUGGUGCCUUAGACCCCUUAGUAUAGUGAGGGUAACUCACCAGGCACCGCUGAAGUUCUGCGAAUAAUACUACAGUUGAUGGCUGACAGAGUCUCAAACUAUCAACAUGAAACAAUACCCAAUUAGCAAUUAGGUCCCAUACCAUAAUCGUUAAUCCAUGCAUGUGGCAAAAUGACCAUUCUACCCCUGGCCUAGUAUGAUCCAAAAACUAAGGCCCAAACCCAAAACAAAAGCCCAACACUAUAAUGUCCAUAAAUCCAUCAAUGGCCUAAUUUUCCAAAUUGGGCCAAAACCUCUACACGGGUCUUGUCCAAAACCCCAAUAAUUUCCUUAGUCAUGAAUCUUGUUUCCAAUUGGCCCACGAAGGCCCGCAACAACCUAGUCCAAGAAUUGGCCCAAACCAAGGCCCAUAAUUGCAGAGUCCAUUUCUAUAUUAGGCCACAAGGCCCAAUAGACCCAACUAUUCCAAUAUUGGCCCACAGAUAUAUUUAGGCCCAACAAUCAGCAAAUCCAGGCCCAAAACCAUUAGGGCCUAAAGGUCCGAAGUCUAUAAAGACCCAUGCCCUCCGGAGAGCGUAUGCCCAACGUACCUCAUCUAUACGCUUAGCGUACUGGGCAAGAGGGUUUUACGCACAGCGUAUGACAUUGUACGCCCAACGUACAAACGGAUUAUGCAUAAAAUCCAUUAUGUGCUUAAUGCUUCAAACCAAGGGACUAAAUUACAGAUUUGAGCUUUACUUAAUUUCUUAAUCUAUAAAGUCACUAACUUGGUGACUUAUACGACCCACAUGAACCCAAACUCAAAGUAUAGCAAACUUCUUCCAUGAAAAUAACCAUAACUCGUGCAUGAACCCAUUAAGACCUCCAAGACGGCAACUUUCCUGCCUAAGGGACUCAGAUAGCUUCAUGGGUGGCAAACCUAAGUCUAGAAACAGAUUUGCACCAUAAAAAUCCAUUCAUGAAACCAAAAAGGGACAAUAUCCAUGAGAACAUAGAUCUAUGAUGUAGAAGCACCAAGAUCAGAACUUUAUACCUUCAAUAGGCUGGACAUGAUGUAAAACCUCUGGAUCUACAAGCUCUCCUCAAUCUCUUGCUUCUUCUCUAAACACCUUCUUUUUUAAUUCACCCAAAAUACUCCUCUAAUGGCCCACUAAGCUCCAAAAUCACUCAAAUGAGGGCUAAGGGUCGAUUUCUUGGGUUUAGAGGGUGGAGGCUAAAGAUAUUAGGGUUAGGUUAUGAGAUAAGGAGUUUAAAUAGGGUCCAAAAGACCCUAAAAUAGGGUUCUGAUCUGAUUGGUGUACGCCUAGCGUACAUACGGUACGCUCAGCAUACUCUGAAGAACAUUCGCGACCAUCCUGGGCAAUACGCCCAACGUACUCCAAUUUACGCCCAGCAUACUAGCUUUUUCACUAGUACGACACGCGUACUCGUUGCGUAAGCCCGGCGUACUCAGCUAAGCCUGAAAACCACGAAACUUCCGAAGUCCAUAACUUCUUCGUUAUAAACCAUAUUCUGACGAUCCUUAUGUCCACGGAAAGGUAACGAGAAGCCCCACACUUCUACAAACUUUAUUUAACCUGAAAACCAAUCGAACAAAAAUCCAAAAUUCAUCAAAGAAUUCUUGAAACACUAUAUUGCCGUUUUACCCUUGACUCGAAAGGGCAAACCGAACUAUUGGGUCACAUAUCUACAUUACCCACAUCCAAAUGGGCCAAAAUCCUACCUUUAUAAAGGCCCUAAUCCUUAUGAUUAUUGCUCUUUGGGCCACAACCUCGAAUUAGGACUUUAUUCGAAACAGGGCGUUACACCCUAUGUACAGAUAGGGGCCAGACAUGAAACACCAGAGGGCAAGAUCAUUUUGGCAUAAUAACACUUUUGAAUCCAACAACCCAGGCGACCCUUCAAACCAGAUUCCACGUGCCGCAACUAUUUAAAAAGAUAUUAUAUCGACACUUAUAUAACCCAUAAUAAUAUCCCAAAUAUUUAUUAUAGGUUCCUAAUAACAUUACUAUAAUUAACUAAAACGUAUAUCUAAGGUAGGGUAAGCGUAUCUUACUUACAACGGUUUCUUAUCAAAACCGGGCUUCGCUGAAGCAGAGUUUCCAAGCCGAAAAAGUCUUUUUCUCGGGGUCGUCGGGCGCUCCAGGGCUUCCUUCUAGUGUCAGGGAUGUUGUCUAGACUUGGGAGGGGUUUAUUUAUAGGGGUUUUAUCUUAGAAUAGGCCCUAAGUUUCGUCCGUAUCUUUUGUGUAUGAGAUCUAUUUUCUACAUUCUUUAUAUCCACAUGUUGGUAUUUACGAGUACUACAAGUUUCAUUUAGACCCCAUCGGCUAAUUCUUAGUCUAUCUCAGAUUUAUAAAACUAUACCGUAUUUAUCGCGCUCAAAGAGUAGGGACUAAGUUUCAUCCAUAUCUUUAACAUACGAGCUCUAUUAUCGACGUUCUUUAUAUCCACGUGUUGGUAUUUAUGAGUAUUGCAACUUUCAUUUAGACUCCAUCGACUAGUUCUCAUUAUAUCUGGAAUUUAAAAAUCUGUAUCAAAUUCACCGCGCUCGAAGACUAGGGACUCAGCUUUGUCCAUAUCUUUCGCAUACGAGCUCUGUUUUCGACUAUCGUUUUGUCGUUGAGAUCCUUUUAAUGAUAUCUUCAAUUCUCAUUUAUAUUGUUUUGGCUAAAAGUCGAUCGAUCUAAAAUUCGAAUUCCAGGUUGUGCACUACUAUGCCAAAUCUUAGAAUAAUCAUAAAUUCCUCAUACGAAGUCAGAUUUGGGCGUUCUUUUUGUGCACACUCUCAUUUUAACGUAUUAUAAAACUUUCAUAUCAAUCUAUAAGUCUAAAAAGUAGUUUAUAAAAAAAUCAGUUUUUUCGUUACGCGGUGUCGUGCCGGUUUUGCUGUAAAACUUCAACGGGCUAUAAUUUCUUCGUUAUAACUCGGAUUUCGGCGUUGUUUAUAUGUACGGAACCCUUGUGACAUAUACUAUAACUUGGUUAAGAUUAUUAAUUCAAAAUAAUAUUCCAUCAAAAAGUCAUUUUUGAUGGUUAUUGUCUCUAAAUUGACUAGCCCGGAUCUAUAGGCGUUACAGAUCACCGCUUAGUUUCAGGAACGGGCAUUGUUGAUUAGUAUGCCACCGAUGAGAACGUGAAAAGGACGAGGUAUCAUUCCAUGCUGAGGGAUGAUACUCGUGAGUUUGUGAUCUUGACAGGGUCUAAAAUUCUGAAUGAGAUGGAAGAGAAGGUCCGUGAGCAGGAGACAGAGUUGGAAUUUCACACAAAGCGGAAAACCGAGCAUGAACAGAUAUCAGUACGUCAGGAAAAAAGGCCUAAGACCUCAGAUUCUUUUAGUAGGGGCUAGUAGGUCCGCAUCAGGUGUGGCAAGUGCGAUAAACCGCAUAAUGGGGUUUGUUGGAUAGUAGGCUCGGGAUGUUAUGCAUCUGGCCAGUCCACUCACUCAAGCAGGGAUUGCCCCAAGAAGGGCUUGAUUUCUUUUCACUACAACCAGACCGGCCAUAAACAGGCUGACUGUCAAAGGUUUCUGGGAGGGGGAUAAGCAGUGGCGGUGCCUGCGCCCACAACACUGAGGAUCACAGAUGGAUGCCUUGCUAAGGCGGAUGCUCCUGUGUCGAAGAGCCACUCAUUUCAGUUGACCACCGAGGAGGAUCGGGCACCGCUAGACGUUGUAGCUGGUACUCAUUUUAUCAUUACGCUCCAUAUUUAUCUGCAUUGCUUAUGUGUAUAUUGUGCUUAUGUAUAGGGACCUUUUUGGUCAUUGGUAUGUCGGCUCAUGUUUUUUUCGAUUCGGGAACUACCCAAUCGUUUUUAUCUUUUGCACUUAGGAAGAAGUUUCGGGAUGCGCUGGGGAAUUUGGAUUCUCCACUUGAGGUUGAGAUUAUGGACGACCGCACUGUGAGUGCUGCGAGGGUGUAUCGGGAUUGUCUCCUAAAUGUGCUUAGGGAGAGGUUUCGUGUUGAUCUAGUCCCGAUACCCUUGCGAGGGCUGAAGGUGAUUGUCGGGAUGAACUGGCAGGGGGCCAAUGGGGCCAUGAUAGAUUGCGAGCGCCAAUUGGUGAGGGUUCGAACCCCAAAUGGGGGAGACCUGGGUAUUCAUGGAGAGAAGGCCUCGUAUUGGCCAACCCUCUGUUUAGCUGCGACGAAUAGGGGACUUCUUCAGCAGGGUUUUUGGGAUUUUUGGCUUACAUCUCGGAUACAAGGGUUGAGAACUCAACGGAAUUGAGCAGUGUACCGGUUGUAAAGGAGUUUCGGGAUGUCUUUCCUGAGGAGUUAACUAGGGCGCCUUCGGAGAGGCAGGUGGAAUUUCGCAUUGAUUUGGUGUCGGGUGACGCUCCAAUAGCCAAGGCACCAUAUCGGCUAAAUUCGCCAGAGAUGCAGGAGCUAUCUAUCCAGCUUUAGGAGCUGCUAGACCAAGGGUUUAUCCAUCUGAGCAGUUCCCCAUGGGGAGCUCCAAUACUAUUCAUGAAAUAGAAGGACGGUUCACAACAGAUAUAUAUUUAUUAUCGAGAUCUGAACAAACUAACAGCGAAAAACCGUUAUCCACUACCGAGGAUUGACGAUUUGUUCGAUCAGUUGCAGGGUGCAUCUUGGUUUUCCAAGAUUGAUCUUUGGUCAGGAUACCAUCAGAUGAGGAUUCGAGAUGAGGACAUACCGAAGAAGGCUUUUAGCGCUGUGUAUAGGCACUAUGAGUUCGUGGUGCUGCCAUUUGGGCUCACCAAUGUCGCAACAACGUUCAUGGAUCUCAUGAACAUAGUAUGUAUAGUAACGUUGGAUUGGCCAGUGAUCGUUUUUGUUGAUGAUAUCCAGGUCUAUUUGUAAGACCAAGGAGCAACAUUUGCAACAUCUGGGAGAAGUAUUGGAGACAUUGAGAAUAGAAAGGCUUUAUGCCAAGUUCUCUGACGUGAUCUUGCUUCUUUUCUAUCCCUAGCUUCAGUGAUAGGUAUCGGGUUUCUCCUACAAGACCACAAUGAAGAAAGGUUGUCAGGCAUUUCCGGGGAGGGGGUUCCUGGAAAGACGCUCUGUUGGUCAAGUUAGAUAGGUCUCAAGGGUUUGUGUAUGUGUAUUGUUUGGAGAAGUUGAUCUACCGCCUGAGUUCCUGAGUGUUCCCUUUUAUACCUAGCGACCUUAUUCGUCUGUACGAGACAUGAUCGUUUUAGGGGGACAAGGCCAGAGUGGUUUAUUAGAGGAUCAUGGGCCUCUGGUUGUCAUAGUGCUCUUAUUAGCUCUGGCGGUAAUGUUCUGAUCCUUUUCCUUGUAACAUGGCCAUAUCCUUUGUCUUAGUAUUUGGAGCGUCGCUAGUAGGUGCGAGCCUUUUUCUAGAGCGCCCUGCUCUUUAGGGGCAGUGGUGAGCACUGACCCCGCUGAUCUUGGCUUGUCGGGUGCGCCAGGCUCCUUGGCUAGGCGUGACUCUUCCAUGCCCGCUUAGGCACAUUAUCAAUUCCCCCAACCCGGUAGUCGUAGCGUUGCGAUAUUAGUUACGACAUUCUGGACUUAACUACUCUACAUGCGUCAGUUCCCUGUUUGCCCACCGUUCCGAUUUUAAUGAUGAUGUGACCGCUUAAUAUGGCCAGCAGUUACGUCACCCUGUCAGAUGUUUUGAAUAUCCUGCCAUUUCCAUUCUCCUAUAGGGGGUUUAUUGUAUUAUUCUCUUUCAUGUUUCCUCUCCUUUGUCAUUCUUCUUCUCAAGACUUCUUUUUCUUUCUUUCCUUCCAUGGCUAGUCUACCAGGAGUUCUUCCUACUGAAGCCGAGUACUAGUUCCUUGAGAGCACUUAUGGCCUCUCUCUGCCGUCGCUUGGUUCUUCUAUCAAGUCCCCCCCUCCUCCCCCCCCUGGAAAAGUUGGGGUUUAUAUGAAAACUCUAGAUGACGGGAUUCGUCUUCCUCUAACCGAAUUCCAAGAGGAGGUUCUCUAGAAAGAUGGCUGCAACAUUCAGAUGUUAACUCCAAAUUCCGUGAAUAAGGUGGUGGCGUUCGAAAUGAUCUGUCGUGCCAAAGGUUACCUCCCCGACUACUUUGUGUUUAAAUACUUCUUUAGGUUUCUCUGUAUCGGUAACAAAUGUACUUUUUCCGUCUGAUGAGGAGGGCACACCCUGGUUCCUGAUGGACAAAAACCCAAGAAUUGGCAAGAUAAAUGGUUGGGGGGAAUCGAGGCUUGGCUGGCGGUGGUCCCUACCGUGCUAACACCUUUGCCGACACCAUUCCCAAGCUGUUUCCUCAUAACCAGAGUGUCAUUGAUUUCUUGAAAAGCAUCCAGGUAUCUCACGAGGACUACUCUGAGGCACGGUUGGCCGGUAUAGGGAUGAGCCCCUCCUGGAGGCAUCGUGACAUGAUGGCAGUCUUCUUCGGCACUACCGAUAGUAAGCGUUUGUGUUGUCGGUCCUUUCUUUCUUUCCCUUCCUUCUCCCUGUUUGAGCGUGUACAUUAGCGUUACGGUAUUGGCCCGGCGGGCUCCCAUGUUGGUUGUACUUUCUCAUGUCCUACCGUUUGUAGGUGCCGACUCUUCCCUGUCCAUGUACGAAGUCCUGUGAAAGCGUUACCGAGGGAAGCUAGAAUAUCGGGAGGUGGAUUUGCUUGAAUGUCUUCCUCCGCCCCGUCGACUUGAUCACCUUGCUUUAACCACAGCUUUUCCGGUUCCACCNNNNNNNNNNNNNNGGGGGGGGGGGGUUCAUCGUCUGCCGGGGUAAACCCCUUGGCUGUUCCCCCUAUUUUGAUUGUCGUGCUCCCGUGUGGUGCCCGCUCCUUUUUUUUUAUGAUGAGGAUCAGGACAUAAAGGAUGGAGUGAUUUCCGAUGUCCGGCGCCUGCAAGCCAAGAGGAAACCUGUAUUGGCCNGAUUUCCGAUGUCCGGCGCCUGCAAGCCAAGAGGAAACCUGUAUUGGUAAUGCGGGAGGUAAUUACCAGUGCUCCGAAUGUCGCUAAACGAGUUCAUACAAGGCGUAGUUUUACCUAUCUUCUAAAUUCUAUAUCUUCAACACCCGCGGUCGUUGUUGUGAUCCUUGAUGACGACGUUCAACGGUUUGAAGGGAUUAACCCAUUGUUCCUGCUCAAGUCAUGUCUCCUGCUCCUAUUAAAUCUUGUACUCCUACGGGUUGUGUUGAUGCAGGGGAGUAACUACCCAUCCUGGUGGGGGAACUGGUGAGGGCACUCCUGGGCCCUUACCUUUUGUGCCUUCCUGGAGCCUCUAGAAAUGGUCCCACGAUGUCUGUCCCCCAUUGAUAGAAAGGCCAAGGGCUAGAUAUGCUAGACAGGGGGUCGGAGAACUCGCUUGAACUAGAGAGUAUGCUUGACAUUCCUCACCCCUUCUUGUCAAUUCUACCGCGUCUUGGUAAGUGGUAGGCUAGUAGAUUCCCAUCCAGAGUACCUUUCCUGCUAGAGCUCGCACGCCCUCGUGCACUCCUGCUUGGCCCGCAUGCGCCUCCGAGAGUGGUUCUUUUCCCUUGGCUUCAUCCACACCCUUGAACCAUGGGGUCGUGAACCCUUUUUCGAUAUAGUUCCCCAUUUACCAGCACACAAGAGGGUGCCUUUAUGCACACCCUUUUAGCCUCCUCGUGAUUAUCUAGUAGAACGCCUCGUUUUAAAUAUUCGACUAGCGGGGUCAUCCACGUGGGCUAGGAUGCUGUGAGGGUAUUUAGUUGCCGCUCAUCUACGCUUCUUUCCUUGAGCACUUCAAGUAGGACUUUUUUUGGCAAGUGAUCGAGACAUGUUGAUGCUAGCUUGCUCAGGGUGUCUGCCCUCCUAUUCUCACUUCUCGAUAUCUGUUUGAUUGCAAACUCCUUGAAGGAUUUGGUGAGCUGCCACACUAUCUUGACGUAUCUCUCCAUCCUCCUGUCCGUUGUUUCAAAGCUCCCGUUAACCUGGUUGGUAGCCAACCUUGAAUCCGUCAACCUCGUCACCACCUCCACCCCUAUUUGUUUGGUUAAGCGUAAUCUGGCGAGCAAGGCUUUAUACUUUGCCUCAUUGUUCGAGGUGUGAAAUUCAAAGAUGAGAGCAUAUGUAACCGCUUCUCCUUCUGGGUUGUUCAAAAUUAGGCCCACCGCUGAGCCCUCUCUUCCGGACGUUUCAUUGGUGUACAAUGUCUACCUUCAUCCCUCUUUUGGGGUUUCUUUCACUGUUAGAAUUCCUUCUUGGGCUAUGUCUCCUUCCCCAGGGAUUUCAAGCAGGAAAUCUACCAGUGCUUGCCCAUUGAUACUUGUUUGUGGGUGAUAGUCGAUGUCGUGCUCGCCCAACUCAACGUUUCUGGCUUGAGUAAUACUUGUUUGAUCGGGCAAUUCAUCAGCAGUUCAAUCGGGUGUGCUUGGAAAUAACGUCUCAACCGCCGUGCAGCGUAAAUGAUUGCGAGCAUCGAAUUUCUAGAGCGCGAUAGUGGAGCUCGGUACCUUGCAACGCCUAACUGACAAAGUAUAUUGGCUUUUGUUCCCCUUACCUCUCUACAAAUGACAUGAUGAUAUGGCUUCGGAUGAGGUUGAAAGGUAUACCUGCAACAUCUCGUCCAGAAUAGUACUAGCCAGUGAGGAUAACUUAUCCAUGGCUUCUUUGAUCUUCUGGAGGGCCGCCUCUUCCGCCGCUGUCCAUUGGAAUUUUCUUUUCUCAAUACAACCCUUCAAAGUGUGAAAAAGCGGCAUAGCUUUGUCAUCCGAUUUCGAGACAAAUCUACUAAGCGCAGUGAGCUUCCCAUUCAAACCCUGCACGUCUCUUAGAGUGUUUAGAGGUGGAGUUUCCAUGAGCUCGUCUACUUCGACCGGUCUAGGCUGUGUGCCUUGUCUGGUGACAUAAUAUCCUAAGAACUGCCCUUCCUCCACCCCAAAGAUGCAUUUACCCAGGUUGAAUUUCAUAUAUACUUUUACCAAUGUUCUGAAAGUUUCUUCAACAUCUUGCAACAUUUUUCCUCUUCUGGGCUUUUGAUGACCAUGCCGUCGAUGUAUACCUCAAUGUUUCUUCCGAUUUGGUUGGAAAAUAUCGAACCAACCAGAUGUUCGUAUGAUGCUCCCGUGUUCUUUAAUCCGAACAAAAUUUUGGUGUAGCAGAAAGUGUCAUGAUCGGUGUAGAAAGCCUUAUUUUCCAUAUCUUCCCUGCUCAUUAGGAUCUGAUGGUAACCCUUAUAUGCAUCUAGGAAGCACUUUUGUCUAAAGCCUUGCCGUGACACCACAUUUUGGUCAAUCUCCAGGAAGGGGUAACAGUCUUUGGGGCAUGCCUUGUUUAGAUUAGAGUAAUCGGUGCACAUGCGCCAUAACCCGACAUGUUUUCGCACCAUGAUAGGGUUGGCAAUCCAUGUUGGGAAAACUGCUUGUAUCAGGAUCCCCGUCUGCUUUAGCUAGGCUGACUCUGAGUAUAUUGCCCUGUUGCGAUCCCCUUCUUGAACUCUCUUCUUCUGCUUGGUCUCCUUUGUGCCUGGUUUGAUAAUGAGUUUGUGCUCUAUGACUUUCUUGUCUACGCCAACCAUGUAUGUGGGAGUCCAUGCAAACACAUGUUUGUAUUGCUAGAGUAGGUUGAUGAGCGCCCGCUUGGUGCGUUCCGGGAGGUUGCGGCCACUGUUAACUGACUGGUCGAGGUAUUCUUGAUUAAUCACCUCCUUUCCAUUUGUUACUUUAACCCACGCCUUCUUGCUUUCCCUUGUUAUCUCAGCCCGUUUCAUAACCGUAAAACAUUGCAAUUCUUUCGGUGGCAUGGCGAGAACUGUAGCUAGGACCUCAUUAGUGCUACACUUAACAAUUCCAUGCAUUGUAGAUGGGAUCGCCCCUAGUUUGAUCGGAGUUGUCAUCCCUAGGAUGAUGUUGUGUUCUGUUGAGUGCCGAAUUACGACGAAAUCGAUCAAGAACAUUUUCCUUCGUUGUUUGGCUUUGUUGAUUAGUGUGAGAGGUAAGUGGAUUAUGCCCAGUGGCCACAGACUGUGUCCCGUGAAGCCCACAUAACCUUCCUGUUAUGCGACUCAGAUUAUCCUUCCAUCUGUCGGGGAGGAGGCGGAAGCAAUGCUCGUAUAUUAUGUAUGUCGAGCUGCCUGUGUCGAUGUGUACCCUUUGUAUGGUUACAUUUUUUAUGGAGGCUUGGAUUAUGAGUGAGUUAUCACCUCUCCAACCCUACGGCCUGGGGUCUCUUGCUGAAAAUGUAAGCCCUUGUAUUGUAGUUGUGAGGUUUCUUGGUUCGGCUUUUUCUUCUUACAUGUCUCUCUUGCUAUGUAUCAUGAGUCUCUCCCUAGGUUGAGCAUGUUCUCUUGAUGUUCCUUUCUCAUUCUCAAUGUUGAACCUAGCGCGUAGGCUUCGUGCUAUGUCUACAAGGUCUCCCUUUAGUUGUUUCUCCUCCAUUUCUUUCUUAAGGAUUGAGAAAUUGGAGGUGUCAUGUGUUUUGCUCUUGUAGUACUAUGAAUAUCGUCCCUUUUGUGUUUUCGUCGGCCGUGGUUUGUCCGCAACCACAUAGAUGUCUGGUCGGCGGCCCCGCCUGUCGUCCCUAGCGAAUGGUGUAAAGCGGCCUUGCAAGUGUUUCCCUCGCCCGAAAUGCUGAGUUCCACCUAAUACCUCCGUACGGGUUGGGCUGUGACGCUUGGUUGUCAUGUCGUUUAGGUACGGUUGCUUCUUCGUUUCACCUUCUUCCUGUCUCAAGUAACACUCCACCUUUUCCUUUAGUUCAGCACUCGUCUGCGGUUUUUUGCCCAUGAAUUUUGUGACAGGGGGCCUGGUAGGAGUCCCCCACGUGAAAGCACCGGCUAACAAACCCUCGUCAUGUCCUGGAACAUCUAGUGCGGCAUUUGUAAACCUCGUGAAGUAUUCCCUCACACAUUCGCCUUCUUUCUGUUUGCAUCCAAUGAUUGAGUGAGAAUCGCUUUUAUUCUUUCAUAGUUACAUGAAGUUCGUGAGGAACAAGUACUUGACUUGGCCGAAAUUGUAUAUGUUGCCUGGAUGAGGCAUUUUGAACCAUGUGCCCGCAGUUCCGUCAAUGGUUGUUGGAAACUAUGUGCACCAGAACUGCUCGUCCAAUUUGAGUGACAUCAUCGACCAUUCACACGUAUCUAUGUGGCUAUCUGGGUUGGUGGUUCCAUUAUAGGUUUUGAGGUUAGGAAGUUUAGCUGUGUUCGAGAUUUCAUAGUCCAAUAACUCCUUAGCGAAUGGGGAUAUGACACUCCGCAAUAAGCAGUCUUGAUUUUGGAUGGUCAACGACCCUUGCAUGUUAUAUUGGUGGAAUGUAUUGUAUGGAUGCGCGCCUGGGUGGCCGUCAGAUGCUUGGUAGCCCGAAUAUGGACCAUAGAAAACUUGCUGCUGGAAUGGCAAUUGGAGCGAAUGAUUGAAAGGUAUAUGUUGAUGUUGAGCUGGGGAGUAGCUUACUAGAGCUAGCUGUCGGUAGGCGUUGGUUGUAAUGACAGGUUCACCCCAUGUGCCUGUUGAUGGGUAGAAAACGGAUGGUGAGGUUAUCAUGGUUUGCACGAGUGGCAGCAGUGGGAACGUCGGAGGUGCGCUUAUCAGCGUCUGACUCGUCAAUGUUGCCUGGGAUGAUGGUUGAGCAUUUGGGAUUUGGUUUACCUACAGCGUCGCCUGAGGGGUUGGUAGCUGGUGUUGCGCUAUCGGCGCAAAUCGAGGCUGGGUGGAAUAUAAGAGAAAUUUCGAAUCAAAUACGAACGUAUUCUUAAAAGAAAAUUCCCAGGCAUUGGUUACAGACAGGACAAUCGAAGCUGAAAGGACAGACAUAGAUUGACCUACUACUAAGAACCGGACAGUCGAGAGACCGGAGAGAUAUUGGUUUAAUCACAGACCAGACAGACAAGCAUUUGUCAAAGCCCAGAAAGCCACCAACCAUCGAAGCGUUAACCGUAAAGCCUGAUGGGGAAGAAUCCCUCUUCCGCAUAAACACAGAAAGGAAAGUCAACAGUCCCAGAGCCUAUUCUUUCAAAAAUAAUAGUGGAAUUUGGGAUAUUUUAGGUUGUACCGCCGCCGGUUGUAGUCAUCGUGGCAUUUCAAGGUGUGUGACUGGUGGUAUCGUCAUCUGAUUUGGCCUUAACUGUUGGGAUGGAGCUUGUGUUGCAAUGUUAACGUCCAUCUCUGCCGAUAUGAACUGCGGCGGAGGUGGCUGCUGGCUCUUUGGUGCUAUUACCGUUACCGCGGAACUUCCCUCGCCCAUAGCUUCUCUACCGGCUGUCAUAGAUCACGGUGUUUCUUACAACGGUGUCGUCGGCCGAAUGAGACUGGUUUAGGCUCCUCCCGCUCCGUUGUUGCCACCAGACACCAUUUUUUCGUUGAACAUAUCUUUUAGCUACAUUCUUCAUCACACGAACGGAUGGCGGCGCCAAAUGAUGUGAUCUUGCAUCGUCUCUGUCCCUAGCCUCAGUGAUAGAUAUCAGGUUGCUCCUACAAGACCACAAGAAAGAAAGGUCGUCAGCCAUUUCCCGGGAGGGGGUUCCUGGAAAGACGCUCUGAUGGUCAAGUUAGAUAGGUCUUAAGGGUUUGUGUAUGUGUAUUUCUUGAUUAAGAUGACCUACCUCCUGAGUUCGUGAGUGUAACCUUUUAUACGUAGCGACCCUGUUUGUCCGUACGAGACAGGAUCAUUUUGAGUGGACAACGCCAAAGUCACUAAUUGGAGGAUCAUAUGCCUCUGGUUGUCAGAGUGUUGUUAUUGGCUUUGGCGGUAAUGCUCUGAUCCUUUGCCUUGUUGUCUGACCGUAUCCUUUGUCUUGGUAUUGGGAGCCUUCCUGGCAGGUGCUAUCCUUUUGCCAGAGGGCCCUGUUCUUUAGGGGUGCUAGCGAGUGCUGAGCCCCCUGAGUGUGGCUUGUCAGGCGCACCAGGAUCCUUGGCUAGGCGUGACUCUUCCGUGCCAGCUUAGGUACAUUAUCAUUCUCAAAGUGUGAUUUCUGGCUACGAGAGGUGAAGCUCUUGGGGCACAUCAUCAACUAGGAGGUUACUUCGGUUGAUUCGGCCAAGGUUGAGGCUAUGAUGUGGUGGGAAGUACCGAAGAACGCAUAUGAGAUUCGUAGCUUCUUAUGUAUAGUUGGGUACUAUCGGAGAUUUAUCCAGGAUUUAUCCAAGAUCGUCGUGCCUUUGACCAGAUUUACAAAGAAGAAUGUGAAAUUUUGAUGGGGCAUGGAUCAACAGUUGGCUUUCGAGACCCUAAGAUAGAGCUUAAGUGAGGCUCCGACUUUAGUACUACUCGAGGGGCUGGAUGACUUUACGCCUCGAGCCAGUUGAAGCUUCAUGAGGCGAACUACCCCACUAACGACCUGGAAUUUGGGGCUGUGGUGUUUGCCUUCAAGAUUUGGAGGCACUAUUUGUGUGGAGUUCGGUACACCAUCUUCACUGAUCACAAAAGUUUGAAGUAUUUGAUGGAUCAACAGAACCUAAGCAUGUGACAUAGGAGGUGGUUGGAUGUACUGAAAGAUUAUGAUUGCGAGAUUUUGUACCAUCCAGGGAAGGCAAAAGUGAUGGCUAAUGCUUUGAGGCGCAAGACAGCAGGUUCUCCAAUAAGGAAUGUUUGUCCGAGGAUGAUGGUAGUCUCUUCACUGUUGGAUAUGAUUAAGAAGGCACAAGUGGAGGGUUUGAAGAAAGAAAUCUGGAAGAUAGAGCGGAUUUUUGACACAGUGUGGCCGGGUGUGGGUACGGGUGACUGGAGGAGCGAGACAGAAUAUAUUUGGGGAGGCACAUAAGUCAAAGUUCUCUAUACAUCCGGGAGCUACAAAAAUGUAUAGAGAUCUGAGGCUGAGCUAUUGGCGGCCCUGCAUGAAGCACGAGAUCUCUUGGUUUGUGGAGCGCUGCUUGACCUGUAAGAAGAUGAAGGCUGAACAUAAGUGACCGCAUGAUAGGGGUCAACCGUUACCCAUUCCUAUGUGGUAAUGGGAUGAGAUCUGUUGGGUUUUGAGCAUUCUAACACUCCUAAGUGUACAUGCAACCCUAAAUACCUUGGAUCUAUGUUUUCUCUAUUAUACAUGCAAAUAAGAACUUCCAAGGUAUUAUCCUAAUCUAGCAUACAAAAACAAUGAAUGUAACAAGAUAGAAUACAUACCUCUUGAUGUAGAAAGUCUUCAUGAAGCUUGAGUGCCUAGCUCCAAUAGUGUGGAAGCCUCAACUGGAAUCACAAUCACCAAAACACUUAGAAUAACUUGAGAGAAUUCUACAACUCAUGAAAUCGGCUAGCCCUUUUACUUCACAAUCUAGUGGCCGAUUUUUGUCAAGAAUAAUAUGUUUAUAUAGUUAGGGUUACACCAUGUAAACCCUAAUUGACAUGGCCUUUCAUUUCCAUGAUCCAUGGGUACAAAUACACCAUGGAGCAUCCAUGGACCAUCCUAUGGGUUUUAGCCCAACUUGAUUAUCCAUGGAGCAUUAGCCCACUAUACAAGUAUGGAUGAUUUACACAAUCAACCCAUAUAUUUAAUUAGUCUUCUUUUGAUCACUUAAUUAAUCCUAGAUUAAUUCUUGAUCAAUACUAAUUAAAUAAUCUUAUUAUUCUUAUUAUUAAUAUACUAGAACUUAUAAUAUAUUAAUAACCAUAAGUGUCUUAUUUCUCUCAUUAUAGUCUAUCCAAGUGCAUGAUGGUAUGCAACCCAAAUGGACCAUGCCGGGUCGGGUCAAGUCUUACCAAUUAUAGUUAUGGACUUAGACAUUAAUCCAACAGUCUCCCACUUGGAUAAGUCUAAAACUAUUAUUGCGUAUGACUUCAGGAACCAACUGGCAAUCGUAGCUCUCAAAAGCUUCUGUCGAACUCUGACCUUGUAGAUGAACUCUGACCUUUGUCAAUGACUUGUCCAUUAGAUAAGGGAUCAUAUAUUCCUCCAUUCUAGAUAUCAUAUGGACUGAGACACGGAUUAUAAGCAUUCUCUCUGUCCAUUUUUUGUUUCCCGAAUUGCGAUUUAUGACGACUGACUAAUUGAACAAAUCAAAUCAGUCCUGGCCCGGCCGAGCACUUCCAUUUGUCAUCAUCAAAUCAUCGAGGGGCCCACAGAUAUCGCUUUUAUCCCGAAGGUAAAAGGAAUGGAUAAACUUCGACUCAUAUGGCUUGUUCUACUACUUGUUGAAUCAUACACAAAGGCACGUUUUAUAGCACCGAGUUACCAAAUGCGUUUUCGUGCAAUCAAUGUACUAUCAACUCAUAGUAACAACUCAUAUCUCUAGGUUUGAAGAAUAUAAGAUAUUAUCGUCUCAUGAUCACUCGUGAUAAAAUCCAUGAAGUGAUUCCAAUGAGCGCGGGUUGAAUCCAAUACUCAGAACUUAUGAGCACUCAUGAGUGUUGUAGCCCUUUGUCCAACACCUUAGACCUCUACAAGCCAACCCAUGACAGUCUUAAUUCAUAUCUACUUCCAACAUAUGACCGACUGUGGAUGGUUUGAAUAACUUAGUCAUUCCGGAAGAAUAACCCAGUUUAUUCGGGAAGUCAAAACAUGCAAAAUGAAACACAAUAAUAAUUGAAUCCAAUAUGGUAUCAACCCUUUGAACAUAAAUAAAACACCUUUUAUUUAUCACCAUAUGAUUACACAUUAUUCAUUGUAUACUGUUUCAGCUAUCAACUUUAUUCUUGAAUUUAAAACAAUAGUUGUCCCAUGCUCCAAGCAUGUACACUAUGUUUUCUUAAACACUAGUCAUGCCACACACCAAGUAUGCAUACUAUGUUUGUCUAUGAUCUUUACUUUGUGAACUAGAUCAAUUGAACAUAACUUCAAUGAUUCUCUUUUCACACUCCCAAAUCCUUACUGCAAAUGCAAGAAUUCCAAAUUCAUGCCAUUUACUGAAAUCUGUUAGAUUCUAAACUUAUAUGCAUUGAUCCUCUUGUAAUGAUUAUGCACAAAGUCACAAAGACUUGGCAACAAUCAUUACAGAGUAUUCCAAAGGAGAUCAACUCCUUGGAAAUAUCCUUCUUGCAUUAAGUUUCCUUAAUCUUACACAGAUUGAAAAUUCUAACUUUGAAACAUUUCCAGAUUCCAUUUUGACUAUCACUUCUGAACAAGAGUUGCCUCCUUACAGAUUAUGUCAAUAUGGUCCUUCCAGAAUUAUCACUAUACUUCCAAUUGUCCUUGAGUAACCAAUCUUUGGUAAACCUUAGAUUGUCCUCGACAAUUGUUUAAUCCUUUUAGUCAUAUCCAGUUCUAAACCUUUUCCCUUCUUAAUGCCCCAGGCAUUUGGAAAAUUUUAGAACGGAUGAAUAUAGCACAUGUAAUCGAUCCUAUAUCCGAAGCAUAUGGGACACGAUUCAUGAUGUCUUACAUAAAGACUAAACCAGUCUUUUGCUAUAAUAUUUCCAUUUCAAUUUGCCAAGUUCUCAUAAUUCAGAUUAUGAAAAGGGAUGCCGUAAUCAUAAUCGAAUUUUAGAACGCAAAUAAUGGACCCAUAUACAGAAUUUCCUUAUGUUGAGCCAUUCCAACAUGAAAUUCAUAUAUAUCCUUGACUAAAUGAUUAAAACCUCACGAUCUAAGCUUAUAGAUUUGAGAUGAAGCAUAAUUUCCUCUCCCUUAAUUAUAGCAAAACAACUUUUUCCCAAUUGAAACUUUUGUUUUCUAUAAUUAACAUUGCUAACUUGCAAUACUUAUCAUAAUUAUCAUGCUCCCACUAACAUGAUGAUUAUUAGCAUAACACUUAUGCUCCCACUAGCUUUGACAUGUACUCAGAAAUCAGCUGGACAGUCUGAAAUUUAGAUUCAUACACCCUUUCCGUAGAUAGCUCACCUGUGUGUCUAAGCAAUUUCAAGAACCAUGAAAAGGGAUACCGUAAUCAUGGUCUCAAUUGCUUAGGCAUUUGCCAUUUCUCACAAGUCCAUGUUAGUGUGCCGGUUAACCACACGCGCUCCACUAACGACUUUUGAAAAUGCAAAUAACACAAUUGAUAUCUUCGUAAAAUCUACUUAGUGAAAGCGUUUCCUCACCAUCAUUUUCAUGAAUCGGAGAGAAACCUUAUGACACUUAGAUUUAUAUGGUGUAUGAGUUCCUACCCAUAUGAAUUUGUCAAACCAUAAUCACAAGACAAAGAUAAUGACAAAUCCAAAACCAUAUGGAUUGAACUCAAUCUUAACUUCUUGCCACCUGGCAGCUCAAGGGCCUGCCAUUGCUUCCAAGUUGUUAUGCAACAAACUGAGAACUCUAAGAACUCAUAUGCAAAGCCAACUUUAACUGGAAUGGGCACAGAUAUGUCAACACGAUAGGUUAUAAACCUCAAGUCGUGUGCUAGUGAAGAACUUCAGGUUUUAUUCUUGAUUAUUUCUUGAGACUUUCAAGACCUUUAAGACUCCCACUGUCCUCUUGACAUAUAAGACUCCCUUGUCAAACAUCCAAGAGAUAGUGCGGAUUCUAAUCAAGAAAAACACUUUACCCAAUUGGCCUAAGUUGGUCUUUGUUUUAUCCAAAACAUCACAACUUACCAAUUUCAAAUGUACAAGAGUAGAAAACUUUUACUCUUACAUUUGACAAGUGUUUUAAACCUUCUUUAAGACAUGUCACUCAAAUGACAAUCUUGGAGUAUGACUCUAAGACUUGUAUUGGAACGAAGUAUGACUCAUCUUCUUGAUUUAACCAUUUCAACAAUUCAAGUUCCUCUUCUUAGUCAUAAGAAUGCACUAAGAUUUCCUUAGAGAACUAAUUGUGAUAUGGUUUCUUAAUCAUUAAGAUGAUCACAAAACUGAUACUAAAGUACUCUCCCAUCUUUUCAGAUUUGAGAAACUUUUAUCCUUCUGCCUAAUUUGAUUCUUCUUAUCGAUCUUUAGUGGUGGACUUAAUCAGUGCACAAGAAUGUGUACUCGAUCCCUUAGUCCUUUACUUGACUCACACAUCCAUGUGAACAAGUAAUUAGUCUUAAUUUUCCAAAACUUGAAAGUUCUCAUUCAUCAUGCUAUACAACUUGCAUGAUUCCAAGUUCCGGUCCAAUUGAAACUUGGGUGAUGAGAAUCUUUCCUUAUUUGGUAAAUCUAGACAUUACCACAAAUGAAAGAAUCAAUUUCAUAUUUCCACUCUUGCUCUUAAUGGAAUCAUAUAAGCAACAAUUUUUCCUCAAAAGCCAUUGUAAGGAUAUUUUAAAAUAAAUAAAAUCAAAAAAAUUUUCUUUUAUUUUAAAACUUUGCGGAAAAACUUAUCCUUACAAUCCAUAUGAAAACUUGUUGUUAUCUAUUCCUAAGCAAUAUCUCAUAACUCCUAAGAAGUAGCUCAAGAAUCCGAUCUUCAAACUAUGCGAUAGAAAUCCAUCUACGCCAUCAGAUUCAGCAUAUUCUUUCUUUAAGUUUCUUCACUUUUCUUUGAUUCUUAAAACAUCACCAUGUGACCCAGUCACAUCAUGUAUCAAGAAUCUCAGAAUAGAAACUUAACAGAGUUAGAUAGUGGACUUUACCUGAAGUAGAGUCAAACUUAUUGACUUUAACAUCCUUAGGUAAAUUUGGCAGCUUCGCAACCAAUGCCCCUUCCUUUGGCAAUAUAAACAUAUGGACCCUUUGAUAAUGGUACACGGGACUAUCACAGACUUAGCUUUUCUCUUUACCAUUUGGUCAACCGAGUUGACUAUGGCCGAUCCCUUUCCAUUGGGAAGAGAAUGCUUUACUGGAUAUCCAAUGUCAUCAUUGUCAAUGUCCAUAAAGUUUUAGGAAGUUGAUCUUAGCAAAUAGAUAAGAUCAUUAAGGGUCUUGUCAUAGUCUGUUUCAUAGGUGUCCCAAAGGAACUCACUAUGUGACUUAGAAAGUGAUUGAACCACCAACUUUCUCAAGACUUUGACACCCAACUCUCCCGGCUUGUCAAUAUGUGACUACAUCUCCAAGAUGUGACCACACCUAGACCUUGCCUUGCCAAUAGGGCCUGAGUGACCUUAAACUUUUCAAGAACUUGUGGGUUAGGGAGAAUAAUUUGAAGAGGUGAAGAAGUAUGAUAUCCAUGGGACAUCAUCUUCAUUAGGAAACCUUGUUUCAAGAGAUUUGGGAAGAUCAUAGGUGUCUAAACCAGACAUCUUUUGGGAGAUAUUCAAGAUAGUUGAUUUAAAGUCCUUAAUAUGACACCCAAUAUGAAAUAUUAAGGCUAGGACCCAACAAACUAUUUUAUAACUUAGAAGAGGUAUGCCGUAAUCCAAGCUAUAAAAUAUUUGAAGGUAGGUGAAUGACGAUUCACCAAUUUCCACCAAGAUAAACGAAAUGUAUUAUUAGGUUUUAAUUGGUUUUGAAACUCCUAGAUCUUUGAGAUUCAUUGAACUUUUCAAAGGCAUGUUUCAAUCUCGAGUGUGCCCUUCAGGUUUUGUGACUGGGAUGCCGAGGAUCACAAAACAAGGUGUGAAGUAACCAUGCAAAUCACUUGGUACCCUUAAUAAAUUACCCCUCAAUCGAUGUGCCGGUUAACCACACACGCUCCAUCGAUACUAUGAUAAAUAUUAAGUCACCCUUUACCUACCUUGUUAAGUCCAAGUUAGUGUGCCGGUUAACCACACACGCUCCACUAACGACUUAGACAAAGUGUAAAGUGUAAUUUCAUGGAUUAGCACCUUAUUCACAUUUUUCCUAAGUAACUAAGAUUGGGUAUUAUUAAGAGUUUAGUUACUUAGUAUUAUCAUUAAUACUUUUAAUGAAGGGAGAAUUCUAGUCCUGUCAAACCCGUUCGGCUAACGACCCUCCACCAGUCAAGCAAGCGGUGGGUGAGAGUGGACACCCAUUAAGUUGCCAUUUUAUAGGCAACAACCUUAUACCCACCUUAUAGACCGGCUUCGUGAAUGAGGCGUACUAGCGGUAAGACUGACUUUACUCUUAUACAUAUAUAUAUUAUUAACUUAUAAUAUUAUAAAGUAUAAGGGUUGAAUUUUAACUUUUAAAAUUCUAAGGGCUAACUUGGAAUUAAAGUAUUCAUAAGUGAAAACUUUUCAAAUUCCAAAACUUGAGGGCAAGUUUUGAAACUAUUCAAAACUAAUUAAUUCCAUAACUUAUGUGUUUAAAGUAGUUUUAAUCCAAAAACUCUUCAAGUUCCAUAACUUGAGGACAAGUUAUGGAAGACUUUAAACUAAUAAAAGAACUAACUUUUUCUUUAUUUUAUAACUUAUGGAUUUAAUUAUGGUUACAUAUUUUUCUUUAAUGAAGUGACUCUUGAACUUCCAUAACUUGAGGACAAGUUAUGGAGUCAAAAAAAAUUAUUCAAUGACACAAGACUCUUCAUUUUGUAACCAUUGCCAACUUUUAUGAGUUUUAUGAGUCUUUAAUGUGACUCUUCAUGUAACUUGAGGACAAGUUACACAAACACAUUUUAUACUCAACUCUUAGAUUAAAAUGGAUUGAAAACAACUAUUUCACUCAACUUUUCUAUUAAUCUAAGCAACUCAUAAGAACAAGAUAAUUCAAAUCAAACUUUUUCAUGUAAUUAGUCUAAACCUUAAACUAAUACAAAACAUGAAUCUAUUGACAAUUAUCUUUGAAAAUGGAUUAGCAUGAACAUUACCACAUCAAAAACAAGUUUAUAAGUUCAAAAACAACUUAGGGUAAUGUUCCUAGUCCAUUUCUAGCCAAAAAACUCGAAAAUAUGCUGUCUGGGGGUCCAACUCGUCGAGUGCAUGAACCAACUCGGCGAGUUGGAUCGAAUUGAUCACAUUUUAGGCAUGGACUCGCCGAGUCCUCUGAUGGACUCGCCGAGUCAGAUGAUCAGACAGCACCAAAUUCGUUUUUUCAGCUUCUAUUGCAGGUAUAACAAGAAAACAAGCCUAGGCUCUGAUACCACUGUUGGGUUUUGAGCAUUCUAACACUCCUAAGUGUACAUGCAACCCUAAAUACCUUGGAUCUAUGUUUUCUCUAUUAUACAUGCAAAUAAGAACUUCCAAGGUAUUAUCCUAAUCUAGCAUACAAAACAAUGAAUAUAACAAGAUAGAAUACAUACCUCUUUGAUGUAGAAAGUCUUCAUGAAGCUUGAGUGCCUAGUGCCCCAAGUGUGACACCUCAAAUGGUUCACACAACACCAAAUACACUUGGAAUAACUUGAGAGAAUUCUACACUUCAUGAAAAUCGGCUAGCCCUUUCUUACUCACACUCUAGUGGCCGAUUUGGUCAAGAAUAAGAUGCUUAUAUAGUUAGGGUUACACCAUGUAAACCCUAAUUGACAUGGCCUUUCAUUUCCAUGAUCCAUGGGUACAAAUACACCAUGGAGCAUCCAUGGACCAUCCUAUGGGUUUUAGCCCAACUUGAUUAUCCAUGGAGCAUUAGCCCACUAUACAAGUAUGGAUGAUUUACACAAUCAACCCAUAUAUUUAAUUAGUCUUCUUUUGAUCACUUCAUUAAUCCUAGAUUAAUUCUUGAUCAAUACUAAUUAAAUAAUAUUAUUAUUCUUAUUAUUAAUAUACCAGAACUUAUAAUAUAUUAAUAACCAUAAGUAUCUUAUUUCUCUCAUUAUAGUCUAUCCAAGUGCAUGAUGGUAUGCAACCCAAAUGGACCAUGCUGGGUCGGGUCAAGUCUUACCAAUUAUAGUUAUGGACUUAGACAUUAAUCCAACAAGAUCUUCUUGGACUUCAGCACGAAGUUACCGAGGACAGCGAGCGGUGUGGAUGCCAUAUGGGUGAUUGUGGAUAGAUUGAUGAACAGUGCCUACUUAUUCCCAUUUCUGAGAGCAUCACGAUUGAGAAAUUAGUAGAUAUUUAUGUGAGAGAAGUGGUGGUUAGGCACGGGGUGCAAGUGUUAUUAGUCUCUGACAAGGAUGUUCGAUUCACAUCUUGAAUCUGGAAGAAGUUCCACGAGGAACAUACCAUCCCCAGACAGAUGGCCAAAGCGAGAUGACGAUCCAGACACUCAAGGACAUGCUUCGGGCAUGCAUGUUGGAUUUUGGAGGUAGUUGGGAUACAUACCUCCCAUCGGCAGAAUUUUCAUACAACAAUAGUUAUCAUCCUAGUAUCGAACGACCCUCGUUCGAGAUGUCGUAUAGUCGGAGGUGUAGGACCCCUGUUUGUUGUGGUAAGGUAGGACGCCGAGUCAUAGGGAGCACCGAAGUAGUGCUCAAGACUACUGGGUUGAUUUAGCAGGUGCGCGACUGGCUGAGAGUCGCAUAGAGCAGUCAGAAAAGCUAUGCUGACCGGCGGCGAUUGGACCUUGAGUUCCAGGUGGGGGAUUUCGUUUUGCUGAAAGUGUCACCAUGGAAGGUUGUCAUUAGGUUCCAGAAGAGGGAAAAAUUAGGGCCACGAUACAUUGGACCAUUCAGGAUUACUUCCCGAGUAGGCAAGGUGGCCUAUCGCCUGGAUCUGCUAGACGAGCUUAGCCAGAUACACAGCACCUUCCAUGUGUCUCAACUUCGUAAGUGUGUCACAGACGAGUUCCCAGUCGUUUCUCUAGACGACAUUCAGGUGGACGAGAUCCUGAACUACAUUGAGAGACUCGUCGCGAUUUUGGAUAGGAAGACCAAGGUUCUUCGUAACAAGGAAGUGAAGAUGGUAAACGUGCAAUGGAAGCACAGGAGAGGCUCCGAAUGGACAUGGGAGCCGGAAGAGGAGAUGAGCAUCACUAUCCGAACUAGUUCGCAUCAGCAGACUUCGAGGAUGAAGUCUAGUUCAAGUGGGGGAGAUUUGUAACACCUUUUCCAGGUAUCAUUUAAAUUUUAUUAAUUUUUAGGGAUUUAUGCUAGGAGUUGACGAGUUGAGGAGCUCCAACUCGUCGAGUAGAGGUCAAUUAUGAGGACGCGAGAUUCAGAUCCUAAUCGACAAGUCGGAAGGCCCUGACUCGAUGAGUAGGCACUGUAAAUUAAAACCCUAAUUUUUAGGGUUUGCACCCUACAUAAAGGACUUAAUCUGCCUCUUGUGGCCUCCCUUACCACUUCACUACCCAGAGGAGAAACCCUAAGCCGUUCUUUGCUAUUUCCUUGAGUUUAAGAGGAUAAGAGAGGGUUUUUAGUGCAUUUAUUGAAGGAAUUUGAAGGUUUAGAAGCUUGGAACGGGAAGGAUAUUGUAGAUCCAACAUCUACAAUGUUUGGGCACUCAGUUGAAGAUAACAAGCUAUUACCUUGAUCAUUCUAGCAUUAGAUUCUCUUCUUCUUGGGUUUAGGCCAUUUUUAGUAUAUUUGUAAAGCAUUUCGGGUGUUGGGUAAGAUCUGGAGUUGCAAAUUUAGAUUGAGACUCCUAUGAGUCUUUAGAGGCAUAAAGUCACUGAAUUUUUCAAGCAUUGACCUUUUAUUUGGUUAAAACCCCUACCUUAGCUUGGUUUUGGCACUUAAGAGCAUGCAUGCAUGUAAAGUUUGCAACUUUUAUGUGGAAACCAUGCCAUAGGAGGCUAGAUCUGCAAUAUGGAGCAUUGGAGUGUCUUAAAAAGGUUCGGACACAAAAAGGUCUGAAGGUACUCGUCGAGUCCCUUAGCCAACUCGACGAGUUGGGAAAGAUUUAACCAUUUUCAAGAAUCACAAUGAUUUCUAUGAAGGAUUAGGGUUUUCGACUUACAUGAUUUUUCGCUAUCACACCCCCAAACCUGAACGGCGGAAACGUUCGGGGGCGGAUGACUUCAUGUGGUAGCGUAACAAAUGAAUACAUAGUAAAGAAAGCAAUACAACCAUCAUAUAUAUAAUUGAAAGUUUACAUUUGUCAAAAGUUACAUGUUCAAAACCAAUCACAAUAUGAUGUCAAAAUACAAGAUUAAACUGACGCCGCAGCAUCCCUUCAUCAAAAGCAUAAUGAUACCUGAAAUUAAUGAUUCCCUGGGACAUACAAGUAAUUUUGAAAGAGUAGAUCAGCAUUUAACCUGGUGAGUUUCAUAAGUAUUUAAGUGACAAUGUUUGUAUGAAAUGAAAUGUUUUGUCUUUGUUUGUUUGUGUUUAGAAAAUCCUAUAUUUUCUACUAGUAUAAAAGUAGCCUUCACUCAAGACCAUUGUUUGUUUCUAAAAAUGUAUGUAAGUGUAAAAUAACCAAUGUGUUUGAAAACCUUGUAAAUCAAUGCAUUUUUAAUACCCCAUGUGAGUUUUAUAACCAUACUAUUGACUCGGAAUGCCUAUACACAACGUUCUUCAGGCGUUGGAAUGUUAUGACGUUUGUCACCCCAAACGGUGGACUGCAGCUAACAAUCAGGGUGCGGGUUGUCAAGCCCGUAUAGAUCUAUACACAAACACCAUGCUCCCCCUCCAAGGGAUUCUGGUAUAUAAUACAGGACUUGAAAUGUGUACUCGAACGUACAUGAAGUUAGUGUCUCACAAAACCGUGGUAUAAAAACAGAUCUACUUGUUAAAAUGUUACGUUUGUUCUUGUAUACGAAAGUGACUUCUUGAAAUUCAUGUUUCUAGUACAUAAGAGUUAGAAAUUUGUUCGUAAAACUAUACCUAUUAUAGUUUUCUAAAAGUGUGUCUCGUUUGUUUAGAAAUACCUAGAAAAGGAAUCAUUUGUUAUGAAAGCAUAGAUUUUUGGUGUAGAGUCUAAGAUAGACAAGUAUACAUAUAAUCUAAGAAAAGUUUAGUUUAUACAUGCAUUACAACAAUUUAUAUUUCAAAAGAUAGAAUGCUAUUUUAACAUAUGUUAUAUAUAUGAAAGUUCCUUAUAAAGUUUGUAAAUCGCAUGUGAUUUGGAUAUAUAAAAGCAUAUAAAAGAGUUCUUUAUGUAACACACGAUAAUACUCGUGUGUUUUACUUGUAAUCCCCCCCUUGAAAGCAUAUAAAAGAAUUUAUAGAACAUUUAAAAGGUAAAUUAAGGGGUAUGAACUCACUUGAAAGUUUGAAGAUAGCGAGAUGGAAAACCGGGCAGAGUUUCGUCUCGGGAAACGGAUUUUUCUCGGGAUUCUCGGGAAUCUCGGGAGUAAAAUCGACCCUCGGGACUUGAGCAAAAAGACCAGAGCUUCGGGUUUGAACGGGCACGGAAAACGAGGCAAGAUCGUGAGAGAAAGGAGAGAAAUGAGCAUUUUUCUCGGAAGCCCUCGCAUGCUAUUUAUAGGAGGGUCUGAGAAGCCUCGUACGCGGGGCGUACGCUCGUACGCAGCGCGUACGCGUACGUCAUGCAUGACCGAAGCCUCGACUGCCUCGGCUUCGGAUGGGACGGAUCAGUCUGGCGGGUCGGAUGGGACGGCGGGUCGGACGGGUCGGUCGGACGGGCGGGUCGGACGGGUCGGUAGCCUCGCAUAGGGCGACGUGGACGAUCAGAGGCCAAGGCCCUCGGGUACGCAGGGCGUACAGGGGUACGCAGCGCGUACCUCGGAUGAGGACGCUGACUCCUCUUCGGAUAAUGCUUGAUUUUUGAAUUAAAUAAAUAUAUAAUUUAUUUAAUAAACUUCAAAAAUUCAUAUCUUCUUCAUACGAACUCCGUUUUCGAUGGUCUUUAUAUCCACGCGUAGGUGAGACUACGCUCUACAACUUUCGUUUAGACUCCGUUGGCAAAUUCCGAAAUUAUUUUUAUUAUUUAUUUUAUAACUCAUCGUGUUUAAGGAAUUUCUUCAAAAAUUCAUAACUUCUUUAUCUGACGUCGGUUUUUGCCAGACUUUUUACCGCUGAAAUACCAUUGUCGAGACCUUCGAUUCUCGUUUAGGUCAUUCCGGCCAAAAGUCGCUCGAUCUCCGAUUCGAGUUUUUAGCUGUCUGUUGCUAAGCUGAACUUGGAAAAAUCAUAACUUCAAUAUAUGAAGUCGGAUUUGGGCGUUCUUUUUACGUACGAUCAUGGUUUAAAGACAUUUAAACAUAGAAGGAAUUUAAAUAGAACUAUUUGUACAUUUUAUUAUGAAAGUAAAUUUUAUUACUCAAAAGUGGUUACAAUACUUGACCCUUUUAGGUCAUUACAAAGAGUUGAAAUAUCGGGUUGUCACAUCAUCCCCCCGUUAGAGAGAAUUUCGUCCCGAAAUUUAAAGUAGUAAAGAUACUAGUGAACAUGAAAGAGAUGAGGGUACUUUUGUUUCAUCUGAUCUUCGCGUUCCCAUGUGAAUUCAGGUCCCCGCUUGGCGUUCCAGCGAACCUUCACGAUGGGUAUGCGACUUUGUUUUGUUUGUUUGACCUCUCGGUCCAUGAUUUCUACUGGUUCUUCCACAAAGUUGAGGCUCUCGUUGAUCUCGAUCUCGUCGAGUGGAAUAACAAGAGUCUCAUCGGACAGACACUUUUUCAAGUUUGAGACGUGGAAGGUUGGAUGUAUGUUACUAAGUUCACGCGGUAGGUUAAGCUUGUAAGCCACAGGGCCGAUUCUGGCAAGAAUCUCGAAAGGCCCUAUGUAUCUUGGAUUUAGUUUCCCACGCUUUCCAAAGCGUAUUAAACCCUUCCACGGUGAGACCUUUAAUAAGACGUGGUCUCCUACCUGGAAUUCCAAAGGUUUCCUCCUUUGGUCAGCGUAGCUUUUCUGUCGGUCUCUAGAGGCUUUCAAUCGUUCACGAAUCUGAACGAUCUUCUCUGUCGUUUCUCGUAUGAUCUCCGGACCGGUGAGAGUGCUUUCAGGAACUCUUCCUCUAGCUAACUGGGUAUCGCCAACUUCAGUCCAGCACAGAGGGGAUCUGCACUUUCGACCAUAGAGGGCUUCAAACGGAGCAGCCUUUAUGCUUGUAUGAUAACUAUUGUUGUAUGAAAAUUCGACAAGGGGUAAAUGAAUAUCCCAUGCCUUUCCAAAGUCAAUCACACAGGCUCUCAGCAUAUCUUCUAAAGUUUGUAUUGUUCUCUCACUUUGUCCGUCUGUUUGUGGGUGGUAGGCUGUACUCAUGUCUAGCCUAGUUCCCAGGGAACUUUGUAGUGACUGCCAGAAUCUUGAAGUGAAUCUACUAUCUCGAUCAGAGAUAAUGGAUAUCGGAACACCAUGCAGUCGCACUACUUCCCUUAAGUAAGUUCUUGUAAGCUUUUCCAUUUUGUCAGUCUCCUUGAUUGGUAGGAAAUGAGCGGAUUUGGUCAAUCUGUCGACAAUGACCCAUCUGGUAUCGACUCCACUUGUCGUCUUGGGUAACUUGGUAAUGAAGUCCAUAGUAAUCCGCUCCCAUUUCCAUUCUGGUAUCUCUGGUUGUUGUAGUAAUCCUGACGGUUUCUGAUACUCGACCUUAACCUUAGCGCAAGUAAGACAUUUACUCACGAAGGUAGCAAUUUCUGCUUUCAUGUUAGGCCACCAGUACAGUUUCUUAAGAUCCAGAUACAUUUUAUCUGAACCCGGGUGAACGGAAUAUCUUGAGUUGUGAGCCUCGGUCAUGACUACGUUUCUGAAACCACCAUGUUUCGGGGUCCAGAUUCGGUCCAUGAGAUAGUAGGCUCCGCCACCCUUGACUUCUAGAUUCUUCUCCAUUCCUCGCAGGGAUUCACCCGCCACAUUUUCAGGUUGCAAAGCUUCCAUUUGUGCCUCCUUAAUUUGUGUGGAUAAGUGGGAAUGGAUAGUCAUGGUCAGAGAUUUGACCCUCCGACCAGUGUAUUCCUUUCGACUGAGGGCGUCAGCUACUACGUUGGCCUUGCCAGGAUGAUAACGAAUUUCGCAUUCGUAGUCAUUUAGUAACUCAACCCAUCGUCGUUGUCGCAUGUUGAGUUCCUUCUGAUCGAAAAUGUGUUGAAGGCUCUUGUGAUCGGUGAAAAUAGUACUCUUUGUUCCGUAUAAGUAGUGCCUCCAGAUCUUCAGAGCAAAUACCACUGCUCCUAACUCGAGAUCGUGUGUCGUAUAGUUCACUUCGUGUGUCUUAAGCUGUCGGGAGGCAUAAGCGAUAACCUUCCCUCUCUGCAUAAGAACACAACCAAGUCCUUGAUUUGACGCAUCGCAAUACACUACGAAGUCUUCUAUCCCUUCGGGGAGGGAUAGUAUCGGUGCGGUGCACAAGGCCUGCUUUAGUGUCUGGAAUGCCUUCUCUUGUUUCGCUUCCCAGUCAAAGGCCACACCUUUCUGGGUUAAUGUAGUAAGAGGUUUCGCAAUGCUAGAAAAGUUCUUUAUGAAUCUGCGAUAGUAGCCAGCUAGACCUAGAAAUUGACGAAUUUCUGUAGGUGUCUUUGGUGCCGACCAGUUCUCAAUGGCCUUAAUUUUGGAGGGGUCCACGUGUAUACCUUUCUCGCUAACAACGUGGCCUAAAAAUUCGACUCUUCGAAUCCAAAAUUCGCAUUUAGAGAACUUCGCAUAGAGUUUCUCCGUUCGCAGUGUUUCUAGGACUUUUCGUAGGUGCUGACUAUGCUCUUCCUCACUUCGAGAGUAGAUAAGUAUAUCAUCGAUAAAGACGAUGACGAACUGAUCCAAGUAAGGACGGCAUACCCUAUUCAUUAGGUCCAUAAAUACUGCUGGUGCAUUGGUUAAUCCGAACGGCAUCACUACAAAUUCGUAGUGUCCAUAACGAGUUCGGAAAGCUGUCUUUGGAAUAUCCCCCUCUAGAACUCGUAAUUGGUGAUAUCCGGAUCGUAGAUCUAUCUUUGAGAAGUAGUUCGCUCCUUGAAGUUGAUCGAAUAGGUCGUCAAUACGGGGUAGAGGAUAGCGGUUCUUGACAGUAAGUUUGUUCAGCUCUCUGUAGUCGAUGCACAUACGGAACGAUCCGUCUUUCUUCUUUACAAACAAGACCGGUGCUCCCCAAGGUGAGAAACUUGGUCUUAUGAAUCCUUUUUGAAGGAUUUCAUUAAGUUGACUGGAAAGUUCCUGCAUCUCUGCUGGUGCGAGACGAUAAGGCGACUUCGCUACUGGGGUAGCCCCUGGAACUAAGUCGAUUCUGAACUCGACUUGGCGUUGCGGUGGUAAUCCUGGUAGUUCUUCUGGAAAGAUAUCGGGAAAGUCACGUACUACCGAGAUGUUCUUGAUGUCCUUCAGUUCUUGACUUGUAUCAACGAUGUGCGCUAGGAAUGCUCGACAAUCCUUCCGCAAGCACUUUCGAGCUUGGAUGCACGAAAUGAUGCGAAGGUUUGUACUUGAUUUGUCGCCGUAGAUAACUAAUGUUUCGUUGUUAGGGAGGUUAAGACUGACUGCUUUCUCAAAUCACAUGAUGUCGGCACAAAGAAGACUCAACCAAUCCAUGCCGACUAUGACGUCGAAACUUUUAAUUUGGACCGGCAUGAGAUUGAUUGGAAAAGAAUGGCCGUCUAAAGUUAACGUACAGCCCAUGUAUAUGCAGUUAGUGUUUUCGGUUUUUCCAUUGGCCAUCUCUACAGUGAAUGAUUUUUCUAACUUGCUAGGUUUAGGUUUAAGUAAAUGAAUAAAGUUUUGACUCACGAACCUUCUCUCCGCUCCAUUAUCGAAUAAUAUGCAUGCAUAUGAAUUAUCGAGAAGGAACGUACCAGCAACUAUAGUUGGUCAGCUACAGCUUCGUCGUGGCCUAUUCCCAAAACUCGUUGCACACCGCCGGUGCCUGCUGCUUUAGGGCAGUUCUUCUUGUAGUGGCCCACCUCGCCAUAACCGUAGCAAGUCUGCCCUACAUCCGCACUGGGAACUUGAGUGAUCGGCUUUGCAGGGUCUUUGCAGAAACGGGCUGUGUGUCCCUUUCUGUUGCAGUUGGCGCACUGCAUUUCCCGACAAGGUCCAUGGUGGUGGUAAGUGCAUUUGGUGCACUUUGGAAGGUUACCUACAUAAGGCUUUGUUGGGUAGGUAUUUGUAGGAGCUGUAGUAGGUACAGUGGCAGCAUUCACUGAAACCAGUUGUUUCUUUGCGGAUUCUUGGGAAGACCCACCCUUCCCUUUAUUCCGCACCCUCUUCCUGCUAUUGUUGUUGUUGUUGUUGUUGUCGUAGUUGUUGUUGUUGUUGUUGUUUCCUUUCUGUGGUUCUGGUGCAGAAGUGGUUGAGUUCUGAUGACCUCCGUAGUCAAUCAGAGAUUGUGCCAGUUCCUUAGCACUUUCAAAGGUGUCAGGUUUGGAAGCUAACACGCUUGAUCGUAUUUGGGGCAUCAGUCCCAAGAUGUACCUUUCUAUUUUCUUGCUCUCGGGAGCAAUCAUAUCUGGACAAAGGAUUGCCAGCUCGCAGAAUCUGUUGGUAUAAGUAGUGAUGUCGGUACUAACCAUUCCGAGAGUCCAUACUUCGUGUUCGAGCUCUUGAAUCUCUCCCCGUGGGCAGUAUUCUCUCAUCAUCAUGGCUUUUAGGCUCUCCCAGCUUAUGGAGUUUGCCACGAUUAGGGUAAGUACUUUAACGUGGCUAUUCCACCAAGUUAAAGCUUUAUCAAUAAGGGUGAAAGUUGCAAAUUUGACUCUGUUGUGCUCGGGACAAGAGCAGAUUUCAAAGACUGCCUCCGUCCUUUCAAUCCACUGCCUCAGGGCCAUCACACCACCAGUUCCAUAAAACAUCCGGGGCUUGGCAUUAGUGAAGUCCUUAUAGGUGCAUUCUCGAGGUGGUCCAUGACUCUCGCCAUGGUUGGAUGGGUGUGUGCCAGAUCCCGAGCCAUUAGUACUCGAGUUAUUGAUCUGUGACAUGGCAGCUGCCACCGCUGCGGUGACUGCUGCUUGGAACAUAACAGCAUCAAAUUGAGGUGGUGGAGGUGGUGGUGGUACAGGUGCUUCCCCACCGUUGUUUCGCCUUGGAUUCCUACGCGGAGGCAUCCUUCAACUAUAGGUUGAAAAGGUAAAGAUAAGAAUUCCAUAGAAUAGAAAAUGUAUGUGUCUCAUGAACUAAAUCGCUAUAGUUCAACAACAGAUGAUAGUAUGAGUCUUAAAAUAGAAGAAUGAAAGUUAUUUGUAAGACUGGAAGUAUGAAACAAGUAUUUGGUUUCUCAAAGACCUUUCAAGGUUUGAACGAAAUACUCAACAUAGUAAUAAUAGUGUCACUUAUAUUAAUAUAAAAGUUGUUACAACGAUCAUGAAAAUUUGACCCCUAUAAGGGUCUCCGAUUACAAAGUUCGAGAAAUUUAAAGACUUUUAGCCGAUGUCCUAAGCUAUAACAAAAUUUGAGUCCUUGACAAGCACUACUUGCGACGUAGGUUGCGCUUGGAGCUUGACUCCGCAUCUGAUUGCUUCGACUCCAUCAGACGCCUAUCAAAAGCGGCUUGUUGUUCCCUCAGUUCAGCGAGGGCUGCAAUCAUUUGUGCUUGAAAUGCUUCUAUUUGGAGUUGAGCAUUGUCUUGUAUCUUGUCCAGCCUACGGAUGUCAGAAGUGUGAACCUGCACUUCUACGUUGACAUUCUGGAGUCGGCUAACUUGAACUCCAUACUGAUAGGACUGAUUGGCUAACUUACCCACCAUUACCGGGAGUGCCCGAUCAGCCGAACCUCCGCCGCGGACAUCAUAGAAGUCCCGGCACAUGCUGUAGGGAGGGCGUAAGUUUUGUUGUUGAAACAUGUAAGUUAAACUAGUUUAGAUAGCAAAUACUCCUAUAGUAUUUAAAUUCUUGUGUUUGAUUCUAGUAAUCGUUUGGUAAGUUUUGACUUGUUGCUUACUACGAUCAUUCCUCGAUAUACGUUGGUCCAAUCUCGGGCAAAUAUAGUUGAUCACGCUAUAUUUGUCCAAAAUCUGAUUACAUAUAUCGAGUCUCAAUCGUAGUGUCAACUUGUCAAAAUACUUGUAUAGUUGGAUAACACGAAAAUAAUUUGUGGUAUGCAUGUAAUUAUACUUCAAUGAACUAUCAGUUUAAGUUGAACGCAACGCUGCUUAAGCGUAACAAGAAAAAUUGUUUUGUCAGAGAGUAUUAGUCCUUUAAUCAUUUAUAGUUUGUAUAUCUUAUGUGGUUCGAUAUACUUAGUUCACUAUAAACAUUGCUCUGAUACCAAUCUGUCACACCCCCAAACCUGAACGGCGGAAACGUUCGGGGGCGGAUGACUUCAUGUGGUAACGUAACAAAUGAAUACAUAGUAAAGAAAGCAAUACAACCAUCAUAUAUAUAAUUGAAAGUUUACAUUUGUCAAAAGUUACAUGUUCAAAACCAAUUACAAUAUGAUGUCAAAAUACGAGAUUAAACUGGCGCCGCAGCAUCCCUUCAUCAAAAGCGUAAUGAAUACCUGAAAUUACUGAUUUCCUGGGACAUACAAGUAAUUUUGAAAGAGUAGAUCAGCAUUUAAGCUGGUGAGUUUCAUAAGUAUUUAAGUGACAAUGUUUGUAUGAAAUGAAAUGUUUUGUCUUUGUUUGUUUGUGUUUAGAAAAUCCUAUAUUUUCUACUAGUAUAAAAGUAGCCUUCACUCAAGACCAAUGUUUGUUUCUAAAAUGUAUGUAAGUGUAAAAUAACCAAUGUGUUUGAAAACCUUGUAAAUCAAUGCAUUUUUAAUACCCCAUGUGAGUUUUAUAACCAUACUAUUGACUCGGAAUGCCUAUACACAACGUUCUUCAGGCGUUGGAAUGUUAUGACGUUUGUCACCCCAAACGGUGGACUGCAGCUAACAAUCAGGGUGCGGGUUGUCAAGCCCGUAUAGAUCUAUACACAAACACCAUGCUCCCCCUCCAAGGGAUUCUGGUAUAUAAUACAGGACUUGAAAUGUGUACUCGAACGUACGUGAAGUUAGUGUCUCACAAAAACCGUGGUAUAAAAACAGAUCUACUUGUUAAAAUGUUACGUUUGUUCUUGUAUACGAAAGUGACUUCUUGAAAUUCAUGUUUCUAGUACAUAAGAGUUAUAAAUUUGUUCGUAAGACUAUACCUAUUAUAGUUUUCUAAAAGUGUGUCUCGUUUGUUUAGAAAUACCUAGAAAAGGAAUCAUUUGUUAUGAAAGCAUAGAUUUUUGGUGUAAAGUCUAAGAUAGGCAAGUAUACAUAUAAUGUAAUAAAAUGUUUAGUUUGUACAUGCAUUAGAAUAAUUUAUAUUCCAAAAGAUAGAACACUAUUGUAACAUAUUUUAUAUAUGAAAGUUCCCUAUAAAGUUUGUAAAUCGCAUGUGAUUUGGAUAUAUAAAAGCAUAUAAAAUAGUUCUUUAUGUAACACACGAUAAUACUCGUGUGUUUUACUUGUAAUCCCCCUCUUGAAAGCAUAUAAAAGAAUUUAUAGAACAUUUAAAAGGUAAAUUAAGGGGUAUGAACUCACUUGAAAGUUUGAUGAUAGCGAGAUGGAAAACCGGGCAGAGUUUCGUCUCGAGAAACGGUUUUUUCUCGGGAUUCUCGAGAAUCUCGGGAGUAAAAUCGACCCUCGGGACUUAAGCAAAAAGACCAGAGCUUCGGGUUUGAAUGGGCAUGGAAAACGAGGCAAGAUCGUGAGAGAAAGGAGUGAAAUGAGCAAGUUUUUCGGAAGCCUUCGCAUGCUAUUUAUAGGGGGUCUGAGAAGCCUCGGUACGCGGGGCGUACGCUAGUACGCAGCGCGUACUCGUACGUCAUGCAUGACCGAGUCCUCGACUGCCUCGGCUUCGGAUGGGACGGAUCGGAUGGGGCGGGUCGGAUGGGACGGCGGGUCGGAUGGGCGGGUCGGUAGCCUCGCAUAGGGGCGACGCGGACGAACCGAGACCAAGGCCCUCGGGUACGCAGGGCGUACAGGGUUACGCGGCGCGUACCUCGGAAGAGGACGCUGACUCCUCUUCGGAUAUUCCGGAUUUUUGAAUUAAAUAAAUAUAUAAUUUAUUUAAUAAACUUCAAAAAAUCAUAUCUUCUUCAUACGAACUCCGUUUUCGAUGGUCUUUAUAUCCACGCGUAGGUGAGACUACUCUCUACAACUUUCGUUUAGAUUCCGUUGGCAAAUUCCGAAAUUAUUUUUAUUAUUUAUUUUUUAAAAUGACGUGAUUAAGGAAUUUCUUUAAAAAUUCAUAACUUCUUUAUCUAACGUCGGUUUUUGCCAGAAUUUUUACCGCUGAAAUACCAUUGUCGAGACCUUUGAUUCUCGUUUAGGUCAUUCCGGCCAAAAGUCGCUCGAUCUCCGAUUCGAGUUUUUAGUUGUCUGUUGGUAAGCCGAACUUGGAAAAAUCAUAACUUCAAUAUACGAAGUCGGAUUUGGGCGUUCUUUUUACGUACGAUCAAGGUUUAAGGACAUUAAAACAUAGAAGGAAUUUAAAUAGAACUUUUUGGACAUUUUAUUAUCAAAGUUAAUUUUAUUAACUCAAAAGUGGUUACAAUACUUGACUUUUUAGGUCAUUACAAACAAUUGAAAUAUCGGGUUGUGACAUUCGCUCUUCUGGACAUUGAGGAACUCAACAAGUUACAUAGGUAACUCGACGAGUUGACGAGUUACUCAGGUAACUUGACGAGUUGGUGGAUGCACGCGACGAGUUAAGGUCAACAUGGACUGUUGACCUUGACUGCUGACCUUGACUUUCACCAGGGUUGACCAGGGUUAACUUUGAGGGCAUUUAUGGUAUUUCUAGAUUAUGACAAGCUAAUCACAUGAUGAUUAUAGGGAUUGGAUUUGGAGCAGUGCGUGUGACUAUCUAAUCUAAGCUUGUCAGUUAAUCAUUCAUGAGAGGUGGGUCUCCUCACCAUACCAAUGGACAAUGGCUCGAAGGCACCAAGGCCGACCCAUUUUAUGAUUUGUGGUACACUCACUGUUGUAGAGAUAUGUGGUAUGAUAGUUAGCUAAGCUAAGUGUUAUGGUAGUUGGAUAUGUGAUACUUGCAGGGAAGACCAUGGCUGGGAGCCCAUAACACUUGGAUGUAAGACCACGUGGAGGAGCCCAUGGUUUAAUUUUUAAGGGGAUAUUUCGGUCACACUCAACAUAAAUCUCAAUGGCAUGGCAAGUGUAUGCUUUUAUGUAAAAACCAUUUGAUUUUUGUUUGACUUUUUUGACUUUUUUAUUAUUUGUUGACUUUCCAAGGUUUAUUAAAACAUGGAUUUCAAAGUAUAUGCAUAUAAUAAGUUACAUAAACAUGCCCUAUUUGGUUUUCAAAGUUCCAUUGUAUCAAAGUUACGAUGUGAAUUCACUUGUACACGGUUAAAGUUUAUACCUUGUUUGUUCUAGAAUUGUUCCAGUUGUCAACUCAUACCCCCGUUAAAGGGGAUUUCGUCCAGAAAUUAGUUCUACAGUGGUUACUCACGAACUAGGGAAGAGAUGUGGGUACUCUAGUUUCAUUUGUUCUUCUUGUUCCCAGGUCAAUUCGGGUCCUCGCUUGGCGUAUUAGCGAACCCUUACUAUUGGUAUACGACUCUCUUUCAUUCUCUUGAUCUCUCUAUCCAUGAUUUCCAUUAGUUCUUCUACGAAGUGUAGACAAUCGUUUACUUUAAUUUCAUCAAGCGGGAUUACAAGAAUCUCGUCAGAUAGACACUUCUUUAGAUUGGAUACGUAGAAGGCAGGGUGUACGUUGCUGAGUUCAUGUGGCCGUCGUAGUUUUUAAACUACCAGGUGGAUCCUUAAGAGGAUCUCGAAUGGUUCGACAUAUCUUGGAUUUAGUUUCCCAAGCUUUCCAAAAGGUAUAAUUUCCUUCUAGGGUGAUACAUUUAACAGUAUGCGGUUACCAACCUGGAAAUCUAAGGGUUUUUGUCGCCUAUCUGCAUAACUCUUUUGUCGGUCUCGAGAAGCUUUCAGUCUUUCAUGAAUUUAUAUGAUCGUCUCUGUUGUUUCUCGUAUGAUCUCGGGGCCGGUGAUAAUGAUGCUAGGUACUUCCCCCUUGCUACUUGCGUGUCACCCACUUCAGCCCAACACAAAGGUGAUCUGCACUUGCGGCCAUAAAGGGCUUCAAAUGGAGCAACUUUGAUGCUAUUGUGAUAACUAUUGUUGUAUGAAAAUUAGAUUAUUGGUAAAUAGGUAUCCCAAGCUUUACCAAAGUCGAUCACUCGAGCUCUCAACAUAUCUUCCAAUGUUUAGAUAGUUCUUUCACUCUGCCAGUCGGUUUUUGGGUGGUAGGCUAUACUUAUGUCUAGCCUGGUUGCCAAGGAUUUUUGUAGCGUUUGCCAAAAUAACUAGGUAAACCUACUAUAUGUAUCUGAGAUAAUGGAUAUUAGCAUGCCAUGCAGUCACACAAUUUCUUUGAUGUACGUACUCAUUAACUUUUCUAUCUUAUCUAUCUCUUUUAUUUGUAGGAAGUGUGCAGACUUGGUUAACCUAUCAACAAUCACCCAUAUGCUGUCAAGUCCACCCAUUGUCUUAGGCAAAUUGGUUAUGAAAUCCAUGGAUAUCCAUUCCCACUUCCACUUGGGUAUCUCUAGUUGUUGUAACACACCCGAGGGCUUCUGGUAUUCUACUUUGACCUUGGCGCAAGUCAAGCACUUGCCCACAUAGGUAGCGAUUUAGGCCUUCAUGUUUGGCAACCAAUCAAAUUUCUUGAGGUCCAGGUAUAUCUUUUCUAAACCGGGAUGAACAGAGUAUCUGGUCUGGUGAGCCUCCUUCAUGACAACGUCCCUGAAUCCACCAAACUUCGAUGUCCAGAUUCGAUGCAUGAGAUAAUGGGCUCUGUCAUCCAUGACCUCCAAGUUUAUAUCCAUUCUUCGCAAGCCUUCAUUUGCGAUGUUCUCAGGUUUCAAGGCCUCCAGUUGAGCCUCUUUGAUCUGCUGGACAGAUGGGAUUGGAUAGUCAUCGUUAAUGAUUUUACUCGGCGGCCCGAGUAUUCCUUUCGACUAAGGCCAUCGGCUACUAUUUUGGCUUUUCCUGGAUGAUAACGUAUUUCACAUUCGUAGUCGCUUAGUAGUUCUACCCAUUGCCAUUGCCUCAUGUUAAGCCCCUUCUGAUAGAAAAUGUGCUUGAGACUCUUAUGGUUAAUGAAAAUCGUGCUCUUUGUACCGUAGAGAUGGUGCCUCCAGAUCUCCAAUGCAAAUAAUGCUGCUCCUAGCUCGAAGUCAUGUGUGGUGUAGUUGAUUUCAUGAGUCUUGAGCUGUCUUGAGGCAUAGGCAAUGACCUUGUCUCGUUUCAUGAGCACACAACCUAAAACUUGUUUUGAUGCAUCACAGUAGACUAUAAAGUCUUUUGUCCUUUCUGGGAGAGACAAGGUCGGUGCAUUGCAUAAAGCUUGUUUUAGCGUUUAGAUAGCAGCCUCCUACUUAUCUUCCCAGUUCUUGGUCACUCCUUCUGAGUCAAAGCAUUGAUUGGUUUAGCGAUCUUGGAGAAGUUUUGUAUGAAUCUCCUGUAGUAGCCAGCAAGGCCUAAGAACUGAUGAAUCUCCGUUGGUGUUGUUGGUGCUUUCCGGUCUUCACUUGCUUUGAUUUUGGAGGGGUCCACAUGUAUCCCUUCUUUGCUGACUAUGUGACCCAAGAAAUCCACUUCUCGUGUCCAAAAUUCACAUUUCGAAAACUAUGCAAAUAGCCUUUCCGUCCUCAAAGCCUCUAGGAUUUGUCGUAGGUGCUUAAUGUGUUCUUCCUUACUUCGUGAAUAGAUCAAUAUGUCAUGUAUGAAUACAAUCACAAAUUUAUCUAAGUAAGGUCUGAAAACAUGGUUCAUUACGCCCAUGAACACCACAGGUGCAUUAGUCAACCCGAACGGCAUUACUAUGAACUCGUAUUGACCGUGGCGAGUCCGAAAUGCCAUUUUGGAAACACCUUCGUCCUGGACUCGCAGUUGGUGAUAACCUGAUUGUAGAUCGACCUUUGAGAAGUAGCUUGUUCCCUGAAGUUAGUUGAAUAAAUCGUCGAUUCAGGGUAGGGGAUAUUAGUUUUUUAUGGUGAGUUUGUUCAACUCACGAUAGUAAAUGCACAUGCGAAAAGAUCCGUAUUUCCUCUUAACGAACAAAACUGGUGCUCACCAAGGCGAGAAGCUUUGUCAGAUAAAUCCUUUACUCAGAAGUUCGUUUAGUUGACUGUACAUUGCCUUCAUUUCAUUCGGGGCCAAUCAUUAGGGUGACUUGGCUAUAGGGGUAGCUCUAGAAAUUACAUCGAUUCUGAACUCUACUUGUCGCACAGGUGGUACUUCCUGAUGGUCUUCUAGGAAUACAUUAGGCAAAUUACAGACUUCAGGGAUAUCUUUCCUUUGUCUUGUCAACAACGUGUGCUAGGAAUGUGUGCUACUUCUUUCGUACAUAAAUCUAAGCCUUGAUGCAAGAAAUGAUUUGGAGGUUUGUACUAAGUUUCUCACCGUAAAUGACAAGAGUUUUUUUAUUCAGGAGAUUUACUCGGACGACUUUUUCUUAACAUAAGAUAUCAGCAUGGUGGGGACUCAACCAAUCCAUUCCAAUGAUAGCGUCAAAACUCCUUAUUGUAACAGGCAUUAAAUCGAUUUGAAAGGAAUGGUUGUUUAGAGUUAGAGUGCAUCCUAUGUACACAUCUUUAGUGAUUUAUGUUUUACCAUUUUCCAUUUCUACUGUGAAUAUUUCGUUAAGUGUUUUAGGUUUUUGGUAGAGUAAAUGCUUAAACUUAUAACUCACAAAACUCCUCUCUGCACUGUUAUCGAAUAGUAUGCAUGCAUAUGUGUAAUUGAGAAGGAACGUACCAGUAACCACCGUGGGGUUCCUUACGGCCUCCUCAUUCCCUAGUGUUAGAAUUCUUCCGGUACUCUCAGUAUUCCUGUUAUUGGCUUUUGGGUGUUCUAUCCUGAAAUGCCUUAUUUCUCCACACCCAUAUCAUGUUCGACUCACUCCGGUAUUUGUGGUUGGGAAGACCUGCUGCGCUGGCUCCUUACAGAAAUGAAAAAUGUGUCUUUUCUUUUUCCAAUUUGUGCAAUACAUUUCUUGACAAAAUCCAGUGUGGUGGAAGUUGCACUUAUUGCACUUGGGUAGAUUUCCACCAUAUUGUCUUAUUAGUGUUGGGUAUGCAGGCAUAGUGGCAGCGUCGACUACCACCAUUUGUUGUGUCUUGGCCGGUUCUUGCAUUGAUUUGCUCUUUCUCUUGUUCCAGGGUCUUCUUUUUUUGUUACUCCCUUUUGCUUGUUCAGGAAUGGAACUCAUAAAGCCCUGGCGGACUCCAUGAUCCACCAGCGUUCGUGCGAAGCGUUUGGCACUAUCAAAGGUAGAGGGGAUUGAGGGUGCAAUGUUUCCUUAAAUUUGGGGGGAUAGACCCCAUAUUUAACAUUCAAUAUUAUUUCUCUCUAGGUUGACCAUCCCGGGACAUAGCACCGUUAGGUCACUGAACCUGGUGGUAUAAGCUAUUAUACAGGAACCCUCCGUCGUGAGGUUCCAAAGUUCUUGCUCUAGUAUCUACACUUCUCCCCUUGGUCAAUACUCUUCUAACAUCAGGAAUUUCAGGUCCUCCCAGCUCAAAUUGUUGGCCACGGGGAGUGUUAGCGAUUUGACCUGGCCGUUCCACCAGGAUAGGGCCUCGUCGGCGAAAGUGCAGGCCGUGAUUUGACCUUGCUCUCCUCCGGACAUGUACAUAUUUCAAACACUAAAUCCAUCUUCUCAAACAAUCUUGUUAGGGCAAUAACACCCCCAUUGGCAUUGAAUGUCUCAGGUUUGAAGUUCGAGAAGUCUUUGUAAGAGCACACUCUUGCAUGACGAAGGCUUCCGCCUUGAGUAGAACAGUUUAUACCACCUCCCGACCCAUUGGUACUUAUUUGCGCCAAGGUUGUGGUCAUGGUGGCUUUUACAGCAGCCUGAAAGCCAGCAAAAUCCAUCUUUGGAGGUGGUGGCGGUGGGGGUGGUGGUGUUGUUGUAUUGUUGACACGUCUGGGGUUUCUUCUUGGGGGCAUACUUCUGCCAUAAGUUCAAAGUUGGAAAGAUGAUGAGUGUUCAAUAAUGAUUUUGGAAAGUCUCAGUGAUUAACGUUUUGUGUCUUGACUUUAUUGUAUUUGUAAGUCAAUCAUAAAAUAGGAAACCAACUAUUACAAGUAAAUGAUUUCUUAACAAUUUAUGAGCUUAAUGGUAAUAUCCAAUGAAAGAAAAUGCAUGUCAAUUUCAUUGAUAGUAUAUUUUGGUACAUGGUUCCGGAAAAUUGACCUUGAUAAAGGUCUAGAGUACAUCAAUGUAAGGAAAAAUUUUACAACAUAACGACCCAUGAAUAGUGUAAUCACUUAUCUACAUGGUCGAACUAACAUGCAAGAACAUAGUAGCACUAACGCUUUCUCGAAAUACCUAGUCUAUAACAUAACAUGAGUAGCAUAAGAACUAAUCGGGGUGCAUGGUAUUCAUUGAACCAUGGAUGAAGUCACGAAGGUCCGCAUCUCCUUCACUCGGUGUUCAGCCUCGAGAACACGCCUCUCCAUUAUGGUCCGACGUUCUUGAAACUCUCUCAUCUCAGCUCGAGUCGUGAUAAUUUGCUUCUGAAGGGACUCAGUGUGAUCCCUUGUUUGAUGGUAGCACCAACUUCCGUGAUCUAAUUGAUGGAUGCCCUUGCUUGUUCUCCUUGGUGGGCGAUGCGACCAACCAUGACAGGGAGAGCCCUGUCUACUGAACCUCCCCUAUUUAGGUUGUAGAAACCUCAUUCCAUACCUUAGGGUGGGCUUUGUCCCUUCUCCUGACUCCAUCUUUUUAGAUCCACUGCCCAUGGGGGCUCCAAGCCCUAAAAGUUUCGUCGGGGUUUUGGAUGAUGUUUGGUGGGUUGUGAACUUCAAGUUCUGAAUCGGUGUCUUCAUUGAUUUCUUCAUCAUCUUCUUCAUUUGAAAUCUCUUCAGGAUCUUCCUCUGGUUCUUCCUGAAUCCAGCCACCGUUUCCCUGGUUAGGAAAGUAAGGAUCUCCGGGUAUGAAGAAUCUUGCCAUAAUGUCUACGUGAGAAUAGGGUAAGAAGCAUAGAAACAAUCUAAGUCUAUAGUUCUAUAGCAUCAUAAAAUACUCCUAUAGUAUUUUAAAUUUGUAUGUUAAAGGUUCUUUGUGUUGUUUGUUGGUAAGUUUUAGACUCGUCAUUCACUACGACCAUUCCUCGGCAUACGUUAGUCACAUCCCGGAUAUAUAUAGUUGAACAGGACAUAUUUAUCCAGGACCUGAUUACUUCCUGGUCCUUCUAUAUUUGCCUUGUGUAUACAAGUCAUAUACACUCAAGAUCGAAUAGUUAGUCGAAUAAGUGAUUUUACUUUAAAUCCACAUCCAAACAAAGAAAAGGAACUAAAGCGAAACCACAAAUUCUAAGUCUAUAAAAUCUUUAUUAUAUACAACCCUAACGUAUACACAUAGCAAGCAUAGAUUACCAACAAAGGUCCUUGAUCUACGUGUAUAAAAAUGUUAAACUAGAGAGCUCUAGCCCCAGUGUAUUUAUAUUUUGUAUAUCUUAUGUGGUUUGAUAUACUUAGCUCACCAUAAACAAUGCUCUGAUACCAACCUGUCACACCCUCGGACCAGGAUGGUGGAAAUGUCUAUGGCGGGUGACUUUUAUGUACAGUAUCAAAACAAUUGAAUAUAAAUGAUUAAAGCAACACAACCAACAUACAUAUAAUUGAAAUAAUUACAUCAUUUGUAUGCGUUACAUAUUUCAAAAGUCAAUUACAAUAUGAUGUCAAAAGAUUUGUUUAGACGCCUUAGCGUCUCAUCCUCAAGAGUCAGUGAUUACGUGUUUUACUGAUUUCCUGAGAAUACAAAUUGUUUGAAAAGUGUACCAACAAUUAAGUUGAUGAGUUCAUAAGCGUUUGUAUGAAUAAUUGUAAACCUCUAUUUGUAAUGUAAUAUCGUUUGUUUUCCAUAAAAUCCUAUAUUUUCCAUAAAAUGAGUUGUAGUCUUAUAUGUACCAAGAUCGAAAUGUACAAGUAUUUUCCAUAAUUAAAAUACAAAUAUGUAGUUUUAUUCGUAUAUAAAACCGCUUGAAUAAAUGUGUUUUCAUGAAAAUAAAUGUAUCGUCGUUUCCCCAUGUGAGUUUUCAUAACCGUGCUAAGAAUGAAUUUGCCUGUCGCGACAAUUUUUAGGCGUCAAAAUGUUACGAUAUUUGUCACCCAUAACCUGCCGAUCUAGCUGUUGCAAGCAGCUAGGGUGUGGGAUCAUAAGCUCCGUAUAGAUCUAUACAUAAGUAUCAGGCUCUCCAAUAGGAGAUUAUGGGUAUAAAACAGGACUUUCGUGUAAACCUCGGUAGGUACGGUGAAGACAAUAUGUCUGGCAAAUUUAUUCAAUGAGAGUACGCGUUUUUUCUAAUGAAAAUGUUUGUAUAUGUGAUUAUCCCCUUUUUUCUGGAUAAUAAAGAAAUAUGAAGUAAAAUAAUUUUAUAUGUAAUUUACAUAAUUAUACCCUUUGCUCAGCAGGUUACGAAUGCGAUAAAGUUUCGUAAACUAUACUUAUAUAGUUUAUUGUAGAAAACAAGUUUGUAUUUAUAUAUAUAUAUAUAUAUAUAUAUAUAUAUAUAUAUAUAUANNNNNNNNNNNNNNNNNNNNNNNNNNNNNNNNNNNNNNNNNNNNNNNNNNNNNNNNNNNNNNNNNNNNNNNNNNNNNNNNNNNNNNNNNNNNNNNNNNNNNNNNNNNNNNNNNNNNNNNNNNNNNNNNNNNNNNNNNNNNNNNNNNNNNNNNNNNNNNNNNNNNNNNNNNNNNNNNNNNNNNNNNNAAAAAAAAAAAAACAUAGAAAAGUCUUUUAAAAUGUAACGGUAUGAACUCACCGUAUAUGUAUUUGCGGAUAUCAUAAAGAAGUGACAGAGAUGAUCUACAAGUUACGAACACUCGAAAUUGAUUGAAUCCUAAUAGUUUUAACAGAUACUAAUGUGUGAAUGAGAUGAACUAACAUGAAAAUGUAUGCAUAAACACUAGAUUAUAUAACAAAUACUUACAAUAAUCCUAAGGAACAAUUUUGAAGAAAAGGCUUCCUGGGAAUGUCUUGUUCAUGUUCUUGGGAGGUUUGAACAAUUGAGAGAAACUCAAAUAUGAAAGAGUGAAAUAUGAUAACUGUGAAAGUGUUUUGAAAAUGGUCCCUAAAGUGUGGUUUAUAUAUGGGAUACGAAGUCACUUACGUUGGAAUAUGCAAUAUAUUAUUUUGGGAAAUGGAUCAACCAAUCGCAUUGCACAAUAUCUAGAUAUUUCAUGGAGUUUCCGGCCUAAAUGAGGGUGAUUUCGGUCUAGGUAUGACCGAAAUCAUCUUAUACAUCACUCACAAGGUAGAUUUUGGUCCUAAUGGGCCUUAACUAGGUGUUUUCGGUCUUGUGGUUACUCCUUGAAGGUGAUUUCGGUCCUAAUGGGCCAUAAACGAGUGAUUUUGGUCUUGUGGUUUGAUCGUUGAAGGGAUAUUUCAGUCAAACUCAACUGAAAUCUCAAAGGAAUGGCACAAGUAUGCUUUUUGUUAAAACCAUUUGAUUUAUGUUUGACUUGUUUGACUCUUUUUUUAUUUGUUGACUUUCCAAGGUUUAUUACAACAUGGAUUUCAAAGUAUAUGCAUAUAAUAACUUAUAUAAACAUGCCCUAUUGGGCUUUCAAAGUUCCAUUCUAUCAAAGUUACGAUGCAAAUUCACUUGUACACGGUUAAGUUUAGACCUUGUUUGUUUAGAAUUUUUCCAUUUGUCACAUGAACAAACUCUGUUAUCUUGAGCACCACCUCGGUGCUUCCCAUGACCCGAUGACCAACCUCACCCCAACAAACUGGGGUUUUGUACCUCCUUCCAUUCAACAUCUUGAAAGGUGGUCGGUUAAUACUAGCGUGAUAACUUUAGUUGUAGGAUAACUCGUCUAGUGGAAGGGAAGUAUCCUAACUCCCUCGAAAAUUCAACUCACAAGCCCUAAGCAUAUCCUCGAGCAAUUGGAUCAUCUGCUCACUUUGGCCAUCGGUCUAAGGGUGGUAUGUUGUCCGAAAUCUUCAUGAAACUUCCUCCAAAACCUGGAGGUGAAAGGUACAUCCCUGUCCGAGACCACCGACGUUGGCAUAUAUAUUAGCUAGCUUCUCUAUGGAUAUUCUCUUGGCAAUCAAUAUGACAUGUGCACUCUUGGUCAAUCUGCCCACAAUGACCUAUAUAGAGUCAAUACCACGUGUAGUCUUUCGCAAUUUUGUGAUAAAAUCCAUGGUAAUCUCUUCCCACUUCCACAUCGGAAUGAGUAGGCGAUGCAACUUGUCGUGGGGUCUUUGAUGCUCAGCCUUGACUUUCCCACAAGUCAAGCACCCCUCAACAAGCCAAGCAAUUUCCCUCUUCAUGUAGGGCCACCACUAACUCAAUCUCAAAUCUCUAUACAUCUUCAUGGCCCUCGGAUGGAUAGAGAACAUUGAAUUAUGCGUCUCCUCCAAAAUCGUUUUAUCACCCCAUCUGAUUCUGAAACCCAAAAUCUACCACAUAGCUUUAACAACCCCCCGACUGUCUCUGACAAAUAAAGAAAUCUUCCCUCUAAUCUGCUUGGUCUUCCAAUUUUCCUUUUUCAAUCCCUCCACCCGAGCCUUCUUGAUCAAAUCAAUCAGAGGCGAAGUUAUAGUCAUGCAAAAUAGAUAUCUCAGAUAGAUGAGCAUGCUGGCUUGCGGAUCAAAGCAUCGGCUACCACAUUAGCCUUCCGAGGGUGGUACAAGAUCUUGUAAUCAUAAUCCUUCACUACAUCCACCCACCUCCACUACCACAUAUUCAAAUUCGGUUGAUCCAUCAAAUACUUUAAACUCUUGUGCUCGGUGUAGAUACUACACUAAACCCCACACAGAUAAUGUCUCUAGAUCUUGAGGGUAAACACCACAACCCCCAAUUCCGAAUCAUGCAUGGGGUAAUUCAGCUCAUGAGUCUUCAGCUACCUCGAAUCGUAAGUAAUCACAUGACCUUUCUUCAUAAGAACAACUCACAAACCUCAAAUAGAGGCGUCAUAGUAAAACAUGAAAUCAUCCAAACCCUCGGGGAGCGCCAGAAUCGAAGUGACAUUCAACCUAAAACAGAUAUCUCAAAUAGAUGAGCUUGCUGACUUGCGGCUCAAAGCAUCAACUACCACAUUGGCCUUCCCAAGGUGGUAGGGGAUCUCGCAAUCAUAAUUCUUCACCACAUCCAACCACCUCCUUUUCUGCAUAUUCAAAUUCGGUUGAUCCAUCAAAUGCUUCAAACUCUUGUGGUCAGUGAAGAUAGUUCACCGAACCCCAUACAGAUAAUGUCUCCAGAUCUUAAGAGAAAAAACCAUAGCUACCAAUUCCAAAUCACGUGUGGGGUAAUUCGCCUUAUGAGGCUUCAACUACCUUGAAGCGUAAGAAAUCACAUGACCUCUCUACAUAAGAACAACUUCCAAACCGGAAAUAGAGUCGUCACAAUAAAUCAAAAAAUCACCCGAACACUCGGGGAGCGCCAAAAUCGAGGACUCACACAACCUCUGCCUCAUAGUCACAACAACUAACUGCAGAUCAGGUCCUUUCCGGACGGUCACAUUCUUCUUUAUCAGACGGGUCAAAGACACAAUAGUCUUGGAGAAUUCUUAGAUAAAUCUCUGAUAAUAUCCUGCUAGACCUAUGAAACUCCCAAUCUCAGAUGUGCUCUUCGGAACUUCCAACUGCUUCGCAGCCUUAAUCUUGGCCGGGUCAACCAAGAUCCCCUUUAGGUUGAUGAUGUUCCCUAAAAACUACACCUCAUUCAACCAAUACUUGCAUUUGUAGAAUUUAGCAUAAAGCCGCUCCCUACUCAGAGUCUCAAACACCUCUCGCAAAUGUUGCUCGUGCUGCUCUUUGGUCGUAGAGUAGACCAAAAUAUCAUCCAUAAUUACAAUCACACACUGAUCAAACAUCGGUCUGGAAACCCGGUUCAUGAGAUCCAUGAACGUUUCUAGAGCAUCGGUGAGCGCAAAUGACAUCACCAUCAACAUGUAACGACCAUAAUAAGUCCUAAAGGCUGUAUUUUGAACAUCCUCAUCCCUGACUCUCAUCUGGUGAUAUCCAGACCACAAAUCAAUAUUGAAAAAGUAAGAUGGACCCUGAAGUUGUUCGAACGAAUCAUCAAUCCUUAGAAGUGGGUAAAGAUUCUUCACCGUUAGCUUGUUUAACUCCUGGUACUCAAUUCACAUUUUGUGUGAACCGUCCUUCCUUUUUCACAAAUAGGAUCAGUUCUCCCCAUAAAGAGCUUCCCGGACGAAUAAAACCCUUGUCUGUUAGCUCAUGCAGCUGCGUACAAUACUCUUGCAUCUCUGGUGGUGCCAGGCGAUAUGGCACGUUGGCUAUCGGAACUGCACCUGGUACCAAAUCAAUCUGGAUCUCAACCUUCCCAUCAGGAGGCACUCCAGGAAAAUCCUCAGGGAAUACAUCAGGAAAAUCCCGUACAAUGGGUACACUUCUCAACUCCUUCAUACCCUCAACCCGCGUGUCAAAAACAUAAGCUAAAAACCCAGAACAACCCUAGUGCAAAUAUCUCCUAGCCCUUGCUGCUGAAAAGAGAACUGGCCCAUGCAAAUCCCUCUCACCGGUAAUAGUAGUUCUCCCCCAAUUGGGGUUCGAACUCUCACCAGCUGCCACUCGCAAUCAAUCAUGGCUCCAUUAGGUGCUAUCAAAUCCAUCCCGAUGAUAACCUUUGAUCCUCUCCACAGAAUCGGCACUAAAUCAGUAAGGAACCUCUCAUUAAACAUGUUUAGGACACACAUGUAGAAAACCCUUGAAGCACUAACAGUUUGGUCAUUCACAAUCUCCACCUCCAGAGCGAAAUCGAAAGUCCUCGGAGCGUUUUGAAACUUCUUGUUGAGCAUAAGGGAUAUGAAGGGCUAAUAGCCCCCAAAUCAAACAAAACAUGAGAAGACAAACCAUUGACCAAAAAGUUUUGUAUACAAGAUCAUAUACACAAAAGGAUUAAUAAGGAAAUCAAAUAAAGAUAGCGUCAAGUUACAUACUAGUAACCAUAUCCGGCGCCGCACGAGCCUUAACGGUGGUCAGCUGAAAUUACCUGCUCUUCACCACAGAAGCUUCCGCCUUGACCUGGUAGCCAUCCGUAAUGCUCAAGGUGGUAGAUGUAGGUGCCGCCACUACUCCUUCAAACAAUCUCAUACAAUCCACCUUUUUAUGGCCAGUCUAAUUUCAAUGGAAGAAAAUAAGAGCACUCCUGGGGCAAUCCCUACUCAUAUGACUAGUCUGUCAACACAUGUAACAACCCAAACCCACUGACCAACAUGCCCCAUUAUGCUUCUUACCACACUUGCUGCAACGACCUCAGCCCCGCGGGCCCUUAAAAUGUGAAUCAGAAACCUAAGGCUCUUUUGCUUGACCCAUAGUAGUUUAUACCUGCAUCCGCUUACGUUUCGACCGAAGCUCUAGCUCAAUUUCCUACUAACGGGACUUCUCAAUCAAAUCAAUUAGGGUCUUGCACCCUGAAAAACUCAUGAACUCCCUGAUAUCAUCCCUCAGCAUAGCAUGAUAUCUAGUCUUUCUCAUAUCCUCACCCGCAACAUACUGUGGGACCAACAAAGCCCCUUCCUUGAAUUUGGUGGUGAUCUCUGCCACAGUCUCUAUAAUCUGGCAAAGGUUCUGGAAAUCCUUUGCCAUCUUUUCCACCUCCGUAGCUAGUGCAAACCCCCUUUGGAAUCUCUGAACAAAGUGUUCCCAUGUCAUCUUCACCACUGUAGCCUCCCCAGAGCCCGGGUAACCUCCUCCAACUAGUCCCGCAUUCUGUCCCUUAGCAAGCAGGACACGAAUCCCACCUAUUCCCCUUCAGGCAAAGAGCUCAUUCAUUGAGCACUCUCCAUGUCAGCGAUCCAACAUCAGCUAGCAAUGGGGUCCUUAACCCCAAAUAACUUAGACGCUCCACAUGCCUUAAGCUCCAGGAAUGAGGGAGCUCGAUCCCCUAUCUGACCCACAACAAUCUCGACUCGAAAUGACCUGAGCCGCUCCUCCAUGACUUCCAAAAUCUCCUCCUUAAUGGUAUCGAAAAUCACAAGGGUAGCGUCAAGAAAGCUGUGAGUAACCUCGGCUGCAAGAAGCUCGUGCAACCUCUCAUCAAUCAGUUCAUCACCUAAACCCGAAGCAGAGCCCGAACCUGAACCUAAGCCUACUUGAGUAAUCAUCACCAUCCUAAAACUAAAAAUACAACAUAAAAGCAAGCAAUCAAAGAGGUUUGAGGGGACUCCUCUACACCGACCUCCUUAGAGUUUCAAUAUCUACUCUCGUCUCAGGUACAGGUCCUAUGCUUCUAGUAGUAUGGGCCCAAUACUACCAUCCACACAUACAUGUACCAUCCUCAAGGCUAAAUCUGAUUCCUCUAAGUUACCACACUACAACCGGAAACAAAACUUACGCUACACAUCAUACAUAUCCUAGAAUCUUUGAUACGUGUGGAAUUGUACUAGCUUUAAUCCUACUAACUUACACACAAAAUAAACACACGAAAGGCAGUAUACCUAUCGAUUCACAAUAUAUUUCAAUCAAGUAGGUUAUCGAACACAGUGAACGUUAACACUUAAAAUAUAUACUAGUACUACCUAAAUAAAAAAAGUAAUAAGAAAGCGAGUUUUCUUUAGUUUUGCAAGACUAGAAACUUAAGCAAUCAAAUAACACUCAAAAAAAUAUCAACUUAUAACUAAAGUAGACAAAAGACAACUAGAUUCAAUAAGAUAAAGAGACUUUUGUUCAGAUUCGAUUCACUUAUUCCUAUGGUUGAUUUCGUGGCAAGUGUGAUGGAUUAAUAUAUCAAAUGGUUAUUGAUUUCUAAUGUGAUUAGGUUCAUGUUCACUAUUACUAAUCCUUUAGCAAACAAGUUAAUUCAAACAGUGGCCAGUUGAGUAAACUAACAGGUUUCCUAGUGUGCAGUUCGAUUCAAGUAAGACUUGAAAUAUUAGUUAACUAAAUUGGUCAAUUCAAUAAACUCACAUGUGGUUGUUCAUCACAUAUGCUCACACAUUAAUUUACUUAGUAUCUAGUUAAUCCUAGGUUCAUGUUCACUACUUCUAGGUGUACAAUCUUGUUUUCACAAAACUAUAUGAAUCAAGCAUUCGAUAAGAUGUUCAUGCAACUUAAUAUACUUGACUAUUAACAGAAAAUAAUUAUCAUUAACACAUAAGGAUCUUUUAGCAAGCUUAACAAGAUAGAUAACCAAAUCAAAUUAAUCUAUGCCACUCAAUCAAACCAUAUUCAUAAGAUCCUCUACAUCUAAAUAGAUGUACGGAGUUUUUAGAUCAUAACUAUGGCAAGUAGCAUCCUAAAAUUUAAAUCUAAUGAUUCAAACAUGGUUCACACCAAAGAUUAAGAUAAAAUUAAUGUUUGUUUGCCUUUGAACUCUUCAAAAUUGUCUUCUAGGUAGAAUUUUUAAAAACCAAAGCUCAUAAGAACCCUUUUGAUCUUCCAAAGUUGCCUAAAGCAUCCAUAAUGUGUUAGGGUUUCGGGAAUAAACGAUCUCUACUUUUAGAUUCCAAAUUUCUCACCAACUUGUCGAGUUUUUUAAGACUAACUCGUCGACUUUUUUACUUCAUACGCGUGUACGACAAGGCACUGUUGAAUCGGGAAUCUUCCAAUCAACUUGUCGAGUAGAUGACCAACUCGUCGAGUUCCUCUUAAUUUCAUAAUCCAAUCUCCAAGCUUCCAAUUGCUAGUUCCGCUUCCUUUUUUGCCCGAUCAUGUCUUUAUUGCUGAAAUUGAAAUAUUAAGCUAAUUAAGUACCUUUUGUCCAUAAUUUGAGAUAAAAUCAAUAUAGAGUAUUAAGAUAAUGUAUGAUUUUUAUGACUAAAUAUGCCCAUAUCAAAAUACCCCACACUUGACUUUUGCUUCCCCCAAGCAAAACUGAAUUUUAACACACCAAUAUCACAUAAGACAAUCCCAAUCGAACCUAGCCAUUAUGCCAAGACCACAACGUAUGCAUUUGUGUCUAAAAUUUUUGUAAGGACCCCGCUAAUCAUAAACACUAACGAUCCAUAUAAAUAGUUGCCCACUUCUUUUAAAUAACACUCAUUUUAUGCAUCCCUUCGAAUUUAUCCCCAAAAUACAUUCUUAACCUUAAAGAAUAUUUGGUUAAAGCCCUAAGCAUACAAAUGAUAAAAUAACUUGAAAAAGAAAAUUAAAAUAAAAAUAAAAAUACUUGAAAACUUUGAAUCUUCAAUGAUUUGUAGCUUUUCUUCAUGUAUUUCCUCUUUGUCUUCAUAGCUUUGAGAUUCUUUCAAACAUUUCAGCACUCUCUUUUUUUUCUUUUUUUUCAAGAUUUUUUUUCAACCACACUUUUCUCACUCAAUACUAAAAACCUAGGAAACCAUAUGCUUAAGCAAGGGGAUUUAACUUCAUCCUUUAUUGAUUAAAGGAAUUAGUCUUAUGUUCAAUGACUACUUAAGCUCUCCUGGAUACGUUUCAAGUACACAACGCUAAGCAUAUGGCGAUCCUCAAACUAAGAGAGGUUGUGUUUUUGUCCCAUGAUUUCACUAUAAUAAAGGGGGCCACAAAUUCAUUAUAAUGUAUAAUGUCUCAACUAAACAUUUAUGUCCUCAAGGAAUCAUCAAACACGAUAUUGGAAUGGAAUCCUAAUUGCUUUUACCAAUUUUUUCUAAAUUAACCGUAGCCAUUUUUAUGUAAAAAAUUUAAAAGAAAUUAUACCUAGGAUUUUAAUGUAACUAAUUUAAUCAACCCCUACCCCACACUUAAUUUAUGCAAUGUCCCCAUUGCAUGUUAUGCAUGAUAAAGAAUAUAAAAGUAAAGAGAGAAUUGGAACAAACUCCCCUGGGAUAGAAGCUACGAGGUAGAUUUUCUUCUUUUAAGCACCAUCUUCAGCUGACUUCAAACAUGGAAACAGCUCAUCCACGCCUUGGGUGUCAAAAUCUCGUGUGGUAUAACUCUAAAAUAUGUAAGAAAAAGCUUCUAAGAAGUGCUCAGAAAUGAUCUUCAAAAAUACAAUAAAUGUCCGCGUUAAAUGGUAUCAAAUCGUCGACUCAAAGAUAAAAGAAUGAGCAACUCAUCGAGUUUUAUAGGGAGACUCGCCGAGUUGAAUAGCUAUACCGGCAGAAAUCGCGAAUUCUCACUAGAACUCGUCGAGUUAUUGAUGUUCACUUGACGAGUUUUAUUCUCUGUGUGGACAACCUUUUAUUUUCUGCUUCAUCUCUCUUUUUUAUGUUAAGGAGGGUAUUUAGUUAACACACCCCUCAUUUUCUUCAGUAAAUAAACUCCUAUGCAUCCGUUUUAUGUGUCGGACUCAUAGUUGGACUCUAUCUCCUAAUCUUCUCGUCUAGACUCGACUUCUCACGUUAUUUCCUCACGCUAUAAUUAUGUGUUCAUCCCUCACCCUAUUUCCUGUAAAAGAACAAAAACAGAAACCACAUAACAAAAAUGAAAACAAACAUUAAAAUAAAGUCCUAAAUUACUUCCUACACAACUAAAAGUUUUAAACAAACCAAACCAAAAUAAAGAAAAACAAACAAACCAAAUAAAAUUGUCUUCACAUGAAAACACCAAUAAAAUAAAAGGAUAAUCACUCCUCGUCUUCAUCUUCUCCUCCUCCAAAUCCGCUACCACCACCGGCUUCGCUUUGCCUUGCAUUCAAUCUCUCCUCCCAACUUCUAAUGUAAGGGUAGUCGGUACCAUCAUCCAUUCGGGGGAUGUUCAUAUGGCUCAUCAUAUGUGCAAGCGUCAUGUGGUGGUAAUUCAAGCUACGACCUAUAUCAUCUUGAUAUUGCCUCGUUUCCAUGCUUACCCAAUCCAUAGGUAAUUCAUCUUCCAUGGGAAUCACGGGCGGGUCUUCAUGCAUGUGCCCUUAACUCGACCUCACCCUUCUACCAGGUUGCUCCGGAACCACAACCUCUUCUUCUUUAGGAAUACCAAAAUGUCCCCCUCCAAAAUCUUCAAUUAUCCUAGCCCUCUUGUAAAGAAUAGGACAAAAUGCAGGUGGUAGUAUUAUGGUCAAGUGGCUCCCGAUCCCUCUUCCAAAAACACCAUAUUAUCUUGCCAACCAAGAGACGAACUUCCCCACACAAAUUCUAGAGGUUUUCCUAUCCUUCACUGUACCUCCAGCUAAAUAAUUUUCAAGACAAUGUGGAAUGUUACAAAAAAUGUUUUUCAUAAUAAUACAUCAAAGUAAAAAGACAUCCCGGCUCGGAACUUUUUCAUCAUAUUUCCGCAUGUUGAUGGAGCUUGCGAUGAAUCAGUGGAUAAGGCAGUGAAUUGGGGACCUUAUGCUUUCUUCUUGUGUGGCCGACGGUAUAUAGACUCCAUUUUUUUAUCGUGGACCACCAAUUGCCCACGGCCUCCCCAUUCGGAAAAUCUUUAUGACAACUUUCCAAAAACAAACCAAAAGCUUCUGUCAUAACUUGGGCUUCUUCAUAAAACCCCAUUCUCCAUUCCAAUUCCGCGAUGCUGUAUUCUCUAAAUUCGCCCCAAGACAAUAAGUUAAUGCAUUCGGGUUGUAAAAGUCAUCUCACCAUUGGAAGUAACAGUUACAUAGAAUUCCAAAAACAAUUCACAGUAAAUAUGUUCUUAUAGUAGGAACAACCUUCGCCAUGCGUCAUAAGUUACCCUAUCCCCAUUGUUGAUAAAGACUUUUGUAAGAUGAGGAUUCAUUGCCUCCACCAAACCUACUUGCUCCAACCAUAUCCAGUUUAGUUCAUUAGGCAAGUAGAAUUCCUUAUUCUUUAGUGUUUCAAUCUUUUUCCUCCCCCCAAACUGAUGAGAAUAAAAUUCUCUAAGAUCGAUAGAAUCUUUAACAGAUAAACAAAUACAAAAGAAACAAAGAACACACGAAUAAAUCAAACAAGAGCUAAAUGAUUAAUAUGGCCCACCUAAAAAGAAUUCAAUGAAAAUUGCUACGAUAGAGGUGUGCUAGGGUCACAAUACUAGUAAGGAAAAAAUAAAUUAGAUGCGUUAACCAGAAUUAUGCAUUCAUGCACCAUAAAUACUAAACCCUAAUGAAGAAAACACAGUUGGAACGGCCCAGAACGAGAAUAUAUAAUGGACCGACUAAACAAGCCCAGUGACGCAACACCUUAGACUAAAAAAUCUCCCCCGUUGCGUCAAUUGAGGCGAGACUCAUUUCGGUUGAGAAGGAGUGAUCUUCUUCAUAGUCUUGAAUAGCCUCGGUAUUGUUGGGUUUUGAACAUUCUAACACUCCUAAGUGUACAUGCAACCCUAAAUACCUUGGAUCUAUGUUUUCUGUAUUAUACAUGCAAAUAUGAACAUCCAAGGUAUUAUCCUAAUCUAGCAUACAAAAGAAUGAAUAUAAGAAGAUAGAAUACAUACCUCUUUGAUGUAGAAUGUCUUCAUGAAGCUUGAGAUCCUAGUGCCUGAAGUGUGACACCUUAGAUGGUUCACACAACACCAAGUAGACUUGGAAUAACUUGAGAGAAAUUCACAACUUCUGAAGUUGGAUAGCCCUUCUUUUACACACACUAGCGGCCAAUUUUGGUGAAUAAUAUGACGCUUAGAUAGUGUGUUACAAUUAGGGUUACACCAUGUAAGCUCUAAUUGUCAUGACCUUUCAUUUCUAUGACCCAUGGGUUAUGUAACCUCCAUGGAGCAUCCUAUGGGUUUAACCCAACUUGAUUAUCCAUGGAGCAUUGGCCCACUAUAAGAGUUAUAGAUGAUUUGCACAAUCAACCCAUAUAUUUAAUUAGUCUUCUUUUGAUCACAUAAUUAACUCUAAAUUAAUUCUUGAUCAAUACUAAUUAAAUAUUAUUAUUCUUAUUAUUAAUAUACUAGAACUUAUAAUAUAUUAAUAACCAUAAGUGUUUUAUUUCUCUCAUUUAGUCUAUCCAAGUGCAUGAUGCCAUGCAACCCAAAUGGACCAUGUCGGGUCGGGCCAAGUCUUAACAAUUAUAGUUAUGGACUUAGACAUUAAUCCAACAGUCUCCCACUUGGAUAAGUCUAAAACUAUUAUUGCGUAUGACUUCAGGAACCAACUGGCAAUCGUAGCUCUCAAAAACUUCUGUCGAACUCUGACCUUGUAGAUGAACUCUGACCUUUGUCAAUGACUUGUCCAUUAGAUAAGGGAUCAUAUAUUCCUCCAUUCUAGAUAUCAUAUGGACUGAGACAUGGAUUAUAAUCAUUCUCUCUGUCCAUUUGUUGUUUCCCGAUUUCCGAUUUAUGACGACUGACUAAUUGAACAAAUCAAAUCAGUCCUGGCCCGGCCGAGCACUUCCAUUUGUCAUCAUCAAAUCAUCGAGGGGCCCACAGAUAUCGCUUUUAUCCCGAAGGUAAAAGGAAUGGAUAAACUUCGACUCAUAUGGCUUGUUCUACUACUUGUUGAAUCAUACACAAAGACACGUUUUAUAACAUCGAGUAACCAAUGUGUUUUCGUGCAAUCAAUGUACUAUCAACUCAUAGUAACAACUCAUAUCUCUAGGUUUGAAGAAUACAAGAUAUUAUCGUCUCAUGAUCACUCGUGAUAAAAUCCAUGAAGUGAUUCCAAUCAGCUUGGGUUGAAUCCAAUACUCAGAACUUAUGACCACUCAUGAGUGUUGGAGCACCACAUUGUCCAACGUCUUAGACCUCUACAAGCCCAACCCAUGAUAGUCUUGAUUCAUGUCUACUUCCAACAUAUGACCGAUUGUGGAUGGUUUGAAUAACUAAGUCAUCCAGAACAAUGACCUAGUUUAUUCUGGAACUCAAAACAUGCAAAAUGAAACACAAUAAUAAUUGAAUCCAAUAUGGUCUCAACNNNNNNNNNNNNNNNNNNNNNNNNNNNNNNNUGGCUUACAAACUUAACCUACCGCGUGAACUUAGUAACAUACAUCCAACCUUCCAUGUCUCGAACUUGAAAAAGUGUCUGUCCGAUGAGACUCUUGUUAUUCCACUCGACGAGAUCGAGAUCAACGAGAGCCUCAACUUUGUGGAAGAACCAGUAGAAAUCAUGGACCGAGAGGUCAAACAAACAAAACAAAGUCGCAUACCCAUCGUGAAGGUUCGCUGGAACGCCAAGCGGGGACCUGAAUUCACAUGGGAACGCGAAGAUCAGAUGAAACAAAAGUACCCUCAUCUUUUUCUCUGAUCCACUAGUAUCUUUACUAUUUUAAAUUUCGGGACGAAAUUCCCUCUAACGGGGGGAUGAUGUGACAACCCGAUAUUUCAACUCUUUGUAAUGACCUAAAAAGUCAAGUAUUGUAACCACUUGUGAGUUAAUGAAACUAACUUUGAUAAUAAUAUGUCCAAAAAGUUUCUAUUUAAAAUUCCUACUAUGUUUAAUGACAUUAAAUCGUGACCGUACGUAAAAAGAACGCCCGAAUCCGACUUCGUAUAUUGAAGUUAUGAUUUUUCCAAGUUCGGCUUAGCAACAGACAGCUAAAAACUCAAAAUAGAGAUCGAGCGACUUUUGGCCAGAAUGACCUAAACGAGAAUCGAAGGUCUCAACAAUGGUAAUUCAGCAGUAAAAAGUCUGGCAAAAACCGACGUCAGAUGAAGAAGUUAUGAAUUUUUAAAGAAAUUCCUUAAACACGACCCUUUUAAAAAUAAAUAAUAAAAAUAAUUUCAAAAUUUGCCGACGGAGUCUAAACGAAAGUUGUAGAGCGUAGUCUCACCUACGCGUGGAUAUAAAGACCAUCGAAAACGGAAUUCGUAUGAAGAAGAUAUGAAUUUUAGAAGUUUAUUAAUUAAAUUAAAUAUAAAUUUAAUUAUAAAUGUUUGGUAUUAUCCGAAGGGAGUCAGCAGAUAGGGCCAAAGUAUGCCCUGCGUACCCUCGUACGCCCCGCGUACCCAAGACCUAGGCCUCAGAUCGUCCACGUCCCGGUCUAUGCGAAGCUGGCAAGUCCCAUCCGAAGUUCCGAGGCAGUCGAGGACUCGGUCAUGCAUGACGUACGCGUAAGCCCCGCGUACCCUCGUACGCUCGACGUACCGAGGCGGUUCCCAGCCCCUAUAAAAGGGAUGCAAGGGUUCCAAAAAAAUGGCUAUAAUUCUCUCAUUUCCUUUGUGUUCUUGCCUCGUUUUCCGUUCCCGUUCUAACCCGAAGCCCUGGUCAUUUUGCUCAAGUCCCGAAGAUCAUUUCUACUCCCGAGAUUCCCGAGAAUCCCGAGAAAAAUCCGUUUCCCGAGACAAAACUCUGCCCGGUUUCCACCUCGCUUUCUUCAAACUGUCAAGUGACUUCAUACCCCUUAAUUAACCUUUUUAAAUGUUCUAAAAAUGCUUUUAUAUGCUUUCAAGGGGGGAAUACAAGUAAAACACACGAGUAUCAUCGUGUGUUAUAUAAAGAAUUUUUAUAUGCUUUUAUAUAACCAAAUCAUAUGUGAUUUAUAAACUUUAUAGGGAACUCUCGUAUAUAAAAUAUGUUACAAUAGCAUUCUAUCUUUUGAAAUAUAAAUUGUUGUAAUGCAUGUAUAAACUAAACAUUUUCUUAGAUUAUAUGUAUACUUGUCUAUCUUAGGCUCUACAAAAAUCUAUACUUUCAUAACAAGUGAUUCCUUUUCUAGGUAUUUCUAAACAAACGAGACACACUUUUAGAAAACUAUAAUAGGUAUAGUUUUAUGAGGAUAUUGCUAACUUUUACAUACUAGAAACACGAUUUUCAAGAAGUCACUUUCAUAUACAAGAACAAACGAACAUUUUAACACGUAAAUCUGUUUUUAUACCACGGUUUGUGAGACAUUAACUUCACGUACGUUCGAGUACACAUUUCAAGUCCUGUAUUAUAUACCAGAAUCCCUUGGAGGGGGAGCAUGGUGUUUGUGUAUAGAUCUAUACGGGCUUGACAACCCGCGCCUUGACUGUUAGCUAUAGUCCACCAUUUGGGGUGACAAACGUCAUAACAUUCCAACGCCUGAAGAACGUUGUGUAUAGGCAUUCCGAGUCAAUAGUAUGGUUAUAAAACUCACAUGGGGUAUUAAAAAUGCAUUGAUUUACGAGGUUUUCAAACAUAUUGGUUAUUUUACACUUACAUACAUUUUUAGAAACAAACAUUGGUCUUGAGAGAAGGCUACUUUUAUACUAGUAGAAAAUAUAGGAAUUUCUAGAAACAAACAAACAAGGACAAAACAUUUCAUUUCAUACAAACAUUGUCAUUUAAUACUUAUAAAACUCACCAGCAUAAAUGCUGAUCUAAUCUUUCAAAAUUACUUGUAUGUCCUAGGGAUUCAGUAAUUUCAGUUACUAAUAUGCUUUUGAAGAAGAGAUGUUGCGGUGCCAGUUUAAUCUCAUAUUUUGACAUCAUAUUGUAAUUGGUUUUGAACAUGUAACUUUUGACAAAUGUAAACUUUCAAUUAUAUAUAUGAUGGUUGUAUUGCUUUCUUUACUAUGUAUUCAUUUGUUACGUUACCACAUGAAGUCAUCCACCCCCGAACGUUUCCGCCGUUCAGGUUUGGGGAUGUGACAGAUUGGUAUCAGAGCAAUGUUUAUAGUGAACUAAGUAUGUCGAACCACAUAAGAUAUACAAACUACAUAUGCUUAAGGGACUAAUACUCUCUGAAAAAACAUUUUUUCUUUUGUUUUUACGCUUAAGCAGCGUUACGUUUAACUAAAAUUGUUAGUUCAUUUCAGUACAAAUACAUGCAUACAACAUAAUUAUUUUCAUGAUUUUAACUAUACAACAAGUAUUUAGACAAGUUGACACUACGAUUAAAACUCGAUAUAUAUAAUCAGAUUUGGGACGAAUAUAGCGUGAUCAACUAUAUUUGUCCGACAUCGGACCAAUAUAUAUCGAGGAUUGCUUGUACUAAGCAACAAGUCAAAACUUACCAAACCGUCACAAUAAUCAAACACAAGAAUUUAAAUACUAUAGGAGUAUUUGCUACAUAAACUAGUUUAACUUACAUGUUUUGCAUGUUUUAAUGUUAUUCAGUUCUUAUAACCCUACUUCUUGUACACUCAAAUGGCUGGAUUUCAGCACCCUGGCGACCCCUACUUUCCCAACCAAGGCAAUGGAGGAUGGGUCGAAGAUGAUCCCGAAGAGGACGAGGAACCCAUAGAAGUGGAUGAUGACUCCGGUACCGACUCAGAGCCGGAAGGGAUCAACCCACCACCCAUUCAACCUCCCGUCUUCGUAAGGAACUUUCAAGGACCGACUCCCGUCUGGGGAAGUCACCUCCACCAUUGGAGCCAACAACAAAACCUACGCCCUCCCUACGACAUGUGCCGGGACUUCUACGAUGUCCGAGGCGGAGGUUCGGCUGAUCGGGCACUCCCAGUAAUGGUGGGUAAGCUAGCCAAUCAGUCCUAUCAAUCCGGAGUUCAAGCUAGCCGGCUUCGGGAUGUCAACGUGGAAGUACAGGUUCACACUUCCGACAUCCGUAGGCUGGGCAGAAUGCAAGACAAUGCUCAACUCCAAACCGAGGCAUUCCAAGCGCAAAUGAUUUCAGCCCUCGCCGAAUUAAGGGAACAACUAGACGCUUUUGAUCGGCGUUUAAUGGAGUCAAAGCAAUCGGAUGCGGAGUCAAGCUCCAAGCGCAAUCUACGUCGCAAGUAGUGCUUGCAAGAAUCUCAAAUUUUGUUAUAAGUUAGGACCUCGGCUAAAAGUCUUUAAAUUUCUCAAACUUUGUAACCGGAGACCCGUAUAGGGGUCAAUUUUNGAGAAAACCAAAUGCUUGAUUCAUGUUUUCAGUCUUACAAAUAACUUUCAUUCUACUAUUUUAAGACUCAUACUAUCAUCUGUUGUCGAACUAUAGCAAUUUGGUUCAUAAGACACAUUCAGUUUCUAUACUAAGUAAUUCUUAUCGUUAUCUUUUCAACCUAUAGUUGAAGGAUGCCUCCGCGUAGGAAUCCAAGGCGAAACAACGGUGGGGAAGCACCUAUACCACCACCACCUCCACCACCUCAAUUUGAUGUUGUCAUGUUCCAAGCAGCAGUCACCGCAGCGGUAGCAGCUGCCAUGUCAUAGAUCAAUAACUCGAGUACUACUGGCUCGGGAACUGGCACACACCUAUCCAUCCAUGGUGAGAGUCAUGGGCAACCCCGAGAAUGCACCUAUAAGGAUUUUGCUAAUGCCAAACCCCGGAUGUUUUAUGGAACUGGUGGGGUGAUAGCCCUGAGGCAGUGGAUUGAAAGGAUGGAGUCAGUCUUUGAAAUCUGCUCGUGUCCCGAGCACAGCAAUGUCAAGUUUGCAACUUUCACCCUUAUUGAUAGAGCUUUAACUUGGUGGAAUGGCCACGUUAGGGUACUUACCCUGAUAGUGGCAAACUCCAUAAGCUGGGAGAGCUUAAAGGUCAUGCUGAUGAGAGAAUACCGUCCACGAGGAGAGAUUCAAAAACUCGAGCACGAGCUCUGGACUCUUGGAAUGGUUGGUAACGACAUCGCAACUUAUACUAAAAAGUUAUGCGAUCUGGCAAUCCUUUGCCCAGAUAUGACUGCUCCUGAGAGCAAGAAAAUAGAGAGAUACAUUUGGGGGCUGUCUCCCCAAAUUAGGUCAAGCGUGUUAGCUUCAAAACCUGACACUUUUGAAAGUGCCAAGGAACUGGCACAAUCUCUUGUUGAUUAUGGAGGCCAUCAGAACUCAACGGUUGCUACACCAGAACCACAAAAGGGAAACAACAACAGCAACAGCAACAACAACAACAACAACAACAACAACAACAACAACAAUAACAACAAUAACAAGAAGAGGGUAUGGAAUAAAGGGAAGGGUGGGUCUUCCCAAGAAUCCGCGAACAAACAAUUUGUUUCAGUAAAUGCUGUCACUGUACCUACUACAGUCCCUACAAAUCAUUACCCAACAAAGACUUAUGGGGGUAAUCUUCCAAAGUGCACCAAAUGCACUUAUCACCAUCAUGGACCUUGUCAGCAAAUGCAGUGCUCCAACUGCAACAGAAAGGGACACAUUGUCCGUUUCUGCAAGGAUCCCGCAAAGCCGAUCACUCAAGUCCCUAGCGCGGGUAUAGGAAAAACUUGCUACGGUUGUGGCGAAGUGGGCCACUAUUAGAGGAACUGCCCAAAGGCAGCAAAUACCGGCGGGGUGGGACGAGUUUUGGCGAUAGGCCACAAUGAGGCUAUAGCUGAUCCGACUGUAGUUGCUGGUACGUUCUUUCUAGAUAACUAAUAUGCAUGCAUGUUAUUUGAUAAUGGAGCGGAGAGAAGCUUUGUGAGUCAAAACUUUAUGCCCUUACUUAAACCUAAACCUAGCAAGUUAGAAAAAUCAUUUAUGGUAGAGAUGGCCAAUGGAAAAACCGAAAACACUAAUUGCAUAUACAUGGGCUGUACGUUAACUUUAGACGGCCAUUCUUUCCCAAUCAAUCUCAUGCCGGUCCAAAUUAAAAGUUUCGACGUCAUAGUCGGCAUGGAUUGGUUGAGUCUUCUUCGCGCCGACAUCAUGUGCUUUGAGAAAGCAGUUUGUCUUAAUCUCCCUAACAACGAACCAUUAAUUAUCUACGGCGACAAAUCAAGUACAAACCUUCGCAUCAUUUCGUGCGUCCAAGCUCGAAAAUGUAUGCGGAAGGAUUGUCGAGCGUUCCUAACACACAUCGUCAAUACAAGUCAGGAACUAAAGAACAUCAAGAACAUUCCAGAAGUACGCAACUUUCCCGAUAUCUUUCCAGAAGAACUACCGGGAUUACCACCACAAUGCCAAGUCGAGUUUAGAAUCGACUUAGUUCCAGGGGCUACCCCCGUAGCGAAGUCGCCUUAUCGUCUCGCACCAGCAGAGAUGCAGGAACUUUCCAGUCAACUUAAUGAACUCCUUCAAAAAGGAUUCAUAAGACCUAGUUUCUCACCUUGGGGAGUACCGGUCUUGUUUGUAAAGAAGAAAGACGGAUCGUUCCGCAUGUGCAUCGACUACAGAGAACAGAACAAGCUUACUGUCAAAAACCGUUAUCCUCUACCCCGUAUUGACGAUCUAUUUGACCAACUACAGGGAGCAAACUACUUCUAAAAGAUAGAUCUACGAUCCGGAUAUCACCAAUUACGAGUACUAGAGGGGGAUAUUCCCAAGACAGCUUUCCGAACUCGUUAUGGGCACUACGAAUUUGUAGUGAUGUCGUUCGGAUUAACCAACGCCNUGGACCUAAUGAAUAGGGUAUGCCGUCCUUACUUGGAUCAGUUCGUCAUCGUCUUUAUCGAUGAUAUACUUAUCUACUCCCGAAGUAAGGAAGAGCAUAGUCAGCACCUACGAAAAGUCCUAGAAACACUGCGAUCGAUGAAACUCUAUGCGAAGUUCUCUAAAUGCGAAUUUUGGAUUCGAAGAGUCGAAUUUUUGGGCCACGUUGUUAGUGAGAAAGGGAUACACAUAGACCCCUCCAAAAUUAAGGCCAUUGAAAACUAGUCGGCACCAAAGACACCUACAGAGUUUCGUCAAUUUCUAGGUCUCGCCGGCUACUAUCGCAGAUUCAUAAAGAACUUAUCUACCGUUGCGAAACCUCUUACUACAUUGACCCAGAAAGGCGUGUCCUUUGACUGGGAAGCGAAACAAGAAAAGGCGUUCCAAACUCUGAAAUAGGCCUUGUGCACCGCACCGAUACUAUCCCUCCCCGAAGGGAUAGAAGAUUUCGUAGUGUAUUGCGAUGCAUCAAACCAAGGACUUGGUUGUGUUCUUAUGCAGAGAGGGAAGGUUAUUGCUUCUGCCUCCCGACAGCUUAAGACACACGAAGUGAACUAUACGACCCACGAUCUUGAGUUAGGAGCAGUGGUAUUUGCUCUGAAGAUCUGGAGACACUACUUAUACGGAACAAAGAGUACUAUUUUCACCGAUCACAAGAGCCUUCAACACAUUUUUAACCAGAAGGAACUCAACAUGUGACAACGACGAUGGGUUGAGUUACUCAAUGACUACGAAUGUGAAAUUCCUUAUCACCCUGGCAAGGCCAACGUGGUGGCUGACGCCCUCAGUCGAAAGGAAUACACUGGUCGGAGGGUCAAAUCUCUGGCUAUGACUAUCCAUUCCCACUUAUGCACACAAAUUAAGGAGGCACAAAUGGAAGCUUUGCAACCUGAAAAUGUGGCGGGUGAAUCCCUGCGAGGAAUGGAAAAGAAUCUAGAAGUCAAGGGUGGCAGAGCAUAUUAUCUCAUGGACCAAAUAUGGACACCAAAACAUGGUGGUUUCAGAGACGUAGUCAUGACCGAAGCACACAACACAAGAUAUUCCGUUCACCCAGGUUCAUAUAAAAUGUAUCUGGAUCUUAAGAAACUGUACUGGUGGCCUAACAUGAAAGCAAAAAUUGCUACCUUUGUAAGUAAAUGCCUUACUUGCGCAAAGGUUAGGUCGAGUAUCAAAAACCGUCAGGAUUACUAUAACAACCGGAGAUACCAGAAUGAAAAUGGGAACAGAUUACCAUGGACUUCAUAACCAAGUUGCCCAAGACGACGGGUGGACUUGAUACCAUAUGGGUCGUCGUCGACAGAUUGACCACAUCCGCGCAUUUCCUACCAAUCAAGGAGACAGAAAAAAUGGAAAAGCUUACAAGAACUUACAUAAGGGAAGUAGUGCGACCGCACGGUGUUCCGAUAGAGAUAGUAGAUUCACUUCAAGGUUCUGGCAGUCACUACAAAGUUCCCUGGGAACUAGACUAGAUAUGAGUAUAGCCUACUACCCACAAACAGAUGGGCAAAGUGAGAGAACGAUACAAAAUUUGGAAGAUAUGCUGAGAGCCUGUGUGAUUGACUUUGGAAAGGCAUGGGAUAUCCAUUUACCCCUUGUCGAAUUUUCAUACAACAAUAGUUAUCAUACAAGCAUAAAGGCUGCUCCGUUUGAAGCCCUCUAUGGUCGAAAGUGCAGAUCCCCUCUGUGCUGGACUGAAGUUGGCGAUACCCAGUUAGCUAGAGGAAGAGUUCCUGAAAGCACUCUCACCGGUCCGGAAAUCAUACGAGAAACAACAGAGAAGAUCGUUCAGAUUCGUGAACGAUUGAAAGCCUCUAGAGACCGACAGAAAAGCUACGCUGACCAAAGGAGGAAACCUUUGGAAUUCCAGGUAGGAGACCACGUUUUAUUAAAGGUCUCACCGUGGAAGGGUUUAAUACGCUUUGGAAAGCGUGGGAAACUAAAUCCAAGAUACAUAGGGCCUUUCGAGAUUCUUGCUAGAAUCGGCCCUGUGGCUUACAAACUUAACCUACCGCGUGAACUUAGUAACAUACAUCCAACCUUCCAUGUCUCGAACUUGAAAAAGUGUCUGUCCGAUGAGACUCUUGUUAUUCCACUCGACGAGAUCGAGAUCAACGAGAGCCUCAACUUUGUGGAAGAACCAGUAGAAAUCAUGGACCGAGAGGUCAAACAAACAAAACAAAGUCGCAUACCCAUCGUGAAGGUUCGCUGGAACGCCAAGCGGGGACCUGAAUUCACAUGGGAACGCGAAGAUCAGAUGAAACAAAAGUACCCUCAUCUUUUUCUCUGAUCCACUAGUAUCUUUACUAUUUUAAAUUUCGGGACGAAAUUCCCUCUAACGGGGGGAUGAUGUGACAACCCGAUAUUUCAACUCUAUGUAAUGACCUAAAAAGUCAAUUAUUGUAACCACUUUUGUGAUAAUGAAAUUAACUUCGAAAAUAAAAUGUCCAAAAAGUUUCUAUUUAAUUACCUACUAUGAUAGAUGUCAUUAAACCGUGAUCGUACGUAAAAAGAACGCCCAAAUCCGGCUUCGUAUAUUGAAGUUAAGAUUUUUCCAAGUUCGGCUUAGCAACAGACAACUAAAAACUCGAAUCGGAGAUCGAGCGACUUUUGGCCGGAAUGACCUAAACGAGAAUCGAAGGUCUCAACAAUGGUAAUUCAGCGGUAAAAAGUCUGGCAAAAACCGACAUCAGAUAAAGAAGUUAUGAAUUUUUAAAGAAAUUCCUUAAACACGACCCUUUUAAAAAUAAAUAAUAAAAAUAAUUUCAAAAUUUGCCGACGGAGUCUAAACGAAAGUUGUAGAGCGUAGUCUCACCUACGCGUGGAUAUAAAGACCAUCGAAAACGGAAUUCGUAUGAAGAAGAUAUGAAUUUUAGAAGUUUAUUAAUUAAAUUAAAUAUAAAUUUAAUUAUAAAUGUUUGGUAUUAUACGAAGGGAGUCAGCAGAUAGGGCCGAAGUACGCCAUGCGUACCCUCGUACGCCCCGCGUACUCAAGGCCUAGGCCUCGGAUCGUCCAUGUCCCGGUCUAUGUGAAGCUAGCAAGUCCCAUCCAAAGUUUCGAGGAAGUCGAGGACUCGGUCAUGCAUGACGUACGCGUACGCCCAGCGUACCCUCGUACGCCCUGCGUACCGAGGCGGUUCCCAGCCCUUAUAAAAGGGAUGCGAGGGUUCCGAAGAAAGGGCUCCAAUUCUCUCAUUUCCUUUGCGUUCUUGCCUCGUUUUCCGUGCCCGUUCUAACCCGAAGCCCUGGUCAUUUUGCUCAAGUCCCGAAGAUCAUUUCUACUCCCGAGAUUCCUUAGAAUCCCAAGAAAAAUCCGUUUCCCAAGACGAAACUCUGCCCAGUUUCCACCUCGCUUUCUUCAAACUUUCAAGUUAGUUCAUACCCCUUAAUUAACCUUUUUAAAUGUUCUAUAAAUGCUUUUAUAUGCUUUCAAGGGGGAGAAUACAAGAAAAACACACGAGUAUCAUCGUGUGUUAUAUAAAGAAUUUUUAUAUGCUUUUAUAUAACCAAAUCAUAUGUGAUUUAUAAACUUUAUAGGGAACUUUCCUAUAUAAAAUAGUUACAAUAGCAUCCUAUAUUUUGAAAUAUAAAUUGUUGUAAUGCAUGUAUAAACUAAACAUUUUCCAAGAUUGCAUGUAUAAACUAAAGAUUUUCCAAGAUUACAUGUAUAAACUAAAUAUUUUCCAAGAUUAUAUGUAUAAACUAAACCUUUUCUUAGAUUAUAUGUAUACUUGUCUAUCUUAGGCUCUACAAAAAUCUAUACUUUCAUAACAAGUGAUUCCUUUUCUAGGUAUUUCUAAACAAACGAGACACACUUUUAGAAAACUAUAAUAGGUAAAGUUUUAUGAGAACAUUGCUAACUUUUACAUAUUAGAAACAUGAUUUUCAAGAAGUCAUUUUCAUAUACAAGAACAAACGAACAUUUUAACACGUAAAUUUGUUUUCAUACCAUGGUUUGUGAGACAUUAACAUCACGUACGUUCGAGUACACAUUUCAAGUCCUGUAUUAUAUACCAGAAUCCCUUGGAGGGGGAGCAUGGUGUUUGUGUAUAGAUCUAUACGGGCUUGACAACCCGCGCCCUGACUGUUAGCUGCAGUCCACCGUUUGGGGUGACAAACGUCAUAACAUUCCAACGCCUGAAGAACGUUGUGUAUAGGCAUUCCGAGUCAAUAGUAUGGUUAUAAAACUCACAUGGGGUAUUAAAAAUACAUUGAUUUACGAGGUUUUCAAACAUAUUGGUUAUUUUACACUUACAUACAUUUUUAGAAACAAACAUUGGUCUUGAGAGAAGGCUACUUUUAUACUAGUAGAAAAUAUAGGAUUUUCUAGAAACAAACAAACAAGGACAAAACAUUUCAUUUCAUACAAACAUUGCCAUUUAAUACUUAUGAAACUCACCAGCUUAAAUGUUGAUCUACUCUUUCAAAAUUACUUGUAUGUCCCAGGGAUUCAGUAAUUUCAGGUACUAAUAUGCUUUUGAAGAAGAAAUGCUGUGGCGCCAGUUUAAUCUCAUAUUUANUAAUUGGUUUUGAACAUGUAACUUUUGACAAAUGUAAACUUUCAAUUAUAUAUAUGAUGGUUGUAUUGCUUUCUUUACUAUGUAUUCAUUUGUUACGUUACCACAUGAAGUCAUCCGCCCCCGAACGUUUCCGCCGUUCAGGUUUGGGGGUGUGACAGAUUGGUAUCAGAGCAAUGUUUAUAGUGAACUAAGUAUAUCGAACCACAUAAGAUAUACAAACUAUAAACGCUUAAGGGACUAAUACUCUCUGACAAAACAUUUUUUCUUUUGUUUUUACGCUUAAGCAGCGUUACGUUUAACUUAAAUUGUUAUUUCAUUUCAGUACAAAUACAUGCAUACAACAAAAUUAUUUUCAUGAUUUUAACUAUACAACAAGUAUUUAGACAAGUUGACACUACGAUUAAAACUCGAUAUAUAUAUAUUCAGAUUUGGGACGAAUAUAGCGUGAUCAACUAUAUUUGUCUGAGAUCGGACCAAUAUAUAUCGAGGAUUGCUCGUAGUAAGCAACAAGUCAAAACUUACCAAACCGUCACAAGAAUCAAACACAAGAAUUUAAAUACUAUAGGAGUAUUUGCUACAUAAACUAGUUGAACUUACAUGUUUUACAUGUUUUAACGUUAUUCAAUUCUUAUAACCCUACUUCUCGUACAGUCAAAUGGCUGGAUUUCACCACCCUGGCGACCCCUACUUUCCCAACCAAGGCAAAGGAGGAUGGGCCGAAGAUGAUCCCGAAGAGGACGAGGAACCCAUAGAAGUGGAUGAUGACUCCGGUACCGACUCAGAGCCGGAAGUGAUCAACCCACCACCCAUACAACCUCCCUUCUUCGUAAUGAACUUUCAAGUACCGACUCCCGUCUGGGGAAGUCACCUCCACCAUUGGAGCCAACUACAACACCUACGCCCUCCCUACGGAAUGUGUCGGGACUUCUACGAUGUCCGAGGUGGAGGUUCGGCUGAUCGGGCACUCCCAGUAAUUGUGGGUAAGCUAGCCAAUCAGUCCUAUCAAUCCGGAGUUCAAGCUAGCCAGCUUCGGGAUGUCAACGUGGAGGUACAGGUUCACACUUCCGACAUCCGUAGGCUGGACAGAAUGCAAGAUAAUGCUCAACUCCAAACCGAGGCAUUCCAAGCGCAAAUGAUUGCAGCCCUCGACGAAUUAAGGGAACAACAAGACGCUUUUGAUCGGUGUUUAAUGGAGUCAAAGCAAUCGGAUGCGGAGUCAAGCUCCAAGCACAACGUACGUCGCAAGUAGUGCUUGCAAGAAUCUCAAAUUUUGUUAUAAGUUAGGACCUCGGCCAAAAUUCUUUCAAUUUCUCAAACAUUGUAACCGGAGACCCUUACAGGGGUCAAUUUUCAUGAUCGUUGUAUCAACUAUUAUAUUAAUAUAAGUGGCACUAAUAUUACUACGUUGAGUAUUUCAUUAAAUCCUUGGAAAGUCAUCGAGAAAACCAAAUGCUUGAUUCAUGUUUUCAGUCUUACAAAUAACUUUCAUUCUACUAUUUUAAGACUCAUACUAUCAUUUGUUGUCGAACUAUAGCAAUUUGGUUCAUAAGACACAUUCAGUUUCUAUACAAAGUAAUUCUUAUUGUUAUCUUUUCAACCUAAAGUUGAAUGAUGCCUCCGCGUAGGAAUCCAAGGUGAAACAACGGUGGGGAAGCACCUAUACCUCCACCACCUCUUCCACCUCAAUUUGAUGCUGUCAUGUUCCAAGCAGCAGUCACCGCAGCGGUAGCAUCUGCCAUGUCACAGAUCAAUAACUCGAGUACUACUGGCUCGGGAACUGGCACACACCUAUCCAACCAUGGUGAGAGUCAUGGGCAACCCCGAGAAUGCACCUAUAAGGAUUUUACUAAUGCCAAACCCCGGAUGUUUUAUGGAACUGGUGGGGUGAUAGCCCUGAGGCAGUGGAUUAGGACGGAGUUAGUCUUUGAAAUAUGCUCCUGUCCUGACCACAACAAAGUCAAGUUUGCAACUUUCACCCUUAUUGAUAGAGCUUUAACUUGGUGGAAUGGCCACGUGAAGGUACUUACCCUGAUAGUGGCAAACUCCAUAAGCUGGGAGAGCUUAAAGGUCAUGCUGAUGAGAGAAUACUUUCCACGAGGAGAGAUUCAAAAACUCGAGCACGAGCUCUGGACUCUUGGAAUGGUUGGUAACGACAUCGCAACUUAUACCAACAGGUUCUGCGAUCUGGCAACCCUUUGCCCAGAUAUGACCAACGGGUUCUGCGAUCUGGCAAUCCUUUCCAACUGUCCUUGAGCAACCAAUCUUUGGUAAACCUUAGAUUGUCCUUGACAAUUGAUUAAUCAUUUUAGUCAUAUCCAGUUCUAGACCUUUUCCCUUCUUAAUGCCCAGGCAUUUGGAAAAUCUUAGAAAGGAUAAAUAUAGCACAUAGAUUCGAUCCUAUAUCCGAAGCAUAUUGGACACGAUUCAUGAUGUCUCACAUAAAGACUAAACCAUUCUUUUGCUAUAAUAUUUCCAUUUCAUACAUUGGAUCCUUUUCCAAUGUCUCAGAAUUACACUUAAGCUUGUAUGUAUAACCAUAUUACUAAGCUAUAGUAAAUUAUGACGAAUAGUCUUAUCUAUCUUUUGUGGUGGACUUAAUCAGUGCACAAGAAUGUGUACUCGAUCCCUUAGUCUGUUACUUGACUCAGACGUCCAUGUGAACAAGUAGUUAGUCUUAAUUUUUCCAAUGCUUAAAAGUUCUCAUUCAUCAUGCUAUACAACUUGCAUGAUUCCAAAUUUCUAUCCAACUGAAACUUGGGUGACGAGAAUCUUUGCGUAUUCGGUAAAUUUAGACACUACCACAAAUGAAAGAAUCAAAUUCAUAUUUCCACUCUUGCUCUUAAUGGAAUCUUAUAAGCAACAAAAAUUUCCACAGAUGCCAUUGUAAGGAUAUUUUAAAAUAAAUAAAAUCAACAUUUCCUUUUAUUUUAAAAACCUUGCGGAAAAACUAAUCCUUACAAUGAAAAUAUAUCUGAAAACUUGUUAUCUAUUCCUAAGCAAUUUAUCAUCACUCCUAAGAAGUAGCUCAAGAAUCCAAUCUUCAAACUAUGCGAUAGAAAUCCAUCUACGCGAUCAGAUUCAGCAUAUUCUUUCUUUAAGUUACAUCAGUUCUCUUUGAUUCUUAAAACAUCAACAUGUGACCCAGUCACAUCAUGUAUCAAGAAUCUCAGAAUAGAAAUUAGCAGAGUUAGAUAAUGGACUUUACCUGAAGUAGAGUCAAACUUAUUGACUUUAACAUCCUUAGGUAAAAUUGGCAGCUUCGCAAUCAAUGCCCCUUCCUUUGGCAAUGUAACAUAUGGACGCUUUGGUAAUGGUACUAUCUCAGACUUAGUUUUUCUCUUUACCAUUUGAUAAAUCGGGUUAACUAUGGUCGAUCCCUUUCCAUUGGGAAGAGAGAGCUUUACUGGAUAUCCAAUGUUAUAAUUGUCAAUGUCCAUAAAGUAUUAGGAAGUUGAUCUUAGCAAAUGGAUAAGAUCAUUAAGGGUCUUGUCUUAGUCUGUUUCAUAGGAGUCCCGAAGGAACUCACUAUGUGACUUAUAAAGUGAUUGAGCCACCAACUUUCUCAAGACUUUGACACCUAACUCUCCCGGAUUGUCAAUAUGUGACUACAUCUCCAAGAUGUGAUCACACAUAGACCUUUACUUGCAAAUAGGGCUUGAGUGACCUUAAACUUUUCAAGAACUUGUGGAUUAGGGAGAAUAAUUCGAGGAGGUGAAAGAAGUAUGAUUUCCAUGGGACAUCAUCUUCAUUUAGGAAAGCUUGUGUCAAGAGAUUUGGGAAGAUCAUAGAUGUCUAAACCAGACAUAUUUUGGGAGAUAUUCAAGAUAGUUGAUCUAAAGUCCUUAAUAUGACACCCAAUAUGAAAUAUUAAGGCUAGGACCCUACAAACUAUUUUAUAACUUAGAAGAGGGAUAUCGUAAUCCAAUCUAUAAAAUACUUGAAGGUAGGUGAAUGACGAUCCACCAAUGGCAUGUUUGAAACUCGAGUGUGCCCUUCAGGUUUUGUGACUGGGAUGCCGAGGAUCACAAAACAAGGUGUGAAGUAACCAUGCAAAUUACUUGGUACCCUUAAGUGUUUACCCCUCAAUCGAUGUGCCGGUUAACCACACACGCUCCAUCGAUACUAUGAUAAACAUUAAGUUACCCUUUGCCUACCUUUUCAAAUACGAUUUAGUGUGCCGGUUAGCCACACACGCUCCACUAACCGACUUAAACAAAGUACAAAGUGUAAUUUCAUGGAUUAGUACGUUAUUCACAUUUUCCUAAGUCACUAAGAUUGGGUAUUAUUAAGAGUUUAAUUACUUCGUAUUUAUCAUUAAUACUUUUAAUGAAGGGAGAAUUCUAGUCCUUAUCCUACCCGUUUGGCUAACGACCAUCAACCGGUCAAGGAAGCGGUGGGUUAGAAUGGACAACCAUUAAACUGCCAUCUUAUAGGCAGUAACCUUAUACCCCCUUAUAGAUCGGCUUCGUGAAUGAGGCCUACUAACAGUAAGACUGACUUUACUCUUAUACGUAUAUAUACUAUCAACUUAUAAUAUUAUAAAGUAUAAGGGUUGAAUUUUAACUUUUAAACUUCGAAGGGCUAACAUGGAAUUAAAGUAUUCAUAAGAGAAACUUUUCAAAUUCCAAAACUUGAGGGUAAAUUUUGAAACUAUUCAAAACUAAUUAAUUCCAUAACUUAUGUGUUUAAAGUAGUUUUAAUCCACAAACUCUUCAAGUNCCAUAACUUGAGGGCAAGUUAUGGAAGACUUUAAAUUAUUAAAGAAUGUAGCUUUUUCUUUAUUUUGUAACUUAUGGAAUUAAUUAAGGUUACAUAUUUUAUUACUUAAUGAAGUGACUCUUGAACCUCCAUAACUUGAGGACAAGACUCUUCAUCUUUUGUAACCAUUGACAACUCUUAUGAGUUUUAUGAAACUUAAAUGUGACUUUUCAUAUAACUUGAGGACAAGUUACAAAAACACAUUUUACAAUCAACUCUUAGAUUAAUUUGGAUUGAAAACAACAAUUUCUCAUAGCUUCUUAUUAAUCUAAGCAACUCAUAAGAACAAGAUAAUUCAAAUCAAACUUUUCCAUGUAGUUAGCCUAAUCACUAAAGUAAUUCAAAUCAUGAAUCUAUUGACAAUUAUCUUUGAAAUUGGAUUAGCAUGAACAUUACCACAUCAAAGACCAGUUUGUAAGUUCAAAAACAGCUUAUGGUAAUGUUCCUAGUCCAAUUCCAGCCAAAAACCACGAAGAUAUGUUGUCUGGAGGCCAAACUCGUCGAGUGCUUCAUGGAACUCGUCGAUUUCAUGCUUUAAUACAUGAACUCGUCGAGUUUUCUACCAAAACUCAUCGAGUUUUCUACCAGAACUCGUCGAGUUUUAGGCUCUGACAGUUUCUUGGCUACGAAAAAUCUAUUUGCAUCAAGUAUAAGAGAAAGCAAACCUAGGCUCUAUUACCACUGUUGGGUUUUGAGCAUUCUAACACUCCUAAGUGUACAUGCAACCCUAAAUACCUUGGAUCUAUGUUUUCUCUAUUAUACAUGCAAAUAUGAACAUCCAAGGUAUUAUCCUAAUCUAGCAUACAAAACAAUGAAUAUAACAAGAUAGAAUACAUACCUCUUUGAUGUAGAACGUCUCCAUGAAGCUUGAGUGCCUAGUGCCUCAAGUGUGACACCUCAAAUGGUUCACACAAUCCCAAAUACACUUGGAAUAACUUGAGAGAAAUCCACAACUUAUGAAACCGGCUAGCCCUUCUUUUACACACACUAGUGGCCGAUUUUGGUGAAUAAUAUGAUGCUUAUAUAGUGUGUUACAAUUAGGGUUACACAAUGUAAACUAUAACUGUCAUGACCUUUCAUUUCUAUGACCCAUGGGUUAUGUAACCUCCAUGGAGCAUCCUAUGGGUUUAACCCAACUUGAUUAUCUAUGGAGCUUUGGCCCACUAUAUAAGUUAUGGAUGAUUUGCACAAUCAACCCAUAUAUUUAAUUAGUCUUCUUUUGAUCACAUAAUUAACUCUAAAUUAAUUCUUGAUCAAUACUAAUUAAAUAUUAUUAUUCUUAUUAUUAAUAUACUAGACCUUAUAAUAUAUUAAUAACCGUAAGUGUCUUAUUUCUCUCAUUUAGUAUAUCCAAGUGCAUGAUGCCAUGCAACCCAAAUGGACCAUGCCGGGUCUGGUCAAGUCUUACCAAUUAUAGUUAUGGACUUAGACAUUAAUCCAACAGGUAUGAUGACAAUAAGAGUAUGACGGAAGUCAAUCUACCAGCGAAGCAUAUCUGUAAAAAAUUUCUUGUCAGCUUCAUUGUUCUGCUUGCACCUGUGUACGAUAUCGAGAAUGUGCUCCAAACAUGUAGUGGAGAACAGUUGUUUGUCAUCAAGAGAUAAUAAGCAUUUUUGACCUUUGCCUCAUUAAAUGUGACUGUAUGGUACUUUGAGUCAAUCUUCCCCAUUAGCAUCUUGUUGACGUCACUUGCCUGUCUAAUAGGUUUGAUGAUUAGCUUCAUUCUCAAGGCAGUAGCGAUCUCUUGAUCCAUCUUUGCAACCUCGUGCAUGUAGCAUACCUACAUUCUCUUUGUAUGCUCGAUGAUUGGCUCUUACUGCUACGGAUCGGUAAGAAGUAUGUUUGUUUAGAAAAAUGCAAUCAUGUGGGUUCAGCUUCGGUAGAUCUGCAAGAGAGAUUAUAUGAACCGAGUUCUCGGAACCUUGGGUCACCCUGAACUUCCCUACAGGAGUUGGCUUCAUAACUUUAACAGUCGUAAUCUUUUGAGCGCUCCAUGUCAGGUAUUGAGGUUGAGCGAAGGCGAAAUAGUAUUCAACUAAAUCACGAUUAACCUGCGGGUCAGGAAAGGGGACAGAAGAGAUUGUUUCGAAACAGUGAAAAACAAAUGCCUUUUGGGGGAUAGGCAUGUUGAACUGUGUGUCUCUUGUAUGCUCACGGUCAAAUGAAAUGACCGGUUCAAGCCAGUGCAUGCUAGGAGACUAUAUCGCUUCCUUGAUUAAUUUCUCCAAUGUCCACAGUGGAAAGAGAGUUUUUCUACUCUUUAAAGUGUCGUGAGCUACUAUCUGUCUUCACUACCUCUCUUCUUCAUCCCUUGCUAUUUUCAGGUUUUCAUCAAGCACUCUGUUAUGAUUUCUUCUUUGCAGAGCUUCUUCUUUAGUCUCUUCUUCUUCAUCACUAUCAACAACAUGCCCUUUAACUUUGUCCUUCACAUCGUAACCCGAAGCUUCAUUACCCUUCAGUGGUUCAGCGGUGACUUUCGGUUUCAAUGGUUCUUCUGAUUUGGUUGCAGGUGGUUGCUUGGGAGGAUCUUGAGCAACUUCUCCCCCUUGUUACGGAGGAACCAUGGGCUCUGGAACACCCUCUAACCUACUCAACUGUUGGAUAUAGUGUCUAAGUCCAUAACUGUAUUUGGUAUGUACUUCAUCCGACCUGACAUGGUCCAUUUGGGUUGCAUGGCAUUACAAUACUUGGAUAGACUAAAUGAUAGAAUAUGGCACUUAUGAUUAUUAAUCUAUUAUAAGUUCUAAUAUAUUAAUAAUAGUGUUAUUUAAUUAAUAUUGAUCAAGUAUUAAUCUAGUAUUAAUUUGGUGAUCAAAGUGAGACUAAUUAAAUGUCUAAGUCCAUAACUGUAUUUGGUAUGUACUUCAUCCGACCCGACAUGGUCCAUUUGGGUUGCAUGGCAUUGCAAUACUUGGAUAGACUAAAUGAUAGAAUAUGGCACUUAUGAUUAUUAAUCUAUUAUAAGUUCUAAUAUAUUAAUAAUAGUGUUAUUUAAUUAAUAUUGAUCAAGUAUUAAUCUAGUAUUAAUUUGGUGAUCAAAGUGAGACUAAUUAAAUAGAUAGGGUUGAUUAUGACAAUCAUAAAUUCUUUUAUGGUGGAUUAAUGAUCCAUGGUUUGUGGGUUAUAGAUGUAACCAUUUGGAGCUCCAUGGAUAGUCCAUGGGAGUUACAAACCCAUGGGUCAUGAGAAAUGAAGAGUCAUGACAAUUAUGGGUCUUCUUAAUGAAACCCUAAUUGUGACACCACUAUAAAAGGAACCCUUUGGCUAGCAAAAUCGUGACCUAGUGUUACUAGAGAGGGCAUAACUGAUUUUGAGUGCUAGAAGUAUUCUCUCAAGUUAUUCCAGGUUUUGUUGUGUUGUGUGAAGCAUUUGAGGCACAACAUUUGGGGUGCUACGCUCAUAAAGUCUCAAAGGAAUACAAGCAACAACAAGGUAUGUAUUUCUACUAGUUCUUAUGUUUCUUAUAUUCCCCAUGCCAUGCUAGUUAGGAAAUAACCUUGAAAAAGAAAUUUGCAUGUAUAUAGAGAAAACAUAGAUUCAAGGUUAUUAGGGUUGCAUGUACACUUAGGAAGUGUUAGAAUGCUCAAAACCCAACAGUGGUAUCAGAGCCUAGGAUUGUUUUCUGUAUACUUGAUGCAAAACUGCUUGAAAAUCGAAAAUUCUGCAUUCUGACAACUGUACUCGCCAAGUCCAUGUGGAGGACUCGCCGAGUCCAUGAACAAAUUCAUCCCACUUGACGAGUAGGAUUAUGCACUCGGCGAGUAGGAUCGAGCUGGGCAGAUUUUUCGAGUUUUGUUGCUGGAAAUGUAUUACAAUCAUUAUCCCAAUCUGUUUUGGACUUGUAAAAUUUGUUUUUCAAAAUGAUAAUGAUUAUGUUAAUCCAUUUUACAUGACUUUUAACAAUUUCAAAGUAUUAUAUAUGUUCAUAUGAUUUCUUGAAAUUGCUUGACAUGAAUUUGUGUUCUUAUGAGUUUUUAGAAGAUCAUAGGAAUUAUGUGUAACCACCAUGUGUGUUUAAUUCAUGAUCUUAAUUGUAAUGAUGGUGUCCAUAACUUGUCCUCAAGUUAUGGAUAACCAAAAGUCACUUCUUUAAAUUGUGAUUAAAGAACUAAAGAGGUUUCAUAAAAUGAAGAGUCUUCAUUUUUAUGAACCAUUAAAACUCAUAAGUUACAAAUUGAAGAGACUUGGAAUAGUUUCAAUUCUUGCCCUCAAGUUUUGGAAUUUGAAAAGUCUUACACUCUAAUACUUUAAUUCCAAAUUAAACCUUAGAUUUUUAAAAAGUUUAAAAAUCAACACUUAUACUAUUAUUAUAAUUUUAUUAUAUAGAUAUGUAUAAGAAUAUGUCGUUCUUACCGUUAGUAGGCCUCAUUCACGAAGCCGGUCUAUAAGGGGGGUAUAAGGUUGUUGCCUAUAAAAUGGUGACUUAAUGGGUGUCCACUCUCACCCACCGCUUCCUUGAUCGGUGGAGGGUCGUUAGCCGAACGGGUAGGAUAUGACUUUAAAUUCUCAUUAAAAGUAUAAUGAAUUAUAAAGUAACUAUACAUUAUAAAUUCCCAAUCUUAGUUACUUUAGGAAAAUGUGAAUUUGGUGCUAGUCCGUAAAAUUACACUUUGUACCUUAUCAAGUCGUUAGUGGAGCGUGUAUGGUUAACCGACACACUAACAUGGACUAGUAAGAGUGGCAAAGGGUAACUUGACUUUAUUAUAGAUCGGUGGAGCAUGUGUGUUUAACCGGCAGAUCGAUUACGUAAUAUUGUUAAGGGUACCAAGUCAAUUUGUAUGGUUAUUCACACCUUGUUUGUGAUCCUCGGCAUCCCAGUCACAAACUUGAGAGGGCACAUUCGAGAUUCAAACAUGCCAUUGAAAAGUUCAAUGUAUCUCAAAAGAUCUAGGAGUUUCAAAACCAAUAAAACCUAAUAAUAAAAUAUUUCUUCUUAUGGUGGAAAUUGGUAAAUCGUCAUUUACCUACCUUCAAAUAUUUUAUAGUGUGGAUUACGGCAUCCCUCUUCCACCUAUAAAUAGUUUGUUGGAUCCUAGCCUUAAUAUUUCAUUUGGGUGACUUAUUAAGGACUCUUAAUCUAAUGAAACUUAUCUUCCUUUUAUUCCAGAUGUCUUCCAAUAACGCUGCUGGCUCAAACCCGACAGGCUCCUUGUCCCUAAUGAACUGGUGUGGUAAGGUCAUCUUUGAUGGAUCCAACUUUAAUGAGUGGAUCAGAAACAUCAGGAUGAUUACCCGCUAUGAGGACAAAGAAUAUGUCCUUGAUAGGGAGCUUAAGUUUGUUAAUGAAGCCACUGCUACUCCAGAAUAGCUUGCAGAGUUCAUUGCACAUGAUAGGGAUGCCACCAAGGUGUCUUGCAUCAUGAUGGCCACAAUGACUCCGGAACUCCAAAAAUCUUAUGAAGGUUUCUACCCCUAUGAGAUGCACCUAGAUCUGAUGGAAAGGUACCAUCAGAGCACGCGUCAAGAGAGGUAUGAAAUCAUUUCCUCCAUGAUAACCGCAAGGAUGAAGGAUGGUGAACCCAUCACCGGUCACUUGCAGAAGAUGCAGAGGUUCGUUGACCGGUUGCUAAAGCUCAAUGUUGACUUCCCUGAGGAAUUGGCGAUUGACAUCAUUCUCCAUUCCUUACCUCCAAGUUAUGAUCAGUUUCGUAUGACUUAUCAUAUGAACAAGGAGGAAGUCACACUUAGCAAACUUCAAGGACUCUUAAGGACAGCUGAAAAUGGCCUUAAGGGUAAAGCGGUUGCUACUUCUACUCCUUUAACAGCCCCUGUUCUUGCAAUUGGGCAAGGGAAGGGUAAGAAGAGGAAAAGCCCUUCAAAGGGUACCAAGGGUAAGACUCUUGAUGGUUCCUCUUCAAGUGGGACAAAGAAAGGUCCCAUUACUCCUUCUUCGAACCCAAAGGAAGCACAGUGCUUCUAUUGCCAAGAUAAGGGACACUUCAAGCGAAGCUGCGCCAAAUAUCUGCAAGAUGUAAAGGAUGGGAAGGUUAAACCCACCCAUGCAGGUAUUUACACAAUAUUGUCUAACAACUCAUCUAAUGCUAAUUCUUGGGUGCUUGAUACAGGGUGUGGUAUUCACAUUUGUACUGAUUUGCAGGCACUAAGAAGAAGUGAGCAAGUGGAGCACGGGAAGAUAAACUUAGUCAUGGGCAACAGGAAAGCAUCACCUGUUACCAAGAUAGGAGUUUAUUCUUUAUUGCUUAAUAAUGGGUUAAUGUUAGAUUUGAAUAAGUGUUGUUACUCGCCCGAAAUGGCGAGAAAUAUUAUUUCUUUUCAUGGCUUGUACAAACAAGGUUUUUCAUUUUCAUUUGAUAAUAAAAAUGGUGCUAUUAAUGUUUAUUACAAUGAUGUAUUUUACUUUAAAGCAAUACCUUGUGAUGGUGUAUAUGAAGCUGUGAAUGUUGUAGACAAUUUAGGAAAUAAUGUGUUGUAUAUUGAUUCUUCUGAUAGCUUGGACAAAGCAUCCUUGUGGCAUUGUUGUCUUGGACAUGUUAACAAGAAGCGCAUAGGCCAACUCCAAAAGGCUGGAGUCUUGGAAUCAUUUGACCUCAAGUCUUAUGAUAGUUGUGUGUCUUGUUUACUUGAAAAAAUGACAAAGUCACCCUUCACAGGUACUUGUGAUAGGGGUGAAGGUUUGUUGGACCUUGUACACACGGAUGUUUGUUGGACUUUUUCUGAUGAUUACAGUAGAUAUGGAUAUAUUUACUUAAUCAAGCAUAAGUCAAAAACCUUUGAAAAGUUCAAAGAGUCUAAGCAGGAAGUUGAGAAUCAAUUGGGCAGGAACAUCAAGAUGCUCCGAUCCGAUCGGGGAGGAGAGUAUCUUAGCAUUGAGUUCCUUGACUAUCUUAAGGAAUGUGGGAUUGUCUCACAAUUGACACCUCCCAGGACACCACAGUUGAAUGGUGUAGCUGAGAGGCGCAAUCGAACCUUGUUGGAUAUGGUUCGUUCCAUGAUGAGUCGAGCUUCGUUACCAAUCUCUUUCUGGGGGUAUGCCUUAGAGACUGCCGCCCAUAUCCUUAAUCUAGUCCCUACUAAAAAGGUUGCCAAAACACCUCACGAGAUGUGGACUGGGAAAGUGCCCAAUUUGGACCACAUCAAGAUUUGGGGUUGUGAAGCUUUUGUGAGGCGUGAGACUCAUGACAAGCUUGAGCCCCGAAGCGAGAGGUGUAUUUUCAUCGGCUACCCACAAAGAUCCUUUGGUUACCUCUUCUACAGACCCAGUGAUAAUAUGGUCUUUGUAGCAAGAAGAGGAGUCUUUCAUGAGAGAGAAUUCAUAAGCCAAGGGGACAGUGGGAGGCAAAUUGACCUUGAAGAGUUUCAAGAGUCAAGUGGUGAGGGAACCUCAAAUGCUGUCAACCAACCUGUGGAGGAAACUCUUGUUAAGCCGAUAGAUGAGUCUGUACCUCCAAGACGUUCCACUAGGGUGAGGAACACACCUAAAUUUUUUAUGGUUAUCACAUCACCACCGAAGGUGAUACAUUUAUCAGUGAUAGUACACUGAUAGAUUUGGAUGAACCUAAUAAUUAUAAGGAAGCCAUGGCAGGCCCUGAGUCUGCGAAAUGGAAGGAGGCGAUGGACAGCGAGAUUCAGUCCAUGUAUGACAAUACAGUUUCGAACUUAGUUGACAAUGUACCAGGUUGUAAGACAGUUGGGUGCAAAUGGAUCUUCAAGAAGUAGACCAACAUGGAUGGGGAAGUAGACCGACAUGGAUGGGAAAGUACACACUUAUAAAGCACGACUGGUUGCGAAGGGCUUUACUCAAACUCCGGGAGUUGACUAUGAUGAGACCUUCUCACCAGUAGCUAAGAUUAAGUCUAUUAGAGUGUUGUUAGCCAUAGCUGCAUUUCACGACUAUGAAAUAUGGCAAAUGGAUGUCAAAGCCGCUUUCCUUAAUGGGAAGUUGCUUGAGGAUGUUUACAUGGCUCAGGCAGAGGGUUUUGUCGAUCCAAAAUACUCUAAUAGAGUGUGUAAGCUUGAAAAAAAUCCAUUUGUGGAUUGAAACAAGCAUCUCGCAGGUGGAAUCUUUGCUUUGAUGAGAAAGUCAAAGAGUUUGGCUUUACUAGGAGUGAAGAUGAGUCUUGUGUAUAUGUUAGGGCUAGUGGGAGCAUAGUUAGCUUCUUGGUGUUGUAUGUGGAUGACAUACUUCUCAUAGGAAACGACAUCCCAACUUUGCAGGAGGUUAAGGCCUGGCUUGGGAAGUGUUUUGCUAUGAAGGACCUUGGGGAAGCUGCCUAUAUCCUAGGGAUAAGGAUAUUGAGAGAUAGGAGUAAGAGACUAAUUGGACUUAGUCAAAGUACUUAUGUGGAUAAGAUACUGAAGAGGUUCAGUAUGCAAGAUUCCAAGAAAGGAGAAUUACCAAUCCAGAGUAAUGCCAAGCUAAGUAAGACUCAGAGUCCGAGUACAGAGGCUGAGAUAGCUGAAAUGAGUCAGAUACCAUAUGCUUCCGCUGUGGGCUUGAUCAUGUAUGCUAUGACUUGUACUCGCCCUGAUGUGGCCUUUGCUUUGAGCAUGGUCAAUAGAUAUCAAGGGAACCCUGGCAAGGCACAAUGGACAACGGUAAAGAACAUUCUCAAGUAUUUGCAGAGGACUAAGGAUUGGGUCCUUACCCUCGGAGGCAGUGAUGACUUGAGAGUGGAAGGAUAUAGUGAUGCUAGCUCUCAAACUGAUAGGGAUAAUUUCCGCUCUCAGUCAGCUUGGGUCUUUAUCCUAAAUGGAGGAGCAAUUACUUGGAGAAGUUCCAAGCAGGAGACAGUAGCUUAUUCGACUUGUGAAUCAGAGUACAUGGCAGCAAGCGAGGCAGCAAAAGAGGCGAUAUGGCUAAAGAACUUCAUCGAAGACCAUGGAGUUGUACCAGCUAUAAAUGAGCCAAUGGAAAUUUUCUGUGACAGUGAAAGUGCGGUUGCUUUGGCGAAAGAACCAAGAGAUCACAGGAGAUCUAGGCACAUUGACAGAAAAUACCAUUUCAAGAGACAUAGAAUAGAAGAAGGACUCCUCGUGGCAAAGAGGGUAUCAUCAGAAGAGAACCCGGCAGAUCCCCUCACCAAGGGACUGAGCAGGGUUAAGCAUUUACAACAUGCAAGGCGCAUUGGGCUGAAGGAUGAUAUUAGUUUCAAUAAUUAGAUUCCUGAAACUUGUAAAAUGUAAUUGACAUUUGAUGAUAAAUAAAAGUUGUUAUUUAUUUAUGAGUAACGUGUUACUAUCUUGUGUUGAUUGUUUACUAUGUUUCAAUUUUGCAUGUUUUUACUUCCAGAAUAAUCAUGUUAUUAUUCAAACUAUCCACAGUCGGUCAAACUUUGGAAGUAAGUAUUAAUUCAAGACUAUCAUGAAUUUGGCUUGUAUGAUUUGUCUAAAGUGCUUUAGACAUUGCAAUGGUUGCUACAACAUUCAUGAGUACUCAUAAGGGCAGAGUAUUGGAUUCAACCCACGCUCACUUGCAUCACUUCAUGGAAUUUAUCUCGAGUGAUCGUGAGACGGUAAUAUUAUAAAUCUUCAAACCUAGAGAUAUGAGUUGUUGAAUAUGACUUGGUUAUUCAUUCAUUGUACGAAAACGCAUUGGUAACUCGAUGUUAUAAAACGUGCCUUUGUGAGUAAUUCAAUAAAUAGUUAGUACAAGCAUNGAGACGGUAAUAUCAUAUAAAUCUUCAAACCUAGAGAUAUGAGUUGUUGACUAUGAGUUGGUUAUUCAUUGAUUGUACGAAAACGCAUUGGUAACUCGAUGUUAUAAAACGUGCCUUUGUGAGUAAUUCAACAAGUAGUUAGUACAAGCAUAUCAGUCGAAGUUUAUCUGUUCCUUCUAGAAAUAGAAGCGAUAUCUGGGCCCCUCGAUGAUUUGGUUUUGACCUAUGUACCGGGCCCGGUCAGAACCUAAUUGAUGUGUUCAAUUUAGUUCUUUGUCGAAACAAAUCGGAGAUCGAGAAACAAAUGUUGGACAAUAAGUAAGACCAUGUUCCAUGUGUUUGUCCGACUGAUAUCAUGAGAGCAGAGGAUUAUAUGAUCACUUAUCUUAAAUGGUGUAUCAUCAUCAUCUCAGUUCCUAGAGACUUUGAAAGAGCUACGAUUGCAAGUCGGAUUUUGAAGUCAUAUUUGCAAAUAUACUUAUUAGACUUAUCCAAGUGGAGACUGUUGGAUAUAGUGUCUAAGUCCAUAUCUUUAUUUGGUAUGUACUUGAUCCGACCCGGCAUGGCAUUACAGUACUUGGAUAGACUAAAUGAGAGAAUAUGGCACUUAUGAUUAUUAAUAUAUUAUAAGUUCUAAUAUAUUAAUAAUAGUGUUAUUUAAUUAGUAUUGAUCAAGUAUGAAUCUAGUAUUAAUUUGGUCAUCAAAGUGAGACUAAUUAAAUAGAUAGGGUUGAUUAUGACAAUCAUCAAUUCUUUUAUGGUGUUUUAAUGAUCCAUGGUUUAUGGGUUAUGGAUGUAACCAUUUGGAUCUCCAUGGAUAGUCCAUGGGAGUUACAAACCCAUGGGUCAUGAGAAAUGAAGAGUCAUGACAAUUAUUGGUCUUCUUAAUCAAACCCUAAUUGUGACACCACUAUAAAAGGAACCCUUUGGCUUGCAAAAUCGUGACCUACUGUUACUAGAAAGGCCAUAACCGAUUUUGAGUGCUAGAAGUAUUCUCUCAAGUUAUUCCAAGUUUUGUGGUGUUGUGUGAAGCAUUUGAGGCACAACAUUUGGAGUGCUAGGCUCACAAAGUCUCAAAGGAAUCCAAGCAACAACAAGGUAUGUAUUUCUACUAGUUCUUAUGUUUCAUAUAGUCCCAUGCCAUGCUAGUUAGGAAAUAACCUUGAAAAAGAAAUUUGCAUGUAUAUAGUGAAAACAUAGAUUCAAGGUUAUUAGGGUUGCAUGUACACUUAGGAAGUGUUAGAAUGAUCAAAACCCAUCAUCAACAUGUCAAGGGCAGGACGUAACUUUUCAGCCAAAUGCCGCCUGGCAGUGAGAGUUAGAACCGAAUUAUGACCAUCUAAGAUACUGGACAGAAGAGCAUGGACAUCGCUCACACAGCUAUUCAUGACUACACAUUCCGAUUUGAGAUUAUCAAUCUCCCUUCUCGCUUGAUUGAGCUUGACAGACUGGUUCUUGACCAAGGUAGUGUGACGAGCAAGCUCGUCCAUGAUCUUCUUUUCUGUAGCUAAAUCAGCUUGCAUCUUCUCAAGACGAGAGUUGAUUGAAGUUUGAAGUGUGGAGUGAUCGGUUUGAAGACUUGUGCGUACUAGGUCGAACUUGUAUUUCUUAGCCUGAAGAGACAUGGAAAGAGUUUCAAUUGUUGCAUUGACCUUGUUGGCGUUGGUCUCAACGGCUGCUUGAAGGGACUCCAAAAACACCGUGGCAUCAGAAAUCAAGGUGGUCACUUCAUCUGUUGCUUUCUUGCUAGAUAACGUAGAGGCAUCAACAGCUUUUGUCGCUUUCUGAAUCAAAGCUUCAUGCUCUUUGAUCAUAGUUUCUAGAAGAGCUUCAACAGCGGCCUCAUAAUAGACUGAAGAUGAUGAUGAGGAGGACGAGGCAAUGAGCUUUUCAAGCUUCUCAUUUAAAUCCUUUAGAUGUUGUUUGCUGACCGGGGCAUCAUCAUCUUCAUCGCUCUGAACACGAUAGGGACUGUAGUAAUAGGAUUCAAAAUCGACAUUAUCCCCACAUAGAAUAGUGUCUGAUUCUGAUGAUGGAGGAUUGAUAAAGGUUUCGAAGUGACAGGUGUUUCGGUUUUUGAGGUACGUGCCCCCGUAUCAGAUACAUUGACAUGAGCGGGAGGGUCGGUUCUUUUGGUUGUUGUUGAAGUAGCUUGUGAAAAUAUUAGUGGUGGUAAUGGAGAAGUGGAAAUUGGCUGGGAUGAAACAGGAGGUGGGCGUGGUGCUAUUGUAACCGGAACUAAAAUACGUGAUGGAGAAGUAGGAGGAGAUGGAACCGAAUCAUUAAAUGGUACCUCAUGUGAUGGUGUGUGUGGAGGCGAAGCUCCCCUUUCACCUUCAGAUUCAGCUCCCUCAUUUUCACUUGAUUCCUCCUGAACAUGAUCCGAAGGAACAUAGUCAGAGUCACUGUUGGAGGGGGUCCUCGUUUUCUUGGCCAUCUUCUUUACGUUUCGCCUCUUAGGUGCAGAAGAAGCAGCUCUUUCUGAUUUGCGCUUUUAGGCGUUGCUGCUUUUGAUGACUGGCCCUCCUUCUCUCCUUUCUUUGGAUCACUUCUCUUCCCCCGUUUCUCUAGCUUCUCAGCUUCAUCAAGCGACUUUUGCAUUUCAGGAGUUCGAAGCCUCGGGCCGAUAGGAGGAAGCUUCUUGUACUCAUUCAUGACAUUACUUUUGGCGGAUACACACCGUUGAUUCAGGUACCGAACCGACGAAUGAGAACUUUGUAGGGUCGGUGACAAUGAUCUUGGUUGUGUAGAAUGUUGCAAUCGACCACAUCAGAGCAUCAAUCAUAACUGGAAGGUUAAACUUCUCCAUUGCUCGUUGAGUAACAAUGGUCCAAAACCUGCCAUAAGAGAUUUCAAAAUGUCGAGAAGAUGAAUUGAGGCUUUGCACCAGUUGAGUAAAGAGAAUGGACCUGUAAUCCAAGUUAAUCCCAUGGUAUAGACGAUAGAGAAUGGUCAUGAACCCUUUGGUGGCCCCAUCUGACUUAGCAACACGCUCAGCAAAACCCUUGAAGAGAAGGGUAAUCUGAAAACCUUCAAAAUUCGAGUCGAUUCUAGAUUUGAUAAACUUAGUUGCACGUGUAGGCAUGACACAUACUAGACUUUGUAAGUAGAUGCUAAUUUAUAACCUACUAAAAACUAGGAAUCAAGUAGAAUCGAUGGAUAAUGUACUUAAAUUUCACAUUGUUAUGUGAAUUCUACAACUACAUAACUGUAGAUUCUAUUCAUAUUCGAGUCACUCUUUGACUGGAACACCUUUUCAUGAAUCAUAUACACACAUCAUUCACUUGACCUAGUAGUAGAAAUUAGGUCCGAGUCUUGCAGGAACUUAUGUCAAAGUUGAAAACUAGGGCUAGUAUACUUGGUUCUUCAAGUUCACUUGAAUCUCGAAACCACUACAUAUAAUGCCAAUAAAUCGAGAAAAUAAAUUACAAACAUUAUUUAUAGCUAUAAAAGAGUUAUAAUACUACAAAAUAAUUUUAAGUCUCAAGGAUUCAAUUUAUUUUGAUAUUCAAAGUUUAGCAAAAUCCGAAAAACCCUAAAAAACCUAAAUACCUAGAUUUAUAAACUUUAGCUUUAAAGUUUUAUAAAAAUAAGUAAGAAUCUCACAAUAAAAUUUUGAAAUAAUUAAAUUCAAGGAAAUAUAAUCAAGGAAAAUAUAAUUUAAAGUAUCAACAUAUAUCCUUAAUUAUUAGUUUAAAAAUCAAGGGUUAUAUGAACUAAAAACUAGGCAAAAUACAUUUUAUACAAAGUUUGAAUCAUUUUUAUAAAAAUAAAAGGAGAUUUUUAUGAAAGAAACAAGGGAGAGGGAGCCUCUCUCACUCAAAAUUUUGGCCUCCCCUCUCCCAAGACACUCUUCUUCCCAAAACACAUAAUCAUUUCUCUCUUCUCCACACUCUUCACCUCUCAUUUUCUUUCACACUCUUCAUCACCACCACUCCAUUUCGUAUCUUCUUCUCUCUCAACCUCACGAAAUUUCUCCAUAAACAAGUCCAAGAACACUCAAGAUACUCAAAUCUUCAUCAUCUAGUGGUUUUUAUUAACGUUUAACACGAUUUUUCUUCAUCUUCCUUCAAGUUUUACAUGUUUUCUUUCAUUUUCUCCAUCUUCAACUCCAUUCUGAUGAGAGAUCAUGAACACAUAAACAUACACACACACUCACAGUUUUUAUAAUGAUGGUGGUAGGAUUUCAUCCAAAAACAACAUGCAUGUUGUAAAUGGUGAAAUCCAAGGACUUAACCUAAGUCAAAAUCAUGAAAAUGCAUUUUUCUACAAGUUUUGGUGGAAAAUCACCACAUGCACUCUAAGUGUUCUGUCAAAAAUGAUUUUUGAACAUUUCAAACAGAUGAUUGGUCUUAAAAUCAACAUGCAUGUGAUGGUCUUUAAGCUUAGAGGCUUGAUCAUCAAAGUUUGGUGUUAAAAAACAUUUAAAUAGGUUCAUAAAGGAUUUAUUCCCAAAUAAAUAUGUAGAACUUUUUUCUAAUCAAAUCUGAUUUUUCUCAGAGUUCCAUCAACAAAAGGAGACGUUCUACACAUUUUCAGAAAAUAAUUCAUUGUUCUCAAAUUAUUAUAAUUAUGGCAAAAAAAAAUAGGGUAAUAAUUCAUUAAAAGGACUUUCUGAGGUCUAUAAACCCUAGGAAAAUUCUUGCAGGACCCCUAGUGUAAAUGAUGACAUUUCAGUGAGUUUCAUCGACUUUUGAUACUGUUUAGUGUAGUUUUGAGUUUUCUUUUUGUUUAAUUCAAAUAAAUCUUAAAACCACUUUAAGAAAUUUCAAAAGUCUAUCUAAUAAUUUUCAAAGAUCCAAUGCUGUGUGUAAGACUCAAAAAGAUAUUUUCAGAAUUUUUCAUAAUGAAUAGCUAUUUUUCCCCCAUUUUUGUAUUUAUAAUGGACUAAAAAUGGGAAAAAUAGUUCUACUCAUCUAAAAUUCAUGCAAAUUUACCAGAAGAUCCUAUAUUAUAUUAAGACUCUAACUAAAAACUUGUAUGAUUUUUCUAUUCAGUAUGCUAUUUUUCUUUUAAUUUCUAAGAUUAUAUACACUUAAAUCCACAAAAUCGGAUUACACUAUACAAAACUCAACAUUGGUAUUUUUUCUGGAUUAUGUGCACUGUAAAUGAAGUUUACAAAAAAUUUUAGUAAUUUAAUUUAACUGUGUGAUAAUUAUUCACCAAUUAAUGAUUAUUCAAGAGAAUAAAACAAAGAAAAAAUGCAACACUAUUUGAAAAAUAUAUUUUAUAUUUUUCACAGCUACUAUACGUAUCAUAACAGUGUUACAAAAAGUUUUGGAAAUUUUAGAAACUUUAUUCUUAUUAUUUCCUUUUUAUAGAAUAAAUGCACAAAAAAUCAUAAAAUCAGGUUAAACUAUUUAUAAAUCCAUUUUUAUAUUUUUCUCAGCUUAAUUAUGAGUAAUGGAAUUAAUAUAAGAAGUUUGGGGAAUUUUCUUAACUGAUUGCUAUUUUUCAUGAAUUUCUAUCUAUUUAGAGAAAUAAAUAUAAGAAAAAUGGUUAUACAUAUCUAUAAUCCUUGAAAAUAUAUCUGGAAGUCUUUUAGUGCAGCUAGAACCAAUAUCUGAUGUUUGGUAAGUUUUAUUAACUGUUUAUUAUUUUUCAUAAUUUUAUGGUUAUUAAAGAAAUUAAAAUGGUGAAAAGUAGCUAGACAUAUCAAAAAUGCAUGAAAAAUUAUCUUAACAUCUUUGACUUCAAUUAAAACUAAAAUGCAAAGUUUGGGAAAUUUUAGAACCAAAUUGAUUUAGUUUUUGAAUAUUUAAUCAUUGGAACACCUCUUAAAAUGUUAAAUAUUAACAUUUCUAUAAUGAGAAUUUUCCACUUAAAUUGUUUUAUAACAAUUGAUUCUUUGAAAUUUAACUUCCACAGAAAAAUAUUUUUAGCUUAUCAAUAUUAAAGUUUGACACAAUAUUGGCAUAAUUCUAUUGUAGUGGUAUGUACACCAGUGUUAGAUUUUGAUUAGAGACUCAUUAGUGUAUACCAUUAUUGUAGGAUUCGAUAGUGGUACAAGAGGAACAUAGAUCAAGACAUCAUUUGCAUCAUCUCAAUGCAAUGUGAGUAUUCAUGCAUUCCUCUAUUUUUGGUUUUUAUGUUUUGGGGUGGAAAAACAUGUCCAAAAAACUGUUUAUUUUUCGUUGUAUAUAAAUUGAUUUGUAUGAAACUUGAUUGCUAUAUUUUUCUAUGUAUGUCUAUGCAACAAGAAACAUGAGACUCACUAGUGUAUACCAUUAUUAUCGGAAUUGACAACUCUUCACUCGCCCAAUUGCUUGAAUGCAUGAUACCAUAUUAAUUUAUGUAACGAUAACCAUAGAUCUUGUUAGGGCAUCAGUCAUAGGCUUGGUUGUGAACUCAUUGUUUGCUCAUAUACAUACAAAAUAUUGUUAUUUAUUUUGGUAGUAAAUUUGUUUAUUAAUUAUGGCAACGAACUUUGUUUCUCAUUAUAGCAAUAAACGUGUUUCUCAUUAUAACAACAAACUUUUAUUACUAGAAACUUAUAUACAUGUUUUAGCAAUGAAAUUGUUUGCUCUUUGUAGCAACGAACUUGAUUGCUCAUUUUAGCAAUAUACUUUUAUUUAUGGAAACUUUUAUAAAAACUUUGAUUUCGAUUCAUGAAACAAAUAUAUUUUUUUAGCUAUGAGUACUCACCAACUAUUUUUAUAGUUGACAGUCUUUUUACAUGGUUUUUCAGGAAUCAUCGAGUAAGUGGCACUUUGGGACACAUCACUUUUAGCAGCAUUUACAUGUGUUGUAUUUCAGUUCACAUUGUAAUUCUUUUGAAAGUUCUUCAAACCUAUUGUAACUUUGUAAUGAUUUUUAAUACAAUGGUUGGGGUUAUCUUUGAACUUUUGCUAUGAAACCCUUUAGACUAUCACUCCUCGUGUUUCCUCUUUAGCGGGGUGUGACAGGUAAAUAGGGCAUUCCACCGAGGAGAAAGGUAGGACUUCUUAAACUUCGUCACUGUGGUGAGAAUCUCAGUGUACCCCAUAUCAUAGAACCUGGUGAAUAGCUGAGUGGUUGACAUGGAAUCGGGGUUUACCAGUGAAUCUUCGAAAGCAAGUCUUAGCAGCGAGCAAAAACGGACCUUGGAUACAGACGUCUUUUGAUCAAAAAUUUCAAUGAAAUUUCUUUCCUUGCCUUUUUUGUAUGAAGCAGUUGCGUAAACUUGAGACAACAAAGACAUUGGGACUGAUUCCACCUUGGUUAGAGCAAUCACAAGUGUUGAAUAUUUGAAACAUUUAACCACUUGAAGCAUGUAGGAAUCAUAGCGAAACGGAUUGAGAUCAACGAUCAUGUUUUGGUUAGGCUUGAUAGUGAGUAGAGAAGAUGAAGCGGUCUGUUCUUGACUUGAAGAUGAGUCUGCCAUUGUUGGAGCUUGGAGGAGAAGAUGAACAGCAGAGAAAUCGUCGGUGUAUGCUCUAAAUUCGGAAGUGGUAAAGAGAUAAAAGUAGUAUGAGAAACCCUUUUAUACGAUUACCAUGAGAGAGAAAAAUUUAGAGUGAGGAUGGCAUGAUCUUUAGAAUCAACGCCUAAAAAAGCGAGUUUUAUCAACUGUUUUCCCCAAAAGGUGUCAGGCGGCGUGAAAGUAGGGUAGUCGUUUCUAAUUCACAUGCCCGUUUGAAUACUUAUCCUUUGAUAGCCUUAUGAAUUGUGAACAUGUUCAAAUUCCCUUGGAAAUAAAGACUCAUCCAUUCGCGUCAUUUAAAUCAAGUUUGUUCGCUCCUAAACAUAGUAUACCACUAUAAUACAUGGAACCGAAAUUGUAAAUUCGAAAGAUUGCCAUUAGUAACACGAACAAGAUUUGUGGAAAACAUAAAGAUCUUCGUCCAAGAGUGUGCCACAGAAAAAGAAAUAAAAAAAAUUAUUUGUGGGAUAUUAGUGAUGUCAAUUAAGACACGAAACUGAGGAUCCCAGGCACGAAUCUCUUCCUUCAAAGUUAAGAGAAACUUAGAAGUGUCUGUGUGGUUCCCUGUUAAAAUACGAUCACAUGUUUGUUAAGAAACAUUGAGAAGCAUAUUUUUAAUUUAAGGAUUUAAGGGUGGCUUUCGCUUCAACCGAACUUCGGUGCUUGAUAUAGGACCGAAUGUGGGAUGAAGUACUUGUGAGACCAGUGUAGCCUAUUAAACAAGUAGGUUGGAUAAAUUAUUCAGUGACUUGAUGAUGAAUAAAAAAUCUCAAAAAUAAAAAUAAAACUGGACCUUGUUGGGAAGAAAUGUCUUGGAUUUAGACAAUUUCAUACAGAUCUCGCAAAAAGAUUUCUGAUAAUAACAACCAAGAGUGGUUAUUUAUAAGUUGGUGAAAACUAAAACAUUCAAAUGUUCAACGUCAAUUCAUUCAAGGUAGUGGAUUUCGGGUUUCACUUAGUACGUGGUGAAACGAAACUAAGAUCAUCAACCCAGAUGUUGUGUAACCGUAAACCUCAGUGCAAAAUGCUGAGAGUCUCAAGGGUUAUGUUCAUGAAGUGAAAUUUGAUGGAGAAUGAUGUGGAGGUGGUGAAAAGAACCGAAAGUACCUCUGCUAUAAAAGAGUGACCACGCAGAAAACUCUUAACUCAAGAUGAGAAGAGUAAGGUAGCUCAUGACUUGACUAAUUUUUCAUCCUUAUUGGGAAGAGACGAUUUGUAUAUAUCGAAUUAGUAAGGCUUCACUCAGAGUCUUGGAGGCUUCGGUCGAUGUGUAAUAGCAUGCUUCUAGGGACACUUAGCUAUUACAAAGAUAAAGAGUGUUUUACCUGCCCCAGCUGUAUCAUUUGAAUUCACCUGUGAUCUUGAAGUACAAUGUUUUUGGUAUUUUUGAUCUAUUUGUGAAAAAAAAAAAAAGAAAUAAAACUAAACACAAAAUGCAAGUAUUUUUGUUGAUUUUGAUUUUUCUAAAAAAGAAUAAAAACAGAAAAGAAAAAUAUUUUUGUGAUUUUUGAAAUUAAUUUAAGACUUGAAGAAAAUUAAGUGAAAAGAUAUACAUAAUUUACAAAGGAUAUGUGAGUACCAAACCAUCAGAAUAAAGUGAAACCGAUAACAAACCGUUCGCCUUAGAAUAAUUUUAAAAAACAAAAUAGACUUAGCGUUCGGAUCAUUUUGGUUCCGAGAAAUCCGGAGCCGAAAUAGACCAAGCGUUUGCUCUAUUUCAGUUGCUGAAAAUUAUAAGAACGCGAAGGUGAAGGUGACACUUAAUGAAAAGAUUGGGUUUUAGGAACUGACUCAACUUCCAUCAUUUUGAAGCCUUGUAGUAUGUUAUUAAAUGAAGCUUCUAGUAAGGCCUUGGUGAAGAUGUCAGCCAGUUGAUCAGUAGAUCGUACGAAGUGGAUUUAAAUGUUUCCCUCUUCUACGUGGUCCUUGAUAAAGCGGUAUCGUAGUGCUAUGUAUUUUGUCUUGGAAUGUUGCACUGGAUUGUGGCAAAUCCGGAUGGCACUUUCUGAAUGACAAAUAAGAGGAAUCUUCUUCAUGUUUAGACCGUAAUCUUGAAGUCGGCUUUGAACAUAAAUGACUUGUGAGGUGCAAGACGCAGUGACAGUAUACUCGGCUUAGGUUGUUUAAAGGGAAACACAUGUUUGUUUCUUGGACUGCCAGCUGACAAGUUUUCCAUCAAGGAAUUGACACCUGCUAGUUGUACUCUUUCGGUCCAUACUGCAUCCUACAAGAUCAGCAUCAAAGAAUGCCUGAACAAAGAAACCUGUUUUGGCAAGAUACCACAAACCGAGAGACGAGGUUCGCUUUAAAUAGCUGAAUAUAUUUUUCACUGCCACCAUAUGGGGUUCACGUGGAUUAGCUUGGAAUCUGGCACAAUAGCAAACACAAAACAAAAUUCCUGGCCUACUAGUUAUUAGAUACAUUAUAGACCCUAUCAUUUGUCGAUAGAGGGUCAUAUCAGCAGUCGGUUUCUCCAAAGAUAGUGCUAACUUUGUACCAAAUGUCAUUGCAAUCUUCACUUUAGAAUCUCCCAUCAUGCCAAACUUCACUAGUAAAGUCUUCGUGUAAGCCUAUUGAUUAAUAAAUAUGCCUUCGGGUCCCUAUCUAACAUUCAUUCCGAGGAAAAAGUUAAUUGGACCCAUUGAGCUCAUCUCAAAUUUAGUCUCCAUCAACUUCUUGAAUUCACUCGUUAAGCUAUGAUUUGUCGAACCGAAGAUGGUUUCAUCCACAUAGAUUUGGACGAUCAUUAGAUGGUCACCCUCUUUCGUGCGAAAGAAGGUUGGGUCAACCGAUCCUUUUUUGAAUUUUGACAUUUUUCGAAAGCGAGUUAAUGUUUCAUACCAGGCUCUCGGGGCUUGCUUAAGACCAUAUAAUGCGUUGUCCAGAAUGAAGAAAUGAUCAGGAUACGUCUCAUUCAUAAAUCCCGGUGGUUGCUCAACGUACAUAGUCUCUUCUAGUAAUCCAUUCAAAAAGGCACACUUGACGUCCAUUUGAAAUACUUCAAAGUUUUUGUGUGUAGCGUAUGCCAGAAAGAUCCUUACUAACUCUAGCCUUGCUACAGGAGUGAAGGUUUCUUCAUAAUCUAUUCCCUUUUCCUAAAAAUAUCCCUUUACCACAAGCCUCGCUUUACUGCGUAUUACAUUCCUUUCUUUGUCAAAUUUGUUCUGUGUCACACCCCGAAAACCGAAGGCGGAAACAUUUCCGGGGUUGACUCCACGUUGAGUAUCAAAUCCAAUGUACAUAGUAAGUAAAGUGAAACAAACAUUACAUUACAUAUUAAAAGUUUUACAAUUUGUUUCAAAAGACACAGUUUAUACAGUUGUCAUACAUAGUAUAGAUAUGAACAAAACGAAUGAGCCUUGCACGCACACCGUCCUGGAUCAAGUAAGUCUUCAGGUACCUGUGCUAUUGUUGACCUGAGAACACAAGCGGUUUGAAAAUCAGCAUAACGCUGGUGAGUUCAUAAGUAGUUUUGUUUUGUGAAAAUUUUCAUGUUUCAUUUCUGUUUCUGAAAAUGUAACACACACCAAGAAAAUCCCACAUUUUCUUAAAACUUGGUUGUUGUUUCACAAAAGUAAAGUAUAGUUUGGUUAUCCAAUUCGUUAAACUAUUUUGUUUACGUACCAGUGUAUUCCCAGGAAAGUCCCAUACUUUCCUGAAUGUUAGUUAUUGUAAAAGAUGUAAUUUUAUUCAGUUUGUUACACUUUUCUGGUUAUGUAUAUGUUACCCAGGAAUGCCCCAUGCUUUCCUGUAUGUUGGUUUUCGAUGUGAAAGAUGUAUUCUGUUAGACCUGGUUAUGUACAAGGUUUCCCAGGAAAGACCCAUACUUUCCUGAAUGUUGGUUAUCAAUAUAAAGGAUGUAUAAGUUAUUCAUUAUUACUAUAAGUAAAUCUCUAUUUUCCUAAUUGCGAGUUCCAUAACCAUACUAGAGACUGAAGUUGUGGCAAUAAGUAGUCCACAACCUUAUGAGUUUCGUCACCCUUGAACCAUUUCAGUUCGGCUGUAGCCAGCAGCCAGGUGCGGGGUAGUCAGCCCCGUAUAGAUCUAUACACUCAAGUCACGCUCUCUAAAUCCCAGAGAUUCUGGUUACAGGUGUACUCCUCCACUCGUGUAUCUCUGUGGAGUAUUCGCCGAGGACGUGUCUCAAAUCAUACAGGAAUAAAAAAUUUACUAGUAAUAAUAUGACAAUCCUCCAUUCGCGUAUCUAUGUGGAAUGUUACCGAGGACGAGACAGUGUACAAAUUACAUUGUUCAUGUGUUCUAAUGUCAUGCUUUUAACUGAUAAAAAUGUGGACAACCAUUUGUGAAAUAUAUAUAAAACAUAACUGUUUAUAAAACCCAUUUCACAAAUAAAUGUUUAUGUAAUCUGCAUGUUCUACUGGUUAUCAGUUGUAUAUAUCAGUAUUAAAAACAUAUGAAAUGUGAAAUAUACACACACAAAAAUAAGUUUUGAAUACAAGAAAACCCUUGUACUUUGCUUGUGUUUCCCCCCCCUGAAAACAGUGAAAAUCAGUGAAAAAGGGUAGGGGUAUGAACUCACCGGACUCGGAAAUGCGUCGGUUUUGGAUACUAGAUGUUGGUUCGGGGAUUGUUUACUCGCGAUGUCCCUAUGUAAAAUGUAAUAAUGUCCAUAUAAUACUAAUUAGAUUUACAAUCACUGAUUAUAUGGCACAUUACACUACAACGAGGUUAAACACCUCAAAACGAGCGUUUGGAGCGACCCGGGUGACAUCUACGGACAUGUAUUGGCACUAGGGACUUGGGACUUGAGUUUACUCCCCAAGAGUAAACAUUUAAAUGAGUUUACAACCACAAAACACACCCAUACUUGAUUUUACGGCCGUAAACUCAUGUUGGUGUGAUUUUGCGUGUUUAAUAGUUUGUUUGGACAUGGGGAUUGUUGGAAUGGAUUUCUAAAAUGCCUUGGAAUGGUUUGAAUGAACUUAUACCAUUUAAAAGGGAGUUUAAGGCUAUAAACUUGGAGUUUACGGCCGUAAACUCACUCAUAAUCAAGAAAAAUUUGUUUAAGGCACAACGAGCAAUCACAUAUGAUUCUAACUAAUUUUCUAAGGUUUGGUAUCAAUUUUAGGCUUCAUUUAGCACCUUUAUAUGAGUUUACGGCCCAGAUACAUACUCUCUGGCCGUAAACUCUAAUAUGGUUAAGAAAAAUUAGAUUUUGAUGCUUAAAACACUCAUAUGUAAUUCUAGGAAUUUUUCCAAGCCUUAAGGGUGAAUUAGGGGCAUUUUUGGCAUCAUUUUAUGAGUUUACGGCCAAAGGCUAUGUGCCUAGGCCGUAAACACCAAUAUGUAUGGCAUUUGAUGUGUUUAAGGUCUCCAAACCAUUUUUAGAUGAUUCUAGGAUUUACCACAAGGCUAUUGGUUAAGUUACAAGGCAUUUGGACAUGUUUAAAGGCACUUAAUCCCCAUUUUAGAGGAGUUUACGGCCCAAGAAGGAGCCUUGGCCGUAAACUCUCUUUUGUCCCAUAUAAUUCAUGUUUUAGAUGUCUCAAGUCCCAAUUAGUAAGCCUUAAGGUCGUAUCUAAGUCCCAUAUAUGAUUUGGAAGGGUUAAAUGGCUCAAAAACCCUCAUUUUUAGGUGUUUACGGCCCAAGCUUGAUCCUUGGCCUUAAACACAUGUUCUAGGUUCCCUCAAAGAUUUGAAUAUAAGUUAAUGACUUAAUAAAAUGGCCAAAAGCUUUGAAGCCUUAAACUUGAGAUUCUAGGGAAGUUCCCUCAAAGAUUUGAAGCCUUAAACUUGAGAUUUGGACCUUUGAUUCUAGUUUGAGGAGAGAGGUUGGAAGUGUUUAUGGAAGAAAUGGCCAAAAGGUUCAAAUCAAAGCUUUGAACCACUUAUAUAGUACGCGGGAAUUGGACACGACGGAAUUCUACCCGAUACCGGCAUUAAGUGGGGCUUUUGGUUAUACCCGACCAAAUUGUCGUAACCCGAUAUGGUCGAUUCUAGAAUUAUCCCGAUAACUAUAAUGGGGUGUUAGAAUGAUUCCUAAUAGCAUUGAGACACCCAUUAAGUCAUUUUAGAUCAAUAUAAGUUAAUGACUUAAUAAAAUGGCGAAAUCGGAAACGAAUUUGGAAACGACGUUUGGUUGAUCAAAAUUGAUUACAAGUUGCGUUACAAGAAGUGAUACGAAAUUUCGGGUUGUUACAUUAUCCCCCGUUAGAGGGAAUUUCGUCCCGAAAUUCAAGACAAGAUACAAGACAACUACAAAUCAUGGAUCUAGAAAGAGUUGUGGAUACUUCUGUUUCAUCGAGUCUUCUCGCUCCCAAGCGAAUUUCGGUCCUCUCUUGGCAUUCCAGCGAACCUUCACCAACGGGAUGCGACUUUGUUUUGUAUGUUUAAUUUCUCGAUCCAUGAUUUCAAUCGGUUCCUCCACGAAGUUCAGGUUUUCAUCGAUCUCGAUCUCGUCUAAUGGAAUCACUAGGGUUUCAUCAGAUAGGCACUUCUUGAGAUUUGAAACAUGGAAGACGGGAUGGAUGUUACUGAGCUCGUGAGGUAAACGAAGCUUAUAGGCUACCGGACCAAUCCUGGCGAGGAUCUCAUAAGGUCCAAUGUACCUCGGAUUAAGUUUCCCACGCUUACCAAAGCGUAUAGUGCCUUUCCAUGGUGAGACCUUCAACAAGACACGGUCUCCAACCUGGAAUUGCAGUGGUUUCCGACGGUUAUCAGCGUAACUCUUCUGGCGAUCACGUAAAUAUUUCAAUUGUUCUCGUAUUUGGAUGAUCUUCUCGGUGGUUUCACGGAUGAUUUCAGGACCAGUGAGAGCACUGUCAGGGACUUGAAUCUUGGUUAGUUGUGUAUCUCCCACCUCGGCCCAGCACAGAGGGGAUCUGCACUUACGACCGUAUAGGGCUUCGAACGGCGCAGCCCUAAUGCUGGUGUGAUAACUGUUGUUGUACGGGAAUUCGAUCAAAGGUAGAUGUGCGUCCCACGAUUUUCCAAAGUCAAUGACACAUGCCCUAAGCAUGUCUUCCAGAGUUUGGAUUGUUCUCUCACUCUGUCCAUCUGUCUGAGGAUGAUACGCCGUGCUCAUAUCUAGUUUGGUUCCAAGGGCUUUCUGGAGAGACUGCCAAAAUCGGGAGGUAAACCUGCUAACUCGAUCAGAGAUAAUGGACGCAAGUACACCAUGCAGUCGGACUACCUCCUAGAUAUAAAUCCGUGCGAGUAUUUCCAUUUUGUAUGAUUCUUUAAUUGGAAUGAAAUGGGCUGACUUUGUCAAAUGAUCGACAAUCACCCAAAUGGUAUCAUACCAACUCGAUCACUUGGGUAGUUUGGUGAUGAAAUCCAUGGUGAUCAUCUCCCAUUUCCAUUUAGGUAUCUCGGGUUGCUGAAGCAGACCCGAGGGUUUCUGGUGCUCAACAUUUACUUUGGCGCAAGUCAGACACUUGCCCACGAACGUAGCUAUCUCAACCUUCAUGCUUGGCCACCAGUAUUGUUUCUUGAGAUCUAAGUACAUCUUGUCAGAUCCCGGGUGAACAGAGUAUCUGGUUCUAUGCGCUUCCUCCAUAACUAUCUCUUUGAAUCCUCCGAACUUGGGAAUCCAGAUCCGAUCCAUGAAACAAUGGACUCCGUCACCUCUGAUCUCAAGUUUCUUUUCCAUUCCCCUUAAGGUUUCGGUCGACGCAUUCUCGGGUCUGAGUGCUUCUAAUUGAGCCUCUCGGAUUUGUAUGGGUAAGUUGGAAUGGAUGGUCAUCGUCUGGUUCUUCACCUUACGGCCUGCACUCUCCUUUUGGCUAAGGGCAUCUGCUACCACAUUGGCCUUGCCGGGAUGAUAGCGGAUCUCACACUCAUAAUCACUGAGUAGUUCUAUCCAUCGCCUUUGCCUCAUGUUCAAGUCUUUCUGAUCAAAGAUGUGUUGCAGGCUCUUGUGAUCAGUGAAGAUCAUGCACUUGGUUCCGUAGAGAUAAUGUCUCCAAAUCUUCACCGCAAAGACUACGGCUCCUAGCUCCAAGUCGUGUGUGGUAUAGUUGACCUCGUGUGCUUUCAACUGUCUAGAAGCAUAGGCAAUUACUUUUCCCCUUUGCAUAAGCACACAACCUAAGCCUUGAUUAGACGCAUCGCAUUAGACAACGAAAUCCUCUGUCCCUUCGGGAAGGGACAGAACAGGCGCGCUGCACAUGGCUCUUUUCAGCGUCUGCAAUGCGGUUUCUUGCUUAUCAUUCCAAUGAAAGGGUACACCUUUCUGUGUUAGAGUGGUGAGAGGUUUGGCGAUUUUGGAAAAGUUCUGGAUGAAUCUCUGAUAAUAGCCAGCGGGACCCAAGAAUUGUCGGAUUUCUGUGGGAGUCUUCAGUGCUGACCAAUUCUCUAUCGCCUUUAUCUUGGAAGGAUCUACAUGAAUACCCUCCUCGCUUACCACAUGACCGAGGAAAGUUACCUUCCGAAUCCAGAACUCGCAUUUGGAAAAUUUCGCGUACAACUUCUCGGAUCGCAGGGUCUCCAACACUAGCCUCAAGUGUUGUUUGUGGUCUUCUUCGCUUCGGGAAUAGACGAGUAUGUCAUCGAUGAACACAAUGACAAACUUAUCCAGAUAAGGACGACACACCCGGUUCAUCAGGUCCAUGAACACUGCCGGUGCGUUGGUUAGACCAAAGGGCAUCACUACGAACUCGUAGUGUCCAUAUCGAGUCCUGAAAGCUGUUUUGGACACAUCACUUUCAUGAACUCGUAGCUGAUGGUACCCUGAUCGAAGGUCUAUCUUGGAGAAGUAACUGGCUCCCUGGAGUUGAUCGAAGAGGUCAUCUAUUCGCGGAAGAGGAUAUCGGUUUUUGACAGUCAACUUGUUCAGCUCGCGAUAAUCGAUACACAUCCGAAAGGAUCCAUCUUUCUUCUUGACAAACAGAAUCGGAGCUCCCCAGGGCGAGGAACUCGGUCUUAUGAAUCCUUUACUGAGCAACUCAUUGAGUUGACUGGAUAACUCCUGCAUCUCUGCUGGAGCUAAGCGAUACGAAGACUUCGCUACGGGAGUAGCUCCAGGAAUUAGGUCAAUACAGAACUCGACCUGACGCUCGGGAGAGAUUCCUGGAAGCUCUUCGGGAAACACAUCAGGAAAGUUACAGACUUCGGGGAUGCUCGCAAGGUCUUUAACUUCCUGUUUCUCAUUAAUUAUAUGGGCCAAGAAUGCAAUACACUCCUUUUGCAGGAGUUUCUGAACUUUGAUGCAGGAAAUGAUACGAAGGUUGGAACCGAGUUUAUCGCCAUAGAUUACUAGAGUUUGACCCGAAGGAAGGUUGAUACGGAUGGCUUUUUCGAAACAAAGGAUAUCUGCAUGAUUGGGACUCAACCAAUCCAUCCCAAUGGUGACAUCAAAGCUCUUUAUGGAUACUGGCAUAAGAUCGAUAGGAAACGAAUGGUCGUUCAGGGUAAGGGUACAACCUACGAACACCUCACUAGCACUUUCUUUCUCUCCGUUUGCCAUCUCGAUGGUAAAUAUUUCGGUUAAUGGUUGGGAAUUAUGUUUUAGGUUAUGUUUGAAUGCAUGACUAAUAAAACUCCUCUCAGCACCCGAAUCUAAAAGAAUAUUAGCAUACGAGUUGUCGAGAAGGAACGUACCCGAGACAACAGUGGGAUCAGCGACUGCUUCCUCCCGUCCCAUGGCAAGGACCCUUCCGGUGUUGUCAGCUAUAGACUUUUUGGGGCGGUUUCUUUUAAAAUGCCCAGCCUCACCACAGUUAUAACAGGCUUGACCAACGCCUGCUCCCGAAGAUUGAUUGGCCGAUUGGGCCGGAGCUUUGCAGUAUCGGACGGUGUGCCCCUUUUUACCACAAUUGGUACAGGAAACUUCUGGACAGGGACCAGGGUUGUGGUGAUACUUGCACUUGUCACAGAGAGGGAGAUUACCAACAUACCGGCUGGUAGGAGUUGGAGCUGUGGAUCCCACAACAGAAGCAGCAGCAUUAACUGCUACCGUUUGUUGUCUUUUGGAGGAGCCUUGGGAAGAUUGACCCUUCUUCUUCUUCCAAAAUUUUCUUUUCUCACCAUUGCUUUUAGUCAACUCAGGGGUAGCGGUGGCUUCCGUGACAUCAUCACUAUGUAUUAUGGCUUNCCGUGACAUCAUCACUAUGUUCGAUUAUGGCUUGGGCUAAAGUCUUAGCACUAUCAUAUGUGUCCGGGCGAGCAGCUAAGACAUGACCUUUUGUCAGAUUGGUUAGCCCCAAAUAAACCUCUCGAUCUUUUUGCUUUCAGGAGUGACCAAACCAGGGCAGAGAAGGGCAAGAUCAUCGAAUCGAGAAGUGUAUGCAGCAAUGUCGGAACCUUUCAUCUUCAGGUUCCAGAGCUCGUGCUCUAGCUUCUGCAUUUCACCACGGGGACAGUAUUCGGCAAGAAGGAGUUCUUUCAUGGCGUUCCAGCCCAUGGCAUUGGCUAUGGGUAGGGUCAAGGAUUUGACUCGGCUAUUCCACCAAGUCAAGGCUUUAUUACUGAAGGUACAGGCUGCAAAUUUGACCUUAUCGGAUUCAGCACAGGCACAAAUUUCGAAAAUGUAUUCGAUUUUCUCGAACCAUCGGGAUAGAGAAAUGACACCUCCAGUGCCAUCAAAGGAUGUUGGUUUUGCAUUCAUGAAGUCCUUAUAGGAACUUCGAUGUCCCUGAUUGCCUUCUUGAUCUUGAGUACCACCUCCUGAACCACCGGAACCACCGGUGUUCAAUUGGGACAUGGCAAGUGCCACCGCGGCGGUAACAGCUGUCUGAAAUAACACGGGAUCAAUUUCAGGAGGAGGUGGUGGUGGAGGGUUGUUGGUCUUUGAGUUGGGUCUAUUUCUGGGAGGCAUCUUGAUCUAAUAAGAUCAAGAAAGAGAGGAUGAUAAAUCCUCUGAAUUGAAUCGAGAGUUAUGACAGAUAUUUAUUCCAAAUAAGCAAUAAAACAGGAAAGAGUUAUUGAAGCAGGUAAACUAUCGCUAACAGAAUGAUCGGGGGUCUAUACGUGUACGAGGAUUUCCACAAAGAUUUGAUUCGAGAAAUACUCCCAUAGUAUUUCAUGAUUCGCUACUACACAUGCUCGAUGUUUGUGGUGUUUAGGGUAAGUUUUAGGCAUGUCGCAUACCACAGUCACUCCCAAGCACAUGUUGGCCAUGUCUCGAAUGAAUAUAGUUGGCCAGGAUAUGUUGAUCAUAGACACGACUACAUAACUGCCCAGGUUUAACCACAGUACACAACACCCAUUUACUUAUGUUUUGUUCUACUUAUAGUUACGGAUUUCAACGGUUCGGUAUACUUUUAUACUUUUGAAAAUACUAUAGUUUGAAGAUACUUUUAUUUCAGAGCACUUAGGCCCCUUAGUGUUUAUAGUUUUAUACCAUGUAAGGUUUGGUAUACUUUAUUCACUAUAAACAAGGGCUCUGAUACCAAUCUGUCACACCCCGAAACCGAAGGCGGAAACAUUUCCGGGGUUGACUCCACGUUGAGUAUCAAAUCCAAUGUACAUAGUAAGUAAAGUGAAACAAACAUUACAUUACAUAUUAAAAGUUUUACAAUUUGUUUCAAAAGACACAGUUUAUAUAGUUGUGAUACAUAGUAUAGAUAUGAACAAAACGAACGAGCCUUGCACGCACACCGUCCUGGAUCAAGUAAGUCUUCGGGUACCUGUGCUAUUGUUGACAUGAGAACCCAAGCGGUUUAAAAAUCAGCAUAACGCUGGUGAGUUCAUAAGUAGUUUUGUUUUGUGAAAAUGUUCAUGUUUCCUUUCUAUUUCUGAAAAUGUAACACACACCAAGAAAAUCCCACAUUUUCUUAAAUGUUGGUUGUUGUUUCACAAAAGUAAAGUAUAGUUUGGUUAUCCAAUUCGUUAAACUAUUUUGUUUACGUACCAGUGUAUUCCCAGGAAAGUCCCAUACAUUCCUGAAUGUUAGUUAUUGUUAAAGAUGUAAUGUUAUUCAGUUUGUUACACUUUUCUGGUUAUGUAUAUGUUACCCAGGAAUGCCCCAUGCUUUCCUGUAUGUUGGUUUUCGAUGUGAAAGAUGUAUUCUGUUAGACCUGGUUAUGUACAAGGUUUCCCAGGAAAGAUCCAUACUUUCCUGAAUGUUGAUUAUCAAUAUAAAGGAUGUAUAAGUUAUUCAUUAUUACUAUAAGUAAAUCUCUGUUAUCCUAAUUGCGAGUUCCAUAACCAUACUAGAGACUGAACCUGUGGCAAUAAGUAGUCCACAACCUUAUGACUUUCGUCACCCUUGAACCAUUUCAGUUCGGCUGUAGCUAGCAGCCAGGUGUGGGGUAGUCAGCCCCAUAUAGAUCUAUACACUCAAGUCGCGCUCUCUAAAUCCUAGAGAUUCUGGUUACAAGUGUAGUCCUCCACUCGCGUAUCUCUGUGGAGUGUUCGCUGAGGACGUGUCUCCAAUCAUACAGGAAUAACAAAUUUACUAGUAAUAAUAUGACAAUCCUCCAUUCGCGUAUCUAUGCGGAAUGUCACCGAGGAUGAGACAGUGUACAAAUUACAUUGUUCAUGUGUUCUAAUGUCAUGCUUUUAACUGAUAAAAAUGUGGAAAACCGUUUGUGAAAUAUAUAAAUAAAACAUAACUGUUUAUAAAACCCAUUUCACAAAUAAAUGUUUAUGUAAUCUGCAUGUUCUACUGGUUAUCAUUUGUAUAUAUCAGUAUUAAAAACAUAUGAAAUGUGAAAUAUACACACACGAAAAUAAGUUUUGAAUACAAGAAAACCCUUGUACUUUGUUUGUGUUUCCCCCCUGAAAACAAUGAAAAUCAGUGAAAAAUGGUAGGGGUAUGAACUCACCGGACUCGGAAAUGCAUCGGUUUUGGAUACUAGACGUUGGUUCGGGGAUUGUUUACUCGCGAUGUCCCUAUGUAAAAUGUAAUAAUGUCCAUAUAAUACUAAUUAUAUUUACAAUCACUAAUUAUAUGGCACAUUACACUCCGACGAGGUUAAACACCUCAAAACGAGCGUUUGGAGCGACCCGGGUGACAUCUACGGACAUGUAUUGGCACUAGGGACUUGGUACUUGAGUUUACUCCCCAAGAGUAAACAUUUAAAUGAGUUUACAACCACAAAACACACCCAUACAUGAGUUUACGGCCGUAAACUCAUGUUGGUGUGAUUUUGAGUGUUUAUUGGUUUGUUUGGACAUGGGGAUUGUUGGAAUGGAUUUCUAAAAUGCCUUGGAAUGGUUUGAAUGAAAUUAUACCAUUUAAAAGGGAGUUUAAGGCUGUAAACUUGGAGUUUAUGGCCGUAAACUCACCCAUGGUCAAGAAAAAUUUGUUUAAGGCACAAGGAGCAAUCACAUGUGAUUCUAACUAAUUUUCUAAGGCUUGGUAUCAAUUUUAGGCUUCAUUUAACACCUUUAUAUGAGUUUACGGCCCAGAUACAUACUCUCUGGCCGUAAACUUUAAUAUGGUUUAGAAAAAUUAGAUUUUGAUGCUUAAAACACUCAUAUGUAAUUCUAGGAAUUUUUCCAAGCCUUAAUGGUGAAUUAGGGGCAUUUUUGGCAUCAUUUUAAGAGUUUACGGCCAAAGGCUAUGUGCCUAGACCGUAAACUCCAAUAUGUAUGGCAUUUGAUGUGUUUAAGGUCUCCAAACCAUUUUUUAGAUGAUUCUAGGAUUUACCACAAGGCUAUUGGUUAAGUUACAAGGCAUUUGGACAUGUUUAAAGGCACUUAAUCCCCAUUUUAGAGGAGUUUACGGCCCAAGAAGGAGCCUUGGCCGUAAACUCUCUUUUGUCCCAUAUAAUUCAUGUUUUAGAUGUUUCAAGUCCCAAUUAGUAAGCCUUAAGGUCGUAUCUAAGUCCCAUAUAUGAUUUGGAAGGGUUAAAUGGCUCAAAAACCCUCAUUUUUAGGUGUUUACGGCCCAAGCAUGAUCCUUGGCCGUAAACACAUGUUCUAGGUCCUAAAACAUAGAUUAAACUCUAAUUUGUAGGCUAAAGAGGUUGAAUAGCAUGCUAGGGAAGUUACCUCAAAGAUUUGAAGCCUUAAACUUGAGAUUUGGACCUUUGAUUCUAGUUUGAGGAGAGAGGUUGGAAGUGUUUGUGGAAGAAAUGGCCAAAAGCUUCAAAUGAAAGCUUUGAACCACUUAUAUAGUGCACGGGAAUUGGACACGACGGAAUUCUACCCGAUACCGGCGUUAAGUGGGGCUUUUGGUCAUGCCCGACCAAAUUGUCGUAACCCGAUAUGGUCGAUUCUAGAAUUAUCCCGAUAACUAUAAUGGGGUGUUAGAAUGAUUCCUAAUAGCAUUAAAACACCCAUUAAGUCAUUUUAGAUCAAUAUAAGUUAAUGACUUAAUAAAAUGGCGAAAUCGGAAACGAAUUUGGAAACAACGUUUGGUUGAUCAAAUUGGAUUACAAGUUGCGUUACAAGAAGUGAUACGAAAUUUCGGGUUGUUACAUUCUGGAAUACCCAUUUCAACCCAACAACGGAUACAUCCUUUGGUGUGGGAAUCAGUCUCCAGACCCGGUUUUGCUCAAACUCGUGGAGUUCGUAUUGCAUAGCCUGUACCCAAUCUGAGUGAUCAAGUGGAAUAGUAACUGUUUUCGGCUCUAUUUUGGAGACAAAUGAAUUAAAAAUGCAAAAUUCUACUUGAGAGAAUAGAGCAGUUUGUUUCGCUUUCAAUUGAGAGCGUGUAUGAACCCCCCCGGAUGAUUAACAAACUACUUGAGUUUUUGGAUGAUCCCUUGUCCAUUUCGUGAGAGGAGGGUAGUUUGGAUCAUAAGCAGGAUCCAGUUCAACAUUGAUUUCUUCUUCAAAUUCUGACUGCACAUCUGAAUCAUUAUUGUUUUCAUCAUACGUUCUUUGAUUCUCCCACUCGAAUGAAGAAACAGUUUCAAUGAUCGGUUUAGAAUUAACAUCCUCCUCUGGGCAUUCAUAGGACAUUGUAGGCGAUAGAAUCUCUCCGUGGAAAGGUAAAUCAGGUCUUUCUGAAGUAGACGAACCCUCCCCUGGAAAAUUGAGUGAUUAUGCAGAGGUUCGCUUGAUCCACGAUUGUCGUUUGAGUCCCGAGAAGUACUUAGACCUUGAGGUUCGCUUUCCAUUUCUUUAGUAGCUUCGUCGAUAAUCUUCUUUAAGUUGUCGAUUUUGUUAUCAGUUGCUUUUUCCUCAGAGAGAAUCGCUUUCUCCAGUUCAUCAAAGAGUAACAUGUAUUCUUCAAAUAGAUUGGAUAUUGGAACCGAGACUUGGCCUGAUUUCGGAAAGAUUUCCUCCAUUGGACUUUCGCUUGAUUGGAAUUUCUUCACGAAAGUAUCGUCGAACGUAACAUAGUAGAUUUCUUCAAUUUUCUUUUGAGCAUUUAUUCAGAACCCUAUAUGCCUUAGAGGUUAAGAGGUACCCAAGAAAACUCCCUUUGUCAGCUUUUACAUCAAACUUGUUUCGGUUCUCUUUAGAAUUAAAGAUGAAGCAUCUGGAACCGAACACAUGAAAGAACUUGACGUUAGGCUUGUGGUUAUUCAAAAUUACAUAUGGAGUGAUAGAAAAACGCUUAUUGAUGAACGAUCGGUUCUAUGUAUAGCAUGCAGCAGAGAUUGCAUCAGCCUAGAAAUACAACGGAAGAGAAGCGAAGCUAAGCAUUGUUCGGGCGGCUUCACAUAGAGAGCGAUUUCGCCUUUCGACGAUACCAUUCGGAAGUGGAGUAUAGGGAGCCAAGAAAUUAUGAGACACUCCCUUUUCGGUGUGAAAUUCUUCAAACUCCUUGUUUUUGAAUUCCAUCGCAUUGUUACUUCUCAUAUUGCGAACCACCUUUCGUAAUUGAAGUUCUACCUGCUUUAUAAAAACAUUGAGCUUUAGUGUCGCCUCUGAUUUUUGUUUAAGAAAGAAAACCCAGGUGAAACAUGAAAAAUCAUCAACAAUUACAAAUAUGUAUUUACUACCACCGACACUCUCGAUUGCAGAUGGAUCGCAUAAGUCGAUGUGUAGAAGCUCAAGAGGUUCGAUGAUCAUCGUAUUGACACGCGUGGGAUGACUCUUUCGGCUUUGCUUUCCCAUUGCGCAUGUAGUGCACAAAUGUUCUUUCUCUAACUUGAGAAUUGGAAGUCCUCGCACAUGAUCACUAAGAACUAGCUUGUUGAUAUCUUUAAAGUUGAGGUGUGAGAGCCUUCGGUGCCACAUCCAACUCUCAUCAGAAUCGGCUUUUGUUAGAAGACAUAUAGUAGGCGUCCCUCGUAUUGGGUUCAUCUUUCCUUUUGAUGGUAAAAGCUUUUAUUUUAUUAUCUUUUUGUUUCGGUUUGUUGGAAUCGAAUACUUUGUUUUUGUUUUGAUUUUUCUCGAAACUUUUCUUCUGAUUCCUAGGGUUAGUUGACGUCCUCUUUGCUUGUGCUUAAGAGUAUGAGAUUAGCUUUCCCUUUCCUUUAACAUCUUUAACAGGGUUCCACUUCGGUUGGUAGUGAAGAGGAUGGGAUUUAAGUCCGAAACUAUUCUUUCGGUUCAUUUGACAGCAAGAUUUGAAGUGAAAGCAUUGACUGAAGUUCGCCUAUGAGCUUACUUUCUCCUUUGGAUUAGAAACCUUUUUCUUGCAAACAUAGUUUGAGUUUUGGGAAUUCCAAAACUGCUUUCUCUCUUUGAGAUUCUUUUGGUAUCUUUUGUUCCGCUGGCAUGUUUGUUCAGCCAAUUGCUUUUGAGACUUAUGAAUAUUUGCUUUAGGAUUCGAUCUUGUUGCUCGAGUUUAGCUUUUUACUGAAUAUAUUUCACUUACAAACUUCAUUCGUUCGCUUUGUACCUUUUUAGUACCACUUGUACUUGGUGUAUCAAAGCUCGAAGGCUUGUUGACAGGUUCAGCCAUGUACCUUCCUUUGACUCUCCAAGACGUUUGCUCCAACAGACCGACAGUUUCGUCUGCAUUAUCAAUAGGAGCUGACCAGAAAUAUUCUUCACAACCUUCAACGUUAUCUUUAUUAACCAAGGUCAUCAAUUCGACUAUUUGGUCCUUGGUUAUCCCUGUGGCGGCAUACACUUGAUUUGGAAUUGUUUGCACCUUUUGAUAUAUCACCACCUUUUCUUUAAGGACAUUUGACUUGUCCUUGGACAUACGAGCGAACUCAAACGAAUUUUCGGAUAUGAGCCUUGUUGCUGGUUCAGUUCUCUCUUGAGAAACUUUGAAUAGCUAACCUCAUUCUCUACAUAGAUUUCACUCAUGUCACCGUCCUCAUCAAAUUAAGAAGUAUUUUCCAUAUUUAUUUUGUUUUCUGAACUUAAUUUGGUACUCAAUGAGUCAAAUUUAUGCAUGGUUUCGGUCUUAAUAUUCAGUUUGUCAUUUUCGUCCAACAAGUUUCUAAGCAUGUCCUUAUGGUCUUUGGACUUUAUAAAGGACUCAAUUUUGUCCAUACUGAUUCUUUAGGCAUCCGAAACUUCAUAUGAAGACACAAUAAACUCACAAUUAUAACAAUCAGCGUCGAUUUCGUUCUCGUUUAACUAAAGGAAGGCCAAAAUCAUCUUAUGAAUCUUUUUGCCUAUUUCACAAUCUAAAUGCAGCUGGGUGAUAUUUGAAUAUAAACGCUUAGCUAUUAAAAAAAAAUAUUCCUUUCUUUCAAACAUUUCAAAUUAUCACGCUGUAAACAAAUAAGUUCGUCUCUAGCCCUAACUAACUCUUUCUCCUUCUGCUCUAUCCACAUCCUUCUUUCCUCACUCUUGAAAGAAACCUUGCUGAUUUGAUCGGUAAGAUUAGAGUUUGCUAGUCGAGUUUGCAUUAGACUACCACUUAAAAUAGAAAAAUUGAAUUUUAAAUCAUUUAAUUCCUUUUCAUAGUGUGUUACGGGUAUUUUAAGUGAAUCAAGAAUGGAAUGUACCUUCUUGAUCAACUGCUCACACUCGUUGUCUUUUCGCUCACUGUUUAGCAGCAAAACAUUUAUCUUCCCUCUCCUUCACCUCAACACACCCGCCAUCAGUUGUGAAGCCUCUAAUCUAUUACACCCCUGCGGUCAUCAUUACAAAUCCUCCAGCAUACUCAACAACAUCUUCCUUUGCCACAAAAUCCCUGCCAUGCAUGGGCUUGUGAACUUCAUCGUCUUUAGAGUCUGUAGACCAUACCUCUACACCACCGAACUCAUCAUCCACAAUGUUUUCCUACAUAAUUAACACAUUCAUAGAACUGUUAGACACCUUCUUUUUCUUUAUCUCCUCUAGCUUACGCAUGUGGUAAGCUUCAUCGUCGUCUCCAUCUUUCUUCUCUGAUAGCUUCCUCGGCAUGCAAUGUUUUGCAAAGUGAUUUUGCCAUGGCAAAAGUUACAAUCAUAGCCAGAGUCUCCGACCAGCUUGAUCUCCUUCUUUUCUUCUUCUCUUUGAGGAAUGUUUUUAUUUUCCUCUUUCUCAUUCUCAUAGCUGUAAGUUCCUUUCCAGGUUCGGUUCUUGGUGAUAGGGAACUUUUUACAAGCAAACCGCUUCGGGUUGGAAACCAUCAAAGCGGAUUCUUCACUUGUCAGAUCACAUUCAGAUAGAUAUGACUCCUCUUCUUCUUCUGUCACAUUCUUACCAUUAGAGAGAAGGGCCAAGGAUCCCAAGCUAGACACCACCUUCUCUUCUUUAGUCACAACACUUUCAUGUGACUUGAGGAUACCAACAAGCUUCGCCAACGAAUAAGUUUUGAACUACUCUUGAGCCUUCACGGUUGAAACAACAACCAUCCAUUCGGGUCUCAAACCAUUCAUAAACAUGACCUUCUGCUUGAUCACUUCUCUGCCAAUCCCAUGCUUGAUCAUCUUGCUGAAAACAUGGUUGAACCGAUUGAACGCCUGAAUGCGUUUUUCAUCUUGCUUUUGCUCGAAAGCACCAAACUCAGAAAGUAGAAGACUUUGGAAUGAAAUUUCCAGAUCCUCAUCAGUGGAAAAUAACUCCUUACCUCUAUCCCAUAUUUCCUUUGUUGUGCUGCAUGAACUAAACUGACAAAAAGUAUGAGAUUGCAAAGCGAAUAUGAUCAUUCUCAUAGCUUUGGUGUUGCACAACAACUUGUCCUUCUCAUCUUGAGGAAUCUUAUCUAUAUCUACCAAGAUCUUGUUGUACUCUUUUUGAUUCUUGAUGGUCCAAUUUGUUCCAUAGUGAACAAAAGGACCAAAAGUUAUUGCCUCCCAGAUUAGAUAGCCAUUGUCUUCUGAGCCAACAACGUAGUCUUCGAAGUGAUGCUCCCAGACUUCAUAAUCUUGAGUGUAUAAAAUCGGGAUUCUGGUGGUAGAGCUGAUGCUGUUGGAGAUGUUGAUAGGAUUGUUUUGUGAAUCUUCAUGAGACAUGAUGAUCUUUUUCUAAUAUCUGCUAAUAACAAGACUUGUACAGUUCGAAUUAGGGUUUUAUAAAACACAAGAAGCAACGUCAAUGAAGAGAUGACAGCUCCUAUAGUUUCGAAAAAAGCGGAAACCCUAAAAAGAUUCUUCCAACAGAAGAGAUGUGUAUGAGUUACACAGUCUCCAGCUCUGAUACCAAUUGAUGAGAAUAAAAUUCUCUAAGAUCGAUUGAUUCUUUAACAGAUAAACAAAUACAGAAGAAAUGAAGAACACACGAAUAAAUCAAAAAAGAGUUGAAUGAUUAAUAUGCCCCACCUAAGAAGAAUUAAAUGAGAAUUGUUACUGUAGAGGUGUGCUAGGGUUACAAUACUAGUAAGGAAAAAAUCAAUUAGAAGCGUUAACCGGAAUGAUGCAUGAAUGCACCAUAAAUACUAAACCCUAAUGACAAAACCAUGGCUGGACAGGCCCAGACUGAGAAUACAUAAUGGACCGACUAAACAAGACCAAUGACGCAACACCUUAAAAUCUACACAACCAAUGUUGCUUUUGACCCAAUUUGUGGAAAUUUAAACCAAGGAAAGUCCCUUUGGUCCCUUUGAACCUGUUGUCCCCUGCUUCUACUCAUGUUUCUGCAAAAAAAAAAAAAAAAACCAACAAACCACAAAAAAUGUUUAAAAUUUGUAAAUCUUGCAAACAGCAGACUCAACUCAUCGAGUUCCAAGAACUACUCGACGAGUCCAAUGAAGGUUGCGAGAAUUUUUUACUGAUUCGAACUGAUUCAACCAUUUAAACUCAAAACCAUUGCAGGGGUUUGUCUAGGGUAGUAAAGCAAACAUUAUUUCAUAAGAAAAACUAGUCUAAACAUCCUAAUUUAGUCAAAAUCAAAACCCUAAUGAUCAUACCAAAGUCAAAAUUCGGGGGUUUUUCACAAAAUGCAACCAUCAAACACCUAAAAAUUGAAACAUUAAUAGAUUGAGGAGUGAAAAAAUCUAACCUUUUUUAAAGUAUUGGACAAAAACCACGAAAAUUGAAAGAUACUUGCUUGUGAGGAUUUUGCUCGUCGAGUUGAUAGUAAUGGCGGUUGGAAUGAUGAAACUUUACUUUUUAGGGUAAAAACCCUAAUUGAAUGAGUUUAAAAACCAUUAUUUCGGUAAUAAAAGUCUAUUCGUCGAGUUCGGGACCCCAAAAUCAUCGAGUAGAGACAGUUUUGACAAAAUAUUACGAUUUUUCAAAUGAACUCGUCGAGUAGCAGAAAUGGACUCGGCGAGUUUUUGGAUCUGUUUGAAAAAAAAUUGUAUACAUAACAGCCUCUUCCUUGCCCCCCUAAGAAUCCAAGGGUGACCUUUGGAUGUUGGAUGUUGUCGUGACGCUUUGGUUAUGAAGGUUAUCGGGGUCUAGGUUUAUGGAUGGAUUCCGUAAUCGAAAGUCCCUCCAACUCAAUCAAUAUCAACAACAUGUCGUGACCGGUUAGGCUUCUUGGUCCAUGAUGGCCUUUUGAUUUAUAGAACUGGAAGAGGAGGAAAAGAAAGAGCUUAUGAUGACCAUCUAUUUGAGUCGAUCAUUUCGUAGACGGGGGAGGGGGGGGGCAAGUGUUCUUCGGAAUGACUGGGCGUAAAGGGCACGUUCCGAGAGAGUUGCUUUCAGCUCGGGAAUUCCCUAACGAGAAUGAGAGAGAGCCGAUGCAAAAGUAAUCUUUUAAAUAAAUUUCACCACACCCCACAAUGAAGCCUUGCUUGUCCUCAAGCAACAUUUUAAACAAAUUAGAAGACUUAGAGUGAAAAUCCAAAAAAAAAACGCACAAAAAUAAAGAUAAUAAAAGACUAAAAAUGAAGGAAAGAAAAGAAAAAGGAACAAGAAAGCAAACUCAAUUGACAGGUUCCCUCCCGCAAGGACUUCCUUUUUAGGAGUCGUUAGCUACACUCCUUCCCGCUAUACGUUGCAGCGACUUUCUCCAAUGAAAUCUCCUUUUUCACCUUUUUCACUUUGCAUCUUCUUUUAUAAUCUAAUAACUUCCUUAUGUAUGCCCUUUGACAUCUUUCUUUUUAUUUUUAGUGGCAUUUUCAUCAUACUUAUGUUUUGUUCCUUUACGCCUUUUUAAAAGCCUUGUCUUUUCUUCUUCUUUUUUUUUGUCCUAGCUUUCCUACUUCCUUCUUGUCCAUCACAACUUCCUUCUAACUCAUCCUUUCAUCGUCACUUGAAAUCAAAUUUAUUGACUCACUUUCUUCAUAGACUUGGAAAUUGGGUGGUUUAAAAGUGAAUACUUCAAAGGUGGUAGAUACUAAGGUGCGAGGCUUCGUUCUCGUUACUUUUGUUGGCUUAUUUUCUUCCACUUUCUGAUCAAUCAUGUGCGAUUCAAUGUAAGGUUUAUUACUCUUCUUUUUAUUCCAAACCUUUACAUCCUCUUGUUUUUCCAAAUUCUCUUUCUUCUUGUCUUGAUUUGUUUCACCAUAUUGCCAAUGUUUUUCAAAACAUGUUGAGUUUGUAUCUUCAGAACCACUUAUAUCCUCAUCACCUUCACUCUCCUCAAGUAAUUUCUCCAAUUCUUGUAAGUCUCUUUGGGCAUCAAAGUCCACUUCUUCUUAUAAUGUGAAUUCCUUCGAAUUAUUUUCUUGCCAAAGUGCUAGCUCCCUUUCUAACAAUUCAUCAUCCAAAUUCAUUAAGGAAAUAUUAUCUUCACUACAACUUGACUGCUUCAUCUCUUGAUUAAUUCCAAAGGUGACCGAUUCAUCUCCAACAUGAAGAGUUAGCCUUGAUUCUCGCACAUCGACUAUAGCACAGGCGGUGUUUAAAAAUGGUCUUCCAAGGAUAAUUGAGACCUUAUGAUCUUCUUCCAUAUCCAAUAUUACGAAGUCAGCAGGAAAUACCAUGUUAUCCACCUUGACCAAAAGAUCCUCGUAAAUUCCCCUUGGAUAGGUUAUAGUCUUGUUAGAUAAGUGGAUUGCCAUAUGGAUGGGAUUUGGUUCUGGAAGGUUCAACUUCUUGAAGAAUGAUUAUGGCAUGAGGUUAACGCUAGCCCCUGAAUCAACCAAUGCAAAAGUAGUAGUCAAAUUUCCAAAUUGGCAAGGCAAAGUUAUGCUACCUGGAUCUCCCAUCUUUUCUGGUAGUUUAUUCAUCAUAGCAUCUGCGCAAAUUUCAUUCAACACUAUCUUUGAGACAUCCUCCAUAUUCUUCCGAUUUGUAAGGAGUUAUUUUAGGAAUCUUGUAUAUUUGGGCAUGUGUGUUACUGCUUCAAGGAAUGGGAUCCCGAGAGUAGCAUGGUCCAUUUUGGGUUGCAUUCACCAGAACAAUCUGAUAGGAUGGAUAAUAGAGAAAGAGGUUAUUUGUGAUUUUUUAAUAUAUUAUAAGUAUAAUAUAUUAUUGAGAAAUCAUAUUAUUUAAUUAGUAUUGAUCAAGAAUUAAUUUGGAAGUAAUUUAGUGAUCAAAAGUGACUGAUUAAAUUAACAGGGACUGAUUAUGUAAAUCAGUGAUACACAUGAAUUGGGUUAUUGAUUGAAGAUGGGUUAAGUUUAUGUGAGAGUCCAUGAAGAGUUAGUCCAUAUGAAUUGUCGGAUCAUAAGCCUAUGUGUAAGGAUUAGGGCUUAAAAGUGACUCUUGGAAUCCUACACUAUAUAUAUAUAUAUAUAUAUAUAUAUAUAUAUAUGUAACCCCUUAGCCAAAAUUAUGACUAACAACUGUUAUAACAGGAGUAUAUCCGAUUUUGGUGUGCCUAACCUCUCUCUCAAUUCCUCCAAUUAUUGAUGGUGUUUUGUGAACCAUUUGAGGGAUCUCACUUGAGGGGCUAAGCUCUUGAAAGGACAAAUUCAACAAGAUACAAUAACAUGUAACCAUCUAACUAUUUUUUUAUGAUUCAAUUGUCAAACUGUAUGCUAGUUGUACGCUUCAUGCUUUGGAAAAUUUUAUUGUAUGUUUAACUAGAGAAAACUUAGAUCCAAAGAAUUAGGGUUGUAUGUGCACCAUAGGGUUGUUAAAGUACAUAAAACCUAACAGUGGUAUAAGAGCCAUGGGUGCUUUCUCUUAUAUAUGUGCAUUGGUUAAUUGUUCAAAGCUGAAAAAUAGAAAAUUGCCUUCUGUUUGGGUGAACACGACGAGUCCACUAUGGAACUCGACAAGUUCAGCAGUCUGUUGGCAGAUUUUUAGGUUUUUUUGGAAAGAAUUUGAUUGUGAUCAUUACCAUAAACUGUUUUGUAUCAUAAAAUCUGUUUUUUAUGAUAUGGUAAUGGUUAUCCAUCCAAUUAUAAAAUAAAUUGUCAAAUAUAAAAUAAUUACUAGAUUAUAUGAUAAACUAAUUAUUUGUGAGAGUUGUAUUAGGUCAAAUUUGUAAAAUAUAAGAUGUUUAUUAGUUUAAAUUUUGAUAUAAAUGUUUUGAAGAGUUACAAAACUUGCCAUCAUGUUUUGGAACUCAAAAAGUUUUUUUAAGGAGGUACAAAACUUGCCAUCAAGUUUGGAAUUCAAAAGGUUUUGAAGAGUUAAAAAGUUUGCCCUCAAGUUUUGGAACUUGAAAAGUCUUAUUUAUGAAACAUUGAAUUCUAAAACUCUUGUUACUAAAAGGUUCAACUCUUGGGUUCAUAACUUAAAAAUUAAUUAAAUAGUUUUAAUUUUGAAUUUAGUAUUUGGAGCUUUGAUGUUUUUUGAAUAGUUCAAAUUACCUCUUAUAGUUUUUAUUAAGUUAAUUAAAUGUUUAACUAAAAGAAAAGAUUAAUAAAUCCAUAAUAGCAUGGUUUGAGUAAAAUUAAAUUAAGAUUAUAAUUUAUUAAUAGAUUAAACCAUCAACUAUUUUAAAUGUGUAAAAUACACCCUUAUACGAUAUAAAAUUAAAAGUUUAAUAUAUUAUAUAGUAUAAGUAAAAGGUGAGUCAUACACAUAGUAGGUCUCAUAUACGAAGCUGAUCGAUAAGGGGUGUUUAAGGAAGCGACCUAUUAAAUGACCGUCAUUGGGUAUCUAUUCUUACCCACCGUACACUUGACUAGUGGAGGGUCAUUAGCCAAACGGGCAGGAUAGGACACAAACUUCCAUUAAAAGUAGCAUGAAAUACAAGUAAUUAAAUAUUUUAUAAAUUCUCAAAUCUUAGUUACUUUAGGAAAAAUGUGAAUUCGAUACUAAUCCAUGAAAUUACACAUUGCACCUUAUUGGUCAAUUAGUGGAGAGUGUGUGGUUAACCGAUACACUAAUUGGACUAAUAAAGGAUGGAAACGGGUAGCUCGUACUUUGUCAUAGAUCAAUGGAACAUGUGUGGUUAACCGACACAUUGAUUAGGUGAUAAAUGACUUUGAUACUACCAUGCUAAUUUGCACGGUUAUUCACACCUUGUUUGUGAUCCUCAGUAUCCCAGUUACAAGCUUGAAGGGCAUAAUCGAGAUUAAACAUGCCAUUGAAAAUUUCAAUGAAUCUCAAAAAAUCUAGGAAUUUCAAUUCAUUUAAAACCUAAUGUCAAUUUUCAUUUUUCAUGGUGGAAAUUGGUAAAUCGACAUUUAUCUACGAACAAAUAGUUUGAAAUUAUAUUACGGCAUCCUUCUUCUGAAUUAAUAAUUAUUCUGUUAGGUCCUAGCCUUAAUAUUCCAUUUGGGUGUUAGAUUAAGGAGUUAAAUCAAGUAACUUGAAUUUCUCCCUUGUAGAUUUCCCUAUGGGUGUUAUGCGACAAAAGCAACAGACUUUCAUUUAUUUGAUUUUCAUAGCAUUAUAUUUUUAGUGCUUUUUAUUACAACAUUGUACUUAAAAAAUGAGUAAAUUACAUGAAUCGUCCCUCAUGUAGGUGUCAAAAAAUAUAUUCAAUCCUUUUUAAUAAUUAACUCGGACAAUCCCUCAUUUGGUUAAAAGCUACAUGUGUCAGCCCUUACAAGAUUUGAAAUGACUAUUAUACCCUUUUUAUUAUUUUUUGAUUUAUUUAAUUUUCUUCAAAUUAUUUUUAAUACAAAAAAAUAAAAUAAAGAACCCAUACAUCUUAUUCGAAAUCCUCUUUUCCCAAAUCUUUAACAAAUAAACCUAAGGUAUCGUGAAGCUUUUGUGUAAUCCCUACUCUAGCAAUGGGUUCAAAUUUCAAAUCUAAACGUAGAUCUAAUUUGUUUUGCUAUCCAUAAAGGUUGAGUUUCAUAUAUGAAUGCAGGUUUUGGGGUUUGUGUUUUGACGGUUGAUAUUCAGAUAUAGGGUUCAUCAAUGGUGGUGGUGGAGAUUGACGGGUGAUGUUAAAACAAGAAAGAAAGAAAUAUAUUUUGCAAUAAACUAAAAGAGAAACAUUGGUCCUUUUUAAUAUUUUAAAAUUUAAAAUUAAGAACAAAUUACACGAAUGUUACUUUAGGUUUUGGAUUUUUCCCUAAAGUAGUCCCUACGCUACUUUUUGUCCCUCAAAUAGUACCUAUGUACGAGAAGUUGCACGCGUUUUCUCCCCGAGGUGGAUGUCCGUCCAUUCCAAUGUUAAGUUACCCCAUGUGACUUAUACAUGAGGGUAUUUAUGUCAUUUUACCCUAAAGACCUUUUCUUAACAUAUAUAUUAAUAACAAUAACCAUUAAGGUGGUGGGGUUUAGUUUCAGAUAUUGACUUUGACACUCUAUCUCUUUCCCCAAGAAAACCUUUUGAUCAUCCCAUCUUCUUCAAUCGUGAGUUUUUAUUGUUGUCCGGCAACAUAGUUCAACUGAUUGAAGGGUAUGUCGAGGAAAAUGGUGUUCACAUUGUGGUCCUUAUGUCCACGCUACACCCAACCACCUAAGCUACGUAAAGAAUAUGGUAAGCACAGACCUUGUAAUGCUAGGUUUGAUGAUAUGUAUCUUUGCUUUCCUUCAUUAGUAACAUCUUAUUGUUAUUAAAUAUUCGCAUCAGGUUCUAUUUCAAGCUUUUUCACCUUCAAGAUAAAUCAUGGGGGUCCGUUCACUAAUACAGUAUUUGGAAGGCCGUACAUAGAUAGGCUUGUGGAUCACUUUGAUUUUGUGGACAUGGAUGUGUUUUCAGUCCAUGAGUUAGAUGAUAUGAUGGCUGUUUUAGGCUACAGUGAUGGAGGUAUAAUAUUUUACCAUUUCAUGAUCAUAGAGACAUACUUGGAUAGAUGAUUGUUACCCUUUGGCACCGAUCAUGAAGUCAUUCAGCUGGCAAGGUAUAUGCCUAAUCAUAAGGAAAUUAAUUUGUACAUUGAGCAUGGGAAUACUAGAGUAUUCCCUUACUUUAAGUCCUCGUUGAAGGUUUGUACUAAAGAAGCUGAAGGGGGUCAUUCUCCUGAAAUGAAUAGGGUUAGAAUGAAAAGGAAAUUAAUUGAGUCAUGUAGUAAAAAGUUAGAUUUGAAUGAGCCCAUUGAUUUGUCAAAAUUGAUUGUGCCCUAUGAACCCGUGAUCAACAAAAAAACACUUAGUUAAUCGAGAGAGUGAUCCCUUUAGGGGGUACAUUUUGAGGAUAACCAAGGUAAAAGAGCUGUUGACACAUGGGAUAAUCACCAACCAAAAGGGGAUGUUGAUCCAGUGGAUGAUUAUGAGGUAAUAGGGGAUGUAGAUGCAGAAUAUGUUGGCGAAAAAAUCUACUUGAUGUUUAGUUUUUUGAGGAUGAAUCUAGUGGAAGUAAGGAAAGUGUUAGUGAGGGUGCUUGGAGAGAGGGUAGUAGGAGUGAGGGUAAUAUGACAGAUGAUGAUAGUGAGGAUGAAGACUUCUUUGUGGAUUUACAAGAUAUUGUAGAUGAUGUGGAUGUUGAUAGGAAAGAAUUUCAUAUACAUGUUGAUGAAGAUGUUGAGUGGGUUCAAAAAGCGACCAAAUAAGCAAGUGUUAGUGGGGUUGUCUUUACUAAUGGCCAUGAUUGGCUGAUACAGAUUCCUCUUGCUUAACGGGCAAGAUCUCAUUUCUCAGGUUAUCACUUCAUCUUUCAAUGAUGUUUACAUUUACUUGUCACUAUUCAGAUUUGUUCUCAUUUUAUAUUAUAACACUAAACAGGGAGGGCACAUACUAACAUCUUAUUGAAUAACUUGUGUGAGGUUCUAAAUGGAAAAUACAAGGUGGUAUGGAUAAACCUAUCAUUUAUUGUUUGCAGUAUAUUAGAGAGUAUUUGAUGAAGAGAAUUUGCAAUGUCCAAGGAGAGAUUUAUAGAUGUCAUGGUCCUCUCACACGAACUACCACUACUCUUCUUGAUCAAAUUAAAAGACAAGCACAAAAGCACAGGUGUAUUUUCAAUAAGGUUAAAACUCAAGUCACUACGCAGUGGGGUGAUCAGUUUAUUAUGAAUUUGGAUGAAAAAUCUGUUGGAUUAGUGUCUCAGUCCAUAACUAUAAUUGGUAUGUACUUGACCCAACUUGGCAUGGUCCAUUUGGGUUGCAUGGCAUCGGAAUAUUUGGGUAGACUUUAUGUGAGAAAAGGUUAUUUACGAUUUAUAUUAAUAUAUUAUAAGUUCUAAUAUAUUAAUAUGAAAUCAUAUUAUUUAAUUAGUAUUGAUCAAUAAUUAAUUUGAUAUUAAUUUAGUGAUCAAAAGGAACUAAUUAAAUAUGGACUCUUUUAUAUAUAUGGUGGACCAAGUUCAUUUAGGUUGGGCUAAGCUUUCAUGGAUAGUCCAUGGAGUGUUUAACCCAUGGAUCAUAUGAAAUGAAAGGUCAUGGGUAUUAGGGUUUCCAUGGAUGUAACCCUAAUCCUCCAUAGUAUAUAAAGAUUUCUUUUGUUCAAGAAAUUGGCCUAAGAAUGUACACAUGAGGGCAUAGCCGAUUUGGAGCCAAGAAACUUUCCCUCUCAAGUUAUUCCAAAUGUUGGUGAUGUUAUGUGAACCAUUUGAGGUGUCACACUUGAGGCACUAGGCUCUUAAGCUCCAUGGAAUCAAGCUACAUCAAAGGUAUGUCUUCUAAGUUGUCUUAUUCCCAUGUAUCAAUGUUUUGUAUGCUAGUUAAGGGAAUACCUUGGAAUAUUCAUAUUAGCGUGUAUACUAGAGAAAACAUAGAUAAAAGGUAUUUAGGGUUGUAUGUACACCAUAGGAGUGUUAGAAUGCUCAAAAUCCAACAGUGGUAUCUGAAGUAGGUUGUUUUCUGUUAUAUAGAUGCAAAUGUUUAAUUUUCAAAGUUGAAAAAAAAACAUGAAGUUUGUCAAAUUUUAAGUUAAUUACUUGUUUUUGUGAAAAACUAAUUAUUUGAUAAUUUUGAAUCAUUUGCUACAUGACUUGAAUUAGGUCAAAUUUAGUAAAAGAUAAAAAGAUAAGAUUAUUUUAUUAGUUUUACAAGUUUGAUCUAAAGGGUUUUUUUUUAAAAACCUCCAUAACUUAUGGAUAUGAAAGUUUUUAAAAAAAAUGAUUUAAAGUUUUUUAUGGAGUUACAAAACUUGGUGUUAACAUUUUAAAGAAUUCCAUAACUUAUUCUUAAGUUAUGGAACAUGAAAAGUUUCAUCAUAAAUCAAGCAUUUAACUCCAUAAGUUAUGGAAUCCAAAAGUUUUCAAGAGUUACAAAACUUACCCUCAAGUUUUGGAAUUUGAAAAAAGUUUUUUAUGAAAAAAAUUUGAAUUCUAAAACUCUUGUGUUCAUAACUUAAACAAUUAAUUAAAUGGUUUUAAUUUUGAAUUUAAUAAUUGGAGUUAUCUUGUUUUGUUGAGUUCAAAUUAACUCUUAUGGACUUUAUUAUUAGUUAAUUAAAGCGUUUAAUUAUAAGAGUAUUAUUAAGUCCAUAAAUAUAUGGUUUGAGUUUAAUUAAAUUAAAAGUCUAGUUUAAUUAAUAGAUUAAACCACCAAGUAUUUUAAAUGUCAAUAAUACAGCCUUAUACUAUUAUAAUAUUAAAAGUUUAAUAUAUUAUAUGUAUAAGUAAAAAGUCGGUCUUACCUUUAGUAGGUCACAUUCACGAAGUCGGUCUAUAUGAGGGGUAUAAGGUUACUACCUAUAAAAUGGCAGUUUAAUGGGUGUCCACUCUCACCCACCGCUUCCUGGAUUGGUGGAGGGUCGUUAGCCGAACGGGUAGGACAAGGACUAAAAUUCUCCCUUCAUUAAAAGUAUUAAUGAAAAAUACUAAGUAAAUAAACACUUAUGAAUUCCCAAUCUUAGUUACUUAGGAAAUUGUGAAUUUGGUGCUAACCCAUGAAAUUACACUUUGCACAUAGCUUAAGUCGGUUAGUGGAGCGCAUGUGGGUAACCGGCACACUAGCUUGAUUUAACAAGGUAGGCAAAGGGUAACUUAAUGUUUAUCAUAGUAUCGGUAGAGCACAUGUGGUUAACUAGCACAUCGAUAGAGGGAUAAAUAUUAAGGGUACCAAGUACAUUUGCAUGGUUAUUCAAACCUUGUUUUGUCAUCCUCGGCAUCCCAGUCACAAAAUUUGAGAGGGCGCAAACGAGAUUGAAACAUGCCUUUGAACAUUUCAAUAAAUCUCAAAAGAUCUAGGAGUUUCAAAUCUAAAUAAAACCUAAUAAAUUAUUUCGUUUUUCAUGGUGGAAAUUGGUGGAUCGUCAUUCUCCUAGCUUCAAAUAUUUUAUAGAUUGGAUUACGGCAUCCCUCUUCUAAGAUAUAAAAUAGUUUGUAGGGUCCUAGCCUUAAUAUUUCAUAUUGGGUGUUAUAUUAAGGACUUAAAUCAGCUCACUUGAAUAUCUCCCAUACUAGAUGUCUGGUUUAGACAUCUAUGAUCUUCCCAAAUCUCUAGGAACCAUGGUUGGUUCAUGGAGAUCAUUCUUUUUCCUUUCACCUCCUCCAAUUAUUGUCCCUAACCCACAAGUUCUUGAAAAGUUUAAGGUCACUCAAUCCCUAGUGGCUAGAAAGGUCUAUGUGUGAUCACAUCUUGGAGAUGAAGUCACAUAUUGACAAGUCGGGAGACUUAGGUGUCAAAUUCUUGAGGAAGUUGGAUGUUUAAUCACUUUAAAAGUUACAUAGUGAGUUCCUUUGGGACUACUAUGAAAAAGACUAUGACAUGACCCUUAAUGAUCUUAUAUAUUUGCUUGGUGUUGCUGAAUCAUCAAUGAUUUGAGGACUAGUAAAGAAAAUUUGAUUAGAAGAUCAACUUCCCAAACCUUCAAUGGACAUUGUCAAUGGUAACAUUGGAUAUCUAGUAAAAAACUUUCUCUUCCCAAUGGAAAGGGAUCGGACAAAGUCAACUCGGUUGACCAAAUGGUGAAGAGAAAGGCUAAGUUUGAGAUAGUACGAUGUACCAUUACCAAAUAUGUUGGAUUAGUGUCCAAGUCGAUAACUGUGACAAACCAAGUUGUUCCGUUACAUUUCCCCGUUACCGUUAACAGAAUAUUCCAGUUUAUAAAAGUUCCGUUAAUUAGAGGUCGUCAAUUAAAUAAACAUUCCAUUUAUUUACAUUUAAUAUGCCGUUAAGUCAUGAUAAAAGGAAAUAAAAAUACAUAACACAUAUUUCCAUUAAAUUGGAAAAUGUUAGUUUUUAUUACAACCACUAAAUCGGGUGGGACCAAAAGCCCCGUUUAACGGAAGUAUCAGGUAGGAUUCCACUGAGCCCCGACUCGAAUCCCUAUAUAAAGGUAGGAUUCCAAUGAGCCCCGUUUUCGCCCCAAAUCCGCAACCAAACGCUUCCAAAUCGUAUGUCUGCUUAUCCAAGCUUGUUCUAAACAUAUUGAUUCGUGUUUAUGGCUUAAAAAUCGGACUUAGAAGCUAAGGAAGAGGAGUUUACGGCCUAAGCUCCUCCUUAGGCCGUAAACCCCUAAAUAGAGGCCAAAAUGACCCCCAAAAGUCCCUAAAGGCUUGGAAAUAAAUUAAGGGUUUGCCUAGGAGUGUUUAAACAUUAAAUCACAUGAUUUUACGGGGUAAAAGAGAGUUUACGGCCCAGGCAUAUGCCAACACCGUACACACCUCUUAAACAUGUCAAAAAGCCCCAAAAACACUCCCAAACCACCCUUGGACUUAAUACAUAAAUUAGGGGCUUAUCAUUUAAGGUUUAAACCAGUUAAACACAUCAAAAUGGAGGGACAAAAGGAGUUUACAGCCCAGGCAUGUACCAGGGCCGUAAACACCCCUAAACAUACCCAAAUGAUAGUUUUAAUCCCCCCAAAUGACCUCACACUUCAUUAUAUAUUACUAGCAAGGUAUUAGGGGCUUGAAACUUCAAUAAACUCAAGGAAUGAUAGUUUACGGCCGUAAACUCCCCUAGGGCUUGAAACUUCAAUAAACUCAAGGAAUGCCCUUAAAGACCUUAAACCUACUCAUACUAUAUAGUUUUGGACCUAGAAUAAUUCCAUGAACAAGUUAGAGGCCUUAAAACACACUAGAUCCCCUCACCAUCAUUUUACGGCCGUAAACUCAUGGUGAGAUGUCCCUGGGCCAUAAACUAAGCUUUAGGAGUUUACUCUCGGAGACUAAACUCCAUUCCUAAGCCAUACACACCUUUAGACGCUACCCGGGACACCCAAACACUUAACCAAAGUGUUUUCCGCUCCUUAGAGUAUGUAUACAUGUUUAAUUGGUAUUUAAUAUACUAAUUGUAUGUGAACAUAUGUUAUCAUAUGUUAAAUAGGUCUCUAAGUGUGUCCAAGUCCUUACUUGACACCGAACGCCCAAAUGGCACCUUUGUCGGACCUACUUAUACCAGGUGAGUUCAUACCCCUAAAUGAACCUUUUAAAUGUUUUUAGAUGUUUUAUAGGGGGAAUACAAGUUAAACAUGCCAGUUAUCAUAUCAAUCACAUGUGAUUGAUAACCCGCAUGCACAAGAUUUUACCACACUGUACACUGUUUAACCGAGUAGGACACUAUAAUGGUUUUCAAAAGGGAUUUCAAUUGUUUCGAAACUUUUACUUAUAUUGUUUUACCUAAAUUCAUUUUAAACUAGUUUAUGAAGUAUUCCAAAGAUUUCUAAAGGUUUUCACACUUAUUUUACCAAAGAAUACCAAAUGCGAGUUUUCCUGAGUAUAAAGGUUUUUCCAAGGUUUUCAUCAAAGUUCCAUUUCACGUUGUAUAUUUUUACUUGUUAGUUACCGCUGCUUCGCUUUCAUGUAUUUUAAACUCCUACUCGAUAACGCUUUCACUUCGUGAUACGUUUAUACCUGUUAUUGUCUCUAUUUCACUUAUACUCUACUUCGUGAUACACUUAUACUUGGUACACUUAUACUUCACGAUUCGAUUAUCCCACUCUGUAUGCUUAUACUUCACGACUCGGAUAUUUCACUGUACGCUUAUACUUCACAAGUCGGUUAUUCCCCACUGUAUGAUUCCACUUGAUACUCACUCAAGCAUAGUUAGAUGUAUAUAUGUGCUUGUAUAGAUGCAUGUAAAUAAUGAUUGAAGGACUUAGGAAGGCUUGUCCGCCCUAUUUCCUUUUCUUCGUUGAGAUAUGGUUUGGUGGGAUCGGUUGUCCAUCCGAAGGUCGUUUGAUUCAUUAGUUAUAUAUUAUGUACACAUGCAUAGACAUAUGGGUUUACUUCAGUCAGUUCAGUUAUGAGUCUCUACCUUUAGUUCAGCACUUACAUUAGAAACCCACUAUUUGCAAGUGUCUACCCACUAUUUGGGAUGCAUCUUCAGGACACGGCCUUCCGUCGUCUACNCGUCUAGUUGGUAACCAGAGUCUCCUGUAGGGAGAGCGGACAUUGUGUGCAUAGAUCUAUACGGGAUUGACACCCCCGCACCCUGACUGCUAGCUACAGUCCACGGCCUACCAAGCCAAGGGGUGUCUGGAACUCCAGUCAGUAUGGUUACGAGUAUCCCGGGUUACCUUAUAAUUCAUGGUCUUCAGGUAACGGUAUUCACCGACAAUUUACACUGUAUGCUGGUAACCCAUUUUUCAGAGUCACAAUGUUUUGACCUUGCAAGAUGUAUCUUUCAUUCGAUACUGUCUGCAGUCUAUAUUCUCUGUUUUAGACCUUACAAGACGCAUCAUUCAAUUGAUGUUGUCUGGGGUCUGUAUCCACUGUAUUCGUUGUAUUCACUGUAUUCACUGUAUCCACUGUAUCCACUGUAUUCACUGUUUUAGACCUUGCUAGACGUAUCAUUCAGUUGGUACUGUCUGGGGUCUGUGUUCACUGUAUUAGACCUUACUAGAUGUACCUUUCAUUUGGUACCGCCUGGGGUCUGUGUAUCUUUCUAUUAGACUGAGCCAGGCGUGUCAUUCGCUCGAUACUCUCCUGGAGUCUGUGAUUCCUUUGCCUUAGUCAGCAGUCCUCACUGCUGAGGCAUAUGUUAUUCCCCUGUUGUCUCUUGCCUUCUUUAAUAAUCAAAUUCAGUAUUUUGAUAAUGAUAGCAAUUAAGGGAAAAACUACUUUUUACCACAUAACACUUACCAGUCUUGGUAGAAUGCUGCUUUUAUUAAAGAAAAUAUAGGAUUUUCUGGAAAGAACUCUCAUGCACUGUAAACACUUAAACUAUUACUUCAUAAAGUUAUUUGACUAAAUGACACUAAAUACUUAUGAACUCACCAGCAUUUGUAAAAAUGCUGAUACUCGCUUUUCAAAUAACUUGUAUUCUCAGGUCAGCAUUAGACAGGUACAUCCCCGGAGCUGUUGAUGAAGAUAGCUUAGUACCAUGUUGUUCUUAUUACAUUUGUCUGUAUUACUUUGAUACCCUGUUAUGUAAACUAUGUAAAACUAUUACUAUUAAUGAAAUGUUUUGUUGUACUUUGAUUACUAUAACGCAUGUGUUGUGAUACUUUACAUGACGUCAUCCGCCUCAGAACGUUUCCGCCGUUCCAGUUUUGGGGUGUGACAAUAACUAUAAUUGGUAUAUACUUGACCCGACCCGACAUGGUCCAUUUUGGUUGCAUGGCAUCGGAACAUUUGGAUAGACCUUUUAAUGUGAAGAAGAUAUUUGUGACAUGUUAAUAUAUUAAAAGUUCUAAUAUAUUAAUAUGAAAUUAUAUUAUUUAAUUAGAAUUGAUCAACAAUUAAUUAGGAAUUAAUUUAGUGAUGAAAAAGAGACUAAUUAAACAUAUGGGGAUUAACUGUGUAAAUCAUUGAUUCUUAUAUAUGUGGGCUUAUGAUCCAUGAUUCCUUAUGUUGGGUUUAACACAUGUGGUGGCCCAUGGAUACUCCAUGGAGGUUAAAAGCCACGCAGCAUAAGGAAUGGGUAAAGUCAAGGGUUACAUGGUGUAACCCUAAUAUACACACUAUAUAAGGACCCCAUUGUUGGUGAAAAUUGGCACUGGUGUAUACACAAGAGGAAAACACGAUUUCUAUGCACUCAUAUCUUCUCUCAUGGUUAUUCCUAAUGUUCAUGGUGUUGUGUGAACCAUUUGAGAUGUCACACUUGGGGCACUAGGCUUUUGAGCUCCAUGGAAUCAAGCACCAAUAAAGAGGUACGUAAUUCUACUAGUUUUUAUAUUAUAUGUACUUUAUAUUAUGCUAGUUAGAACAAUACCUUGGAAAAUUGAUAUUUGUGUGUAUAAUAAAGAAAACAUAGAUCCAAGGUAUUUAGGGUUACAUGUACACCAUAGGAGUGUUAGAAUGCUCAUAACCCAACAGUGGUAUCAGAGACAUGGGUUGUUUUCUGUUAUACUAAUGCAAAUGUUUUAUUUUCAUAGUUGAAAAAAAAAACAAAACAUGACGUUUGUCAAAUUUUAAGAUAAUUACUUUUUUAGUGAAAAACUAAUUAUUUGUAAAAUUUGAAUCAUUUGCUAUAUGAGUUGAAUUAGGUCAUAUUUAGUAAAAGAUAAGAUGAUAUGAUUAUUUUAAUAGUUUUAAAAGUUUGAUCUAAAGAGUUUUUUGAAACUUCCAUAAGUUAUGGAUAUGAAAAGAUUUUAAAAAAAUUGAUUCAAAGUUUUUUUAUGGAGUUACAAAACAUGGUCUUAAUGUUUUAAAGUAUUCCAUAACUUGUUCUUAAGUUAUGGAACAUGAAAAAAGUUUUUUUUUUUUUUUUUUGGUUUCCAUGAUUUAUGAGUUAGUUUAGAUUAAUGGAAAAAAUAGUGUUUUAGUUGUUUUCAAUCCAAAUUAAUCUAAAAGGAGGUCAUAAAAUGUGUUUUUGUAACUUGUCCUCAAGUUACGUAAAAGGUCACAUUUAUGAAACUUAAAACUCAUAAAAGGGCCAUAGGUUACACAAAAAUGAAGAGUCUUUUUCAUUAAAUUGUUUUAUGACUCCAUAACUUGUCCUCAAGUUAUGGAUGUGUAAGAGUCACUUCUUUAAAAGUGUUUUUAAAGAAUGCGGAGUUACAUAAAAAUGAACAGUCUUCAUUGUAAUCUACAUUAAAACUCAUAAGUCAUGAAAUGAAAAGUCUUGAAUAGUUUCAAAACUUGCCCUCAAGUUUUGGAAUUUGUAAAGUUACCCCUCAUGUAUACUUCAAUUCUAAAUUGAACUUUAGAAUUUUAAAAGGUUUAAAGUUCAACACUUUUACUAUUAUUAUAAUUUUAAUUAUAUAGAUAUGUAUAAGAUAAAGUUAAUCUUACCAUUAGUAGGCCUCAUUCACAAAGUCGGUCUAUAAGAGGGGUAUAAGGUUACUUCCUAUAAAAUGACAGUUUAAUGUGUAUCCACUCUCACCCACUGCCUCCUUGACUGGUGGAGGGUCGUUAGUCGAACGGGUAGGAUAGGACUAUAAUUCUCCCUUCAUUAAAAUUAUAAUGAUAAAUACUAAGUAACUAAACACUUAUAAAUUCCCAAUCUUAGUUACUUAGGAAAUGUGAAAUAGGUGCUAACCCAUGAAAUUACACUUUGUACCUUACCAAGUCGCUAGUGGAGCGUGUGUGGUUAACCAACAGACUAACAAGGACUAGUAAGAGUUGAAAAGGGUAAAUUGACUUUAUUAUAGAUCGGUGAAGCAUGUGUGGUUAACCGACACAUCGAUUAGGUGAUAAAGUUAAGGGUACCAAGUCAAUUUGCAUGGUUAUUCACACCUUGUUUGUGAUCCUUGGCAUCGCAGUCACAAACUUGAGAGGGCACAAUCGAGAUUCAAACAUGCCAUUGAAAGUUCAAUGUAUCUCAAAAGCUCUAGGAAUUUCAAAUCCAAUUAAAACUUAAUUAUAUUUCGUUUUUCAUGGUGGAAAUUGGUAAAUCGUCAUUUACCUACCUUCAACUAUUUUAUAAUUUGGAUUACGGCAUCCCUCUUCCAUUUAUCAAUAGGUUGUUGCGUCCUAGCCUUAAUAUUUCAUAUUGGGUGGUAUAUUAAGUACUUUAAAUCAACUAUCUUGAAUUUCUCCCAUUAUAGAUGUCUGGUUUAGACAGCUAUGGUCAUUCCAAAUCUUUAGGAACAAGCUUCCAAAUGAAGACGAUAUCCCAUAUGGCAAUCAAGGUGAAAGAUCAAUCCAUUUGUUGUGCACUAGUGGGACUGGAAAUCAUACUUCACUUGUUCCACCUCCUCCAAUAAAUCUCCCUAUCCCACAAGUUUCAAGACUUCAUAAGUUCUAAGUCAAUCAAUCCUUAUUGGCAAGCAAAGUCUAUAUGUGCUUACAACUUAUAGGUCAAGUCACAUAUUGAGAAGCAGGGAGAGUCGGGUGUCAAAGUCUCGAGGUAGCUGGCUUUUGACUUGGUUCUUCAGUCACUCUGUGAUGAUAGAUCACGACAUGACCCUUUAAUGAUCUUAUCUAUUUGCUUGGUGCUUCUGAAUCAGCAAUGAUUUGGAACACUGGUAAAGCAAAUUUGAUUUGAAGAUCAACUUCCCAAAACUUCAAGGACAUUGACAAUGGUGAGACUGGAAAUUAAAAAAAGCUUUCUCCUCCCAAUGGAAAGGGAUCGGCCAUAGUCAACUUGGUUGACUAAAUGGUAAAUACAAAAGCUAAGUUUGAGAUAGUCCCAUGUACCAUUACCAAAGGGUCCAUACGUUUCUACUGCCAAAGGAAGGGGCAUUGGUUGCGAAGCUGCCAAAUUUACCUGAAAGAUCAUAAGGAUGGUAAAGUCAAUAAGUUUCACUUUACUUCAGGUAAAGUCCAUUAUCUUACUCUAUUAAGUUCCUAUUUAGAGAUCCUUAUUGCAUGAAGUGAAUAGGUCACAUGUUGAUGUUUUGAGAAUCAAAGAAAAGAGAGGAAGCUUAAAGAAACUAUAUGUUGUUUCUGAUCACGAAGAUGGAUUUCGAUCGCAUGGUUUGGUGAUGAGAAUUUUGAGUUGUUACUUAAGAGUUAUGAUAUAUUGCUUAGGAAUAGAUAACAAAAAUUUUUCCAUAUGGAUUGUAAGGAUAAGUUUUCCACAAAGUUUUAAAAUAAAAGAAAAAUGGUUUUGAUUUUAUUUAUUUUAAGUAUCCUUACAAUGGCAUUUGUGAAGAAGUGUUGUGUAUAUGGUUCCAUUGAUAGCAAUAAUGGAAAUAUGAAUUUGAUUCUUUCAUUUGUGGUAGUGUCUAAAUUUACCAAACAAGGGAAGAUUCUCAUCACCUAAGUUUUAGUUAGAUAGAAACUUGAAAUCAUGAAACUUGUAUUGUAUGAUGAAUGAGAAUUUUCAUAUUUCAGAAAAUUAAGACUAAUUCCUUGUUCACAUGUAUAUGUGAGUCAAGUGAAGGACAAAGGGAUCCGGUACACUUGGGUGUGCGUUGAUAAGGUCCACCAUAGAGACUACUCAUCAUGAUUUACUAAAGUUUAGUAAAUAUGGUUAUGCUUACAAGUUUAAGUGUGAUUCUUAAGCUUUGGAAAAGUUUCAAUGUAAGGCAGAACGAAUAAGAAGAAUCAAAUUAGGCUGGAAGAUAAAAGUUUCUCAAAUCUGAAAAGAUGGGAGAGUACUUUAGUAUCAUGUUUCUAUUAUCAUCUUAAUGAUUGUGACACCAUAUCACAAUUCAUCCUCUAAGGAAAUCUUAGUGCAUUCUUAUGGCUAACAAGAGGAGUCAUGAGUCGUUGAAAUGGUUAAAUCAAGAAUAUGAGUCAUACUUCGUUCCAAAGUAAGUCUUAGAUUGUAACUUGAGUGACACAUCUUAAGAAGGUUUAAAACACUUGUCAAAUAUAGAAUGAGAUGUUUCCUAUUCUUAUACAUUUGAAAUUGGUAAGUUGUGAUGUUUUAGAUAAAACAGAGACCAACUAAGACCAAUUGUGUGAAGUGUUAUCCUGAUAAGAAUCCGCACUAACUCUUGAAUAUUUGCUUUGUCAAGUUAUGGUUCUUGACAAGAGAGUCUUAUAUGUCAAGAGGACAAUGGGAAGCUAAAAAGAGUUUUAAGAACUAAUCAAGAAUAAAACCUAUAGUUUAUCACUCGCACAUGACUUGAGGUUUAUAACCUAUCGUGUUGACAUAUUAUUAUUUAUGUGCCCGUUCCAGUUAAAGUUGGCUUUGUAUAUGAGUUCUGAGAGUUCUCAAUUGGUUGCAUAGCUAUUCAGAAGCAAUGGUAGGCCCUUGUGCUACCAGGUGGCGAGAAAUUAAGAUUGAGUUCAGUCCAUAUGAGUUUCACUUUGUCACUAACCUUGUCUUGUGAUCAUGGUUUUGACAAAUUCACAUGGAUAGGAACAGAUACACCAUAAAAUCUACGUGUCAUAAGGUUUCUCUCCGAUUCAUGAAAAUGAUGGUGAGGAAACUCUUUCACUAAGUUGAUUUAAGUGGAUAGCAAUUGUGAUGUUUGCAUUCUCAUGUCGUUAGUGGAGCGUGUGUGGUUAACCGGUACACUAACUAGUAAGAAUGGAAAAAGAUCUAGACAAACAUGUGAGCUAUCUAAGGAAAGGUGUAUGUUUUUGAUAAAGUCUUAUCAAAGCAAUCUCAUAUAAAAAAUAUGAGAUUUGGUAAGAAUGUCAAUAAAAUAUUGAUUUCUAGAAAAUCCAGUUGAUUUCUGAGUGCUUGUCAAAACUAGUAGGAGCAUAAGUGUUUUGCUAGUAGAGAUAAUAAUCGUUUUGCUAGUGGGAGCAUGAUUAUUAUGUUAAAAGUUGCAAGGUAACGAUGUUAAUUAUAGAAAACAAAAGUUUCGAUUCGCUUUGAAAAGUUUUUUUUCUAUAAUUAAGGGAGAGAAAUUUAUACUUCAUUCCAAUUCUACAAGCUUAGGUUGAGAUUUUAAUCAACUUUAGUCAUGAAUAUAUAUGAAUGUUAUGUUGGAAUGGUUCAACAUAAUGAAAUUCUAUAUAUGUUGCAUUCUUAAAAUUCGAUUAUGAUUACGACAUACCUCUUCAUAGUUUGAAUUAUGAGAACAUGGCAAAUAAAAGUUUUAUAGCAUGAAUCGUGUUCCAUAUGCUUCGGGUAUAGGUUCGAUUACAUGUGCUAUAGUAUUUAUCCAUUCUUGAAUUUUCCAAAUGCCAAGAGCAUUAAGAGGGAAAAAAGGAAUAGAACUGGAUAUGACUAAAAUGAUUAAGCAAUUGUCGAGGACAAUCUGAGGUUUACCAAAGAUUGGUUGCUCAUGGACAAUUGGAAGUAUAGAGUAAGGAUCAUAUUGACAUAUUUUGAAAAGAGGCAACUCUUGUUCAGAAGUGAUGGUCAAAAUGGGGACAUGGAAUUGUUUCCAUAGGUGGAAGUUAUUCUUUGAAUCUAUAUAAGAUUAGAGAACUUAAUGCAAGGUGGGUGUUCAAAGGAAUGUACAUUGAAUUUGAGACUACAUUUCCAUGGAAUUGCUCUCCAUUGGAAUACUUGAUAAUGUAUGUUGACAAGUCUUUGUGACUUUUGUGCAUCGUCAUUACAAGAAGGUUAUUGCAUUAAAGUUUAGAAUCUCACAUAUUAUAGUAAAUGAGAAGAGUUUGGUAUUCUUACGUACAUUAAGGAUUGGGAUUGUGAAAUGAGCAUCAUUGAAAUAUUUUCAAUAGAUCUAUUUCACCAAGUAAGGAUCAUAGAUAAACAUAGUGUGCAUACUUGGAGUAUGGCAUAGCUAUUGUUUGGAAAAACAUAGUGUGCAUGCUUGGAGCAUGCAUGACUAUUGUUUCAAUUCAAGUAGUAAGUUAAUAAAUCGAAAAAAUGAAUAAUGAGUAAUCAAUAUGGUGCAUAGAUAAAAGGAUUUUUAUUUACACUCAAAGUGUUGAGGCCAUACAAGAUUAGUAUUAUUUUUGUGUUUCACUUUGCAUGUUUUGACUUCCAGAAUAACUAGGCCAUUCUUCCCGAAUGACUAAGUUAUUCAAACUCUCCACAAUCAGUCAUACAUUGGAAGUAGGUAUUGAUUUAAGACUGUCAUGACUUUGGCUUGUAUGAUUUGUCUAAUGUGCAUUAGACGUAGCAAUGGUUGAUGCAACAUUCAUAUGUAGUCAUAAGGCCUGAGUAUUGGAUUCAACCCACGCACAUGUGAAUCACUUCAUGGAUUUUAUCACGAGUGAUCACGAGACGAUAAUAUCUUAUAUUCUUCAAACCUAGAGAUAUGAGUUGUUGACUAUGAUUUGGUUGUACAUUGAUUGUACGAAACGCAUUGGUAAUUCGAUGUUAUAAAACGUGCCUUUUGUUUAAUUAGUCUGUCGUCAUAAAUCAAACAUCGAGAAACAAAAAAUGGACAGAGAGAAUGAUUAUAAUCCAUGUAUCAGUCCAUAUGAUAUCUAGAAUGGAGGAAUAUAUGAUCACUUAUCUAAUGGACGCGUCACUGAUUUGUUCAGAGUUUGGCAGCAACUUUUAAGAGCUAUGAUUUCUAGUCAGGUUAUGAAGUCAUACUCGCAAUAAUAGUUAUUAGAUUUAUCCAAGUGGGAGACUAUUGGAUUAGUGUCAAAGUCCAUAACUAUAUUUGGUAUAUACUUAACCCGACCCGGCAUGGUCCAUUUGGGUUGCAUGGCAUCAGAAUAUUAGGAUAGACCUUGUAAUGAGAAGAAUAUAUUUGCGACAUAUUAAUAUAUUAUAAGUUCUAAUAUAUUAAUAUGAAAUUAUAUUAUUUAGUUAGUAUUGAUCAAGAAUUAAUUUGGAAUUAACUUAGUGAUCAAAAAGAGACUAAUUAAAUAUAUCGGGAUUGAUUGUGUAAAUCAUUGAUUCUUAUAUAUGUGGGCUUAUGAUCCAUGAUUCCUUAUGUUGGGUUUAACCCAUAUGGUGGCCCAUGGAUACUCCAUGUAGGUUAAAACCCAUGGAGCAUAAGGAAUGGGUAAAGUCAUGGGUUACAUGGUGUAACCCUAUUGUACGCACUAUAUAAGGACCCCAUUGUUGAUGAAAAUUGGCACUAGUGUAUACACAAGACGGCAAGGCAAUUUAUAUGCACUCAUAUCUUCUCUCAUGGUUAUUCCUAAUGUUCAUGGUGUUGCGUGAACCAUUUGAGAUGUCACACUUGGAGCACAAGGCUCUUGAGCUCCAUGGAAUCAAGCACCAAUAAAGAGGUAUGUAAUUCUACUAGUUUUUAUAUUAUAUGUACUUUAUAUGAUGCUAGUUAGAACAAUACAUUGGAAAAUUGAUAGUUGCACGUAUAAUAGAGAAAAUAUAGAUCCAAAGUAUUUAGGGUUGCAUGUACACCAUAGGAGUGUCAUAAUUCUCAUAACCCAACAAAAGAGUCCAUAGGUUUCUAUUGCCAAAGAAAGGGGCAUUGGUUGCGAAGCUGCCAAACUACCUGAAAGAUCUGAGAGAAGGUCAAGUCAAAAGUUUGACUCUACUUCAAGUAAGGUCCACUGUCUAACUCUAUUAAGUUCCUAUCUAGAGAUUCUUAUUAGAUAAUGUGACUGGGUCACAUGUUGAGGUUUUAAGAAACAAAUAAAAGACGGGAAGCUUAAAGGAAGUAUAUGUUGAUUCUGAUCGCGAACAUGGAUUUCGAUUACAUGGUUCGGUGACCAAAAUUUUCAGCUAUUGCUUAAAACUUAUGAUAUAUUGCUUAGGAAUAGGUAACAAUAAGUUUUUCAUAUGCAAUAUAAGGAUAUGUUUUUCCGCAAAGUUUUAAAUUAAAAGAAAAAAAGGUUUUAAUUUUAUUAUUUUCAAAUAUCCUUACAAUGGCAUUAGUGAGAAAUUGUUGCUUAUAUGAUUCCAUUAAUAGCAAUAUUGGAAAAUGGAUUUGAUUCUUUCAUUGGUGGUAGCGUCUAAAUUUACCAAACAAGGAAAGAUUCUCAUCACCCAAGUUUCAAAUUAGACCAAAACUUGGAAUCACGCAAGUUGUACAGUAUGAUGAAUGAGAACUUUCAGCUUUGGAAAAUUAAGACUAAUUCCUUAUGUGAACAAGGAAAUGACUAAAGGGAUCGAGUACACAUUCUUGUGCACUGAUCAAGUCCACCACAAAAUAUCGAUAAGACUAUUCGUCAUGUUUUACUUAAUUUUAGUAAAUAUGAUUAUACUUACAAGUUUAAGUAUAAUUCUGAAGCAUUGGAAAAAGUUUCGAUGUGUGGCAGAACGAUGAGAAGAAUCAAUUUAGACAGAAAGAUAAAAGUUUCUCAAAUCUGAAAAGAUGGGAGAGUACUUUAGUAUCAUGUUUUGUGAUUAUCUUAAUGAUUAAGAGACCAUAUCAUAAUUCAUCCUCUAAGGACAUCUUAGUGUAUUCUUAUGGCCAAGAAGAGGAGUCAUGAAUUGUUGAAAUGGUUAAAUUAAGAAGAUGAGUCAUACUUCGUUCCAAAACAAGUCUUAGAGUCAUACUCCAAGACUGUAACUUGAGUGACAUAUCUUAAAGAAGGCUUAUUAACACUAGUCAAAUGUAAGAGUAAAGUGUUUUCUAUUCUUGCACAUUAGAAAUUGGUAAGUUGUGAAUUUUUGGAUAAAACAAAGACCAACUAAGGCCAAUUGUGUGAAGUGUUUGUCUUGAGAAAGAAUCUGCACUAUCUCUUGAAUAUUUGGCAAGAUAGUCUUAUAUUUCAAGAGGAGAGUGGGAGUCUUAAAGAUCCUGAAAGAAUUCCAAUAUCUAAUCAAGAAUAUAUUGUUGUAUUAUGUGUCUAAGCCCAUAACUGUAAUUGGUAUGUACUUGAAUUGAUAGCAGCACAGUCCUUUUGGGUUGCCCUCAAACCUAUAACCGGACAAGGAAAUUAUAAAAGGACAGAUAUCGAUUUAGUAUAAGAUUAAUAAAUUAAUAUAAAUGAUUUAUUAAUAUGUUAAAAGACUAAAAUAUUAAUUAGAAAUCAUAAUGUUUAAUUAAUUGUUAGCCAUAAAUCAAUUAGAAUUAAUUUUAGGGUUAAGUGUAUUAACUAUAAAUUAUAGGGACUAGUUUGCAAUUAUCUAAUAGUUGAGUGGAUAGUUCCAGAACCUCCUUGGAAGGGGGUGGACGAAAUCUAUAGGGGAAACCCUAAUGAUUUCGUCCAAGGGGCUUAGAUAAGGCCUUUGGAUAAACAGAGGCCCCAAGCAAAGGAACAUUAGGGUCUUCCUUUAACCCUAGAUCCUUCAGCUAUAUAUGGAGCCUCCUAGCAACUAAAAUCGGCUAUUGUAACAACCCGUUAUCCCGGGCAUUAUAAACCGAGUCUUGUAACCCUUUUUGAAUAUAAUGGGAAUAUCAUCGAUAAAUGAAUUGUUCAAAAGCUCUGGUUUGGAGUACACUAUGUAGUAGAUAUCGUCUUAAAGGUUCCAAAUAAAUAAAGAAACACUAAAAUCUGAGUUAUGGCGAAGAAGCUAUGACCAUUCUAAGAUUUCUGUCAAAACCGACAACACCGAUCAAACGAAAAACGCAAAGUUUCAAUACGAUAACAUUUAGCCUUAGGUAUCUAAAUGAAAGUCAUAGAUAACAUUAAACCGUGAGCGUACACAAAAAGAACGUCCAAAUCUGACUUCGCAUGAGGAAGUUAUGAUUUUUCAAAGAAAUUCCUUAAAAGCGAUUAGUUAUAAAAUAAAUAAUAAAAAUAAUUUUUGGAAUUUGCCAACGGAGUCUAAACGAAAGUUGUAGAUCGUAGUCUCACCUACGCGUGGAUAUAAAGACCAUCGAAAACGGAGUUCGUAUGAAGAAGAUAUGGAUUUUUGAAGUUUAUUAAAUAAAUUAAUUAUUUAUUUAAUUCAAAAUUCGGAUAUUAUCCGAAGAGGAGUCAGCGUCCUUCUCCGAAGUACGCGCUGCGUACUCCUGUACGCCCCGCGUAACCGAGAGGAUUGGCCUCGGAUCGUCCACGUCGCCAUAUCCGAGGAAGCCGACCCGUCCGACCCGUCCGACCCGACGUCCCAUCCGACCCGGCGUCCCAUCCGACCCACCUCCCCAGCAACCCGUCCCAUCCGACCCGAUAACCCAAGAACCCGUCCCAUCCGAACCGAGGCAGUCGAGGCUUCGGUCAUGCAUGACGUACGCGUACGCAGCGCGUACGAGCGUACGCCCCGCGUACCGAGGCAGACUUGCCUUCCUAUAAAUAGAAUGCGAGGGUUUCCAAAGAAAGGGUUCAUUUCUCUUCUCUCUCUCUCAGCAUUUCCUCGUUUUCCGUGUCCGUUCAAACCCGAAGCUCUGGUCUUUUUGGCUCAAGUCCCGAAGGCCGAUUCUACUCCCGAGAUUCCCGAGAAUCCCAAGAAAAAUCAGUUUCCCGAGACGAAACUCUGCUCGGUUUUCCACCUCACAAUCUUCAAACUAUCAAGUGAGUUCAUAUCCCCUUUGAACACUCUUUAAAUACAUUUUAAAUGUUUUAUACUCUUUUUGGGGAGGAAUACAAGUUAACACAUGACUAAAUUCGUGUGAAACAUUAACCUUUUGAUAUACUUUUCAUACUGUUGUUUUAACUAUCUUGUGAAGUUAUUAUGAUACAAAACCCCUCACAACACAGCUUUACCCUCUUUGGGAUAUAAUAUGUUUAUAAAUAGAAAUAUGUUUUAUUUAUACGUUUACAUACAAACACAUCAUAUCAAGGGUAACAUUCUUUACUAAGUCAUUUCAUGCAUUCAAAGAACUUAUGAUUAUGCUUUGUCAAACAUUGUGAAAGAGGUUAAACUUUGCAUACAAACUACUACCUUAUUACGGACUUAGUUGAGAAUCCAUGAGUCGUGUAUAUCUUCAAACGUUACUUUCUUUAUUAGAAAAUAAUGCUACAAGUCCUGUCUAUAACCAGAGUCUCCCGUUCGGAGAACGUGUCAAAUGUGUAUAGAUCUAUACGGGAAGUCAUGAUCCCGCGCCCUGACUGUUAGCUACAGUCCGUCUUUUGGGGUGACAGUUGUCAUAACGCUACGACGCCUGAAGAACGUCGCUACAGGCAUAUUAUGUUUAGUAUGGUUAUAAAACUCAUCGGAUAUACAAUUAUUAUGGUAUUAUGCUUUUAUGAACGAGUAGUCAUUAAAACUAUUCUUCAUCUAAUAAGUGCGAUCUUCGUAUAGCUUUACUAUGUAAAACUAUGACACAACUUACAAGCACGUCGCUUGCUUGCGAUUUUCGGUCUUAGAGACUGCCAGUUAUGUCAGGGAAAUAAGGGUUUUUCCUGUAUACAAACCAAACAACUAAUAGGAAAAUAAGGGAUUUUCUCGGUACAAUUAGUUGCAAUUUACAUCACGAACAUUCAUAUGCAUUGCAUACUUUUAUAAGAAAAUAAGGGUUUUUCUGGAAAACAUGCAAACACUUUCGAAUGGCAUACAUCUUCUCAAAACACUACUUAUGAACUCACCAACUUAAAUGUUGACACUUUUUCUUUGAAAUAACUUGUAUUCACAGGAAACCGCUAGCCAGGUAGCAACUACUUCUGAAGACUAACGCAUUGGCGUUAGUAACAUAUUUUGGAUCACCAUUUUAUAUUUGAUUUCUUUUGCAAACAUGUAACACCUACAAUCAUGUAAACUUUUCAAACAUAUUUAUAUUAUGGUGGUGUGUACUUUCCUUUCUAUGAACUGUUAUGAUACUGAAUAUGACGUCCUCCGCCCCCGAACGAUUCCGCCGUUCUGGUUUGGGGGUGUGACAGAUUGGUAUCAGAGCUUCGUUUAUAGUGAAUUAAGUAUAUCAAAACCUUUUUUUUUAUACAACUAUAAACUCAACUGGGCAAAAACACUCUGAGAAGAGUCAUGCUUUUGAAAUUAAAUCUAUUUAGUUUUUGUAAGUAAGCAUGCAUUCAUUUAGUAAUAAAUAACAGUUCCACAUCGUACCAUAUUAGAAGUAUUAUUAAUGAGUUGUGCAGUACAGGUACGCCUUGGGACAUGUAAUCGGAACUGGGAAGGAUAUAGCCUGAUCAACUAUAUUUGUCCGAGAGCCGACUAACGUGUGCCGAGGGGUGUCUGCAGUGGACAACAAAUUUUAAAAACUUACCAAACCGUUAUUAGAAUCAAACACAAUAAUUUAAAUGCUAUAGGAGUAAUUGCUAUUUAAACUAACUUACAUGUUUUGCAUGUUCCGACUUUAUUCAAUUCUUAUGACCCUAUUUCUCGUACAGUCAAAUGGCUGGAUUUCACCACCCCAAUGACCCCUACUUUCCCAACCAAGGCAACGGAGGAUGGAUCGAAGAUGAUCCAGAAGAGGAUGAGGAACCCAUAGAAUUGGGUGAUGACUCCGGUACUGACUCAGAACCUGAAGUGAUCGAUCCACCACCCAUUCAACCUCCUGUCCAUGUGAGGAACUUCCAAGGACCCACUCCCGUCUGGGGAAGUCACCUACAUCAUUGGAGCCAACAACAAGGCAUACGCCCUCCCUACGGCAUGUGUCGGGACUUCUACGAUGUCCGCGGUGGCAGUUCGGCUGAUCGAGCACUCCCGGUAAUGGUUGGUAAGUUAGCCAAUCAGUCCUAUCAGUCCGGAGUACAAGCAAGCCGACUCCGGGAUAUCAACGUGGAAGUGCAGGUUCACACUUCCGAUAUCCGUAGACUGGACAAGAUACAAGAUAAUGUCCAACUCCAGUCUGAGGCAUUUCAGGCACAGAUAAUUGCAGCCCUAGCCGAGUUAAGGGAGCAACAAGCCGCUUUUGAUCGACGCCUAAUGGAAUCGAAGCAAUCAGAUGCGGAGUCAAGCUCCAAGCGCAACCUACGUCGCAAGUAGUGCCUGCCAGGAUUUCAAAUUUUGUUAUAAAUUAGGACUUCGGAUAAGAAUUUCCUUUUCGUUAAAACUUUCUGUAAUCGGAGACCUUUAGAAAGGUCAAAAAGUUUUGUCUAAACUCGGAUGUAACACGACUAUAUGUUUUAUAUAUAUGGGGCAUCCCCCCCUUCUCUGAUUUUAAAUAUGUGUAUUCCGUUCAACUCAUAAGUGCAUCCAUUCAAACGUUAUUAAUAAAUCAAGCUCAAAACCCAUUGUUGAUCAAACCAAAUUCUUAAUCUAUUUAAGGCAGUUAACUCAAUAUCAUUCAACUUUGAACUGCCAAAACUUAUAAUUUUCUUCCAUAUUUUUCUUUUGGCAGCAAGAUGCCUCCUCGUCCAAACUUAAGGCCCAGGCCGGGCACGGCACCACCACCACCUCCACCACCAGCUUAUGAUCCGGCCAUGGUUCAGGCUGCUAUCACAGCAGCGGUAACCGCAGCCCUCUCGCAAAUAAACUCUCAAGGGAAUGGAGGGGCGGGAAGCAGCACGAAUCAUCCAAAUCAUGGCACUGGUCAUGGCCAAGGAAGAGAAUGUACCUACAAGGAGUUCUCUAACGCUAAACCAAAAACUUUUAAUGGAACAGGAGGAGUCAUUGCACUAAUGCAAUGGUUCGAAAAGACCGAAACGGUCUUCGAGAUCUGCUCGUGCCAAGAAACAAGCAAGGUUAAGUUCGCUGCUUGCACCUUCAUAGAUCGAGCCCUCACUUGGUGGAAAAGCCAUGUGAACUCAGUGACGCUCACUGUCGCUAACGCCAUGAGUUGGGAAGAACUGAAGGUACUACUACUGGAAGAAUACUGCCCAAGGGGUGAAGUGCAAAAGCUUGAGCAGGAACUCUGGAAUUUGAAAAUGGUCGGGUCUGACCUAGUCGCUUACACAGCUAGGUUCAACGAUCUCGCUGCUUUGUGCCCUACCAUGGUCAACCCAGAAUCAAAGAAGGUCGAAAGGUACAUUUGGGGGUUGUCACCCCAGAUUCAAGGGCAUGUCCUAGCCUCCAACCCUAUCACCUACAACAGCGCUAAACGCCUGGCGCAACGACUCAUCGAUCACGGAGCGAAACAGAGUACCAUCACAACAGCCGCAAAUCCACCUAGGGAGGCUCAGGGACAGAGUAGGCCUUGGAACAAGAGGAGGGGACAAAUCCUCCAGGAGAACCCCAAGAAACAACAAGUGAUAGCGACCCACGCUAUUACUGUACCUACCAACUCUGCCCCCACAAGUUCAUACAAUGGAAAGCUACCGAAAUGUAACCAGUGCAACUUCCACCAUCACGGUCUCUGUCAUGGCCUUCAAUGCACCAGGUGCAAUAAGAAGGGUCAUACAGCCCGCUAUUGCAAGGAGCCAACCCAACAAUCCGCCCCCACUGCUAAUACCGGAGUAAGCCGCGCUUGCUUUGAGUGCGGGAGCACAGGGCACUACCGCAAGGACUGCCCGAAGGCAAACAACAGGAAUACCGGCGGAAGAGGCCGAGUUUUCGCAAUGGGACAAGAUGAAGCCAUUGCGGACCCUACUGUUGUUACGGGUACGUUUCUUCUCGAUAACUCGUAUGCAUGCAUUUUGUUUGAUAGUGGAGCGGAAAGGAGUUUUGUGAGUCACGACUUUAAAAGCAUGCUAAAACCAAUACCACAAUCAUUAAGUGAACCGUUCAUAGUAGAAAUGGCCAACGGGAAAACUGAAGGCACUAAAGAGAUAUACUUAAACUGCACCCUAACUCUAAACGAUAAUCCCUUUCAAAUCAACCUCAUGCCAGUCUCGAUUAAGAGUUUCGAUGUCAUCAUUGGCAUGGAUUGGCUGAGUUCACAUCGUGCGGACAUUCUAUGUUACGAUAAGGCCGUUCGCCUUAAUCUGCCAACCGGCGAAACCUUCCUUGUCUUGGGCGACAAACCUAGUACCACUCUUAGAAUCAUCUCAAGUAUCCAAGCUCAGAAGCACUUACGAAAGGAGUGUCACGCAUUUCUUGCACAUGUUGUAGACGUGAAACGCGAAGUCCGGGACAUCAAGGAUGUGCCCGACGUAUGCGAUUUUCCCGAUGUGUUUCCCGAGGACCUUCCAGGGAUACCACCCGUAAGACAAGUCGAAUUCAGAAUCGAUCUGAUUCCCGGAGCUACCCCAGUAGCCAAAGCACCCUAUCGAUUAGCCCCGGCAGAGAUGCAGGAGCUAUCCAGUCAACUGAAUGAACUACUGGGAAAAGGAUUCAUCAGACCGAGCUUCUCACCAUGGGGAGCACCCGUGUUGUUUGUGAAAAAGAAAGAUGGAUCGUUCAGAAUGUGCAUCGACUACAGAGAACUCAACAAACUGACGGUCAAGAAUCGUUAUCCUCUACCGCGCAUAGAUGAUCUAUUCGACCAACUGCAAGGGGCGAACUAUUUUUCUAAGAUUGAUCUGAGAUCCGGGUAUCACCAGUUACGAGUGCUAGAGGAGGAUGUGCCGAAGACCGCCUUCCGAACUCGUUACGGACAUUACGAGUUCGUGGUGAUGCCAUUCGGAUUGACCAAUGCGCCCGCAGUCUUCAUGGAUCUGAUGAAUAGAGUAUGCCGACCUUACUUGGAUCAGUUCGUCAUCGUUUUCAUUGACGACAUCCUGAUCUACUCCCGAAGUAAGAAAGAACAUGGCGAUCAUCUGCGACAAGUUCUAGGGAUAUUACGAAAAGAGAAACUUUAUGCGAAGUUCUCGAAAUGUGAAUUUUGGAUCCGAAGAGUCGAAUUCUUAGGACACGUGGUAAGCGAAGAGGGAAUCCACGUGGACCCAUCCAAAAUUAAGGCCAUUGAGAACUGGUCAGCACCGAAGACUCCUACAGAAAUUCGCCAAUUUCUAGGUCUCGCUGGCUACUACCGCAGGUUCAUUCAGAACUUCUCACGAAUAGCGAAGCCUCUUACAACCCUAACCCAGAAAGGUGUGGCCUUUGACUGGGAAGAGAAACAAGAAAGAGCGUUCCAAACGCUCAAACGAGCCUUGUGCACCGCACCAAUACUAUCCCUUCCCGAAGGAAUAGAAGACUUCGUAGUUUAUUGCGAUGCAUCAAACCAAGGACUCGGAUGUGUUCUGAUGCAGCGAGGUAAGGUCAUCGCCUACGCCUCGAGACAGUUGAAAACACAUGAGGUUAACUACACGACCCACGAUCUUGAGCUAGGAGCAGUAGUGUUUGCCCUGAAGAUCUGGAGACAUUACUUGUAUGGAACGAAGAGCACUAUCUUUACCGACCACAAGAGCUUACAACACAUUUUCGAUCAGAAGGAGCUCAACAUGAGACAACGGCGAUGGGUCGAGCUACUCAGUGAUUACGAAUGCGAUAUUCGCUAUCAUCCGGGAAAGGCAAACGUCGUAGCCGAUGCCCUUAGUCGAAAGGAGUACUCAGGCCGGAGAGUGAAGUCAUUAGCUAUGUCGAUCCAUUCGCACCUAUCAACGCAAGUCAAGGAAGCUCAAUUAGAGGCCUUGAAACCCGAAAACGUGGCAGGUGAGGCCCUUAGGGGAAUGGACAAGAACUUAGAAAUCAAGAGUGACGGAGCACGCUACCUCAUGAACCGGAUCUGGACACCAAAGUUUGGGGGAUUCAGAGAGGUAGUUAUGAGCGAGGCACACAGGACCCCAUACUCCGUACACCCAGGGUCAGACAAGAUGUAUCUAGAUCUCAAGCAACUCUACUGGUGGCCAAACAUGAAAGCGGAGAUCGCUACGUAUGUGGGCAAGUGUUUAACUUGCGCCAAAAUAAAAAUAGAACACCAAAAACCCUCAGGCCUACUCCAACAACCUGAAAUACCUGAGUGGAAAUGGGAGCAGAUUUCCAUGGACUUCAUAACCAAACUGCCCAAAACUCAGAGUGGCCAAGAUACUAUUUGGGUAAUCGUCGACAGAUUAACCAAGUCAGCCCAUUUCUUACCUAUCAAGGAAACCGAUAGGAUGGAAAAACUAUCAAGAACCUACAUCCGGGAGAUCGUACGACUUCAUGGAGUACCAAUGUCCAUCAUCUCAGAUAGAGACAGCAGGUUCACUUCCAGAUUUUGGCAAUCACUGCAAAAAUCCAUGGGAACAAGGUUGGACAUGAGUACAGCAUACCACCCUCAAACUGACGGACAGAGUGAGAGGACGAUCCAAACCUUGGAAGACAUGUUGCGAGCAUGUGUAAUCGACUUUGGCAAGGCAUGGGAUAUUCACUUGCCUUUGGUCGAGUUCUCUUAUAACAAUAGUUAUCAUACUAGUAUCAAGACCGCUCCGUUCGAAGCCCUUUACGGCCGUAAGUGCAGAUCACCCCUGUGCUGGACGGAAGUGGGCGACACCCAAUUGGCAAAAGGUCUAGUCACUAAAAGCACCCUUACUGGUCCAGAGAUCAUCAGAGAAACUACCGAAAAGAUCGUGCAAAUACGAGAACGACUGAAGUCCUCAAGGGAUAGGCAAAAGAGCUAUGCCGACAGGAGACGUAAACCCUUGGAAUUCCAGAUUGGCGACCGUGUGCUACUGAAGGUCUCACCCUGGAAAGGCAUGAUACGCUUUGGGAAGCGUGGAAAGCUAAAUCCCAGGUACAUUGGACCCUUCGAAAUCAUUUCGAGAGUUGGUCCAGUGGCCUACAAACUCCAACUUCCAAUCGAGCUUAACAAAGUGCAUCCAGUAUUCCACGUGUCGAACCUGAAAAAGUGUUUGUCCGACGAAACACUUGUAAUUCCACUCGAUGAAAUCGCGUUAAACGAAAAUCUCAACUUUGUGGAAGAACCCGUCGAGAUCAUGGAUAGGGAAGUUAAAAGGACCAAGCAGAGUCGCAUUCCAAUAGUAAAAGUUCGAUGGAAUGCUAAGAGAGGACCCGAAUUCACAUGGGAACGGGAAGACCAAAUGCUACAGAAGUAUCCGCAUCUCUUCCUCAGCCCCUAAAACUCUUACCUUGUAUUAAAUUUCGGGACGAAAUUCCGUUUAACGGGGGGAUGAUGUAACAACCCGUUAUCCCGGGCAUUAUAAACCGAGUCUUGUAACCCCUUUUGAAUGUAAUGGGAAUAUCAUCGAUAAAUGAAUUGUUCAAAAGCUCUGAUUUGGAGUACGCUAUGUAGUAGAUAUCGUCUUAAAGGUUCCAAAUAAAUAAAGAAACACUAAAAUCUGAGUUAUGGCGAAGAAGCUAUGACCAUUCUAAGAUUUCUGUCAAAACCGACAACACCGAUCAAACGAAAAACGCAAAGUUUCAAUACGAUAACAUUUAGCCUUAGGUAUCUAAAUGAAAGUCAUAGAUAACAUUAAACCGUGAGCGUACACAAAAAGAACGUCCAAAUCUGACUUCGCAUGAGGAAGUUAUGAUUUUUCAAAGAAAUUCCUUAAAAACGAUUAGUUAUAAAAUAAAUAAUAAAAAUAAUUUUGGAAUUUGCCAACGGAGUCUAAACGAAAGUUGUAGAUCGUAGUCUCACCUACGCGUGGAUAUAAAGACCAUCGAAAACGGAGUUCGUAUGAAGAAGAUAUGGAUUUUUGAAGUUUAUUAAAUAAAUUAAUUAUUUAUUUAAUUCAAAAUUCGGAUAUUAUCCGAAGAGGAGUCAGCGUCCUUCUCCGAAGUACGCGCUGCGUACUCCUGUACGCCCCGCGUAACCGAGAGGAUUGGCCUCGGAUCGUCCACGUCGCCAUAUCCGAGGAAGCCGACCCGUCCGACCCGUCCGACCCGACGUCCCAUCCGACCCGGCGUCCCAUCCGACCCACCUCCCCAGCAACCCGUCCCAUCCGACCCGAUAACCCAAGAACCCGUCCCAUCCGAACCGAGGCAGUCGAGGCUUCGGUCAUGCAUGACGUACGCGUACGCAGCGCGUACGAGCGUACGCCCCGCGUACCGAGGCAGACUUGCCUUCCUAUAAAUAGAAUGCGAGGGUUUCCAAAGAAAGGGUUCAUUUCUCUUCUCUCUCUCUCAGCAUUUCCUCGUUUUCCGUGUCCGUUCAAACCCGAAGCUCUGGUCUUUUUGGCUCAAGUCCCGAAGGCCGAUUCUACUCCCGAGAUUCCCGAGAAUCCCAAGAAAAAUCAGUUUCCCGAGACGAAACUCUGCUCGGUUUUCCACCUCACAAUCUUCAAACUAUCAAGUGAGUUCAUAUCCCCUUCGAACACUCUUUAAAUACAUUUUAAAUGUUUUAUACUCUUUUUGGGGAGGAAUACAAGUAAACACAUGACUAAAAUCGUGUGAAACAUUAACCUUUUGAUAUACUUUUCAUACUGUUGUUUUAACUAUCUUAUGAAGUUAUUAUGAUACAAAACCCCUCACAAUACAGCUUUACCCUCUUGGGAUAUAAUAUGUUUAUAAAUAGAAAUAUGUUUUAUUUAUACGUUUACAUACAAAUACAUCAUAUCAAGGGUAACAUUCUUUACUAAGUCAUUUUAUGCAUUCAAAGAACUUAUGAUUUAUGCUUUGUCAAACAUUGUGAAAGAGGUUAAACUUUGCAUACAAACUACUACUUUAAUACAGACUUAGUUGAGAAUCCAUGAGUCGUGUAUAUCUUCAAACGUUACUUUCUUUAUUAGAAAAUAAUGCUGCAAGUCCUGUCUAUAACCAGAGUCUCCCGUUCGGAGAACGUGUCAAAUGUGUAUAGAUCUAUACGGGAAGUCAUGAUCCCGCGCCCUGACUGUUAGCUACAGUCCGUCUUUUGGGGUGACAGUUGUCAUAACGCUACGACGCCUGAAGAACGUCGCUACAGGCAUAUUAUGUUUAGUAUGGUUAUAAAACUCAUCGGAUAUACAAUUAUUACGGUAUUAUGCUUUUAUGAACGAGUAGUCAUUAAAACUAUUCUUCAUAUAAUAAGUGCGAUCUUCGUAUAGCUUUACUAUGUAAAACUAUGACACAACUUACAAGCACGUCGCUUGCUUGCGAUUUUCGGUCUUAGAGACUGCCAGUUAUGUCAGGGGAAUAAGGGUUUUUCCUGUAUACAAACCAAACAACUAAUAGGAAAAUAAGGGAUUUUCUCGGUACAAUUAGUUGCAAUUUACAUCACGAACAUUCAUAUGCAUUGCAUACUUUUAUAAGAAAAUAAGGGUUUUUCUGGAAAACAUGCAAACACUUUCGAAUGGCAUACAUCUUCUCAAAACACCACUUAUGAACUCACCAACUUAAAUGUUGACACUUUUUCUUUGAAAUAACUUGUAUUCUCAGGAAACCGCUAGACCAGGUAGCAACUACUUUUGAAGACUAACGCGCUGGCGUUAGUAACAUAUUUUGGAUCACCAUAUUGUAUUUGAUUUCUUUUGCAAACAUGUAACAUAUACAAUCAUGUAAACUUUUCAAAUAUAUUUAUAUUAUGGUGGUGUGUACUUUCCUUUCUAUGAACUGUUAUGAUACUGAAUAUGACGUCCUCCGCCCCCGAACGUUUCCGCCGUUCAGGUUUGGGGGUGUGACAGCUAUUCCUACCUUGGUGAAACCCUAGGGCCAAAAACUGUAUACCCUACUAUCUCUCCUUCAAUUUUCCUUCUUGCUAGUUAUUGGGUGUGACUCCAUUAGAGGCAUUACAUUUGUGUUGCUAAGCUUCCAAGAAGAUCAAGAUCAAAAGGAUUACCAAUUGUUUGCUACAACAAUUGAAAGGUAUGUAACUCUUCAACCUUAUUGAGUUAAUUUCAAAAAUAGCCUCUUUCCUUAGGUUUCUUGUUUUGCAAUUUAAAGUUAUAUGUUCAAUAGUUAAAACAUAGAUCCAAAGUAGGUUGCAUGUGAACUUAGGAAUUAUUUUCUAGUUUAUUUGUUUUACCUAAAACUCAUCAGUGGUAUCAGAGACAUUUUUUUGUUUUAAAUUGAAUUACUAUAAUAGUUGAAUUGAAAAUUAGGGUUUACAGCUAUUAAACCCUAAAAGGCCAUUGUUUCGUUUUUAGGGUUUUUGGUUCAAAGGGUUUUUCAAAAAACCCUGGCCUCCAUGAACCCUAAUCGAAAUUAAUGUUAGGGUUUUGGAAAACCCUAGCCUCUUCCCUUGAUUUUCGAAAUUUGCUUCUUAUUUUAGGGUUUUAUCUUAUUUUGGAUAAUUAUUGCUUUAUUGGAUAAUUAUUGCCUAAUUGGAUAAUUAAGAAAAAUAAAGAAAUUAUCCUUUACCCUAAUUUUCGAAAUCUAGAGGGAUAAGGAUUAGGAUUAAAUUAAUUGUUUAAUUUGAUUAGAUAAUCCAUACAAGAUUUAAUAAAUUAAUUAAAAGCUAAUUAAUAGAUAAUUAUUAAACGUAGUUAUUUGGUUUAUUUUAAAUUUAAAAUUAAUAGUUUAUUUUUCGAAAUUUAUAUAAACUUUAAAGUUUUAAAAGUUAAAAACACACCUUAUAUAUGUAUUAUAAAUAAAAGUUAAAUAUUAUAUAUAUAUAUAUAUAACAUAUAUCGUCAGUCAAAUCGCUAGUAUGCCUCAUUCACGAAGUUAGUCUAUAAGGGGGGUAUAAGGAAACUGCCUAUAAAAUGAUAGUUGAAUGGGUGUCCACUCUCACCCACCGCUUCCUUGAUUAGUUGAGGGUCGUUAGCAGAACGGAUUUGAUAGGACAACUACAUCUUGUUAAAAGUUUAAUAUUAUUAAAGAAAGUACUAGAAUAUUAUUUUACAAAAAUCCUAACUCUAGUUACUUUUGGUAAAAUGUGAAAAGUAUGCUAGUCCAUGCAAUUGCACAUUAUGCUUUAUUGGUCGUUAGUGGAGCAUGUGUGGUUCACCAGCACACUAAUAGGCACUAAUAAAGAGUAGUAACGGGUAUCUCAUAACUAUCAUUUUGAUGGAGCGUGUGUCGUUUACCGGCACAUUUGCGAGGUUAUUCACAUCUUGUUUGUGAUCCUCGGUAUCCCAGUCACAAAUAGAAGAGCAUAAUCUGAUAUUAAAACAUGCCAUUGAAUAGUUCAAUGUAUCUCAAAAGGAAUUAGGAAUUUCACUUCAUUUGGUUCAUCUUAUGGUGGAAUUGGUAAAUCGUCAUUCACCUACCUUGAUGAAAUUUACACUUGGAUCUUGGCAUCCCAUUUCUAAGUUGUGAAUCAUCAUAGUUGGAUCCUAACCUUGAUAUUGUAUUUUUUGGGUUACUAUAUUAAGGUGUCUUGAAAUCUAACUAAAACUAUCUUUCUUUUCAGAUGUCUACUCCUGGAAACACUUCUGCUUCCUCAUCCUCCAGCGACAACUUCUCUUUACUCAACAUUUGCUCCAAAGUCGUUAUGGAUGGCUCUAACUAUAACGAUUGGAUGCGUAACAUCAAGAUGGCGCUUCGAUUUGAUGACAAAGAUUAUGUCCUUGAAAAGGAGCUCAAAGAACUUGAUGAAUCCAAAGCCACUCCCGAAGAAUAUGUUGCCUAUAAGAAGCACUAUUAUGAUGCUACCAAGGUGGCAUGCGUCAUGGUCGCAACCAUUUCCCCAGAACUACAAAGGUACUAUGAGGACUACUGGCGUUUUGAGAUGAACAAGGACCUUAUGGAAAAGCAGCAUAAGCAAUCUCGUCAAGAAAAGUUUGAAGUAGUCAAGUCACUCAUGGCUUGCAAGAUUAAAGAAGGAGAGUCGGUUGUAUCUCAUGUGCAAAGAAUGCAACGCUACAUAGAGUGUUUGGUCAAGCUCAACAUUCAAUUUGAUGAGGAAUUGGCCAUUGACAUGGUCUUAAACUCAUUGCCUGAUUGUUAUGGUCUGUUUAUCCUAACUUACCAUUUGAACAACACUAAGCAGACACUGGCCCAAUUGCACAACUUGUUGCAGACUACUGAAGCAGGGAUGAAGGGUAAAAGUAUAGCCUCCACUCCUGCAAGUGCUCCUAUCUCAGCUAUUGGACAAGAAAAGGGGAAAAAGAGGAAAGGUCCUCCUAAUAAACCUGGGAGGGAAAGGUCCAAGUUGGGUCAUCUAGCGGCCAAAGGCUAUGCCCAAUGCUACCAUUCCCCAUGUUUCUGAUCCAAAGGAUGCUAUUUACUUUUAUUGCAAUACAAAAGGGCAUUGGAAGAGAACCUGUCCACAAUAUCUGCAGGAUAUCAAAGAUGGCAAAGUGAAGCCAUCUUCGGCAGGUAUUUACACUAUUUCUUCUAAUAACUCAUUAUCUUCUCGUUCAUGGGUCCUUGAUACAGGAUGUGGUUUUCACAUUUGAUCUAAUUUGCAGGGGCUAAAGGAAUGUGAGGAGAUAGAGUGAGGGAGGAUAAACUUGAUCAUGAGAAACAAGAAGUAUUCAACAGUGACCAAGAUUAGAGUUUAUCAACUUUUGCUUAGUAAUGAUGUUAGAUUAGAUUUAUUGAAUUAUUGCUAUUCGUAUGAGAUGACGAGAAACAUUAUUUCAUUUCAUGCAUUGUUCAGACAAGGUUUUAAAUAUUCUUUUAAUGAUUUGAAUGUUUCAGUUUAUGUUUAUAAGAAUGGUGUCUUCGUGUUUGAAGCUUUACCUUGCGAUGGUGUGUAUGUAACAGUGACUAGUGUUGAUAGCUUAGGAAAUAGUGUGUUUAAUAUUGACCUGUCUAAUAUUGUAGACUAGGCAUGCUUGUGGCAUUGUUUUCUGGGGAACAUUAACAAAAAACUCAUAGCCCAACUCCAAAAGGAUGGAGUGUUGGAAUCAUUUGACCUAAAAUUAGAUGAUAUGCGUGAAUCUUGUCUUUUGGAAAAGAUGACAAAAUCACCAUUCACAGGGUCUUGUGAAAGAGGUGAAGGUUUGUUGGACCUCAUACAUACAUAUGUUUGUGGACCCUUCAGAUCAACCACAAGAGAUGCUAAUCAAUUUUAUCUGACUUUUACUGAUGAUUAUAGUAGAUAUCGUUAUAUAUACUUAAUCAAACAUAAGUCAGAAACCUUUGAAAAGUUCAAAGAGUUUAAACAUGAGGUCAAAAAUCUAUUAGGCGGGAAAAUAAAGAUACUUAGAUCCGAUAGAGGCGGAGAGUAUCUUAGCAUUGAGUUCAACAACUAUCUAAAGGAAUGUGGGAUAGUCUCACAAGUGACUCCUCCUAGGACACCACAAUUAAAUGUUGUGGCUGAGAGGUGGAAUCGAACCUUGUUAGACAUGGUUCGUUCUAUGAUGAGUCGUGCCUUAAUUCCAAUUCAUUUCUGGGGCUAUGCCUUAGAGAUAGCCGCCCAUAUCCUUAAUCUUGUCCCGCCAAAGAAGAUUGCCAAAACACCUCACGAAAUGAGGAUAGGGAAAUUUCCCUCGUUAGCAUAUAUUAAAGUCUAGGGUUGUGAAGCUUUCAUAAGACAAGAGACUCACAAAAAGCUAGCAACAAGAAGUGAGCAAUGUGUUUUCAUUGGUUACCCAAAACAGUCUUUUAGAUAUUUGUUCUACAGACCUAGUGAGAAUGUAGUUUUUGUAGCACAGAGAGGAGUAUUUCUAGAAAGACAACUCAUAUUCAAAGAGGACAGUGGGAGUACCAUUGACCUUGAAGAGAUUCAACGGUCAACUGCUGAAAGAACCUUAGAUGACACUAGCACUCAACCAGAGGAAAUAGUUCCUGUUGAACCAGUUGUUAAAUCAUUACCUCUUCGAAGAUCCACUAGGGUGAGUGUGCCACCUGAGUUGUAUGGUUUCUAUAUUACUUCAUACGGUGACACAUUCAUCAGUGAUAGGACACUAGUGAAUUUAGAUGAACCAGUCACUUAUAAGGAAGCAAUGGCAGACCCAGAGGCUUCCAAGUGGAAAGAGGCAAUGGACAGCGAGAUAAAGUCCAUGUACGCCAACCGAGUUUGGAAUUUGGUUGAUAAUGCACCAGGUCGUAAGACAGAUGGGUGAAAAUGGAUCUUCAAGAAGAAGACAGACAUGGAUGGGAAUGUACACACAUUCAAGGCUAGACUGGUUGCGAAAGGUUUCACACAAACCCCAGGGAUUGACAAUGAUGAAACCUUCUCACCAGUAGCCAAGAUUAAAUCUACCAGGAUAUUGCUCGCCAUAGCUGCCUUUCAUGACUAUGAAAUCUGGCAGAUGGAUGUCAAGACUCCUUUCCUUAAUGGGAAACUGGCUGAGGAUGUUUACAUGAAUCAACCAAAGCGUUUUGUUGAUGCAAAGUUUCUCAAUAGAGUGUGUAAGCUUGAUAAAUCCAUUUAUGGAUUGAAACAAGCAUCUCGCAGUUGGAAUCUUUGCUUCCAUGAGAAAGUCAAAGAGUUUGGCUUCUCUAGGAGUGAAGAUGUGUUCUGUGUGUAUAUCAAGGCAAGUUGGAGUAUAAUUACUCAUUGGUAACGACAUUCCAACCUUGAACGAAGCUAAGUCAUGGCUUGGAAAGUGUUUUUCCAUGAAAGACCUUGGAGAAGUUGCCUAUAUUCUUGGGAUUAGAAUAUUGAGAGAUAGAAAGAAGAGACUAAUUGGACUUAGUCAGAGCACAUACUUGGAUAAGGUACUAAAGAGGUUUAGUAUGGAACAUUCCAAGAAAGGAGAGCUACCUAUCCAGAGCAACACAAAAUUGAGUAAGACUUAAUGCCCUAGUAUAGAUGAGGAAAUAGGUGACAUGAGUCAUGUACCUUAUGCUUCCUUCGUUGGAUCGAUCAUGUACGCUAUGACAUGUACUUGCCCUGAUGUGGGCUUUGCUUUAAGCAUGGCCAGUCGCUAUCAGGUAAACCCAGGUAGAGCUCAUUGGAUAGUAUUAAAGAACAUACUCAAGUAUUUGCGAAGAACGAAGGACUGGGUCCUUGUACUUGGUGGCAAUGAUACUUUGAGAGUAGAUGGUUACAGUGAUGUCAACUUUCAAACGGAUAGAUAUAACUUCCAUUCUCAAUCUGGCUGGGUGUUUCUACUGAAUGGAGGAGCAGUUACUUGGAAAAGUUCCAAGCAAGAUACAGUGCCUGAUUCUACUUGUGAAUCAGAGUACAUAGCAGCGAGUGAAGCGUCUACAGAAGUAGCAUGGUUAAGGAACUUCAUCAGGGAUCUCAGAGUUGUUUCAACCAUCCAGGAGCCUAUGGAACUGUUUUGCGAUAAUGAGGGAGCGGUUGCCUUAACUAAGGAACCCAUAGACCAUGGUAAAACCAGACAUAUCGACAGAAAGUACCAUUUCAUCAGACAUAGAGUAGAAGAAGGCCGUCUUGUUGUAAAGAGGGUGUCAUCUAAAGAUAACCCAGCAAACCCCCUCACAAAGGGUCUGAGUAGGGCUAAGGUUAUUCAGCAUGCUCGAAGCAUAAGGCUGAAAGAUGAUAUUAGUUUUAGUAGUUAGAUUAGUCUGGUUCAGAAACUUGUUACAAAGUAAAUGUAAUUGACUUUUGGUGAUUAAAUAAUAAAGUAUUAUUUAUGAGUUUGUUUACCGCCUUUUGUCAAUUUUUAUUAUUGUGUUUCAUAUUUUUCAUGUUUUACUUCCCGAAUAAUAUGAUUGUUCAAACUCCACAGUCGCUCGUACUUUUGGAAGUAAGUAGUGAAUUAAGACUGUCAUGAAUUGGAUUGCGGAUUGUCUAUGGAUAGACAGCAAUAGAAUUGCUGCAAUGUUCAGGAGUACUCAGAAAGUGAGAUUUGAGUAUUGGAUAAACCCACGCUCAGAGUAUUACUUCAUGGAAUUCAUCACGAGUAAUACUGAUACGAUAAUAUCUAUGAUCUUUUUAACAGAGAUAUAUGAGUUGUAAUUUGCAAGUCGGCUAUACAUUGGUGAUACGAAAAUGCAUCAGUAACUUGGUGUUAUAAAACGUGUUGUCAUGUAUGGUUUGAUGAGUAAAGAUACAAGCAUAUGAGUCAAUGUUUAUUCGUUCCUUUUUCCCUAACGGGAAAAGCGAUAUCUGUGGGCCCCUCGAUGAUUUGGUGUUGACUUUUGUGCUAGGCCCAGCCAGGACUAAAUUGAUGUGUUCAAUAAGAAGUCCUAUGUCAUCGCAAAUCAGAAAUCGGGAAACAAAGAUCCUGGACAAAGAUACUGAUUAUAUUCCAUGUCCUAUGACUAGGGAUAUCUAGUAGAACGAAGGGUCGUGUGAUCACUUAUCUUAGGACACGUAACUGACUGGGUCAGAGUUUGGCAGCAGCUUUUGGAAGCUACAAUUUGUUGGUCAAAUUUAGAAGUCAUACUAGCAAUUAUAGUUACAGACUUAUCCAAGUGGGAGACUGUUGGAUUAGGUGUCUAAGCACAUAAAUAUAAUUGGUUUGUACUUGAAUUGAUAGUAGCACAGUCCUUUUGGGUUGCCCUCAAACCUAGCAACCGGAAAAGGAAAUUAUGAAAGGAGAGAUACUGAUUUAUGAUAAGAUUAAUAAAUUGAUAUAAAUGAUUUAUUAAUAUGUUAAAAGAUUAAUAUAUAAAUUAGAAAUCACAAGGUUUAAUUAAUAGUUAGCCAGAAAUUAAUUAGACUUAAUUUUGGGGUUAACUUAUUAAUUAUAAAGUGCAGAGACUAGUUUGCAAUUAUCUAAUAGUUGAGUGGAAUGUUCCAGAACCUCCUUGGAAGGGGGUGGACGAAAUCUAUAGGGGAAACCCUAAUGAUUUCGUCCAGGGGGCUUGGAUAAGGCCUUUGGAUAAACAUAGGCCCCAAGCAAAGGAACAUUAGGGUUUUCCUUUAACCCUAGAUCCCUCAGCUAUAUAAGGAGCCUCCUGGCAUCUAAAAUAGGCUACUCCUACCUUCGUGAAACCCUAAGGCCGAAAAUUGUAUACCCUACUCUCUCUCCUUCAAGUUUCCUUCUUGCUAGUUAUUGGGUGUGACUCCAUUAGAGGCAUUGGACUUGUGGUGCUAAGCUUCCAAGAAGAUCAAGAUCAAAAUGAUUACCAGUUGUUUGCUAUAACAAUUGAAAGGUAUGUAACUCUUCAACCCUAUUUAGUUAAUUUCGUAAUAGACUAUUUCCUUAGGGUUCUUGUUUUGCAAUUCAAAGUUAUAUGUUCAAUAGUUAAAACAUGGAUCCAAAGUAGGUUUCAUGUGAACUUAGGAAUUGUUUUCUAGUUUAUUUGUUUUUCCUAAAACCCAUCAUAUAUACAUGUAGUUUGACACUGGCACACGACGUGAGGUUUAUAACCUAUCGUGUUGACUUAUUCCUAUUUUUGUGCCCAUAGAGUUAAGGUUGGCUUUGCAUAUGAGUUAUGAGAGUUCUCAAGUGGUUGCACAACUACUUGGAAGCAAUGGCAGGCCCUUGUGCUGCAAGGUGGCAAGAAUUUAAGAUUGCACAAGUUCAGCCCAUAUGAAUUUGGAUUUUUCAUUAACCUUGUCUUGCGAUUAUAGUUUUGACAAAUUCAUAUGGAUAGGAACUCAUACACCAUAAAAGCUAAGUGUCAUAAGGUUUCUCUCCGAUUCAUGAAAAUGAUGGUGAGGAAACGCUUUCACAAAGUAGAUUUUAAGUAGAUAGCAAUUGUGAUAUUUGCAUUCUCAAAGUCGUUAGUGGAGCGUGUGUGGCUAACCGGCACACUAACAUGGACUUUUGAGGAAUGGAAAAGGUCUAAACAAUUGAGACUAUGAUUACGACAUCCUUUUUCAUAGUUCUAAAAAUUGUUUAGACACACAUGUGAGCUAUCUAAGGAAAGGUGUAUGAGUUGAUAAAGUUUUAUCACAGCAUCUCGUAUCAGAAAUCUAAACUUUGGCAAGAAAAUCAAUAAAUAUUAAUUUCUAGAAGUCCAGCUGAUUUCUGAGUACAUGUCAAAGCUAGUGGGAGCAUAAGUGUUAUGCUAAUAAUCAUCAUGUUAGUGGGAGAAUGAUAAUUACGAUAAGUCUUGCAAGUUAGCAAUGUUAAUUACAGAAAACAAAAGUAUCAACUGGGAAAAGUGGUUUUGCUAUAGUUAAGGGAGAGGAAAGUAUACUUCAUCUCAAUUCUGAAAGCUUAGAUUGAGGUUUUAAUCAUCUUUAGUCAAGGAUAUAUGUAUGAAUUGUAUGUUGGAGUGGCUCAACAUAAGGAAAUUCUGUAUAUGGGUCCAUUAUUUGCGUUCUAAAAUUUGAUUAUGGUUAUGACAUCCCUUUUCAUAAUCUGAAUUAUGAGAACUUGGCAAAUAGAAAUAGAAAUAUUGUAGCAAAAGAUUGGUCUAGUAUCAUAUCAUUAUGUGAGACAUCAUGAAUCGUGUCCCAUAUGCUUCGGAUAUAGGAUCGAUUACAUGUGCUAUAAUAUUCAUCCUUUCUAAAUUUUCCAAAUGCUCAGGGCAUUAAGUGGGGAAUAGUCUAGAAUUGGAUAUGACUAAAAUGAUUAAGCAAUUGUCGAGGACAAUCUAAGGUUUACCAAAGAUUGGUUGCUCAAGGACAGUUGGUAGUAUAGUGUUAAUUUUUGAAGGAUCAUAUUUAUAUAUUCUGAAAAGAGGCAAAUCUUGUUCAGGAGUGAUAGUCAAAAUGAGAAUAUGGAAAUAUUCCCAUAGGUGGAAGCUAUUCAAUCUGAGUGAGAUUAGAAAAACUUAAUGCAAGAAGGAUGUUCAUAGCAAUGUACUUUGAAUAUAAGACUUCGUUUCCAUGGAAUGCUCUCCAUUGGAAUACUCUGUAAUGACUGUUUACAAGUUUUUGUGACUUUGUGCAUAAUCAUUAAAAGAGGAUCGAUGCAUGUAAGUUUAGAAUCUAACAGAUUCCAAUAAAUGGUCGGAAUUUGGAAUUCUUACAUUUACGGUAAGGAUUUUGGACUGUAAAAUGAGAAUCAUUGGAAUUAUGUUCAAUUGAUCUAUUUCACAAAGUAAAGAUCAUAGACAAACUUAGUGUGCAUACUUUGUGUAUGGCAUAACUAAUGUUUGGACAAACAUAGUGUGCAUAUCUGGUGUAUAGCAUGACUUUUAGAAAACAUAGUUAACAUCCUUGGAGCAUGGGACAACUGUUGUUUUAAUUCAAGUAUAAAGUUGAUAAUUUGAAACAAUAUGCUGAGACCAUGUUGGAUUCAAUUAUUCUUGUGUUUCACUUUGCAUGUUUUGACUUCCAGAAUAGCAAGGUUAUUCUUUUCCGAAUGACUAAGUUAUUCAGACCAUCCACAGUCGAUAAUACGUUGGAAGUAGGUAUUAAGGCUAGACUAUCAUGAAUCUGGUUUGUAGAUGUCCAAGGUAGUGUACAUAGCAAGAGUUGUUGCAAUAUUCAUGAGUGCUCAUAAGUUCUUAGUAUUGGAUUCAACCCACACUCAUUUGAAUCACUUCAUGGAUUUUGUCACGAGUGAUCGUGAGAGGAUAAUAUCUUAUAUUCUUCAAACCUAGAGAUAUGAGUUGUUACUUAUGAGUUGGUUAUACAUUGAUUGUACGAAGAUGCAAUGGUAACUCGAUGACGUAAAACGUGCCUUUGUGUAUGAUUCAACAAGUAGUAGAAACAAGCAUAUGAGUCGAAGUUUAUCCAUUCCUUUUGCCCUUGGUGGGAUAAAAACAAUAUUUGUGGGCCCCUCGAUGAUUUAGUGAUGACACCCCUAAGUGCUUCGCCAACCCUGGACUGAUGUGAUUUGUUCAAUUAGUCGGUCAUCAUAAAUCGGAAAUCAGGAAACAACAGAUGGACAGAGAGAAUGAUUAUAAUCCAUGUCUCAUUCCAUAUUAUAUAUAUAAUGGAGAAAUAUAUGAUCCCUUAUCUAAUGGACGUGUCAUUGAUUUGUUCAGUGUUCGACAACAGCUUUCAAUAGCUACAAUUGCUAGUCAGGUUUUGAAGUCAUACACAAUAAUAGUUUUAGACUUAUCCAACCGGGAGACUGUUAGACUAGUCUUUAAGUCCAUAACUAUAAUUGGUAUAUACUUGACCCGACUUAGCAUGGUCCAUUUGGGUUGCAUGGCAUCGGAACAUUUGGGAGGACUUCAUGUGAGAAAAGGUUAUUUACAAUUUAUAUUAAUAUAUUCUAAGUUCUAAUAUAUUAAUAUGAAAUCAUAUUAUUUAAUUAGUAUUGAUCAAGAAUUAAUUUGGAAUUAAUUUAGUGAUCAAAAGUAACUAAUUAAAUAUGGACUCUUUUAUAUAUAUGGUGGACCAAGUUCACUUAGGUUGGGCUAAGCUUUCAUGGACAGUCCAUGGAGUGUUUAACCCAUGGAUCAUAUGAAAUGAAAUGUCAUGGGUAAUAGGGUUUUACAUGGAUGUAACCCUAAUCCUCCAUAGUAUAUAAAGAUGUCUUUUGUUCAAAAAAUCGGCCUAAGAAUAUACACAUGAGGGCAUAGCCGAUUUGGAGCCAAGAACCUUUCGCUCUCAAUUUAUUCCAAAUGUUGGUGACGUUGUGUGAACCAUUUGAGGUGUCACACUUGAGGCACUUGGCUCUUAAGCUCCAUGGAAUCAAGCUACAUCAAAAGGUAUGUCUUCUAACUUGUCUUAUUCCCAUGUGUCAAUGUUUUGUAUGCUAGUUAGGGGAAUACCUUGUAAUAUUCGUAUUUGCAUGUAUAAUAGAGAAAACAUAGAUCCAAGGUAUUUAGGGUUGCAUGUACACCUUAGGAGUGUUAGAAUGCUUAAAACCUAACAAAAACAUGCACAUAUAGACAUUGGGAAAUUACAUGCAUGUUAUGCUCACAUGCCAUAAGUGCAAUAUGGAACAAGAUUAAACAUGGAGAAAAGAAUGUUCCUGAGUUGGAGCAUUAGGUCCACCCAUGCUACUGGCUAGUUACAAGGGCAGAAGUGUACAAACAAAAAAUUGAACCUAUAAAUGGUAGAUUGAUGUGACCCAAAUCACCAUGCCCAACCAAGUUGAUUCCACCCAAACAUGUUGUUCAAGUAUGUCUUCAUAUAUCAAUAUAACUGUAGUUUCUGAUGACCAACAAUUUAAUUCUAUGUACAUUUGUAGGUGGGUAGGCCCAAAAAGAAAAGGAAGAGGGCAUAUGAUGAAUCUGCUACAUAAGGGCAUAAACUGUCUAAGAAGUGGACCACUGUCACAUGUGGAAAGUUCAACAACAAAGUGCAUAAUUCACGAACUUGUAAAGGUCAAAGUGGCCCUAAAGACAAAAGAACUGGUGAAACAGGAGGAAAGAAAUGAGGAUGGGGGUGUUGUUGUUAAGUGUUAGGUCUUUUGAUGUAAUUUGCAACUUACUUUUAUGGUUGUGUCAACACCUAUGUUUAUGUAACAAACAAUACUUACUUUGGGCUCCUUAUUUUGUAUGGUCAUGCAUGUUGACCUUGAAUCGUUGUACACAAAGGUAAACUAUGAAACAAUUUCAACUGCUGAUGUGAUAUACAAUAGCAUUUCUGUUAUAUUGUUGUUCUUGUCAAGUAAUAUUUGUGAUAUUUAAAGUGUAUGGACAAAUGGAAACAACACAACAUACAUGCUGAAAUUAAAACAUUUUAUUACACAAAGAGUAUUUCAUUCAGACAAUAUUAACCAAAGCACAAUUUCCUACAUUCACACUCAAAACAAACAUAAACAGUACAUAAACCAUGCUACAUUAACUUACGACUAACAAAGCACUUCCUAAUUCAGACACCAUGAUCAGACACAACUUCCACCUUGCUUCAGAUACCAAAUUGCAAAAAUACCCCAACUGAAGAAAAUGAUUAACUUAUACAUCCUAGCUUGCAUUGUAACUUGUUGAAGAGAUUCUUGGAGCUUGUUCAUAGACCUGAUUAAUCCAAGUAUCACUGCCAUGGAUCUAGGGCACAUGAGCUCAUCAAACCACCCGAUCCAGCCAUACCUUCUCUCAUUACGAAGACAAGACCAAAAUCGCCUUCCAGGGUUGCGUUCUGACCCAGAAUUGAUGAUGGCUAGAUCAUGAUUUCCACAAGCACAUAUCUGCAUUUUUUGUAGCUUUCUUUCUCUAACAGUAGUAGUGAUCGUUUGAAUUGGGAGGAAGAACAAGAAGAAGUAAUAUAGGCGUUAAUAUAUAUGUUCAGAAAAUGUUGUUUAGGGUAAAAUGAUAUAAAUACCCUCAUGUGCAAGUCACAUGGGGGCAACUUAACGUUGGAAUGGAAGGACAUCCAACUCGGGGACCAAACGCGUGCAACUUAUCGUCUGUAGGUACUAUUUAAGGGAAAAAGGUACCGUAGAGACUACUUUAGGGAAAAAUCCAAAGACUAAAGGGCAAUUCGUGUAAUUUUUUCUAAAAUUAAUAAAUAAUAAUUUAUAAAUUACAACAAAUGAAAGAAAAAUGAAAAAAAAAUGGAUAAGGGCAAUAUAGUCAUUUCAUGUUAAUAUGGAUGAAACAUGCAAGUUAUAAACAAACAAGGAAUAGUCCGAGUUAAUUUUUUAGAAUAUAGACAGAAUGUUCAUUUUGGCAACUACAUGAUGGACGAUUCGUGUAAUUUACUCUAAAAAAAUCGAACCAGCAAGUACGUUGCUAUUUCUUGCGAUUUGGUUAUAUAUACGAUCAACCUCGUUAAUCAAAAAAAAUCUAGACGCAUCCUUCAAUCCACUUCCAUCUAUGUAUCUUUUGCUUCUAAUGAAUAUGUAUCUUUUGUCACGCAAUUUAAUAAAGACUACAAAUAUUUUUCUUUUAUUUUCUCCAAUCAAAUAAUCUAAUGAAAACGAACCCGUUUAUUGUAUUCACUCAUGCAACAAACAAAAUAUCCACUCAUACAACAAACAAAAAACAUGCAAAAAUCCAACCCGUAUAAAGCACGAGUAUCUUCUACUAGUUAACAUGUAUUUGUUACCCACAGAGCUAUUUUCCACAUAAUACACUAUUUAAUUGAAGAAAACACUAAAGAUAAUGAGGCAAGAAAACGUGUUUGUCUUGGCUUAUUUUACGAAGAUGAGAGGGGUUCGGGAUGAAAGUCAAUAUGUCUCACGUUUGCAGAAGUGAACAUGUGAAAGCUAAUCAUGUAAUCUUAGAAACACACUCAUGGAAGCCAAACAAGUUUUUAAUGGGACUCGAAGAUGCAUUUGGAUGAGUAAAGACUCAAAUUCAUAUCAUCAAACUGAUGUUGACACUUGGAACUAUGUGUCGUUUAAUUGAAAAGACGAGCAACAAGAAGCAUUACCACCACAAGGAAAACACCCGUUUAAGCAACUGCCUAUCAGAUAGGGCGACCUCCUAGUUUCAGCAGAAAUCAAGACGCGGUAUUCACAAUGCAGUUAAGUGAAAACAUUAUGGAAAAUUGGUUACACAAUUGAUGGUUUCUUCAAAAAAAAUUGGAUACUCGGAGUGGUGGGGCACACCUUAACAAAGGCUGGUUAAUGACCAAAGGCAACAACAACUGAUUUUUAAACUAGUCACAUUCCCGGGCUAAUGCUCCAACUUUAAAAAGAAUAAGAGAUUAUGUUUGAUGCGGUCAUUCUUACUCCGACUUAGGUGCUGCAAAAUUUGGAUCAAAAAACCCAUGAAUUAUUGUAUUUUGACAAGAUUAUUUUCACUCGUUUUUCUGGCUUUUCCGUAGGAACUCUAAUGUAAAACCUAAUAGACUUUGUUUAUUACAAAACGCCACCCUUGAUAUUUCCAUUUUUUUUAGCAUGUUUAUUUUACUAGAACCUUGCUAGUUUAAUAUAAUGGUUAUUCACAAAAAUGACCGUUAUGAUAUCUAUAUAUCACAAAGUGACCACGUUUUUAUAGAAAAAUGUUAUAUGACGAUUAUUUUUGAAUUCCUUUAUUUUUUACGAAUUCCAGUUUUUCUUUGUUUGUGUUGCUCAUCUUCGUCCGCAUAAUUCUCUUCAUCAUUCUCCUCAUUAUUUGUCUCAAAUAUCUGGUUUCUAAUAAAGAAAGGUUAUCUUCUCUUCAACCCACUUUUUUAUAUCAUUUCGAUGGAUACGUAACAUGUACAAACUACAAUUUCAAAAAUUAUGAACAAAGUCGAAACUCAACCGAUAGACACAAAGAACAAGUUCAAAAAUCCUGAACAAUUUUCAAAUCAACCCAAACAUAAAAAGACCAAACUUGAAACCCAUUGCGGAGUGAAAUUUUUAAAAUUUGUACGAGUAAACAAUUUUUUAACAUUCUUUAUCUGGUAGAAAACAUGUUCCAAAGUAAUAAAUGUACAUUUUCCCACUCUAUGGUCAGCUUCAUACUUUUUUUUUAUUAAAACAAGAAAAAACAUCAUAAAUGGUCUCUAUGGUUACCCAAAAUCUGAAGUUUAGGCCCCGUGGUUUAAAACCUCAUAGAUGGUCCCUGUGUUUUCAAAACUUUUGAUGUUUGGUCAUUUUUGCUAACUCCGUUAAGCUUGUCCGUUAACUGAAGGGUAUUUUCGUCGUUUCACCACCACAGGGACCAUUUAUAAUGUUUUCUCGUAUUCAAAAAAAAAUAAUCAUAAUUAAAUAUAUAAAAGGUCUCUCUCUCUCACUCUCACACACACACACACACAUUUGUGUUGGAACCGUUGAACACACCUGUAACUUCAACUUCCCCCGAUACCUCAUCUUCAACGAUUACUUCUUUUUCUUCUCCAGCUAAAUCAGCGAGUCGAGGGUACAGUGGGCAACGAAUUCGUCGAAGAGAGAGCGAGGCAGAGGUCAAGAGACAAUCGACAGGUUCUGGGGGUUGCUCGAUGGAGAGAACGGAUUGGAUUUUGCAUGUUUGAAGCUCUAUGUUUGUAAAUACCAUUUGAAGAAGACGAAAGGAUUUUUGUAGACCGAGUUCUUUACUGCAUUCCUAAUUGAAAUAUGAUUCAAUCUGCAUCCAAUUGUUGUUCUUCUCCAUUUCAUCGAAAACCUUGAGACUGGAUUGUGUUCCUGAAUUUGCCCCAAGCCCCCAAUUUUGUUCACUGAUUCCAACGAACACAGGAAUGGAGGUAGCAUAGAGGGGACUAAGGGAGGAGAUGUUCGUUUACCUCAAUUUGGACCUGCAAGAUGAGAUAUCUUCAAAAGCAUUUUUGAUUCACCCCAAAUAUUUUUCCUCAAUUUAUACAUCGACUAAAAAAUACGUGAUGAGAAGGUGGCCCUUCUGAAUCGGAGCCUUAAAUUUGAAUCAACGACAUGGGGUAUUUGGGGGUUGAGCUUCAAAGGGAAGGGAUUUGUUGGAGGAUGGAAUGGAGGCAACAACCUCCUCUCUCUCAUGUUCGCGUUUUCAAGCGAUCGGAGGACCACCCACCUCCGGUGGGUGAGUCUUGGCAGUCUAAUGAAGAAGAAAUGGGGAUAGCGACAGCAAGGAUCGGGGGUGCUUGUGUGGUGCUAAACGAAGAAGAAAACAGGAGAAAGAGAGAGAGAGAGAGAGAGAGAGAGAGAGAGAGAGAGAGAGAGAGAGAGAGAGAGAGAGAGAGGGAGAUGACACUUUUGUAUAUUAUUUCUUUUUUUAUGAAAUAAGAGAAAUCAUCAUAAAUGGUCCUUGUGGUAGUGAAAUGACGAAAAUGCCCUUGAGUUAACAGACAAAACUUAACGGAGUUAGCAAUAAGGACCAAUCGUCAAAAGUUUUGAAAGCACAGGGACUAUCUAUGACGUUUUUAAACCACGGGGACUAAACUUCAGAUUUUGGAAAACCACAGGAACCAUUUAUGAGGUUUUUUCUUAAAACAAUUAUCAUUUUGUGAUAUGGAUAUUUGGAAAGUGACCAUUCUAGUGAAGAUCCCUUUACAAAUCAUGGUCGUUGAAAAAACCAUAUGUCAAGCACCUUAGCCAUGUGGUCCAUGGCCUUGAAUUAGCAAGAUGUGCACUUUCUCUAUUUUGGUAACCAAAUUUAAAAGGGUAGAGAAUCAUAGAUAUAUUUAUAACUAAAAUUUUUAAGUCUGGAUUCUAUUUCUGUCUAGUUCUCUACCGUGGAUCCUAGUCAUCGAAAAAUAAACAAAUUCAGGAAGAAACAGAUGCAACAUGCAUGAAUGAACGCUAAUAAUUGUCGUCUUUCUAACAAAAGUUUAAAUGAGUUCAUAAAAGUGGAUGUGAUGGAGAUAUUUUAGAUGUGAUGAUGUAAAAGAGAUGUAUCACCUCAAAAGGAAAGAUGGUUAACUGUAAGUAACAUAACUCAUUAAAUGAAUUCAUGAACAUUAGACCAUAUCAAUAAUUUGUAAUGGAUGAACAAUAGUUUUAUUACCUGUUAAUCAUUUUAAUUGAUGUUUAUAAUAAUUAUAUGGUGUCUUAGAUAUAAAAAAUAUUUUCAACCUUGAUGUAAGUAAAGAUGAGUGUUUUUUAACUUAAAUAAACUAAAGACCGUAUUUGAAGAUUGAUGUAUGGAAUAGAAUCGAAUCAAGUAUGAACUCACUUGGUUUACAAUAUUCAUAGUUUAACUUAUAAAUUUGAAACUGUAGUUUUUCGAUUCAAAAUAUAGUGUUCUGUUAAAUUCAAUUUAUAAAUGUUUUGAUAGCUAUGUCCUUCAAUUAAAUGCAUCAAAUGUUUCUAAACGGAAAUUGCGCUCUUUGUUGGACAGUAAACCAGUGCACUGGUGUCUGGUAGUGACCGAUGAUUAUGUGAUUCUCCCCAAUGGUUAUUUAAAAAAACUUGUCUGUUGAAGAAUGUUUGAUGUGAGUGUUUAGAAGAUAGUGUAAAUUGUUAGUGGUGACACUGUGCGUAAUUACAAUCAUAGGCUUCAAGAUUUGUGAAAAAAUCAGAAUCGAAGCCAUAUGCAAAGUUUGAAUGUUGUUGCAGCAAUUAAUUAAUAAAAUUUUAUAAUUCCUGCAGAAGUUCUUUUUCCUUUAAUUUUUCUUUUUCAAUGUCUUUGUGUAACGCCCUAUGUAUUUAAAUAAAUUAAUAAAUGUACGUCCCGGACUAAAUUAUGAAAAAUUUUAGAAGUUGGGGGUUAAAAGUGUAAGUUCCAGAUUAGUUUUAUAAGUAUUUAUGAAGGCAGGCACUAAAUGGGAAUUUAUGAGACUUCUUUUGAAAAGAUUACAGAGGUCAAGGGGCUAAUUGGUAAAUUCCGGAGUUGAUUUGUAAAGAAAUUCAGAGAAUGGGGUUAAAAAUGUAUGAUUUGGGUUUAAUUUGGAAAAGAUCUAGUAGGGAGGGGUUGAUAUUGUUAAAUUGGACAUAAGUUGAUGAAACACGGAUUACAACCGUCACACCCCGCUCAUGCAGCCUCCAUAUAUAAUGAAACAAACCCUAACCCUAGCCACGUUUUCUUUCAGCCGCCACCAUCUCACCAUCCUCCUCAGACGCCACUACCUAGUCGAGGUUGGCCGCCAUAACCUGCUACCGGUGAACUCAUGAACAACAAUCGAAGAACGACGGGAGUAUUGUCGCCGCAACACUGCCUCUGUGAAAAAAUGAAGCCACCGCCGAACGCCGCAUCUGACAUUCACAGCGACGUCGGUGGCCCUUGUGCCGUUAGCGAAGACCGAGCGGAUGCCCUCCUUCGUAGUUGCUACUGAUGUUCUUCGUUUCAUCUCCUUCCUCCACUUCUGUUGUGGGCAUUGCUACGUUCCAAGGUGGUCUCCGCUCAUCCUCCUCAUCCCUUCUUCUCUCUAGUUCGUUGCUGCAACGCCGCUGUUAGACACCGCUGUGCCGCCGAUGAGCCACUUGAGUUGCUGAUGUCAUUACCAAACACCACCAAGUGGGUGGCUGGGUGCGUCUUGCAAACAGAGUCGUGUGGGUGUGUUGCUGCUUGUUUAGAUUAGCAUGCAAAGUUGUUAUAGAUUAUGUUUGUUGUGUGGGCGUGACAGUUUAGCCGAAGAUCCAAAGAAAACCCACCACGGCCACAGACCAUGGUGGUUGUUGCCCUGAAACCACUUUCUGCCACCACAAGCCACCAUGAGGUGGUGGCUGUGUGAGUAUAUCCUUGUAUGAGUGUUUUUAGAAGUUGUAUGCAAAGUACACAGCCGGAAAAGUUGAGAAAAGGGCCACCACCACCACCACCGUGAGGUGGUGGCUGCCGCCACCAGNCCACUAAGGUGUGUGUAUGUGUAUUAGAUUAAUUAGUGUGUGUGUGAUUAGUGAGUGUGUGUAUUAUUUUUUGAUAAAAACCUUGUAAUUGUAAUUAAUAUCAAUUAAUAAAAAUAAUAAUAAUCACCACCGUAAAGUGGCCGCCGCCGUGACCGCCAUUGACCACCACUACCCGAGGGGGUAGUGGGUGGUGCCCCACUAGCAAACCCUAAUUGGCUUAGAGAUUAGUUUUGGGCCUAUUGGGCCAUGUUUGGGUGGAAAACCCUAAUUGUGAGUAUUUGAGCCUUGGACUUAUUGGAUCCACUUUUGGGCCAUUGAGAUUAGAUUGUGUAUUAAGCCCAAUUUCUCCAUAUCAUUUAUCUAGUAGAAUAAAGGACAUAAUGGAUUAAGUUCUUAAUGGGUUAAGUAAGAAACCCUUAACCCUAAUUGUCAUUUUAUGUGAAACCCUAAUGUCACAUGGGCCUUGAAUUGGGCUUUUCAAUUUAGGUAUUGGUAAUUGGGCCAAUAAUGGGCCAUCCAAGAAUGGUUAUGGACUAGAAUAUUUAGAUGGGCUUUAGGGUAAGGCCCAUAUGAAGAAUUGGGCCCAAUUUGGAAAUUGGCCCAUAGAUGGACCAUAGUUUGGGCCUAGAUAGUUGUAUGAUAUUGGUCCCUUAGAAUGAAACAUGUUGGACGGGACUGAACAGUUGGGCCUUAAGGGAAGUUCAUGCAAAGGCUUGGGCCCAAUUUGGAAAUUUGGGCCAUAAAUUGGGCUUUAAGCCAUAGUUAGACUUUUGGGCCUUUGGAUUGGGCCUUGGGCUUGAAUCAAGCCAAGUUAGGGGUAGAGUAGUUCUUUACCCCCAAGCAUGGACUUAUGAUUAUGAGUUGGAACCCAAUUAUUAAUUGGGUGAUAUUUUGAUGUUGACAGAUUCGGGACUCUGUCAUCCAGCAGCUAGGAUUUUGUCAGUAGGAUUGCUGCAGUGUGAGGUGAGUUUCCUUCCAAUAGAAACUGGUCUACGGCCACAAUGUCGGCCCGUUUAGAUUAUAGUAGUUUCGGACUGCCGUCCGAUGUCGAGGUGGUCCCAAGAAGUAGUUUUGGUAUGCUCGAUGUCUUUGUGAUUUAGGCAUGUUUAUGUGUUAUGUUUUCCAGACUGCGGUCCGAUACCAGGCAAGCCCGAUGCAGUAUAUGUGUUAUGUUAUAUGUUUAUGAUUAUGUUAUGCUAUGUUCAGUUAUUCCGGACUUUGGUCCGAUGCAGAGGGCAAAGCCCUAGUAGUUCCGUACUUCGAUCCGAUGCAGAGGGCAAGGCCCUAGUAGUUUCAGACUUCGGUCUGAUGCAAAGGGCAAGGCCCUAGUAGUUUCGGACUUCGGUCCGAUGCAGUGGGCGAGCCCCAAGUUAUUCCAGACUUCGUUCCGAUACAGUGGGCAAGGCCCAAUAGUUACUUUAUAUUUUAUUGUAUGGUAUGUGGUAGUUUGGAGGAGUUCACUAAGCUUCGUGCUUACAAUUUUAGUUUUGGUUCCAAGUACUUCAGCUUGCAAGGGGAAGGGCUCGGGAUGAUUGAAUGGCACACACCACAAUUUUCUUCACACCCCAAAACCGAUAACGGCGGAAUACGUUCUGGGGUGGGCGACGUCAUGUACAGUAUCAUAACAAUUGCAUAAUAGUAAAAGCAAGCGACAACAACCAUUUCAUUUACAUAGUGAGUUUAAUUACAACGUGUUCUGUAGAGUUUAAUAGAGACCAAAAGUAUAACAAAAUAAAAGAUGGGUCUUGUAUGUGCUCCAUCUUCUCCAAAAGCUACACCAGUACCUGUCUAUGUUUGACCUAAGGAUACAAGUUAUUUUGAAAACGAGUAUCAGCAUAAAGCUGGUGAGUUCAUAAGAAUUUAGUAUCGUUGUUGUAUAUAAAAGUUUUUACAAACUUAUAGUAUAAAAAAGCUGAAUUUUAUGUUUAUAAGUGGUAGAAAUCCCUAGAAAAUCCUAUAUUUUCUAUAAAAGUACAAUGUAAGUUAAAUCCUUUGAGUAGUGUGUGAGUAUCAUCAUUGAAAACCUUCAGUUGCAAAAGUAUGGUAAUAAAUCCCAGGUAGGUAACAUAGAAGAAGAACAGUUACGCCUAUUGACAGUAGUAGUGGUGUAAACUUUCAUUGGUAAUAGAUACGUAUUUACUUCGGGAUGUUAGCUUAGACUUUAGUCUUAGUGUAUUCGUUUGAAUAUAGGUCUAACCCUUCAUGUGACCAAUUUUAUAGUAGUAGAGAACCCGAUGACCUUCCCGGUCAUACGUAGUGUAGUGAAGUAGUGCCACCCCUGGGCCUGGUCGGCUCGGACUGUAGUUAACAGUCGGGAUGUAGUAGUGUCUGCCCCGUAUAGAUCUAUACGUGUAGUGUUGCCCUCCUUCCGGAAAGCCCUGGUCACAUGGUAUAAGCGCAGUAGGGUGUCUUAUAGAGAGAUAGUGUGUUAUACUCUAUAUUAGCGUAUUCUCUUGUAUUAUAGUGUAGUAAUCUUUUGUAUAGUUCAUAGAGUGUUCUCUUAUACGAGUAUUAACUUGUAAUAAUAGCCGUUACAGUGUGUAAAGUAGUAGUGGAGAUAAUGAGUAGUGGUCUUAGCUAUACCUAUUAUAACUAACUAGAGUGUAUGAUUUCUUGCCUUUGAAUAACAAAGGUAUUGAGUAUGAUGAAGACUUCCAUAUCUAACACAAAUAUAUACGAUACAUAACUAAGAAAUCAACGACAGUCGGACGGAUAACCGAUACCCUAAGACCACAUCGAACAAGAACAGAAAAUAAGGCGAGUUAUCGAUCUUAAGUCCUUCAAGCCUUACUUAUAUAAAUAUAUUAGUGUAGAUAUAUUUUAAAAAGAAAAGUAAAUUUAAACACAAUUUUAAAAGCAUUUUAAUAACAAUCUUAUUUUAAAAUGCAUUUGACAAUCAACUAAAACAAUUUUAUUAUAAGACACUUAAAGUGUAGAGAAACUCCUUUUUGAUGAUAAUUGGUGAAUCACAUAUGAUUCAAUAAUAAAUCUUGUAGCAUUAUAUUUGUAUCCCCCCGCCCUUAAAACAUGUAAAAACUGUUGAAAAGGUUCAUUAAGGGGUAUGAACUCACUGUCUAAUGUAGGGUUCGAGUAUGCGAUUCGUAUAAGUGCUGAGUGUCAACGGAUGCUCUGAACGCAAGUAGUCCUUAUUAAUUGUAUGGUGACAUAUACAUAUAAGUUAGAGCUAAGGUGUUUCACGACUAAACAUGAUGGGAAAUCCCUCCAAAGAGCUUGGAAUCGCUAAGACUAAGUGUCCCAUGUUCUAUACGCAAUGAUCUAUGCAAGUUUAAGGCCAAAUAUGGGUGUUAGGGUGUGUAUAUGGCCGUAAAGGUGAGUGUGCGGCUGGGGUAUGCGGCCAGANCCGUAUAGGGUGUGUGUGCAGCCGUACACAGCGGUGUGCAGCCAUACACUCCUUGUUUGAGUCCCAUGUGUCGAUUGUGUGGCCUUACUCCCACUUUGGAGGGUUUUAUGAGUGUGUGCGGCCACCUGAUGAAGGUGUGCGGCCGCACUCCUUCAUAGGAUGAAGAACAUGAAGAACAUUUUGAGUUUGAGGUUUAGAUUCAAGUGUUUUACCUCUAUGACAAGCUAAAUGAUGAUGUUCUUCACGUUUUGGAGGCCUUCUAGGUGUUCUUGGGUGGUUUUCUAGAGAGACAAAGUAUAGAGAGAGAAAGGAUGCAGCCAAAAGUGAAUGGAUUGGGGUCCUCAACUUUAUAUAAGGUUGAGUGUGAGGCUGGAGGGGUUUGCUGCUGGGUGUGCGGCUGGCUUGGCCGCACACACCUCUCUUGGUGUGUUUGGCUGGAUUUUGUGAUGCAACACCCUUCCUAAUCCUUCCUAAGGUCCAUAUCUAUGAUAUAUUAAGCCGAAAACACUAGCGCGGACUCAAUAUUGAAGAGAAUUGUUAUCGAGAUUAUGAAAGCAAUAAUGAUUUGAGUGAUUGAAAUGUAAGAACACGAAGAGUAAAUAUUAAUUAGAUCUUAUAUUGAUAAAGACUGAUUACAAGAAUAAGCAGAAAGGAUAUUUGAGUUCCAUAAGUUAUCCUCUACUUCUAUCCUCAGUCCCUAUUUAUAGGAAAUCUGAGUGUACAAAAAAUAUACUAAGUCUAUUACAAUACGCUUCGCAUAAAACUGAUUUAGUAAAAUAACUAAAAAUGUGAAACUAAAAAAACACACAAUUCGACUUUUACAAUUUAACCUCUACAAAUAUACUAUUAAAAGAUGCUAAAUUCAAGUGAAUCAUAGAUAUAUGGAUCGAUUUGCUCAGUGUAAAAGUGUCGGGUUGUGACAUCCUCCCCCCGUUAGGGGAAUUUCGUCCCGAAAUUAGAGUUCAAGCAACUAAGCUAUUACAUAUUAACUAAGCAAAAAGAUGAGGAUAUUUAUGUUUCAUUUGAUCCUCGCGCUCCCAAGUGAACUCCGGCCCUCGCUUGGCAUUCCAGCGAACCUUUACAAUUGGGAUCCGGCUUUGCUUCGUUCGCUUGACUUCUCGAUCCAUAAUUUGCACUGGUUCUUCCACGAUGUUAAGGCUCUCGUGGAUCUCGAUUUCGUCGAGUGGGAUUACAAGAGUCUCGUCGGAUAGGCACUUUUUCAAGUUCAAGACGUGGAAGGUAGGAUGUAUGUUACUUAGCUCGUGGGGUAGGUUGAUUUUGUAAGCUACGAGGCCGAUUCUAGCGAGAAUCUCAAAAGGCCCUAUGUACCUUGGGUUCAGCUUUCCAUGCUUUCCGAAGCGUACCGUGCCCUUCCAGGGUGAGACUUUCAAAAGUACUCGGUCUCCCACCUGGAAUUCCAAAGGUUUUCUUCGUUUGUCUACGUAGCUUUUCUGUCGAUCCCUGGCGGCUUUUAAUCGUUCGUGAAUCUGUACAAUCUUCUCGGUCGUUUCUCGAAUGAUCUCCGGACUCGUGAGAGUGCUGUCAGGAACUCGUCCUUUAGCUAACUGAGUGUCACCCACCUCAGCCCAACACAGAGGGGAUCUGCACUUCCGACCGUAGAGGGCUUUAAAUGGAGCUACCUUGAUGCCGUAUGAUAACUAUUGUUGUAGGAAAACUCCACCAGGGGUAAGUGUGUAUCCCACGCUUUACCAAAGUCAAUCAUACAGGCUCGCAGCAUAUCCAUUAAGGUUUGGAUCGUCCUCCAACUUUGCCCGUCAGUCUGCGGGUGAUAGGUUGUACUCAUGUCCAACCUCGUCCAUAUUGCUUUUUGUAGUGAUUGCCAAAAUCUUGAAGUAAACCUACUAUCUCUAUCCGAGAUAAUAGAUUCAGGGACACCAUGCAGUCGUACUAUCUCCUUAGUGUAUGUUCUUGUGAGUUUCUCCAUUUUGUCUGUUUCUUUGAUGGGUAGGAAGUGCGCGGACUUGGUCAAUCUGUCAACGAUGACCCAUAUGGUAUCCAACCCACCUGUUGUCUUGGGUAGCUUGGUUAAGAAAUCCAUGGUGAUCCGCUCCCACUUCCAUUCCGGUAUUUCCGGUGUUUGGAGGAGACCUGAUGGCUUCUAGUAUUCGACCUUGACCUUUGCGCAAGUAAGGCACUUACUCACGAAGAUAGCAAUCUCUACUUUCAUGUUAGGCCACCAGUAUAGCUUUUUGAGAUCCAGAUACAUCUUAUAUGAACCUGGGUGAACGGAGUAUCGAGUGUUGUGUGCUUCCUUCAUGACCACGUCUCUGAAACCACCGUGGCGCGGAGUCCAGAUUCGGUCUAUGAGAUAAUAGGCUGCGUCACCCUUGGCCUCCAAGCUCUUAUCCAUUCCACGUAAGGAUUCUCCCGCCACAUUCUCAGGCUUUAAGGCUUCGAGUUGAGCCUCCCUAAUCUGUGCGGAUAGAUGCGAAUGGAUAGUCAUUGUUAAUGAUUUGGUUCUUCGACCAGAAUACUCUUUCCUACUCAGGGCGUCUGCUACCACAUUGGCUUUCCCCGGGUGGUAACGAAUCUCACAGUCGUAAUCAUUGAGUAGUUCGACCCAUCGUCGUUGUCUCAUGAUGAGUUCGUUCUGGUUCAGUAUGUAUUGGAGUCAUUUAUGAUCGGUGUAUAUUAUGCUCUUUGUUCCAUACAAUUAGUAUCUCCAGAUCAUUAGAGCGAAUACGACCCCUCCUAACUCGAGGUCGUGAGUGGUGUAGUUUACCUCAUGUGUCUUUAGCUGUAUUGAGGCAUAGGCGAUGACCUUACCUCGUUGCAUCAAGACACAAUUGAGCCCUUGGUUCGAUGCAUCAUAGUAUACCACAAAAUCUUCUGUCCCUUCGGGAAGGGAUAGUACCGGUGCGGUGCAUAGAGCUCGCUUCAAGAUCUGAAAUGCCUUCUCCUGUUUCUCUUCCCAGUCAAAUGUCUCGCCUUUCUGUGUCAACAUGGUGAGAGGUUUCGCAAUCCGAGAGAAGUUCUAAAUGAAUCUGCAGUAGUAGCCGGCAAGGCCUAGAAAUUGACGAAUUUAUGUAGGCGUCUUCGAUGCUGACCAGUUCUUAAUAGCUUUAAUCUUGGAUGGAUCCACGUUGAUUCCUUCUUCACUAACCACGUGUCCUGUGAAUUCAACUCUUCGGAUCCAAAAUUCACACUUAGAGAACUUCGCGUAUAACUUCUCCGAUCGCAGGGUUUCUAGGACUCGUGGUAGAUGAUUCCUGUGUUCUUCCUCACUCCGAGAGUAGACGAGUAUAUCAUCAAUAAAGGCGAUAAUGAACUAAUCUAAGUAUGGACGACACACCCUAUUCAUCAAGUCCAUGAACACUAUGGGUGCGUUAGUCGGUCCAAAGGGCAUCACUACGAACUCAUAGUGCCCGUAACGAGUUCGGAAUGCUGUCUUCGGCACAUCCUCCUCAAGAACUCGUAACUGGUGAUACCCGGACCUGAGAUCAAUCUUGGAAAAGUAACUCGCCCCUUGUAGUUGGUCGAACAGGUCGUCUAUACGAGGAAGAGGGUAGCGAUUUUUGACCGUGAGUUUGUUGAGUUCCCUAUAAUCGAUGCACAUAUGGAGCGAUCCGUCCUUCUUCUUCACGAACAAGACUGGAGCUCCCCAGGGUGAGAAGCUCGGUCUUAUAAAGCCCUUGCUGAGCAGCUCGUUAAGUUGACCGGAUAGUUCUUGCAUCUCGGUAGGCGCUGAACGAUAGUGCGACUUAGCUAUGGGGGUAGCUCCUGGGACUAGGUCGAUUCUUAAUUCAACCUGACGUUUAGGAGGUAAACCUGGAAGGUCCUCUGGGAAGACGUCAGGGAAAUCGCACACCACAGGAAUGGCUUUUGGAUCUUUCGCUUUCUGGCUUGUGUCGACGACGUGUGCAAGAAAGGUGCGGUAUUCCUUACGCAAGUAUUUCUAGGCUUGAAUACUUGAGAUGAUACGAAGGCUUGUAUCGGGUUUGUCUCCGUAGAUAACAGAGUUUCGUGAUUCAGUGGAUUUAGUCGGACGGCUUUGUCAAAGCACAGGUUGUCGGCGCGAUGAAGACUCAACCAGUCCAUGCCAACAAUGACAUCGAAACUCUUGAUCGAGACUGGUACGAGGUCGAUUGGGAAUGAAUGAUCGUCUAACUAGAGGGUACAACCUAUGUAAAUUUCAUUAGAGAUUUCGAUCUUUCCGUUAGCCAUUUCUACGACGAAUGUUUCUUUUAGUGGUUGCGGGGAUUGUUCAAGUAAGUGUUUAAGGUUUUGGUUUAUGUAGCUUCUUUCUGCACCACUAUCGAAUAAGACACAGGCAUAAGAGUUGUUGAGAACAAACGUACUAGUGACUACUACGGGAUCUGCUACUACUUCGUUAUGGCCGAUAGCAAGUAGUCUUCCAGUUCCUCCCGCAUUCCCAGCCUUCGGAUAGUUUUUCUUGAAAUGGCCCGCUUCACCGCAGCCAUAACAGGUCUGGGUCACUCCCGAACCGGGGAGUUGCGAGAUAGGUUUGGGUGGGGCUCUGCAAAACCGGCCAGUGUGGCUCUUCCGGCCGCAGUUGGCGCAUUGCAAUUCACGGCAGGGGCCGUUGUGGUUGAAGCUGCACUUGGAACACUUGGGCAGGUUCCCAACAUAAGUUUUUGCCAGUGCAGGAGUGACAGGAGUAGUGGCAGCAUGGACAGCCACAAUUUUUUGAUCUUUGGAGGAGGUUUGAGUUUUCUUGCCCUUCUUCUUAUCCCAAUGCUUCCUCUUUUUGUCAGUUGAUUUGGGUGAUGUGUUUGCAGUUGCCGUUGUUGUUUCUGGAGUGGAAGAAACCUCAUGAUUGAUUAAACUUUGGGCCAAUUCAUUGGUGCUGUCAAAGGUCGUAGGGCGUGAGGCUAAAACGUUUCCUCGAUACGGGGGCAUUAAACCCCAAAUGUAUCGUUCAAUCUUCUUGCUCUCCGAAGGGAUCAUGUUGGGACACAUAGGCGCCAAGACGCAGAACCUAGCUGUGUAAGCUGUUAUGUCGGUCCCUUUCAUCUUGAGGUUCCAGAGUUCCUCCUCAAGUUUCUGAAUUUCACCCCUGGGGCAGUACUCCCCUCUCAUGAGGUCCUUCAGUAUGUCCCAGCCCAUGGCGUUGGCUGUUACCAAGGAGAGUGCACCGACAUGGCCGUUCCACCAUGUUAGGGCCCUGUUAGUGAGGGUGGCAGUAGCGUACUUAAUUUUGGCUCUCCUCGGGGCAUGAGCACAUUUCAAAGACAGCCUCAGUUCUUUCGAACCAUUGAGACAAUGCUAAGAUUCCUUUGGUAGCAUCGAAGAAGGUAGGUUUGCAGUUCAUGAAGUCCUUAUAAGUACAUCCCUGCACUCUUUGAUGGAUUUCACCAAAUCUAGAGUUGCCACCGCUCGCAUCACCAGAGUUCAUUUGAGCCAUGGCUGCUGUCAUAGCUAUGGUCACAGCUGUUUGAAACAGCACUGGAUCGAACUGUGAAGGAGGAGGUGGUGGAGGAGGGGUUUGAGUUCCCGGUCUGCCUCUGUUUGGACGCUUGCGAGGAGGCAUCUUUUACUGAAAGUUCAUAGAAAUGAUAGCAAUAGUAAGAGUCUAUUGCUAAUAUGAUAAGAGUGUUUUUACGGACUAAAUCAACAGAGUCGAAAGACCAGAAAGAGAGUCAUAGCAAUAGAGUAGUUAACUGCCAAUUUACUGGUAUUAAUGAUGUAAUACAAGUUCAUGAAAAGUGACCUAAUAGUAGGUCUUACAUCAAACCAUAAGGAAAAAUGUUGGCAGUCUAGAGGCCUAAUUAGAGUACUUUCAAAGCUAAGAAUGUUUACAGACAAGUGCUCCACUGAGCUUAGAAAGAAAAGGCUAGUCCUUUAACAAAAGAGUGAGAUGAUUUGACAUCUUCUACGGGCGACGGGAACCUGUUGGGCGAACCCUCAGAUCAGCUAGUUGAUGCAUAACUUCCUGAAGAUGUCGCUCAUGGGUCCUUUGACGUGCACGGAGUUCCCUGACUUCGGCUCGGGAUGCAGCUAGUUGUUGCUGCAGAGCCUCAUUGGUCCUCCUUGUCCUAUCCAUAGCUUCUUCAAGUUGGCGGAUGCGAACAGUGUUGAGAUUCGAGUUGGCGCACUUCUACGACUCGGCCAAUGGCUGAUUGACUCUGCUCGACAUUCCUGGCGAUCCAUCGGACCAUGAUGGGCAGAACUCGGUCCGCUAAUCAUCCCUCGCUUAUGUUAUAGAACUUUCGGUCUCCAUCGUAAGGUAAAGACUGGCCCUGCUCCUGGCUCCAUCGGUUCAAGGAUAUGGCCCACAUGGGAGUGGAACACUGAAAUGCCGGAUGGGGGUUAGGGUUCGGAGUUUCAGGGGGUAGGUUGUUAACUUUUUGCUGAAAGUCGGAGCUGUCCGAGAAGCCUUCAGCCAGAUGAUCAUCCAAAGGGAUCGGAUGAUCAUCGUCUGACUCCUCAUCGAGCCAUCCUCCAUUGCCCUGGUUUGGAUAGUACGGAUCGGCGGGAUGGUGGAAGCCAGCCAUGCUAUCUACGCGAGAAAGGGGGAAAGAAAGGUUAAUAGACGUACUAAUCUAAGAUAGUUAUAAGAUGGAUCGUUAUUAGUCGACCCAAUACUUGCGCAGUGCAUACCAAUUACAUGCAACCGAAGCAAGAUAGUCCUUCAAAUAAGCAACCCUAAUUUCAGAUCCCCAAUCAAACAAGAACAGGAAAUGAAGUAAAGGCCACAAAUUUCUGAGUCUAUAGCGCCCUAGUCACAUGUAACCGUGGUGUAUCCACUUAGCAACUAUCGUCCUACCAGUAACGACCCCUUUUAGUUAUCACAUAUGUAGUUAGUGGUAUACAAAAUACUCUUAUAGUAUUCUUGUUCUAACGUUCUUGUGGCAGUGUUGGUAAGUUUUUAGACUUGUUGCAACACCACAAUCACCCUUAGGCACAUGCUAGUCACUCUUGGAAAAAUGUAGUUGAUCAGGCUACAUUCACCCAGAUGUGACUAUAUGUCUCUAAGCUUAAUUGUGCUGUUCAACAAUCAUACUGACCCAUUUGUAGUAGUGAGUGUAUAUACACUUAAUUAAAUCUUUUGGUAUUUAGAAGUAUAUAUUCUUGGUCAGAGUGUUUUAGUCCCGAAGCGUUUAUAGUUCGUAUAUCUUUUAUAGGUUGAUAUACUUGAUUCACUAUAAAAAAUGCUCUGAUACCAAUCUGUCACACCCCAAUACCGAUAACGUCGGAAUACGUUCUGGGGUGGGCGACGUCAUGUACAGUAUCAUAACAAUUGCAUAAUAGUAAAAGCAAGCGACAACAACCAUUUCAUUUACAUAGUGACUUUAAUUACAACGUGUUCUUUAGAGUUUAACAGACACCUAAAGUAUAACAAAAUAAAAGAUGGGUCUUGUAUGUGCUCCAUCUUCUCCAAAAGCUGCACCAGUACCUGUCUAUGUUUGACCUGAGGAUACAAGUUAUUUUGAAAACGAGUAUCAGCAUAAAGUUGGUGAGUUCAUAAGAAUUUAGUGUCGUUGUUGUAUAUAAAAGUGUUUAAAAACUUAUAGUAUAAAAAAGCUGAAUUUUAUGUUUAUAAGUGGUAGAAAUCCCUAGAAAAUCCUAUAUUUUCUAGUAGUGUGUGAGUAUCAUAAUUGAAAACCUUCAGUUGCAAAAGUAUGGUAAUAAAUCCCAGGCAGGUAACAUAGAAGAAGAACAGUUACACCUAUUGAUAGUAGUAGUGGUGUAAACUUUCAUUGGUAAUAGAUACGUAUUUACUUCGGGAUGUUAGCUUAGACUUUAGUCUUAGUGUAUUCGUUUGAAUAUAGGUCUAACCCUUCAUGUGACCAAUUUUAUAGUAGUAGAGAACCCGAUGACCUUCCCGGUCAUACGUAGUGCAGUGAAGUAGUGCCACCCUUGGGACUGGUCGGCUCGGACUGUAGUUAACAAUCGGGAUGUAGUAGUGUCUGCCCUUAUAGAUCUAUACGUGUAGUGUUGCCCUCCUUCCGGAAAGCCCUGGUCACAUGGUAUAAGCACAAUAGGGUGUCUUACAGAGAGAUAGUGUGUUAUACUCUGGAUUAGCGUAUUCUCUGGUAUUAUAGUGUAGUAAUCUUUUGUAUAGUUCAUAUAGUGUUCACUUAUACGAGUAUUAACUUGUAAUAAUAGUCGUUGCAGUCAGUAUAGUAGUAGUGGAGAUAACGAGUAGUGGUCUUAGCUAUACCUAUUAUAACUAACUAGAGUGUAUGAUUUCUUGCCUUUGAAUAACAAAGGUAUUGAGUAUGAUGAAGACUUUCAUAUCUAACACAAAUAUAUACGAUAUAUAACUAUGAAAUCAACGACAGUCGGACGGAUAACCAAUACCCUAAGACCACAUCAAACAAGAACAAGAAAUAAGGCGAGCUAUCAGUCCUAAGUCCUUCAAGCCUUACUUAUAUAAAUAUAUUAGUGUAGAUAUAUUUUAAAAAGAAAAGUAAUUUAAANNNNNNNNNNNNNNNNNNNNNNNNNNNNNNNNNNNNNNNNNNNNNNNNNNNNNNNNNNNNNNNNNNNNNNNNNNNNNNNNNNNNNNNNNNNNNNNNNNNNNNNNNNNNNNNNNNNNNNNNNNNNNNNNNNNNNNNNNNNNNNNNNNNNNNNNNNNNNNNNNNNNNNNNNNNNNNNNNNNNNNNNNNNNNNNNAUAUUAGUGUAGAUAUAUUUUAAAAUGAAAAGUCAAUUUAAACACUAUUUUAAAAGCAGUUUAAUAACAAUGUUAUUUUAAAAUGCAUUUGACAAUCAACUAAAAUAGUAUUAUUGGAAGACAGUUAAAGUGUAGAGAAACUCCUUUUUGAUGAUAAUUGGUGAAUCACAUAUGAUUCAAUAAUAAAUCUUGUAGCAUUAUACUUGUAUCCCCCCUAAAACAUGUAAAAACAGUUAAAAAGGUUCAUUAAGGGGUAUGAACUCACUGUCUAAUGUAGGGUUCGAGUAUGCGAUUCGUAUAAGUGCUGAGUGUCAACGGAUGCUCUGAACGCAAGUAGUCCUUAUUAAUUAUAUGGUGACAAAUACAUAUAAGUUAGAGCUACGGUGUUUCAUGACUAAACAUGAUGGGAAAUCCCUCCAAAGAGCUUGGAAUCGCUAAGACUAAGUGUCCCAUGUUCUAUACUCAAUGAUCUAUGCAAGUUUAAGGCCAAAUAUGGGUGUUAGGGUGUGUAUAUGGCCGUAAAGGUGAGUGUGCGGCUGGGGUAUGCGGCCAGACUUGUGUGUGAGGCUUCACACUAGAUUGUACGGCCGUAUAGGGUGUGUGUGCGGCCGUACACUCCUUGUCUGAGUCCCAUGUGUCGAUUGUGUGGCCUUACUCCCACUUUGGAGGGUAUUAUGAGUGUGUGCGGCCACCUGAUGAAGUUGUGCGGCCGCACUCCUUCAUAGGAUGAAGAACAUGAAGAACAUUAUGAGUUUGAGGUUUAGAUUCAAGUGUUUUACCUCUAUGACAAGCUAAAUGAUGAUGUUCUUCAUGUUUUGGAGGCCUUCUAGGUGUUCUUGGGUGGUUUUCUAGAGAGAGAAAGGAUGCAGCCAAAAGUGAAUGGAAAGGGGGUCCUCUACUUUAUAUAAAGUUGGGUGUGAGGCUGGAGGGGUUUGCUGCUGGGUGUGCGGCUGGCUUGGCCGCUCACACUAGUGUGCGGCCGCACACACCUCUCUUGGUGUGUUUAGCUGGAUUUUGUGAUGCAACACCCUUCCUAAUCCUUCCUAAGGUCCAUAUCUAUGAUAUAUUAAGCCUAAAACACUAGUGCGAGCUCAAUAUACUAUUAAAAGAUGCUAAAUUCAAGUGAAUCAUAGAUAUAUGGAUCGAUUUGCUUAGUGUAAAAGUGUCGGGUUGUCACAAUUUUUAGCCUGGGAGCGUUUGAGACUCUGCUAUUUUUGUUAUUCAGUUUUGAUACAGUGAUUGAUAUGAGAUUUUGAGAUACACGACUUAUGAUUUUUCUUAUAUGAUAUUUGAUAUUACGGUUUGAUAAUGUUUUCAAAUGAAAUUUUGAGACCAUGUUUUUGGGACGUUUCAAGUUGGUAUCAGAGCCUUGGUUUGAGGGAUUCGGGUACACUUUCAGGUGUGUACAAACUAAAACUAAGGAAAUGGUAUAAGUUUUUCAAAAGAAAAACAUUCUUGUUAAAGAAUUUUGAAAAAGAAACUUAAAUUGAGAAAAGAGUUCUGAAAAAGAGAAAAUGGUGUGGUGUAUGCGAUCAGCCGAGCUCAAGUAAGUACUCCCAAAUUACCUAUACAAGUUUAUGCUAUGAUUAUCAGUUUCAGUAGAACAACAUGCUAGAUUAGGACUAAGGAUCUAGGAAGGAUACCUUAUGUGCCUGCUAUAUGUGAUUCAGCUUUAGGAGAAUUGCAUGCUAGUAUCGAGUAGAUAGUAGUAGGAUGGCCAGAUUAGGUUAUGCCUAAUGGUAUGAGCUUAGAAUCAUAUGCUAGUACAAAUUCUUGUUAUGUGAAUAUAAUUUGCUUUAGUUUGUUUCCUUCAUCUAAAUGUUGUUUGCUUUGUGCUUUGUGGGACUCGGAGUGAUGGGAGUUAGCUAUUAGAUGGAUACGUUAAGUCACAUACAAUUAGGGUUGAAGAAUCUCAGAGUGUUGGAUUUGACCCUAUUGCGCAGCUCUUGUUUGAGUCCAAACCGUUGUAGGGAUGAGUCCUUUACUAAAAGGAUUAUUUGAGCCUUGUUGCAUGUGAUGGUAUUCAUGUGGUGGCCAAUUGGCAUUACAAGGAGGCCUUCAGCGGCUGAGGACUAGUUUGGGUGGGGUCAGGGAUUUCCCUAGGUCAAUCCUAGGAUGAGAGUAAUAGAGAGCAAUAGUAGUAAAAGGGAGCUGGUGGAGUCAAGGCAGUUCUUGAGGAAAGUACGAAUAGAUGUGGAAGCUAGUAUGGGCCCGUACUACUCAAAGUAGAGGAUCCGUACUUGAAUCAAGGGAGGUUGAGAUAAGACCAGGGAACUUGUAGUGUGUGAGAUCCCUCGUGUUUUGAUGAGUAUUGUGAUGUUAGUGAUGGUAUAUUACCGAGUAUAGCGACGCCACGUGGUAGGCCAUAUAGUAGUUUGGGUGUCGACGAGGGAUCAGGCUCGAACUAUGUAGCUGGGCAGCUCGAAGAUCAGAUGAGGGAGUUCAUUCCAUCUGAGAUUAUGCACGGUAUCAUUGAACAGACUCCUGUGAUCCUUAGUAUGAUCAAGGAGGGCAUCAUAGAGAUUUGUGAUGGGAGGUUGAGUGCAUUCUGCACUGAGGUUGCAGUCAUGAUAAGGACUCGUACGUUGAUGUUUCGGGAAUUCAAAGUUUGUGAAGCUUCAGAUUUUCAUGGGGGUUAGGGACCCCAUUGUUUGCAGCACAUGGUUGGCAGAUGUCGCCAACACUUUUUGUACCAGACAUUGUCUCGAAAGGAGACAAGAUCCGACUUACUUCCUGUCUCCUGAGGGACAGAGCACGAGAUUGAUAGGAAGAGGUUGGUAGAAGGUUGAGUGAUGAUGUGGUUGAUGUUAUGUCAUGGGAUGACUUUUAGACCAGAUUCCGGGCGGAGUGUGCCCAGGCGAUUGAGGCGCAGCAGUUGGCGCAAGAGUUGUUAGAUCGUCACUAGAUGACUGAGACUUUGGCAGAGCUCACUGCGAAGUCUCGGGGAAAGAGCUUAUAUGGUACCACAAUAUGCAACAAAUGAGGAAAUGAAGAAGGUAAGUUAUCAAAACAUACUGUGGAGUGAUAGCAGGGAGAUCGUGAGUAUCUCGGGGUGCAAGACUGUGAAUGAUAUGACUUCUAGAGCUUGAGAAUGAGAUAUGGACUUGGAGCACAUUCUUAAGAGGGAAUCAGAUCAGUUGCUUAUAUUGAGGGGUCUCGGGAGGAGACCCUAGAUUUUGGAUCAUCUUUUGAGAGACCAGCAGGGUUAGAUUCUGUAAAUCAUAUGCGGGGAACUACACGAUAGAGUCUUUCGUUCCAGCGGUUGAGUAAGUGUGACUCUGGGUUAUCCUCCGUUUGUGUUUGAAUUAUACUUCCAAGAAAUGGCAUAUGCCAAUUGCAUACAGAGAAUUAUUAGCAAAUAUCGAAAGAUCAUAUCCCAAAUCGCGGGAUUGGGAGAGUACAGCGUCAUCUUGGUCUAUUCCAAGACUGAGGAGCAGCACGAAAAGCACCUGAGGGAGGUACUAGAGAUGUUGAGGAGGGAGAGACCUUUUCCAAGGUACUCCAAAUGUGAGUUCUGGUUGUGCGAGGUGCAAUUUCUUAGCCACCUUGUCAAUCAGAAGGGUAUUCUCAACGUUCUGGCCAAGAUAGAGGUUGUGAUACGGUGGGAUAUUCUGAGGUCUCCAGUUGAGAUUCGGAGCUUUCUAGGUUAGUAGGUUAUUACCGAAGAUUUACUCGGGUCCUUGGAGGUGGUGUGAUCUUUUGGACUGGCUAGUAUUGAAACACUAGCAAUGGUAAACGUGGUUUUCAGCAGGUUGGGCAUAGAAUGGUAAGAAGGAUUGAGAAUCCUUCCAGUAUUGCGUGCUGUAAGAUGUUAGUUGAAUCAAAGUGGGGAGAAUCAUCUAAGGAUUCAGAAAUAGGAGCAGUUUUGAAACUAGGAUAAGCUUCGCAUCCUUGUUAGGAAGGAAGACAGCCCAAGUGGCUGUAUAGUUUGAGGAUAAUGUGAAAUGGAAGUUCGAAAAAAAAAGAAACUUGCUAAUGAUGAGAUCGCGUUCUCGGAAUGUUUGCUAUCAAGCCAUAGGGAAUCAGGUGGGGGAUUCCAGUCAGGACAUGGGUUCAGUUUUGGAUGUUAGGCUGUGUGUAUGCUUGACAUCGGAUGUGUUCGGAUCAGUAACCAGCGAAUGAGAUAGUGUUAGAGUGUUGUAAGUUUGUGGGUGUAGUCGUAGCAUUCACUAGCUGUCGAGUAGUGCUAUAAUGUUGUGAGACUACAGGCGUAGCCAUAGAAUACACUUGGCUGGUAGACAGCAUGAGCGCGUUGUUAGGACGCGGAAGCAACAAUAGUACCCGCCAGUUCGGAUGUAGCAGUAAGGAUAUGGAAAUCUACACAUUGGAUUUCGGAAUUAUCUGGAUGGAUUAGAUCUAGUUGAGCCAGUGAUAAGACUGUACGAAUGCCACUGCAGUUUUGAUAUCGAGGAAGCAAUGGAUUGCUUCACUUUGCUUGUUAUAAAAGGUUACAAUUGGUCAUAUAGCAAUCGCGUUUAGCCGUGGUUUGGUAACAUCAGGAUUCGACGCACGGACCCGAUCGGUUGGAUCAGGAGGUUGUUAGAGCCUCAGUGACAUGAUAACUAGUAGCAACUAGUUCCAUAGAAUGAUUUUGUUUAGAAGUAGUGUGAGGAGACUAAAUAGAAAGUCCUUUGGCUCCGCAGCCGUGCUGGAACCCGGUAUUUCAGAUGACUGACGAAUGAAUUGAGACCAGGAAGGUCUCGAUUGAUAUUGGAAAGGAGCCAUGUAGCAACAUGUUGUUUCAAACAAUCCAGUGUUCAGGCAGUUCAGUGUUUCAAGCUGUUCAGUGUUUCAGGCAGUUCAGUGUUUCAGGCAGUUCAAUGUUUCAAGCAGUUCAGUGUUCAGGCAGUUCAGUGUUUCGGGCAUUUCAGUGUUCAGGCUGUUUAGUGUUUCAGGCAGUCCGUGUUCCAGGCAGUUCAAUAUUUUUCAGGCAGGUCAGUGUUUCAGACAGUUUUGAGUCUCCAGCAGUAAUGGUAUUUGAGGAUCUCAUGUAAGGUAAGCGUAACAGAUUGCUGAGUAAUGCUAAAUCACCCACCGCGGGGUUCAUCUAUAACGAUUUAGUAUGAGUGGUCUGUCAUCCGUUCAAACCAUCUCGAGACAACAGCUUUCAGACGGAGUAGAUGUGAUCUUGUUGCAAGGAAUUCGUUCACCUGCAGAAAUUAGGGCCUUGUGAAGCGUGGUCAUGAUUACCCUGGGGAAGACUACGGUGUGCACAGGAUUGUGGCCAAGUUAUAUGAGUGGUUUGGCGUGUAUGGAAUGGUAAGGAAAGAUUUCGAGGAAGAAAUCUAAUUUAAGUGGGGGAGAGUUGUAGUGUCCCAUUUAUUUAAAUAAAUAAAUAAAUGCAAGUCCUGGAAGAAAUUGUGAAUAAUUUUAGAACUUGGCGGUUAAAAGUGUAAGUUCCAGAAUAGUUUUGUAAGUAUUUAAGAAGGCAGGGACUAAAUGGUAAUUUAUGGGACUUCUUUUGAAAAGAUUUUACAGGUCAAGGGGCUAAUUGGUAAAUUCCGGAGUUGAUUUGUAAAGAAAUUCAGAGAAUGGGUUAAAAAGGUAAGAUUCGGGUUUAAUUUGGAAAAUAUCUAGUAGGGAGGGGUUGUUAUUGUUAAAUUGGACAUAAGUUGAUGAAACACAGGUUACACCUGUCACACCCCCCUCGUGCAGCCUCCAUAUAUAAUGAAACAAACCCUAACCCUAGCCACGUUUUCUUUCAGCCGCCACCAUCUCAUAAUCCUCCUCACACGCCGCUACCUAGUCGAGUUCGGCUGCCAUAACCCGCUACCAGUGAAGUCAUGAACAACCAUCGAAGACUGAUAGGAGUAUUGUCGCCGCUGCACUGCCUCUGUGAAGAAGAUGAAGCCACCGUCGGACGCCGCAUCUGCCAUUCACAGCGACGUCGGUGGCCCUUGUGCCGUCAGUGAAGACCGAGCGGAUACCCUCCUUCGUAGUUGAUGCUGAUAUUCUUCGCUUCAUCUCCUUCCUCCACCUCAGCUGUGGGCAUUGCUUCGUUCCAAGGCGCUCUCCGCUCAUCUUCCUCAUCCCUUCUUCUCUCUAGUUCGUUGCUGCAACGUCGUUGUUAGCGACCGUUGUGCUGCCGAUGAGCCACUUGAGUUGUUGCUGCCAUUACCAAACGCCACCAGGUGGGUGGUUGGGUGCCUCUUGCAAACAGAGUCAUGUGGGUGUGUUGCUACUUGUUCAGAUUAGCGUGCAAAGUUGUUGUUGAUUAUGUUUGUUGUGUGGGUGUGACAGUUUAGCCGGAUAUCGAGAAAAAACCCACCAAGGCCGCCGACUAUGGUGGUUGUUGCCCUGAAACCAUUUUAUGCCACCACCANNNNNNNNNNNNNNNNNNNCAUAGAAGAGUAUUUUUCUUAGUGUGUGUUGUUUGUGUGCCAUGCUUGGUCGGAAAAGUGAGAAGAAGGGCCACCACCACCGUGAGGUGGUGGCUGCCGCUACGAGCCACCGCUGGCCACCACUAAGGUGGCUGUGUGUAUUAGAUUAAUUAGUGUGUGUGUAUGACUAUUGAGUGUGUGUAUUAUUUUUGGAUAAAAACCUUGUAAUUGUAAUUAAUAUCAAUUAAUAAAAAUAAUAAUAAUCACCACCAUUAGGUGGUGGCCGCCGCUGUGUGCCGCCAUUGACCACUACUACCCGAGGUGGUAGUGGGUGGUGCCCCACUAGCAAACCCUAAUGGGCUUAGAGAUUAGUUUUGGGCCUAUUGGAUGAUGUUUGGGUGGAAAACCCUAAUUAUGAGUAUUUGAGUCUUGGACUUAUUGGACCCACUUUUGGGCCAUUGAGAUUGGAUUGUGUAUUAAGCCUAGUUUCUCCAUAUCAUUUAUCUAGUAGAGUAAAGGACUAAAUGGAUUAAGUUCUUAAUAGGUUAAGUAAGAAACACUUAAUCCUAAUUGUCAUUUUAUGUGAAACCCUAAUGUCACAUGUGCCUUUAUUUGGGCUUCUCAAUUUGGGUAUUGGUAAUUGGGCCAAUAAUGGGCCAUCCAAGAUUGAUUAUGGACUAGAAUAUUUAGAUGGGCUUUAAGGUAAGGCCUAUAUGAAGGAUUGGGCCCAAUUUGGAAAUUGGGCCAUAGAUGGACCAUAGUUUGGGCCUAGAUAGUUGUAUGAUAUUGGGCCCUUAAAAUGAAACAUGUUGGACUGGACUGAAAAAUUGGGCCUUAAGGGAAGUCCAUGUAGAGGUUUGGGCCCAAUUUGGAAAAUUGGGCCAUAUGUUGGGCUUUAAGCCAUAGUUAGACUUUUGGGCCUUUGGAUUGGGCCUUGGGCUUGAAUCAAGCAAAGUUAGGGGUAGAGUAGUCUUUUACCCCCAAGCAUGGGCUUAUGAUUAUGAGUUGGAACCUAAUUGUUAAUUGGUUGUUAUUUUGAUGUUGACAGAUUCGGGACUCUGUCAUCCAGCAGCAGCUCGGAUUUUAUCAGCAGGACUUCAGCAAUGUGAGGUGAGUUUCCUUCCAGUAGGAACGGGUCUACGGCUACAAUGCCGGCCCGUUUAGAUUAUAGUAGUUUCGGACUUCUGUCCGAUGCCGGGGUAGUCCCGAGAAGUAGUUUUGGUAUGCUUGAUGUCUUUGUUAUUCAGGCAUGUUUAUGUGUUAUGUAUUCCGGACUGCGGUCCGAUGUCGGGCAAGCCCGAUGCAGUAUAUGUGCUAUGUUAUAUGUUUAUGGUUAUGUUAUGCUAUGUUCAUUUAGUCCGGACUUCGGUCCGAUGCAGAGGGUAAGGCCCUAGUAGUUCCGGACUUCGGUUCGAUGCAGUGGGUAAGGCCUUAGUAGUUCCGGACUUCGGCCUGAUGUAGGGGGCAAGGCCCUAGUACUUCCGGACUUCGGUCCGAUGCAGAGGGCAAGGCCCUAGUAGUUCCGGACUUCGAUCCGUUGUAGAGGGCAAGGCCCUAGUACUUCCGGACUUCGGUCCGAUGCAGUGGGCGAGGCCCAAGUUAUUCUGGACUUCGGUCCGAUGCAGUGGGCAAGGCCCAGUAGUUGCUUUAUAUGUUAUUGUUUGUAUGUGGUAGUUUGGGGGAACUCAUAAAGCUUCAUGCUUACAGUUUUAGUUUUGGUUCCAAGUACUUCAGCUAGCAAUGAGGAAGGGCUCGGGAUGAUGGCAUGGCACACACCACAGUUUUUAGCCUGGGAGCGUUUGAGACUCUGAUAUUUUUCUUAUUCAGUUUUGAUACAGUGAUUGAUAUGAGAUUUUGAGAUACACAAGUUAUGAUUUUUCUUAUAUGAUAUUUGAUAUUAUGGUUUGAUAAUGUUUUCAAAAGAAAUUUUUAGACCGUGUUUUUGGGGAGUUUCACUUUCUCAAAUAAGGAGGAUGUGUAAGACAGAAUGAUGAUGCUCUUGCAAAGUAUGGAAGCUUUUUAUAAAGGAUAAAAUUAAUUACUAUAAAAUUUAAAACCGUCAAAAAGGUUUUUAUCAUGAUUACUAAUAUAAUUGGUAAUAUUUGCCCUCCUUCUUUGAGGUCGAGGGUUCAUGUCCAAGGAGGGACAUUGGUGGAAAUUUAGAAGUAAAAUAGAUUUGCCAUUCCAAAUAAAUAAAUAAAUAAAUAAAUAAAAUAUGUAGCUCAACCAUUCACUUUGACUUAGCAUUAGCAGAAGGCAUGAAUCUCUAAUGCCUUGUUCCCGAGUUUAACAAAAGAAAAGAAGAGAAGAGAAAAGAAAGUCACGAGAGAAAAGAAGAGAAAGGAAAGGAAAAUAAAAUUUUCUUUUGUGUUCCCGAGUUGGAGAGAAGUGGAAGGAAAAUGAAUCAUUUUGUUCUUUCUUUCCAAAUCCUCCCAAAUCGGAAGGAAAGUUAGGAGGGAAAGUGAUCCUCCCAUUUCCCUCCACUUCCUUCCACUUCCCUCCUUUAAUGAAACUCGGGAACACCAAUUUCUUUUAUUUUCUUCUCAUUUCCAUCCAUUUCUUUUCCUUUCUUUCGUUAAGUUGAACUCGGGAACGGGGUGUAAAGGGUCAGUGGUGGCGAUGGGUCCCCAGAUUUUGGCUUACUAAUUUCCAUUCUUAAUAAUCUCCUCUCCUACAUGUCAUGUGUCACUUCUAUAUGCUCCAUCAAUCCACGUGUCUCUUUUCUGGAGCUUCUCUCCUUUGUUUCCCGCUCAAUCUUUUCCGGUUCAUUCCUCAAAUCCCAUAAAAUCUGCUAAAUUUUUAAUUAGAGUUCAAUCUACGUAUAUUUAUUGACGAUGUCACGGGAUUCGGUUAAAGGAUAUUAGGUAUUCAAAUUAAUUAAGCUUUUGAAUCCAAAUUUUUGAAAUCUCGACACCAUCUACUAUGACGAUGGUUACUUAUGAAUUACAAAUAUAUCUUCUUCAAGUUGGUUUAUUUUAUGAAGAUGGAAAUCCCGUCGAGGCAAAAGGGAUCGGAAGAAAAAUACUCGAUAUGGUUCAUAGAACCUACGAAUCUGAAAUGGGUGGCAAAGGUUUUGCAUACGAUGGUGAAAAGACUCUUUUCACCGUUGGUGCUUUACCUGCAACUAAGCUCGAGUUCAAUGUCGUUCUGGAAAACGCCGCAUCAAAUAGGUAAUAAAAAAUGUUUAACUUUUGACUUUCUUUUUAAGAAUCAUGCCACUAACAAUUAACAAACACAUGUUGUUUGUAUAGAACUAGCCGAGGUGGAAGCCCAAGUGAAGGAGAAACCAAAAGAUCGAGGCGUGUUCCUCAAUCGAAGCAGUAUAAGGUGACUUUAAGUUUUGCGACAAAGAUCCCAAUUCAAGUUGUUGUUAAUGCGCUUCAAGGUCACGAUUCUGAGCAAUUUCAUGAAGCAGUUCGGGUUUUAGAUAUUCUUCUUCGCAAACACGCGGCGAAACAGUAAGUUAUAUACAUAUGUAAACAAGAAAUUCUACUUAAUUAUUGAUGUAUUUGUAUUCAAUUACGUUAAUCAUGGUUUAUAUGGGAUUAUACAGAGAGGUUGUCUUCUGGUUAGACAAUGCUACUUUCAAAAUGAUUCAAGGAACUUCAUAAGCAUUAGAGGUGGUGUUGUGGGUUGUAGGGGUUCCAUUCAAGUUUUUGCGCCACCCAAUCUGGGUUGAGUUUGAACAUGGGUAAAAAACACUAAUGAAUUUGUCUUUUUUAUUUGUCUAAUUUUAAAAAUUAUAAUGCUAUGACUGAUUAUACUGAUUAUCAAUCAACAUUGAUUUGAUUCUAUUACAUAUGUAUCUACUACUAUGAUCGUUAAGCCAGGGAAAGUUAUGGAUUUCCUAUUUGAAAACCAAAACGUUCGCAGCUUAAGGGAGAUCGAUUGGAUCAAGGUAUAACAAUUUUGUUAAAUUUUAAACUUAUCGAUUCAAAAUUUCAAACGUUGAAUUUGAUUAUUUUUUGGCAAUUAGGCAAAAAGAAUGCUGAUGAACCUUCGCGUCAAGACCUUACCCUCGAAUCUGGAGUAUAAUAUCAUUGGAUUGAGUGAGAAAACAUGUUGAGAACAGAGGUUAGUGAAUUUUUUCAAUUAUUUCAUGUCAUUUAAUCAACAUUUUCAUAGUGGAAUUCUUAUAAAAUGAUGUUUAAAGUAAUGAGUUUUCAAGAUAAAUCUUGAAUGUGCUAUGUAUCUGAGUUCAAAAAGAUAAAUAGUAACAUUUUAAUCCAAAGUUGGUUAGUUUUUUUUUUUUUUUUGGCGUUAAUCUUUUUGCAUCGAAUAUACAAAAUUUACAUGCUAUAUAAGUUUCAAAUUAUAGUAAUGGAUUGUUCCAGUAUUUUGGAAUUUGAAAAAUAGGGACAACUUUGUUAGUUUNUUUUUUUUUUUUUUUUUUUUUUUUUUUUUUUUUUUUUUUUUUUUAAGAAACAUGCCAUUUAUGUUCAUUCAUUUAAACAUGGAAUAUUUUUGGGGUUUUAUUUCACUUAACAUAAUAUACAGCGACCAUUUUUGGUUAUUUUUUUACUAUGGGACAAUCUGUGUAGAGAUUGACUGUUGCUGCAGUUUUCAAAAUAAGAAACAAUUUAUGUUAGCCUUCACAAUUAAUAGCAACGUAAUUUUCACUUUUGCAGGUUACUUUAUAAAUAACGAGAUGUAAGUAUAUUAUAACAUUCUACUUUCUUGCAUUAUACUUUAUAUCAUCCUAAUUUUUACCAAACUACACUCCUUUUUUUUGUCAAAAAUUUUACUUUUUCAGUUUCUGUCCAGAUUUAAGAUAUUUUUUUUGUGAUAUAAUUGACAGUUUACCUCCUGUUAUUGUUUUUAUAGCAUCACACUAACAUGAAAAGUGAUUUAUAACAUAAUACUUUCCAGCAAAUUUGAAAAACAAUUUUGAAAAUUGAAAUGACAAUUUUACCCAUACAGUAUACAUCAGUGUUAUAAUUUGAUAAAAAUCUUAUUUAAUAAAAAAACGAGUUUCUUAUUUAUUGAUAUCUUAGGCAUUGUUUAUUUCAUUACUAUACAUAUCUACAAUGUUGAUCAAAGUAUAAAGCCAUAUUAACAAAAUUUUACAAUGUACAACACUUGGUAAAUUUUUCUUUAUGGUUAUUGUUUUUUGAAAGUACGAUGUUGUAAUAAGAACAAGUGAAGAUUACCAAAGACUUAUUUUCAUCCUUAUUUAGGCAUUAUAGUUUGAUAAAAAUCUUAUUUUUAAUGAAAUGACAAUUUUACCCGUGUCUUAAUUCUACAAAGUUAAAACCCAAAAUUUAUAAAUAUUAAUUUAGUAUAUCAUUAUACAAGUUCAUUACUAUUAUGAAUAACAAAACUUAAGUAUUUUAUAUUCAUUUUAAGUAUUUAAAUUGACUUGACUACCAAACAGUGUAUAAAUACAUAUGUAUAUGUAUGUAUGUAAUGGUUUGGGGUGACGGGUAUGACAUUGACAUGACAAAGUGCAUAUAUUGUGGGUUUUGCCAAGAAGCAUGUCCGGUUGAUGCAAUUGUAGUAGGCCCUAACUUUGAGUUUGCAACUGAUACUCAUGAGGUUAAUGGAAACCGAGUAGUUACUACUACUCUAUUUAUAUUAAUCUUUGUUUUCACAAAAUGAGAUUCAUGAGUUGUUUUUGUUUUUUUAGGAACUACUUUAUGACAUGGAGAAGUUGCUUGAAAAUGGGGACAGGUGGGAAACUGAGAUUACUGAGAAUCUUACAUAUGAGAGUCUCUAUCGGUAAAUUAGUGUUACCUAUUGUCAUAUUUCCCCCCUCAGUAGUAUAAGUGGUGGUUGUAAUGGUUUGACCAAACCACUCAAAAGGCUUUAUAAUCUCACAGUAUCGGUUAUUUUUUGCAAUCCCAUUAAUUUAUAUUGUUAGUUCUCUUCUCAAAUCUCUGGAUACAUUCAUAGUCUAUUCUCAAAUUGUCCGAUAUUCUUGUGAUAUUUCAUAUUCCAUACUCUUUAUUAUUCAUUUUUUUUCUUGGUUUUAACAUCCCUUGAGUUGCAUUGUUGUUAUGUAAGUCGUUCUACCUUAGGAUAAAUGCAAAUAAAAUGUGGGAAAUGAUGAAACUUGAAAUGAUUAAAUUAAAAUGUAGAACACUUUGAGGAGUUGUCUCCCGUUAUGAACUCAACUAUAAAUGCUAUCGGAAGCUUUAGUUUGAAAACAUAGCCUAAGAUACAAGUUUAGUUGAAGGAGAUGCUUUUCAAAAUAAAUAAAUAAAUAAAAAUCCAACUACAAUUUUAUAAUAUUAUUCGGCUAUCGAAAGCAUCGGUGAUAGUAAGUUCAUUCUUGUUAUUGUAGAAAAUUUUUGUUGCUUCACCUGGGUUUUAUUUCUUAAACAGAAAUCUGAAGCAACUCCCAAGUUGAAAGCAUUCAUCAAGCAGGUCGAGGUUCAACUGCGAAAGAUUGUAAGGAACAUUCGAAGUGACAAUGGGCUUGAAUUCAAACAUAAGGAGUUUGAAGAUUACUUUGCUGAAAUAGGAGUAACUCACAAUUUUUCUGCUCCUUACACUCCACAACAGAACAGAAUCGUUGAAACAAGAAACCGAUCUUUAUGUGAAGCUGCCCGCAUGAUGCUAAGUUUUGCUUCACUUUCAUUAUAUUUAUGGGCUGAUGCCAUUGCAUGUGCAUGCUAUACUCAGAACCGAUCCCUUCUCAACAAGAGAUUCACCUUAACUCCAUAUGAGAUCCUAAACAAUCGAAAGCCCAACAUAAAUUUUUUCCAUGUGUAAUCCACUUUAUUUUUAACUCCAAGAAGAACCGAAACAAGUUUAACGUCAAAGCGGACGAGGGGAUAUUUCUUGGGUAUUCAAUGACCUCAAAGGCAUAUAGGGUUCUAAAUAAAUGCUCCAAGCGUCUUGAAGAAACCUACUAUGUAACCUUCAAUGCCAAUUAUGUUAAGAAGAUUCAAUCAACCGACAAUACUACACUAGAAAUCUUCCCAGAAACUGGUCAAGUCACGGUUCCUAUUUCCAACUUGUUUGAAGAAUACAUUAAGUUAUUUGAUGAACCAGAAAAGGCCAUCAAUUCAAAGGCGAAUGCAGCGGAUAACAAAGUUGAUCAUCUGAAGAAAAUCAUUGAUAAAGUUGCACACGCUAUUGAAACCGAUCCUCCGAAAGCAGCUGAGAGUCAACCCUCUGUUUCCAACACAACAGAACUACAUGUCGAGGGGGAGCAUCCAAAUUUAACUCAUGAAGCUCAUGUACAAGGGGAGCAUCCAUACGUAGGGGUAAAUCCAGUUCCAACCGAGGGGGAGCAUCCCACUCUAACUGCGGAAGAGAUAUCUGAACCGGACGUGGGAUACGCUUCGCUAUUUGAGGGGGAGAAUGAAAAUACAAAUGACGAAGAUGAUCAAUCAAAACUUGAAGAAGAGGCCAAUGUAGAAUUGGAUCCAACUUAUGAUCCGAAUUAUCCUCCCCUGAUUAAAUUGACAAGGGAUCACCCCAAAACACAAAUCAUUGGUGAAUCAUCAGAAAGGGUUCUUACACGUUCUCAACUGAAAGCGAAGCAGACUGCAUUAUUUUCUCAAGUUGAAUUUUGUAUGUUUAAUUCAUUUGUCUCCAAAAUCGAACCGAAGGCGGUCAAUAUUGCACUUGAUCAUGUUGAUUGGGUACAGGCAAUGCAAGACGAACAGCAUGUGUUUGAAAGAAAUCGUGUUUGGAGAUUGAUUCACACUCCUAAUGAUGCAUCUAUGGUCGGUUUAAAAUGGGUAUUUAGGAACAAGAUCGAUAAAGAGGGCAGCAUCAUUAGGAACAAGGCUCGGUUAGUGGUAAAGGGAUAUUGUUAAGAAGAGGGGAUAGACUAUGAGAAGACGUUCGCUCCAGUAGCAAGAUUGGAGUCAGUGAGAAUAUUUCUUGCAUAUGUUGCUCGCAAAAACUUCGAAGUUUUUCAAAUGGAUGUGAAAUGCGCCUUCUUAAAUAGAGAACUAAAAGAAACCGUGUACGUUGAGUAGCCACCAGGGUUCGUGAAUGAAAAGUAUCCUGAUUAUUGCUAUGUUCUAGACAAAGCGGUAUAUGGUUUGAAGCAAGCACCGAGAGCAUGGUAUUAAACCCUAACUUGUUUUCUUGAAAUGUCUAAGUUUAAACAAGGUUCGGUUGACCCAAAUUUAUGUCGAUGACAUCAUCUUCGGCUUAACGAAUCCCAGCCUAACAGCUGAAUUCAGGAAAUUGAUGGAGACAAAAUUUGAAAUGAGCGCAAUGGGUCCGAUUAACUUUUUUCUUGGACUGAACAUUAGACAGGGACCCGAAGGGAUUUUCAUAAAUCAGGAGGCUUACACCAAGAACUUGCUAACAAAAUUCAGAAUGAAGGGAGAUUCGAAAGUGAAGGUUCCCAUGGCGAUCGGAACAAAAUUAACGCCAUCUCUGGAUAAACCAGUUGUUGAUAUGACACUCUAUCGUCAAAUGAUAGGUUCUCUCAUGUAUCUGACGGCUAGUAGACCAGACAUAAUGUUCUCAGUUUGUUAUUAUGCCAGGUUUCAAGCUAAUCCAAGAUAACCUCACAUGAUAUCCGUGAAGAAUAUCUUUCGCUAUCUGAAGCGAACCUCAUCUCUCGGUCUUUGGUAUCCACCAAAUUCUGGAUUCUUUAUACAAGCAUUCUCUGAACCAGAUCUUGGUGGGUGUGGAUUGGACCAAAAAAGUACAACGGGAAGAUGUCAAUUCCUUGAUGGCAAGCUUGUCAGUUGUCAGUCAAAGAAGCAGGCAUGUGUGUCUCUUUCAACAGCCGAGGCUGGGAAUAUAGCAGCAGCAUCCUGCACAUCACAACUGGUAUGGAUACAAAGUCAGCUCAGAGAUUACAGUCUAAGUAUGAAGAAGAUUCCACUCUACUGUGAUUCUGAAAGUGCGAUAAGGAUAUGUCAUAAUCCAGUGCAACACUCCAAGACCAAACACAUCGCACUGAAUUACCACUUCAUCAAAGACCAUGUUGAAGAUGGCAACGUAGAAGUUCACUUUUUUCGUUCAUCAGAUCAACUUGCCGAUAUUAUUACUAAGGCCCUACCGGAAAUGAGCUUUAAUAGAAUACUACAUGGCUUAGGCAUGAUUGAACCAGUGUCUGUAUCGAAACAACUGUCAUCUACUUAAAAGGUUUGCUAAGUGAAAUAGAACGGGGCUCGGUCUAUUUUGGUUCCAUGAAAAUUAAUGAACCGAUAUAAGCCGACCGUUCGGUAUAUUUCGGCUCCAUAAUUUUAGGGAACCGAUAUAAACCGAUCGCUCAAUCUAUUUCGCUUCAUUUUCUCUAAAGGACAAUUUCGGUAGUAUAAUUUGUUUGCAGUUGCUUUCGAUUUAUGUUUUCUCUCUUUUGUUGGUACUCAUUUAUUUAGUUUUUUUGCCUUUUUUUUAAGUUUUUGGGGUAUCACAUCUUUUUACAAAAUGAACAAAAACACAAAAAUAUUUUCCUUUGCAUUUUAUUAAGUUUUUUUUAUAAAUCCAAUAAUAUUUUUUGCAUUUCGUGUGGUUUCUCAUUGUUUAUCUUUUAGGUUUCAAAGGCACAAAAAGUUUGUGAUCUUAACACAAGGGAAGGUAUGAAAUUUCUAAUUAUUAGACUACUUAGGUGUCACUAGAAGCAUGCUGUUGCAUGUAGACUGAAGCCUCAAAGACUCUAAGAGAGGCCUUAAUGAUUCGAUCAAUACCUACCGUUUCUUCCCAAUUAGGCCAUCUUCUCUCAAUUCGCAAGCUACUUUGCUCUUCUCAAAAUGAGUUAAGAGUUUACUGCUCUGUAAUUCAUCACAAGUAGGGGUACUUUCAGUUCUUUAACCACCUCAUCUAUAUUCUUCAUCUGCUUUCAUCUCACAAAUGUAACCCUUGAGACUCUCGAUUAUUACCUCUGAGGUUUAUGGUUACACCAAAUCUGUGUUUAUGAUCUUACCUAUGUCAACCACGUGCUGAGUGAAACCCACCAUCCAAUACCAAUAAGGAAUUGACAGUGAAUUUUGAUAUUCAAGAUUGACUUGUUACCGACUGAAAUCUCUUUUUAUUUUUUAUGUGUGAUCUUUAUGAAAGUGUCUAACACCAAGGCAUUUCUUCCCAUAGGAUCCCGUUUAGUUUUGUUUUUGAGAUAUCAAAUCCCAACCACCUUUCAACAUAUCUAACCUACUUGUUCAACAGAUCACAACGGUCUCACAAGUACUUCACCAAAUGGUCGGUCUUAUUUCAAGUAUCGACGUUCGGUUGAAGAUUAACCAUCCCCUAAAGCAUAUGUAUAAAAAGAUGCCUUUCAAUGUUUUUUAACAAACACUUGAUCGUAUUCCAACGGGAAACCAAACAAGCACUUCAAGUCUCUCUUGAUUUUGAAGGAAGAGAUUUAUGCCCGCAAUCAUCUGCUUCGUGUCAUAUUUGACAUCACUCACACUCCAUACACUUGUUGCUUUAUUUCUUUUUUCCUUGGCACACUCUAGCACGAAGAUCCUUGUGAUUUUCAAAAGUCUGGAUUGAGUUAAUGGAAUGAUGAGUCAUAAGUGAAUUUGAAAAGACUUAAUAUUUGGAGCGCGCGGUAAAUGGAUAAGAAUGUUAUGCUCGUCAUAGGGUAAAAUUUGGGCGCGUGAAAUUUGAAACGUCUAUAAUCAAUCAGGCCACCUGACACCUUUUUCAGAAACAGUUAUCAAAUCCCGAGAUUUAUGGCAACUUUUCAGAGAUACAGUCAUCAUUAUUCUUGAUUUUUCUCUCUCUUGGAAACGGUAUAAAAGGGUUUUUCAUUCUUCAGGAACAUCUUUACCACUAUCAAAAUCCCUCGAAGUAUAACGGCGAUUUCUUGUUUGCUCUGUUCAUCAUCUUCUUGAGCAUCAUCAAUGGCGGACUCCUCAUCUAUUCAAGAACAAAGUGCUUCAUCCACAUAGCUAAAGAUCAAGCCUAAUCAGAAUCUCCUCAUCGAUCUGGAUCCUCAUAUCUACGACGCAUACAUGCUUUAUGUGGUUGAAUGUCUCAAGUAUUCCACACUCGUUGUCGCACUAACAAAAGCUGAAACGGUGCCCAUGUCCUUGCUAUCUCGUGUCUAUACUACAACAACUUAUGACAAGAAGCAGGAAAGGAUUUUCUUUGAGGUAUUCAACAACAAAACUUCCAUCUCAAAGGUCAGGUUUUCAUCCCUGUUAGGGCUUCCUUACGGAGAAACUAUGGUGAAUCCAGAUUCGAUUUCUCUCACUCCUCUGUUCUCAACGUUCUAUGAUCUGGGGUACACAGAUAUAUUAACUACAGUUACGAAGUUCAAAAAGUCAUGUCUUCCUCCUCAGUGGAAUGGUCUUUUCAGAAUACUGGUCAAUAGUUUUGCUGAGAGAGUUGCAGGUUCUGAUGGCUCCAGCAAGGCGUUAAUGGUGUUGUUUUAUGGUCUAUACACACAUGUAUUUGGACUUUGGUUCCAUUCUGUGGUCUCAACUGGUGCAGAGUAUUAAUUCCUCUUCUCGACACUCUGAAAUCUCAUGUGCUCGAUUCUAGACGCUUAUCACUCAUCGAUCCAUGACCAGGUUUAGUGUUCCUGUAAUGGAGAUUCCUUUAUGUCUUCGAUUGAUACUCUUCAUAAAACUAAGAUCAUUGUCGCUGAUCCUGCAAGGUAUUCCUUUGUGGGUUCUUUUCCUGAAUCUAUGCUGAAUUGUGUUCCUGCUUCAAGCACAAUCAUCACGGCCUACAAGAAAACUCCUCCAUCUGAUCCUAGAGUUUAUACACCUGAGAUGCAGCAGUCACUAAAUGAUGCUGAUAAACCAACUAAGAGAGGUAAACGUGGUGAAUAUAAGAAAGCAACUAAGGAAGGUCCUUCUUCGAAUAUCGUUGUCUCGAAAAACAGGAAGCCUGAACCAGCUGCUGCAUCCAUUCCAAAGAAGCGCAAAGGGAAGAAGCAGACGCGGAGACCAGUUACUCCUUCAACUAGUGAUUCCAUUUACAACCCUUAUGAUCAGUGUAUUCAUGAUUCUGGUGCUGACGAGGGUGAAGAUCUCAUAUCUGAUGCUGACAGAGAUCCAUCGCCUCCUCCUUCUCCCACCUAUGAAGCUCCUGUUAAUGAACCGGUUCCUUCUCUGCCUCAACUCCACCUCAAGCAUCGAUUCCAGUUACAAUCGCUCCAUGUCCACCACCGGUUUCAAUAGUGCCUCAAAUUAGUACACCAAUUCUGCCACUAGUAUAUUACCAAUCAGCAACCGAACCUAGUGUCAACGUAUCUGAUACGGUGGCACCUAUGUUCCAAACCGAGCCACCUACAUUCCAAACUGAAUAUCCAACUUCACCAUCACCGUCAUCUGAGUCUGAUACAGUUUUAGGAGGAGAAGAUUUGAAUUUUAAAUCAACCUAUUUCAAUCCUUAUCGUGUCCAGAGCGAUGAUGAUGAAGAUGCUCCGGUGACAAAGAGCAAUCUAAAGGAUCUACACGAUAAACUUGACACCCUCAUUACCUCGACUUCUACUUCCUCAUUUGGAUAUUCUAAGGCUGCUAUUACGGGCAUUCUUGAAACGGUGUUCAAAAGGCAUGAGACUUCAAUUCAAAACGCAAAAGAGGCUAUCGAUGCUUUAACUCUAUCAAGUCAGAAAGUUGUUGACAAAGUCAAGUCACUUAUUCACAAUGCCAAGAUUUUCAUGGAAUUGCUUCAGGGGGCUUCUGAGACUACUACCAACAAGGUGAACGCCACGAUUGAGUCUCUGUCAAAGACUUUUCAGGAUGAACAAGCGAAGCUUGCACAAAUUCGUUCUGAACUUCAAGCCGAUCAAAUAUCUUUUCAGUCCUUAGUUGCAGCACGUCUUGAUAAACUAUGGAAAGAUCUGGCGUUUGAAAACAAAGUCAUGGAUGAGCUUUCUCGUCAAACUACCAUGAUCAAUAAUCAAGCCGUUCGCUUGCAUCAAGCUCGGCGCGACAUUGAUGAACUUAAAUCUGAGCGCACAGUCAUGAAAACUAACGUUACUGAUAUGCAUGCCCUUCUUUCCAACCUACUGGAUGCUCAUGAUUCGUAUCUUACUAUCACUAUUCACAGGCAUCUAGCAGAAAAGUUGCGUCCAUGGCUUGCCUUGUUGAGUCGUGUUGCUGGUGUAAUGGAGUUGGGGUCAACUCCGCAACAAGGGGGAGAUAAGGCUGAGGAAGAACAACAGAAACAACCCCCGAAAUCAUCAACAGAACCGAAGGGUAAUGUAGCUUCGGGUUCUGGUAAACAUGAUAAAGGCAAAGGGAUUAUGAAAGAAGACGAAUAAGAAGAAAAUGAUGAUGUUUCUCUUAAGAGACGAAACAGGGAUAAAGAGCUGGAUGUAAACUCUCGCAUUGCUAAAGAGGCUGAAGAAAGGGAACGAAAACAAAAAGAAGCUCACAACCUACUGGAAAGUCACAAAAUACUUUUUCCUUUAUGGACGUUGGAGCGUAUGAUAAAACAGGCUAUAGAUUCUCCAAGCACUCAUUGGCUUGAACCAGUCGUUUCAUUUGACUGUGAGAAUUCUAGGGACUUACAGUUUGAUAUGCCUAUCACUCUGAAAGCCUUCGCGUUUCAUUGCUUUGAACCGACGGUUAAAAUCCCUUUGCCUGAUAUGAACACUGAUAGAGAUUUGAUUGACUAUUACAUGGACUUUGCUUAGCCACAACAUCUGACCUGGAGUGCACAAAAGAUUACUACUGUGAUGGUUAUGAAACCAACUGCUGCUGGUAAAUUUAUACAUGUCAAAUUCAAGGUGACAAGAGGGUCAGAAGGUUCGGUUCAUAUUAUUUCCUUAGCUGAUCUACCGAAUCUGAAUCCGCAUGAUUGGAUUCUAUUAUAUAACAUUCUGCUGACUGAACCAAAACAGUAUGAGCCGAUCAUUGACCAUCUCAAGUGAAUGUUUGCUUGUUACAUCCAUGAAGUCUCUUUGAUGGAUCAAGAAGUUUCGUCCGUUUUGCGAAAGCGACCAACCAUCAAACCUAUUAGCAAGACUCAAAAUCCGAACAAGAUGAGGUUGGGUGUGAUUGAUAAGCAGUACAUGACUGUGAUGUUUACAAGAAGAGAGGGUGAUAAGUUCGUGUUUGCUCUUGACAAUAAACAUUUGUUUUCCACGACUUGUCUUGAGCAUAUUAUUGAAUUGGUGAACCGAUGUAAGUAGAAAAGUGUCGCUGAUAAGAAGUACUUCACGGACAUGCUUCGGUGGUUUAUUACCUUCCGACAAACGAUAUUGGCCAGUACCCUCAGCGUGUACAAGACCGUUAAGAAGACUUCUGCUACAAAACCAAAAUAGGUUCUCAGCUCCAUUGACGCAAAGGGGGAGAUUGUUGUAAUUAUUGCGUUGCGUCAUGGGCUUUAUUGUGUAUAUUCGGUAUGGGCCUGUCCAUUCCGUGAUCAUUGAUUAGAGUUUCUAUAUAAAUAGUGCAUGCAUGUAUGCCUAAUAAACUAUCUUCAUUAUUAUCGUGUUUAUUGCUUGUAACCCUAAUAACACCUAUACAGUCAAAGUUCUUUAUCGAGCUCUUAUGAGGUGUUAAGUUUAAUCAUUCGACAUACUUUCAGCCUUUCUUGUGUUCUUUGCUUUGUUAUUAUUAUUCGUUCGUCUAGAAUCUAUCGAUCCUACUAGAACAUUGUUCUAAAACUAAGGAAUCAUAGAGUUAUUACUCCUUUAGACUGUUUGAAAAGUAUAUUACUACGUAAAAGUUUCCUUGUUUUCUUCAUGUGAGUUCUUAUAACCAUGCUAAUAAGACGGAUUGUCACAUCUAGCAUUUUUGGCUAGGAAAUUUUGUCUUCAUGUAAUCAACUCUUGAGUAACUUGUAAUCAAAGUUGAAGUUUUGUACAAAUGCUCUUUCCAAAAACAACUAUUUGAAUCAAAACUCAUGCGUGAAGUCCAAAACCCAAAUCAAUACAUUUCACACAUUUAACUAUGGGUUUGUAACCCUAAUGUCCCGGUUCAAACUUAGAAUGGACCAAGAUCCUCUUAUUAGGCAUAAAGAGCUAGUAAACUCUCAAUUUGGCUAUUUUGGGCCAAGGAACUCCAUUUGGGCUCUAAUUGGGCACACAUGCAUUCAACCGUAGCAUUUUGGGCCAUAUUAUGCUUAAAAUGACUCAUUUUGUUUUCAUGCGCCUUAAUGGGUCGUAAACGACUUUCUUGAACAUUAUAUGGCCGUAAACCCUCAUAUGGGCCCAAUAGGCCGAAAACUUCCAUAUUAGACCCUAUAAAUUUCGAAUAUAUUCAAUAAUGGCCAAAACAAUUCUUUUUUUUCCCUCCUUACUCCAUUUUCGGUUAAAGAGAAAUCUUGUGUGGAUUGAAGUUUUGGAUGAAGUGUUGAAAAUAGAGAGGGGGCCGGGGUAAGAAGAAGAAGAAGAAGAAAGAGUGUGGAAUGGAUAUUACAUGGAGGAUUAGGAAACUAAUCCUAGAAGUAUGUGAUGUAAAUAGCUUGGAAAUCCAAUAAAUAAAAUUGAUGUGUCAAAGUUUUGUUGAAUUGAGUUUUCUUAUAUAUAUAUAUAUAUAUAUNNNNNNNNNNNNNNNNNNNNNNNNNNNNNNNNNNNNNNNNNNNNNNNNNNNNNNNNNNNNNNNNNNNNNNNNNNNNNNNNNNNNNNNNNNNNNNNNNNNNNNNNNNNNNNNNNNNNNNNNNNNNNNNNNNUAUAUAUAUAUAGGAUUAAAUGUGAACUACACUUAUUGUGUAAAUGUAUGAACAAUUCUUAUCUACUUGAUUAAAAAAGAUGAAGGGUUAUGAUUUUAGGAUACAUGUUAUUAACAUGGGAUAGCAUAUACCAUAUCAUUACACUUCGUUAAUUAUAAGAAUAAAUUAGUCAAAUUCCAUAACAAUAAUUAAUAAUUUACGGAAAAUGAGGGUAUUAGUGAAUGCAAUUUGAAUUAGAUUUCAAAAAAUCAAACUAAGUACUUUUACAUUUUAAAUUAACUACUAUUUCCUUCGAUAUCAUUGUCAGUACCAUCUACAAUUUUUUUUUUUAAGUUGAUUCUUGUUUGUUGUUUAUGAAUUCUUUAAGAAUGUGGUAUAAGAAACUCAUAAUAUUGAAAUUUUUUUAAAAAUACAUUGAUUCUUUUGGUUGAUUUAUUGAUUAUUUUUUAUAUAUUCUUUAAGAAUACAAAUUAAUAGUUUUUAAAAUGAACUUUCCUGACCAAUUUCUUGGAGAUUGAUUUGAACUUUUUCUAGAGGACACAAUUAAAUUUUUAUUUUUAUCAUUUUCAUUCUUCAAAUUUUUACUUUAUCAUUUUCAUUCUUGAAGAAUAAAGCACGGAUGACAAGUUCAUAACUAAUAUUCUUUAAUAAUAAAAUUAACAUUCUUGAAAAAAAAAGACACUCUUAAAGAAUCCGAUAUAAUAAAUCUUGCAUAUUAUAUGUUCUUUAAGAAUACAUUCAUUCUUUUGGUUAAUUUCGUUGAUUAUUGUAUCAACAUUCUUUUAGAAUUAAACCUUCUUAAAGAAUUCAAGUUCUAUAAAGAGAUUUUAUAUGAAUUAAACAUUAUUACAGAAAUAUAUGACCGAAUAUAUUAUAAAUAAUAAGAAUAUUCUUACUGCAAAAUUGAUAGAUUCUACUGAGAAUCAUAUAAAAAUUAUUACAAAUCAAAAUACAAUAUGCUGUUUCAUUCUAUAAAAUCGGUAAUACAUGCUCAAAGAAUAAGAUUUCUUUGUAAUGUCCAUUUUGAAAGAAUUUCGCAGCAAAAAAUGGAAAAACUCAAUAAUGACUUUUAUUUCUCUUUUUCUUUGAAUAACUUAGAAAUGACUAAAAAAAUAAUUAAUAAACAUUAUGAAAAAAUAUGUAUCUUUUAAAUAAUAUCGUAUUAUGCAUUCUUAGAUUAUCAUAUUAUGCAUUCUUAAAGAAUUUGGAUAUAAUUGUAGAUCCUUAAAAGCUAUUAAUCCAAUUUGUGCAUGCUAUUAUCAAGAAUAGAAGAUUUGAGUCUGUCUUGAUUUCACCCUGUUAUACAAAUCCAUCCAAUGGCCAAAACAAUAUAACAUAUUAUAAGGAUAUAAUUCCACUUCCAUAAUUAGAGACUUAGUUUCCAUAAUAAUAGGCUUACAAUUUUAGUACGUAAUUAAUUAGUUAAUGAAAUUUAUUAUAUGAAAUGAUUGGUUAAGAAUUUGUCAUACAUUCACACAAUAAUUAUAGGUUAUAUAUGAUCCUAACUCAUAUAUAUAUAUAUAUAUAUUAUAGGUUCUAUGUUAGUAUUAGGUCAAAAACAAGUUAUGGAUCAAGAUUCAGCAAAUAUUGAAUGUACAAUACAUGUUGAUGAUGCAGAAAGCGGAAACAUUAAAACUAUAAAUUCAGAAAGUAAUGAUCAAGGUAAUUUUGUUAUUAAAAAAUAUUGUUUUUUUGGACAAUAUGAUUUAAUAUACUAUGUUUUAUGAAUUAUUAACAAUAGUUAUAUGACAAAAAAUAUUGGAUCUUCAUCAGGGAAUGUUGAAUCUUCAUCACAUUCUAUACAUGAUCCAAUUGUGAGAAUAAUUAAUGGAAAAAACAUAUUGGAUCCCAGAUGUAGAUAUGAAACCUUAUAAGGGACAAACAUUUCCUACAUUUGAAGAUGGUUUAACAUUUUAUAAAGAUUAUGCUAGGAAAAGUGGUUUUGAAACAAGAAUAAGAUCUACAAUGACCGUAAAAGGAGUAAAAGGUUAUACACGAAGAUACAUAGUAUGAAAUAGGCAAUGAUCAAAAAAGAAAUAUGUAUAUGAUUCUCUAAAAGAUUCAAAGAGCAAAAAAUGCAGAUGACCUUCUAUUAGAGUAAACUGUGAAGCAUAUGUGAGAAUGAAGGUCAACAAUAAUAAAGUACGGUAGAUAUAUGAGUUUAAAGAAGAACAUGAAUAUAUAUUUGUUCAUGUAGAAGAUAAAAAAAUUUCUAGAUUCUAAAAGAAGACUCACAUUUUCACAAAAGCAAAUCAUAUAUGAUAUGUCAAAUGUGAACAUGGGACCAAGUGUUGCAUAUAAAUACAUGAAAGAGUCUAAGGUGGUUUUGAGAAUACUAGAGCUACAAGAAUAGAUACAAAAAAUUUCAAAAGGGACUAGAUUAAAUUUAUUGGAGAAAGAGAUGCAGAUUUUGUGAUAGACAAGUUGAAGAAGAAAAAAGAUUAUUUACAAGAAUAUUCAUUUGACUAUAGUGUUGGAAGUAAUGGAGAACUGACUAGAUUGUUUUGGGCGGACAAAGAAGCAAAAUGAAACUCUUCUACCUUUGGAGAUGUUGUUGGUUUUGAUGCAAUUUAAUGAACAGACAAGUAAGUGGCUCCAUCAUUUAAUUAUAUUUUUGAAUUAUUGAAUUUACAAGUAUUAGAAUACUAUAUCACUAUUUUCAAUUAUAUAAUUUUUGUAUCAUUAGUUUUUUUAAUAUAACUUUUAUAAUAAAAGAUUCAAAAAUCAAUUGAAUUUUAAUGUAAUUAUAAUGUGAAUCAUCAUAUUUAUAAUCAUUAUUAAUAGAGAAUCGGAAAAUUUUGAAUAUUAAUAAAUUUUAUUGAAUCAUUUAAUGAUUAUAUUAAAUUAGUUCAAAUUUAAAAUAUUAUGUAAGUCAUUAAACUAUAUUUUUGAAUCAUUGUAUUUAGAAUCAUUAAUUUUAUGAAAUAUUAAUCUAUCAAUAAUAAUAAUUAAAAUUUUGAAAUUCUAUAUAUAAAAAUAACUUGAUCAUUAUGUAAUAAUAUUAAAACGUUAAAUAAAUAAUUUGCGUCAUUACUAAAAAAAAUUUAAUUGACUAAACGGCAAACUUGGUCCCUGUGGUUAUCAAAAAAAUGUGGAUUGGGUCCAAAAAAUUUUCAACUUGCACCAUUGGUCCAAAAUUGAAUUCUUUUUGUGGUUUUGGUCCCUAGAAAAGUUAAAAUGACUUUUUUACCCUUUUACUUUUAUUUUUGAAUUUAUUUACUAUUUUGUUAACAUUUAAAAAAAGAAAAAGAAAAAAUAAAGUGGCCAAUAUUCAACCCACCCAUAAGUANNNNNNNNNNNNNNNNNNNNNNNNNNNNNNNNNNNNNNNNNNNNNNNNNNNNNNNNNNNNNNNNNNNNAUCCUCCUUCCUACCACCACUAUUGUUGUCUUCAUCCCUUCACUUUCUCUAUGUUAAGCACAUUAACCUGCAAAACUUACCAAUGAUCUUCACGUUCUUCACAACCACUGAUCAAAUAUCAAAACACAAAAAAACACUUCAAAUGUAGAUACACCUACCCGCAACUUAAAAAAACCCACCCUGCCCUGUAUCUCCCUCUCUCUCUUAGAUCUGCAAAAUCCCUUUUACAACACAAUUAAUAUGAUCGAUGACUACACCAAAAUAUCAUGGAACGGUGGGAGGUUAAUCUAAACCAUCCAUGCUAGAAACCAACCAGUAACAUUUUUCGUAGCUAUUCAACCUCUCCGGAAAAAUGGUAGAAACUGAUCUCUAAGAUAUGAAGCACAAAAAAAAAUAUGAGAUGUAUCAGAACAAUAGGGAAGAAGUAAACAACCUGAUUCCCACCCCCAGCAUGUUCCUAUCUCUGCCUCCUCCAUACCCUCCUCUACUCUCCCGUUGUUGGUUACCCAGACACCAACAACCAACCGAAGAGAAUUGGAUAUGAUCAAGAUGCAAGUCCUAAAGUAGAGUCUUCGUUUUCGGCCUCUACAUACCUACUAGUUGCAGGCUCUGGUCAAUCAUCAAUUUAUCCAUAUUCUUUUCGAUCGAUUGCUUCUGUUAUAUGCUCCUUGGAAAACACCACCAGCUUCUCCCUCAUUUGCAGUAUGUACAUUGCUUGGGGACAACGAAAUGGGUCGGUGUUGGAAUCUCAACUUUCUUGUUGGUUCUGAUUUUAGUGUGUUUUGGUUUUUGAUUAGGUGAAGAAGUGGUGAAGUGAAGGGAGUUUGAUGGGUAUCAUGUUCCAAAUUGGGGAUACAAGGCAGAAAAAACAGGAUAAAGAGAGAGAGAAAGAGAAAGAGAGAGAUAGAGAGAGAGAGAGAGAGAGAGAGAGAGAUACAUCGAGGGAACAUAUGGUGUAGGUGGGCCACUUUCUUUUUUCUUUUUUAUUUUUUAAAUAUUAAAAAAAGUAAAGAAAUUCAAAAAUAAAAUUAAAAGGGCAACAAAGUCAAUUCAACUUUUCUAGGGACUAAAACCACAAAAAGAAUUCGAUUUUGGACCAGUGGUGCAAGUUGAAAAGACUUUGGACUCUAUCCACAUUUUUUUGAUAACCACAGCGACCAAAUUUGCAAUUUAGUCUUUUAAAUAAAGAAUUUGCAUCAUUACUAAAAAUUUGAAUAAAAAAAGUUGUCUUUUCUUCGUUUUAUAUAUAUAGGAUGAUUUUUGUACUAUUUACUAGUAUAGACAAUCAUAAACGAUGCAUAACUUUUGGAGCUGGGUUACUUUCAAGUGAAAAAAUUGAAUCUUACUCAUUGCUACUACAUCAAUUCAGAAAAGCAUCUCUCAAAGAGCCAAAUGUUAUUGUAACAGAUCAAGAUGCUGCAAUUUAACGAGCAGUACCAGUCGCAUUCAAGAGUGUAAGACAUAGAUUGUGUAUGUGGCAUGUAUCACAAAAAUUUACUGACAAGGUUAGUAAAAAUUUAUAAACUAUUUUUUUAAUUAUUACAAAUGUUUUUUAAUUAUAUAUAUAUAUAUAUAUGUAUGUAUGUAUGUAUGUAUGUAUGUAUGUAUGUAUGUAUGUAUGUAUGUAUCUAUGUAUGUAUGUAUGUAUGUAUGUAGUUGGGAAGUCAUAUGGCAAAAACAAAUGUUUUGAAAUAUUUGAGCGAUCUAAUUUGGAAUGAAACAAUACUCAAGUAAGAUUUUGAAUCAACAUGUAAAAAAUUAAUGGAUGAGUUUCACUUAAAUGAAAACAAUUGGUUUAAUGAGAUGCACACAAUGAGAAAUUUAUGGAUUCCCGCUCAUUUCAAAGAAUGCACAUUCUCUGGAUUGAUGAGGGCUACAUCAAAAUCUGAAGCUGAAAAUUAUUUCUAUGGGCUACUCUCUAACUCAGAUUUGCGUUUGAUUGAAUUUUAAAGUCAUUUUGAAACUACACUAGAAGGACAAAGAUGCAUUCAAAGAAAAAAUGAUCAUUAUUCAAGAUACACAAAACCAGAUUUUAAAAUUGGAUUGAAACUUGAAGUUGAAGCAGCAUAAUUCUUCAUAAGAAAUGUUUUCUUUGAUAUUCAAUCAGAGAUUCUUGCAUCAAUGGUUAGUUUCAUUUUAAUAAGAUUAGAAGAAUCAGACGAAUUGAAAACAUUCACAAUAAAAGAUAUAGACAAACAUUCAAACCAUCAUGGCCAAUUUGAGGUAUGUUAUAAAUUACAAUUAUGUUAACUUAUAUUAACUAUUUACUAUUUUUUAUAGUUUAAAAUUUUUAAAUCGGAUAAAAAAAUUCUUUCUUCUUGCUUCAAAUUUGAAUUGAAAGAAAUUUUAUGCAGACAAUGUUUCUGUCUUAAGAGUGGAAAGUGUAACAUCCAUAAAAUUCAAGCAAAUUUUAACUUUUUAAAACAUUCAAAAACCAAUAUUUAUUCCAAAUUUGUUUUCAAAAUAGUUCCAUAUCAGAGUAUCCCAUAAACAAAGUCAUAAAAUGCGAGGAGGUGCAUGAUCAUGCCUCCGCCUUCCCACGAUUAUCCGAAGUACCUGAAAGAAAAUCCAAAACUGUAAGCUCGAAGCUAAGCGAGCUUCCCCAAAAUACCGAUACACAAAAUAGCACAUAUACAAAUAACAGCAUGUAAUGGGUCCACAACUCUAUAGACUGAAUUAUCCCCGGGCCUACAGGGUGAGUGUGGCUUGCCUUCUGGGCCCACAACUCACAUCUGGCUUACCCCCGAUCCCACAACAUAAGUCUAGAUUGCUCUCUAGCCCGCAGCUUAUGAUUGCCUUGCUCCCUCAGUCCUUGGACUGGAAUACAAAAGGUUAGCCCACAGUACGAGUCCAACAUGCCCUGCCCAACCCUCAUCUUGUAUCUGGAAUGCUCAGGAGUCCUCGGUAUGAGUUUGGUAUGCCCUUCCUAGCCCUCAACUCAUAUCUGGCCUACUCUAGGAUUUGUUGGCUACGAUACGGAGCAGUACAACCUCAACCCAUCCCACAUAAUAUUUCGACAUAUAACAACUAAACGCACAUACAGAUAAUCAGACAUUAAUGAAGGUUGUCCUACAGAUCUACCAAACUGGCAUAGAAAACUAGCAUGCAUAACUAACUCAUACUCAACAUAUCACCAACUACUAGUAUAUCAAAUCCAAUGGGCCGGCUUUUGUGCCUUCGACCCCUAAGUGUAGUGAGGACACCUCACCUCGCAAGUAGCUCGGGAUGAUAAAUGUUAAACUCCCCAAAUACAGCUCCAAACACAACCACCUUCACUUUCAUAAAUUCCCAAAUUACUAAAAUACCCCCAAAAGUAAAACUGGUCAACCCUUGGUCAAAGUCAUAGUCAACAGUCAAGGUCAACAGUCUAUGUUGACCCAACUCGUUGAGUGUAGUUCACUGACACGUCGAGUCCUUCUAGAACUCAAGAAAUCGUUAAAACCCUAGUUGACCCACCGAGUUUCCAGACAACUCGUGUAGUCCAUAUGGUGUCCAAAUGUUGGGAAAACUCUAACUAACUCGUCGAGUCAUCUCACUGACUCGCCGAGUUCAUGCAGAAACCAACAACGGCCAAUCUUCAUUUGAAUCAUUGAGUUGACCAUGCAACUCGUCGAUUCCCUUCAGUCCAUUUCUCAUUCAGACGUUUUUAAGCUACCCCAAAGCUCCAAAUUGUAGAUCAAGCUUCCUAAGGCAUAGUUAUCAUGUAAAGUUGCAAACUUUACGUCCAUGCAAGGUCUUAAAGGCUUAAAACACCAAAACCAAGUCUAGAAGUAAGUUUAGGGCAUGGUGAGAGGCCAACACAAGAUAAAAUUGAUAGCUUUAUUAAUUUGGGGCCGAGAGGAGUCCAGAUCUGAGACCAUAUCCUUGUGACAAGCUCAAACCCAAGAGUGGCUCCAUUAAAACCCAAAAAUGACCAUAAAUAUCCAUAGAAGAAGAUAUGUGCAUGAAACGGUUAAGGUAUUAGCUUUUUACCUCAGAUUAGUUGCCAAAACGAAGUAGAUGACAGAUCCACUUCCUCCUUUUCGAUACACGCUCCUCACUCUUCCAGUUUCCCUUCCAAUAUCAACAAAUAACACCUUUCAAGCUCUCAAAACACACAAUGGGGGUUUAGGACUCGAUCUACAGUUUCCUCUGGUUGUAAUGAUAAUGAGGGAGGCUAGAAACGGCCCAUAAGUUCUUUAAAUUGGGUGGAAAGCCUAAAAGUUAUAGUAUCCAUGCACAACCUCUACUCGUCAAGUUAAAGUCCUUCGACUCGUCGAGUAGAAGUCAUAAAAUCACUUCGGCUGACUAGGUUCGACACGACGAGUUGGAGCCUCCAAAUCGUCACGUUCGCUUAAUAAAAUGAAUAUAAAGAUUUUACAAAUACACUUGGGAGUCGGGGUGUUACAAUUUUCCCCCACUUGAACUAUAAUUCAUCCUUGAAGUCUGUUGCGAUAAAUAACUCGAGGUAACGCUCCCACAUUUGCCUCUGACUCCCAAGUCCACUCAGAUCCCCUUCGCUGUUGUGUAUGUACCUUUACCAAUGGUACUUCCUUGUUCUGUAGAACCUUCACCUUCCUCACAAGAAUGGUCAUUGGCCUCUCCAUGUAAUUCAAGCACUCGUCGACUUGUAUAUCGUCCAAUGAUACGACUGCUUCCUUAUCUAAUAUGCACUUUCGCAACCGUGACACAUGAAAUGUGUUGUAGACCUGACUAAGCUCCUCCGGGAGAUCCAGUGUAUAUGCCACCUUGCCAACCCUAAUAAUGAUCCUAAAUUGCCCGAUGCAUCGAGGACCUAAUUUCCUCCUCUUCCUGAAGCGAAUCACACCCUUCCAGGGUGAGACCUUUAGUAAUACCAUGUCUCCCACCUAGAACUCUAGCUCAGAUCGGAGCCUGUCGGUGUAAGUCCUCCGCCGACUCUGAGCGGUAUGCAACUGAUGCCUGAUCUGCUAAAUCCUCUCGGUAGUCUGCAGAACUACCUCUGUCCGUCUCAUCACCCUGUGACCAGUUUCACCCCACCAGACUGGGGUGUGACAUUUGCGUCCAUACAAUAGCUCAUAUGGUGGGGCACCAAAAGUGGAAUAAAAGUUGUUGUUGUAGGAGAACUCUGCAAAGGGUAGGUAGGAGUUCCAGCUCCCACCAAAGUCAAAAACGCAGGCUCUCAACAUAUCCUCGAGAGUUUGUAUGGUCCGCUAACUCUGGUCGUCUGUCUGCGGAUGACAGGCUGUACUGAAGUGCAACUGCAUGCCCAAUUCCUUGUGGAAUUUCUAGCAGAAACGGGAGGUAAACCGAACAUCGUGGUUUGAGACAAUAGAGAUUGGCACCCUAUGGCGAGCAACGAUCUCGCAGAUAUACAAGUCGGCUAGCUUCUCGGCUGAUGAACUCUCUUGUAUCGCUAAGAAAUGGGCGCUAUUGGUCAAUCGAUCCACGAUGACCCAUAUAGCAUCAUAGCCCUUCGUUGCCCUCGGAAGCUUGGUGAUAAAAUCCAUCGUGAUCUGCUCCCAUUUCCACAUGGGAAUCUUCAGAGGCUGCAACUGACGAUGCGGCCUCUGAUGCUCGGCCUUGACCAUCCGGCAGGUCAAGCACCUCUCAACAUACCAUGCAAUCUCCCUCUUCAUACAUGGCUACCAGUAACUCAAUCGAAAAUCUCGGUACAUCUUGGUGGCCCCUAGGUGAAUAGAGAACCGAGAAUUAUGAGCAUCCUCCAGAACAAUCUGUCUAACCCCACCAGACAUCAGAACCUAGACCCGACCGCAACGAGUCAGUAAUCCCCGACUAUCUUGCACAAACCGAUUGUUCUCACCCCUAAUCCUUUCAAGCUUCCAAUUAUCCCAUCGCAUACCCUUAAUCUAAGCUUCCCUGAUCAAGCUCACAAGUUGAGAAUCCACUGAUAUCCUCAUACAUUUCGCCGGAGUAGAAGAUCCAGCUGACUUGCGGCUUAGAGCGUCUGCAACCACGUUCGCUUUACCCGAAUGGUAAAGGAUCUUGCAGUCAUAAUCCUUGACCAUGUCAAGCCACCUGUGUUGUCUCAUGUUCAGGUUCAGCUGAUCCAUGAUGUGUCUCAGACUCUUGUGGACCGUGUAUAUUGUACAGCGGACCAUAUAAAGGCAAUGUCCCCAAAUUAUGAGAGUGAAUACACUGCUCCCAACUCCAGAUCAUGAGUAGGGUAUCUCGUCUCGUGUGGCUUCAACUGUCACGACGUGUAGGCUAUCAUCCAUCCUCUCUGUAUGAGAACCGCUCCCAGUCCCAUGAUGGAUGCAUCACAAAUCACUACAAAAUCCUCAACUCCCUUUGGGAGAGUGAAGACUAGAGCCUCGCGCAGUCGUUGUCUGAGGGUCUCAAAUUCCCACUGCUUCUUAGGGCCCCGCCGGAACUCCACCGCAUUCCUCAUCAGAUGAGUGAGGGGUACUGCAAUUUUGGAGAAAUAUUGUAUUAAUGUACGAUAGUACCCUGUCAAUCCCAAGAGGGUCCUGAUAUCCAAAGGAGAUUUCGGAACCUCCCACUGCAUAACCGCCUCGAUUUUGGCAGGAUCAACCAAAAUCCCCUUCCUGGUAAAUGACAUGUCCAAGGAACUAAACCUCUCAUAACGAAAACUCGCACUUCGAGAACUUGGAAUAAAUCUGUUCUCACCUCAAAAAUCCUAAUAGCCCUCGAAGAUGCUUAUCAUGCUGCUCUCGGGUCGUGGAGUACACCAAGAUAUCAUCUAUGAACAUGAUGAUCGAGCGAUCGAGUAUCGGUCUGCAGACCCAAUUCAUCAGCUCCAUGAACACCGCCGGUGUGUUGGUGAGAGCAAACGACAUCACCUUAAACUGUUAAUGUCCAUAACGAGUCCAAAAUGUGGUCUUCUCCACAUCCUCCUCCCUAACGCUGACCUGAUGGUACCUAGACCUCAUGUCUAUCUUGGAAAACCAAGAUACCCACUGCAACUAAUUGAAAAAAUCAUCUAUCCUCUGGAGUGGAUAACGGUUCUUCACCGUCAACUUGUUCAACACCCAGUAGUCGAUGCACAUCCGGUGUGAACCAUCCGUCUUCCUAACGAAGAGAAUCGACGCUCCCAACGGAGAACUGCUCGGACGAAUGAACUGUUAGAUUAAUGUCGAUAACUAUAAUUGGUAUGUACUUGACCAGACUUGGCAUGGUCCAUUUGGGUUGCAUGACAUCAGAACAAUUGGAUAGAAAAAAUGAGAAAAAUGAUACUAGCGAUUUUAUUUAAUAUAUUAUAAUUUCUAAUAUAUUAAUAUAUAAUCAUAUUAUUUAAUUAGUAUUAUAAUUAAUUAAGUGAUGAAAAGGAACUAGUUAAAUAUGGACUCUUAUAUAUAUAUAUAUAUAUAUAUANNNNNNNNNNNNNNNNNNNNNNNNNNNNNNNNNNNNNNNNNNNNNNNNNNNNNNNNNNNNNNNNNNNNNNNNNNNNNNNNNNNNNNNNNNNNNNNNNNNNNNNNNNNNNNNNNNNNNNNNNNNNNNNNNNNNNNNNNNUAUGGUUCAUGAAAUUGGUGCUAGUGGCUAGUGUGGAUACAAAAGAGAGGGCAAGGCUGAAUUUCAUAAGAGUAAACCAAGUAUCCUUAUUCUUUAGUUAUUCCAAUUGUUGGUGGUGCUGUGUGAACCAUUUGAAGUGCAACACUUGGGGCACUAAGCUUUUAAAGGUUCAAGGAGUCAAGCUACAUCAACAGUUAUGUCAUCAAACUAGAACUAUGUAGUAUAGUUGCUUCAUAAUACGCUAGUUAGGAUGAAACCUUGAAAUAUUGAAUAUUUACAUGUAUAAUAGAGAAACAUAGAUCCAAGGUUUAUAGGGUUGCAUGUACACCAUAGGAGUGCUAGAAUGCUCAAAACCCAUCAGUAGUAUCAGAUCCUAGGCUUGUUUUUGCUUAUACUUGAUGCAAACUGCUGAAAAACGAAGGUUUUGCUGUCUGGGAUAGUGGACUCGCCGAGUUCACUUAUGGACUCGAUGAGUCCAAGGCAAAAUUCAUCCAACUCGCCGAGUUGGAUCAUGCACUCGACGAGUUGGACCCCCUGAUAGCAUAUCUUCGAGUUUCUUGGCUGGAAUUAGACUAGAAACAUUACCAUAAGCUAUUUUUUGAACAUAUAAACAUUAUUUUUGAUGUGGUAAUGUUCAUAUUUAUCCAAUUUCAAAGAUAAUUGUCAAUAGAUUCAUGUCUUUAUUAGUUUAAUUGUUAGACUAAUUUCAUGGAAAAGUGUUUGAUAUGAAUUAUCUUUUUCUUAUGAGCUAGUUUAGAUUAACAGAAAAUUAUGUCAUAAUUUGUUUCCAAUCCAAACUAAUCUAAAUAUGGUUCAUAAUAUGUGUUUGUGUAUCUUGUCCUCAAGUUACAUGAAAGGUCACAUUUAUGAUUAUUUAAACCUCAUAAGUUUUCCAUAAGUUAUAAAAAAUUGAAAAGUCUCAUUUUUAAUUGUUUUCAAGUCUUCCAUAACUUGUCCUCAACUUAUGGAACUUGAAGAGUUUUAUUAAAACUACUUUAAAACUCAUAAGUUAUGGAAUUGAAUUUUUUUUGCAUAGUUCAAAACUUGCCCUCAAGUUUUUGAAUUUGUAAAGUUUCCACUCAUGAAUACUUUAAUUCCAAGUUAAGCCCUUAGAAUACUAAAAGUUAAAAUUCAACCCUUAUACUAUUAUAAUAUUAACAGUUAAUAGUUAUAUAUAUGUACAAGAACAAAGUCAUUCUUACCAUUAGUAGGCCUCAUUCACGAAGCCGGUCUAUAAGGGGGUAUAAGGUUGCUGGUACCAAGUAUAUUUGCAUGGUUAUUCACACCUUGUUUUGUGAUCCUCGACAUCCCAGUCACAAAACUUGAGAGGGAACAAUUGAUAUUGAAACAUGCCUUUGAAAAGUUCAGUGAAUCUCAAAAGAAUCUAGGAGUUUCCGAAAACCAAUUAAAAACUAAUAAUACAUUUCGUUUUUCAUGGUGGAAAUUGGUGAAUCGUCAUUCACCUACCUUCAAAUAUUUUAUACCUUGGAUUACAACAUCCCUCUUCCAAGUUAUAAAAUAGUUUGUUGGGUCCUAGCCUUAAUAUUUCAUGUUGGGUGAUCUAUUAAGGACUUAAAUUAACUAACUUGAACUUCUCCCAUUGUAGAUGUCUGGUUUAGACAACAAUGAUCUUCCCAAAUCUUAUGGAAUAAGCUUUCCUAAUGAAGAUGACCUCCCGAGUUUGGCUCAUGGAAAUCAUUGUUCUCUUCCUCCACCUCCUCCAUUUAUUCUCCCUGACCCACAAGCUCGAAGACUUGAAAACUUCAAGGUCACUCAAACCCUACUAGCAAUAAAACAUAAAGAUGGAAGACCUGUGUGCACUCAUGUCUUAGGAAUGAAGUCACACUUUGACAGGUUGAGAAUGUUGAGUGUCAGUUUUCCAAGGGAGUUGGGUAUUGAUUGGGUUCUUCAAUCUCUUCCUGAGUCCUAUAAUGUGUUUAUUAAUGACUACUAUGUGACAGAUCACGACAUGACCCUAAUAGAUCUUUCUUAUUUGCUUAUUGCUGCUGAAUUAGCAAUGAUGUGGCAUAAUAGUCAAGCAAAUAUGGGUGGAAGGUCUAUUUCUCAAACUUCCAUGGACAUGGACAAUGGUAACAUUGGAAGUCCAGAAAAGCUUUCUCUUUUCAAUGGAAAGGGAUCGGCCUUGGUCAACCCUGUUGACCGGAAGGUAAAGAGAAUGUCUAAGUCUGGGAUGGCCUUUUGUACCAUUCCCGAAGAGUCUAUAUGUUUUCAUUUUGAAGAAAAGGGGCAUUGGAAGCGAAGCUGCCCUAGCUACCUGAAGGAUCUGAAAGAAAGAAGAAUCAAAAAGUGUGACUCUGCUUCUGGUAAGUCCACUAUCUAACUCUGUUAAGUUCCCAGUUGAUGAUUCUUAAUACAAAAUGUGACUUCGUUACAUUUUUGAUGUUUGGCAGGAUCAAACAAAGGGAAGGAAACUUAAAGAAAGAGUAUGUUGACUCUGAUCGCGAAGAUGGAUUUCUAUCGCAUGGUUGAAGAUCGGAUUCUUGAGCUACUACUUAGGAGUUAUGAUAGAUUGCUAUAAAAAUAUGUAAUAGCAUUGUUUUCACUUAUAUUUGCAUUGUCAAGAAAAAGUUUUUCCGAAUUUAUAAAUAAAUAAAAAUUUUGUUUUAGUUUAUAUCUCCUUGCAAUGUCAUUUAUAUGAAAAUUUGGUUUUUGUAUGUUUCUAGCAAUAAUGGAAAUGUGAAUUUGAUUCUUUCUUUUAUGGUAGUGUCUAAAUUAACCAAAUAAGGAAAGAUUCUCAUCACCCAAGUUUCAAUUGGACCGAAACUUGGAAUCAUGCGAGUUCUAUAGUAUGAUGAAUGAGAAUUUUCAUCUUUGGCAAAUUAAGACUAAUUCCUUGUUCACAUGUACUUGUGACUCAAGUGAAGGACUAAGGAAUCGAGUACACGUUCUUAUGCACGAGUCAAAGUCCACCACAAAAGAUCAAUAAGACUAUUCGUCAUGAUUUACUAAAGUUUACAUUUUAGUAAAUAUGGUUAUACUUACAGGCUGAAGUUUAAGUCUAAGACAUUGGAAAAGUUUCAAUGUAUGGUAGGGAGAAUAAGAAGAAUCAAAUUUGGCAGAAGGUUAAAAGUUUCUCAAAUAUGAAAAGAUAGGAGAGUACUUUAGUAUCAUGUUUUAUGAUCAUCUUAAUGAUUAUAAGACCAUAUCACAAUUCAUCCUCUAAGUGCAUUCUGAUGGCUAAGAAGAGGUGUCAUGAACUUUUGAAGUGGUUAAAUCAAGGAGAUGAUUCAUACUUCGUUCCAAAACAAUUCUUAGAGUUAUACUCCAAGAUUGUAACUUGAGUGACAUAUCUUAAGGAAGGAUUUUUUUAACACUUGUCAAAUGUAAGAGUAAAAUGUGUUCUACUCUUGUACAUUUAAAAUUGAUAUGUUGUGAUGUUUUGGAUAAAACAAAGACCAACUAUCGCCAAUUGUGUAACGUGUUUGUCUUGAUUAGAAUCCACACUAUGUCUUAAAUAUUUGGCAAGAGAGUCUUAUAUGUCAAGAGGACAAUGGGAGUCUAAAAAAAAUCCUGAAAUAGUUUCAUGAACUAAUCAAGAAUAAAACUUGUAUUUCAUCACUAGCACAUGACUAGAGGUUUAUAACCUAAUAACCUAUCGUGUUGACAUAUUCUUAUUUCUGUACCCAUUCCAGUUAACGUUGGCUAUGCAUUUGAGUUCUACAUGUUCUUACUUGUUUACAUAACUAAUUGGAAGCAAUGGUAGGCCUAGUGCUUCCAAGUGGCAAGAAGUUUACAUUGCACAAGUUUAGUCUAUCUGAGUUAAGAUUUGUCACUAACCUAGUCUUGUGAUUAUGGUUUUGACAAAAUUCACAUGGAUAGGAACACAUACACUAUAAAAUGUAAGUUUCAUAAGGUUUCUCUCUGAUUCAUGAAAAUAAUGGUGAGGAAACACUUUCACUAAGUAGAUUUGAAGUAGAUGGCAAUUGUGAACUUUGCAUUCUCAAAGUCGUUAGUGGAGCGUGCGUGGUUAACUGGCACACUAAAAUUGAUUUAUGAGAAAUGGAAAAGGUCUAAACAAUUGAGACUAUGAUUACGACAUCCCUUUUCAUAGUUCUUAAUUUGUUUAGACACACCUGUGAGCUAUAUAAGAUAAGGUGUAUGAUUUUGAUAAAGUCUUGUCAAAGCAAUUAGAUACCAGGAAUCUGAACUUUGGUAAGAAAGUCAAUACGGUAUUGACUUCUAGAAGUCCAACUGUUUUCUGGAUACAAGUCAAAGCUAGUGGGAGCAUACGUCUUAUGCUAAUAAUCAUCAUGUUAGUAGGAGCAUGAUAAUUAUGAUAAGUGUUGCAAGUUAGCAAUGUUACUUAUAGAAAACAAAAGUUUCAAUUGCUGUUGUUAUAGGGGUUGAAAAAGUUGUUUUGCUAUAAUUAAGGGAGAGGAUAUACUUCAUUUCAAUUCUAAAAGCUUAGAUUGAGUCUUUAAUUAUCUUAGUCAAGGAUAUAUAUAUAUAUAUAUAUGAUGGACUUAAGAAUCGAGUAUGAAUAUGAAUCAGAGUAAAUGUUUAUGAAUCAAAUAGUAAUAGAACACACGAUGUAAAUAAUAUUCUCACUUCUGCUCUAUUACGAUUCAAGUGUUUUACAGAGAGAAAAGACAAUGCUGAUCAUAUCUAUCUCUAGUAAACUAUCCUAUUUAUAGGAUACACAUAAAGCAUACAAAAAAUAUACUAAGGCUAAAACAGUUAAGCUUCGGAUACAAGAAGUCCUAGUAAAAUAUAUUACAAACUAUUCAAAGAAUACAAAAGACUUCGACUCAUUAAAACCAAAUAACCCGUACAUUCUCCCCCUUUGUAAACAGAGUUAAAGACUUUAGCUUGUAAGUAGUUGAAUGGAGUACAACAUUACUCUUUGUAUCUCGGUGUACCAUGAGAUAACUUUCUUCGAUUCCUUUUUGUCCCCUUCAUUAUUCUUCUUGCAAUGAUUCAUAUGAACAAUCAAGUUCAUAUAUUGUGAAGUAACAUACUUUCAACUUCACUUGCUUGGAACAAAAAAUUUCUUCGAUUUUCCUGACUUGUCCAUCCCAGAGAAGACUAAACCAAAAGGUUUCAAGAAGAUUUCACAAUCAACAUAUUUUUUUAGUUCUGCUUGAGUCUUCUAAGGAUCCAUAGGAGCUGUAAUUUCCAGACCUUUAGCUGUAGCCAACUCCACAUCAGUUGAUGCUAAGCAUUCAUAAUAAUUUUCAAUAAAAAUUUUGAUGUGAGAAACUCCCAGCUUGAAUUCAUCGUGAUCUGUGUUCUGUAGAUGUGAAAAUGACCUCUCCCUCAGCAUUAAUGCAACUUAUAUUAGAUCAUAAAAGUUCAUCAAGGGAAAGUCAGCAAUUUUAAACUCGUAUACAUUCCCAUUUGCCCUUACCACCACAUACUUUAUAUUUUGGACUGUGUCUUCGAAAAUCACAUCCUUCUUUAUACUUAUGAUCUUCUUUAUCUUCGUCAAAGACCAUACAUCUUCAGCAGGCUUUGCAAGAACUGCAUGAAACCUGAUUUUCAUAUGUGUUCUUUCAUCCUUCUCCUAGAAUUUGCUUUCGGCUUUGAAUUAUGGUAUGAUGAACAUCAUUUCGUUAAUUGGAAAAUCCAACUGGCAUGUAUCCCUAUUGGUGCAAAUGUAACUUUGUUUCGGCUUCUUCUCAAACGAAUACAUGUGAUUAAAAGCUACCAUUGCUUCAAGUGUCUCAUAGUUGUAAUGCUUUGAAGGAUCACCCUUGUUCAUGUGAGGUGGAUCACCAGCCCUUUGAGUCAUGAUGCAUUAAAUUAUUCUCAUUUUAUCAAGCUCAGCAUCAGCCUCUGCCUUCUUUUCUUCUUUUGAUUUUUCAAUGAGAAUACCUUUUCCUCCUGCUUUCAAAGUAGACUCAUCAAUGAUAUCUCUUGCCUUCGAAGCACUUCCACCAACAUCAGCAGAUUUACCAAUCACAAUUCCUUUCGAAAUUGGUUUUGUAAUCGGCAUAGUUGUUACCGCUGUCGAGGAAAUAGGACUAGCAGUUGCUAUGAUUGGUUUUGUUGUUGGGAUUUUAGAUGAAAUCACCUUCCCCACCACUUUCGCAUCUUCGCCUCCAGCCAUCAUUCCUUCGCUUUUCCUCUCUCCCCCUUGCACCCCUGUACUAGCAGGUGGGGCAUAGGUUGUUGGAAGAAGGCUAGAGAUACAUGAAAGAUGAGCUAACUGUUGAAGAAGUAAGGCUUCAAACUGGGAAACUUUUUAUGAAGAUCUUUGGAAGAGAGUGUAGAGAUCGAAUCCGGUUUCAAAGACAAGGCUUUGAGUUCCUUCAAAAACGAAAAAACUUCCAGUUCCUUCAAAAAUGAAAAGACUUCCAUAAAAUUCUUGUUCUUUGUUGUAGAAAGUUGAGUAAUUUGAGGACUCAAACUUUCGUGCAAUUUUGCAAACUUCGUAACAUCCUCACAAAUAAUAUCCACCUUCGAAUAUAGAGAUUCAAAGUCUUUAUGAAGAACUGCAAUCUCUUUUUCCAUGUCUUCCCUAAGCUCCUGAAGUUUAUAAUUCACAUCUUCUCGUACUUUCUUCACGUCUUGAACAUAUAAGACAUGACGUUCCUUUGUCAGCUUUCUUAAAUCUUUCAAGUCACUUUCAAAAGUAGAUUUCUGAGAAUUGACCCUUAUUUCAUUAGAAUGAUCACAAGCAUCAAUCUUUUCCAAUAACUGAGACUCAGAAUCUCUGAUCAUCCCAGAGACUUUCAAAGUGAUCCUCCCUUCAUGUAACUUUAACAUCCUAUUCACUUCAAGACUCGUUACUGAAUUGCCUCCCCCAAGAUCAGCCUGAGAUUGAAGAAUUGAAUUGACCUUCGAAUUCAAUAUCUUGAACUCCUUCAUGGUCAUUAGCAUAUGAUCAGGGAAGUCAGUUUUCUCUUCAUCAAAUUCCAAAGUUCCAAAUGUCCCUCCAAAACCUUCAGACUCAUGUUCAGUUUCCAUGAAUGAAGAAUUAUGGAUUGGUGAGGUGUGGGUAAGUGGAUCAGUGGAUUGUGAUGAAAAUAGAUAGGUAAUUGGUUAUGAUAUAAUGUUUUCGAAAGUAGGAGAAUCCAUUGUGGAUGUAGUGGGAAUGACAGGUGUGAUUUGUGGAGGUAAAUAAAUAAGAGUAUCAGGAAUAAUAUCCGAAGAUUUACCUUUGGCUUCAGUGUUCGAAACAUCCUCACUCAUUGUGACAUUUGUAUCCAUAUUAGAUAUGUUUACAAAAAUGUCAGAAGUUCGUGCCUCUACAGAAACUGUCUUGGCAACCAAGACUUCGAGUGGUAUUACAAAAUUUGAUUGAAUUUGAGAGGACUCUUUCUGAAUAACAAUUUCCGGUGUUUCUGGAAUUGUUUUGUGUUCAUCUGCAGUACACUCUAAAGACAUAAUCACUCUACCCUUCUUCUUAUUCUUUUUCUGAUGGAAUAUGUGUUUGGACAUAUAUGUUGCCAUUCACUUCUUAGAAGAUGGUGAAGCAGGUGCAUGAAUCUCACGAAAGAUGACUCCUUGAUGCGAAACCUGGGGUUUGCAAAUAACAUUCUUUAAAGGAGAUCGACUCUUCGACUUCAUCUUAAAUCUUUGAAAAACACCAGUUUUCGAAUGAAUGAGUUCCUUUUGAGUGACAUGGGUAUCAACAACAAAAAAUUCUUGUUGAAUUUGCUCAGCUUCGGUAAGUUGAAUCUUUUUCGGACUUCUUGUUGAUUUAGACUGUUUGGUUUUUGUCUCCGAAGGCCCAGCACCAGUCCUUUUUGAUCUUUUAGACUUCUUCUCAUCUUCUCGAGGCAAAAUAAUUACAGUUUCAACAGUCAUAUCAAUGGUUUGCAAAUAAGUAACCAAGACUGGGUUGGUAGGAUCCACAUAGUUAAGCAUUACAUCCGAGAUUCGAGUAACAAAUGGAAAUUCGUUAAUGUCAUCUGUUGCAUCCUUCGGACAACUGUAUAUAUGAAACACAACUGUUUCUUCAUCUGCUGGAACUAAAAUCCCUUUCCUUCUCGGUAAAAUACUGUAAAAUUAAGCUCCAAUAUCAAGCACACGAAAUGCCAUGAAGAGCAUUUGUGUUCUCAAUACUCUUCAAGAACUCCUUCCAUAGUUGAGUAGAGUAAUCAACUUGGAGAUCGUAGUACAAUUCAGCAACUAUCACAUAGACUUCCAUCCUCGCCUUAUCCAACCCAACAGUCCUUCUAGUUAGACACCGGAGAAAAAUACCGAACAAAAACAUCCAAACAACUGGAAGUCCCAACUUCUUGAAAUCACUAAUCUUUGUCAAUUGGGGUUAUUGACCCAUUUCAUUGAGCAUGUGAACAAUUUGUGGGAAGGUAAAAGUGACAUACGGAGGAGAAUUAUGUAUAUCGAGAAUUUGACAGAAGAGCUUCUUUGAUAACCUAACCUUUUUAUCAGUCACAAGAUUGAACGUAACUGCUUCCAAAUCUUUUGAAUAGGUUGCGGUUGAUCCAGCUUGAGAUAACCUCGGAAGAUUAACAGAGAAUGAAUUGAACAUAGCUUUCGACAACACCGAGUUUUGCAGAGCAGCCACAAGCAUUUUCAGUUCUUCAGGGUACAGAGAGACAUUCGAUUCAACUUGGUAAUUGGUACCCUGAAUCUUCAUUAUUGGUAAUGAAGUAACAUCAUCGGUGGUGUGAGAAAGAGUUGCAUGAUGAUUAGCAGUUGCCAUUUUUAGGGUUUGAAAGCAGAUGUUUAUCAGAGAGUAUUUGGGAAUAUGAAAGCGUAAACUGAUAAUGAACCCUUGAAUCCCCUUUUAUAUGUAACUCUUGAAUUUGAAAUCAAAGCGGGAUAAGCAUUUAAUGUCGGCUGUCAUGUCACCAAGAAAACCGCGUCACGAUGAUGAUAAAGUAACCAUGCGUCAAAAAGUAACUGUCCCAUCGCCUUCAAACCCGGAGGAAUACAAAACGUCUCCUCAAACAGGCUAUUUUCUUUGCCCCAAUGAACUAAGAACUAUCGGAACCCUUCGGAUGGAGGUAAGGCUCUUUUACUUUUGGGUUUCAAAGUAAAGUCAUUUGCCAGAUGCUUGAAAUCAUCAUCCUAAGUUGGUGUUACUCAGAACCUCAAGGAUUUCGUGUUGUGCAAUGUGUCAAAGAAUUUAGAUAAGAAGUAAAGUUAAAAAAAAUUUGGAUAUGUAGUGAUGUCAAAAAUUCAAUUUGACACGAAGGAAAAUAAAAUCCCGGGCAAAGAUUGCUUCGUUAAUUAUCAAGAGAGAUAAUCAAAAGCUUGUUUAGUUUCCCGUGAAUUACAAUCAAAUACUUGUUAAAAAUAUUGAAGGGCUUCUUUUUCAAUGUUUUAAAGGGUGGCAUUCGAAUUUCUUUACAUAUCAUCCUAAACAUCAGGUGAGGAAUUGUAACAAAAAUUACUUGUUUAACCAGUGUAGUCAGUGAUAAGUUUGCUUUGAAAAACAUUUAAGUAACAUGGGAUUUCUGAUAAAACUCACACUAAAAUCAUAUUCAUAAAAAAAAUUGUAUGAUGGAUCUUGUUGGGUAACAAACAUCGUCGGUUUUGAAUGUUUGAUCACGACCACUCAAAAGAAUAGAAUAUGAUUUGGAGUUUCGACUAAAGGUACAGAAUGAUGUCUGAUCGUAAACACAGAUUUGUGAUAUAUCUAGGUUUCAAUUGGUUUUGAUCAGAAACCUCUUGGAUAUAUGUCUUCGUGUGUGAUAUUGUAAGAAUUUUGAGAUGAAAAAGAUUGGUAUACAAGGGAAUAUGUAGCUCUAUUAUUUUGGACCAAACAGUAUACUCUUAACUCAUGUGAAAAGAGUAAGGUAGCUCAUCGGACUAAUGUGAAUGUAAGCCUAAUUGGGAAGAAAUCUUCAUAUGAAAAUUUCAUUAAGGCUUUCGAACAUUGAGUCAUUUCGAGGCUUUAGACAACAUGCUGCAACAUGCUUUUAGGGACAUCCUAACUAUUUUUAAAAAAAAAAAUCGAAAUUCAAAGAUUAAAAAGAUAUACCUGACCCUAGAUCUGCAAGCAUUAUCCUGUUCGUAUCUUCAAGAAUAUCUGCAACAAAGUACUUAAAAAACGAAGAAACAAAAUCUUUUUGUUGUUUUGUAUUUUUCAAAAAUAAAGAACAAAAAUAAAAAUCUUCUUGAUGUUUUUGAUUUUCCGAAAAUAAAGAACAAAACAAAAUGAAAAUCAUUAUGAUUUUUUUGAUUUUUCGAAAACAAAGAACAAAACAAAAUGAAAAUCUUUUUGAUGUUUUUGAUUUUUCAAAAAUGAAUAACAAAAUAAAAGAAAAUACUUGUUAAACCUACGAAGUUUUAACAUGCUAUGAAACACCAAUCAUACGAAUUUGAAGCGUUCGAAGAGUUGACUAUGAACGGUAACCUUAUCCUUUGAUGACGUGUCUGUGAAUCAUAGUUAUUGAACCUUCAUUCUCCUUUUUCGCAUGGAAUCGAAUUUCCAUCAAUCAUUCCAAUUCCUUCCAAAAUUCUUACAAACGACUUUUUGUGACAACCCGAAAUUUCCAUUCUGAACAAACCAUAUCAAAACAAUAGAGCUUAGAACAGUUUCAGGGAAAUUCCAGACUUCGGGUAUAAGUUUGGCAGUUUUUCAGGAUUUACACUUAAGGAGAUAUCAGGAGAGUGGUUGCACAAGGGUUUUGUGCAACACUAUUAUUCCAACACUCUGUUACAUGAGAAAUCAUUUCAGGAAUAAAAAUAUUUUCUGCCAAAAUAUCUCAGGACUAUAAAUAGAAUUCUGAACCAAAUUCAUUCAUUAUUCGCAUUCCCAACUAGAGAUCAUUUGCCAAAAUAUCUCACGGAUCUUCGGGUUUUUAUCCCAAAUCGUGAGUACCCCUCUCUAGUAGUGUUAUAUAGCUUUAAUGUGUUCAUAACAUAGAUUACAUAGAUAAAUCACUAGAUUUAGGAGUUUACUCCCCANCUUUGGGCGGAAAACUCCCGAAACGAAGCCUAGACUGUCCCCCGUGAUAAACAACUACCUUAGACUCAUAUGUAUGUGUGUUAGGGACAAGAAAACAACCAAGAAUCACCCAAGUUUGGGAGUUUACGCCCCAAGAAUAUCUUAGGCCGUGAACUCCAAAUUCAAGCUUAAAAUAGUGCAUUUAAGGCACCUAAAGCAUUGGACAUUUACUAGGAAUUGUUCCCACUUAAAUCAAGGACCAAAACACAUCAAAACCACCCUCCAAAGUGAGUUUACGGCCAAGACAUGGUUCUUGGGCCGUAAACAUUAAAGAAGGGCACCAAAGUGUGCCUAAUGCCUUCAUAUGCUUUAGGUAAAAGUCUAGAACCUAUCCUACAUAUGCAAGAGACUUGAAAGCAACAAAAACACCAUCCCAAGGGAGUUUAUGGCCGUAAACUCCAAAGGAAAUGGCCUUGGGGCCGUAAACUCCUCUAAGGAGUGUUUCUAGGCCUUAAACCCUUCCAAGGACUUAACCACCAAGUUGGAAUAAUUCUAGGAAUCAUUUGGGACUUCAAAACACACAAUACCCCCAUGGUUGGGAGUUUACGGCCGUAAACUCAAGAGUUUACAACCGUAAACUCCAUGUGUGAUGGUAUAUGGGGAGUAAACUCAUAUAUGGGGUCCUUUGGAACCCUAAACACAAGUACCUUGUCCCACAAUAGCUUAGAUGCAAUCCUUAGGGCUUAAAACACUUAUAUAAAGUGUUUAUUAUGUCUAGGAUGUCUUAGCUUUAUCAGUUAGUAACUUAAGACUAAUUGAGUGCAUAUAUGUGUGAUUAUAUGUUCAUUAGGAUCGUAGUGUGUGUACAAGUCCUCGCUUGACACCUAGCAAUCCUAUACUGUUCAGUUCGUCCCAAUCACCAUCUACAGGUGAGUUCACACCCCUUAAUCAAUGUUUUAAAUGAUUUUGAAUGCUUUAAUGGGGGGGGGGGGGUAAUACAAGUAGAAAACAGUAUGUUAUUAAAUCAAUCUCAUGUAUUUUAUAACUAUGUUUUCACUUAGUAAAUUUCACAUAUUUCAAAAGGUGUCACAUGAAAUGGUUUUCUAUCUUAAAAUACCUUGAUAACAAAAGUAUUAGUUUUGAAAUGUUUACUAAAAUGACAUCAAAACAUUCUUAAUUAUUGUUCAAAACUCCUAGAUAUCUUGCAAAACCAUUAUUUUUACCUUCUUGAAUCAAACUAUACUUAUGCGCAUAUGUUCAUUUAUAUGAUAGAGAUUAUAGUUUUCAUCCUUCGUUCAGUUUUCCCACACCCUGGUGUAUCGAGGGUGCAUAAAUCUACUUGAACAACCACUUACUUUCCAGUUAAUUAUCAUAGGGAUAGUUAGAAGAUAUCAAACAUUAUUACUACUACAAGGAAUCACACAAGAGUCAGUUCAUUCAUGAGUCUAUACCAAUACCUUACAUGAUACAUGAGUACACGUACUUAGGAUUACAUGAUACAUGAAUAUGUUUACAUAUACUUACCUGUUACAUGAACACACUUACAUGAAUACCAUACAGGAACACUUCUUCAUAGGUGCAUUAUCCUGUAUUUACUUACCUUGGAUACUUGUACUUAGAACUAAGAGGAUGAUUUAUUAGUACUUACUGUGUAAAUUGUCUUUCCUAUCCCGGUUCAAUGGGAUGUUUCGGCGGGACUUACCAUUCCGAAUCCCACUGAUUAGCACCAGUGGUCGAUGAACGUCUAUCGAUGUCUAAGGUAGUCACUUAUUUAGUAGUCAGUGACGGAAUAACCAUCCCNCACUCUUCGGAUGUCCAUAGGGUCUAUCUUUCACUUCGGCGAUGUCGUGUUUGUCCUGGUAACCCAAGACAAUAACACUUACAUGAUUAUAUUUUUCCUGUUACUUUAUUUUGUGAUACUUUCACAAAAAUGAGGAGUUAGACUAAGUACUCUAGUACUAGUCAAUAGAAAGGAAAAAGCUAUCAUAUUACUUACAAAACGUUCGGGUCUUGGUAGAAGACUACUUAGUCAUAGCAGAACAUUCGGGUCUUGGUAGAAGACUACUUAGUCAUUACAAAACAUUCGGGUCUUGGUAGAAGACUACUUAGUCAUAACAAAGCAUUCGGGUCUUGGUAGAAGACUACUUAGUCAUAAUAGAACAUUCAGGUCUUGGUAGAUGACUACUUAGUCAUAACAGAACAUUCGGGUCUUGAUAGAAGACUACUUAGUCAUAACAAAACAUUAGGGUCUUGGUAAAGACUAUCAUAUCAUUUUCCUAUUUUACUUUAUUUUGUGAGAUAUUCACAUAAACGAUGAGUUAGACUAAGUACUCUUAGUACUAGUCGAUAGAAAGGAAAAACUAUCAUUUUACUUACAAAACGUUUAGGUCUUGGUAGAAUACUAUCAUAUGAUUUUCCUAUGUUAAUUUAUUUUGUGCUAUAUUCAAAUAAACGAUGAGUUAGACUAAGUACUCUAAGUACUAGUCGAUAGAAAGGAAAAACUAUCAUUUUACUUACAAAACGUUUAGGUCUUGGUAGAAGACUUUCAUAUCAUUUUCCUAUGUUACUUAUUUUGUGAUAUAUUCACAUAAACGAUGAGUUAGACUAAGUACUCUUAGUACUAGUCGAUAGAAAGGAAAACCGAUCAUUUUACUGGUCAUAACAAAACAUUCGGGUCUUGGUAGAAGACCACAUUUCAUACUUGUAUCAACUGUUCUAUUUAAGGAUUUAUACGGCAUUCUUAACAACAUUCCAAAACAAGACAAUAACACAUAAAUACUUAUGAAUUCACCAGCUUUAUAGCUGAUACUCGUUUUCAAAAUAACUUGUAUUCUCAGGUCAUCAGUUAGACAUGUACGAUAUUCAGACCUUGAGAAGACGGAGCACCGUCAAGACUCGCCAUAUUUUGAUUAUUCAUUUUUAUUGUUGUACAUUAUGAAAGAACACACAUGUAUUAAAACUUUACCUUUUAAUGCAAUGGAUGAUGUUGUUGCUUGUUUAUUAUAUUACACUGUUUUGAUACUGUACAUGACGUCCUCCACCCCUGAACGUUUCCGCCGUUCGUGGUUUUGGGGUGUGACACUUUUCAUCCAAAGCUUUCGUAAAAAUAUCGGCUGACUGAUUAGUUGUUUUCACAAAAUGUACUUCAAUAUUCCCAUCCUCCACAUUAUCUUUGAUGAAGUGAUAACGAAGAGCUAUAUGUUUAGUCUUCGAAUGCUGCCCAGGAGUAUGACAAAUUCUUAUUGCACUUUGUGAAUCACAAUAUAAAGGAAUCUGUUUCAUGUUAAUUGCAUAAUCAUGCAAUUGACUUUGGAUCCAUAUAAUCUGUGAAGUGCAUGCAGCAGUAGCAACGUAUUCAGCUUCAGCUGUAGACAUGGAAACACAUGUUUGCUUUUUCAAUUGCCAGCUUACCAACUUACCAUCAAGCAAUUGGCAACUACCACUUGUACUUUUCCUGUCAAGAUUACAUCCUCCUAGAUCUGCAUUUGAAUAAGCUUCAACAAAGAACCUAGUAUUCGAAGGAUACCACAAUCCUAACGAAGAAAUUCCGUUAAGAGAACGAAAGAUAUUCUGGACUGCAGUGAGAUGUGGUUCUCGUGGAUUUGAUUGAUACCUAGCACAAUUACAUACAGAAAACAUGAUAUCAGGUCUACUAGCUGUUAAAUAUAAUAAAGAUCCAAUCAUGCUUCUAUAUAAAGUGAGAUCAACUGCAGGGUUAUCUAACGAAGGAGUUAGUUUGAUGCCAGUUGCCUUAGGAACUCGUAACUGUGUGCUAUUUGUCAUCCCAAACUUUUCCAGCAAAUUCUUCGUAUAUUUUUCUUGAUUUAUAAAAAUACCUUCUCUAGUGUGACGAACGUUUAAACCAUGAAAAUUUUUGAUUUUACCCAUCACGCUCAUUUCGAAUUUACUUUUUAUCAAACCUUCGAAUUCUUUAGACAAAGCAGGGUCAGUUAAGCCAAAAAUAAUAUCAUCAACAUAAAUUUGAACAAGCAUAAGAUGAUUCCCAACAUUCUUACGAAAUAAUGUAGGGUCAACGGAUCCUUGUUUAAAUUUAGAUUGCUUCAAAAAAGAAGUAAGAGUUGCAUACCAGGCACGGGGAGCUCGUUUUAACCCAUAAACUGCCUUAUCUAAAAUAUAAACAUGGUUAGGAUAUUCUUCAUUUACAAAACCUGGAGGUUGUUCCACAUAAACAGUUUCUUCGAGCUCUCCAUUCAGAAAUGCACACUUCACAUCCAUUUGAUAAACAUCAAAGUCUUUGUGCGCUGCAUAAGCCAAAAAUAUACAAACCGCCUUGAGUCUUGCGACAAGGGAAAAAGUUUCUUCGUAAUCAAUUCCUUCUUUUUGAGAGUACCCCUUAACAACAAGUCUGGCUUUGUUUCGAAUGAUAUUUCCAUCUUUUUCAUUUUAUUUUUGAAAAUACAUUUUAACCCGAAAAUUGAAACAUCUUCAGGUUUAGGAAUUAAUCUCCAAACCUUGUUUCUUUCAAAUUCAGAUAAUUCAGAUUGCAUUGCAACAACCCAAUCAGAGUGUUCCAUUGCAAUCUUCACAUUCUUUGGUUCGAUUUUAGAGAUGAAAACAUUAAACAUGCAAAACUCUUGAUGUAUAUUUAGUACCUCAUUCUUUGCACGAAUUUGAGCUCUUGUCAAUACUCCUUCUUGUGGAUUUCCGAUUAUUUGAUCCUUCGGAUGAUCUCAUGUCCAUUUUUCCAUUCGGGGAUAAGCAGGAUCGAAGUCCAGUGGUGCAUCUUCGUAUAAUUCAUCAUUUUCUGAUCCUACAACUGAACAAACAUCAUCAACAUCAUGAUAUUUUUCAUCAUUUUGAGAUAACUCCCCCUCAAUAUUAUCAUUUAAUCGCUCCCCCUCAACAUCAGCAUUUUCUCUCUUAUUCUACCCCUCGAAAGAAUGCUCCCCCUCCACUGGAUCAUGGUGCAUACUUUCGCCUAAUUCUUGAUGAGAUGAUGUUGAAUCAUCAGUUUGCUAAGAGAGUUCAGGGAUAUGAUUAUCUGGAGCGUUGAUUUUAGCAUCUUUAGCAUGAUCUGAAACACCAAAGAUCAAAUCAUAAUCAAUAUCAAAAGUUUGUAUAGGUUCAGAUUCAUCAGGAAUUUCUUUCAAAAUAGGAUGAUUUUCAAAAUGCUUUUCAGAUUGUUUGAUAUAAUAAUCAUCAAAUGUAAGAUUGAAUGUUUCUUCCACUUUUCGUGUUCCUUUGUUUAGCACUCGAUAGGUGCCUAAAUUAUGUGAAUAUCCAAGGAAAAUCCCUUCAUCAACUUUGGCUUGAAAUUUCGAAAGGUUGUCCAUAAGAUUCAUAAUAAAGAACCUGCAUCCGAAAACAUGGAAAAUUUUCACAUAGGUUUUCUAUUAUUAAUUAUUUCAUACGGAGUGAUAUUAAAAAAGAUGAUGAGUAAAAAGAUAUGUUUUGAGUAAAACAUGCAGUGGAUAUAGCUUCAGCCCAAAGGUAUUGUGGAAGAUUCGCAUAGGCCAACAUAGGUCAAGUAGCUUCGCAUAAAGAUCGAUUUCUUCGUUCAACAACACCAUUUUGUUGUGGUGUAUAUGGAGAUGAAAAAUUAUGCGAAAUUCCAUUAUCCACCAACAAUGAAUCAAGAACAUUGUUCAUAAAUUCAGUUCCAUGAUUAAUCUUUAUCUUUCGAACCGUCUUCUUCAGUGUCUUUUCCAUUUUCUUGAUAAAAUCAAUCAUGAUUUGUGCAACUUUGGAUUUAAGACUGAGUAAAUAAACCCACGUGAAUCUUGAAAAAUCAUCAACAAUUAAUAAAAUGUACCGUUUCUUGUUGAGAGUGGAAACUGUCGAUGGUCCACUCAAAUCAAUGUGUAAAAGUUCUAGAGGCUCAACAAUCUUCGAAUCAAUUGUUAUUGGAUGACCUUGCUUAUGUUGUUUUACAACUUCACAAGCUGCACAUAAAGAAUCAUUAUCAAAUUUAAGUAUAGGUAAACCUCUUACCAAAUCUUGCACAACAAGUUUAUUGAUAUUUCUAAAAUUGAGAUGUGAAAGUCUUCGAUGCCAUAGCCAGCUUAGAUCUGAUGUAGCCUUUGAAAGUAGACAUAUUGCAGGUUUACCCACAAUUGGAUUGAUGUACAAUGGAAACAUGUCACCUUUCCUCUUGGAUUUAAGCAAAACUUCUUUUGUAUUGACUUUCGAAAUAAUGCUUCCUUCUUCAUUAAGAAGAACUUGAUUGCCAUUUUCUACCACAAGUUGUGAUAGACUUAUCAAGUUGUGUUGAAGACCUUCGACAUAAGCUACACGAUUCACUGUGAAUUGACCAUUCGUUAUUUUCCCAUAUCCUUUGACUUGACAUUUUUUGGUUAUUUCCAAACUUCACCACUCCAGCAUUCUUCAAGCUUCGAAAAUCACGGAAGUUCUCUUUCUUUCCAGGCAUGUGAUGAGAGCAACCACUAUCGAUGUACCAUUUGUUAUCGUAUGGUUCAUCACAAAGUACAUGCACUUAUUGAAACAAUUUAGGUACCCAAGGCUUUUUGGGUCCUUGGUUAUUAGUUUGAAACAACGAAUGAAUUUUCGAACCGAAAACCCAUGUGCAAACAUGUGUUGUGAUCUUAUCAAUUAAAUCAACAUCUUUUUCAAAAGGUAUUGAAAUGUAAUUUUUCGAUAGUUUCAUAUUUUCACUAGAUUGCACCUCAGGCUUCUCAAUUUUUGUUACUUUGUUGACUGGUUUUCAUCGCUGCACAAGAGUAUUCGAAUCUUGAGAAGAUAAACUUCCAUUUGUUGAAUCAUUCAAAUACUUUUCAUAUGCGAUUUGAUUUGAUCUUGAGAAAACUAUCCAGUCUGAAAUUUUUUUCCUUGUCCCUCAAGCCAAUGAUUAACUGCAUAAACUUCUGAAUCACCUUUUGUCACACCCCAAAACCACGAACGGCGGAAACGUUCAGGGGUGGAGGACGUCAUGUACAGUAUCACAACAGUGUAAUAUAAUAAACAAGCAACAACAUCAUCCAUUACAUUAUAAGUAAAGUUUAAUACAUGUGUGUUAUUUCAUUGUAAUAAGACACCAAAAUAUACAAUCAAAAUAAAAGAUGAGACUUGUCUGCUCCGUCUUCUCCAAACCUGGCCAUCGUACCUGUCUACUGUUGACCUGAGAAUACAAGUUAUUUUGAAAGCGAGUAUCAGCUUUAAAGCUGGUGAAUUCAUAAGUAAAUAAGUGUCGUUGUCUUGCUUAUGAAAAUCUGUUAUGAAGGCCAUGUAAACCUUUAAAUGAAAAUGUUGAUGUAAGUAUGAAAUCUCUAGAAAAUCCCUUAUUUUCUAUAAGUUUGAGAUGUAGUCUUCUACCAAGACCCGAAUGUUUUGUUAUGACAAUGUAGUCUUCUACCAAGACCCGAAUGUUUUGUUAUGACAAUGUAGUCUUCUACCAAGACCCGAAUGUUUUGUUAUGACAAUGUAGUCUUCUACCAAGACCCGAAUGUUUUGUUAUGACAAUGUAGUCUUCUACCAAGACUCGAAUGUUUUGUUAUGACAAUGUAGUCUUCUACCAAGACCCGAAUGUUUUGUAAGUAAAAUGAUAGUUUUUCCUUUAAUUGUUUAGUACUAAAGUACUUUGUCUAACUCAUCGUUUGUGUGAAAGCAUCACAAAAAAAAGUAAACAGGAAAAUGUACUAUUGUAAGUGUUGUCACUGGGUACUAGGACUAACACAACAUAUGUAACUGUUAUCCCGAGGUACUAGGGCUAACACAACCUAUAUAACCUAUUGAACAUCCGAAGAUUUUCCAAUUUUCCUCUGUAGCAGCAGCAAGGGCGGAGGAAGGGUUAGUCCAUAUAAAGGUACUCCUAGUAUAAGUAAUAACCAUAGGCACCCGUAGAUGUUCAUCACCCACUAUUGCUAACAGAUGGGUUCCGGAAUGGUUAGUCCCGUCCAUAUAUCCCGAGGUACUAGGGAUAUGCAGGAAGAUUUACACAGAAGGUACUAAUAAAUCAUCCUCGCAAUUCGAGAUACAAGUAUUCAUGUUAACAUACACAGUUAAGUGUAUCUACGUAAAGGUACACAUGUAAUCCGUUCAUGUAAGCGUGUUCAUGUAUCAUGUAAGUAUAUGUAAACGUACUCAUGAAUCAUGUAAUCAAAUGUAAAUGUACUCAUGUGUCAGGUAAUGUACUGGUAUAGACUCAUAAAUGAACUAACUCUUGUGUGAUUCCUUGUAAUAGGAAUUAUGUUUGAUAUCUCCAAAUUAUCCCUAUGAUAAUUUACUGGAAGGUAAUUGGUUGUUCAAGUAGGUUUAUACACUCUUACUACUCAAGGGUAUGAGAAACUAAAUGAAAGUUGUAAACUAUAACAUCAAUACAUAUUUAAGAAUAUAAGUGUACAUGCAUAGUUUAGUUCAAGAAUGUAAAAUGGUUUUGUAAGACAUCUUAUUGGUUUUGAACACUAAUUAACAAUGACUUGAUGUCAUUUUAAUAUACAUUUCAAAGCUAAAACAUUUGAUAAUAAUGUGUUUUUAAGAUUUAAAACCAUUUCAUGCAUCACAUUUUGUAGCAUGUGAAAUCUGUUAAAUGACAAACACAGUUAUAAAAUACAUAUCAAUGAUUUAAUAACAUGUUUGUUUCUACUUGUAUUCCCCCCUUUAAAGCAUUUAAAAUCAUUUAAAACAUUGAUUAGGGGUAUGAACUCACCUGUAGUUGGUGAUUGGGAUGAACUGAACGGUAUAGGAUUGCUAGGUGUCAAGCGAGGACUUGUACACACACUACGAUCCUAAUGAACAUAUAAUCACACAUAUAUGCACUCAAUUAGUUUCUAAUCACUAAAUGAUAAUGUUAAGACAUCCUAGACAUAAUAAACACUUUAUAUAAGUGUUUUAAGCCCUAAGGAUUGCAUCUAAGCUAUUGUGGGACAAGGUACUUGUGUUUAGGGUUCCAAAGGACCCCAUAUAUGAGUUUACUCCUCAUAUACUAACACACAUGGAGUUUACGGUUGUAAACUCUUGAGUUUACGGCCGUAAACUCCCAACCAUGGGUGUUUUGUGUGUUUUGAAGUUCCAAAUGAUUCCUAGAAUUAUUCCAACUUGGUGGUUAAAUUCUUGGAAGGGUUUAAGGUCUAGAAACACUCCAUUUAGGAGUUUACGGCCCUAAGGCCAUUUCCUUUGGAGUUUACGGCCGUAAACUCCCUUGGAAUGGUGUUCUUGUUGUUUUCAAGCCUCAAGCAUAGGUGGUAUAAGUUCUAGGCUUUUAUUCCAAGCAUAUGAAGACAUUAGGCACACUUUGGUGCCAUUCUUUCAUGUUUACGGCCCAAGAACAAAGUCUUGGCCGUAAACUCACUUUGAUAAGUGAUUUUGAUGUGCUUAAGGCCUUAGAUUAAAUGGGAACAAGUCUAGAUAAAAGUCUAAAGCUUUAGGUGCCUUAAAAGCACCAUUUUGAGUUUGAAAAGGGAGUUUACGGCCUAAGAAACUCUUGGGCCAUGAACUCCCAAAAUUGGGUGAUUCUUGGUUGUUUUCUUGUCCCUAACACACAUACAUAUGAGUCUAAGGCAUUUGCAUAACACAAGGGUCGGUGUUGGCUUUGUUUCGGGAGUUUACCGCCCAAGAACACCUUGGGGAGUAAACUCCUAGAUCUAGUGAUUUAGACUUCUAAAUCAUGUUAUAAACACAUAUAAAGCUUUCUAACAUUACUAGAAAGAGGUACUCACGAUUUGGGAUGAAAACCCGAAGACCCGUGAGAGAGAAAAUGGCUUUUCUCUAGUUGGAAAUGCGAAUAAUGAAUGAAUUUGGUUCAGAAUUCUAUUUAUAGUCCUGAGAUAUUUUUAGCAGAAAAUAUUUUUAUUCCUGAAAUGAUCUCUAAUAUAAUAGAGUGUUGGAAUAACAGUGUUGCACAAAACCCUAGUGCACCCACUCUCCUGAUAUUUCCUGAAGUGUAAACCCUGAAUUACUCAAACUUAUGCGAAAAGUCUGAAAAUUAACUGUGACUGCUAUAACUUCUAUUGAAGUGAUAUAGUUUGUACAGAAUGGAAAUUUCGGGUUGUCACACCUUUUGUGCUUGAAACCUUUGAUAGUUUUGUGAUUGAAGGAUUUGGAAAAUUUGUCUUUUGUGGAGUAAACUUUGUUGUUGAUUUGAAAGCUUCAUUCGAAGAUGGUUGAGUAUUCGAAGGUUUUCAAACAUUGUUAAGUUUUCGAUCAUUCACACCUUUUUGUGAAGUCUUAUACUUUCGAAUGUUUUAUUCAACCUUUUUCUUAAUUGGAAAAGUCUCUUUUACAUUCAUUGGUUUAUGAAAAGAUGUGUUUUGUGGUUUUUCUGUGACUAAUGAUUUUUGAAAAGUCAUUGAUUUUCCAUUUUCUUUUGAAUUAGUUUUCGAAACAUUAUCUUUCUUAUUUAAAGAUUUGGAAUUGACGAUAGAAAAUUCUUUCUUAGUCACAACUUGCCAAAAAAUGACCUUUCGUCCUUUUUUCUUUGAAACUUUAUGAUUUUUCAAAAACUUAUCAACAAGCUCUUUGAAUUCAUUUAAAUUAAGUUUCACAAUAGGAGUUGAAUCAACAACUUCUUUUUUAACAACUGCAUUUUCUUUUUCAAAUUUAACAAUCCAUUUAUGUUUUGGUUUCUGUUGCUGAAAAACAUACGAAUUUUUAGUGAGAUUGUAUUCAACAAUAUUUUGAUUUUCAUAGAAUCCUUCGUCUGUUGUACGUUUGUUGUCCUCUUUGACCAACUUUUUGAAUUCUGGUUUUAUAGUCUCUGAAUUUCCAGUGGUGACGAAGACUUGGUUUGGGAACAAAACAUUAUCCAUGCUUGUAAAAUUUGGAUACACAACUGUGUUAGUUUCCAGAAAAUGUGCUCCUUCAUCUCUCAUCACUUCGUCAAACUUUUCAGUGUCUCCAUACACUUGUUCAACUACAACUCUUGGAAUUUCAGUUUCGUUUAAAACUUUCUUUUCUUCCUUAGACAUAUUUGAAGCUUGACAUUCAUCCUCCUCAUCAUCACUACUAUCAGUCUAACUGUCUCGUACUUCCACAUCAUCAAAGUCAAAAAAUUUCGAAGUAGAGGUUUUUCCAAUGUCAUCCUUAACAUUCGAAUCAUUAACAAUUUCUUUACCUUUGAUCUUAGAUGUGAUAUUAAUGAUAGAUAACUGAGAGCAAUCAAUACUUUCUUCUUCUUCAAUUUUUACUGAUUUCGCUAAGAAUAUCUGAAUUCUCAUCGACAUCAACAAAAUUGUUUUGGAAAUCAAGUUUUGAAUGUUCAGUUCUUUUCAAAAUUUUCACUUGUUCAUCUUUUGUUAAACAUUCAUUAACAAUAUUAACCAAUUCGUCUGCAUUUAGAAACUCAUCUAUCUUAACAAUGCCAUAUGCAAACCUAUCAUCUGGUACUUUAUCAAAAUCAGCUAUUGUAUGUUCACAAUGAUAUGUCAUGAUAUCCACUUUUUCUCUUUCGAAUGCAAGAAAAGGUAGCAAUUUACGAUGUUGUUUUUUGCUAAUGUCAAGAGAAUGAUGUAAACCAGUUAAUUUUGCAUAUAAACGCUUGGCAGAAUUACAAUAAAUGUUUUGUUGUUUCAACAACUUAACAUCCUUGUCUAAAACUUCCCUAGCCUUAUUGACAUUUUGUAACUAUAAUUCUAGAUAUUCUAUCCUGCUACUUUUCGUGUCUAACAACUUUCAUGUCUCUAGAAAUUGAUUAUUUAGUUUCUUGGCUUCGUUACUAGAAGACACAAUAAUAGCAUCAAAGUAAGCAAUAGUAUCAUCGAAUUCAAUUAUUUCAUAAUCAUAUGCAUGUGAAGGAAUAUUAAAAGAUUCAAGAACUGAACGUACCUUGGUUGUCAUUGGGGAUUUUUCACCUGUCUUUGUAACAAAACAACGUCCAGUGAUCUCUUCCGCAUCUUCUUCUUAAAAACUUGAAAACAUGGCACCAUGAGUUGGAUGCCUCAUCUCUUCAUCAUCAGAACCGGAUAACCAGAUCUGAUAACUACCGCUUUCUUCAUCAUCACUCUCCCUUCUUGCCACUAGAGACAAACUCUUCGCCUUCUCAUGAAUUUCUUCCAACUUCUCCACAUAAUAUGCUUAGUCCUUGUUUUUGAUCUUCUUCUCUUCUUUCUUACGAAGCAUAUAGUUAAUAUCAAGAUGAUUCGAACCAUUGCAGUAAUGACAAUCGAUGCCAGAAUCUCCUUUCAACUUCUUUUCACCUUUAAACUCCUUCAUCUUUUCAUCCUUUUUCUCAAAAUUUUCAGUCUUCUUCUUCUCUUCUUCACCAGUCUUCGAAGAUUUUCCCUUCUGCUUAUUCCUUUUCCCUUUCGGAUUUAAAGGCUUUUUGAAAAACUUCUUCACUCGAUUAUUCGAGUACAAAGCUACAGCUCCAUCAUCAGAAUUUAACAACAAACCUUCCUCAUCUGAACUCUCCUUCUCAGCAGAUUCCACUUCAGACACCUUUGAAACUAACGCCAAUGGUCCUCCAACACUCAUCUUUGACUCUUCAGCUAUUUCAAAAACUUCACUUUCAUGUGUCUUUAUCUGAUUGUACACAUCAUUCAAAGAUGAACUAUCGAAGCUCUACUGAUUUUUUAUCAUCAUACUUACACUUCGCCACUCCUUCCUUAAUCCCAUAACAAAAGUGAGAUUAUACUCCAUUAAGGACCUUGUAAUUCCGUAGCGAUUACACCUGUAGAUCAACUCAGUCAAUCGAUCAUAAUAGACUUCAAUUGUUUCUGUUUCCUUUUGUCUGAACACUAUCAAUUCAACUAGACACCGCUUCACAUAAUUGAUCUUAGUCUUUUCACUUCCUUGAUACUUUUCUUUAAGAGUAUUCCAGAUCUCCUUUGUUGUUUUACAACCACGAAUAUAGUUGUAAACAACAGGUGGCAAAGCACCUCUCAACUCUCUCAUGCAUCUCUUUUCCUUGUUCUUCAGUCUUGUUUGUUGAUCUUCAACCUUAGAACUAGUUCCGGAUGUACCAAUAGUUUGAACAUUUGCAGGUGGUUGAAUUGAUCCAUUGAUGCAAGUCCAUAACUCUUCAUCAAUCCCAUUGAGAUAAUCCUGCAUACGAUCAGCCCACUGAUCAUAAUAUUCAAGAAUCAACAUAGGAAUUUUCGUUGAUGAUCCAAGUAUAUGAGAAAAAAAAGUCAUUGAAUUGAUACUGAAAUUCGCCAGUGAUGAACAUAUGAAGUUUUUCGAGAACUUUGAGUUAACAAUAGGAUUUUGAAAAAUGAUAAUUGAAAAUGAUUCAGAAACUUCAGAAAAUCACUCGAUUCGACAAUCCAAAAGCAGAAUCUAAUCACAAUCUUAGAUCUGAGAGAAUUUUUCAAUUUCAAAAAGCGAGGAAACUUUUGAAUCAAAAAGUAGAUUCAAAAACUCUUUGAACUAACUGAAAAUCAGAUCACAUAAAUUGAUUCCUGCUCUGAUACCAAUUGAUGGAGUUAAGAAUCGAGUAUGAAUAUGAAUCAGAGUAAAUGUUUAUGAAUCAAACAGUAAUAGAACACACGAUGUAAAUAAUAUUUUCACUUCUGCUCUAUUACGCUUCAAGUGUUUUACAGAGAGAAAAGACAAUGCUGAUCAUUAUCUAACUCUAGUAAACUAUCCUAUUUAUAGGACACAUAUAAAGCGUACAAAAAAUAUACUAAGGCUAAAACAGUUAUGCUUCGGAUAAAAGAAGGCCUAGUAAAAUAUAUUACAAACUAUACGAAGAGUACAAAAGACUUCGACUCAUUACAACCAAACAACCCUUACAAUAUAUAUAUAUAUAUAUAUAUAUUAUGAUUGAAUGGCUCAACUUAAGGAAAUUCUAUAUAUUGCAUUCUCAAAAUUCGAUUAUGAUUACAACAUCCCUCUUCACAAUCGAAUUAUGAAAACAUGGCAAAUUAAAAAAUAUUGUAACAAAAGACUAGUCUAUAAUCAUGUCUUUAUGUGAGACAUCAUGAUCGUGUCCCAUAUGCUUUGGGUAUAGGGUCGAUUGGAUGUGCUAUAAUAUUUAUCCUUUCUAAAUUUCCAAAUGCGUUGGACAUUAAGAAGGGAAAAGGUCUAGAAUUAGAUAUGACUAAAAUGAUUAAGCAAUUGUCGAGGACAAUCUAAGGUUUACCAAAGAUUGGUUGCUCAGGGACAGUUGGAAGUAUAGUGUUAACUUUGGAAGGACCAUAUUGACAUAUUCUGGAAAAAGGAAACUCUUGUGCAGAAGUAGUAGUCAAAAUGGGAAGAUGGAGUUGUCUCCAUAGGUGGAAGCAAUCUGUGUAAGAUUAGAAAAACUUAAUGCAAGAAGCAUGUUCAAAGCAAUGUACUUUGAAUAUGAGACGUUGUUUCCAUGGAGUUGAUCUCCAUUGGAUUACUCUGUAGUGAUUGAUGACAAGUCUUUGUGACUUUGUACAUUACACGAGGGGAGUGCAUAUAAGUUUAAAAUCUAACAUAUUUCAGUAAUGGUAGGAAUUUGGAAUUAUUACAUUUUAGGUGAGGACAUGGGAUUCUGAAAUGAGAAUCAUUGGAAUUAUGUUCAAUCAAUCUAUUUCACAAAGUAAGGAUCAUAGACAAACAUAGUAUGCAUACUUGGUGUAUAGCAUAAAUAUUGUUUAGAAAAAAAACAUAAUGUACAUGCUUGGAGCUUGGGACAGCUAUUGUUUUUAUUCAAGUAUAAAGUUGAUUAUUUGAAACAAUGAAUAAUAAGUAAUCAAUAUGGUGUUUAAAUAUAAGGUGUUCAAUUUACUCUCAAAGUUGCUUGGGGCCAUAUUGGAUUAGUAUUAUUCUUGUGUUUCACUUUGCAUGUUUUGACUUCCAAAAUAGCUAUGUCAUUCUUCCUGAACGACUAAGUUGUUCAAACCAUCCACAGUCGUUAAUAUUUUGGAAGUAGGUAUUAUGGCAAGACUGUCAUGAGUUGGCUUGUAGAUGUCUAAGAUGUUAGACAUAGCAAGGAGUUGUUGGAUUAGUGUCUAAGUCCAUAACUAUAAUUGGUAUAUACUUGACCCGACCCAGCAUAGUCUAUUUGGGUUGCAUGGCAUCGGAACUAUUUGAAUAGACCAUAUGUGAGAAGAAGAUAUUUGUGACAUAUUAAUAUAUUAUAAGUUCUAAUAUAUUAAUAUGAAAUUAUAUUAUUUAAUUAGUAUUGAUCUAGAAUUAAUUUGGAAUUAAUUUAGAGAUCAAAAGAGACUAAUUAAAUAUACGGGGAUUGAUUGUGUAAAUCAUUGAUUCUUAUAUAUGUGGGUUUAUGAUCAAUGGUACCUUAUGUUAGGUUUAACCCAUAUGGUGGCCCAUGGAUACUCCAUGGAGGUUAAAACCCUUGGAACAUAAGGAAUGGGUUAAUUCAUGGGUUACAUGGUGUAACCCUAAUAGCCACACUAUAUAAAGACCCCAUUGUUAGUGAAAUUCGCACUAGUGUACAACAUAGAGGGCAAGCCAACUUCUAUUAACUCGUAUCAUCUCUCAUGGUUAUUCCAAAUUUUCAUGAUGUUGUGUGAACCAUUUGAGGUGUCACAUUUGGGGCACUAGGCUCUUGAGAUCCAUGGAAUCAAGCACCAACAAAGUGGUAUGUAAUUCUACUAGUUUUAUAUUACUUGUACUUCAUAACAUACUAGUUAGGAUAAUACCUUGGAAAAAUUGAUAUUUGCAUGUAUAAUAGAGAAACCAUCGAUCCAAUGUAUUUAGGGUUGCAUGUACGCCAUAGGACCCUUAGAAUGCUCAUAACCCAACAGUGAUAUCAGAGCCAUGGGUCGUUUUCUGUUAUAUUGAUGAAAAUGUUUUAUUUUCAAUGUUGAAAAAAAAAGAAAAAAACAUGACGUUUGUCAAAUUUUAAGAUAAUUACUUGUUUUUGUGAAAAACUAAUUAUUAGUGAAAUUUGAAUCAUUUGUUAUAUGAGUUGAAUUAGGUCAAAUUUAAUAAAAUAUAAAAUGAUAUGAUUAUUUUAUUAGUUUUAAAAGUUUGAUCUAAAGAGUUUUUUGAAACCUCCAUAAGUUAUGGAUAUGAAAAGGUUUUAAAAAAAUUGAUUCAAAGAUUUUUUAUGGAGUUACAAAACUUGGUCUUAAUUUUUUAAAGUAUUCCAUAACUUAUUCUUAAGUUAUGGAACAUGAAAAAGAGUUUUAUGUUUCCUUGAUUUAUGAGAUAGUCUAGAUUACUGAAAAAAUUGUGUUUUAGUUGUUUUCAAUCUUAAUUAAUCUAAAAGUAGUUCACAAAAUGUGUUUUUUUAGCUUGUCCUCAAGUUACAUAAAAUGUAACAUUUAUGAAUCUUAAGCUCAUAAAAGUGCCAUAGGUUACACAAAAAUGAAGAGUCCUUUUCAUUAAAUUGUUUUAUGACUCCAAACUUGUCCUCAAGUUAUGGAUGUUUAAGAUUCACUUCUUUAAAAGUGUUAUUAAAGAAUAAGGAGUUACAUAAAAUGAAGAGUCUUCAUUUUAAUUUACAUUAAAAAUCAUAAGUUAUGAAAUGAAAAGUCUUGAAUAGUUUAAAAACUUUCCCUUAAGUUUUGGAAUUUGUAAAGUUACCCCUCAUGUAUAUUUUAAUUCCAAAAUGAACCUUAGAAUUCUAAAAGGUUUAAAAUUCAACACUUAUACUAUUAUUAUAAUUUUAAUUAUAUAGAUAUGUAUAAGAUAAAGUCAAUCUUACCAUUAGUAGGUGUCACUCACAAAGCCAUUCUAUAAGGGGGUAUAAGUUUACUGCCUAUAAAAUGGCAGUUUAAUGGUGUCCACUCUCACCCACCGCUUCCUUGAAUGGUGGAGGGUUGUUAGCCGAACGGGUAGGAUAGGACUAUAAAUCUCCCUUCAUUAAAAGUAUAAUGAUAAAUACUAAGUAACUAAACACUUAUAAAUUCCCAAUCUUAGUUACUGAGGAAAAUUUGAAAUAGGUGCUAACCCAUGAAAUUACACUUUGUACCUUACCAAGUCGUUAGUGGAGCGUGUGUGGUUAACCGACACACUAAAAAGGACUAGUAAGAGUGGCAAAGGGUUACUUGACUUUAUUAUAGAUCGGUGGAGCAUGUGUGGUUAACCGGUACAUCGAUUAGGUGAUAAAGUUAAGGGUACUAAGUCAAUUUUCAUGGUUAUUCACACCUUGUUUGUGAUCAUCGGCAUCCCAGUUACAAACUUGAGAGGGCACAAUCGAGAUUCAAACAUUCCAUUGAAAGUUCAAUAUAUCUCAAAAGCUCUAGGAGUUUCAAAUCCAAUUAAAACUUAAUUAUAUUUCAUUUUUCAUGGUGGAAAUUGGUAAAUCGUCAUUUACCUACCGUCAACUAUUUUAUAAUUUGGAUUACGGCAUCCCUCUUCCAUUUAUCAAAAGGUGGUUGGAUCCUAGCCUUAAUAUUUCAUAUGGGGUGUUAGAUUAAGGACUUUAAAUCAACUAACUUGAAUUUCUCCCAUUACAGAUGUCUAGUUUAGACAGUUAUGGUCUUCCCAAAUCUUUAGGAACAAGCUUCCUAAUGAAGAUGAUAUCCCAAAUGGCAAUCAUGAUGAAAGAUCAAUCCCUUUGUUGUGCAUUAGUGGGACUAGAAAUCAUACUUCACUUCCUCCACCUCCUCUAAUAAUGAUCCAUAUCCCACAAGUUUCAAGAAUUGAUAAGUUCUAAGUCACUGAAUCCCUAUUGAAAAACAAAGUCUAUAUGUGCUUAGGUCUUGGAUAUUAAUUCACAUAUUGACAAGCAGGGAGAGUCGGGUGUCGAAGUCUCGAGGUAGUUGGCUGUUGACUUGGUUCUUCAAUCACUCCCUGAUGACAGAUCAUGACAAGACCCUUUAAUGAUCUUAUCUAUUUGCUUGGUGCUGCUGAAUCAGCAAUGAUUUUGAACACUAGUAGAGCAAAUUUGAUAAGAAGGUCAACUUCCCAAAACUUCAUGGACAUUGACAAUGGUGACACUGGAAAUCCAGAAAAGCUUUCUCUUCCCAAUGGAAAGGGAUCGGACAUAGUCAACUCGGUUGAGCAAAUGGUAAAGAGAAAGGCUAAGUUUGAGAUAGUCCCAUGUACCAUUACCAAAGGGUCCAUAUGUUUCUACUGCCUAGGGAAGGGGGAUUGGUUGCGCAACUGCCAAAUUUACCUAAAAGAUCAUAAGGAUGGUAAAGUCAAUUAGUUUGACUCUACUUCAGGUAAAGUCCAUUAUCUAACUCUAUUAAGUUCCAAUUUGGAGAUCCUUAUUGCAUGAUGUGAAUAGGUCACAUGUUGAUGUUUUAAGAAUGAAAGAAAAGAGAGGAAGCUUAAAGAAACUAUAUGUUGUUUCUGAUCACGAAGAUGAAUUUCGAUCGCAUGGUUCGGUGAUCAGAGUUUUGAGUUGUUACUUAAGAGUUAUGAUACAUUGCUUGGGAAUAUAUAACAAAAAGUUUUCCAUAUGGAUUGUAAGGAUAAGUUUUCCGCAAAGUUUUAAAAUAAAAGAAAAUUGGUUUUCAUUUUAUUUAUUUUAAGUAUCCUUACAAUGGCAUUUGUGAAGAAUUGUUGUCUAUAUGGUUCCAUUGAUAGCAAUAAUGGAAAUAUGAAUUUGAUUCUUUCAUUUGUGGUAGUGUCUAAAUUUACCAAACAAGGGAAGAUUCAAAUCAACUAAGUUUCAACUGGAUAGAAACUUGGAAUCAUGCAACUUGUAUUGUAUGAUGAAUGAGAUUUUUCAUCUUUGGGAAAUUAAGACUAAUUACUUGUUCACAUGUAUAUGUGACUCAUGUGAAGGACUAAGGAAUCAAGUACACAUUCUUGUGCACUAGUCAAAGUCCACCACAAAAGAUCAAUAAGACUAUUCGUCAUGAUUUACUAAAGUUUAGUAAAUAUGGUUAUGCUUACAACUUUAUGUGUAAUUCUAAAACAUUGAAAAAGUUUCAAUGUAUGGCAGAACGGAUAAGAAGAAUCAAAUAAGACAGAAAGACAAACGUUUCUCAAAUCUGAAAAGAUUGGUUGCUCAGGGACAGUUGGAAUGGAGGAAUAAUCCAUGUCUCAGUCCAUAUGAUAUCUAAAAUGGAGGAAUAUAUGAUCACCUAUCUAAUGGACACGUCAUUGAUUUGUCAGAGUUCGAUAGCAGCUUUUAAGAGCUAUGAUUGAUGGUCAGGUUGUGAAGUUAUACUUGUCAUAAUAGUUAUUAGACUUAUCCAAGUGGGAGACUGUUGGAUUAGUUUCUAAGUCCAUAACUAUAAUUGGUAUAUACUUGACCCGACCCAGCAUGGUCCAUUUGGGUUGCAUGGCAUCGGAACUAUUUGGAUAGACCUUAUGUGAGAAGAAGAUAUUUGUGAUAUAUUAAUAUUAUAAGUUCUAAUAUAUUAAUAUGAAAUCAAAUUAUUUAAUUAGUAUUGAUAUAUAAUUAAUUUGGAAUUAAUUUAGUGAUCAAAAGAGACUAAUUAAAUAUAUGAGGAUUGAUUGUGUAAAUCAUUGAUUCUUAUAUAUGUAGGCUUAUGAUUCAUCAUUCCUUAUGUUGGGUUUAACCCAUGUGGUGGCCCAUGGAUACUCCAUGGAGGUUAAAACCCAUGGACCAUAAGGAAUGGGUUAAGUCAUGGGUUACAUGGUGUAACCCUAAUAGCCACACUAUAUAAAGACCCCAUUGUUGGUGAAAUUGGCACUAGUGUACAACAUAGAUGGCAAGCCAAUUUCUAUGAACUCCUAUCUUCUCUCAUGGUUAUUCCAAAUGUUCAUGGUGUUGUGUGAACCAUUUGAGGUGUCACAUUUGGGGCACUAGGCUCUUGAGCUCCAUGGAAUCAAGCACCAACAAAGAGGUAUAUAAUUCUACUAGUUUUAUACUACUUGUACUUCAUAACAUGCUAGUUAGGAUAAUACCAUGGAAAAAUUGAUAUUUGGAAGUAUAAUAGAGAAAACAUAGAUCCAAGGUAUUUAGGGUUGCAUGUACACCAUAGGACCCUUAGAAUGCUCAUAACCCAACAAGAGUUGCUACAACACUCAUUAGUACUCAUAAGUUCUGAGUAUUGGAUUCAACCCACGCUCAUUUGAAUCACUUCAUGGAUUUUAUCACGAGUGAUCGUUAGAUGAUAAUAUCUUAUAUUCUUCAAACCUAGAGAUAUGAGUUGUUACUAUUAGUUGGUUAUACAUUGAUUGCAUGAAAACGCAUUGGUGACUCGAUGUUAUAAAACGUGCCUUUGUGUAUGAUUCGACAAGUAGUAUGACAAGCCAUAUGAGUCGAAGUUUAUCCAUUCCUUUUACCCUUAAAUGGAUAAAAGCGAUAUAUUUGGGCCCUUCGAUGAUUUAGUGAUGACACCCCGGAGUGCUUGGCCAAGCCAGGACUGAUUUGAUCUAUUCAAUCAGCCAGUCGUCAUAAAUCUGAAAUCAGGAAAAAACAAACGGACAGAGAGAAUGAUUAUAAUCCAUGUCUCAGUCCAUAUGAUAUCUAGAAUGCAGGAAUAUAUGGUCCCUUAUCUAAUGGACAAGUCAUUAACAAUGUUAGAGUUCCACAACGGCUUUGAGAGGUAUGAUUGCCAGUUGGGUUUUGGAGUCAUACACAAUAAUAGUUUUAGAUUUAUCCAAGUGAGAGGCUGUUAGAUCAAUAUCUAAGUUCAUAACUAUAAUUGGUAUGUACUUGACCCGACUUGGUAUGGUCCAUUUGGGUUGCAUGGCAAAAUGAGAAAAAAGAUACUAGUGAUUUAUAUUAAUAUAUUAUAAUUUCUAAUAUAUUAAUAUAUAAUCAUAUUAUUUAAUUAGUAUUGAUCAAGAAUUAAUUUAAAAUUAAUUAAGUGAUCAAAAGAAACUAAUUAAAUAUGGACUNNNNNNNNNNNNNNNNNNNNNNNNNNNNNNNNNNNNNNNNNNNNNNNNNNNNNNNNNNNNNNNNNNNNNNNNNNNNNNNNNNNNNNNNNUGGGCCAAGUUCAUUUGGGUUAGGCUAAGUUUUCAUGGAUAGUCCACGGAGUGUUUAACCCAUGGAUCCUAUGAAAUGAAAGGUAAUGGAUAUUAGGGUUUAACCCUAAUCCUCCACACUAUAUGAAGAGUCCUAUGGUUCAUGAAAAGGGUGCUAGUAGCUAGUGUGGAUACACAAGAGAGGGAAAGGUUGAAUUUCAUAAGAGUGAACCAAGUAUCCUUAUUAUUUAGUUAUUCCAAUUGUUAGUGGUGUUGUGUGAACCAUUUGAGGUGCAACACUUGGGUAACUAAGCUUUUAAAGGUUCAAGGAGUCAAGCUUCAUCAAAAGGUAUGUCAUCAAACUAGAACUUUGUAGUAUAGUACUUCAUAAUAUGCUAGUUUGGAUGAAACCUUGGAAUAUUGAAUAUUUACAUGUAUAAAAGAGAAAACAUAGAUCCAAGGUUUAUAGGGUUGCAUGUACAUAGGGGGUGCUAGAAUGUUCAAAACCCAUCAUGAAUUGCUUGCUCAACAGUUCCUGCAACUGUGAUGACAGCUCUUGCAUCUCUGGUGGUUCCAAUCGGUAUGACUCCUUGGAAAUAGGGGUCGCACCUGGCUCUAGGUCGAUCCUAAAAUCGACCCACAUCUCCGGAAGCACUCCGGGUAACUCCUCCGGAAACAUGUCAGCAAACUCCCUGACUACUCGAACCUCUAAAACUAAGGGCUGAUCCCUGUCCCGCGUAUCCACCAUAUACACUAGAUAACCUACACACCCAUGAUGAAUAUAAUACCAAGCCCUGGCGGCUAAGCAAAACCCUGAACCUAACCUGGUGCCCUCGCCAUAGACAACCAGUUCUCCCCCACUAGGGGUUCAAACUACCACUCGUUGACCCUCGCAGUCGAUCAUGGCACCGAAGCGACAAAGCUAGUCCAUACCCAUGAUCACACACACAUCCCCGAUGGGAAUCAAAAUCAAGUCUAUCGAGAAAGAUACCCCAAAGAUCUCCAACACGCAACCCCGAUAGACUGAAGAAGUAGAAAUCCCGUGUUCGUUGGCAAAACGAACUCCCUAUAAAUGUCUGAGAGACAAACAAACAACUCGCCCCCCGAGCCGAAUAAUACCAAAGAAGGUAAGGAGUUCACUAAGAAUGUACCUAACAUUGUACAACACAUAUAAGCAUGAAACAAAUAUAAUCAGUAAGAUAAGGGAUACAAACAUACCAGGAACUACAUACGGUACUGUCCUGGCCUCCUCAGCUAUAAGCUGGAAGGUGCAUCCCUGAGCCUACGGAGGCUCCGCUCUACCCUGGCUCCCGUCCGUAAUCCUCAAUGUAGCCGACGCUGGGGCCUGCGCCGGCCUAGCAACAAGCAUUGGACAGUUGGCAUUGAUGUUAUAAGACUGAAUUGGUAUUGGAGAAAAAAUGAUAGGUUCCUUAAUGUUCCCUGCAGAACUAUUAAGAGGAAUUGGAUCAUUUGGAGUUCUAAAACCUGCAUCUAAACCAAUGUCUGAUUCCAACGAAUUUCCCUUAGACAAAUUUUCAACUACCCCUACUUGUUUGUAUAACAUCCCAUUUGAAAUAUAAUAAUUAAAUAUUAAACUUGGAACCCGAGAAGCAAAUUGUAUUAUUAUUAUAUGUUAUUACUGUCCAAAAUCAAAUAACAUUUAGCAGGGUGUUGGCUUCAGAAUGCCGAAUGACAAGAAUUGAAGUUCUAGGGGUUAAAGUGCAAUAUCGUGGUUUAUUUUGCAAAGGACUUAAAAGACAGGGCUUGUUUAGUAUCAUUCACAUUUAAUAUGAAAGGAUUUUUGGAUGGAUGGGGUUAAAAGGAUAAAUUAUGUACCUAAGUUGCAAAGAAAUUGUCAUGGAGUGGCUAUAUGGUAACCUUUGGGACUUAAAUUGUUAUAAAUUUUGGAUGUUGGGGGCUGUGUUGUAAAUUGUAGCCUUAAUUUGAAAAAUAUUACAUAGGGAGGGGCCAGAUAUGUAAAAUGUUUAUAAGUUUGUAUGGAGCGGGACUUAAACCCGGCUCCCUUCCCCGUCACCCUGUUAGNNNNNNNNNNNNNNNNNNNNNNNNNNNNNNNNNNNNNNNNNNNNNNNNNNNNNNNNNNAUAUAUAUAUGUUCCUUACCCGCAUAUAAUCUCCCUUGACCCUAAACCUAAUUCUCCAGCCGCCACCAUUCAUCUCACCUCCUUCCUUACCACAGGAAGCUCGCCUUCUUCUCCUUCUAAUUCUCUAGCUGCCUUAUUGAGUUCAAUAACCACUAGUAGCGUAGUUAUGUUGCCACCAUGAUGUACGUUUCCCACUUCGUCGGUGGAGUACCUUAACCUCGUCCGUUGUCUUCUGCCAAUCCACUCCACUGUUGCAUUGCUGCCACCACCCUUCUUAUCCUUUUUCUUUCUGUCACCAACCCUAGCCGCCGGAUGACAUGUGAGAUUGUAAGAACCACCAGGAAUGAUGAUGGGGAUCAUGGGAGGGCGGUCGUUAUGCCGCUAUUGCUUCGAUCAUGUCACGGAUCGAUGUGGGCAGCAAACAACUGCCAUGGUCGCCGCAGCGUCGCUGAUUGUUGUCUCCAGAUGGUAUGUUACCGAUGCCGUCAGUGUUCCGCUAUGCUACUACCGCCGCUGUUUCCGAGUGGCUAGUGGUCGUCGACUGCCGCUAUUGCUUUGGGUGUGUGCGCCUUUUCUGUUCAUCGGAAGUGGAAGAGAACCACCUUACGGCCAACCAUGGUGGCUGCCACCGUGUACCACCGCCUACCGCCAGAGUGCGGUUGUGUGUGUGUGUGUGUGUGUUUCUAUUAGUUUAGUGUGUGCGUGUCUUAUUUGGUAUAAUAAUUAUAAUAGAAAAAUCCAUAACCACCACCGUGAGGUGGUGACUGCUGCCACCGGCCGUCGUGUCCGGUGGCGGUGUGCCUAGUUAGCAUAUUUGGACUUGUUUGAGGGUGUUUGGACAAAAUGGGCCAACUAAACCCUAAUGGGCUAAAAAAACCCUAUUGGGCCUAAUAAGACCUUAAUGGGCCCAAUGAAGCCCUAAUGGACCUAAAAGCCCAACCAUUUGAUAAAUGGGCUAUUAUUUGGGUUGGAAACCCAAAUUAGGGUUUGGAAAACCCUAAUGCCAUGAAACUUAAUUUUGGGAUUGAGCCGGACCGCACGGGAAUUAUUUAAUAAACCUAAGAUAUUAAUAAAUUAUUAAACAUAAAAUAUUAAAUUAUAAUCAUUGGUAAAUUAACCUAAGGCAAUAAUGGACUUAAUGGAUUAAGUCCUUAACGGAUUAAGCCCUUAAUGUUAAGUAAGAACACUUAACCCUAAUCAUCAUUUCAUGUGAAACCCUAAUCUUGCUUGGGCCUUGAGUUGGGCCCUCUAUUGGGCUUUGGAGAUUAGACUAUUGAUGGACUAACCAAGAACAAGUUAAUGGACCAAGAUAAUUAGAUGGGCCUUAGGAUAAGGCCCAUGUAAGAGACUUGGGGCCGAUUUGGAAAAUUGGGCCAUAUAUGGGCCAUAAUUAGUCCUUUAUGAUUAUGUGAUAUUGGUCCAUGGGAAUACCAAGAGUUUGGACUAGAAUAAUUGGUUGGGCCUUAAGGUAAGGCCCAUGUGAAGGGUUUGGCCCAAUUUGGAAAAUUGGGUCAUAUGUUGUGCUUUGACCCAUUAUUUGACUUUUGGGUUUCGUAAUGUGAGUUGGACUUUGGGUUUGGAACCCAAUUAUUAAUUGGGUAUUGUUUCAUGUUGACAGUUCGGUAAGCUGUCAACUAGCAGCUGGAGUUUUAUCUGUGGGGCUUCGGCAGUGUCAGGUGAGUUCUCCUCACUAUACUGACCAGGUCUACGACACUAGGUCAGUCCCUUGGGAUUUUAUCCUAGAUUUUAGUAGGUUGUUACUUAUUCAUGAUCUGUUAGACUGGUACCCUGGUAGUUAGGGUGUUAUGUUGUUAUGAUCUGUUAGAUUGGUAUCCGGGUAGAUAGGAUGAUGCUAUGCUUAGCAGUUUGUAUGAUCUGUGUUUAUUAUUUGAUAAUGUUUUAUAUAUAUGUCGACAUAUAUGGUUGUGGGUGGGUUGAGGCGGUCGUGCUUUGUGCUGAAGGCCAACAUACCUGGGGCUGUCUAGAUAGGUUGUAGGCUUAAGAGCAGUCCAGUCAUGCCGACGACCCAACGAGCGGUCCGGAUAGGUUGUAGGCUUAAGAGCGGUCCAGUCAUGCCGAAGGCUCGGGAGCGGUCCAGAUAGGCUGUAGGCCCUGCGAGGCAGUCCAGUCAUGUUGAAGGCUCAUUUUACAUGUUUGUUAUUAUUAUACUGGAUGUUAUAUGUUGGUAUUUUGGGGGUAACUCACUAAGCCUUCUGUAACGUCCCAAAAAUCAGGGGUAAAAAUUUCAUUUUUAAUAUAACUAAAACAUUGAUACCAUUUAAUUCAAACAAUCAAAUCAUAGUCAAUCAAAUAGUUUAUCCGAGUUUAUCCUAAAAUCAUUCAUUGCGGAAAUCAUAGGUGUGUGCACUGCGAUCAACCCGAGCUCUUCCUUUCCAAAACGAUGAUACCUGAAACCAUAAAAAACCUGUAAGCACGAAGCUUAGUGAGUUUCCCAGAGCAUACCAUUCACACAAACCACAUAUCAUGUAUCAUGUUAGCUAUAAAAGCUACACACAUAUCAUAUAUAUUGUUAGCUCUAAAAGCUACCAUAUAUCACAUAAGCCCUACAUACAUAAAACAUGUAAUAGUGCCAUGGGCUACCCCACAUGGUCUUUACCUAGGACUGCCAUGGGCUCCCCUACAUGGUCUUACAUCCAAUGCCACGGGCUCCCCCGGGGUCUUCCCUGCAAAUACCACACGUAACCAACUAGCAUAUCAUGCAUUGCAUAAACACCUACACAUAACACGUACAUUAACUUGUAAGGAUACCGUGGGCUACCCCCAGGGUCUUAUACCAUUGUACCAUGGGCUACCGUACAUGGUCCUCCAUGCAAGUAUCACAAAGACAUCUAACAUAUCACAUACCACAUAAUCACUAGCAUGCCACCUAGCAUGAAGCUAACUAUCAUAUCAAACAACAUAAGAAGGGCCAGCCUUAGUGCCUUAGACCCAUUGGUAUGGUGAGAAUACUUACCUGCAACUGUCGGUUGAAGAAAUAAGAUCACGCUGCUCCAACCACCGACAUGAACUCUUCCACUGGUCAACACCAAAUAACUGAACUCAAUAAAUACCAAUAGUUACCAAAAUACCCCUGGAAGUCAACUGGUCAACUCUUGGUUAAAGUCAAAUUCCUUAGUCGAUGUCAAACUUCCUGACUAACUCUACUUGCCGAGUCAACCUUCUGACUCGUCGAGUCCCUAUGCUCUGAAAACUCCCUUAUCACGACUCAACUCGCCGAGUCAACCCGCUGACUCGUCGAGUCCAAGAAUCAUCGAGUCUCAUCCUGCUCAACUCACCGAGUCGUCCCUCGACUCACCGAUUCACGACUUGACCAGAAAGGUUAGGGUUCCAUGACCAGACUCGCCGAGUCCAACAACAGACUCGUCGAGUCCAAGGCAGUCUUCAACAGACUCGCCGAGUUGUUCAUCUAACUCGCCGAGUUCAUGCACAUAUUCAUACAACUCGUCGAGUACACCCAUGUGACUCACCGAGUAUCUCCAGUUCUCAAUGCAUUCAGAGAAUUUUCAAGCCAUGCAGGGGCUCCGAUCCAUAGAUCUACCCUUCUACAAGCUAUCCCUCACGUAAAGUUGCAAACUUUACGUGAUACCAAGGAGAUAUAAGCCCAAAACACACUAGGGCUUGGGUUUUAGACAAAGGGGCUUUACCAAAAACUCAAGGACUAAAGCUUUACGACAUUCUAAGCCAUCAUGAGUCUAGAUCUAGAGCAGCAACCCCAUAUCUAACUCCCAAAUCCGAGAUAGGUCUCAAAAUAAGCUAAGGGACUCCCAAAACAACCACCAAGGAUAAACCAAAAAGGAAAUAGCUUAAGAUAAUGCUCCUUACCUCAGAGAUGUGCCCAAAACUGAUGUAGAUCACAGAUCGAUACAAGCCCUUGAUGCUAACUUCCAAUUUCUCAAGCUCCUUCCACUAAUUUCCUCUUUAAGCCCCCAAUCUCCUCAACAAUGAAGCCUCACAUGAAUUUUGGUGUUCUUGGAACUCAAAGGGAAGGUAAAGAGGCUGAAGGAGGAACAUAACAUUCUUUAUAUAGGGCACAACCCCGAGAUUAGAGUUUUUCUCUCUUCAACACCAACUUGUCAAGUCCAACUACCGACUCGACGAGUUGGUCACUUAACUCGCGACCAAAAUCCCGCUCCGAAUCGGCGAGUCGGAAUACCUACUUGUCGAGUCCCCUUCAUUAUUUACACUUUACCCCCUGAACUCUUGAUUCUGACUUGGGAUGUUACAUUUCCUUUAUUGGCCUUUCUGAUUUCGGGUGUUACAACUCUCCCCCACUUAAACUAAACUUCGUCCUCGAAGUUCACUAUGCCUAACUGACCUGUAAUCCGCCUCCAACACCUUGCCUGGUGACUCUAACCCUAUUACCCUAUUGCCCGAUCAUUUUGGAUGGCAUAAACCUUGCAGGUAAAAUCCCUGAGUACAAUCUAAUCCUUAACCUUCCUGAGAACACCCCCUGCUCAACUGGCAAUCCUUUUGGUACUCCCCGAGUACCUAGGCUAAUCAUUCUUGGGGUUUACUUCCUUUUCCUCGUGCGUUUCUGGCCUCCCCAAGGCUGCCCUCUAUAGCUAUCCAUUUCCUUUGUCACUGUGAGGAACGUACCCUUCACGAUGACCAUCACUCCAGCCACUCUCGGUGCCGGUCACUAUUGUCGGUAGUACCGAACUGCCUGAAACACUAAACUGAAUGAAACACUGAACUGUUAUAUGGUUGCUUCCCAAAAUAUCUUGAGACCUUCCUGGUCUCCAAUCAUCCUUCGGUUAUCUGAAACACCGAGUUCCAACUCAACUGUGGAGUCCAAGGGCUCCUCACUCAGUCUCUCCCACGACUUCUGAACGAAAUCUUUCUCUGGAACUGCUUUCCACUAGUCAGCCUAUCACUGUGGCUCUAACAACCUCCCGCUACUACGAACUGCUUUUAUGAAGAACGAUCGGGAUCUCCGUGGUCCCGACUUGACUGUCAACUGUCCGAAGCACCGGACACCUUCCCGAUUGUUGAGCCAGAGACACGUGCUCCACAUUCCUACAUGACCUCCAAACGCACCUCGUCUGACAAUAACCGCCAUGGCGAUAUCUUUUCUCUCGACUCCUUCACUCCCUUGAUCCAUCCAAUCAUGACAAGCUGACAACCUGUCGCCACUGAAUCCAGCGCAAAAAUGAAUGCCGCAAGAACAAAUGUGGUCUUACAUCAUACCCAACCUCCAUCGACCUGUAUUUUCCUGGUUAAACAUGUCGUGGUCCCAUUACUGAUAGAACCAAUUCAAGUCACACUAUGAUGGCUUGAGCUACCAUCAACCACACCCAUUCAUUACCCUGGUAUCCUGCAUUGAUGCCAUUGGCAUCUUAUGCUCCCAGUCUUAUCUUACUGAAACAAAAUCCUUUACUCUACAUGCACGAACCCUGAUUCGGAAUCCUUUCCGAAACCAGUCGAGACCCUGCUAAUACCUCGAGGUUCAUAAUACACCAUCACUUCUGACUUACCCUUCGUGGCCGAUAGACAGUCACCCUUAGCCAAUCCCUGAGACUACUAGUCUCUCAUCUAGUCCAACCACCAGGUUUCCAGGUGAUCAAAAACCAAGACUACCCAGUCGUAGCCAUACUGCAUCAUGUGCCACUUAUCCACAAGAUCCUACAACUCGAGAUCCAACCCUUCACUCAAUAGUCUCUACCAUUUCAAUUCUAAAAUCCCAUACCCAUCCGGGCUUGCCCAUGAAUAAUCCAUCAAAUAAUCCCUCUGAUCCUAGUUCUACCUAAGUUGUGGCUUUCCCACGACUUUGCGAACUGAUCUACCAUAGACCCAAUCGCUCGAAGAACUCAUGAAUGCUACGAUUACCCCGUAGUCUUACAACACUUCCCAUGCCAUCCGAUUAUUAGUGAAUGCUACAGCCCCUUGUAGUCUGACAACACUCCCACCCUGACUGCCCAUUAGUGAACGCUACGGCUCCCCUGUAGUCUUACAACACUUUCACAGUGAAUACUACGGUUCCCCCGUAGUCUUACAACACUUUCACAGUGAAUGCUACGGCUCCCCCGUAGUCUUACAACACUUCCACAGUGAAUGCUAUGGCUCCCUCAUAGUCUUACAACACUCUCACAGUGAAUGCUAUGCCUCCCCCGUAGUCUUACAACACUUUCAUACCACAUGAUCAUUGCCCAUGGCCCUACUGCUCACCUAUCAUUCCGAACGCAUGUCACUGUUUAGCACCCACGUAAUCUAUCCUCCCAAACUAAACUCAAUUACCGACUGGAACACUACCUGGUUCCCUUCCCCAAAGCCUGCAAUAUGACGUCAGAAGGAUGCAAUCCAAAUGCCGGGGAGUUUCCCGAACUCCCAUCCCACGAUAUCCGAUACUCAGUCGGCCCCUAAGGCCGCCUUUCCUCCCCAAAAGGAAAAUGUGAGACGCAUCCACGUCUCACACUCACUUUUCUCCGGGAUAUCUGAAUAAUUCUCCCCCACUUAGAUUCGACUAAGUCCGCUUGGCACAUGAAAAUUGAAGGAUUCCUACAUCCUCUCUCUCAUUCCAAUCGUUAAUUUGCUGAUGGGCAGCACCUAACAAAGCUAGAACACCCAGAAUAACCCUUCCCAAAACAACACAGCUUCCGAAAACCUGCUAGCAUCUCUGAAUCCCAACCAUAUCAACAGAUUUAGAUGCUUUAAAUACUGUUAUACUCGGUUCUUGCUGACCGAAGGUCAGAUGGUCUAACCAAAUCUUCAGCAACAAUUCUCUCCUCCCUUGACAACCUCGGGAGCCUUUCCAAACAUGAUAACUAAGGUUACUGGAACCUAGUCAUAAUUUCCAUCAUAUAAGCCCUGGAACUAAUCCAGGAUAUACCCAAAAUGACACGCGUGUACUGAAAAUUCUGAGAUAACUGGAGUCGGUUCCCUCACUGCUCCUCCCUGGUCGUCAAGUGGUUGACUUCCUUGUCCCCCCAUCUGCCUUCAACGACAAUAUGACGGACUUGCACCCUAUGGGCAUUCCUUGCUGACGUGGCCAAACCUGCUACACCUGUAGCUACCCAAAUCACCGGAUAGCCUCCGACAAUGACUCGGAGCGAUCCCGGUAUGUGCGGAAUCCACUCUGCAAGAUACGUCCAUCUGAAAGCUCCUUAAAGAUUCCUCGGUGCGCUGGCUGGCACCUGAUACACUUUCUAACUUGAACAAUAGCAGAAAUCCGACUCGGGGUCUAACUAUCACACUCCCCAAGUAAUAUAAAUUACCGGUACCACCGGCAAUGACCGAAGAUAGUAUAUCCACAAACAUCUGGAGGACUCGUGACCAUGUCCUCCUGAGUUACCUCGACCAUCUGGAAAACAUGAUGCAACACUUCAUCCUGAUCCCAAUGGCAAUCCAAUCCCUUGUAACGAGCUCCAUCGCGUAGUUUUCGCAAGUGUUGCACCGAAUCCAGCCCUGUUGGCCUCUCAAAAGCUAAUCCAAACUCCUGGAUCCCCCUCCCGAGAUCCUCUACUAUAGGCACCCGGGCUGGUCCCCUUUUCCAAAGGUGACCCUAAUCAAUCCCUGCUCUCGAACUCUAGAAAUCAUAACAUUCAAGGUCUCGCACCCUGACACACUCACCUGCUCAAUCAUCCACGACCGAUCUGCAAUAGAUGGAGCAACCUAUGCUCCCAACCAGUUACACACUAUCCCCAAGACAAAGUCUUUAACUCCAAAAAUGAAAUAGAUCGCACCAUCAAUCCUUGCCGCCUAAUGCUAGAGAUCCAAUGCGAACUCCCAAUCCUGGCAGUCCUUCUGCUAACUAGCUCUCUACCGGAGGCAGGACCAAACCCUGGUCCUUCCCCUUGCAUGCUCAUCCGCAUUCUGCACUGCAUAUCCCCACAGUCCACUCGUAACCACAAAUUCCUUUCCCAGGUUUCUUGGGUUCUUCGACACUUUCCCCAAUUCGAGUAUGGAUCAUGUGCUUUCAGUAGUACAAGCCCAAUACUACCUUCCACACCUAUCCAUAGUUUCCUCCGGAAUCAUCCCAAAUCCUCUAAGUCACCUACUUCCCUGAUGCACUAAAUGUCUACUAGACAGCAGCACAACAUCCACCUAAGCACCUCUUAAGUCUCCCUUUAGGCUCCCAAUCACACCGAACCGCCUCACUACUCACUAGAGCAUAUCCUAGGCUUUCCUAGGUUCCCGACCUCGCCUUGCCAUCAGCUGCUGAGGAACUCCUCACGAUGCCAGUCAUCUACCUCCUGGAUAUCUUCACAUCCACUUAGUAGCUGACUCCCAUCACUAAAGAGUUCCACAAAGCACAAAGCAAGCAGCAUUCAUGCAGAUGCACUCCUGAAACUAAUCUCAUCCUAGGCUCAUCCUAGGGUAAUCUCCGACCCACAAACGAUCAUAGAAUAUCCAACCUACGUACCACAACCCAAGUUGUCCACAUCCACCCUCGCUAACGACUGCCUUAUGCAUGCAAAUUGUACACAGAACAGGAAACGAACCGCACCAAUUGUUCUAUGGCCAUGAGAUCCUAACCAUAUACAAUUUUAAAAAACAUACACAUAGCAGUUACCAAUACCAAUAAUCAUUCUCAUUCUAGCAUGGCAUCCAGCAUUCCAAGGCUACAAGCACCACACAUCAGGCCAAUCUAUCGCUGACUACUCAGCACUAGCAUGCAAGUCUAAGAGCUCAGACAGCAUACAAAGGCAUCUCUCCUAGCCCUAACUAGCAUGUGAUAUUGAGAUUCAUAACCAAAUCAUAACAGAUAACCGAUGUGUGUAUUCUGGGGAAACUUACUUGAGCUUGGUUGAUUGCAUGCACCACACCCUUUCUUUUCUUAGAAGACCUUUCCUUGAAAGCAUUUUCCUUUAAAACCUUACAGAUCUUCAGUCUGAGUUCAGACACGCCCGAAAGUAUGUCUGAAUCCCUCAAACCAAGGCUCUGAUACCAACUUGUAACGUCCCAAAAAUCAGGGGUAAAAAUUUCAUUUUAAUACAACUAAAACAUUGAUACCAUUUAACUCAAACAAUCAAAUCAUGUCAAUCAAAUCGUUUAUCAGAGUUUAUCCCAAAAUCAUUCGUUGUGGCAAUCAUAGGUGUGUGCACUGCAAUCAACCCGAGCUCUUCCUUUCCAAAAUGAUGAUACCUGAAACCAUAAACAAACCUAUAAGCACAAAGCAUAGUGAGUUUCCCAGAGCAUACCAUUCACACAAACCACAUAUCAUAUAUCAUGUUAGCUAUAAAAGCUACACACAUAUCAUAUAUAUUGUUAGCUAUAAAAGCUACCAUAUAUCACAUAAGCCCUACAUACAUAAAACCUGUAAUAGUGCCAUGGGCUACCCCACAUGGUCUUUACCUAGGAUUUCCAUGGGCUCCCCCACAUCGUCUUACAUCCAAUGCUAUGGGCUACCCCACAUGGUCUUUACCUACGACCGCCAUGGGCUACCCCACAUGAUCUUACAUCCAAUGCCACGGGCUCCCCCGGGGUCUUCCCUGCAAAUACCAUACAUAACCAACUAGCAUAUCAUGCAUUGCAUAAACACCUACAUAUAACACAUACAUAAACCUGUAAGGAUGCUGUGGGCUACCCCUAGGGUCUUAUACCAUUGUGCCAUGGGUUACCCCACAUGGUCCUCCAUGCAAGUAUCACAAAGACAUCUAGCAUAUCACAUACAACAUAAUCACUAGCAUACCACCUAGCAUGAAGCUAACUAUCAUAUCAAACAACAUAAGAUAGGCCGGCCUUGGUCCGUAAGACCCAUUGGUAUGGUGAAAAGACUCACCUGCAACUGUCGGCUGAAGAAAUAAGUUCACGCUGCUCCAACCACCGACACGAACUCUUCCACUGGUCAACACCAAACAACUGAACUCAAAAAAUACCAAUAGUUACCAAACUACCCCCGGAUAUCAACUGAUCAACUCUUGGUCAAAGUCAAAGUCCUUAGUCAAAGUCAAACUUCCUGACUGACUCUACUCGCCGAGUCAACCUUCUAACUCGUCCAGUCCCUAUGCUCUGAAAACUCCCUUAUCAUGACUCAAAUCGUCGAGUCAACCUGCUGACUCGUCGAGUCCAAGAAUCUUCGAGUCUCAUCCUGCUCAACUCACCGAGUCGUCCCUCGACUCACCGAUUCACGACUUGACCAAAAAGGUUAGGGUUCCAUGACCAGACUCGCCGAGCCCAAGAACAGACUCGUCGAGUCCAAGGCAAUCUUCAACAGACUCGCUGAGUUGUUCUUCCAACUCGCCGAGUUCAUGCACAUAUUCAUACAACUCGUCGAGUACACCCAUGUGACUCGCCGAGUAUCUCUAGUUCUCAAUCCAUUCAGAGGCUUUUCAAGCCAUGCAUGGGCUCCGAUCCAUAGAUCUACCCUUCUACAAGCUAUCCCUCAUGUAAAGUUGCAAACUUUACGUGAUACCAAGGAGAUAUAAGCCCAAAACACACUAGGGCUUGGGUUUUAGACAAAGGGGCUUUACCAAAAACUCAAGGACUAAAGCUUUACGACAUUCUAAGCCAUCAUGAGUCUAGAUCUAGAGCAGCAACCCCAUAUCUAACUCCCAAAUCCGAGAUAGGUCUCAAAAUAAGCUAAGGGACUCCCAAAACAACCACCAAGGAUAAACCAAAAAGGAAAUAGCUUAAGAUAAUGCUCCUUACCUCAGAGAUGUGCCCAAAACUGAUGUAGAUCACAGAUCGAUACAAGCCCUUGAUGCUAACUUCCAAUUUCUCAAGCUCCUUCCACUAAUUUCCUCUUUAAGCCCCCAAUCUCCUCAACAAUGAAGCCUCACAUGAAUUUUGGUGUUCUUGGAACUCAAAGGGAAGGUAAAGAGGCUGAAGGAGGAACAUAACAUUCUUUAUAUAGGGCACAACCCCGAGAUUAGAGUUUUUCUCUCUUCAACACCAACUUGUCAAGUCCAACUACCGACUCGACGAGUUGGUCACUUAACUCGCGACCAAAAUCCCGCUCCGAAUCGGCGAGUCGGAAUACCUACUUGUCGAGUCCCCUUCAUUAUUUACACUUUACCCCCUGAACUCUUGAUUCUGACUUGGGAUGUUACAUUUCCUUUCUUGGCCUUUCUGAUUUCAGGUGUUACACCUUCAAGCUUAAAUUUUAUUGAUUAUUGUUUCAGGUACUUCUGAUGAUCGCAAAAAGGCGAAGGCGUGAUUGUGCACCUCCUCAUGUUUUAUGAUUUGGUUGUAGAAAACUUUGAUGUUAAACCAUUUUGAAAAUACAUUUGUAAUAAUUAUUGGUUUUGAAAUAUUUUAAAAAGUUUUAAUUUGGCGCUAAUUUUAAGGAUGUUACAGUUUGAAUCCAACAACUUUACCAACAAGGCUUGUAGAAUAUUCACCAGUAAUCAAAGCAUGAUCUGAACAAUCAGGAGAAGGCUUUCCUAAAGGGUUUGAAAUGAUAGCAUCAAGAUCAUGAAACUGAUUAGAAACAAUUGGAUGACUCAAUAUUUGGCUUGGCCAAUACUAUGAUCUUCCAAAAGUUCAUUUGAAUUCAUUAACACCUCCCGCUGUUCCUAAACCCUAGGAUGAUCUAAAAAUUGUGUCAUCGACAGUUGAUCAAGUUGAACAUCUCUUAACUUAUGAGAAAGCUAAACAUCUUCAUUUUGUUUUUCAACAUUCGAAAAAUCCUUGCAAACUUCAACCUUUUGAUUUACUUUUGGACCACAAGAUAAUACAAUAUUUUGAUGAAGUUGGUUAAAUUCAACAUUUCUUUUAUUAGCAUACUCUAAAAUCUCUUUGUUUCCUGGGAACUGAUUCCAAGCACGAUUGAUCCAAUGGUCGACGAUAGGCUUCAAAUAACUAUAACUUUAAAACAAAAAAUCAACCUUCUCCUUAAAUUCCUGAAAAAUAAUGUUAAAAUCAAAAGAUGAUAAAAAAAUUAUCCAAUAGAAUAUGAUUCAAAAACAUAAUGCAAAAACAUAUAUACCUCUAAAGACUUUGAACUGUCAAGGAUAAUAACAAAUUGAGGAAAAAAAGGGCUCGUAUGCAUCGAAUCUUCAUUCACAUUAAUAUUUAUCAAAACCAAAUAAAAACCAAAAUAUAUAUAAAAAACCAUAAAAAAAUAAAACUUACCAUCAUUUCUCAUUUCAUUAUCAAUUAUAUUCUCUUGAACAAACUUUUUUCCUUAAUUAGCAUAAUCCAGAAAAAUAUGAAUUGAUUCAAAAUAUAAAAGAAAAUAAAACUAAAAUAUAAACAAAAAACAAAAAAUUAAUAAAACUUACCAUUAUCUCUCACUCGAUUCUCCUUUUUGUUAUCUUCAAAAACUUUUUUUCCUUUGUCAGCAAUAUCCAAAACAAUAGGAACUUCAUUCUCAAUCGAUUUCUCAUGAGCAAUACUGAUUCCUUUUUAAGAAUGAUCCAAAACAAUAAAAGUUGUAACAAAUUACAAAGGAAAAGAAACAUAAAAAUUUAAUUGAAAAAACAAAUAACCUUCAACUUGUUGAGCUUCAGAUUUUUUUCAUUGAACUUCUAUUUAUUUAUUUUUUUCAAAUGAAUAUUCUUUCUCAUCUUUUUCAUAUUUAUUUUAUUUUUCAUAACAACAACAGAUUUGUUUUCUUCAUUUUCUUUUCCAUUCUUCUUCUCAAAAUAUUAGUAAGACAAAUGUGUUCUUCAUCUACAAAUAUUAAAAAAAAAAUUGUUAUUAAAUUAAAAUAUUAAAAAAACAAUUAAAUAAGAUUAUCAAAAUAAAAACAUUUCAUAAAAAUGNUAUAUAUAUAUAUAUAUAUAUAUAUAUAUAUAUAAACUUGUUUCUGUUUCUAAAUCUUCUUUAACUAUUGCAUCAUCAACAAACUCUUCAUAUGUUUAAAUGCUUCAACUUUUUCAUAACCUCCAUCACUAAAUGUUUCUUUCAAUUUAUCUUUAACUUUAAUUGUAGACCAAUAAGAUGAUGCAGGGUAUACCCUUUCCAAUGACUCUGAAGAUGACUUUGUGCAAUGAAGAUACAAUAAGUACAUAAGAUGAAAACAAAAUAUAAUUAAUAAUUAAACUGAGAAAAAAUAAAUGAAAAAAAUGUACAUAAAAUUUAAACUUACCACUAAAAAUGCAACAGGACCAGUGUAUUGAGGAUUCCUAACAUCAAUUGAAUCUGAUUCAAAUUUCAACAACUUUUUGCUUUGAUUUAAACAAUCAAUUAAAAAGCCACAACAAUCAAGAUUUUUAAUGGACACUUCUUCAUUAAAAUUUUCUAAAAAGUUUUGGUUCCAUGUACCCAUAGAUAGACCAUCAACCAUGAUGGUCACAUAUGCAACCAAAAAAUUCAAUAAAAACAUAAAACCUGAAUAUGGUUUUUUCUAAAAGUUCUAUGAUGUUAGGAAGCCAAAUCCGAGAAAUAUAAAACUGAUUCCUCGAGUUUUUAAUAACAGCAAUCCCAAAACGACUUUUCUUAGGAAUUUUCAUAGGAAUAUAACCCAAUGGAAGUCCAUAUAUGUCAUGCACACAUCCCCUAGUAAUAUGAAUAUCCUUGUUGUUGAUACAAAUAACAUUUUUCUUUUCAUCAUAUAUCUCAAGAACACACGAACAGAUUUCCCUAGAAAAAAUUUUAACCACAAAGUCUUCAACAAAUCCAAACCAUAUUUCCUUAACUGCAUCUUUCUAUUAUCAUUAAGGCUUCUGUAUAUAGUUGAUAUUAAAACUGGAGGAUACUUAUAUGUAAUUUCAGCCUUCUUAACAUUUACUUGACCAACAACGGGAGCAAAAACAAAAUCAUCAUCUUCAGUUGGACUUGUAAUGACUUUAGAAGCCGUAUUGGCUUUCAAAACUUUGACUGAUGAAGUUCCUUUGGAAGAAGAUGAAAUAUCUACAAAAGACUUGGACCUUAAUGAAGCCAUUCUAUUAAAAGAAAGAUGUCACACCCCGAACGACAGCGGAAAUCGUCGGUGUUGCGACGUUAUACAAUUGGAUCACAGUCAACCACAUAUAUCGAAUACUUAAUAUAUUUGAAUCAAUAUUUUACAAACCUUUAUGUUUUGGAAUUGAAAUUACAUCUUCAUAAUUUAAACACACAUUGGUAAACAUGUUAAAUCUAUUCCCAAAAGAAAAGAACUAUAAUUUCCUUAGAACCGAUGUCCUACCUCCGGCUUCUUAGUUACCUGAGAAUACACAUUUUUAAAAUACUUCAACAAAAAUUGUUGGUGAGUUCCAUAGGUUUUGACUCCAUGAUUUUUAUGAAAAUAAAUCUUUAUAAAAUGUGGGAUGUUUAACAAAAUAAGUUGGGCAAAACAUGAUCAACAAUGUUACCGAUAUGCUUCGUGUGAGACCUGAUACUUGAAAUUCAAUACGAGUAUCCAUGUUAAAAUACUUAUGAUAAAAGUAAAUAUUAACAUACUUUUGUGAAGCAAAAUAUUUAUUGUUUGUAUAAAUACACACUAACAAUAUGUUUAAUAAUCUACAAACAAUAUUUAUACUACAUACAAACUCAUCAUAGUUUGUAUUAAUAUAUUUGUAUCCGGGAUUCUAUUAUAAUUCCCAAUUGGUUGAGUUUGAAGACUUUUGGUCGUAAUGCUUAAUAAUGCAAAGCUACCAAAAUUAUAUCGGGACAACGGUCGUAUGUGUCCCUAUAUAUUUGAGACAACAGUCAUAUGUGUCCCAAAACGAGUUUAAACAGUACGUCGACUGUGAGUGACCAUAUACAUGUUUAGACAGUACUCCGACUGUAAGUGAUCAUAACAAUUGUUUAGACAGUACUCCGAUUGUAAGUGACCAACAAAGUUUAUACAGCACUCCAGCUGUGAGUGACAUCGAGAUAGUUCAAAUCAUCUUGUGUUAUAAGGUUGUCAAUAUGAUUAUAUUAGUAAUACUUGUUAUAAUUUACACUUUUUUAACUCCUAAAGUAUGUGUGAAUUAAAAAAUUUCAUAAUUUGUGUAUUUCUCAUUUACCACAAAACUUUAUAUUUAUAUUUGAAAAAAAAAACCAAACAGCAAGGUUUAUCAUAAGGGUAAUUAUGUCUAUGAUGUUUGAAAAAUUAUAGAAAAAUCAUCGUCAGUCGAAAAUACGAUCCGUAAACUCUCAAAGCUUAGAAAAGGAGUCUACUUUUUCCAUAAUUUUUACCAUGACCUAAAGUGGUUCCUAACGAGAGUAAAAAUGGUUAUAUUUUACAAACUGGUCCGAAAAUGUUCAGAAAUGAUAGGUAGUUUUGUAAAAAUCAUCAUAAUUUGUAGAAAAAUCGUAUGAACGCGUGCGAGAAGUCCUUGAAAAGGUAUAGACUUGAACUAUUUUCAUAUUUUAAAGUUUGAAAUCCAUUAAUUUUAAGAAUGGAAAAACAGUCCGAGAACAGACCACAACUUUUCUGUGAAAAGCUGAAAUUUAAGCUUAGAUAUGUUUAGUGACAUGACUUGUAUUUUUAGAUAGAAAACCUUUAUAUCAUUCAAAUAAGAUUUUUUUAGUGUGUAUUCUCCCCCAAAUCUUGUAAAACAUAAAAGAGGGGCCAAAGAAAACUCACUUUUGUCACGUAGAGUUAUUCAAGUUGUGAAUGGUUCGUGCGGUUUCCGAUUCCACACAAGUUUGUGAUUCAAGUAUUCUUUUGGAUGUCUUAACACAUAAAGACAUAUAUUUACAUGCAUUUUAGACUUUUAUAAUGUCUUAAAUCUUUUAAAAUCAGUGGGUUUGAUGAUAAAAAGAAAGUGUAGAAAUCAAGAAUAUACCUAGCUUCAACUUGGAUCAAAAGUAUGUUGCAAAAAGGUGGUGGAAUAACACAAGCUUUUUGAGAGGUAAAGGGUAACUUUCUCAUGGGUUUUAAGUGUUUGAAAGUAGCUACAUAUGGUUUACUUUAAAUCUCGAAAAUGGGCAGAAAGAUGAAGAACUUUUGGGUGUUUGUUUGAUUCUCCAAAACAGCCAUUGGUUUGGCUAUGUUGCUGUCACAAAAACCUCACAGCAAAAUGGUAAAAAAAAAAAGAUAGUUUACUCACUGUUUUGAAUCUCUAAUUUUGAGUAGCAUAACUACUAACCUCCAG
rnacentral:lncRNA from 1 species